rnacentral:lncRNA from 1 species
UUUUUUUUGAGGUCGACUGGUCGACUUUGUCUUCAACAGGAUUAGUGGGGGCACGCUGAGUGCACCCACUGGGUGUAGUCCCCGAGACUACGGUCGAAUGCUUGUAUUCGGCUGUAGUCUUAGAAACGUGUGUUUUUCCCUUUUUCACUCGGAAGUGAAUUAUAUUUGACAUUUAGUCGAUUGGUUCUUCGCAGAACUCUUGUGAUCUUGUGGCUCGCUACUCAGAGCUGGAACACAAGCAUACUCAAGUCGAGCUGAGCUUGAAGCUAGUUCAGGAGAAGCUGUCAAAGGCAAAGGAGGAGACCGAAGGUAUGUUUGGUGAGACCCUGACGACUGCUUUUCCCUUUGCUUGUUUCAAAAUCUGAUCUUGCUGUAACUUGUAGGUAAGGUAAGGGAGGCCCAGCAGAAGAAAGACCUUGAGCUAGCUGAGAAGAUCAAGCUUGCCGACGAGAAGUUAGCUUCAGUCACCAAGCUUGAACAAGACAAUACCAAUCUGAAAGCUGCUCUUGGGAUUGCCAACAAGGAGGUCAGUCGACUGAAAACUGAUAAAGCUGCACUGACCGACCAAGUCAGCAAAUUGACUGGGAAGAAAACUGAUCUGGAGGCCUUCCUGAGUGGACUUGGCAAGAAGCUGUUUCUUAUGCUUGAAGGUAAACCUCUAUGCUUGGCAAAUAUUUCCAAUUAUGGCUUUUUCCAUUCGACUAUCUCCUUGACUUAGUGAUCACCCUUGCAGAAUUUUGUCAAAACUUUGAAGAAGAAACCAGCCGACUGGAGCCAAACCUUGACCCCGUCAAUUCUCCGGUGAACGACGAAGUUGCCAUGGAUGUUUUCCGACUGGAGUCUCGUGUUGCAGCUGUCAUGGACUAUCUCGCAAGGCUGAAGGCCGCCACAUCUCGCAUCGACUCGACGCUCUGGCCUGAGGAGACACUUCAGAAUGACCUUGAGUCGCUGAUGGCCCGCUUGAACACGAUCCCUGGUCGAGUGCAGGAGUGGAAGAAGUCCUCGGCUCGGUGUGGUGCAGAUGUCGCUCUGUGUCUGGCCCGAGUCCACUGCAAAGAUGCGCGAGAAGAGAAGCUGGCGGCCCUUCGGGUGGCCAAUACCAAGAAGCACGACUUCAGAUCCUUUAUGGAAACUUUCCUUGCAGCUGCCACUCGGAUCGCCGACGGGAUUGACCUUGAUGAAUUUGUUGCACCUUCCAGCCCUCCACAGGAGGGGUAAAAAACUUCUUCUGGCUCGACGCUUUAAAUUUGCCUCGGUAUGCCGAGUGAAAUUGUAACCGACAAACCUUAACAGGCUUGACGCCUGAGCACUUUCGGUUCCUUUAGAUGUCGAUUCAAACUUGGAUUUGGUGCUUGAAUACGAUUGCCUUCGGCUCGGAAUGUCUUUUGCAGGUUCAAAGCAAGGUGCCUGUGCUUAGGCGAGCGCUUGGAAUGCAGCUAAGCCUCCGAGUGAGAGGGUUGCUCUUCACUCGGUAGGAUUUGUGUAACUUAGGCGAGCACAGGGCUGCAGCUAAGCCCCCGAGUGAGAGGGUUGCUCUUCACUCGGUAGGAUUUUCACAACUUAGGCGAGUGCUUGGACUGCAGCUAAGCCCCCGAGCGAGAGGGUUGCUCUUCACUCGGUAGGAUUUUUAUAACUUAGGCGAGCACGAGGCUGCAGCUAAGCCUCCGAGUGGAAGGCUGGCUUACCACUCGGUAGGAUUUUGAUAACUUAGNNNNNNNNNNNNNNNNNNNNNNNNNNNNNNNNNNNNNNNNNNNNNNNNNNNNNNNNNNNNNNNNNNNNNNNNNNNNNNNNNNNNNNNNNNNNNNNNNNNNNNNNNNNNNNNNNNNNNNNNNNNNNNNNNNNNNNNNNNNNNNNNNNNNNNNNNNNNNNNNNNNNNNNNNNNNNNNNNNNNNNNNNNNNNNNNNNNNNNNNNNNNNNNNNNNNNNNNNNNNNNNNNNNNNNNNNNNNNNNNNNNNNNNNNNNNNNNNNNNNNNNNNNNNNNNNNNNNNNNNNNNNNNNNNNNNNNNNNNNNNNNNNNNNNNNNNNNNNNNNNNNNNNNNNNNNNNNNNNNNNNNNNNNNNNNNNNNNNNNNNNNNNNNNNNNNNNNNNNNNNNNNNNNNNNNNNNNNNNNNNNNNNNNNNNNNNNNNNNNNNNNNNNNNNNNNNNNNNNNNNNNNNNNNNNNNNNNNNNNNNNNNNNNNNNNNNNNNNNNNNNNNNNNNNNNNNNNNNNNNNNNNNNNNNNNNNNNNNNNNNNNNNNNNNNNNNNNNNNNNNNNNNNNNNNNNNNNNNNNNNNNNNNNNNNNNNNNNNNNNNNNNNNNNNNNNNNNNNNNNNNNNNNNNNNNNNNNNNNNNNNNNNNNNNNNNNNNNNNNNNNNNNNNNNNNNNNNNNNNNNNNNNNNNNNNNNNNNNNNNNNNNNNNNNNNNNNNNNNNNNNNNNNNNNNNNNNNNNNNNNNNNNNNNNNNNNNNNNNNNNNNNNNNNNNNNNNNNNNNNNNNNNNNNNNNNNNNNNNNNNNNNNNNNNNNNNNNNNNNNNNNNNNNNNNNNNNNNNNNNNNNNNNNNNNNNNNNNNNNNNNNNNNNNNNNNNNNNNNNNNNNNNNNNNNNNNNNNNNNNNNNNNNNNNNNNNNNNNNNNNNNNNNNNNNNNNNNNNNGCAGCUAAGCCUCCGAGUGAGAGGAUUGCUCUUCACUCGGCAGGAUUUUGAUAACUUAGGCGAGCACAAGGCUGCAGCUAAGCCUCCGAGUGGAAGGCUGGCUUACCACUCGGUAGGAUUUUGAUAACUUAGGCGAAACGGAUUCGCAGCUAAGCCUCCGAGUGGGAGUCUGGCUCACCACUCGGUAGGAUUUUUACAAACUUAGGCGAAACGGAUUCGCAACUAAGUCACCCACUGAGGGGAAUUUUAUUGGAAAAUAAAAAGUGACAGAUAGUGUGGAGGAACUAUGACACUAUUAUUUUGAGGUCCAUGAACUACAAAAGUACUUUAUUGCAACUCAUCCGAGUGAUAAAACUUAAGUGUAAAAUGGGCGGAGUAGCUCCGCGUUCCAAGCUCGGGGCUCGUCGAUAUUAUGCUCGACGUUGUAAAGACGGUACGCCCCGUUGUGGAGAACCUUGGUGACGAUGAAGGGGCCUUCCCAAGAAGGAGCAAGCUUGUGUGGUUUGUGUUGAUCCACUCGGAGAACCAAAUCCCCUUCCUGGAAGGCUCGACCUCUCACAUUUUGGGCGUGGAAACGGCGCAGAGCUUGUUGGUAGAUGGUCGAUCGGAUCAGAGCCAUCUCCCUUUCUUCCUCUAAAAGGUCGACUGCGUCCUGCCGCGCUUGUUCAGCUUCUGCUUCGUUGUAGAUUUCAACUCGAGGAGCAUUGUGGAGAAGAUCACUCGGCAAGACUGCUUCAGCUCCAUAGACCAAGAAGAAUGGAGUUCUUCCGGUCGACCGAUUAGGCGUGGUCCGCAGUCCCCAGAGUACAGAUGGGAGUUCGUCGACCCAAGCUCCAGCCGCGUGUUUGAGAUCACGCAUCAGUCGAGGCUUCAGUCCCUUGAGAAUCAGUCCAUUAGCUCGCUCUGCUUGUCCAUUCGACUGCGGAUGGGCGACUGAUGCGUAGUCGACCCGUGUGCCCUGGGAGUCGCAGAAAGCUCUGAAUUCCUCUGAGUCAAAGUUCGACCCAUUAUCCGUAAUGAUGCUGUGCGGGACUCCAUAUCUGAAUAUUAGUUCCCUGAUGAAGCUAACAGCAGUACCGGUGUCAAGGCUCUUGAUUGGUUUAGCCUCGAUCCACUUGGUGAACUUGUCGACUGCCACCAGUACAUGCGUGAAGCCACUUCGUCCUGUUCUCAAAGGACCGAUCAUGUCCAGCCCCCAAACUGCAAAAGGCCAGACGAGUGGGAUGGUCUUCAAAGCUGACGCAGGCUUGUGCGACAUAUUCGAGUAGAACUGACAUCCCUCGCACUUAUCUACUAUCUCUUUUGCCAUCUCAUUCGCCUUGGGCCAGUAAAAUCCGGCUCGGUAUGCUUUGGCCACGAUGGUCCGAGAGGACGCAUGAUGACCACAGGUUCCCGAGUGAAUAUCAUUGAGGAUGAGUCGACCUUCUUCUGGUGUUAUGCACUUCUGACCGACUCCAGUCGCGCUUUCUCUGUAUAAUUGUCCUUUGAUUACGGUAAAGGCCUUAGAUCGAUGGACGAUCUGUCGAGCCUCUUCUUCAUCCUCCGGAAGCUCUUUCCUCAAGAUAUAUGCGACAUACGGAAUCGUCCAGUCGGGAAUGACCACCAAAACCUCCAUGAUCAAGUCGACCACCGCUGGGACUUCAACUUCAGUCGGAUCUGUGGCGCUCUUGGGCUGCGGAGUUUCUUCGGUGAAAGGAUCCUCUUUGACUGACGGAGUGUGUAUAUGCUCCAAGAACACACCACUCGGAAUGGCUUCUCUCUUGGAACCUAUCUUUGCUAGAUCAUCAGCUGCUUGAUUUUUCAGUCGGGGUAUAUGAUGGAGCUCCAACCCCUCGAACUUCUUCUCCAGCUUCCUCACUGCACUGCAGUAUCCAGUCAUGGCUGGGCUUCUCACGUCCCACUCUUUCAUCACCUGAUUGACCACUAAAUCCGAGUCGCCAUAGACCAUUAGGCGACGGACGCCGAGUGAAAUGGCCAUGCGCAACCCAUAUAGGAGGGCCUCAUAUUCUGCCUCAUUGUUGGAGGAAUCAAAGUGAAUCUGGAGCACAUAUCUGAGCUUAUCUCCUCUGGGGGAAACCAGGACAACCCCAGCACCGGAACCAUUCAACAUUUUAGAGCCAUCGAAAAACAUGGUCCAAUGCUCCGAGUGAACUUCAGUCGGCUGCUAUUGUUCAAUCCACUCGGCGAGGAAAUCUGCUAUCGCCUGGGACUUAAUGGCUUUCUUUGCCUCAAACUUGAUAUCAAGGGGAAGAAGUUCAAUCGCCCAUUUGGCCACUCGACCAGUUGCAUCUCUGUUGUGCAAAAUCUCUGAUAGUGGAGCGUCGCUGACGACUGUGAUGGAAUGGUCAGAGAAAUAAUGAGCAACCUUCUUUGUGGUCAUGUAUAUUCCAUACACAAGCUUCUGAUAAUGAGGAUAUCUCUGCUUGGAUGGAGUCAAGACUUCAGACAAAUAAUACACUGGGCGCUGAACUUUGAGAGCUUUUCCUUCUUCUUCCCGCUCGACCGUUAGAACAGUACUGACGACUUGUCCUGUGGCUGCGAUGUAGAGCAACAGAGGCUCUUUGCUGAUUGGAGCAGCAAGCACCGGCUGGGUGGAGAGCAGAGCUUUUAGCUCGGCAAACGCUGCAUCAGCUUCUGGAGUCCACUCGAACUUGUCAGCCUUCUUCAUCAGUCGGUAAAGAGGCAGUGCCUUUUCACCGAGUCGUGAGAUGAAUCGACUUAAUGCGGCCAAGCAUCCAGUAAGCUUCUGGACAUCGUGCACUCGCACAGGGCGUUUCAUUCGGAGAAUAGUGCCAAUCUUCUUUGGGUUAGCGUCGAUUCCCCGCUCGGAAACGAGAAAACCGAGUAACUUGCCACCAGGAACUCCAAAUGUGCACUUUGAUGGAUUGAGCUUGAUAUCAUACCUUCUGAGGUUGGCAAAUGUUUCGGCGAGGUCAGCGAGCAGGUCGGAACCUUUUCGUGACUUGACAACAAUAUCAUCCAUAUAAGCUUCCACAUUCCGACUGAUUUGGGUGAGUAGACACUUCUGAAUCAUUCGCAUAAAUGUGGCUCCGGCAUUCUUGAGGCCGAAUGGCAUGGUGAUAUAGCAGAAGCACCCGAAUGGAGUGAUGAAAGCUGUUUUUACCUCAUCGGGCCCGUACAGACGGAUCUGGUGGUACCCGGAGUAAGCAUCUAAAAAAGACAACCUCUCGCAUCCCGCGGUCGAGUCAACAAUUUGAUCUAUGCGAGGGAGAGGAAAGUGAUCUUUCGGGCAGGCCCGGUUGAUGUGCUUGAAAUCAAUGCACAUUCGGAGCGACUUGUCCUUCUUAGGAACCAUGACGACAUUAGCGAGCCACUCGGAGUGGUAUAUCUCUCGGAUAAAUCCUGCCGCCAACAGUCGAGCCACUUCUUCACCGAUGGCCUUUCUCUUCUGGACGGCGGACCGCCGAAGAUGCUCUUUGACUGGUUUUGCAGACGAGUCGACUCUUAGGCGAUGCUCAGCCAGCCCCCUGGGAACACCUGGCAUGUCAGCGGGCUUCCAUGCAAAAAUGUCCCAGUUCUCACGGAGGAACUGGAUGAGCGCUUCUUCCUAUUUUGGGUCGAGUGUUGUGGAGAUGCGGGUCGGAGCUGCUUCGGGGUCGGUCGGGUGAAUGUGAACAGGCUUCGUCUCAUCGGACGACUGGAAUGGAGACUCUGUGGCGGGCUUCUUGGAUCGCAGCAAGUCACUCGGAUCUGCGUUUUGCUUGUAUUCUUCGAACUCGACCGCCGUCACUUGGGAAUCGGCAAUCUUGGAGCCCUUCUGAAAGCACUCCUCUGCCUUUUUCCUAUCACCGGUGACAGUGAUCACACCUUUGGGACCGGGCAUCUUCAAUUUGAGGUACACGUAACAUGGUCGAGCCAUGAACCGUGCAUAGGCUGGUCUCCCCAAAAUGGCAUGAUAUGCACUUUGAAAAUCCACGACCUCAAACGUCAACUUUUCUUUGCGAAAAUGCUUCGAGUCACCAAACACUACGUCCAAAGCUAUCUGGCCGAGUGACUCGGCCUUCUUCCCUGGUAUGACUCCAUGGAAGCUCAUGUUACUAGUGCUCAGUCGGGACAUCGGAAUGCCCAUACCUUUCAAUGUGUCUGCAUACAAUAAAUUCAGCCCACUUCCACCAUCCAUCAGCACCUUUGUCAGUCGAGUGCCUUCGACAACUGGAUCGACCACCAAAGCUUGCCUCCCGGGGGUGGCAAUAUGAGUCGGGUGAUCAGAUUGGUCGAAUGUGAUGGGUGUUUGAGACCACUUCAGAUAAUUUGCCUUUGCUGGGGCAACCAUGUUCACCUCUCGGUUAAUCACUUUCAGUCGACUUCUGCUUUCCACAUCUGCAAAGAUCAUCAGAGUGGAGUUGAUAUGCGGAUAUCCUCCCUCACUGUCCUCUUUGUCUUCGGCCUUGUCCGACUCCUUCUCCUUGUCCUUAGACUGUUUUCCCUGAAACUGCUGGAUCAGGAGUCGACAUUGGCGAGUGGUGUGCUUUGGGUAAAUGAUAUUCCCCUCUUCAUCUUUCUUCGUGUGAAUGUGACACGGCAUAUCCAUCACGUCGUUCCCUUCUUUAUCCUUUACCUUCUUGGGGUUCCAGGAUCCUUUUGGUUUCCCCUUAAACUUUCCUUGAAUCACGGCCAGAGCCUCUCCAGGAGCUGCCGGUUCAGCCUUCCGCUUCUGUUUCCGACUGGUGUUUCCUUUUUCCGACUGACUCGGCUUGUGCUUGCCGCUUCGGAGUCGGUCUUCUUCUUCGCCGUUGGCGUACUUGGUAGCAAUCUCCAUCAUCCGACUCAAGGUCAUGUCACCGGUUCGACCAAAUUUCAGACUCAGUUCUCUGUUCUUGACGCCGUCUUUGAAGGCGCAUACUGCCUGAUGAUCAGAGACAUUUUCCACAGUGUGGUGUAAAGUGAUCCACCUCUGAAUAUACUCUCUGAGAGUCUCAUUAGUUUUCUGCACGCAGACUUGCAACUCUGUCAAUCCCGCUGGUCGCUUGCAAGUCCCUUCAAACGUUCUGACGAACACUCGGGACAGAUCUUCCCAAGUGUAAAUGCUGCUAGGAGGUAAUUGAGUCAACCAUGCCCUGGCAGAACCUUCCAACAUGAGGGGCAAAUGCUUCAUGGCCACCUCGUCGUUCCCACCACCGAUCUGAACUGCCACUCGGUAGUCUUCAAGCCAAGUUUCAGGCUUAGACUCACCAGUGAACUUGCUGACUCCUGUUGCCAACCUGAAAUUGGGGGGGAUAACUGCGGCUCUGAUAGCUCUGCUGAAACAUUCAGGACCAGAAACAUGUACUCGACUGCUCGUGGGUACAUCUCUGUCGAGUGCGCCUCGAUGGGCUCUGUUCCGGUCGACCAACCCUUGCACGAUAAUGGACCGCGCGUCGAAGCCUGGCUCUCUGGGGUCAACUGGAACCCUACGCCCUGUACUGUACUGACGCCUAUCAUCUGGCUGCCGAGGAGCGUAAGACCCACCCCUCGGAGGGGAAUAGGGCACUCGACGCCUAUCAUCUCGGUCGAGUCUGUCGCCAUAUUGAUCUCGCCGAUUCUCACGCCCUUCGCGCCGCGGAGGCGAUCUGGGGCUGUGAGCCGACUGAACCGUAUUCACAGUGACAGAUCGACUGUGAAUUCUGUUGCGCGACUGAGACACGGCUGAAUUCUGAUCUCCUGCUGCCCGGAGCAGAUCCCUGAUCUGCAGCAAACCUCUGCCAGCUUCCGACUGCGAAGGCUGAAUGGACUCUGCUAUACGGGUCGCAGCUGCUAAAUUCUGAAUUGGGGUUCGAUAUACCUGAGUCGGCGGGAAGAGUUGACGUCGACUGGUGUCGGGAACUCGUUGCCGCGCGCGCUCGUCGAGUGCUCGUUGAAGGUUCUCCAGUCGAGUGCGCUCAGCCAAAUUGGCCAGACGCGCCUCUUCCAAGGCACGAGCCUCGGGGGUUUCUCCUGCGAUGGGAAUACGCAGGGGAUCCUCGUUCCUGCGGCGAAGCUCUUCUCUUUGCAGAGAGUCGAGUGGCUCGGGCUGGUACUCUUCGUAGUCUCGUGCAGGGUCGCCGCCGUCACCUGCUCCACCACCUCGGGCGAAGCCAGGAGGGCUGUGGGGCCCGUCGACCAUCAAGAUUUCCGCCGCUGGAUCACUGCUUCCGCACUCGGAUGCGGUCUCUCCGGAGCCAGUCGACUGAUCGAACAAGCCGUAGAGAGAUUCGUUGGGCUCGAUUGCCGCAACUUGUGUAGUGGCCGAUUGGCGAGCCACCGCGUGACUCACCCAUCGCUGAAGCCUCGACCGGCCUGAGCGCUUGCGCUGGCGGGAGACCGGGAGGGUGGACGAUGGAGGAGCCGACCGAUACUGGGUCGACGGUUGCCGCAGCAGAACGCCGCGGACACAUGCGCGAAAAUGCGUCGCACCGCGGACGGGGAGCGCGUCUACGUCGAGUGGAGCCUCCUGGAGCCAUGCGGAGUCGUCGGCGAUGAAGGUGAGAGUGCCGAGACGGAUCUCUUGACCCUUGACCAAAACUCCAGCAGACACCAUGAUGAGAGUACUCGGAAGAAUCGCAACUUCUCCACAAAAUCGCUAAAACACCUGCCCCACGGUGGGCGCCAACUGUCGUGGUUCUAAGCCUGACAGUAGAGUGGGGGGUAGGUAUGGAGAGGCAAGGUCCUAGCUAUGGAGAGGUUGUAAGCACCAAGGAUGUACGAGUUCAGGCCCUUCUCGGAAGAAGUAACAGCCCUACGUCUCGGAGCCCGGAGGCGGUCGAGUGGAUUAUGAAUGUAUGAAUUACAAGGUGCCGAACCCCUCUGCCUGUGGAGGAGGGUGGCUUAUAUAGAGUGCGCCAGGACCCUAGCCAGCCCACGCAGGAGAGGGUUUAAGGUGAGUUAAGUCUGGGGCGUUACUGGUAACGCCCCACAUAAAGUGCCUUUACUAUCAUAAAGUCUACUUGAUUACAGGCCGUUGCAGUGCAGAGUGCCUCUUGACCUCCUGGUGGUCGAGUGAGUCUUCGUGGUCGAGUCCUUCAGGCCAGUCGAGUGAAUCCUCGUUGGUCGACUGGAAGGCGACCUCUUCUAAGGAUGUCCUAGGGUAAGUUACUUGGAUCAGGUCCAUGAUCCUACCCUAGGUACACAACCCCAUCACUAACCAUGUCAUUAACCCCAACAAGACCCUAAAUGAUAUUUCUUACUACCCAAACAAUGCUAGUGACAAAAUACAUUGUCAAAGCACAAACAUUACCCUAAAUGCAUCAUAUACAUUGAUUUCACCACAACAAAACCAUGAACUAGUGAUUCCAACAAAAUGAGCAAAAUGCAUGAUUUGAACCAACCAAAUGAAGGGGGGAUGGGGGAGGUCCUUGGGUGAUGCAAAUGGCCUCGAUCCACCGGACAAAUCUCAAGCAAUGGAGGGAGAUCUAGUGGGUNNNNNNNNNNNNNNNNNNNNNNNNNNNNNNNNNNNNNNNNNNNNNNNNNNNNNNNNNNNNNNNNNNNNNNNNNNNNNNNNNNNNNNNNNNNNNNNNNNNNNNNNNNNGAGAGAGUGAGAGCUCGAAAGAAGAGUGGGGUAAAUGAGUGGGUGGGGGAGCAGCACAGCCCCCUCCUUCAAAACCUUAUCCAGGAACCUACCGCCGGAGAGUCUGGCGGUAGGUUGCAACAGCCUACCGCCAUAGACGGAGGCGGUAGGUCCUUUGCCACGUAUACACGGCCGUUAACGGCCAGACGGCGUCAGGGAACCUACCGCCAUGAGGGGCGGCGGUAGCCUGCACACAUCUACUGUCGGGGUCUCCGGCGGUAGCAAAAGGGUCAGAUCUCGAAAUUUUUCCAUAACGGGGUCAGAUCUCGAUUUUAGAUGUGAAAAGGGUCAAAACACGAAAUUUGGCCGGCCCUGCUCGAGGAAAACCUUCUUGCUCGCUUUCUAGAACGUACCUGCAAUGUGCUUGCGUUGUUGUCCUUGUGAGCUCUUUGACUAGGGUGACAUCUUUCGGUGUCCUCAGUCCUUCCUCUUCCGAUGGGGAGUUAAUUGCACAGAAGUAUCACAAUUGGGGCAUCACAUGUACUCCCUCCGUUCUGAUUUACUCGUCGUGGUUUUAGUCCGUUCUGAUUUACUCGUCGUGGUUUUAGUUUAAAUUACGAUUAAAUCGGUGAACUAAAACCACGACGAGUAAAUCGGAACGGAAGGAGUAGAUUGGUACCAUGAUUGUUAAUUUUUGAGUGUUGUUAGACUUGUAGUUAUACGUCAAUACGUAUUAUAACUUGUAUACAACUGUACUUGUAUCCAGAGUGGUUUCUCUCCAUAUAUAUAUAUAUUGUCGUGGCCGAACCUUGUGGUGUGGAAGCCCACAAUACCCCAAAACCUCUUGCGUAACAUGGUAUCAGAUACGAUCGUUAACUCGAUCCUGCCCUAAUCGCUACGCAGCCGCCGCCCGACCUAGUCGCUACGCCACCGCCGCCCAUGUCGUCUUCCGCUGCUGACUCCUUGGCGGCCGCCGCCGCUGCCCUCUCCGACGCGGCCACCCUUGCUACUCUCACCGGCGCAGCCACCUCGUCUGCUGCCGCCACGGAGCUCUCCACCCUGCCCUCGCUCGCUGAUCCCAUCGGAUCGCGUGCGCCCGUCCUUGGUCCGCCGGCUUCUGUGUCAUCGUUCCUGGCUACUCUCCUCCAAGGAGGACCUACGUCUACCCCGCUGAUGACCAGAUCGACGGGUGCUCUGUUUUCCAGGUCUACUUCUUCGGCCCCUCUCGGAUCGCCGGUGUUGCACCAUAACUAUGGCACGCUGGCGCCCUACGCACCGUCACCGUACACGCAUGAUCCUGCUGCCUACGGUGCUCCUUACGGCGCCCCCUACGGCAUGUCCUACGGCGCCCCCUACGGCACUCACUAUGGCACUGGACAUGGCGCCCCUCAUGGUGCUGGCUAUGGUGCUCCGUACGGCUCCGGCUACCAGGCGUUCCUGAGGCCUGCUCCUUAUGGCGCGUCGCUGUCUCCUCCACCACCGGUUCCUCCGGCUGCAAUGCAGUCCUCGCCCGAUGUCGCCUCUUCUGGUGCUACUACUGUACCACCCUACGACUUUGCCCUCGACGUCAUCAUAACUCCGCCAUUCUACUUCAGCAACCUUCUCCAGGUAAAACUGAAGAUGGACAACUAUUUGUUCUGGUGUGCGCAGAUUCUUCCCCUCCUUCGCAGUCAUUAUCUGGAGGGUUUUGUGGAUGGAACUUUGUCGUGUCCUUCGCCAGAUCAUCAUAUGUACCGACCAUGGAUUGCUCAAGAUCAAGCGAUUCUCUUGGCGAUACAGUCCUCUCUCACCGAGGGCGUUGCCGCCUUGGUACUUUUUGCUACUACAUCACAUGAGGUAUGGAGUGCGCUGGAGUCUAGCUUCUCCGCGCAGUCAUCAUCUCAGCAUAUGGCUCUUCGUACCCAGCUUAAUGAGACUCACAAGGAUCAUCACUCCGUCACCGUCUUCUUCAACAAAAUCAAGCGCCUUGCUGAUCAGCUUGCCUCCAUUGGCGAGCCCCUUCGUGACACGGAGUUUACUACAUAUAUUCUCCAAGGUCUCGAAGACCACGGCAACAGGUGUGAAUACCAGAUGUUUCUCACCAGAUUUGAAUUUGGAGGAAGGACUAGGUGCAGAUUUUUUAUUUCGAGUUUCAAGGUACGAACACUGUGGCUGAAACGUGUCAAAGUCAACGCAAAGACUCUGCCCACACUGCUCAGCUCAGAUGCUGACUGAUAACAUGCUCAAAAAAAUGAUGCUGAUUAAUGAUAGCUGUGUUUUCUGGUUAGUGAUGGCAGUGGACGUGCUGGUCUUUGCUUACCCAAGAAAAACUCGAUGUCGGCUCGCUCUUGCUAUCAACUUUUUUUUCUUUCUUUCUGUCAACUAAAAUUGCUUGUGAUUUAGUCCGUAUAUUGUAAUGGCAUCAGUCUAAUCGCCUGUGUGUGAGAUGGUAUUCUAGUCUCUUGUCCGGCGCCCAUUUUCAUCACGCAUUGCGACAGAAUUUUCUUGGUAAUAACUGUCGUGACAAUACAAUAUUUCCUUUGGAAGCAACGGAAAGUAAAUAAUUUGCAUUCACCAUUUCCUCCUGCAAAUUGAGCCGCCUCACGUGCGCAAGCGCGCAAUGCUGCAGCAUCCUCUGCACUCCGCAAGAACAUGAAUCCUAACAAGCAGCCGUCGAAAAACGAGACGCGCUAAGCUAAAGACGGCAUCCGUGGCGGCAUCGGCGGGCAUUCCGGCCGUGGCAGCCCCGGCAGCGGCGGCCCGAGCCCUCCGCGGCAGAGCGGGCACGUCCCGCGCUUCCGGAGCCAGCGGUCGACGUCGCAGCUCGCGUGGUAGAAGUGCCCGCAGGCCGGCACCACCCGCACCAGCUCGCCGGCCUCGCCCUCGCCGUACUCCGACAGGCAGAUGGCGCACCGCUCCUCCUCUCCCUCCUCCUUCUCCUUUUUCCUGGCCACCGCCUGCUCGUAUGUCAUGAGCGUGUCGUCGCCGAGAGCGGCCUCGACGUCGGCGUCGUGCACCGCGGCGCUCCCGGUGGCGCCGGCCGCGUCGUCGCAGGCUCCGCCGGAGGCGAUGACGGCCACGGCGACGAUGAUCACUGCCAUCAGGACCACCGCGGCGAUCUCCAGGUGGAGCACGAGUUCCGGGUCCAUGCUGCCAAUGCCAGCGAACUACCGCUCCAGUCCAGCCUUUGUAUAGGAGUGUUAGAGAUAUAUUUGGGUUACAUGUAUUUGGUAGUUUAGGAUUCCUACCUUAUCUCUAGGAGAGGCGUCUUGCCCUCCAAGUCUUGUACUCAAUAUAUACUCGCCCUCGAGGCUCGAUAAUACAUCCAUCAUAUUCCUCAACAAUCCCUCUCUCUCCCUUCUAACAUGGUAUCAGAGCAAGUCGAUCCUAAACCCUAGCCGCCGUCGCUUCCGCACCUGCGCGCCGCCCCCGGGGCGGUCGGCCUCCAUGACCGCCGCCGGGGGCCGCGCUGCCCGUACCUAGGGUUCGUCCGCCGGCCGUGUUGGUCGGCUGCCCUAGAGAGUCUUUUUCCCGAUCCUUUGAUCCGGAUUUUCUCUCUCUCGCCGGUCGCUUUGAUCGGCGUCUACUUUUUGGUUUUCCGGUCUAUGUGAUCCGGUUUGCGUCGCCCACCGCCGCGUCGACCUCGUGCGCCUCUACUCCAACAUCGGCGCGAUUGGCCAGCUUCUUCACCGACCCGGCGGCCUCGCGCGUCGUCCGCGCGUCGGCCCGCCGGUCGCCCCGACCGGCGGCCACGCGUCAUGUGGCGGCCCUUCACCGCCAUCGUUCGCGCGACGGCCCGCCCGUCGAUCUACGCCGGCCGUCACCGCCUGCUCCGACCGGGACUCCUGCAUCACCCCGACCCGGCGGCCUCGCGCCAUGCGGCGGCCAAUCAUAGCCGCCCUGCCGCCCGCCGCCGCCGGCUUCAUCUCGGACUCCGCCGCCACCACGCCUUCACCGAGCGGUGUCCCCGACCUCGCGCGCGAUCGGCUUGAUCACCCGCUCGCCGCCGCUAUCAGCCUCAUCUACGCCGCGCGACCGACCUGGCCCGUCGGUUACGCGCGCCUUCGCAGGUCCCGUGAAGAUCGUCCCCGAGUUCAGCGCGCCCCUCCAUCGAUCGAGCAACGGGCUGCCGCUGCGUCGCCCCGUCGGGCCGCAGCGCCGCCGCCCCGUGGUUCUCCUCCCGGCUGCACCGACCCGCGUCACCGCUGCGUCGCCCCUUCGGGCCGUAGUGCCGCGGCCCGCGGUCUACCGCCGCCCCGAGGUCGUCCACUCCAGGCCGUCCCCGUGGCUGCACCGACCCUCGCGCCGCCGCUGCGUCGCCCCGUCGGGCCGUAGCGAGCGUGGCACGCGGUCCACGCAGCCGUCUCGAGGCCGUCCACGCGGUUGCACCACCCCGCGCUCCGCUGCUGUGCCGCCCCUUCGGGCUAUAGCACCGCGGCCCGCGGUCCCUGCGACCGUCCCGACGUCUUCCGUCGUCACCCCGACCUGCCCGCCGCUGCCGCGUCGCCCCUUCGGGCCGUAGCGCCGCGGCCCGCGGUCCACCGCCGUCACCGCGUGUCGACCUCCCGUGGUAUGCGCCGCGCCGUCUCCCUUGGCGCGGGAACGCCACCGUCCACGCCGGUCUUCGUCAUGCUGUCAGGGUUCUUCGCCUACGUCGAGCACCGCCGCCGCACUCCUAACCUAGCCGCCGCCGCCGCCUUCAAGCCGCCGCUGCCGCUCUUCUUUGGCCGCCGCCGCCGCUACCUUUGUAGCCGCCGCCGCCGCCCGUCCACCCCCUUCGUCUUCGUCCAGCACCAGUUCGUCGCCAGCGUCACCGUCAUCUACCCCGACCGCUUCAUCUACUCCGACAACCGCGGGCGACAUUGGCCCCGCGCCGAUUGGCGCCGCAACCGUCGUCGAGUCCUUCUCUGCUGGCCUCUCCGACUUCUCCGACAUGGCGUACAGCUCGUGCAGGUCCCUCAUCUACGCAUGCCCGGUGCUGGCAACACCGAUGCGUGCCUUCAUCCACGACGUGUCCCCGGGCCUGGCAAGCCUGGUCGGCGCUUCGUCAACUUCGUCUUCGUCCGUCUACGCAUGCCCGGUGCUGGCAACACCGGUGCGUGCCUUCGUCCACUAUGUGUCCCCGGGCUUGGCAAACCCGUCGCGACGCGUCGUCAACAACAUCUUCUUCCCGGCGCACCACUACUUCGACACCCUUGCGCCCAUGCUAACUCGGCGCCCCCUUGCGCCCACGGCUCCACGGCGACUUCCUCGACACCGGCCACCCCGACUCGACAUCGACCACGGCAUUCUUCGCACGGCUACCUCGACCACGGCUACACCACCCUACGCUCUCGGCUACAUCGACAUCGGCACAAAGGGUUAUCAUCCGCUUGAGCAUCUCGUCGGCUUCCUCUACAGUCAACGCGUCCGCGACGCGACACCGUCCACGACGCUCCCGCUAGGACUGCGGGGGGAUGUCAGUCCGUCGGCUGCUAUUCUCUUCAGUCUGACCGUCCGCGUCGCUCCUGUUGUUCGCAACGCUACCGCUACGACUGCGGGGGGAUGUUAGAGAUAUAUUUGGGUUACAUGUAUUUGGUAGUUUAGGAUUCCUACCUUAUCUCUAGGAGAGGCGUCUUGCCCUCCAAGUCUUGUACUCAAUAUAUACUCGCCCUCGAGGCUCGAUAAUACAUCCAUCAUAUUCCUCAACAAUCCCUCUCUCUCCCUUCUAACAAGGAGCUCCGGUCCAGAGCCUUCUCGGCCAAGUCAGUACGUAGUGUCAAGGAAAGACAGGCGUUGAGCUUUGCCAGAAUGUUUCAGCUGAUUUCCUUUCUUCUUCCGGUGGACAAUUCCCUUGCGGCUGUCUUGUUUCACAACUCCGGUUUUGGACUUGAUUAGUUGUCUUCUUCUUCUCUCUUUUCUUUUGAAAAUGAUUCAAGAUGUGAUUAUUACCCUGUAACUUGUAUCCCUUUGCCUCUCUUAAUAAAAUGAAAAACGACGUCGCUGUCUUCCAUUUACAGCAGCCUCACUUGUUAUGACAACCAGCUAAAACUGUUUGUUCAUCCGUAGACUUUUGUAAUUUCUUAAAAUCCAAUCAUGUUUUUUAUUCAUCUUUUCUUUGCGGGAAACCAUGUUUUUUAUUCUUUCAACUAAAAGAAGUUAUCCACGUUAUGUUUUUUCCUUUGCGGUGCACAUUAGGUUACAUACAAAGAAUUUGUCAACAAAAAAAAGGUUACAUACGAAGAAUUGCUCUAAAAUUAAUCGGAUAGAUUGUAGAAAUUGAUUAAUCCUCAUAUAGAGUAGCGAAAAGGCAGAAAGGGCUAUAAGAUUAUUACCCUUGGUAUUCGUCAUAAUUUUCACCAUAUGAUUAGUUGAUGCGCUCGCUUGCGUGCCGACCACAUAGAAAAACAGAAGCACUAAGAUUGCAGUGACGCGCUUUAUUUAAAUAAACUGUAUGUAUAUAUGCUGCACUUGCUCGGACAGUAACGUUUUGGCUUAUACUACUCCACUGUGAAAAUUCGUGGCAGCUGACACCGUUUGUUGAGUAUAUUAUGUACGUGUAUAUUUGUGUGUAGGUCCCACCUCCUGUUAUCUUUGUAUAGUUGAGUUGUGGCCCACCUCUGUACUUAUAUAUACGUGUCUGAUGCACCGAUCAAUACAUCGAGAUUGCACAGCCCAUAACUUGCCCUUCUACAUGGUAUCUAUCGCAGCACGAUCCUAACCCUAAAGCCGCCGCCGCCGCCGCGCCUCUACGCGCCGCCGCCACCGCCGCUACUCCCGGCCGCCGCCACCUCUCUCCCGGUCGCCGUCGCCGCCGCUGGUCGCCGCCGCCUCUCCCCACCACCUCGCACGCCGCUGCCGCCGCCUCUUCCCGAGGCCGCCGNNNNNNNNNNNNNNNNNNNNNNNNNNNNNNNNNNNNNNNNNNNNNNNNNNNNNNNNNNNNNNNNNNNNNNNNNNNNNNNNNNNNNNNNNNNNNNNNNNNNNNNNNNNNNNNNNNNNNNNNNNNNNNNNNNNNNNNNNNNNNNNNNNNNNNNNNNNNNNNNNNNNNNNNNNNNNNNNNNNNNNNNNNNNNNNNNNNNNNNNNNNNNNNNNNNNNNNNNNNNNNNNNNNNNNNNNNNNNNNNNNNNNNNNNNNNNNNNNNNNNNNNNNNNNNNNNNNNNNNNNNNNNNNNNNNNNNNNNNNNNNNNNNNNNNNNNNNNNNNNNNNNNNNNNNNNGCUUGUCCCGCUUCCGCCCGCGCCCUCCCUCUAGCCGCCACCUCCCCUCCCACCCGCGCGGCACCCGCUCCACCCCACCUGCCGCCUGCGCCGUCGCACCUCCCAGUCGCGCCGCAACCCGCCCCGUAGGUCCCAAACCCUAACCCUCGCCAUGAGCUCCUCCUCGUUCACUGUCUCCAACCCGUUCGCCGGUCCCGAUGUCACCCUCGUCCGCGACCUCAACAUCCACGAGCGUGUUCCGGUCAAGCUUGAUCACACCACCGCGUCCUACUCCGCUUGGAAGCGGUAUUUUUCGCUUGUGUUCCAUGAGUACCUCCUGCACGGCCACGUGGACGGCACCAUGGACUCGGCACUCAUGAUCAACGACGAGGAAUGGAUGAUCCUCGACACCACCAUCAUCCGCUGGUUCUACCUCACCAUCUCCAGCGACCUCUUCCACACCGUGGUGGACGACGAGGACAACGCCUAUGCGGUCUGGACCAAGCUCAACGACCUCUUCACCGACAAUCGGCUGCAGUGCAAGGUCCUGCUCUAUGAUGAGUUUUACGGGUGCCAGCAACUUGACUCAUCCAUCGAUGAUUUUUGCAUGCGCCUCAAGAAGCUCGCCGAUGAGCUCCGCGAUCUUAGGGAAAAGAUCGGCGACGAGCUCCUCAUCAGCACCCUCUCCGGCGGCCUCAACGAGGACUUCGGGAACGCCACCUCCAACCUCACCCUCAUCCCGGAGCCCACCUUCGCCAAGGUGGUCGCGUACCUCAAGUUGGAGGAGUGCCGAAUGCGGGUGGCGCGGUCUCGCGCGACCCACACCGCCCUCGUCGCAGGCACCCGUGGGGGUUCGGCCCCGCCAACGCCGCGCCCGACGCCGUCCCAGCCGGCGGCGACCGCCUUCCCGCCAAGCUUCUCGCCCGCACCGGCCGCCCCCUUCCCGCCGCCCCAGCCGGCGGCCAACAGGGGGGGGGGGGGUUGUCGCGACAUCGUCGUGGCAGCCGCAAGCAGGGGGCGCAGGUGCUCAGGGAGGAGCGCCCCGCCCACCGCAGCAGGCUUCUCAGCCGGCCCCGUGGUACGCCGGCCAGAACCCAUGGACCGGCGUUGUCCACGCCUACUCCAUGCCGGUUCCUCGGGCCCCUGCCCCGGGCAUUCUCGGCACCCGGCCUCAGCCACACCAGGCGUACUACGCCGCACCGCAGCCCUACGCGGCGCCCUACGGUCAGCAGCCGCCGCCAGGUGGGCCGCCGCUGCUGCCCCUGACGGCCGCGCCGCCUCUCCCGUCGGCACCAUGGGACCCGGCCCUCCUGGCGGCUCUCCACAACACUCCUUCCCCGUCCAGCUACACCGGCGGUGGCGACUAGUACAUGGACAGCAGCGCCACCGCUCACAUGGCGGCGUACCCCGGUAACCUCCACACCGCCCAUCCUGUCCACACUUCCAACUGCAUCACCGUCGGUGACGGCUCUUCCCUUCCCAUCACCCAUUUUGGUCAUACAUAUUUUCCGUCUAACUCCACUCAUAUAUCCAUGUCUAAUAUUCUCGUUUCUCCUAAACUUAUUAAAAAUCUUGUUUCUGUUCGUUCUCUUACACGUGAAAAUCCGGUUACCGUUGAAUUUGACGAAUGUGGUUUUUCUGUUAAGGACGCUCGCACGCGGAUGGUGCUCCACCGAUGUGACAACCCCGACGAGCUCUACCCGGUUCACUCCGCCACCUCCACCACUUCCGCCGCCCCUGUCACUCUCGCCACCAGAGUGGAUCUUUGGCAUGCUCGCUUGGGUCAUCCUAAUCCUGCCACCCUUCGCCACAUACUUCAGAGUUUUUCUUUCACGUGUAAUAAGAACGAGGAUCACUCGUGUCAUGCAUGUCGCCUUGGCAAACAUGCUCGUCUUCCGUUUAGGGCUUCUUCUUUUGUUGCAUCGUACCCGUUUGAGUUAAUUCAUAGUGAUGUUUGGACAUCUCCUGUUGCCAGUAAUACGGGCUUUCUUUAUUAUCUUGCCAUACUUGACGAUUUUUCGCAUUAUAUGUGGACCUUCCCGUUGCGCCGCAAGUCGGAUGUCAUAUCCACUCUCGCCGCUUUCUAUUCUUAUGUUCUCACGCAGUUUGGUCGUUCCAUUCUUGCAUUGCAGACAGACAACGGGAAGGAGUUUGACAACCUCGCUGUUCGUAAUCUUCUCACCACACAUGGCAUGAUUUUUCGUCUCACUUGCCCGUACACCUCGCAGUAGAAUGUUCGUGCUGAGCGCAUCCUUCGCACUCUCAAUGACUGCGUUAGGACUCUUCUCUUUCAUGCCAAUGUGCCUCCGCGCUUUUGGCCUGACGCGCUCGCCACCGCUUCUCUCCUCAUCAACAUCCGCCCAUGUCGUACUCGCGGGAACUUUACACCUUAUCAUCUUCUCUUCGGUGCACCCCCCUCUUAUGAUGGGCUUCGCAUCUUCGGCUGCCUAUGCUACCCUAGCAUCGCCGCUAUUGCGCCUCAUAAGCUUGCACCCCGCUCCGUCACCUGCAUCUUUCUCGUCUACCCACCUAACACCAAGGGCUAUCGCUGCUAUGAUCCCGUCUCACAUCGUGUUUUCACCUCCCGACACGUUUACUUUGAUGAGAUGGUGUUUCCGUUUCAGCAGCAGGUACCCCUUGUCGUCUCGUCACCGUUGGCCACUGGCGGCCCUUCGACGACUUCGUCAGGUGGACAGUCCCAUCAGGCUUGUGGACCGCCUCCGGGCUUUGGCGGUCCUCGUGCCCUCACGCCGGCACCCGCCCCCUCGGCCUCCUCGACCGGCUCUGACGGUGCAGCCGGCGCCCUGCCUUCACCCGCCGCCCCGACUCAGGCGCCGCGGGAUCGGGAGCUGCAGGUUCGGCCGCCUCUUCUGCGGCCUCGAUGCCAGCCACCUCGCCGGCCCUGAUGCCGGCCCCCUCGCCGGCUCCGAUGCCGGCUACCUCGCCAGCCCUGACGCCGGCCCCGACGCCGGCCGUCUCGCCGGCUGCCUCGCGGGUGGCUUCGGCGGCGCCGCCCACCCCAGUCACCCGUGCUCGUACCGGCAUUCAUCGUUCGAGCCUUCGAUACUCGAGCGACGAGUACGUCCUUGCCUCCUCUGCCGCGGAGCCGUCGCCCAUUCCCGCAUCCGCUCGCGCCGUCCUCCGUGAUCCUCACUGGCUUGCGGCGAUGCAGGAAGAGUUCGAUGCUCUUCAACGGAACCGCACCUGGACCCUGGUUUCCCGGCCUCCUCGCGCCAACGUCAUCACCGGCAAGUGGGUCUUUCGCCAUAAGACCCACUCGGAUGGUACUCUCGAGCGCUACAAGGCUUGCUGGGUGGUCUGUGGUUUCCGCCAGCGCGCUGGAGUGGACUUCACUGAGACGUUUGCCCCGGUUGUCAAACCGGGCAUGAUCCGCACCGUUCUCCAGCUCGCCGUAUCCCGCGGCUGGCCUGUUCACCAGAUGGAUGUCUCCAACGCCUUUCUCCACGGCCAUCUUGAGGAGCAAGUGUAUUGUGAGCAACCCACCGGUUUUGUCGACGCCUCACUUCCCGGCCAUGUGUGUCUGCUGUCCCGCUCUCUAUAUGGGCUCAAGCAGGCACCCCGCGCCUGGUACCAGCGGAUUGCCGGGUUUCUUCAGACACUGGGCUUCAGCGUUACUCGCUCGAAUGCCUCAUUGUUUGUCUAUCGCCAUGGUGACACGACUGCAUAUUUGCUGCUUUACAUCGAUGACAUCAUCCUAACGGCCUCCUCCGCAUCUGUUCUUCAGUAGAUUACUCUCCGGCUAUGUGACGAGUUUGCUAUCAAGGACCUGGGUGCUCUACAUUAUUUCCUUGGCAUUGAGGUCGUUCGGUGUCCGGACGGUUUCUUCCUUCAUCAGCAGAAGUAUGCGCAUGAGCUUCUUGAGCGUGCUGGCAUGCUCAACUGUCACCCUGUUGCUACUCCUGUUGACACGAAGGCCAAGGUCUCUGCUCUUGAGGGCUCGCCUGCGUCGGAUGCUCCUUUCUACCGGUCUAUUGUCGGCGCUCUUCAGUAUUUGACUCUCACGAGACCGGAUCUUCAGUAUGAUGUUCAGCAGGUGUGUCUCCACAUGCACGCCCCUCGUGACUCUCAUUGGACUCUCGUGAAGCGGAUCCUUCAUUACAUCCGCGGCAUGAUGACACUUGGGUUGACACUUACGGCGUCUACUUCUCUGGAGAUGGUGGCCUACUCCGAUGCAGACUGGGCCGGCUGCCCCGAUACUCGUCGGUCCACCUCUGGCUACUGCGUCUACCUCGGUCCUUCACUCGUCUCGUGGUCGUCUAAGCGACAACCCACGGUUUCGUGCUCCAGCGCGGAGGCUGAGUACCGAGCUGUGGCCAACGCUGUUGCCGAGUGCACCUGGCUACGACAGUUACUUCAGGAGCUGCAUCACGACGUAUCCCAGGCUACGGUUGUCUACUGUGACAACGUUUCUGCGGUGUACCUCUCCGCCAACCUCGUUCAUCAUCGCCGGACUAAACACAUUGAGCUGGACAUUCACUUUGUGCGCGAGCAGGUGGCUCUUGGACGCAUUCGGGUUCUCCAUGUGCCGACUGCCCAACAGUUCGCCGAUGUGAUGACGAAGGGACUGCCGACUUCUACCUUCAAGGAGUUUCGUUUCAGUCUUUGCGUCACUGGCGCCGCUUCGACUGUGGGGGGUGUUGAAUAUAUUGUGUACGUGUAUAUUUGUGUGUAGAGCCCACCUCCUAUUUCCUUUGUAUAGUUGAGGUUGUGGCCCACCUCUGUACUUAUAUAUACGUGCCUGGUGCACCGAUCAAUACAUCGAGAUUGCACAGCCCAUAACUUGCCCUUCUACACUGUCAAAAUCGUGGAACCUUCCAAUUGUGUCGUGGGCUGGCCCCGCUCGAGGGAAGCCUUCUCGCUUGCUUCUAGAACAUCUAGUUCUUGUGUUGGUUUCCUUGUCAGCUCUUUGACUCGGGUGACAUCUCUCGGGUGUCCUCAGUCGUUCCUUCCUCUUCCGACUGGAAAGAACCCAUGCGACCUGCGUCCGCCAGCGUCUUGGACGUCUCUCAGCCAGUUAAAACUUAGAACACAUCAAAGUCAACUGAGGAACCCACUGGUCUGGUACUGGUAGGUACCCUCCCCUGCAAGUGUUGGUGGAUGAACACUUUUUUUGACCUGAAACUGUAGGGCUUAGGCCCCACAGCAAUUUUAUUACUCCCAAACAAAAAUGCAUAUGUGCAGUAAUUACAAGGUCAGGGAGACCUUAAAAGAGAAAAGGCAAGGUGAAAAAGCUAACCUCAAGGAGGCAAAAAAGAGAUCCAUCUAAUCAGAUCAUCUUUGAAUUUAGGUUUAAUCCUAUGAACUAAAAGAGAAACGUCCAAAAUAAAUGAAGCUCUCCACCUACGAAAAGAUGGUUUGAUAUUCCUGAAAACCCUGUCAUUUCUAACAUUCCAGAUAUUCCAGCAAGCUAGAAAAACAACUUCAGAGAAGAAAGGCCUUGCAAAAUCCCUUCUAGCUUGAUAAGCAAUGGCAGUCAUGUCAUCUCCAGCAGGCCAGCUGAUUUAAAGGUAGUUCCAGACCCUGCAACUAAAGUUACACUGGAAGAAAAGAUGAUCCAUGUCCUCCUUGGUGUGUGUGGGACACAACACACACAAAUUUGAGUCAGAAACAUUCCAGUGCCUUCUCUCUAGCAUAUCUUGUGUAUUCAGGCGAUCCAUGAUCAACAUCCAAGCAAAGAACUUGAUCCUCAAGGUGCAACAACUAGCCCAAAUCCAGGACAAUAUUGGGUUUGACACAAUAUGCUUAUGCAAGAAGGUAUAAUAUUUCUUGGCAGAGUAAUCCUUUCCAUCCUCUUUCCAAACCCAAACAUCAUUCAACUGGUGAUUAAGAUUUGAAUUUCCAAGCAAGGAUUGCAAUGACUGCAACUCACCAAAAGCUCUCUCAGAGAGUGGUAAAUGAAAUAAAGGAGUGAGCUCAGACAUCUCAAAAACCUCAGCAGUAGAAAUAAGAGGGUCAAUGACAAAGGAGAAUAGUCUUGCAAAUCUUUGAUCAAGUGGUACACUGGAAUCUCCCAAAGACCAAGAAUCAGACCAAAACAGAACUGUGUCACCCCUAUGAACAUGCACAGCACAGACCAUCCUGAACUUAUCCAUUAAAUUGCAAAUAUCCCUCCACCAGAAGGAACCACAAAUGGUUGUGGCAUGAGGGACUCUACCAUGAUAGUAAGUAUUCCAAAUCAAAUGCACCCAGGGAACAUCAACUUUGUUGUAGAACUUACUAACAUGUUUGAGGAGUAGGGCUUCAUUCUGCAGCCCCAAAUUCAAAAUACCCAGCCCACCUUUAUUCUUUGGUCUGCAGACCAAGCUCCAAGCAGCCAAAGACUGACCAGACUCCUGUCCAUACUUUCUCCAAAGGCACUGCCUCUGAAUUCUCUCCAGUUGCUCUAAAAUACCAGGAGGCAGGUCCAAACUGCAGAGGAAAAAAAUAGGAACAAAAGAGAGAGCAGAGAUCAAGUACUGUAGCCUUCCUCCAUGAGCAAGGAAGGAGGAGCUUACAGAAAGUUUCCUCUCCAUACUAUCCACCAAAGGCAUUAAGUCUAGAAUCUUGGGUUUGUUGAUUCCCACAGGUAGCCCAAGAUAGGUAAAAGGCAGAGAGCCAACCACACAACCAAAAACUGAAGCCAGCCUAGCUAUCUCCACUGGAUCAACAUUAAUAGGAAGCAUAGAAGACUUAUGAUAGUUGACAUGCAACCCAGUGGACUUGGAGAACAGAAGUAACAUCUUCUUCAAAGCAACCAAUUGAGGUUCCUCGGCAGGCAAUAUAAUUAGGGUGUCAUCAGCAUACUGAAUAAUGGGAUAGUCCUUGUCAUGACAGGGAAUGGGAAGCUCCAAAAGUCCCUUAUGAAACAUAUCAUUCACAACUAAUUGCAACAAAUCAGCAGCAAUUGCAAACAGGAGUGGAGAGAGAGGGUCACCCUGCCUAACACCUUUCUUGCAGGUAAAUUGCUUACCAGGUACUCCAUUAAGCAAAACAGAAGAAGUACCAGAAGCAAGGAACUGCUUAACCCAGGAAAUCCAUUUGUCAUUGAAACCUUUGUGUCUCAAAAUCUGAAAUAUAGCCUCAUGCUCAAUUGAAUCAAAAGCUUUCUCAAAGUCUAACUUAAGAAUAACAAUAGGCCUUUUAGACUGGUGGCAUUGAUGCAAGUAUUCAAGUGUCCAAGCCACACAGUCCUGAAUUGUUCUUGACUUGAUAAAACCAUAUUAGUUUUUGUGCAAACAUCUCAUGAUAUCCAACUGAAGCCUGUUUGCAACCAUCUUUGAAAGAAACUUAACCCCCAUACCAGUAAGAGAGAUAGGUCUAAAGUCACUGAUAGAUUCAGGAGACCUCUUCUUUGGUACCAGAGUGAUGUAUGAAUAGUUGAUAUUCUCAAGAUUAGCAGUCCCUUCAUGAAAAGCAGCAACCAAAGCAUAGAAGUCCUUGCUGAUUAUAUGCCAACACUUUUUGAAAAACAAGCCAUUAAAUCCAUCAGGGCCAGGUGACUUAUCAAUAGGCAUGUUCUUAACAGUGUUAUCCAUCUCCUCCUUGGAGAACACUUUAGUCAAGGAAUCCAAACCCUUCACCCUAUCCAAAAUAGAGGAGAGAUCAAAACACAUUUCAAUCCCAUGACUAGUGCCCAUUCUGUUCUUGAAAUUAAGCCAUAGAGCAGCAGCCAUUUGCUCAUGAUCAGACACCACAGAGCCAUCCUCCAGCCUUAAAGAAGCAAUGGAGUUAUGCCUAUAUCUUUCAGAAGCCAAGGCAUGGAAAAAUUUAGUGUUCUCCUCCCCCACUUUAAUGGAUCUAAUAGUACACCUUUUCCUCCAAUAUAGAUACUGUAGGUGUAGGAGAUGCUCCAGAUGCAGCUUAACAAGAUUUCUGAAGUUGAAUUCAUGCCUGAAUAGGGGCCUCAACUCCUCCAAACAAUCCAAAAUGAGAACACUUUGAUAAUGAACUUAACGGUUUUCCCGACUAUUUACAAAACGUGUAGAGAGACGAGUGGGAGGAGCAGCCAAGCCCCGAGGCCGAAUACGGCGGGGACGCCGGCGACGGCGAGGCCUCGGCCAGGAGUGACCCGGAACCAACGGCGACACAGGUGGAGGGGAGUCAAGAUUGACGGGUGAGGGUGGAGGGUCCGGGCUUGCCAGAGAAAAUCUGAUGCCAACGCGAGGAAGAAUUAAGAUGAAAAGAUGAGGUGUGGCAGUCUCCCUUAACUAUUGCAUGAAUGUUCCAACGCCACCUAAUUCGCUGCCUACCUGUGGUAAACGUAUCAGAGGUAUGAAAUGUUAUCAGUUGGACACAUUAUCACCUAAUCCCGAUUAUUUCAGCCGUUGGCGUGAUGACAAAUGAAAUUCGCACUAGAGACAGUAAAAUUCUUGCAGCAAAGAAAGAACGUCCCAUUUCACCAGUAGCAAGUGAAGGUGUGCAAUGCAUCUUCCCCUACUACUAGUACGUACGAAGCUCAAAGCAGCUGGAGCUGAUAAGAAGAAAGAAAAAAAUGAUCGGCUACGGUACGACCACUACGACGACAACGGCGCCGGCGCGGUCCGGCGGGCGCGGCGCGGCAGGCCAGAGCGCGCCCCGGNNNNNNNNNNNNNNNNNNNNNNNNNNNNNNNNNNNNNNNNNNNNNNNNNNNNNNNNNNNNNNNNNNNNNNNNNNNNNNNNNNNNNNNNNNNNNNNNNNNNNNNNNNNNNNNNNNNNNNNNNNNNNNNNNNNNNNNNNNNNNNNNNNNNNNNNNNNNNNNNNNNNNNNNNNNNNNNNNNNNNNNNNNNNNNNNNNNNNNNNNNNNNNNNNNNNNNNNNNNNNNNNNNNNNNNNNNNNNNNNNNNNNNNNNNNNNNNNNNNNNNNNNNNNNNNNNNNNNNNNNNNNNNNNNNNNNNNNNNNNNNNNNNNNNNNNNNNNNNNNNNNNNNNNNNNNNNNNNNNNNNNNNNNNNNNNNNNNNNNNNNNNNNNNNNNNNNNNNNNNNNNNNNNNNNNNNNNNNNNNNNNNNNNNNNNNNNNNNNNNNNNNNNNNNNNNNNNNNNNNNNNNNNNNNNNNNNNNNNNNNNNNNNNNNNNNNNNNNNNNNNNNCCAGCACGCACUCCACGUCCUCGGCCGCCGCCGCGGCGCCGACGUCGCCUCUGCAGGCGCCCGAGGCGGCGGCGGCGAGGGCGACGAUGAGCACCGCCAGGGCGACCACCGCCGCCACCUCGGGAUCGAACGUCAUGGCGGGGCUCAUCUCUUCCAUCUUCCUUCCUUCCUGGCCUGAUCGAUGGAACGAACGGUAGUGCGCGACACCAACCUUGUAGGAUUUCUAAGGACUUCCUAUUUUGGUAGGAUUUUUAGAGUUCCAGAAGUAUUCAAGAGUUACAGAUUGCUACAGACUGUUCUGUUAUUGACAGAUUCUGUUUUUCGUGUGUUGUUUGCUUAUUUUGAUGCAUCUAUGGCUAGUAUGUAGGGGUAUGAACUAUAGAGAAGUUGGAAUACAGUAGGUUUAACACCAAUAUAAACAAAGAAUGAGUUCAUUACAGUACCUUAUGUGGUGGUUUUUCUUUCUUGCACUAACGGAGCUUAUGAGAUUUCCUGUUGAGUUUUGUGUUGUGAAGUUUUCAAGUUUGGGUAAAGAUUUGAUGGACUAUGGAAUAAGGGGUGGCGAGAGCCUAAGCUUGGGUAUGCCCAUGGGACCCCAAGAUAUUCAAGGAUAACCAAAAGCCUAAGCUUGGGGAUGCCCCGGAAGUCAUCCCCUCUUUCGUCUUCAUCUAUCGGUAACUUUACUUGGAGCUAUAUUUUUAUUCGCUACAUGAUAUGUGUUUUGCUUGGAGCGUCUUGUAUGAUAUUACUCUUUGAUUUUUAGUUUACCACAAUCAUCCUUGUUGUACACACCUUUUUGGGAGAAACCCGCUUGAUUGGAAUUUAUUAGAGUACUAUAUGUGCUUCACUUAUAUCUUUUGAGCUAGAUAGUUUUUGCUCUAGUGCUUCACUUAUAUCUUUUAGAGCACAGCGGUGGCUUAAUUUUAAAGAAAUUGUUAAUCUCUCAUGCUUCACUUAUAUUAUUUUGAGAGUCUUUUAGAACAGCAUGGUAUUUGCUAUGGUUAUAAAAUUGGUCCUAGAAUGAUGGGCAUCGAAGUUGGGUAUAAUAAAAAAUAUCAUAGGAAGUGAAUUGGAUGCUAUGAUCAAUUUGAUACUUGAUAAUUCUUUUGAGAUAUGGAGGUGGUGAUAUUAGAGUCAUGAUAGUUGGGUGAUUAUGAAUUUAAAGAAUGCUUGUGUUGAAGUUGGCAAAUCCCGUAGCAUGCACGUAUGGUAAAAGUUAUGUAACAAAUUUGAAACAUGAGGUGUUCUUAGAUUGUGCAUCCUUAUGAGUGGCUGUCGGGGACGAGCGAUGGUCUUUUCCUACCAAUCUAUCCCCCUAGGAGCAUGUGCCUAGUGCUUGGUUUCUUAUGACUUGUAGAUUUUUGCAAUAAGUGUCGUGGUUCUAAGUCUGACAGUAGAAUGGGGGUAGGAAUGGAGAGGCAAGAUCCUAGCUAUGGAGUAGUUGUACACACGAGUGUUUUACGAGUUUAGGCCCUUCUCGGAGGAAGUAAUAGCCCUACGUCUCAGAGCCCGGAGGCGGUUGACUGGUUUUCUGUGUAUAUGUGUUACAGGGGUGCGAACCCUUUACACUGAGGAGGGGGUGGCUUAUAUAGAGUUCGCCAGACCCCUCCGGCCCUCGGUUAUGUAGGGUUUAAAGUACAUUAAGACAGGGGGUUACUGGUAACGCCCUCAUAAAGUGCCAUGAAUAUUAUUAAAGCUACUUAAUGACAGACCGUUGCGUGCUGAGUGACUUUAUGUCUCCUGGUCGUCGAGUGGUUAGCUUCAUGGUCGAGUGGCUAUCUUCAUCGUCGAGUGUCCUUGAGUUCGUCGAGUGAAGUCCCUCUUGGUCGACUGGAAGGUAGCUUCUUCUAAGGAUGUCCUUGGGUAGGGUAUCCUAGAUAGGUCCGUGACCCUACCCUAGGUACAUAUCUUCAUCAUUAGCCCCCGAAUGGAUCGAGGUUCGAGUGAGGAAGGGGUUGAUAAUUUUCUCCGACCCAUUUCCCGUGCUCUGAUUAUGUCGUAUCCUGGAUCAGCGAUUUUUCUUUUACGGUGUUGGCAUUAACUUUUCUUUCAGUCGCCUUGAUCCAUUCUUUUCUUCUGUCGAGUGAACUUUUGAACUUAGUGAACUUCCGAGCAACGGAUCACAGGAAAUCUAUCGUCUGACAGAUUGAUCUGCCGUUAGUGGAUUUUGUGGGAUCCUAAUUUUGGGAAGCGCGCGAAGCGGGGCGGACCGCGGUACUCGGAUGAGAUAAGGCGUGGACGCCUCGAUUUCCACGCCGCCUUUUUUGCCACGUAUCAUGCGUGCGCGACUGUUUCGGGAUGUGACAGGACCGCCCGGGCCUACUUGUCAGCCACUUGGAAGCGUCCUUAUAUAAAGCGUCGGGCGAGGGUUUUUGAACAGUGCCUUCUCAUUCUCCUCUCUGCCCUCUUUGCCCCCGCCCGCUGUGCCUGCUCUCGCCUCCGCCUAUCCACUCCUCGCGUGCUUCGCCGGCGACAAUGGUGAAGAAGAAGACGGCGGCCUUGGAGCGCGCGAAGAAGGCGACGGCGACGGGGAAAGCGAAGGGGAGAGUGUCCAGUUGGGGCGGAUCUUCAUCAAGGUCCCGCCUGCCAAAAGGUUGGGUCCAAGGGGAUUGGAUCCGUUCGACCAUCACCGAGACGGAUCUCAAUGACCUGGCGAACGAGGUCUGAUCCCCCACGGGUCAGCAAGGCUUCCGGGGACCGAGUGUCAACUGCAGCCGCAGGAGGGUGAGUGCAUUCUCCUUGCCACUCAUGUAGACCGUGGAUUCUCUCUGCCGCCGAGUGUUUUCUUUCGAGGGUUUCUGAACUUCUUUGGGGCGCAACUCCACCACUUCACUCCCAAUUCCAUUGCCUAUCUUGCUGCUUUCGUGUCCAUGUGCGAGAACUUCCUGGGUUGUCGACCACACUGGGGUCUCUUUAAGCACAUAUUCACCUAUCGCUCAUAGACGGUGAAAAAGGCGAGUCCGGAUGAUGAGAGGACUAAGGUUAUCCAGAUGUGCGGGGGUCUUGGGAUUCAGAUGAGGAAUAAGAGUACUUUCCCGGCCAUGACCCUUCCUGAGUCGGUCAGAGGGUGGCAGUCGACUUGGUUCUACUACCAAGACGAGUCGACGCCGGGGCAGUCGACUGGUCUCCCUCCGUUCUCCAUGGACCGAGUGGACAAACCCUCUUCUCUGAAGGUACUUCCUGAGGAGAAAGCUCAGGUAAAAAUGUUGAUGGAGCGCGUAGUCCAACUUGUUAGGGACGGAGUGACGGGUAUGGAUCUUCUGGAGGUCUUCCUUAGACGGCGCAUCCAACCGCUUCAGUACCGAGGCCACCCGAUGUAGCUGUACUGUGGUACCGAAGACACCACUCGUGUCCAUCCAGAAGCGGUCAACGACGCCACACUGGGGAGGUGGGUGGCCGCAAUCACAGGGAAUAAGGACAACCCUCGAGGGGCUAGGAGGAUCCCACCACUCGACUGUCCCUAUACACCGGACACGGUAUGACCACUUGUCUCCAAUUGUAUCUUGCUUUAUUCAUUCUGCUUCGCUGCGAAUUGGUCGAUUGAUCUUUGUUUUUGUUUUGUUGUCUGACAGGCCACCGCUGAGUUAUACUCGAUACCCAAUGGAGCGCAAACGCCGACUGAGGAGGAUGAAGGAAGUGGGGGCGAAAGCCCGGAGGAGUGGGAUUCGGAUGCUGACGACGAUGAUGAGGGUGAUGACUCAGGUGAGGAGGAAGAGGAGGAAGAGGAGGAGGAAGUUGUACCUCCUCGCUCGGAAAGACGCUCGAAGCUUGUCCAUGAUCUCGCGGUCGAGCGUGGUAAGGGGGUCACAACCGUCACGCAGUCGUCCAAGCGCCCUCAAACUACUUCUUCGGUGUCGACUGAGAAAGCUCCGAACCAAUCUCGAGUGGCGCCGUCGAAGUCGGCGAAGGUCUUGCCGAAGAUGAAGAUGGUGAUCCCCACUAUCUCAGGGUAAUGGUGUAGCUUGAGUUUGUCUGUUCCACAUGAGCUUAUUCUUGGUCGACUCAUGAGCUAAUCGACUGACUUCUGGAACCGCAGUGCUGCUACUUCUGAUACCUCGGGCAGAGCUGAAGAUCAGGAGAUGGAGGAUGUUGUUACUUCAAAACCUGGUAUGACUCUUGUAAUUCCGUCUUCAGUCGAUUGAUUUCUUGUCUCUGAUUUUGAUUCUUUUUCUGCAGCUUCAUCUAACGUUGUUAUCGACCUUCCCGACGACGAUGAGGAGGAACCACUGAGGCAGAGAAGGAACAAGAAAGCGUCUGCUGGCAAGGCGACUCAGGACGUGCCAGCACCCGAGACAUUGGCCGUGGAGGGAGACAAUGUCACUCGGCCCACCGUAACCUUUGCGGUGCCGUUGACGAGUGCUCGUCCUUCAUCGUCGAGUGCUGCUCAACCCUCGCUUUUCUCAACCUACCACGUCCCAGAAGACCAAGCUAGUGCUGCUAAAGAAGCAAUACGCCAAGCGGGGGUCAUGAUGGAGCAAGUGAAGGCAAUUCGAGAAGCCAGCCAGGCAGGCUAUGACGCCAGUUCAGCUCUUCAGAGUAAUGUUCAGUUCAGUCGGUCACUGCCUGUUCUGUUAGGAUAUGAUAUCUGAAAACUCUUCUUUCUGAAAUUCCUAGAGUUUGUCCUACACCCACUGGGUGUGUCGAUUGAAAUUCCGGGUUAGUGGGGGCACGCUGAGUGCACCCACUGGGUGUAGUCCCCAAGGCUAUGGUGGACUGCUGGCAGUCGACCAUAGUCUUUAUGUCUUAAGUUUUUUCCUCGGGGAUCAAACUAGGUCGAAUAGAUUCAUAGACCGGUGGGGGCACGCUGAGUGCACCCACUGGGUGUAGUCCCCGAGACUGUGGUCGACUGCUGGCAGUCGACUAUAGUCUGAAGAACACCUCCCGUUUUUUUGUUUUUUUUGUUGGUCGACUGGUCGACUCUAACUGAUGAAACUAGUGGGGGCACGCUGAGUGCACCCACUGGGUGUAGUCCCCGAGACUGUGGUCGAAUGUUUGUAUUCGGCCAUAGUCUUAGAAACGCUAUGAUUUUUCUUUAGUCACUCGGAAGUGAAUUGUCUUUGACAUCUGUCGAUUGGUUCUUCAUAGAAAUCCUGCGACCUUGCGGCUCGUUAUACUGAGUUGGAGAACAAACACAUCCAGCUCGAGCUUGAUCUGAAACUGACCCAAGAGAACCUAACGAAGGUGAAGGAGGAAGCUAAAGGUAUGUUUGGUGAGGCCUCCGACGACUGCCUUUGCCUCUCGUUUGUUUCAGAGUCUGAUCUCACUGUAACUUUGCAGAAAAAGUGAGGGAUGCCCUGAAGAAAAAAGACCUUGACUUGGCUGAGAUGCAGAAAGCGGCUUUAAAGAAGACCAAGCUCGCAGAUGAGAAGCUGGCUUCAGUCACCAAGCUUGAAGAAGAAAACACCAAUCUGAAAGCUGCUCUGGAUGCUUCCAACAAGGAGGUCAGUCGACUGAAAAGUGACAAGAUUGCCCUGAACGACAAGGCCAGUGAGUUGCUGGGAAAGAAGAACGAUCUGGAGGCUUAUCUGGGUGGACUCGCCAAGAAGCUAUUCCUCAUGCUUGAAGGUAAUCUUUUGUAUCAAACAGACAUUUUAACUGUGAUCUUCAACUGUUGUCUUGACUCGGUGGUUGUGCUUGCAGAAUUUUGCCAGAACUUUGAAGAGGAGACUGGUCGACUGGAAAUAAACCUGGAUCCCAUCAACUCUCCCGUGAAAGAUGAAGUCGCCAUGAAUGUGCUCCGGCUUGAAUCUCGCAUCGUUGCUGUCGUCGACUAUCUCGCAAGGCUGAAGGUCGCAACUUCUCGCAUCGAUGCAACACUCUGGCCAAGAGAGAUGCUCCAGAACGACCUCGAGUCUCUGGUGACUCGACUGAACGAGGUCCCAAGUCGAGUGCAGGAGUGGAAGAAGUCUUCUGCCAGGUGUGGCGCGGAUGUUGCUCUGUCUCUGGUUCGCGUUCACUGCAAGGAUGCACGAGAGGACAAGCUGGUGGCCCUUAGGGUGGCCAACACCAAGAAGCAUGAUUUCCGAUCUUUCAUGGAGACCUUCGUCGCCGCUGCCACUCGGAUUGCAGAUGGAAUCGACCUGGAUGAGUUUGUUGCACCUUCUAGCCCUCCACAGGAGGGGUAAAAAACUUCUGAGCUUGAUACUUUAAAUUUGCCUCGGUAUGUCGAGUGAGUUUUGUAACCGACAAACCUUAACAGGCUUAGCGCCUGAGCACUUUCUGUUCCGUUAGGUAUUAUCCGAACUUGGAUUCGACGUUGGAUAUGUUUGCAUUUGGUUUGAGGUGUCUUUUGCAGGCUAACGCGGAGUGCUCAUUGCAAUCGACUUGUUCCCCGAUAUACUUAGGCAAGCACUGGGCUGCAGCUAAGCCCCUGAGUGGGAGGUUUGCUCUCCACUCGGUGGGAUUUUCAAAAACUUAGGCGAGCACUGGGCUGCAGCUAAGCCCCCGAGUGGGAGGUUUGCUCUCCACUCGGUGGGAUUUUCAAAAACUUAGGCGAGCACUGGGCUGUAGCUAAGCCCCGAGUGGGAGGUUUGCUCUCCACUCGGUGGGAAUUUCAAAAACUUAGGCGAGCACUGGGCUGCAGCUAAGCCUCCGAGUGGGAGGUUUGCUCUCCACUCGGUAGGAUUUUCAAAAACUUAGGCGAGCACUGGGCUGCAGCUAAGCCUCCGAGUUGGAGGUUUGCUCUCCACUCGGUAGGAUUUUCAAAAACUUAGGCGAGCACUGGGCUGCAGCUAAGCCCCCGAGUGGGAGGUUUGCUCUUCACUCGGUAGGAUUUUCAAGGCGUACCUCUGGAGAAGGAAGUAGCAGUCGACCUGCACCUCGUCUUCCUUGCAGAGCGCACGUUGUAUUUGUGGCGUAGCUCGGAAGGAGAGAGUAGCAGUCGACCUGCACCUCGUCCUCCUUGCAAAGCGCAUGUUGUAUUUGUGGCAUAGCUCGGAAGGAGAGAGUAGCAGUCGACCUGCACCUCGUCCUCCUUGCAGAGUGCAUGUUGUAUUUGUGGCGUAGCUCGGAAGGAGAGGGUAGCAGUCGACAUGCACCUCGUCUCCCUUGCAGAGCUCACGUUGUAUUUGAACUUAGGCGAGCGUGAUGCUGCAGCUAAGCCUCCGAAUGGAAGGCUGGCUUACCACUCGGUAGGAUUUGGUUUAACUUAGGCGAGUACUUGGACUGCAGCUAAGCCUCCGAGUGGAAGGCUGGCUUACCACUCGGUAGGAUUUGGUUUAACUUAGGCGAGUACUUGGACUGCAGCUAAGCCUCCGAGUGGAAGGCUGGCUUACCACUCGGUAGGAUUUUGUUUAACUUAGGCGAGUGCUUGGACUGCAGCUAAGCCUCCGAGUGGAAGGCUGUCUUACCACUCGGUAGGAUUUUGUUUAACUUAGGCGAAAUGGAUUUCGUAGCUAAGCCUUCGAGUGGGAGGCUGGCUCAUCACUCGGUUAGGAUUUUUUUAUAGACUUAGGCGAAUCAGAUUCGCAGCCAAGCCACCCACUGGGGGAUUGCUUUAUGUGGACAAAAGUAAUAACAAUUACUGGGAAAAUUAUAAAGCUCUUGUCUUUGAUAAAUAAACUACAGAAGUACUUUUAUUACAACUCAUCCGAGUGAAUACUCAAGUGUAAAAGGGGCGGAGAAGCUCCGUGUUCCAAGCUCGGGGCUCGUCGAUCUGAUGCUUGACAUUGCAGAGACGGUAUGCUCCAUUGUGGAGAACCUUGGUGACGAUGAAGGGACCUUCCCAAGAAGGAGCAAGCUUGUGUGGUUUCUGCUGAUCCACUCGGAGAACCAAAUCUCCUUCCUGGAAGGCUCGACUCUUCACAUUUUUGGCGUGGAAGCGACGCAAGUCUUGUUGAUAAAUGGUCGAUCGGAUUAGGGACAUCUCCCUUUCUUCCUCUAAAAGUCGACUGCAUCCUGCCGUGCUUGUUCUGCUUCAGCCUCGGUGUAGAGCUCGACCCGAGGAGCAUUGUCGAGAAGGUCACUCGGCAAGACCGCUUCAGCUCCGUAGAACAAGAAGAACGGAGUUCUUCCAGUCGACCGGUUGGGCGUCGUCCUUAACCCCCAAAGUACCGAAGGAAGUUCGUCGACCCAUGCACUAGCCGCAUGCUUGAGGUCACGCAUCAAACGGGGUUUCAACACUUUGAGAAUCAGGCCGUUGGCUCGUUCUGCCUAUCCAUUCGACUGCGGAUGGGCGACUGAAGCAUAGUUGACUCGUGUGCCUUGAGACAUGCAGAAAGCUCUGAAUUCUUCGGAAUCGAAGUUUGACCCAUUGUCAGUGAUGAUGCUGUGCAGGACUCCAUAUCUGAAUAUUAAUUCUCUGAUAAAGCUGACAGCAGUACCGGCAUCGAGGUUCUCGAUGGGUUUGGCCUCGAUCCACUUGGUGAACUUGUCGACUGCUACCAGCACAUGGGUGAAACCGCUUCUGCCUGUUCUCAAAGGGCCGACCAUAUCCAACCCCCAUACUGCAAAGGGCCAAACGAGUGGUAUGGUUUUUAAAGCUGAGGCGGGCUUGUGUGACAUAUUGGAGUAAAAUUGACAUCCCUCGCACUUGUCGACUAUCUCCUUUGCCAUUUCAUUCGCUCUUGGCCAAUAAAAUCCGGCUCGGUAUGCUUUGGUCACAAUGGUCCGGGAAGACGCAUGAUGGCUACAGGUCCCCGAGUGGAUGUCAUCAAGGAUUAUUCGACCUUCGUCUGGCGUUAUGCAUUUCUGACCAACUCCAGUCGUGCUUUCUCUGUAUAGCUGCCCCCUUAUCACAGUAAAGGCUUUAGAUCGGCGGACGAUCUGUCGAGCCUCUUCUUCGUCCUCCGGGAGCUCUUUCCUCAAGAUAUACGCGAUAUACGGUACUGUCCAAUCGGGAGUGACCACCAAAGCUUCCAUGACCAGGUCGACCACCGCUGGAACUUCAACCUCAGUUGGAUCCGUAACACUCUUAGGUUGCGGGCUUCGUCGGUAAAAGGAUCUUCUAUGACUGAUGGAGUAUGGAUAUGCUCCAAGAACACAUCACUGGGGAUGGCUUCUCUCUUGGAUCCUAUCUUCGCCAAAUCAUCAGCCGCUUGAUUUUUCAGUCGGGGUAUAUGGUGGAGCUCUAACCCUUCGAAUUUCUUUUCGAGCUUCCUCACUGCAUUGUAGUAUCCAGUCAUGGCUGGGCUUCUAACGUCCCACUCCUUCAUCACCUGAUUGACCACCAAAUCUGAGUCGCCAUAAACCAUAAGGCGACGAACGCCGAGUGAAAUGGCCAUGCGCAACCCAUACAAAAGUGCUUCAUAUUCUGCUUCAUUGUUGGAGGAAUCAAAGUGGAUCUGGAGCACAUAUCUUAGCUUAUCUCCUCGGGGGGAAACCAAAACUACCCCAGCACCAGAACCAUUUAACAUCUUAGAGCCAUCAAAGAACAUGGUCCAAUGCUCCGAGUGAACUUGAGUCGGCUGCUGUUGUUUGAUCCACUCGGCAAGGAAAUCUGCUAUAGCCUGGGACUUAAUGGAUUUCUUUGCCUCAAAUUUGAUAUCAAGGGGAAGGAGUUCAAUUGCCCAUUUAGCCACUUGACCAGUUGCGUCUCUGUUGUGCAGAAUCUCUGACAAUGGUGCGUCGCUGACGACCGUAAUGUCAUGAUCAGAGAAAUAAUGAGCAACCUUCUUCAUGGUCAUGUAGAUCCCAUAUAUGAGCUUCUGAUAAUGAGGAUAUCUUUGCUUCGAUGGAGUCAAAACUUCAGAGAGAUAAUACACUGGGCGCUGAACUUUGAAGGUUUUACCUUCCUCUUCCCGCUCGACCGUAAGUACUGAACCGACGACCUGUCCUGUGGCUGCAAUGUAAAGCAACAGAGGCUCUUUGCUGAUUGGAGCAGCAAGCACUGGCUGGGUGGAGAGCAGAGCUUUUAGCUCGGCAAACGCUGCAUCAGCUUCUGGAGUCCACUCGAACUUGUCUGCCUUCUUCAUCAGUCAGUAAAGAGGCAACGCCUUUUCACCGAGGCGAGAGAUGAAUCGACAUAACGCGCCCAAGCAUCCAGUAAGCUUCUGGACAUCGUGCACACGCACAGGGCGUUUCAUUCGGAGUAUGGUGCCAACUUUUUCUGGGUUAGCAUCGAUUCCUCGUUCUGAAAAGAGAAAACCGAGUAACUUUUCGCCAGGUACUCCAAAUGUGCACUUUGAUGGAUUGAGCUUGAUAUCAUAUCUCCUGAGAUUGGCAAAUGUUUCGGCUAGGUCAGUCAACAGGUCGGAACCCUUUCGUGACUUAACCACGAUAUCAUCCAUGUACGCUUCCACAUUCCGACUGAUUUGAGUGAGUAAACACUUUUGAAUCCUUCUCAUGAACGUGGCUCCGGCAUUCUUGAGACCGAAUGGCAUGGUGAUAUAGCAGAAGCACGCGAAUGGAGUGAUGAAAGCUAUUUUGAUUUCGUCAGGUCCAUACAGACGGAUCUGAUGAUACCCGGAAUAGGCGUCUAAAAAAGACAAUCUCUCGCAUCCCGCAGUCGAGUCGACAAUUUGGUCGAUGCGAGGGAGAGGAAAAUGAUCUUUUGGGCAGGCCCGAUUGAUAUGUUUGAAAUCAAUGCACAUGCGGAGUGAGUUGUCCUUCUUGGGGACCAUGACGACAUUGGUGAGCCACUCGGAGUGGUAUAUCUCUCGGAUAAACUCUGCUGCAAGGAGUCGAGCCACCUCCUCGCCAAUGGCUUUUUUCUUCUGAACGGUGGACUGUCGAAGAUGUUCUUUAACAGGUUUUGCUUUUGAGUCGACUCUAAGGCCAUGCUCAGCCAGCCCCCUGGGAACACCCGGCAUGUCAGCAGGCUUCCAUGCAAAGAUGUCCCAGUUCUCACGGAGGAACUGAAUGAGCGCUUCUUCCUAUUUAGAGUCGAGUGUUGUGGAAAUAUGGGUCGGAGCUGCAUUGGGGUCAGUCGGGUGGAUAUGAACUGGCUUCGUCUCUCCUGAUGACUGGAACGCUGACUCUGUGGCGGGCUUCUUGGCCCGCAGCAAAUCACUCGGAUCUGCAUUUUUCUUGUAUUCUUCUAGCUCUACCACUGUUAUCUGGGCAUCCGCAAUCUUCGAGCCUUUCUGGAAACACUCUUAUGCUUUCUUCCGGCUGCCAGUGAUAGUGAUCACGCCUUUGGGGCCGGGCAUAUUUAAUUUGAGGUACACAUAACAUGGUCGAGCCAUGAAGCGGGCAUAGGCUGGUCUUGCCAAAAUAGUGUGGUAAGCGCUCUGGAAAUCCACGACUUCAAAUGUCAGCUUCUCUUUGCGGAAAUGCUUCGAGUCGCCGAACACUACCUCCAGAGCUAUUUGACUGAGUGCUCAGCCUUCUUUCCAGGAAUGACUCCGUGAAAACUCAUGUUGCUGGAGCUGAGCCUGGACAUCGGAAUGCCCAUUCCCUUGAGCGUCUCUGCAUACAGUAUAUUCAACCCACUGCCGCCAUCCAUCAAUACCUUCGUCAGUCGAGUGCCUUCGACGACUGGGUCGACCACCAGCGCUUGCCUCCCAGGGGUGGAAAUGUGAGUGGGGUGAUCGGAUUGGUCGAACGUAAUGGGAGUUUGCGACCAUUUCAGAUAGCUUGGUGUCGCCGGGGCGACCAUAUUUACCUCUCGGUUGAUCACUUUCAGUCGACUUUUGCUCUCUACAUCAGCAAAAAUCAUCAGGGUGGAAUUGACAUGAGGGUACCCUCCAUCACUGUCCUCCUUGUCCUCGGCCUUGUCCGACUCCUUCUCUUUGUCCUUGGGUUGUUUUCCUUGAAACUGCUGGAUUAAGAGUCGGCACUGGCGAGUGGUGUGUUUCGUGUAAAUGAAGUUACCCUCUUCGUCUUUCUUCGUGUGGAUGUGACAUGGUAGAUCCAUCACGUCAUUUCCUUCUUUAUCCUUUACCUUCUUGGGGUUCCAAGAUCCUUUGGGCUUCCCUUUGAAUUUGCCCUGAGUCACGGCCAGAGCCUCUCCAGGAGCAGCUGGCUCGGCCUUCCGCUUCUGCUUCCGAAUGGAGUUUCCUUUUUCCGAUUGACUCGGCUUAUAUUUGCCACUCCGGAGCCUGUCCUCUUCUUCACCGUUAGCGUAUUUGGUGGCAAUCUCCAUCAUUCGACUCAGGGUCAUAUCUCCGGUUCGACCAAACUUCAGGCUCAACUCUUUGUUCUUGACACCAUCCUUGAAGGCGCACACCGCUUGAUGGUCCGACACAUUCUCCACGGUAUGAUGCAAAGUGAUCCAUCUCUGGAUGUAAUCUCUCAAUGUUUCAAUCGACUUUUGUACGCGGACUUGCAGCUCCGUCAAUCCGGCCGGUCGCUUGCAAGUUCCCUCGAACGUCCUGACGAACACUCGGGAAAGAUCUUCCCAGGUGUAAAUGCUGCUAGGAGCUAACUGAUUCAACCACGCCCUGGCCGAACCCUCUAGCAUGAGUGCCAAAUGCUUCAUGGCCACCUCAUCAUUACCACCACCAAUAUGUACAGCCACUCGGUAGUAUUCAAGCCAAGUUUCAGGCUUGGACUCUCCGAUGAACUUACUUACCCCAGUCGCCAACCUGAAGUUGGGGGGUAUCACUGCGGCUCUGAUGGCUCUGCUAAGGCAUUCUGGACCUGAAACAUGGACUCGGCUGCUGGUGGGCACAUCUCUGUCAUGGCCACCUCUAUGAGCUCUGUUCCGAUCGACCAGAUCCUGCACGAUGAUGGAUGUCGCGUCAAAGCCUGGUUCUCUGGGGUUGACCAGAGCUCUCUGCCCAACACUAAGCUGGCGCCUGUCAUCUUGCUGCCAAUGGGCGUUAGACCCACUUCUCGGGGGAGGAGUGGGCACUCGACGUCUAUCAUCACGAUCAAAUCGGUCAUCAUAGUGGUCCCGCCGGCCUUCACGUCCCACGUGCCUCGGAGGUGACCUUGGGCUGUGAGCCGACUGAACAGUAUUCGCAGCGACGGAUCGAUUGUGAAUCAUGUUGCGCGACUGUGACACAACUGAAUUCUGAUCUCCUGCCGCCCGGAGCAAAUCCCUGAUCUGCAUCAAGCCUCUUCCAGCCUCCGACUGGGAGGGAUGAAUUGACUCCGCUAUACGGGCUACAGCUGCCAAAUUCUGAAUCGGGGUUCGAUAUACCUGAGUCGGUUGCGGAAAGAGCUGACGUCGGCUGGAGUCAGGUACUCGUUGACGCGCACGCUCGUCGAGUGCUCGCUGGAGGUUCUCCAGUUGAGUUCAUUCAGCCAAGUUGGCCAAACGCGCCUCUUCCAAAGCAUGAGCCUCAGGAGUUUCUCCUGCGAUGGGAGUAUGCAGGGUAUCCAUGUUCCGGCGGCGAAGAUCUUCUCUUUGCUGAGAAGUGAGUGGCUCGGGCUGAUAUUCUUCGUGGGCCCGAGCGGGAUCACCUCCAUCGUCCAUCCCGUCGGCGCGGGGGAAACCGGGAGGGCUACGAGGCCCGUUGACCAUCAGGACCUCCGCCGCUGGAUCACUGCUAUCGCACUCGGAUGCAGUCUCUACGGAGCCAGUCGACAGAUCAAACAGGCUAUAGAGAGAUUCGUCGGGCUCAAUUGUCGUGACUUGGGUGGUGGCCGAUUGGCGAGCCACUGCAUGUCUCACCCACCGCUGAAGCCUCGACCGACCAGAGCGCUUGCGCUGGCGGGAGACAGGGAGGGAGGAUGACACAGGACUCGACUGGUAUGGGGUCGACGGCUGCCGCAGCAGGACGCCGCGGACACACGCCCGAGAGUGUGUCGCCCCGCGGACGGGGAGCGCGUCGAUGUCGAGUGGUGCCUCCUGGAGCCAAGCGGAGUCGUCGGCGAUGAAAGCGAGCGCACCGAGACGGAUCUCGCGGCCCUCGACCAGAGCUCCGCCAGAAACCAUGAUGAAGGCAAUCAGACAAAUUGCAACUUCUCCAAAAAGUCGCUAAGACACCUGCCCCACGGUGGGCGCCAACUGUCGUGGUUCUAAGUCUGACAGUAGAAUGGGGGGUAGGAAUGGAGAGGCAAGAUCCUAGCUAUGGAGUAGUUGUACACACGAGUGUUUUACAAGUUCAGGCCCUUCUCAGAGGAAGUAAUAGCCCUACGUCUCAGAGCCCAGAGGCGGUCGACUAGUUUUUUGUGUAUAUGAGUUACAGGGGUGCGAACCCUUUACACUGAGGAGGGGGUUGGCUUAUAUAGAGUUCGCCAGACCCCUCCGGCCCUCAGUUAUGUAGGGUUUAAAGUACAUUAAGACAGGGGGUUAUUGGUAAUGCCCUCAUAAAGUGCCAUGAAGAUUAUUAAAGCUACUUAAUGACAGACCGUUGCAUGCUGAGUGACUUUAGGUCUCCUGGUCGUCGAGUGGUUAGCUUCAUGGUCGAGUGGCUAUCUUCAUCAUCGAGUGUCCUUGAGUUUGUCGAGUGAAGUCCCUCUUGGUCGACUGGAAGGUAGCUUCUUCUAAGGAUGUCCUUGGGUAGGGUAUCCUAGAUAGGUCCAUGACCCUACCCUAGGUACAUGUCUUCAUCAAUAAGUAUAUGAGUUCUUUUGACUAAUGUUGAGUCCAUGGAUUACACGCACUCUCACCCUUCCAUCAUUACUAGCCUCUUCGGUACCGUGCAUUGCCCUUUCUCACCUUGAGAGUUGGUGCAAACUUCGUCGGUGCAUCCAAACCCCGUGAUACGAUAUGCUCUAUCACACAUAAACCUCCUUAUAUCUUCCUCAAAACAGCCACCAUACCUACCUAUUAUGGCAUUUCCGUAGCCAUUCCGAGAUAUACUUCCAUGCAACUUUCCACCAUUCCGUUCAUCAUGACACGCAUCAUCAUUGUCAUAUUGCCUUGCAUGAUCAUGUAGUUGACAUCAUAUUUGUGGCAAAGCCACCAUGCAUAAUUUUUCAUACAUGUCACUCUUGAUUCAUUGCCCAUCCCGGUACACCGCCGGAGGCAUUCAUAUAGAGUCAUAUCUUGUUCUAGUAUUGAGUUGUAAAUAAAUAGAAGUGUGAUGAUCAUCAUUAUUAGAGCACUGUCCCCAAAAAAAGAAAGGCAAAAAAAAGAAAGGACAAAUUAAAAAAAAGCCCCCCCCAAAAAGGGGGCAAUGUUACUAUCCUUUUCCACACUUGUGCUUCAAACUAGCACCAUGUUCUUCAUAUAGAAGGUCUUUCAUGUUGUCACUUUCAUAUACUAGUGGGAAUUUUUCAUUAUAGAACUUGGCUUGUAUAUUCCUACGAUGGGCUUCCUCAAAAUGCACUAGGUCUUCGUGAGCAAGCAAGUUGGAUGCACACCCACUAGUUUCUUUUGUUGAGCUUUCAUAUAUUUAUAGCUCUAAUGCAUCCGUUGCAUGGCAAUCCCUACUCGUCAUGUUGACAUCAAUUGAUGGGCAUCUCCAUAGCCCGUUGAUUAUCCUCGUCAGUGUGAGACUUUCUUUUUUUUUGUCUUCUCCACACAACCUCCAUCAUCAUAUUCUAUUCCACCCAUAGUGUUAUAUCCAUGGCUCACGCUCAUGUAUUGCGUGAAAGUUGAAAUUUUUUUGAGAUUAUUUAAGUACGAAACAAUUGCUUGGCUUGUCAUCGGGGGUGUGCAAGAUGGGAGCAUUUUUGUGUGAUGAAAAUGAAGCAUGACCAAACUAUAUGAUUUUGUAGGGAUGAACUUUCUUUAGCCAUGUUAUUUUGAGAAGACAUGAUUGCUUUGAUUAGUAUGCUUGAAGUAUUACUAUUUCUUAUGUCAAUAUGAACUUUUAUUUUGAAUCAUUUGGAUCUGAACAUUCAUGCCACAAUAAAGAAAAUUACAUUGAGAAUUAUGCUAGGUAGCAUUCCACAUCAAAAAAUCUGUUUUUGUCAUUUACCUACUCGAGGACGAGCAAGAAUUAAGCUUGGGGAUGUUUGAUACAUCUCCAACGUAUCUAUAAUUUUUGAUUGUUCCAUGCUAUUAUAUUACCCAUAUUGGAUGUUUAUGGGCUUUACUUUACACUUCUAUAUCAUUUUUGGGACGACCCUACUAACCGGAGGCCCAGCCCGAAUUGCUGUUUUUUUGCCUAUUUCAGUGUUUCGAAGAAAAGGAAUAUCAAACGGAGUCCAAACGGAAUGAAACCUUCAGGAGCGAUCUUUUUGGAACAAACGUGAUCCAGAGGACUUAUAGUGGAAGUCAAGAAACAAAGGAGGAGGCCACGAGGGUGCCCGGCAUGCCCCCUACAGGUGGGUGCGCCCCCCACCCUCGUGGGCCCCUCGAGCGUCCACCGACCUACUUCUUCCUCCUAUAUAUACCCAUGUACCCCGAAAACAUCAGAAGCGACCACGAAAAACUAUUUCCACCACCGUAACCUUCUGUAUCCGCGAGAUCCCAUCUUGGAGCCGUCGGCGGCGCUCCGCCGGAGGGGGAAUCCACCAUGGAGGGCCUCUACAUCAUCUCCGAGGCAUGUCCUAUGAGUUGUGAGUAGUUUACCAUAGACCUUCGGGUCCAUAGUUAUUAGCUAGAUGGCUUCUUCUCUCUCUUUGAAUCUCAAUACAAAGUUCUCAUUGAUCUUCUUGGAGAUCUAUUCGAUGUAACUCUUUUUGUGGUGUGUUUGUUGAGAUCCGAUGAAUUGUGGGUUUAUGAUCAAGUUUAUCUAUGAGAAAUAUUUGAAAAUCUCCUCUGAAUUCUUUUAUGUGUGAUUAAGUUAUCUUUGCAAGUCUCUUCGAAUUAUCAGUUUGGUUUGGCCUACUAGAUUGAUCUUUCUUGCAAUGGGAGAAGUGCUUAGCUUUGGGUUCAAUCUUGCGGUGUCCUUUCCCAGUGACAGAAGGGGCAGCAAGGCACGUAUUGUAUUGUUGCCAUCGAGGAUAAAAAGAUUGGGUUUAUAUCAUAUUACAUGAGUUUAUCCCUCUACAUCAUGUCAUCUUUCUUAAUGCAUUACUCUAUUCUUUAUGAACUUACUCCAGAUGCAUGCUGGAUAGCGGUCGAUGUGUGGAGUAAUAGUAGUAGAUGCAGGCAGGAGUCGGUCUACUUGUCAUGGACGUGAUGCCUAUAUACAUGAUCAUGCCUAGAUAAUCUCAUAAUUAUUCGCUUUUCUAUCAAUUGCUCGACAGUAAUUUGUUCACCCACCAUAAUAAUUAUGCUAUCUUGAGAGAAGCCACUAUUGAAACCUAUGGCCCCCAGGUCUAUCUCUUAUCAUAUAAGCUUUCAAUCUACUUUUAUUUGCAUCUUUACUUUUCCAAUCUAUAUUAUAAAAUACCAAAAAUAUAUUUAUCUUAUCAUAUUAUCUCUAUCAGAUCUCACUUUCGCAAGUGGUUGUGAAGGGAUUGACAACCCCUUUAUUGCGUUGGUUGCGAGUUCUUGUUUGUUUGUGUAGGUGCGUGGGACUUUUGAGAAGCCUCCUACUGGAUUGAUACCUUGGUUCUCAAAAACUGAGGGAAAUACUUACGUUACUAUUGCUGCAUCACCCUUUCCUCUUCAAGGAAAACCAACGCAAGCUAAAGACGUAGCAGUGUGUUGAGGAACUCAGCGUCCCUUGGGUGGUCCUAAGAAUGAAAUACAAGUGUCGUUAGUUGCGAUUAGGAGUAGGCAAUGGUGGACAGUAUGAAAAGGAAGAGGGUUGUGAGCUAACCGCAACAUGGCCGGCAUAGUGCUCUACCUCCAGAACUAUGGAGCAAGUGUUCUCAUCACAUGAGGCGCCGCUAAGGUCUCUUAGCUUGGACACUUGGAUCCAUCAACCUCUCCAUUUCCUCAGGUGGUUGUACACCUGGGUGGCAGACACCUUUUGCCCACAGAACUCGAACACCUGCGUCGCAACGUUGUUCAAGUGCACCUUCUUGAAGCCCUUGUCAGUCCUAACUCCACUAGAGAUGAGCUCACACAUCUUAUUCAGCACAAAUGUGGACAUGAACGGCUGCCACUUCAUGUUGUUCGACCUACCAUCCUUCUUUGCCUUUGCUGCUGCUACCUUGAGUGCAACGGCAGCAACAGCAGUAGCAGGAGUUAGCUCAACGAGCACUACUGGCACAUAGAGGGAAUCAGACGCGAACACCUCUGAAUCAUGUGCCAUCUCGGACAUAGUCUACGAGUCCUCGACAAACGAUGGAGCAAACUGGCUGUCAGACAGGACAAGGGCCUGACUAAGAUCUUGCGUCUACGUGGUCAUGUCCUACAAUCGUAGCAUGCAUUGACAGUAAGCAUAGCACACAACAUACCGGAGAAUCCAUGAAAGCAGCAGCAUACAUGUACAUGGUUCAUGGCUAUCAUACUAAGCAUACCCGACAACCUAUGAGCACGAACAUACAUCUACAACAAACAGCAUGCUACAAAUGGACCACCAAUAGGUACAAAUCAUAGAUCUAAGCACGAAUCAACACAAGCACAAGGUUCAACUUCGAACUCUACUACUAAUCUAGCCUACCACAUGCUUGAACAUCUAGCCCUACCAUAAAUUGCAACCGCAGCAUAGCAAUCAACCAUAUCAGCUCACAGAUUAUACCACUAAUCAACCAUGCAUCUAGAUCAAAUCCUAGCUGCAGUUCAGAUCUAGCUAGAAGGAACAAAGAGAAAGGGGGAUUGAACUCACAGAGGCCAUGGCUGCAGCUCGAGGACGAGGGGGGACGGUCGUGGAAGAUCAACGCCGGUCGGUGAAGGAGUGCCGACGCCGUGGACCGUCGGCCGAUGAAGAUCCGCCGCUUACCUGCUCGUCGGUGCCGAUGCAUGUCGGAGGGAAAGCUCGAACGAAGGGAGAAUGGUGGCGGGAGUUGGGGUGGUGAGGAAGGGGGCUAAAUAGGGGUGGACUCGGCGGGAGGUGAGCCGAAAUCCUCCCGCCGAUUUUUCGGUGACGCGGGUGAGCUCACGCCAUCUCCCUGCUUGCACGAGGGAAAAAGCGCGUCGCCCUCCCCUGCCUCGCCCGAGCCAGGCUCGCGAGCUACUGUCGAUUCGGGCGUUUCCCCUAGGCCUGGCCUGGACGUGCUUUAAGUUCCGUGCGAUGUGGGCCGCACAGUGAAUGCAGGUUACCAAACGGACUCAAUCUUUCCUGCACGGGCCAGGCUGGGCCAUAUGCAGGCAACCAAACACGCCCAAUGUGGUCUCGCCAGCCCAUCCGUGGUAUACCAUCUCCAACGUCAUCAUGUAGUUUUGUGGUGCCGUUGCACGAGUGGAGACAAUGUGGCCAUCCAGCUCGUCAACCAUGAUGAUGGUAAGUUUUGCUUCUUGUUGCUCUAUAUGUUUGUAAAUUCAUUCAUUCACUCAAUGUUUUAACUUGAUAAUAAUCAUGUUGUGUAGCUCGGACGUGUUGCCGUAUUGUACUAUAGGACAGAGAGCAAACCAUUUACAUUCAUACAUGUUGGAUGAAGCUCAAGGACAAGGGUGCGUGAAAUGAAGUGUGCCGAUUCUGGCUCAAGUAUCAUUGAAUUUGGAAUCGAUGAAGGGUGGGCUCGAUUGAAACCAUACGAGAUGGCUCAUGAUUUCAUAUUUAACAUUUUUUAUGAUAAAAAGGGCGUCGGUCUGAUUUUCAAUAGCAAUAACCAUAAAGUUCUUAUAAAACUACUGAAAAUGAAAAUCAAAACUUAUGACAAGGCACCUACAAUAUCAGACUAUAAAAGACCUCACCAGAUCUAAGGAGCUCUAGACCAUCGACAAGAGGUAGUCCAGGAAGAUAACAACAAACGUUGGAGACGUUGUUGUCUAAUACUCCCUUCGUCACAUUUAAAUGUUGCUCAAACAGAUGUAUAGCAUCUACCCUCUCAACAGCAGCAGAAAACAAAAGGGUAUGAAUAUAGUUUUUCCAAAUCAACAUACACACAAAAGUGAUAACAUUAUCAGCAAGCUUCUCUCCACCGGUCUCCCACCUAGAAUGUUCCUUGAUCUCCCAUCAAUCUUCAAUCGAUCCAGAGAAUGCCAAAACGCAAACCUUGUACCGCUCUAAACUCAUUGUUUGUUGUUUGUUGGUGCACUUUACCACCCACCUAAUCUUUCUGAUCUUUCUGUUUUUUCUGCAAAAUGUUCCAAUCACUCAGCCAUCUAUCUAUUAUAUUAAGGGCAUGUACAAUAGGGGCAGUUGGUAGGUGCUUCCCGGCGCAUUCACAUAGACAAAAAAGUAUGAGGCAUUCAGUUGAAUAAUUUCUUUCGCAAUGCAGUGCGUUGAGACCAUCAACUUUGGGACCCACGUAGUGAGCUGAAGCUUGGCAAGAGGUAACAUGCAUAGGAAUGCGCGCUCACCGUCGCCAGCAUGCCCCUCUUUCUCUCAUCACUUUUGGUCGUUGGACCACAACCUCUCUCCCCAAAUACCCACCUCUUGCAGAAGAAUCAUCUGUCUUUGUGAGGCAACCACUUUUGUUUCACGCUUGGCAUCCGAGCCUAGCUGACAUGCGGGGUAGCACCCUUGGGGCAUACUGUUGACCAUGCCCUAAUAGAGACACAAAGGUUAGUAACUUUAACAUUGUCAAAAAUGAUGCCCUCCUAUUCAAAUUAAUUGACGCGGUUUCAGUACGACUUUACUAGUAUAAAAUACUAAAGCUACAUCAAUUAAUUCAGAUCAAAGGGAGUACUCUACUGUUUCUUAAUUUCCAGAUGGUCUAGAAGACCACGGCAACAGGUGUGAAUACCGGAUGUUUCUCACCAGAUUUGAAUUUGGAGGAAGGACUAGGUGCAGAUUUUUUUCGAGUUUCAAGCUAGGAACACUGUGGCAGGAACGUGUCAAAGUCAACGCAAAGACUCUGCCCACACUGCUCAGCUUAGAUGCUGAUUGAUAACGUGUUCAAAAAAAAAAUGAUGCUGAUUGAUGAUAGCUGUGUUUUCUACCAGUUAUUAGUGAUGGCAGUCGACGUGCUGGUCUUUGCUUACCCAAGAAAAACUCAAUGUCGCCUCGCUCUUGCUAUCAACUUUUUUUUCUUUCUUUCUAUAUCAACUAAAAUUGCUUGUGAUUUACUCCGUAUAUUGUAAUGGCAUCCGUCUGAUCGCCUGUGUGUGAGAUGGUAUUCUGGUCUCUUGUCCGGCGCCCAUUUUCAUCACGCAUUGCGACAGAAUUUUCUUGGUAACUGGCGUGACAAUACAAUAUUUCCUUUGGAAGCAACGGAAAGUAAAUAAUUUGCAUUCACCAUUUCCAACUGCAAGCGCCCAAUGCUGCAGCAUCCUCUGCACUCCGCAAGAGCACGAAUCCUAACAAGCAGCCGUCGAAAAAGGAGACACGCUAAGCUAAAGACGUCAUCCGCGGCGGCAUCGGCGGGCACUCCGACCGCGGCAGCCCCGGCAGCGGCGGCGGCCCGAGCCCUCCGCGGCAGAGCGGGCACGUCCGGCGCUUCCGGAGCCAGCGGUCGACGUCGCAGCUCGCGUGGUAGAAGUGCCCGCAGGCCGGCACCACCCGCACCAGCUCGCCGGCCUCGCCCUCGCCGUACUCCGACAGGCAAAUGGCGCACCGCUCCUCCUCUCCCUCCCCCUUCUCCUUCUCCUUCUUCCUGGCGGCCGCCUGCUCGUACGUCAUGAGCGUGUCGUCGCCGAGGGCGGCCUCGACGUCGGCGUCGUGCACCGCGGCGCUCCCGGUGGCGCCGGCCGCGUCGUCGCAGGCUCCACCGGUGGCCAUGACGGCCACGGCGACGAUGAUGACCGCCAUCACGACCACCGCGGCGAUCUGGAGGUGGAGCACGAGUUCCGGGUCCAUGCUCAGUGCUCCUUGGCCAAUGCCAAUGCCAAUGCCAGCGAACUACCGCUCCAGUCCAGCCUCCAGCCUUUGUAUAGGAGCUCUCCGGUCCAGAGCCUUCUCGGCCAAGUCAGGACGUAGUGUGAAAGAAAGGCGGAGGUUGAGCUUUCCCAGAAUGUUUCAGCUGAUUUCCGCCUUUCUUCUUCCACUGGACAAUUCCCUUGUGGCUGUCUUGUUUCACUUCACUACUCCGGUUUUGGACUUAAUUCAAUUGUCUUCUUCUCUUCUCUCUCUUUUUAUCCCUUUUGAAAAUGAAUCAAUAUGUGAUUACGCGUAACUUGUAUCCCUUUGCCACCCUUAAUAUAAAAUGAAAACGACGUCGCUUUCUUCCAUUUACAACAGCCUCACUGGUUAUGAAAACUAAAGCUGUUUGCUCACCAAUUGACUUCUGUAUUUUCUUAAAAUCCAAUCCUGUUUUUUAUUCCUUUUUUUUUUUGCGGGAGAUCAUGUUUCUAAUUCUUCUUUCAACUAAAAGAAGUUAUCCACAUCAUGUUUUUUCUUCUGCGGUGCGCAUUAGGUUACCUACAAAGAAUUUGUCAAAAAAAAAGGUUACAAACAAAGAAUUGCUCUAAAAUUAAUCAGAUAGAUCAUACUAGAAAUUUAUCCAAUUGAUUAAUCCUAAUGGAGUAUCGAAAAGACAGGAAGGGCUAUAGUAAGAUUAUUAUCCCUGGUAUUCGUCAUAAUUUUUACCAUAUGAUUAGUUGAUGCGCUCGCUCGCGUGCCGACCACAUAGAAAAACAGAAGCACUAAGAUUGCAGUAACGCGCUUUGUUUAAAUAUAUAAAUCGUAUGUAUUUAUACUGCACUUGCUCGGACAGUAACGUUUUAGAUUCUACACCGCUGUGAAAAUUCGCGGCAGCUGACACUGGCAAAAUCGUGGAACCAUCCAAUUGUGUCGUAGGCCGGCCCCGCUCCAGGAAAACCUUCACGCUCGCUUCUAGAACAUCUAGUUCUUGUGUUGCUUUCCUUGUGAGCUCUUUGACUCGGGUGACAUCUCUCGGUGUCCUCAGUCGUUCCUUCCUCUUCCGACUGGAAAGAACCCAUGCGACCUGCGUCCGCCCGCGUCUUGGACGGCUCUCAGGCUCUCGGAUAGCUAGAACACGUCAAAGUCAACUGAUGAACCCACUGGUCUGGUACGGUGGUACCCUCCCCUGUAAGCGUUGGUAGACUGAUGGCGAUGUUAUGAACAUUUUGAUAAUCAACUUGACGGUUUUGCUGACUGUUUACAAAACGCGUAGAGAGACGAGUGGGAGGAGCAGCCAAGCCCCGAGGCCGAAGACGGCGGGGACGCCGGCGACGGUGAGGCCUCGGACAGGAGUGACCCGGAACUUACAAUGACACGGCGGCGGGCGACACAGGUGGAGGCCUGGAGGGAAGUCGAGGUUGGCGGGUUCGGGUGGAGGGUGCGGACUCGCCGGAGAAGAAGAUGAGCAUGUCAGACGUGAGCAGGAGGAAGGGAUGGCGGCCGUUAGAUUUCAGUAAUUCAACCGACCGAUGUAAAUAGCUUUUCCAGGCAAGUGUGGCAUGGGUGCUUCUCACCCAAUUCGCCAUCGGCUGUUGUUUCUCAUUUGCCUACCUGUGUUAAACGUAUCAGAAAUAUGAAAGGCCAUCACUUGGACACGUCAUCACCUAAUCCCUAUUAGUUAAGCCGUUGGCGUGAUGCACCGUAACGAAUGAAAUUCGCACCGGAACCAGUAAAAUUCUUGGAGCAAAGAGAGAACGUCCCAUUUCACCAGUAGCAAGCUGACGUAAAUGAAGGUGGAGUACAAUGCAUCUGUCUCUACUAAGACUACUACGAAGCUCGAAGCAGCUGGAGCUGAUCGGCGAAAAAAAUGAUCGACUAUGCUACUACUACGACGACGGCGGCGGCGGCGGCGCGGGUCGGCGGGCGCGGCCAGAGCGCGCCCCGGCAGAGCGGGCAGGUCCGGCGCGCCCGGAUCCACCGGUCGGCGUCGCACGCGGCGUGGAAGAAGUGCCCGCACGCCGGCACCACGCGCACCACCUCCUCGGGCGCCUUGGCGUACUCCGACUGGCAGAACGCGCAGCAGCGCUGCCGCGCCCUCGCCGCCUCGCCCACCUGCGCGUACGCCACCAGCGUCGCGUCGCCCAGCGCGCGCUCCACGUCCUCGGCCGCCGCCGCGGCGCCGGCGUCGUCCCUGCAGGCGCCCGAGGCGGCGGCGGCGAGGGCGACGAUGAGCACCGCCAGGGCGACCACCGCCGCCACCUCGAGAUCGAACGCCAUGGCGGGGCUCAUCUCUUCCGUCUUCCUUCCUUCCUGGCCUGAUCGAUGGAACGAACGGCAGUGCGCGACACCAACCUUGUAUGCGCAGUGCGUGUGCUCUUCCGAGCUUCCCUUCUUCCUUGGCCUGACCUCUUUUUGUAGUAUCUUCCGUGUUUCAGCUAACCAGAUUAACGAACGGGCCUUCUUUUCUCGGUGGCCUUCUUUUCCGUGUCUCCCCUCCCCUCUCACUCGGCUCGCGGUCUGCUUUCUGUACGAGCUGGCGGUUACCACGAAUAAAAGUUUUUUUUUCACGGAAAAUUACCAAUCUAUUCAUUUUUAAUCAUGACAGUACAACGAACACCAGUAAUAAUAAAAGCUACAUCCAGACCCGUAGACCGCCUAAUGACAAACUUGGUUAUGUUAGAAUCUUCAGAUUUGUGCGAGUGUUGUUUUCCUUUUUCUUUUUCACGUAUGGUUGGUAUCGAGACACUAUUUUAAAGGAAAUAAAGAUUAAAAGUUCAUGCCUACAAACGUUGGCAUCAAAAUCUAAUGUCCCACUCCAAUCAAAAGAGAAAGAUCUAAUGUACUACUUUAGAGUUUGAAUCAUUAGAUUUUUUCUGUCUAGUGAUUUGAUCGAGACACAGUAAAAUCGCAGCCACUGCGAUUUAAGGUCUAAGCCAUGACCUAAGGCCAACCAGCAUGACACAACUGCAAAAAACAACACAAUAAAAGGGGGUUUAAGAUCAACAUGCAAAUGCCAGCACGGGCACAUAAUCCUGAUAACUUUUGUCAAUGUUUGUCACUGAAAAUUUCUAGAAUUUUCUUAAUUUGUUUUCAAUAUUUUUUUCGAUUUUAUGGCUCACCCGAGAUCAUUUGAGCUCGAGACUAGAAGAGUACUUCGUCGAUUUCCUUUCUUCUUCCGGUGGACAAUUCCCUUGCGGUUGUCUUGUUGCUACUCCGGUUUUGCACUUAAUUGUCUUCAUCUUUUUCUUCUCUCUUUGCUUUGCUCUACGGUAGAGUUGGACUUAAUCAGGAUGUGAUUACCAUGUAACUUGUAUCCCUUUGCCUCUCUAAAUAAAAUAAAAUGGAAAAUGUCUUCCAUUUACAACAGCCUCACUGGCUAUGACAACUACACUGUUUGUUCAUCGGUCGAUUUUUUGUAAAAAACGAUAUUUUCUUAUUCUCUCGAUAGAAAAAUGGCUAUCCACAUUAUUUUCGGGGAAAACCUUCUCGCUUCUAAAACAUUAGUUCGGAGUCGUUCCUCUUCCCACUGGAAGGAGAGCGUAGCCUAAGUUAAGUUAGAACACGUCAAAGUCCACGCGAGGACUACUAUGGUACUCCUGUGCACGUGUUGGUCGAUUGAUGUUAUUAUUUGAACAUUAACUUACGGUUUCGCUAAUACAAUACUCAGCCAACCCAAACUAAUCUUUGCGUCAACCGAUCUCCAGAACGCGUAGAGAGACGAGGGGAAGGAGCAUCGAAGCCCCGAGACCAAAAACGGCCAUGUACGAGGAAGACGGCGAGGCCUCGGACGGAAGCGAGCCCGUAACCGGCGACGACGCGGCAACGGACGACGACGCAGAUGUUAAACGCAUCAGAUGUAUGAUGAAAUGUUAUCAACUGGACACGCUAUCACCACCUAACGCCGAUUACUUAAUUAGUAUUACGCCGUUGGCGUGAUGCGCCGGACGCCAGCCCACCAAAGUUAGUUCUUGGACAAAGAAAUGGUGUGCCGUUUCACCAGUAGCAAGCUGACGUACGUGCCCAAGUAAGUGACGGCGUACAAUGCGAGAAUAGAAUUUUGGAAUUCGGGUGUAUUUGAGGACCUUAUUUUAAAUACUUUGAAAAUCACAUUUAAGGUUUCAAAAAAUUCUGAAAACAAUUCUACUUGAUCAUAUGGAUUUAUAGUACACAUGUGUAAAGUUUGGUGAUGAAAUAAGUAAAUAUGCGACCUAUACAAAAAUGACAAAAAUGGUUAUUUCCAAAUAGUGAAUAAUGCAUGCACUGUUCACCUUUCCAAAAUCAUGAUUUUGUCAUUUUUGUGUAACUCACAUGGUUACUUAUUUCAGCAUCAAAAUUUACACAUGUGUAAUAUACAUUCAUAUAAACAUAUUGAUUUGUUUUUAGAAUUUUUUGAAACUUUAAAAUAGCAUUUUGGCACAGUUCCAAAAAUAGGGCUCCAAUGCAUCGGGGUUCCAAUGUGACUUUUUGCGUACAAUGCAUCUUUCUCUACUACUACGAUGCAGCUGAAGCUGAUAGGGGGAAAUAAUGAUCGACUAUGGUGGUACUACUACGGCGGCGGCGGCCAGAGGGCGCCCCGGCAGAGCGGGCACAUCCGGCGCGUCCGGAUCCACCGGUCGGCGUCGCACGCGGCGUGGGAGAAGUGCCCGCAAGCCGGCACGCGCACCAGCUCUUCCGGCGCCUUGGCGUACUCCGGCAGGCAGAACGCGCCCUCGCCCGCCUCCGCGUACGCGUACGCCACCAGCGUCGCGUCGCCGAGCGCGCGCUCCGCGUCGUCAACCGCCGCUCCAGCGUCGUCGUCGGAGGCGAGGGCGAUGAUGAGCACCGCCACGGCGAUCACCACGGCCACCUCGAGAUCGAGGGCCUGAUCGAUCGGACUGCAGGGCGCGACAGUAACCUUCUAUGCGCAGUGCACGUCCUCUUCCCUUUGAUUGGUGUGGCCUCCUUUUGUAGUAUCUUCAUUGCUCCAGGUUAACCAAAUUAACAGGGCAUCUGCCUUCUUUCCCGUGUCUCACAUCACUCGGCUCGCGCUCUGGUCGGCAAAUUUCCUUCUUGCAGUGGCCAAGUCGGUUACAGCAUCUCCAAUAGAUGGUUCAAAUUUUAACGGUCCAAAACCGAAGAUUUAAAAUAUGGUCCGUCAAAUAUGUGCUUUAGAGCUUCCGAAAUGCUCAACUCCAACAGAUGGUUUAAAUCAGAGAUGUAAAAGAGCAACUCCAACAAAUGGUCCAAAACGAAGAUGUAAAAUUGCCUUGAUCGUCUUCUUCAAUCUCGGGAUGUAGGCCACCUUCAUCAAAUCCGUCGCCAUCAAGCUCUCCCCGAGCGCGCCAUCCUUCCCGUGAUGAGCUCCUCUCCCAAUUCCUCUAUUUUUUUUUCCUUCGAUCGGUGUCGUUUGUCACCGCUCCUGAGCACGUAGGCGGCGACGGCAGCGAUAAUUUGGGGAAUGGCAGCGGCGGAUUGCAGCUGACUGGUGCAGUUGGGCGCUUGCGGGCGGUCACCGAAUUUGGACCAGUUCUCAGUAAUGCAAAUUUGCACCACGAUGACCGGAUGGUCCAAAAUUUAGGUAUUUUUACAUUUGAACCGUCUAUUGAAGAUGCUCUUAUACUUGUGCGUCCCCUUCUGCUUUUCCCUUUGGAGCCAUUAUACUGGCACUUUUGCGACCUUAUUUUUUGUGAAGGAUAAAGUUUGUGCCUGCCUUUUGCGACAAUCAAAAACUGUCUUGUGCGAAACAAGAAACGACUUAAGAUCGCAGCCACAGUAAAACCAUAUACGGAGUACUCAUGUCAACCUACGACCAACCAGCAUGAAACAGCCGCAAAAACAACAUUAGAAAAGGGUGCAAGACGAACGGAUUAAGAUUAAGAUCCAAAUGCCAGCACGGCACAUAAUCCAGAUAACACAAUCUAUAACUCCAGCAGGACAAACAGAACUCAAUGGAACAGGUCAUUGUGCAGAGUGCCGGACUUCAACAAAAACGCACGUUGCAAGACUACACUGGGGUGGACAAAGAGCUCUUCACUCGUCGUCAUCCUCAUCGUCAUCGGCGGCACCCGCAGAGUUGUUGAGGGCGUUGAGCCUUUCGACGAGGCUGGCCUUCCUCUGCUCAUAGGUCAGCUUCUUGGGGUUGUAUCUGCAUCCAAAAGGCAAAGUUCACAAUGCAGCUCACAACAAGUUGGAAAAGAAGCAGCAGUCAGGAGUAAAUGGCCCUUGUCCACAAUGCAUCCAAAAGACAGUAUGAUGAAGAGCUUGCCGACUAUACCUCUUGUGAGUCUUGGGAGGCGCCUUGGUUGAUUUGGCCAUGGUGGGAUCAGCACGGAUGGCAGCAUGAACCUUCUUGUAAACUGCUUCCAUGUCAUCAGCUGAGAUUCCCCUCUUGAUGUACUCACUGAAGUGAGUUUGGAACUUCUCUGGUUCCUCAUCUGCUAGUGACUGGAAUAAGAGAAAGGCAAAAGUUCAGUAAGAAAUGAAAGAGGAACUAGGGUCAUUUUAUUGCCCUAGGUACAAGAGCAUGAACAAGAGUAAUACAAAAUCAAGAGAGCAAUGGCUUCCAACUCACCCUCAUGUAGUCAGCAACAUGCCCUCCAAAGAUGUACUUGCGGUGAAUCUCAGCAUCCAGCGACUUCUCAUCCUUUUUGAAACCAGCAAAUCUCUUGUCACUGUGGGGAAUGUCAAGACCACCGUCCAAAGCUCCCUGCAGGAGCAAAAAUAAUUACACCAGCAGCAGAAAAAGCACUAGAGGGAUACAACCCAUGCAUUCAAAAACAAAAUAAGUUCUGAAGUGCAGCAGAAUAGGGAGCACCAUAUCACUUAAUGCAAAUAAAAAAAUGAGAACAAACAGCAAUAACAAUGAUUUUUCACAAGGUCAAAUAGCACAAUAAAGCAGAACAGUUUCAUGUCAAAGGCCUGUGACAAGUUACAGGUAGCUAAAGAAGAACGACCAAUCAUGAUUUGCCAAUAGUUUCAUGUCAAACCUUUCAAGAAAAAAUAGUUUCAUGUCAAAGGCCUGUGACAUUGAGUGCCUAUCUGCAAUCAUAAAAUGUACAGUAAUAACAUGGCUUACCUUAAGGGCACCAAACACACGGUUUCCAGUGGUGGUCCUAAUAAGACCAACAUCCAAAAGCGCACGGAAAGGCCUCCUCUCAUCAGAAGGCUCAACAGAGAAGUCCUCGCCAGUGGCCUGAGCACAGACAUAUAUUAUUUGUGUUCAUCAGAAGCAACAAAUCAGGAUAUUAAACUAAAAAAAAUGAUGAAACCAAAUUAUACCUCAACAUUGCCUUCAUACUCCUCAUCAAGAUCACGGUUCUUGAGCACACGACGGGCCAAAAGCAGACCAGUGCAGUAGGCUACAUCAUGCAUUCAGAAAAUUAGAUUAGAAAAGAGGCAUGCAUACACAGCAUGCAUUAGCACAUUCAUUCAGUAGAUAAAAUCAACCUGCAGCAUAGUUGGUGAGGCCAACUUCAAGACCAUAGCGAGGCAACUCAUGGGAGUAAGCAGCGGCCAUCACGAUAUCACCAGCAAUGGUAGCAUACACAAUUUGUGCAGUGACAUCCUUGUUGGUCUGAAGUACUAUUGUUAAGAGAUACAACAUGCCUCCAAGGUAAUAAUAAGCAGAACAUUGAUGAUUGACAAGUGCACAAAUUAUAACGAAGAAACUUUGAAGGAUACAAAUCGCACAACAAAACGGUACUUGGGGGUAUUGUAUUUGUUCUUGUCCUGGUUUGUGAGCCUCAGCCUGGCCCUGUAGUCGGUCUUCCCCUCUGAGAAAACAUGGGGAAAAGGAAAAUCAGCCAGUCAGAAUCGCUGUCAAAUGACAGAAGUGGCAGAUUCAUGGAGAGGCAUGUGUUAGACAUACGGCGCCUUCUCUUGAACUUGACUUGGAAACGCUUGGAGUACGCCCUUGUCUUCUGGUUCUUGAUGUACACCUACAAGACGUAUCAAAGAGAAGCACAUGAGUAUACACCUAGGUUUGGAACAUCAGUGCUACCCUGGAAAUCCUAGUAAUCAAUCAGGCGGCACAAACAAAACAUUUAAGACAAGAUUUUAAGUAGCUCAUAGUUCUAUUCAAUGACGAGAAACCUCAUGGAACCUCCCAAGCUUAGGAUAAUCAAGGAAGUAAUUCCUAUAUAAACCCCAGUCUACUAUCGCGACAAGAAACAAAACCGCAGCAUAAACCAAUCCCUCGUCAAUCCACUACAAUAGUGAAUCUGGUCUAAGAAAUGGGAACUUCUUCUCAGUUCUAAAAUUAGAGCAGGCAAAGAGCUAGUAGAGCAUGAUUUGCGAGCAAUAAAAUCUUAUCAAGCGGCACAAAUCCAGAUCUAACAGAUUCUACGAGCGGCGAGGACUAUUCCUCCACGACAGAGCAAAAACCCCGCAGAUCUGACCAGUCCAGUGCUGAACCCUUAAGCCCUGAGUUGGGUAGUGCAAGCUAUGAAACAAGAAUCGAAAACCUAGGCGCCGAUUCCUGCAGCGAAGGCGCACGAAAGCCAGACGCUGCGGGCAGCAACGCAAGCGCGGACUGAAGCAGCAGCCAUGGAGGAAGAGGAGGCGGUGAGAUCGGACGUACCAUCGCGCCUGCGAGGAGGGAGCUCCUGCGGAUGGAGGAGGCGGCGGCGGCGCGGGCGGGCGGGCGAGCGGAAGGGCUAGGGAUGGGAGGCAGCGUGGUGGCGCUUAUAUAUACGAGGGGGCGGGCCUGGCUGCUUGCUGGGCCGCGGUGCGAGUCACCCCCGAAUAGGUGGGCUUCUUUCGGUCUGCUUCUAAGGCCCAUGAACUGCGUUUCGGUUUUUUUUUUCCUUAUUCUCGGCUCACUGGAGAGCUUAGAGCAUAACGGCCGCUGUUGCAUGUUGCGGUUGCAGAGUGGAGAGAGCAGUUGGUCGUUCCAUCGCUCGUCUUAUGCUGAUACUAAUACCUCUGUAAAAAAAUAUAAGAGCGUUAAGUUAUUACUUAUCUUUAUUUCUAAAAGAGGAGUCUGCGGUUGUGAUGGUGCGUUCAUACAUCGUUCGCUCGUUCGCCCCUCCCCUCGUCCCACCCUUCCCAGUGCCAAAGUCAUACAUGAAAACAAACCCAAAUAAUCCUAAAGAAACAAACCCAAAUAAUCGGCACCGUUGUAAUCUUCCUCCGUACGUACUAAAAAUAAUUAGCCUUCCUCCCACCAUGGUAAGUGCAAAAGUAGUAUACGUGGGAAACAAACCAUAGAAUCCUAACAAUACUUAGCCCAAUUAUUACAUACUAAACAUAAAGCACAUUCUCAAAAAGAAAACAUAAGGCACAAGAUAAGAAAAACCCGACAAGAUUGAUAACGCCUCAAGUACUCACCAUCAAGCACAGACGAUACAUUGCUGGGAGAUCAUGAUGGCGAUCACACCAGGUCACCAUGGAGGUCACAUGAGUUUAUCAUCAACCUGUCAGCCUCGCUUUCAUCAUCCGGAGGUGAGUUCACCUUUUGACAAAGCCAUAUGUUUCUCCGACGUGGUGCUCUUUCUUGUGGAUCUUCAUAGUCCUGAUAUAUGCAUUACUAAUUUAUUUAGUUCACAAAAGGCGAUGCAUGGCGAACUACUAUUAAAAAUGAUUGUCAUAGUUUUGGGGUUUCAUAGGCUAGAUAGAUUGUAAGGGCAUCUCCAGCCGUUGCCCCCCCCCCCAGGACGCAUACAAAAUCGCCCCCUGGGGGCGAGCCGGCGAUACACUCGGCGCUGGGGGCGGUUUUGCGCCCAGUCGUCGCCCCCAGCUCGCCCCCAGGCGCCGAAAUUGGCCCACUUUGCAGCCCAAUUUCGGCGAAUAAACGGCCCAUAUGGGCGAGAAUAGACCCAUAUUCGGCGUGGUUUCGCCGUGUCUCGGCGUUCAAUUAUCAACACAAUUAUUCCUUAUCACAUAUUUCAUCACAGAAAAAUCAAAUACUUCAACAAAAUACUACAACAACAAAUAGUUCAAUACAAAUUAUAUAGUUCAACAGAUAAAAACUCAUAUUUCAUCACGCGGCGUCCCCCUUGAGCCUCCAUAGGUGCUCAAUCAGAUCUUUCUGCAGUUGAUGAUGCACCUGUGGGUCUCGGAUCUCCUGACGCAUACUGAGAUAGGCAGUCCAAGUUGCCGGUAGCUGGUGAUCAACUUCGGCUAGAGGACCCUGCCUGUAGUAUGGUUCAGUGUCAAACACUGGGUCUUCUUGCUCGCUCUCGAUGAUCAUGUUGUGCAAGAUGACACAGCAAGUCAUGAUCUCCCACAUUUGAUCUUUCGACCAGGUCUGAGCGGGGUACCGAACAACAGCGAAUCGAGAUUGGAGCACACCAAAUGCCCGCUCGACAUCCUUCCUGCAAGCCUCCUGAAGCUUCGCAAACCAGGCGUUCUUGCCUCCUGCCACAGGGUUUGAGAUCGUCUUCACAAAUGUCGACCAUCUUGGAUAGAUGCCGUCAGCUAGAUAGUACCCCUUGUUGUAUUGGUGACCAUUGAUCUCGAAGUUCACCGGAGAAGAAUGGCCCUCAACGAGCUUGGCAAAAACAGGAGAGCACUGCAGCACGUUGAUGUCAUUGUGAGUUCCUGGCAUACCAAAGAAGGCGUGCCAAAUCCAGAGGUCCUGUGUGGCUACCGCCUCAAGCACCACACUGCAACCGCCUUCGGCGCCUUUGUACAUCCCCUGCCAACCAAAUGGGCAGUUCUUCCAUUUCCAAUGCAUGUAGUCGAUGCUUCCAAGCAUCCCAGGAAAUCCUCUUGCUGCAUUUUGGGCUAGGAUCCGAGCAGUGUCUUCCGCAUUGGGUGUUCUCAAGUAUUGUGGCCCAAACACUGCCACCACUGCCCGACAGAACUUGUAGAAACACUCUAUGCUGGUGGACUCGGCCAUGCGCCCAUAGUCGUCGAGUGAAUCACUGGGAGCUCCAUAUGCAAGCAUCCUCAUCGCUGUGGUGCACUUCUGGAUGGAGGUGAAUCCAAGAGCGCCAGUGCAAUCCAUCUUGCACUUGAAGUAGUUGUCGAACUCCCGGAUGGAAUUCACAAUCCCGAGGAAGAGCUUUCGGCUCAUCCGAUAACGGCGCCGAAAUGUUCUCUCGCCAUGAAGUGGAGCAUCGGCGAAGUAGUCAGAGUAGAGCAUGCAGUAGCCUUGCAGACGAUGCCGGUUCUUUGCUUUCACCCGCCCCAGCGCCGAGCCACCUCGACGCGGCUUUUCGUUGCUCGCCAGCAGCUGGGCGAGGGCGACGAGCACCAUCAGAUGCUCUUCUUCCUGGACGUCGGUCGCGGCUUCCUCCUCCAGCAGCGUGGCGAGCUCUUCCUCCUCAUCCGAGUCCAUGGCUGAGACAGUCAAAACGCCGAACACCUUGCGCUCGGUGGGUGUGUACCCGCCAUUAAACCGCGCCUCCGCGGCCGGAAACGGCGGCCGGAAAUGCCCAGCUGCUGCGGGAGGGGCUGCCGCGGCGAAGCGCUGCUAUUUUCCGGCGGGGAAUGGCUAUCUAGCGGAGUAGGCCGGCGGCCGUCGCCGGGAUAUAGCUAGUGGUGGCCGAGGGCGCGGGGGGUGCGAGGCGAGUCGGGGGAAGAAAACCUUGAGUUUUCCCCUGUCGGUGUGGGCCAGGCGUGCUUUUCCCUAGCGCCGGAGCCCCCAAUGGCUCCCCAGCGCGCCGGGUUCGGCCUGUGACCGCCGGGCGGAAAAAAGGUCCGAACCGGCGAUUUUCGGCGUCCUGGGGGCGUGACUGGGCCGUUUUUUCGGCGCCGGCGCCAAAAAGUGGCCUGGGGGGGCUGUUGGGGGCGCGGCUGGAGAUGCCCUAAUUACACAAGUCACGUGCAUACCGCUGGUGGUUUCCAGGAACUUUCAACUUGAGCAAUACGAAAUGUAACCUCACCAAGCAAACUUGUAGAAAUUCAUUAAAAUUUAGAUGUCUGGAGAAGACAAUAAUGUGCGCAUGGAGGAGAAACUGUGUAUGUAGGUAAAUAUUAUUUAUUUUUCUUUGUUUAUGAACCAUGUUGUUGAAGGUUCGAAGGGCCUUAAUCACCAUCCCUGCACCAUUUACUACUGCAGUAUUUUUUUGCCCUCUUUUCUGAAUUCUCCCUCAUAGCAUCUUUACUACCAACUAAUCGUAGCACCAACUAUUUUACUUUCUUUAUGAACCACAGUGCUGAAGGUCCAAAUGUCAUUAAUCAUUAUCCAUGCAACAUUUGCUUAUAAGAUGUCGAAGGAUAAGUGAAAAAUAAAUGUGUAUUCUCUAACAAUUUGUUUAGGCAUAAUGUCUUAAUUGAUGAUUUGAAGGUGACCAUCUUGUAAUCUUUACUGUUGUUGUUGGAACAGUCAUAUCGAUGUUCAUAUGUGAACCAUCCACCCAAUUAGCUACAACGCUUCCCAUAGCCAGUACCAUGAUAGCAUUGGAGCCACGGGAGCAUGUGGGAACAUCAAAUGGUAUUUACCCUUUCACACGACGUUUUUACCAUUGAAGUAUGGUCGUCUAUAGAUCUAGAUUUAUUGAGUCUAAACGUGUGAUGGGUAUAUUCGUUCAAAUGUGGGUCUUGGAUUUAGCAAAACACACACUGGCCAUGCAGAAAACCCUACAACACCUCAAGGAACACUGAGUGGUGCUGAAGAUAUUGCUUCCAAUGCAAGCAUUAAAGAAGACAAACAUCAACAAAGACGGAGCCGUGAUAAAGAAAGGCGAGAUAGCCUAACACCCGGGCAAAGAGAAGAAAUGAAUGCACAUCGAAGAGCAUCUAGAAAAAAUUAGACUAUCGAAGAUAGGAAUGCAAGCCAAAGGGCUGCCAGACAAAAUCUGACAACAAAGGAGAGGCAAGAGAUGAACGCUCGUAGAAGAGCAGUAAGUACAAAUAUACCAACUGAGUAGAGGCAAGAGAUGAACGCUGGUCGAAGAGCACGCCUGCAGAGCAUACACUACUGCAGGAUGCUGCUAACGCGACACUACAAUCAGAGACCCUUCGAGAAACUGUGUGCGAUGCAAUAAUCGCAAACGGUGGUGUAAGAGAACCGUAAAAAAUGUGCAAAAUGUUUGCGAUGACGGAUGCAUCAAACACGGUUCAGAUUUUAGUUGCGUGUGCGAUGCACGGCAUACGGUUCAGUUCAAUGAACUGUUUGCGAUGAGGAAGAAGAACGGAAACGGGCAGCCAGAUGAAGGCGUGUGCGAUAUACGGCAUAUAGUUCAAUCGAAUUAACAGUAUGUGAUGAGGCGGAACAAUAGAAACGGACAGCUAGAUAAAGGUGUGUGCGAUUGAGGGCAUACGCUUCAUAAGGAUUAAUUGUUUGUGAUUAGGCAACAUAACAGAAGCGGUCAGCCAGAUCAAAGGUGUGUGCGAUUGAUGGCAUACACUUCACACGGAUGAACUGUUUACGAUUAGCCACAACAAACAAAAAUAGUUAGACAGAUCAACGUGUGUGCCCUAGACGGGCACACAUUCUAACUAAAAGAAGCGUGCGCUAUGGUAAUAACGAGCGCCCACGUGAAAGGAUCUAGAUUGACCUAGAGGGGGGGUGAAUAGGUACAAUUACAAAUUUUAAUUGUUACUUAGCAAUUUUAGGCAAUAAUGCAAAAUAUGAAGUUGAGCCUAACAAUUGCAAGUGUGAAGCUAUGAACUAAGCAAGGUAAACAAGUAGCUCAAGUAGGAGAGUAAGCAAGCACAAUAUGAUAUAAGUAAAGACUAAGAGACAAGUAACCACAAAUAGGGAGUUAAGGUUAGGGAUAACCGCAACUCUGAGAGACGAGGAUGUAUGCCGAUGUUCACUUCCUUGGAGGGGAGCUACGUUACCAUUAGAGAGGUGGGUGUUACCACGAAGGCACACCAACACCACGAAGGCUCACCCUAUUCUCCCUUUGAGACAACACCACGAAGGCGUUUCUCAACCACUAGUGGUAGACCUUGGGUGGUCUCCAAAUCCUCACAAACUUUCCGGGGGUAAUCACAAAGAACGAUUCCUCUCCGAAUGACUCCUACCGCCUAGGAGUCUCCAACCUCCAAGAGUAACAAGAACUAUGGGGAAAAAGCUCAAGACUUGCUCAAAUCAUGAAUUCCUUUGGUGAACAUCGAUAUGAAAGAAGUGGAUCUAUCACUUGGGUGGACAACUUCUCUCAAAUGCUCUCAAAUCCCUUAGGGAUCUAAGAUCUGGUGUUGGAGUGUGUGUGAGAGAGUGAAGAUGUGUUCUUGAGGGUGCUUGAAGUGAAUGGUCAAUCCUCUCACGGGAUAGGAGAGAGAUAUUGAUAGUAUGCCUCAAUAACUGGCUGUUGGAGCCCAAAACAGCACAGCAUCGUCGGACGUCCGAUGCACAACGGACGACCGAAGGCUUGACAGACAUCGGACAUCCGACAGGGACCGGACGUCCGAUGUUUUGGCACGGUAUAGUAGGUAGCGGACGACCGAUGUUUAGGCUCUGUGGAAAAGGUACGGAGUGACCGAAGGAUAUCGGACGACCGAGGGCUCUGCAGACAACGGACGUCCGACAAGGACCGGAGGACCGAUGUUUUGGCUCUGGAUAGGAUUUGCCGGACGUCCGGUGCACACUGGACGACCGAUGUUUUGGUUCUAUAUAGAGGCGAUCGGACGUCCGGUGAGUACCGGUCGUCCGCCAGAGAUGAAGAUCAGACACUGACUUUGAAGUAGUUGUUUGAGCAAGACUUUAGCAAUAACCCAUGUUCCCCUCUUAAUAGUGCGGGGUCCUAUACUCAAGAAUAAACAUAAAAAUAGUCUUGUUUCUUCGUUCUUAAUGAGGUUAAACAUUUCUGAAGUCAUAAUCCACACACACAAUUGAUUCCGAGGGGACUAAAACUUGAGAUAUACUUGACAAACUUUGUUAGUCCCCUAUGAGUAUAUUGUCAUCAACAUCAAAAUAAUAUUUAGGGCAUAAUUGCACUUUCAAUCUCCCCCUUUUUGGUAGUUGAUGACAAUAUACUCAUAGCACAAAAGAAAUCAAGUUGCUCUAUGCUUUAAGACACGUGUAUUUAAGAGCUCCCCCUCUCAACCAUAAUCAUUGCAACAUUAUAUGGAGAGCUCUCCCUCACAGAGACAACCAAUCUAGAAUAUAUGAGAAAAAUAUCACAAGAACCAAAUAAAACCAUCAUCAUAUAAGCACAACCGCAUAAUAUCAUAAUAUCUCAACAUUCAUAGAACACAGAGGUUCAAUAUGUUCAACAUCACAGCAUAAGGCAUAGAUAUAAAGUCAUACACCCACUCAAGGUAAAUGGUUCAACAUAAGAGCAACAUGAAUAGAAAGCUAGAACUAGUUCUCCCCCUUGGCAACAACUACCCAAAAAGGGACAGAGAGAACCCUUAGACAAUCACAAGUCAUCAUCAUCAUCAUUUGGAGCUCCACUCCCACUAGCUUCAUUGAGGAAAUCAGCCCACUCAGGCCCCGAAGGAAAACCAAAGUCAGAAGGAGGAGCAGUUGGGAGGCGCUCAUCGUCACUCACAUCAGUAGCCCUAGAGUCACGGUGACGAGACUUCAAGGCAUUCUUGGAAGUGAUCAAGCGAGUGACAACAUCAUGGUUGUGUGUGCAGUUGAAGGAGAAUGCCAUCAUCAUGGCAGAGUGAGCCUUUCGAUAAAACGAGCAAAACGCCCAAAGGACGCCGAGCUGGCAUUAGCAGGAUGGGAACUAGCGUCAGACCUACGAGCAAGAGCAGACUUGGAGGAACCUUUUGGAGAAAAAUCAUUGGCCAUGUGAGGAGUGUCGGUGUACUAAAAUAGGGGCGCUCUUUGUUGGGAUCUAUGGUAGGGUGCGUCGACUGCAAAUUAAAAUUUCCUACGCGCAGAACAACCAAGAACAUGCUACGGGAGAUGGAUUACGGAUCGUUACCACUAGACACGCAGUGCCGUGCAGCGGAAGAAGAGUUGGGGCAGCGCAUCCGCGUGGAUCGUCUCCUCCUUGUCCGAUCUCCCUCGAACAACCGGUCGCCCGAUCCAACGUACAAGUUCACCGGAGCGGCACAAGUGCACCGCCUCUAAUGGUAUCUGCGCGUGCAGGAGGAACACCGUGCGGUGGACUGCUAGGUCCGAUCACACAGUCGGCGGCAAGUGGAGGUGGCUAUUCGCAACACAUGCAAACCCUAGUCGCAGCACCGAAGCGAUCAACCGCAUGAGUGUGCCGCACCUCCACUUUAUAUAGGCGUCCGUCACGAGCUCAACACUUGGGCCUCGCACGGACCCUAAAGCCCACAAGUCUACUCGACCAUAAUCCGAAUACAGCUAGGACCACAUCCGACCAAUGUCCUCGGAUCCGACCUCGUAGGUUCCUUCCCUUAAGCGCGCGACCCUUUAGGUUCAAGUCGGCUUGGUCGCUGUUCGGAUCACCUCCGAACUGCACGGUUGGUAGCGGCCUCUAGCAAGGCAUGCCGAACACCAAGCAGACCAUGAAGCUGGUUAGGUGAACCUGUACAUCAUACUUUUGUUCCCUUUGCCACACGAUAUAUGUUGUCGGGCUCAAGGCGAGAUUGUCAUCCUUGUGCUAGCCCGACCUCUUUCUCCUUCCAGUGAUACCGACCACUAUCCGGAUUAUCUCAUAAUCCUUGUCGCAUGGCCAUGCUUAUCCUGAUCGGAUCACACGAGGGGCCCAGAGUAUAUCUCUCCUGAUCGGAGGGGCAAAUCCCAUCUUGCUCAACCAUGUCUCGCAGCAUGGGACUGGACAAACCUGAAACCUACCUUUGUAACUAUCUAGUCACGGAGUAGCGUUUGGUCGGCCCAAAGCAAGUCUGUCACCAUCCCGAGCACAUGCGUCAGCUCAGGUCUUAGGACAUAGAACAUAUGUUGUACUAGAGACUCACAUAUGACAUAUCGUUGCGUCUCAUAGUUGGGUCUGUCCGACUCAAACCUUAUCUCGACUCGGAUCUGACUACGUCGAAUCCGAUCAGACCUUCCCAAGUCCAUAUUAUCUGGUUAGCAUGGCUAGUGAGACCAAGCCAUCGACCGUGUCAUAUGCUAGUCUAGUCGGCUACGCGUCCACACAACCCUUUCGACUAGGGACCUUUUAGGACAGUCAUCAUACAAUGCAUAGUCCCACAAACAAGUCACGUACUUGCUGAUACACAUCAUUGAUAAUGUCCAAGGACUAUCUUUAUUUGUAAACACGUAGGAAAUAUCAUCAUACAUGAUUGCCUCUAGGGCAUAUCUCCAACAGUCUCCCACUUGCACUAGAGUCAAUCAAAUAGACAUCGAAUGCCCAUAGCUCUAACGUGCCCCUCAUGCUUGGGUUGUGGAAGCGGCUUAGUCAACGGAUCUGCAACAUUUGCAUCCGUGUGAAUCUUGCAUAACUCUACAUCACCAUUCUUUAUGAUCUUUUGUAUCAGGUGAUAUUUCCGAUCUAUGUGUCUGACCUUGUGGUGAUUCCUUGGCUCCUUGGCUUGUGCGAUGGCACCAGAAUUAUCACAAUAAAGGUCCAACAGUUUCACCGAGGCUGGGAAAAUACCAAGAUCAUCCAGAAAAUGCCGGAUCCAAACACCUUCCUUUGCAGCUUCACAAGCCGCAAUGUAUUCGACUUCUGUGGUAGAAUCAGCCACCGUAUCCUGCUUGAAACUCAUCCAGUGCACUGCUCCUCCGUUUAGGAUGUACACGAAUCUAGACAGUGAUCGACAAUCAUCUCUGUCGGUUUGGAAACUAGCAUCGACGUAACCCCUUACGACGAGCUCUUCCUCACCUCCAUAAACUAGGAACAUCUCUUUAGUCAUUUUCAGGUACUUCAAAAUAGUCUUUACCGCUGCCGAGUGACUCUCACCUGGGUUGGCCUGGUAUCUGCUUGUUAGGCUUAUUGCAAAAGCAACAUCAGGCCUUGUAGAUAUCAUGGCAUACAUGAUGGAUCCGAUUGCCGAGGCAUACAAAAUCCUACUCAUCCUGCUUCGCUCAUCAGGUGUCGAAGGACUCUGAGUCUCGCUUAGCCUUAUACCAUGUGAGAGUGGCAAGAACCCUUUCUUCGCCUCACUCAUGUUGAACCGCUUCAACACUUUAUCUAUGUACGUGCUCUGGCUUAAGCCGAGCAGCCUCCUUGAUCUAUCUCUAUAGAUCUUAAUGUCUAAAAUAUAUACUGCCUCACCAAGGUCUUUCAUUGAAAACUUGCCAUUCAAUGACUCGUUGACCGAGUUUAGCAUCGAAACAUCAUUUCCGAUCAGUAGUAUGUCAUCCACAUACAAGAUCAAAAACACUAUCGAGCUCCCACUUAACUUCUUGUACAAACAAGAGUCCUCUUCACUUUUGAUGAAACCGAGACCAGUGACGACCUCAUCAAAACGAAUAUUCCAGCUCCGAGAUGCUUGCCUCAACCCAUAAAUGGAUCUUUUGAGCUUGCAUACUUUACUAGUGCUAGUAGGAUCAACAAAACCCUUGGGCCGUAUCAUAUACACGUCCUCGGUUAAAUUUCCAUGAAGGAAAGCCGUUUUGACAUCCAUCUGCCAUAUCUCGUAAUCGAAAUAUGCAGCUAUAGCUAGUAUGAUCCUCACCAACUUCAGCAUCGCUACCGGUGAGUAAGUCUCAUCGUAGUCAAUUCCUUGAACUUGUCCAUAACCUUUAGCGACAAGCCGAGCUUUAUGGAUCUGAACAUUUCCAUCCACAUCGGUUUUCUUCUUAAAGACCCAUUUGCAACCAAUGGAUGUUAUGCCAGGUGGCGGAUCAACCAAGUCCCAAACUUGAUUCUCAUCCAUGGACUUUAACUCGGAUCUCAUGGCCUCCAGCCAUGCCUCAGAAUCUGGGCUCACCAUCGCUUCUGCAUAUGUGGCCGGCUCGUCGCUUUCCAGCAACAAUACAUCACACACUCUGCGCAAUCUUUUCGACCUUCGUGGUUCUGGUGCCGCUUCCACUACGGGUUCCCUGACUGACUCCGGUAUGAUCUCAUCACUAGCCGAGCCGUCCCCGAGUGGUCCUUGAAUUUCUUUGAGUCGGACCAUCCUCCCACUAGCCUCCCGACUGAGAAACUCUUUCUCAAGGAAAACCCCGUUCCGAGCAACAAACACUUUGUUCUCUUCUCGGUUGUAGAAGCUAUAUCCCAAGGUUUCCCUCGGAUAUCCCACGGAUAUGCAUUUAUCUGACUUGGGUGUAAGCUUGUCUGACAUAAGUCGCUUGACAAAUGCUUCACAGCCCCAAAUCUGUAGAAAAGACAAACUGGGACUCUUCCCGGUCCACAUCUCAUGUGGUGUCUUGUCUACGAACUUUGAUGGUACCGUGUUAAGUGUGAAAGCUGUGGUUUCUAGAGCGUAUCCCCAGAAUGACAAGGGUAAAUCCGAUUUGCUCAUCAUAGACCGGACCAUGUCCAACAAGGUCCUAUUCCUCCGUUCUGACACGCCGUUUCUCUGUGGCGUACCCGGAGGUGUGAGCUGAGGUACUAUACCUCGACUUUUCAGAUGAUCAUCACACUCCUGGCUCAUGUACUCACCUCCACGAUCAGAUCGCAUAAGCUUUAUAGUGUUGCCGAGUUGAUUUUGAACCUCGUUCUGAAACUCCUUGAACUUUUCAAAAGUCUCCGACUUGUGCCUCAUCAAAUAGAUAUACCCAUAUCUAUUCAAGUCAUCGGUAAAAGUCACGAAGUACUGAUAGCCACCUCUAGCAGUUGUGCUCAUUGGACCACACACAUCACUAGGUAUAAGUUCCAACGGCUCGGAUGCCCUUUCGCAACUCUUUGUAAAAGGAGACUUAGUCAUCUUGCCGAGCAAGCAUGAUUCACAUGUCUCGAACGACCUGAAAUCGAACGAAGUUAGGAGCCCAUCAUCAUGGAGCUUCUUCAUGUGUUUCAGACUAAUGUGUCCAAGCCGGCAAUGCCAGAAAUAUGUCGGAUUUAUCUCAUUUGGCUUAUGCCUCUUGACAUUCACGUUAUAGACCGGUUCCUGUUCUAGAUUCAAUAUAAUUAGCCCAUCAAUAAUGGGUGCAUAGUCGUGGAACAUACCAUUCAAAAAUAUCGAACAACCAUUGUCCUUUAAAUUGAAUUCAUAACCUUGACUCAUCAAACAUGAGGCAGAAAUAAUGUUCCGAGUAAGUGCAGGAAUGUAAUAACAAUUAUUCAAUUCCAUAAUGAAUCCGGAAGGAAGCUGGAGUUGCAUCGUGCCGACCUCCAACGCAGCAACUCUUGCUUUGUUGCCGACCCUGAUGUCAAUCUCCCCUUGUGCCACAUGCCUAGUUCUUACCAGCCCCUGCAUCGAGUUGCAAAUAUGAACAACCGAUCCGGUAUCAAAUACCCAAGAGCUACUAGGUAUGUCAGCAAGGUAAAUGUUUAUAACAUAUGCAACAAGUGUACCUUUGCCUGAAGAAGCAUUCCUGACCUUCUUGCCAUGCCCUGCAAGCCACUUGCUAUAGUUCCUCUUCCAGUGACCGGUCUCCUUGCAGUGAUAACAAAUGGUCUUUGAGUCCGGUCCAGACUUUGGUGCAGCGGCGGAGGUUACCGUCUCCGUGCCCUUUGCCUUAGCCUUUUCCUUGGACCAACUCUUCUUGAACUUAGCCGAUUUCUGCACCAUCAAGACUUGAUGUGUGCCUUUCUUAAUGUCCUGCUCUACCACUUUGAGCAUCCCAUGCAAUUCAGUGAGCUUCUUAUCCAUGCUAUGCAUAUGAUAGUUCCAGAUGAACGUCCCAUAGCUGGGUGGAAGAGAACUCAGAACAGCAUCUAUAGCAAGCUCAUCCAAGAGCGGGAAACCCAACCGAUCCAAAGCUUGCACAUAUCCGAUCAUCUUGAUCACAUGUGGGCUCAGUGUAUCACCUUCCUUCAGCUUGCAAUCCAUCAAGGAUCGCCAUACGUUGAACCUUUUGGUCCUAGCCUGUGUCUGAAACAUGCUCUUGAGACUCUCAAUCAUAUCGUAAGCCUCAACAUUUUCAAAAUCCUGUUGCAAAUCGGGCUCCAUACAAGCCAGCAUCAAACAGCUGAUCUCCGUUGAUUCAUCAACGAGUUUCUGGUAGGCAUUCUUAGUUGUGGCAUUAGCAUUAUCGGCAGGUUCCUCUGGAAGUGGAUCCUCUAGAACAUGUUCCUUUUUAUCAUGCUUGAGAACAAUUCUCAGAUUUCUAUACCAGGUGGUAAAGUUUGUUCCAUUCAGUUUAUCCUUUUCCAGAAUUGAUUUCAAUGCAAAGUUGGGUUGAGCAGGUGGUGCCAUUGAUCUACAACAGAAAAUAUGCAAUCACUAAGCAAUGUGUUUAUGUAGAGUAAUUCAAGCCUAAACAGAAAUACUCCCACUGAAGUCAGCAUCCCUCCGCAAACUCUUAGUGAUUCAGGAUCCGACUAGCGCAUGCGACUAGUGAGCUUUAGCAUCACUACUAGCCAACAUACCUAUCUGUCGGAUUUCGGGUUCCGGCAGACCCUCUAGGUUCGAACUCUGGGGUGCACGCGGAGAUUUCACCCUCUGCCUACCUGCACCUCACCGCCUCGCUAUGAACUAAGCAAUCAAGGAACAACACAAGAGACACAGAGUUUAUACUGGUUCAGGCCACCAUUGUGGUGUAAUACCCUACUCCAGUGUGUGGUGUGGUGGAUUGCCUCUUGGGCUGACGAUGAACAAUACAAGGGAGAACAGCCUCGCGAGGGUCUGUCCUUGGCUGGUGCGAUGAACUGCUAGGGGGAGUUCAGUCGCUCUCUCUACUGGUUUCCUGGUGAGGAUCCCAUCUCUAUCUGUUGAUAUUGUUGUCCGUUGUCCGUUGUUCGUUCUCCGUUUCUGUUGUUACUAGUCCUAUAUAUAGGCAAAGGCCCUGGGCCUCCUCCCAAAUAUUGAGCGGGAAGGGUGCCAACAAUUGGCCAUUUUGAAGGGGAACAUCUAGUACACUUAUCCUGACUAAAGUUGGUCCUCGCCUGCUAAAGGCUCUGGUGGUGACACCGGCUUGGGCUCCACGAUGACCUUCAUCCGGCCGUUCUGCUGGUCUUGGUCUCGUUGCACCAAAAUGGAUGCCUUUGCUUGAUGCUCUCGCUUGCGCUUGCUCCCUUUGCACCAAAGAGGAAAGAAGGACACUGUGCGGGCUGGCGCCCUUGGUCGUCAUGGCUUGCGUCAUGGGCACCUCGUGAGGUACCCCGCCUUGAUCUCCUCGCCUCCUCGCGAGCCAGCCUGACACGGCCGUGCCUGAGGAAGCCUCCUAUCGUCCGCCCCGCGAGGCUUGGCCUCUUGCGAGGGUCUUGAGCUCAUGCUGAUGAAGAUGGGCCAUGCUGGGCCGCGCCUUGAGCCACGCCGCAGGCCGCAGGCAGGCAAGUCCGGGGACCCCCGUUCCCAGAAUGCUGACAGUAGCCCCCGGGCCCAAGGCGCGCCCGGACUUGGCUGAGCAGAGAGGCGAAGGGGCAAGUGCGAAGCGCCGCGGGCCCUAACAGCCUGCGGCCUCGAGCAUCGCGUUGCGGUUGAUUGGACGUGGGCGGCUCCGCUCCCCCACGACGCCUCGGCGAUUGCACGAACUGACAAGUCCCUGCGUGCAAAAACUGGUCAUGGUUACCUGUGAUCAUGGAAGCCAACGGCUGGCCUCCCCUGGCUAUAAGUACGGAACGACGUGAGCCAUUCCAGUUCAUCUUCCUCUGCUACUUCUCCUCUUCUUCAUCUUCGCCACUGCUCCGCCUUGGCGCAAUGGCUCCGAUACGCCGGUUCUCCGCAGAAGAGAAGGGAAAGGCCCCCCGAGAGGGCCCCGACCCGCUUCCACCAAAGAAGCAGUUGAUCCUCUGCCGCCGAGACGAGGGCGUGCGGCAGGAGGUGUCGAGGCCUUAGUGCGAGCAGCCGCCACCAGGGUUUCCGCUGACCUUGUACGCCCACCUUGAGGGCCCUGCAGGAGCCGAUGCCGAGUGUCAUGGACGACGACGCCAUUGGCGCCGGCGGGUCACGGCGGUGCGCGUUGUCCCUCCUGGAGUUCACACUAGGGGCUCCUCCCGAGAGUUUGUGCUCCACGCCGCCAUGCCUCCUCGGUUUUGGAUUCGCCUUCCUCCUUCCUUCGCCUUCGAGAUUCCGUCGAGGGGGCCUUUCAGGCUCUGGCUGCAGCACGCCAAUUGCCCGACUCCUGCGACAAAUGCGGAUGUCGAGGUCGUCGCCCCAGGUAAGGUCUUCAUGACCCGGGGCUAGGGCAAGAUCGCCCGGGCUUGCAGGACGAGGGGCGCCCUCGUGAUCCACCUGGAGUUCGACGGUGCUUCCAUGAUGCUCUUCAAGGUCUUCGAUGAAGAUGGGCGUCGGCUGGAGUGCUGUCCCAGAGGCAGCGGCAGAAGCCCCGGAGCGGCAAGGACCAGGCCUGCCGUCGCACGCUCUUCCAGCAGCUCCUCAAGCGGCGAGGGCGCCGGAGGAUCCAGCGACUCCGCCGAGCUCUUCGCGACUCUGGAGACGAGCGACGACAGCUACGAGCCCUCGAGCCUGCGCCGCUAUCGGAGCAGGACAGGCCCGUUAGGCUGCCGCCGUCUCUGAUCUGGAUGAGGUUGGCGCCGGUGCCUGGCGGCCCACUGUUGAUGAUGGCGUCUGCCACGACGGUUCCUGCAGUUAGGACUCCUUAGGAUAUGCGUCUCUUGUCCCUACGAGGAGCCAAGAAUACACCCCGUGGGGGCUUGUAAGGUGUCUGUAGCUCCGUUUGUCAAUAUGAUCCUUAUCGUGAAGUAGUGCGAGAUUCUUAUUCCGUCUUAGCUUAGUUUCUUCCUUUCGGACCUCACGAGGGCUUGGCGCUCUACGCCGACAGGUCCCGGUCCCAAGGCGGCUUCACCAUCGCUGGUAUGCCAGGUCGCGAUGCCAUGGUCAAGGCCAGGAGGUGAGCGGCCCGGGGUCCAGUAAGAGCCCCUGAGUCGCGAUGCUCAGGAGGUCCCCUUUGGCGCUCAAGCAGCUAUCGUUCGGUGAGAAAGGAAUGUGAUGUUGCUAACACGGGAUUGCAUUGGAUGCGGUGACGGUGCUGCGAUAGCUAGUGUUUCCGGAGAGUGACUUAUCUCGAGGGUCGGGUAACGCUUCCUGGUGCGGCGCUAGGUCCGUGCCUUGGCCGGCAAGGGGUUGCCUGGCGAGGUCUCCGCGUGCCUCUUUCCUCUCUUCUCUGCUCCCCUUUCUGCUCUACGUCCUCGGAUCCCGGCCCUCGAGUUGGUCUCAGCCGUCGCUGGUUUGCCAGGGCGCGAUGCCGUGGGCAAAGCCAAAGGGUGAGGGCUGGAGAGCUGGUAGGAGCCCUGAGUCGCGAUGCUCAGGCACCCCCCCUUUAAUGCGCAAGCGGUUCGCAUGGACGAGAGUGAAGAGGACGCCUUGAGGGCCUCGCCUGGCGCUUCUCCUUGGGGGGAUCCUGCAGACCCACCACAAAAAGGAGCAAAAGCCCGCUAUGACAAGCGGUGGUCAGCCGUUAGUUGCUUUGGAGAGGCGACGAGGCACUAAAGGCCUGACGAGGUGUAUUGGGGCACCCGUGAGCCAGCGCGGGACUCACGGGGCCCUACCCCAAGGCGGGCUGCACCUGGCACCGGGCCUUAUCCUGUGAUGUGUUCCUGCAAAUUUGGCCAGAUGCCGAUGCUCUACGUCCUCGGGUCCCGACCCUCGAGCUGGUCUCAGCCGUCGCUGGUUUGCCGGGGCGCGAUGCCGUGGGCAAAGCCAAAGGGUGAGGGCUAGAGAGCCGGUAAGAGCCCUGAGUCGCGAUGCUCGGGUACCCCCCCUUUAACGUGCAAGCUUGGUUAGAUGUAGACACUCUACAUCCUCGGGUCCCGGCCCUCGAGCUAGUCUCAAUCGUCGCUGGUUUGCCGGGGCGCGAUGCCGUGGGCAAAGCCAGAGGGUGAGGGCUGGAGAGCCGGUAGGAGCCCUGAGUCGUGAUGCUCAGGUACCCCCCCUUUAACGCGCAAGAUUGGUUAGAUGUCGACGCUCUACGUCCUCGGGUCCCGGCCCUCGAGCUGGUCUCAGCCGUCGCUGGUUUGCCGGGGCGUGAUGCCAUGGGCAAAGCCAGAGGGUGAGGGCUGGAGAGCCGGUAAGAGCCCUGAGUCGCGAUGCUCAGGCACCCCCCCUUUAACACGCAAGCUUCCGACAUCAAGGAAGAAGAGGUGCCACGGAUAGGCACCAAAUAACAAGCAUGAUGGGUCGAAUGCAUGGCCCGAAAAUAAACGCAAGAGGGGUACACGUCGCCGGGUCUGACCCGAGCGACUUGGGGAUGAUGCAGCCCGAGGGGCGCCCCCAACAAAGUAAGAUAAGAACACAAGCAAAAGGGAUACACGCCGCAGGGACGGACCCAUGCGGCCUGGGAUUGAUGCAGCCCUGAGGGCGCUCCCAGCUGGAAACGAAACUUGAAAGAUGUCACCUGAUAGUGUUGACGACGAAGGGGUGUUGAAGUAGCAGACGUAGCGGGCUGCGAGAGCCGAUCUUCAUGAGCCCCCAGGCCCAGGAGCCUCGGGAGGCUCCAGAGGCGCUGGUGGCUCUUCGCGAACCGUCUCCAUCUCCACCAGGACUGCAGAACGCCUGGCCUCCUGAGCCUCCAGGAUGCUCCUCAUGAGGUGCUGGUGCACCGCGGCCGUGUUCGGCAAGCCGUAGGGCAUGCAAACGUAGCCGUGGGGUGGGCCUCUGCAGCGCCCCACACGUGAGGGCCAGAAGUGCUCCUGAGAGGCGACUCGGUUGAGCCCUGGGAUGUCGAUGCAGACUCACAGCCCGCCAUCCUCACCUGGAUGGGGAGCUGUGGCGGGUAGGCGGCGGCUGCCACUCAUGACUCUUGACUCCUUCAACUCCUGUGUGAUCUGACUGACGAACUCCUGCGGGGUUGGCCCUCCUUGCUUUGCUCCUUCCUGAGGGAAACGUGUUCUGAAACACGCCUCCAAGCGGUGCCCAAGCGCCUCCCUCGUGACCUUAGCAAGGUCGAUGGCCCUCCAGGUGGGAGCCCCCGAGCCCUGCUUGAGGAGAGCGCUGGGCACGCCUCCCUAUGCGACAGAAGGAGGCACCCCCUGAGCAGGCGCAGACCCUGAGGGGCCUGCCUCCUGAGGGGUCGGGCCUGGCGAUGUCUUCUUCUUCUUGGGGGCGGUCUCAGGGAGCCUCCCACUCCCGCGAUCUGGGUCUUCAAGUGAUGCGGCCUGAAAAGCUCGUUCCAGGGAACACACCGCGUCUCUUUCUUCACAAGGCACCGUGAUGACUCCACCGCUUCCUGGCAUUUUGAGGACGUUGUAGCCGUGAUGAGUCACGGCCAUGAACUUGGCGAGAGCUGGGUAGCCAAGGAUGGCAUUGUACGGCAGGCGAAUGUGGGCAACGUCAAAGUCGAUGAGCUCGGUGCGGUAGUUGUUGCGUGCCCCGAAGGUGACAGGGAGGAGAACCUGCCCAAUUGGAACUGUGGAGCCGUCGGUGACUCCAGAGAAAGGCUUGGUUGGCUAAAGCUGAUCGUAAGGCACUUGGAGAUUGUUGAACGUCUCUACGGACAGGACGUUGAGCCCUGCCCCACCAUCGAUGAGGGUCCUGGUGGCUUGCACGUUGCUGAUGACUGGGGAGCAAAGCAUCGGGAGGACUCCGGCUGUGGCCGCGCACUUGAGCUGAUCCGCUGAGCAGAACGUGAUGGUGCAUGCUGACCACCUGAGGGGCGCGUGGCUUCAAGCUUAGGAAGGACUGCAUUCACUUCAUGGGCGAACUGCUUGAAGAUGCGUUGAGAGGCUGGGGCUUGAGCUCUGCCCAGGAUGCAGGCAAUCGCGCGCGGCUCCUGGAAGCCCCCAGCCCCCUCGUCCUGAUGAUGGUCCUCAUUUCUCCUUGGCUGUGGCGGCAGUGGAGGGAGGCCUGCGUUUCCUGGGCGAUCCUCGCGAGGCCGAUCCCUCCAGUCUCCCUCGCAAGGCUGAUCCUGCCAGCGAUCCUCGCGAGGUUGGUCGCGCCACCCUUGGCGAGGGCCGCGGUCUUCCCAGCGUCCUGUGUUCCUUCCUCCUCCUCGGCCAUAGCCGCGAUCAUUGCGGUCGGGGCGUCGGCCGACCCUUCCUUCUCGCACGGCUCGGAGCUCUUGGCAUUCGUUGGUGUUGUGGGUGUGGAGGUCGUGGUACACACAUUACCGGCUGCCCUUGAAAGACUCGUGUUGAUCUCUGCCCCGCUUGGUGUCUGGUUCCGCCGCGAGCACGGCAGCCCCCUUGCACUUCACGUCCUUGGCCUUGGAUUUCUUCUCUUCUGGGUCGGCGGCUGGCAGCUCGAGGAGGGAAAGGCACCCUUCCUCAGCCCUCGCGCACUUGGUUGCCAAGUUGAACAGCUCCAAGGAAGUGCACAGAUCUUCAUGCAUCGCCAGCUCCUCCUUCAUCUUGACGUCGCGCACGCCGUCGGAGAAGGCUGAGAUGAUGGCCUCCUCGGUCACCUUGGGAAUCUUGAGACAUGCGUUGUUGAAGCGCUGGAUGUACUUCUGCAGGGUCUCCCAUGGUUGCUGCUUGAUGCGGCGCAUGUCGCUCACGGUAGGUGGCCGGUCGCGAGUACCUUGGAUGUUGGUGAUGAAAUGGGUGCGCAUCUCGUCCCAGGAGGAGAUCGUGCCUGGCGCCAGGUUCAGGAGCCACGUGCGGGCCCCGUCCUUGAGUGCCAUGGGAAACCAGUUCGCCAUGACCUUCUCGUCCCCGUUGGCGGCUUCGAUGCCCAGCUCGUAGAGCUGGAGGAACUCCGCAGGGUCGAUCAUGCCGUCGUAGCGAGGAGGCAGGUCUGGCUUGAACUUGCAGGGCCACAAGACGCUGUGCAGCCCGACGGUGUAGGCGCGACAUCCUACCGUGGCCACGGGAGGCCUCUGGUGACGGGGAGCAUGGUCUUGCGGGUCCCCAUGCGCUGGAGCUGGGAGCAGCGCGCGCUGGGACAGGAGCGUGGUCGUGACGGACCGGUGCAGGGAGCACUCGGGCAGCUUCUUAGGGGCGAGGAACCUCUUGGCAGCUCCGCUCUUGCUGCACUGGCGCUGGACGGGGUGGGUUCCAUCCAGGGGCCACACGCCUUGGGGCCAGGGCGCCUUCUUGAGGAGGAGGCGGCUGAGGCGCCCCCAGAGCUUCAUUGCCCGCGCAGGGCGGGGUGCGGUGCAGCGAGAAGGACGGCGUGGGGGAGCCCCUGCGGCGCGGACGAGCUUAGUGACGCGGUCGAGCCACUCUUCAUAGACGUCGACUGGGCGGUAGCGCAGGAGCUCGUUUGCCGUGAUGAGCGCAGCUCGAGCCUCCAUGGCCGCGCGUGGCGCGCGGGACGAAGAACCAGCCGGGGCGAGCGAGGGAGUAGCAGUGAGGCCGUCUCGCCUCAUGGAUGGAUGCUGGGACGAUGCUUGCUGCUCGUUCCCCGCUGGGCCGGUGGCGGCGUUGACGGAAGGCGACGGGGAACGACGGGGGUGGCCGCCGACGGGGGCCGUCUGGGCGACGCAGGAAGCGAGAGCGGCUCGGCGCUCGGCGCGGGACUGACGAGCGUCUGACAUGGACGUGAUGGUCGGUGAAGAACAGGGCGGAAGAAGGCGAAUUCUGGCGCACCCCUAGCUGGCGCACCAAAUGUCGGAUUUCGGGUUCCGGCAGACCCUCUAGGUUCAAACUCUGGGGUGCAUGCGGAGAUUUCACCCUCUGCCUACCUGCACCUCACUGCCUCGCUAUGAACUAAGCAAUCAAGGAACAACACAAGAGACACAUAGUUUAUACUGGUUCAGGCCACCAUUGUGGUGUAAUACCCUACUCUAGUGUGUGGUGUGGUGGAUUGCCUCUUGGGAUGACGAUGAACAAUACAAGGGAGAACAGCCUCGCGAGGGUCUGUCCUUGGCUGGUGCGAUGAACUGCUAGGGGGAGUUCAGUCGCUCUCUCUACUGGUUUCCUAGUGAGGAUCCCAUCUCUAUCUGUUGAUGUUGUUGUCCGUUGUCUGUUGUUCGUUCUCCGUUUCUGUUGUUACUAGUCCUAUAUAUAGGCAAAGGCCCUGGGCCUCCUCCCAAAUAUUGAGCGGGAAGGGCGCCAACAAUUGGCCAUUUUGAAGGGGAACAUCUAGUACACUUAUCCUGACUAAAGUUGGUCCUCGCCUGCUAAAGGCUCUGGUGGUGACACCGGCUUGGGCUCCACGAUGACCUCCAUCCGGCCGUUCUGUUGGUCUUGGUCUUGUUGCACCGAAAUGGAUGCCUUUGCUUGAUGCUCUCACCUGCGCUUGCUCCCUUUGCACCAAAGAGGAAAGAAGGACACUGCGCGGGCUGGCGCCUGCCUGGCGCCCUUGGUCGUCAUGGCUUGCAUCAUGGACACCUCGUGAGGUACCCCGCCUUGAUCUCUCCGCCUCCUCGCGAGCCCGCCUGACGCGGCCGUGCCUGAGGAAGCCUCCUGUCAUCCGCCCCGCGAGGCUUGGCCCCUCGCGAGGGUCUUGAGCUCGUGUUGAUGAAGACGGGCCAUGCUGGGCUGCCCCUUGAGCCACGCCGCAGGCCGCAGGCAGGCAAGUCUGGGGACCCCCGUUCCUAGAACGCCGACAGUAUCCGGUAAGCAACUCCUUGCUAAUCAUAUCUCUGUAUGACUCCUAUCGGUCGGGAAGGUAUCUCAUACCCCGGCUCCCAACCUUCUUUGCCACAAGGCCCAAAACCGUUUUGAUAGCCUUGUGAAGUUAACCUGAUGUAGUGCAUGUCCAUGUCCGACAUGAACCCUUCAGUUGAAGGACACCUAGCAGCACCCCAAUUUUAUGAGCCUACUACUAGACGUACUUCACGUGCGAAGGUGCAACAUCGGGGAUGGCAUUUUGCUUGAUAUUCAUGAGGGAUCAUUCUACCAUUCUAACAUGCAUAGAAACAAAGAAGCAUAACAAUCACAAAUAAACACAUAUUGUGAAAUAGUAUGGCUCCUUCAUGGACGUUCUUCCAGGUCGGCUCCGACUCCGAUGACCAUCUAGAAACUCCAUCUUGUUUGUCCCGCCGGGACGCCAAGCCACCAACCUGAUCUCUAUUAUCCAACUACUACAACUAGUAAUGAAUUUUACAUAGAGUCACAAGUCGACACGCAGGUCGUUAUACAAUAUAAUGACAACACUUUGGCUCCUGCCGGCUGACAAACAUGACACGCAGGCCACGUAUAAAUUACACACAUGCAUCACAUACACAUGGGCCAUACUAUUCACAUCAAACCUACAAAACAAAGUUAUGCAUAGAAUUGCAUUCUACUGGUUUGUGUGUCAGGUACGAAAUACACGGCGCUACGCACACGGCGGUACAAGUGCACCGCCUCUAAUGGUAUCCGCGCGUGCAGGAGGAACACCAUGCGGUGGACUGCUAGGUCCAAUCACAUAGUCGGCGGCGAGUGGAGGUGGCUAUUCGCAACACAUGCAAACCCUAGUCGCAGUGCCGAAGUGAUCAAUCACAUGAGUGUGCUGCACCUCCACUUUAUAUAGGCGUCCGUCGCGGGCUCAACACUUGGGCCUCGCACGGACCCUAAAGCCCACAAGUCUACUCGGCCAUAAUCCGAAUACAGCUCGGACCACAUUCGACCAAUGUCCUCGGAUCCGACCUCGUAGGUUCCUUCCCUUAAGCGCGCAACCCUUUAGGUUCAAGUCGGCUUGGUCGCAGUUCGGGUCACCUCCGAACUGCACGGUUGGUAGCGGCCUCUAGCAAGGCAUGCCGAACACCAAGCAGACUGUGAAGCUGGUUAGGCGAACCUGUACAUCAUACUUUUGUUCCCUUUGCCACACGAUAUAUGUUGUCGGGCUCAAGGAGGGACUGUCAUCCUUGUGCUAGCCCGACCUCUUUCUCGUUCCAGUGAUACCGACCACUAUUUGGAUUAUCUCAUAAUCCUUAUCGCAUGGCCAUGCUUAUCCUGGUCGGAUCACACGAGGGGCCCAGGGUAUAUCUCUCCUGAUCGGAGGGGCAAAUCCCAUCUUGCUCGACCAUGUCUCACAGCAUGGGACUGGACAAACCCGAAACCUACCUUUGUAACUACCUAGUCACGGAGUAGCGUUUGGUCGGCCCAAAGCAAGUCUGUCACCAUCCCGAGCACAUGCGUCAGCUCAGGUCUUAGGACAUAGAACGUAUGUUGUACUAGAUACUCACAGAUGACAUAUCGCUGCGUCUCAUAGUUGGGUCUGUCCGACUCGGACCUUAUCUCAACUCGGAUCCGACUACGUCAAAUCCGACCAGACCUUUCCAAGUCCAUAUUAUCUGGUUAGAAUCCAAUGCUCCAUGGCUAGUGAGACAAAGCCAUCGACCGUGUCAUAUGCUAGUCUAGUCGGCUGCGCGUCCACACAACCCUUUCGACUAGGGACCUUUUAGGAUAGUCAUCAUACAAUGCAUAGUCUCACAAACAAGUCACGUACUUGCUGAUACACAUCAUUGAUAAUGUCCAAGGACUAUCUUUAUUCAUAAACACAUAGGAAAUAUCAUCAUACAUGAUUGCCUCUAGGGCAUAUCUCCAACACUCUUUUGUGCCCCUUAUUUGUGCACGGGCAAUCAGAGCCGCGCCCACGGCCGCACUUAAGUAGGGCAGAGACAGGAAAUCAGAGCCACAACACAGAAUCAAAGCAACGCCAUGAUAGAAGCACAAAGAGCCAGAAGGCGAAGUGGUUUCCCCCGCGGUAAGGUUCUUGCCAGGGCAGCCCCCACGGCCCCGGCAAGGCCCUUGCCGGGGCAGCCUACCUGACGCCAGCAGGGCAUGCCACCCUUGAGACCUGAUCCAUCCAGAGCCACCAUGCUGGCAUGCGGAUCUUUGUGAAGACAAGGAUAAUACUCCAAAUCAGAAGAGUAGAAGACGACGAACCUCGACGAGAUCUUCGCCGAGAAAACCCACAAGACCCCCGGCAAGAUCCUUGCUGGGGACGGCCGCAACACCAUGACGAGACCCUUGCCGGGGGCACCGGCAAGGCCCUUCCCGAGGACGUCCAUGAGACCACAGCCAGGCCCGCACCUGCCAAGCUUCUGCUACCACUCCCAUGUAGCUGCAAGCCCACUAGCUGGGCAGGCACCUGCGUGUCAGCACAAGGAUUCUUGGCCAAAUCAGUGCAUGCCUACGUGGUGGCAUGCAAAUCUUCGUGAAGGCCCUACCACCACGCCACCUCAGCAGCCUGCCAGCCUACAUGGCACCACCGCCUCGCUGGCCCAGGCGCGUGUCAAAGCAGGGUGAGGUGGCGGUAAAGUGGAGGGGACACAUCAGGGGCGCAUUAAAUGCACUUUGUCCCGUAAUGGCGAGGGAUAGGCUUAAUCACAGUGCCCCGAUGCCACCUCCUGUGUGCCACUGUGGCGAUCCCGUUGCCUAUAAAAGGAGGCCUGUGGCAUCCAGGAGAGGGAUUCAGACUUUUGAACAAGUUACGCCCAUUGUAGCUAGUUCAAGAACCUCAAGAACACAAAUACACACAUCCAAGCAGGACUAGGGUGUUACGCAUCUCUACGGCUCGAACCUGGGUAAACGAUCCGCGUACUUUACUGACUGCUGAUCCUGCUCUCCUCACCACCCAGCGCCCCGCAACCGAAGUCGGAAUCCUUCUGAUCCCAUAGGUGUCGUUUCCCACCGACAUCUUUGGCGCGCCUGGUCGGGGGCGCAGUAGUGAGCAUUCGGUUUAGCGGCUAGUAGCACAACUCUUCAUCGCCAUGGCUCCCGAGAACAAGACGACCAUAGCGAUCGGUUCAUCCGGGACCGGACUGCCUGUACCGGCAUUGACCAAUAGCGGGCCAGUCAUGGAGAGAACCCGUGGCGCAGCCCGCGAACAUCCCCAUCACCCUGGCAGUCCGGGCCUGGUGAGCGGUGUCGUUCGUGCGCUAGUCGAUGAGCCACACGUCGUGAACUCCAUAGAUGGAGUUGGGCCCCCCGCGGGCGGCGCGGGGCCCUCCAGGGGCGUCGUCGUGCCGCCAGACGGCGACGCGGCGACCUCCAAGACACCAACACCGGCGCCCACGGUGCGCUCUUCUCGGGUCGUGCUCGAUGAGCAGCCGCCCCGCUGGUGAUCCUGGGCGCCGCCCUGGGAAGAGUCCCGUGCGCUCUUCACGUGACGAGGAGGGCCAGCAUGCGCGCUGAGGUGUUGGCAGAGGUGGCGGACGGCCGCAGGGCCGUGAUGGAGCUCCUUCUAACGUAGUUAGAAGUCGAAGCGCAUCACGGUCCAUGCAGCUUUCGCCGCCGCCCACACCAGCAGAAGCCCUAGCGCGCGUAGCUGCUCCUCGACUUUCCUCCCGCUGCGGAGAAGCUCGACAAAUGGAGGGCCACUGUUCGGAGCCUCGUCGGCAUCACCAACAAAGAUGAGUUGUGACCGGCGGGGCCCGUAGGCCGUCGCUCCAUCGAGCCACCGCAUGCCAGCGGUGGACGGGCCGGAGGUGAUGCGGCCACGGUGCACUCCCCUCCUCCACACCAGCCACCGCAGGUGUCGGUCCAUCGCGAAGACGCUCAAGAUGAUAUUUCCAUAGCGUCGUCCAACCCACGAACCCACCGCGACCAGCGUCAAGUUCUUCAGGAGCGAGCUCAUGAAGACGCCCGAACCACCAUUGAGCGCCAACGUGAUGCACGCCACUAGUCGGACAGGCAGGCAGGGCCCACUAUGGACCACCCAACACCGGGAGGCUACGGCGGCCUACCUUAGGAGGUGGGUUGUUCGGCCUUCACCUGUGAGCUGCGGCAGUUCCAGUGGCCCUCCCACCGCACGUUCAAGCCCGACGUUGGCGAGAAGUACAACGACAAGACUCACCCGUCGGAGUUCCUCAGCAUCUACACCAUCGCGAUGCAAGUUGCCGGGGCUCGCGAUGAUAAGGUGCUUGCCAAUUACUUCCCGUUGGCACUCAAGUCCAAUGUUAUGUCAUGGUUGAUGCACUUGCCGAUGGACUCCAUUUCUUCUUGGUCGGAUCUGUGUCAUGAGUUUGUUGGCGCCUUUACUGGAGGCCACCAAGCUCAUGGCCAUGCGAGCGAUUUGCAUAUCAUCCCCCAGAAGGAAGGAGAAAACUUGUGUAAGUACAUCCAAAGGUUCAGCCGAGUGCAGUACAACAUCCCAGACAUUCAUCCUGCCGCCAUGAUCAGUGCAUUCCAUCAGAAUGUGCAUAACCGCAAGAUGCAUCAGGAGCUGGCAAUGAACAAGGUCAGGGUUGUGGCCGAACUUUAUGUUCUGGCUGAUCGGUACGCUCGAGCUGAAGAGGGGAGGAAGUACCCCGGUGAGGACGCCGGCGCGGAAACCGACUCCAUGGAUGACACCGCCACCCCGGCAAAGAAGGGCCGGCGCCGUAACAAGAAGCGCAGGGGCAAGACCGUGCUUGCCGUUGAGGGGUACGACGACACCGGCACCACCAAGAAGGCCAAUGCAAGCGACCUCGGCAAGGAGGUUGCCGGGUGCACCGCUUGCCGGGCCUUGGCGGCUGCCGACAAGCUAGGGGGCUCCGACAAGCAGUAUUGCAAGAUCCACAGCACCAAGGGACACGACCUCCAGAACUGCCGGCAAGUUGAGCUGCUCGCUGAGAAGCAAAAAGCUGAGUAUGAGCAGCGGGACAAGGAGAAGGGCCAAGAGGGUGCCGAAGGAUCCGGCAAGAAGCACGGCAGCCAAGGAGGCCGCUGCGGCAAAGAUAAUUAGCAGGAGAGGCCCGCCCGAGGCCGCGACAAGAAGCAGGAAGACGAUGAUCAUGACGAUGACGAUGAGUCCGGCGACCACGAGUUCUAGAAAGCUACAGAGGCCAUGUGCAUCGACGGUGGCGCCUCGCUGCAUGUAUCCCACCGCCAGCUCAAGCAGUGGGCGUGUGAGAUCAUGGCGGUGGAGCCGUCACUCGAUUCACGGAAGCCAUUGAAGUGGUCCAGCACGCCUAUCAUCUUCGACACCGAGGACCACCCUGACCGCGCCACUGCGUUCGGGUGCUUGCCGUUGUUGGUCUCACCAACAAUCUGCAACCUCAAGGUGAUGAAGAUGCUAGUUGACGGCGGGGCCGGUCUGAACUUGAUCUCACUUGUUGUGAUCAAGAGGCUGAAGAUCGCUGAUGGGGACCUCGAGGAGACGGGCACGUUCCAAGGGGUCAUUCCAGGGAGGAGCCAGCCGAAGGGAAAGGUCAUGCUGCCCGUGACAUUUGGAGUUGAGUUGAACUACAUGAUUGGAGAGGAUUGUCUUUGAUGUAGCCAAGAUCCCCUUGCCUUACAACGGGGUCCUCGGCCGCCCGGCACUAGCCAAAUUCAUGGCGGCUUCUCACUACGCCUACAACACGCUGAAGAUGCCCGGGCUGAUGAACAUCAUCACCGUCCCCUCCGACAAGAAAGACACAUUGAUUUGCGCCGACCAACUCUACCGGGAAGCGGUUGCAGCAGCUGCCGCAGCUGCCGCCAAGGCACCUGCUCCCGCCGACGGAGUCCCGGGAGGAAAGAAGACCGACGAGACUCCUCGCACCCACUCCAGCAAGCACACCUCCUCGGGGUGUAGCGCUCCCGUCAGAACGUGCUAGAGAGCUCCACCGGCAAGAGCAAGAAGUCCAGAGCUGCACCACCAGAGACCAAGAAGGUGUCCGUCAAGGAGGACAGCACGGGAGGGGCUUUUACCAUAAGCUCCACCCUCGAUGGCAAAUAGGAAAGCGAGCUCGUCACUUUCUUGCGGGCGAAUGUUGAUGUGUUUGCAUGGCAAGCAUCCGACAUCCUCGGCGUUCCCAGGGAAGUGAUUGAGCACCAUCUUGCUGUCUGUCCUCAUGCAUGGCUUGUCAAGUAGAAGGCCAGGAAGCAAGCUCUGGAGAGGCAGGAGUUCAUCACGGAGGACAUCAGAAAACUAGAGGCAGCAGGCUUGGUAAGGGGGGCGCUCCACCCGACAUGGUUGGCCAACCCGGUAGUGGUGCGCAAGGCAAACGGGAAGUGGAGACUGUGUAUUGAUUACACAGACAUCAAUAAAGCUUGUCCAAAGGAUCCCUUCCCGUUACCAUGCAUCGACCAGAUUGUUGACUCCACGGCCGGGUGUGACCUGCUAUCAUUCCUCGACGCCUACUCAGGGUAGCAUCAGAUCUUCAUGACAAGAGAAGACGAGGAGAAGACGACAUUCAUCACCCCAUGUGGUACGUAUUGCUUUUUACGAAUGCCUUUCGGGUUGAAGAGUGCUGGCUCGACCUUUGCAAGAGCAGUCCAAAUUGGUUUUGAGCCCCAGCUACAUAGAAUUAUGGAAGCUUAUAUGGAUGACAUAGUGGUCAAAACCAAGGACAAAGCAACACUUGUGCAAGAUCUGGAGGAAACAUUUGCAAACCUGCACAAGAUCAACCUCAAGUUGAACCCUGAGAAGUGUGUCUUCGAUGUCCCGUCCGGCAAGCUUCUCGGGUUCUUUGUGUCACAGCACGGGAUUGAGGCAAACCCAGACAAGAUCAAAGCCAUCGAGCAAAUUGAGGCACCUAGGCGGAUCAAAGACGUGCGUCGGCUCACUGGUUGCGUUGCCGCCAUGAGCAGAUUCAUCUCCAAGUCCACAGAGCGUGCCCUUCCCUUUUUCAAGAUCUUGAAGAAGGCGGGCCUGAUGUAGUGGACCCCAGAGGCUGAGGCAACGCUGCAGAGUUUGAAGAAAUACCUCUCCUCUCCCCCAGUGCUGGUAGCACCUAAACCACAAGAACCGUUGCUGCUGUACCUAGCGGCAACGAAUCAGGUGGUUAGCGCCGCACUGGUGGCACAGAGAGAGGUCGACGAAGAGGCAAUAGCAACGACAGAAUCAACGGAUGGCGAGCCAGAACCCUCCCCGGCAGGGCUCGGUCCCGGCAAGACUGAGUCCCCGGCAAAGGCUGACACCAGUGCAACCGGGCCCGCGCGACUAGGUGAAGUGGUGCAAAAGAAGAAAAUGGUGCAACACCCACUUUACUUCGUCAGCUCCCUCUUGCAGGGGGCUAGGUCGAGGUACUCGGGGGUGAAAAAAUUGCUCUUCGGCCUCCUUAUGGCCUCGAGGAAGCUGCGUCAUUACUUACAACCGCAUGAGAUCACCGUUGUCACCCGCCUCCCAUUGCAACGGAUACUUCAUAACCCAGAUGCAGCGGGGAGGAUUGUGGAAUGGGCCCUGGAGCUGUCAAGUUUUGGUUUAAAGUUCGAGAGCACCUCGACGAUUCAGAGCAGAGUCUUGGCGGAGUUCGUUGUAGAAUGGACCUUGACGCCCGACGAAGAGGUACACGAGACCACUCUCCCGGGCAAGGAAACGAGCUGCAACUGGAUCAUGUACUUUGAUGGGGCUUUUUCACUGCAAAGCACCAGUGCUGGCGUGCUCCUUGUCGCACCCACCGGGGAGCACCUCAAGUAUGUCAUCCAAAUGCACUUUCCCGGGAGAUGUCAACUAACAACACCGCCGAGUACGAGGGCUUGCUUGCCGGUCUCAGGAUCGCAGCAGAUCUCGGAGUUAAAAAGCUCAUCGUUAGGGGUGAUUCACAGCUCGUCGUCAUGCAAAUCAACAAGGAUUAUUAGAGCUCGCUGAUGGAAGCUUACGUCGAUGAAGUGAGGAAACUGGAGGAGCGUUUUUACGGGAUACAUGCGGAGCAUGUCCCCCGAGUGGAGAAUGACGUCGCCGACUAUCUGUCAAAGCGUGCUGCCCUCAAGCUACCUGUGGAACCAGGUACUUUUGUGCUUCGAUUAACUCAACCAUCCGUCGAACCAUCGACCGGGUAGAACAAGCAGAGGAAGCUAGGCCCCGGCAAGUACUUCCCUGUCGAGCUCCGUGGAGCCGCCGGCGAAGGAGUUUCCAUGGACGCCGAGCCUGCCAUGGGACAACCGACUCCAGCGGGGUGCCAGGCCCUUGCCGCGGAGGCAACCAUUCCCAUGACAGAGGAAAUGCCUUUGGUCCUCGCUGUCGAGCCACAGGCUCCGGCAUGGGCGCAGCACACCAUCCGAUUCCUCCAAAUAAGAGAGCUUCGUGAGGAGCAGGAAGAGGCAGAGAGGUUAGCCCGCCCGUCUGGUUUGUACCAAUUCGUUGACAAUGUCUUAUACAGAAAAAGACUGAAUGGGGUGAAAUUGAAGUGCAUCUCCCGGGAGGAAGGACUGGAGCUGUUGGCAGAGAUACAUGGAGGCAUAUGUGGCUCCCACAUAGGGUCGAGGGCCCUUGCUGGCAAGGUUUUUCGGCAAGGUUUCUUCUGGCCCACAGCCCUCCAGGAUGCGACGACACUAGUAACCAAGUGUGAAGCGUGCCAGUUCCAUUCGAAGAAACUUCAUCAGCCAGCUCAAGCCUUGUAGACAAUCCCUCUCUCCUGGCCAUUCUCGGUCUGGGGGCUGGACAUACUAGGCCCUUUAACCCGCGUCGUCGGGGGAUUUGAGUACUUGUACGUUGCAAUCGACAAGUUCACAAAGUGGCCUGAGGUGGAAGCAGUGAGAAAGGUGACAACGCAAUCAUCCAUCAAGUUCUUGAAGGGGCUAGUUUGCCGCUUUGGUAUACCCAACAGGAUCAUCACUGACAACGGCACACAGUUCACAAGCCACGCUGAUGUCUACUACACAACCUUCUUCUUGUAGACGUUGUUGGGCCUCCAAGUGCAGAGGUUUGUAGGACAGUAGCAAAUUUCCCUCAAGUGGAUGACCUAAGGCUUAUCAAUCCGUAGGAGGCAUAGGAUGAAGAUGGUCUCUCUCAAGCAACCCUGCAACCAAAUAACAAAGAGUCUCUUGUGUCCCCAACACACCCAAUACAAUGGCAAAUUGUAUAGGUGCACUAGUUCGGCGAAGAGAUGGUGAUACAAGUGCAAUAUGGAUGGUAGAUAUAGGUUUUUGUAAUCUGAAAAUAUAAAAACAGCAAGGUAACUAAUGAUAAAAGUGAGCGUAAACGGUAUUGCAAUGGUAGGAAACAAGGCCUAGGGUUCAUACUUUCACUAGUGCAAGUUCUCUCAACAAUAAUAACAUACUUGGAUCAUAUAACUAUCCCUCAACAUGCAACAAAGAGUCACUCCAAAGCCACUAAUAGCGGAGAACAAACGAAGAGAUUAUGGUAGGGUACGAAACCACCUCAAAGUUAUCCUUUCUGUUCUAUCUAUUCAAGAGUCCGUAGUAAAAUAACAUGAAGCUAUUCUUUUCGUUCAAUCUAUCAUAGAGUUCAUACUAGAAUAACACCUUAAGACACAAAUCAACAAAAACCCUAAUGUCACCUAGAUACUCCAUUGUCACCUCAAGUAUCCGUGGGCAUGAUUAUACGAUAUGCAUCACACAAUCUCAGAUUCAUCUAUUCAACCAACACAAAGUACUUCAAAGAGUGCCCCAAAGUUUCUACCGGAGAGUCAAGACGAAAACAUGUGCCAACCCCUAUGCAUAGGUUCAUGGGCGGAACCCGCAAGUUGAUCACCAAAACAUACAUCAAGUGGAUCACGUGAUAUCCCAUUAUCACCAUAGAUAAGCAUGGCAAGACAUACAUCAAGUGUUCUCAAAUCCUUAAAGACUCAAUCCGAUAAGACAACUUCAAAGGGAAAAAUCAAUUCAUCACAAGAGAGUAGAGGGGGAGAAACACCAUAAGAUCCAACUAUAAUAGCAAAGCUCGCGAUACAUCAACAUCGUGCCAUAGAGAGAACACGUCAGAGAGAAAGAGAGAGAGAUCAAACACAUAGCUACUGGUACAUACCCUCAGCCCCGAGGGUGAACUACUCCCUCCUCGUCAUGGAGAGCGCUGGGAUGAUGAAGAUGGCCACCGAUGAGGGAUCCCCCCUCUGGCAGGGUGCCGGAACGGGCUCCCGAGAGGUUUUUGGUGGCUACAGAGGCUUGCGGCGGCGAAACUCCUGAUCUAUCUUGUUAUUCAUUGUUUUUAAGGUAUAUGGGAUUAUAUAGGAGAAAGAAGUCGGUCGGGGGAGCCACGAGGGGCCCACGAGACAGGGGGAGUGCCCAGGGGGGUGGGCGCGCCCUCUUAUCUCCUGGCCUCCUCGAAGCUUCCCUGGCUUGUACUCCAAGUCUCCCGGAUCAUGUUCAUUCCAAAAAACACGCUCCCAAAGGUUUCAUUCUGUUUGUACUCCGUUUGAUAUUCUUUUUUCUUCGAAAUACUGAAACAUGCAAUAAAACAACAAUAUGGGCUGGGCCUCCGGUUAAUAGGUUAGUCCCAAAAGUAAUAUAAAAAUGUAUAAUAAAGCCCAUAAACAUUCAAAGCAGAUAAUAAUAUAGCAUGAAUGCUUCAUAAAUUAUAGAUACGUCGGAGACGUAUCAACAUCCCCAAGCUUAAUUCCUACUCGUCCUCGAGUAGGUAAAUGAUAAAAGAAAGAAUUUAUGAAGUGUGAAUGCUAGCAGGUGCACAAGUUUGUUCAAUGAUAAUUUCAAUCACCUUUUCUAGCAUGAUUAUAUGUCAUAACAGUGGUUCAUCUCAUAAAACUUCUCACGAACAAGCAACAAGCAAUUCACAUGUUAAAGCAUAGACCAUAAACUUUCUUGAAAACUAGCAAACUUCAUUCUCAGUCAUCAAACAAUUACGAUUCAUCUUAUUUUCAGGAAGGGUCUAUGUCAGAGCUUUGAUUUAGCAAACUCCACAUACUCAACUAUCAUAUAGUCUUCUACAAUUGCUAACACUCACGCAAUACUAAUGGUUAUGGAGUUUUAAUCGGACACUGAGAAAGAUAGGGGCUUAUAGUGUUGCCUCCCAACGUAUUCACCUUUGGGUGAUGUCAACAAUAAUAGUUCAUGCUAACUUACAUCCAAUUGGAUAUAUAUAUCAGGAUCUUCCCAACACGAGGUGCUUGCCAAAGGAUAAAAUGAAAAAGGGAAAGGUGAAGAUCACCUUGACUCUUGCAUAAAGUAAAAGACAUAAAGUAAAAUAUAUGCCCUUCACAGAGGGAAGCAGAGGUUGUCAUGCGCUUAUGGUUGGAUGCACAAAAUCUUAAUGCAAAAGAACGUCACUUUAUAUUGCCACUUGUAUAUGGACCUUUAUUAUGCAGUCCGUCGCUUUUAUUGCUUCCAUAACAAGAUUGUAUAUAGCUUAUUUUCUUCACACUAAUAGAUCAUACAUAUUUAGAGAGCAAUUUUUAUUGCUUGCACCGAUGAAAACUUACUUGAAGGAUCUUACUCAAUCCAUAGGUAGGUAUGGUGGACUCCCAUGGCAAAACUGGGUUUAAGGAUGUCACAGCCCUAGAAUAAUGUUUGUAAUUAGUGGCAUUGCAUCCAUGCAUCAUGUCUAAAUUCUGAAAGUUGAACUGAGGAAAUUUGAAAGCCUCAAAAAUUCAAUUAAAAGAAGGGCAAAUAACCCUGGAAAAUGCAUCCAAUGUUUCCAGAAUGCACUUCAAUGAUGUUUGAUAUUUUUUUACAAGGGUUCUGACCCAAACCAAAAAUAUGGAACAUUUUUUAGGAAUUAUUUUGGCCAUUUGGAUUUAAAUCAAUAAGUAUUUGAGUUGGAUUUAAUUCUCCAAUAAAAGAAUUAUAAGUCCAACAAUUCUGAAAAAUUGUGAGUGACUUUGAAUACUUUGUAUCAAGCCACAUAAAUCUUUUCAGAAGCUACUAAAAUGAUUUGAUUUUUAAAUUGAAUAAAAACAAACUUCAGGAAAUAGAAAACAAAAAGAAAUAUGAAAAAUCAGAAAGGAGAAGGGAGAAGCUACCUGGGCCUUACCUGGCAGCCCAGCAAUCGGCCCAGCCGACUGGCUCUGCCAGUCAUCCCCUUCCUCCCGCCAGUGUGCACUGUGCGUGGCGCACGCAGAGGAGGCGAGGGCCACCUCCUGCUUCGCGCUGGAGGCUUGUCCUCCUUCCUGACCCCACUUCUGGAGAUGCCUAGAGCCCCCUGGACCCCCUCGCUCUCUUCCUCUCCCUCGUUCCCCUCCUCUGUCUCGUUCUCUCACACACACCCGAACACGUCGUCGCCACGGCUCGCUGUUGCUGCGUCCACCGGCCACCCCUUGCGCUAAAAGCCAUCCCAGAAGCUCCGCCUCACCGCGCUUCUUUGCCUCAUCGACUGAAGGGACCCCGGGAGGUCGACAGCAUCGCCAGGAUUGCCAUCUUUGCCGCCUACUGCCGCACCUCGCCGUCGUCGAUUCACGGGCUCCAGUGCAUCCCCGAGCCAACUGACCUACCCAACCGACCCGCGGUGAGCCCCUGAGCGUCUCCCCUCUCCCCUUUUGCUCGCUUCCAUGCCGUAGCGCCGUUCCUCGCCGUGACCGAAGCCGCCCUCCGCCGUGGCCGUUGUUCCUGUAGCGACCGUGCUUCUCCGCUCGGAUCCGUGCACCCCGCAGGCUCCUGGAGCAACCAGGAGGCCAAUGCCACCCCUAGCCGGCUUCCUUGCGAGCUGCGGCCCCGCAGCCGCACACCUCCAAGCUCCGGCCGCCGCCCGGCUCGUUGCCUCCGCCAUUAUAGGCUGCCCCAGUGCACCACGCGGCCACCACCGCUUGCGCCACACCGCCAGCUCUCCGUAGCUGCAAACCGCGCACGAAAUGGCGCUCUACAGCGCCGUCCCGAGCAAUGCCGGCGAGCCACCGCCGCGGGAUUUGGUCGUCGAUGGCUAACCGCCGUUUUGGAUGACGUGGCACUUAGUUAGGAGCUAAUCACCCGGUUAACUAAUCCAGUGACACUGACAGUGGGCCCAGCCCGGCUAAAUAUCUUGUUAGAUUUUUAACUAAUUGUAAUUAGUCACUGUGACACUGACAUGCGGGUCCCACGGCCAGGUUUGACCGCUGUUGACUUGAUGACAUCACCCUGACGCAAUGCUGACGCAAUAAAUCAUUUACUGGAUUUAUUCUUAUUCAGGAAAUUCCAGAAAAUGCUUCAAACUUCAACAAUUCAUAGAAAAUUACCUACAACUCCAAAUGAAAUAAGUUAUAUAUGAACAAUGAUCAGAAAAAUCCAAUCUAUCCAUAUGUACUAGUUUCAUGCAUGUUUAACAAGCUAACUUGCUGUUUAGUGCAAAACAUGAUAAAGCACUAUUUAAGAUCACAAGUGAGUUUGAACUUUGAAUCUUUGGUUCAAAAUAGCUCAAACCCAUUUGGUUGUAGUUGCCUUAGCCGAACACACUCAUUUUACCAUGUCAUGAUCAUGCAUCAUAUUGUUGCAUUGCAUUGAUUGUGUUUUCUCUCUGUUGCCAGUAAAUGUCCCCCUAGUAGACGUGGUUCCGACGAUGAGAUCGAUGACACCGAUGAAGAGCUAUAUUAUCUUCAGAAGUGCCAGACAAGCAAAACCCCCUUGUUCAUUUCGAUACAAUCCCACUCUCUUGCUCCUGCCCUAUUUUACUGCAUUAGGACAACAACGAUACAACUGUUACUUGCUGCGGUAGUUGAACCCCUUUAUCCUCUGCAUGACCUGUCAUUGCCACAGUAAAUAGAUGAAACCCACUAGCAUGAGUAGGAGUUGUUUGAGCCCUGAUGUGCCUACUCAUUCAUGCUUGUUGUCAUGCCUGCUACUGCUUAGAGUUGAGUCAGGUCUGAUUCAUCGGGGAUGAAUUGGAAUGUGGUGUACAUGUCCUACUGUGUGUGGUCUAAGAGUGUGAACAUGAUUUGGUAAAGGUAGCGGUGAGAGGCCAUGUAGGAGUACAUGGUGGGUUGUCUCAUUGCAGCCGUCCUCAGGAACUGAGUUCUGUGUUUGUGAUCCAUGAACAGCUACUACCACACAUUGGGAUCCUUAAUUGACUCUCUCGACUUAUUAACCAACUUGAUCUCUGUCCAGGAGUUGCAACUAGUUUCUGGUGUUUGUAGGUAGUGUUAGUAGUCUACCAAGUGGCACCCGGUACAGGUGGGCUUGGGACAGACUAGGCACAGUGGCCCGGUGUACCAAGUGGCACCCGGAUGGUGGGCUUGGGAACCCUGCACACAUCAUUUGGGGCCGUGAGCGACACCCCUGCCGGAUCUCCUUGCGGAUGGAACCCGAAUAGGCGAUAAACCUGGAUGAGAGACUUGUGUGGUUAGUCAGGUCGUGGCCGACUCCCUCGCCAGGCUUCCGCUUGAAGGUUGCCGAGAUACACGAGGUGUACAUGGCGGUAAGUGGCGAGAGCGUGUGUGAAGAAGUACACCCCUACAGGGUUAAUAUGAUCUAUUCGAAUAGCCGUGUCCGCGGAAAAGGACUUCUGGGUUACCUGUACAGUUCAUAGACAAGUGAAAGUGGAUACUCUAAAAUACGCAAGAUAAGCGUGAGUGCUAUGGAUGGCAUUCUUGUAGGGAGACGGGAGCGGAUCCAUAGUGGUGUAUUGAUAUGGUGAAUAUGUGGACUCGUGUGCGCCACCUCAAAGAGUUACAUUGCAGUCGUAGUUCAGGAUAGCCACCGAGUCAAAGCUGGCUUGCUGUAGUUAAACCCCACCAUCCCCUUUGUUGAUAAUGAUGCAUAUGUAGUUAGUUCUGAUGUAAGUCUUGCUGGGUACAUUUGUACUCAUGUUUGCCUAUUUUAUGUUUUGCAGAGACUUCCGUCUCACUAGUAGUUCCGCAUGGACUUCGACGUUUAGCUUGUUACCUUAGCUACGAUCUUGUGCCCUCGGCAGGAUCUGGUAGUUAGUCAGGUUUCUUAGCCUUUUUCAUUUGUAGUUGUCUGUACUCAGACAUGUUAAGCUUCCGCAUGUGCUUUGACUUGUAUGCUCUGAAUGUUGGGUCGUGAGACCCAUGUUUGUAAUAUCUCGCUCCUCGGAGCCUAUUGAAUAAAAUACUUGAGUUGUAGAGUCAUGUUGUGAUGCCAUGUUGUAUUUGCACAUAUCGAGCAUAUUGUGUGUAUGUUAUUGAAAUGCUUGGUAUGUGUGGGAUCUGACUAUCUUGUUGUUUAUCCUUAGUAGCCUCUCUUAUUGGGAAAUGUCUCCUAGUGCUUCCACUGAGCCAUGGUAGUUUGCUACUGCUCCGGAACACUUAGGCUGGCCGGCAUGUGUCCUUCUUCGUUCAUGUGUCUGUCCCUUCCGGGAAAUGUCACGCGAUGAAUACCGGAGUCCUGUUAGCCCGCUACAGCCCGGUUCACCGGAGUCCUGCUAGCCCAGUGCUACAACCUAGAUUCACUCGCUGAUGACCGACACGUUCGAUGCUGGGUCAUGGAUGCCUGUCCCUGUAAGUUUGUGCCACUUUGGGUUUACGACUAGCCAUGUCAGCCCAGGCUCCUUAUCAUAUGGAUGCUAGCGACACUAUCAUAUACGUGUGCCAAAGGGUGCAAACGGUCCCGGGCAAAGGUAAGGCGACACCCGUGGGGAUACCGUGCGUGAGGCCGCAAAGUGAUAUGAGGUGUUACAUGCUAGAUCGAUGUGGCAUUGAGUCGGGGUCCUGACAAAGGAUAUUUGGAAGCACAAGUAGUAUCUCUACUUGGUGCAAGGAUUUUGGCUAGCAUGAGGGGGAAAGGCAAGCUCAACAUGUUUGAAUGAUCCAUGACAAUAUACUUUAACUGAGAUGUGAGAAAACAUAACCCAUUACAUUGUCUUCCUUGUCCAACAUCAACUCUUUAACUUAUCAUACUUAAUGAGUGCUCAUAUUAUAAAAGAUGUCUAAGAUAGUAUAUUUAUAUGUGAAAUCUCUCUUCCUUCAAUAUUCUUUCAUGAAUUGUUCACAUGACCAAUACAAUGCUUGCUAACCUUCAAUAAAUUUACAACCUCUACUUUUUAGAUGUGAAGUCAUUACUCCCCAUGGGAUAAGCAAAUGAGACAUAUAUAAUUUUAGAUUUAUGACAUUCAACUCAAUCAACCAUUUACUCAAAGGAUAUAAGUGAAGCACACGAGUAAAUGACAAACUACUCCAAAAAGAUAUAAGUGAAGAUCAAUGAGUAGCUAAAUAAUUAUGUAACUAUGCAAAAACUCUCUCUCCUUUAAGAAUUUCAGAUCUUGGUAUUUUAUUCAAACAGAAAGCAAAACAAAAUAAAAUGACAUUGCAAGGAUAGCACAACUCAUGUGAAGAAGCAAAAACUUAGGUUCGGCCAAUACUAACCGAUAAUGGUUGAAGAAGAAAGGUGGGAUGCCUACCGGGGCAUCCCCAAGCUUAGAUGCUUGAGACUUCUUGAAAUAUUAUCUUGGGGUGUCUUGGGCAUCCCCAAUCUUGAACUUUUGUGUCUCCUUAAUUCCUCUCAUAUCAUGGUUUCUCUUUUUAUCAAAAGCUUCAUCCACACCAAACUCAACAAGAACUCGUGAGAUAGGUUAGUAUAAACCAAUGCAAAACCUUAUCAUUUUCUACUGUAACAAAUCACUAAAAUUAUUAUUCAACAUUGCAUAGUAAAUUCCUCUGCAUAUUUAAUACUCCUAUCCUCAAAUAGAAUCAUUAAACAGGCAAACAUAUGCAAACAAUACAAACAUAACAGCAAUCUGCCAAAACAGCAUAGUCUGUAAAGAAUGCAUGAUUCAUCAUACUUCCCUAACUCCAAAAAUUAUGAGAAAAAUACUACACUGUAGAAGAUUUAUCAGAUCUCAAUACGCAAAAAGUUUCAACAUUAUAUCAUUCUCUGACUUUUCUAGGGAAUUUUUGCAACAGCGGUAAACUUUCUGUUUUCAAACAACAACAUGUAUACUAGCAAAAUAAGCAUGGUAAAGGCUAUCCUUAACAUUUUUAUUGAAAAUAAAGAUGCAAAACAUUAUUCUAAAUAACAGCAAGCAAAUACUAACAAAAGAUAAUGACGCUCCAAGCAAAACACAUAUCAUGUGGUGAAUAAAAAUAUAGCUCCAAGUAAAUUUACCGAUAGACGAAGACGAAAGAGGGGAUGCCAUCCGGGGCCUCCCCAAGCUUAGGCUCUUGGUUGUCCUUGGAUAUUACUUUGGGGUGCCUUGGGCAUCCCCAAGCUUAGGUUCUUGCCACUCCUUAUUCCAUAGUCCAUCGAAUCUUCACCCAAAACUUGAAAACUCUACAACACAAAACUCAACAGAAAACUUGUAAGCUCCGUUACUAUAAGAAAAUAAAACCACCACUUAGGUACUGUUGUGAACUCAUUAUAAAUUCAUAUUGGUGUAAUAUCUACUGUAUUCCAACUUCUCUAUGGUUCAUACCCUCCGAUUCUACUCAUAGAUUCAUCAAAAUAAGCAAACAACACAUAGAAAACAGAAUCUGUCAAAAACAGAACAGUCUGUAGUAAUAUGUAUCAAACGUAUACUUCUGGAGCUCCAAAAUCCCUACCAAAUUAUGAAGACCUGGUCAAUUUAUGUACCAAUCCAUAGCCAAAAGAAUAAGAUCAAAAGCACGUUUCUGUGAAUUAUCAGAACUAAUUUACUGUGUGCAAAAGUUUCUGAUUUUCAGCAGGAUCAACACAACUAUCACCGUAAGCUAUCUUAAAGGUCUUACUUGGCACUUUAUUGAAACAAAAGAUAUAAAACAUGAUUACUACAGUAGCAUAAUCAUGUGGACACACAAAAAUAGUAGGGGUAAAUAUUGAGUUGUCUCCCAACAAGCGCUUUUCUUUAAUGCCUUUCUAGCUAGGCAUGAUGAUGACAAUGAUGCUCACAUAAAAGAUAAAAAUUGAAGCGUAACGGGAGCACCAUGAAGCAUAUGACUAGCACAUUUAAGUCUAACCCACUUCCUAUGCAUAGGUAUUUUGUGAGCAAACAAUUAUGGGAACAAUAAUCAACUAGCAUAGGAAGGCAAAACAAGCAUAACUUCAAGAUUUUAAGCAUAUAGAGAGGAAACUUGAUACUAAUGCAAUUCCUACAAGCAUAUGUUCCUCCCUCAUAAUAAUUUUCAGUAGCAUCAUGAAUGAAUUCAACAAUAUAACCAACACAUAAAGCAUUCUUUUCAUGACCUACUUGCAUAGAAAUUUUAUUACUCUCCACAUAAGCAAAUUUCUUCUCAUGAACUGUAGUGGGAGCAAACUCAACAAAAUAAUUAUCAUGUGAGGCAUAAUCCAAUUGAAAACUAAAAUCAUGAUGACAAGUUUCAUGGUUAUCAUUAUUCUUAAUAUCAUACAAGUCAUCAUAAUAAUCAUCAUAGGUAGCAACUUUGUUAUCAUAAUCAAUUGGAACCUCUUCUGAAAUAGUGGAUUCAUCACUAAAUAAAGUCAUGACCUCUCCAAAUCCACUUUCAUAUUCAUCACAAUAAGAUUCAACAUCCUCAAAAAUAGUGGGAUCAUUACUUCCUAAAGUUGACACUCUUCCAAACCCACUUUCAUCAAUAUAAUCAUCAUAAAUAGGAGGCAUGCUUUUAUCAUAAUAAAUUUGCUCAUCAAAACUUGGGGGACUAAACAUAUCAUCUUCAUCAAACAUAGCAUUCCCAAGCUUGUGGCUUUGCAUAUCAUUAGCAUCAUGGAUAUUCAAGGAAUUAAAACUAACAACAUUGCAAUCAUGCUCAUCAUUCAAAGAUUUAGUAUCAAACAUUCUAUAGAUUUCUUCUUCUAGUACUUGAGCACAAUUUUCCUUUUCAUCAUACUCACGAAAGAUAUUAAAAAGAUGAAGCGUAAUAGGCAACCUCAAUUCCAUUUUUUGUAGUUUUCUUUUAUAGACUAAACUAGUGAUAAAACAAGAAACAAAAAGAUUCGAUUGCAAGAUCUAAAGAUAUACCUUCAAGCACUCACCUCCCCGGCAACGGCACCAGAAAAGAGCUUGAUGUCUACUACACAACCUUCUUCUUGUAGACAUUGUUGGGCCUCCAAGUGCAGAGGUUUGUAGGACAGUAGCAAAUUUCCCUCAAGUGGAUGACCUAAGGUUUAUCAAUUCGUAGGAGGCGUAGGAUGAAGAUGGUCUCUCUUAAGCAACCCUGCAACCAAAUAACAAAGAGUCUCUUGUGUCCCCAACACACCCAAUACAAUGGCAAAUUGUAUAGGUGCACUAGUUCGGCGAAGAGAUGGUGAUACAAGUGCAAUAUGGAUGGUAGAUAUAGGUUUUUGUAAUCUGAAAAUAUAAAAACAGCAAGGUAACUAAUGAUAAAAGUGAGCAUAAACGGUAUUGCAAUGGUAGGAAACAAGGCAUAGGGUUCAUACUUUCACUACCUCAACAUGCAACAAAGAGUCACUCCAAAGCCACUAAUAGCGGAGAACAAACGAAGAGAUUAUGGUAGGGUACGAAACCACCUCAAAGUUAUCCUUUCUGUUCUAUCUAUUCAAGAGUUCGUAGUAAAAUAACAUGAAGCUAUUCUUUCCGUUCAAUCUAUCAUAGAGUUCAUACUAGAAUAACACCUUAAGACACGAAUCAACCAAAACCCUAAUGUCACCUAGAUACUCCAUUGUCACCUCAAGUAUUCGUGGGCAUGAUUAUACGAUAUGCAUCACACAAUCUCAGAUUCAUCUAUUCAACCAACACAAAGUACUUCAAAGAGUGCCCCAAAGUUUCUACCGGAGAGUCAAGAUGAAAACAUGUGCCAACCCCUAUGCAUAGGUUCAUGGGCGAAACCCGCAAGUUGAUCACCAAAACAUACAUGGAUCACGUGAUAUCCCAUUGUCACCACAGAUAAGCAUGGCAAGACAUACAUCAAGUGUUCUCAAAUCCUUAAAGACUCAAUCCGAUAAGACAACUUCAAAGGGAAAACUCAAUUCAUCACAAGAGAGUAGAGGGGGAGAAACAUCAUAAGAUCCAACUAUUAUAGCAAAGCUCGCGAUACAUCAAGAUCGUGCCAUAGAGAGAACACGAGAGAGAGCGAGAGAGAGAGAGAUCAAACACAUAGCUACUGGUACAUACCCUCAGCCCCAAGGGUGAACUACUCCCUCCUCAUCAUGGAGAGCGCCGGGAUGAUGAAGAUGGCCACCGGUGAGGGAUCCCCCCUUCGGUAGGGUGCCGAAACGGGCUCCCGAGAGGUUUUUGGUGGCUACAGAGGCUUGCGGUGGCGGAACUCCCGACCUAUCUUGUUCUUCGAUGUUUUUAGGGUAUAUGGGAUUAUAUAGGCAAAAGAAGUUGGUCAGGGGAGCUACGAGGGGCCCACGAGAUAGGGGGCGCGCCCAGGGGGGUGGGCGCGCCCUUCUAUCUCCUGGCCUCCUCGAAGCUUCCCUGGCUUGUACUCCAAGUCUCCCGGAUCAUGUUCGUUCCAAAAAUCAUGCUCCCAAAGGUUUCAUUCUGUUUGGACUCUGUUUGAUAUUCCUUUUCUUCGAAAUACUAAAACACGCAAUAAAACAACAAUAUGGGCUGGGCCUCCGGUUAAUUGGUUAGUCCCAAAAGUAAUAUAAAAUGUAUAAUAAAGCCCAUAAACAUUCAAAAUAGAUAAUAAUAUAGCAUGAAUGCCUCAUAAAUUAUAGAUACGUUGGAGAAGUAUCAACGCCUUCAUGCAGUACAUCGAGGAUCUCGGCAGCAAGGUCUGUUUUGCUUCCGUGGCACACCCACGAAGCAACAGCCAAGCAGAGAGAGCAAAUGUUGAAGUUCUACGAGGCUUAAGAACGGAGGCUUUUGACAGGCUGCACAAGAGUGGAAGGCGCUGGAUUGACGAGUUGCCGGCGGUUCUUUGGUCGAUCAGAACGACACCAAAUCGAGCCACCGGUCAGACACCCUUUGCCCUUGUCUACGGGGCAGAAGCAGUUCUCCCCAUGGAACUCAUAUAUGGGUCACCUCGAGUGGUCGCUUAUGAUGAGCUUGAUCAAGAGCGAUUGCGGCAAGAUGAUGCAAUGUUCCUUGAGGAAGAUCGUCUCCGAGCGGCUGUGAGGGCAGCAUGCUACCAGCAAGCCUUGCAUCGCUACCAUAGCCGCAAGGUUCAUGCCCGGAGCUUUGAGGAAGGCGACCUUGUUCUUCGGCACGUUCAGUCGGCCAAGAAUUCCAAAAAGUUGACGCCAAAGUGGGAAGGCCCUUAUCGGGUAACACGAGUCAUCAGGCCGGGCGCAGUCCGCCUGGAGACCGAAGAUGCCAUUCCGGUGAGCAACUCCUGGAACAUCGAGCAUCUUCGCAAGUUUUACCUGUAAGGCACGGCUGUCGGGCCCCCCGGCAAGCCACCUUUUGUACAAGCCUUGUCAGCAAGGCAUGUAACCCUUUGUACAAAGCCAGGCGCAGACCCUGAGCAUAAAUAAGCGAAGCGCUGGCGCCCUAAGUUAUAGCAGGCAUGCUAGAUUGAGUCUCUCCCUCGGUUAGGGUUGAUAGUGCUUAGCGGCGACUAACCCCUAGCAUAGAGGUCGAGUUUGCAUCAUUUUGUUCCUAUCCAUCCUCUUUGGUAUGCAGGGUACAUGAAUGUUUCCGCCAAGCCAAGUGGAAGGAAGAGAACAAGCCGGCGCUCCGGACCCGGCAAGCCAAGCUUGCCGAGGGCUGAAGACACGAGGGUCCACACACGGCAAGUCAGGGCUGCCGGGGGCUGCAGAUCGGGAUAGGUUUUCCCAUUCCCUGUCAUGCAUUUCCGUAUGAAACUUGGGACGUACAGAACCUCGUUUUGUUCGAAAGCUGACGUGCUCCCCUCGUUCCUAUCACCCAAGAGCUUCUUGGUUCAAAAUAUGGUUACAGUCAUGGCGGCAAGGAAGCAAGCAUAGGGCCCACCCCCACUUCGUCCUUGCCUUCGCCAAAGGCGUGAGUAUGGACGGACGGAGCAGGGGAACGGCAAGGCCUACUGCCGGGCAGCAGUGUUUAUAUUGAAAAUAACAAGGAUUUGUUCCUUGGUAUGGGCUUUGCUCACACGCACACACAAGACCCAACAAGCACCCAUUUUCCAUUAAUACGUUCCAUACAUGUACAAUUCGUACGGAAUGUAAACAUGAACAGGAAGAUUACAUGUUUUAGAUCUAAAUGAGGCCCGUGGGCUUACAAAUUGAAAAAAAGAUAAGAUGCCCGUAAUCCCUUUCUUGUCCCUCUCCUCAGGAAAUGAAACAAGAAGACAAAAGGGUAGAAUGAGCGCCUAGGCGAGGUACGAGCAACAGUAGGUGCCAAGAGAACAUGUCGGCGGUCGCCUAGGAGAGGGUCGGCGGUGGUGGCACCGGAGGAAGAGCUGGAAGAUGAGGCAGCGGUCCGUCAAUACGCUACAAAGGUGUCAUGGAAUUAACACGUCAGAUGUCCUCAUGAAAGGACUUAGUCGUGGAGCCAUCACAACGGGUUAGCUUGAAGGGGUUAAACCGGACAAGGGAUACGGGAGUUUUAUACUAGUUCGGCCCCUUCGAUGAAGGUAAAAGCCUACGUCUAGUUGUGAUGGGAUUGAUUGAGUUUCGAUGACCAGGGAGCGAAAACGCUUGCCUGAGUCCCGAGUUGUUGUUUCUUGUCCCUGAACCGCCGCUGAGUCUUCCCUUUAUAUACAUAGGUUGACGCCCGGCCGGUCUACAGAUCCCCGAGGCCAACUCAUACAAGGUGUCCGGCUCGGUCUAUCCUUUCCUAACUUACAUUACAAGUUACAUAGUCAUGGCGGUUUACCAUUAUGGGCCCUAAUCCGCCUUUGGGCUUCGGGCCUCUAAGCUUCAUUAAUAAAGCACCAUCUUCUAGAUCUUCAUGGGCUUCAACAUAGUCGAGGGUGAACCGGGCCCUCCUGGCUGGUUUACACUCAGUAGUUAUAUCCCCAAGAUUAGGCCCCAGAUUGAUUUGAACCUAUUCAUGUCAAUCUUCAACACUUCAAAGAAAUCUUGUAAACAUCUCCUUAUAUUCUUGUAAACCGCCAUGUUUACUUCCUGUAACUUUUGUUAAACUGCCAUGACGUCAUCCUCUGGACAUAGUAACGGCCAUCAUGACGUCAUCUCUGCAUAAAAAAGAUUAAAAAGAUUCCCCUCAUUUAAUGAUAUCCUGAAAAUCAAGGCGACAGGCGCACCCUCUCUGCCGCUUCAGGCUCCUCGAUUCUUGGGCCUGCCCUUUAUCUCUUUCUCCUUAUAAAUAAAGCCCGAGGGUCCUUUUCUUUCUUCCCCUUCCGUGCCUUUCUUCUUCCUCGCGAAGCCCGAGCUCUGAAGCUCCACCGCCGCCCUCGACCCUUGAGAACUUCAUCGACAAAGGACGCUGCAUCAACCUGAAAUGGACCAGAGUUCGCCGCAUCUCUCCGCAGUAGAUCUGCACUGGUAAGUUUCCUCCUUCCCGCAUCGUUAGAUCUGUGCUAGGGUUCAUGAGUUCGUCUGUACAGUUCUUCAUUUUUCCUUCUUAGUUCUUUGUUUUUCCUUCUGCCGUGAUUGCUUCAUUCCAAUAGUAGCGCAAAUCUCGUGCGGUAGUUACUCUGCAUCCAUUUUUAGUACUAGUAGAUCUUUCCUUUCUUUUGUAGAGUGCACGACCUUCUCUGUUCUUGCUUAACGCCAUUAUAAGUCGCAGUAAUUUUUCUUUACUGAAGCAUGGUAGAUCCAAAUAAAUUUCAUCCUUGUGUGGAACCUGUUUCUGCCAACACUUAGCAAAUUUUCAUUUCUGUCUCCUCCUCCUAAGGGCGGUUUAACAUUUUAGCAAAUGGUAAUCCGCCACCUAUCAUUAGCCCUCGCUUUAAACCGCCAGUUUGAUCUGAAUAGCAGCUUCCAGUUUAUUUCACACAUAUGCCUUGAUCAAAUUUUCCGGUUUAAUAGCAACUAAUACUUCUUGAACCAUCAAUUGUAAACCGGCCUUCAUUUUACCUUUACACUUUGCUGUUCAAGAUGACCAAACAAUUCGCCGCUUGCAAUUGGGUUCCGUCCCGGAUCACAAAAACGCAGAUCAAUGGAUAUGUAGUGACGGGCGCUUUAGCAUCAAAAAAUGUCCUGCACUGGCGAGUUCCUGGCCCUGAGUGCCCUCCUGAGCCUCAGGAUGGCAAAGUUAUUGUUUUUAUGCAGCACUUAGACCGGGGCUUCAGCCCUCCCGGAUCAAAAAAUUUCCGGGAUGUCCUUGCGAGCUUUCAACUCCAUCCGCAAGACAUUGUCCCAAAUUCUGUAUCAAAUAUAUGCAACUUUCAAGUAUUUUGUGAAGUUUACCUUCAAGAGGAACCUUCUAUCGAGCUAUUCCGGGAUUUCUUCCACUUAAACCGCUGAACCGAGUUUUCUGAUGGCCCUAAUACAGAACUUGGCGGGGUAUCAAUCCAGAAGAGGAAGGAGGUUGAUUUCCCACAUGCAUCACACCACAGUCAUCCCAAAGACUGGAACCAAACUUGGUUCUACUAUCAAAACACUGCCCCUGCUAAAGAGAAUCCCUUGCCAGGUUACUACCCUCAUCGGCUUAGAAAUGGCCACCCGUUACCUAAACGUUUAACUGCCAGAGAGAGGCAAACUUAUGCCCCUCAACUCACCAAGCUCCAGGCUCUCAUGGCCAAUGGAUUAACUGGCGUUGAUCUUGUCCGCUGGUGGGUUAAAUGGCACAUCCUGCCCUUAAGUCGCCGUUCUGGAUUAAUGCAUGAGUACACUGGCAACUCCAACGAUCCUCAACGGUUUACUGAGAUAGAGGUGACCGAUGACGAAGUCACCGAAUCAGUAAAGAAGAUGUUAGACGAACCCAUCACCAUAUGUAGUCAAACUGGGCUAGCUCCUUUUUACACUGCCAACAAACCGCCAGCAGUAAGUCUUUUAACCUUGUAUUUUCUUGAUCCGCCUCCACUAACAUUGUUCUAAUAAUCCUUUGUUUAUCUUUCCAGGCCAACAACUCCUUUUGGAAAAAGAAGGCCUCAGAAAAAACGACCAGAGCUCCUCGUGCCAAGAGUAAAGUUGUCAAGAAAUCAACCAAGAAGAAGACCGGCGAAGCUGCUGAUCCGCCCGAAGAUGCUGAAGAUUCGGAUCAAGAGGUAGAACUUGAUUCCCUUGGCUCCUUUUUCAUACAUCUUAUUAACAACGAUUAUCAUCAGGAUGAUGCGGAGGUCAGCCGUGCGGACCAUGUUGAGGUAAUCUCUCUUUCCUCCGGUUCAGAUCUUGUGUCGGUUUAAAGAUUUCGCCGUGCAGUUCGGAAAGUGAAACGCUCUCACCCUCUUGCUUAUUUGGAUCCAAAAUUUUCUUUAAAGAAACAGCAACCUGAAGAGAGCCGCACAACCCGACACAGUGGCCAGCAAGUCACUUCUUCCGGUUUACCGGAUACUCCAAUUUGGAAGCGUCGUCCAGAGGUUAUUUGUUCUCUCGAAAAAUGUUAUCCUUUGAAGGGUUUCUUCCGAUACCCACUUAAUCCGUCUAAUCCAAAUUACCAGGCAUCUUCUAACUCGUCUGGCGGUUCAUCAACCACACAACUGCCUCCCCUCAAGACCGUCAUUGGGUAAGUGCAUCAUUUGUUGGUUUGUCUCUUCAUGCAUCAGUUUACCAUACUAAUCUUUAUUUUGAUGUUGCAGUGCCAAAGCUCGAUUGAGUAAGAAAGCCAAGACCAGUGGUCCCUCUGACAAUGUUGAACCGGAGAAGACCCCAGAUAAUGCUGGCGAAGAUACUGAUGAUGUCAUGGAUGAAUCCGCUCCACAAGAUCCAGCUGCUGAUGCCAAUCUGCCGGAGGCUGAUUAGGAAACACAUCUUGACACAUCAAGUCCACAUGCCAUGCCUCCAAGUCCAAUUGCUGAUCCGCUGGGCUCAACUGCUAAUCCGCCAAGCCCUGCUGCCAAUCUGCCAAGCCCUGCUAUCAAACCGCCAAGCCCAGCCAAAGACAAGGUCAAUCCAUCGAGCCCAGCCACGGAUGACGAUGACAUUGUUGUCACUGGUACUGCUUAUACCACCCCCGACAAUCCAAUUGCAUUAUCAAAGCACACUGCCAAGGACGAAUUUGCUGCUAUGAGCAAGGGGAAGGGGAAGACUGAUUUGUCAGCCUAUGUUGACCUUUCUACUCAAGACCUUCAUUCCGGAUUCUUGAACCGGCUUUACACCAGCCGAGAUUAUGAAGCCGGUUUGGUGAAUCUGAUGAAGGAACGCUAUGAGGUAAUUUUCAAAAUACCAUCUUUAUUCUGCCCAUUCCUUAUAUUGUAGCCCCCAAGGGCUGGUUUGUCUUGUAAAGACAAACCGGGACUUUUAUAUUCCAUACUGUACCUUGUUGGCUUUCCUUGUGUAUUUUUUGGAUCAAACACACAUUAGCCCCUAAGUGCCAAGAUUAAAACUUGUAUUGAUCCUUGGGACUUUAAACAUUUAGUAGUAAAGAAGCAAUCCGCAUUAGCCCCCAAGUGCCGAGUGCAUAACUUGUUAUAUGCUUGGGACUUUGACAAUAUUUACAUGCUCCUGCUCUGUUUGUGACAGGCUGACAUAAAUCACCAAGGCAAUCAAAUUGCUGAUCUCCAAGAGAACAUCAAGACCCAACAAGCAGAAACGUCCAAGGCAAAAGAUGAGCUUAAAGCCGCUUUGGCCGCCAUGGAGCAGGUCAAAGAAGGGUUCCAGUCGGAGCGUGCCAACUGGGAGACGGAGAAAAAUGCAUUGCUGAAGCGGGCAGAAGACGCCGAAUCAGCUCUUAAACCGGUGGCGGAAGAGCUAACUGGGUUGAAGCACCAAGUGAAUGCAAUGACUUCUGCAGUAUUUGGUAAGUAGUUUUGCCAAGACUUCUUGAAUGACCAUGUUUGUAAUUUGCCGGUUUAACAUGAAAACCAUUGUAGGUGGCCGCAUUGCUCAUCCGGGCUCUGAUAUGCGGAUGAAGCUGAAGGCAACAUACACUCUGAUUGAACAACUAUAUACCGGUACCCAACGGGUUAUCUGUGCAGCUUCAUACAAUAAUCCGGCCCCCACUUUGAUCAAGGAUACUCUAGCAAAGUUAUCCGUAACGCCGGCACAGAUAGAAGAGAUGAAUCGAUCUGCUGCCAGGGCUGGCGAUUUGUUGGCACUCACUCAAGCCAAAGCAUGGAUAGCUGACCUUGAUCCGGUGGAUAUUGCCAAGGGCUUCCCCAGUGAACAAGAGAACGGGGGAGAGUUUGACAAUGAUGCCCUCAAAGCUGUGACAAGGGAGAUGCGUCCUUUGGUGAGUCAACUGCCAAAAGAAGCGAACUUGACGGUUCACCGGUCCUUCUAUGAUGCCAACAACAAACGGGUUGACACUGUCAUACCGGAAGUGCAAAAUCUUAUCCCGCCAAUCCGUAAGCACACUUACGCCCCUGACGUUGAUCCGGCCGAACUUAUAAGUGAAGAGGUUGUCUUUCAGGCUUUAACCCGGAUUGACUGGACCACCACUGUCUUCCAGCUACUGGAUGAGGAGGAGGCUGAACCGACACCAGAUGAUCCAUCCACUUCACGUCAACAUGGUGAUGAGGCCUGAUUCGGCAAUCUGAUUGAUGCUUCAUAGACUGUUCUGUGGAAAGAACAAUUCCGUAUUUUGGGCCUUAAAGCGCCUUGUAAUAGGUUAGUUAAAAUACUUUUAUCUGCUACCAUCGUGCACUGGGAUAUACUUUGCUAGAUCCGCCAUGCCAAUUUCAAUGCUAGCUUAUAUAUUGUGCAAUCCCUGUGUAUGCAUUGAAAAAAGAUGUCCUGCGGUUUACCGCUGGACGGGUCAAAGUGCCCAAGAUAAAGCCUAGUUAAUAACCAAAGCGGAAUAAAUAUGAAAUAACUCAUACCUGUGAUAUGGAGUCACUUAAUAAGGGUGGAAACCCACAUUUUUGAGCUUUCAAAACCCUUACCCUAUAAUGAUAAGAUGAAUAAGUCAUGCCGGGUUAUAAUGAACACCAGAUGAUCAUACUGGCGACAUAUAGUCAAAGCCAGGCCGGGUUAACAAACACCGGUUUGAUGAGAUGGCCUGACAACUUAUAGCUGAAAGCCAAGCCAGGUUUAACAAGCACCGGUUUAAAAAUAUGACUGAAAAGCCACAUCGGGUCAAAGAACACUAGUUUAAGAUAAAUUCAAAAAAGGUGAAAACUUAGCAAAAAAAGCCAAUAAGAAAUCAUGUAGUCAAGGCUUUUCAAGGGCUGCCAGGCCCAAAUUCGAGGCUUUUCAUGGGCUGCCAGGCCACCGAGUUAAACCAUUUUGCAAAGCCUUUUAAGAUGGGCCUCCAACUAACCAAUCGUCGUUUUAACUUUGACAAGUUCAGGGUCUGUAUAAGAUUGACUUGUCAAACAUUCGGCGGGUUGUGCCAGGAUUACCUGGAUAAGAGUGGCUUACUUGAUGAAGGCAGGUUAACCCGGGGUUUUAGGUGAAUACACCAGGCUUCCAAGCCAUGGGUCGAUACCCAAUUACAAGGGUCCGUUCAAGCUCUUUGUGGCUUUUGCACAAAAAGCCCCCAAGUAACUUUGUGAGCUGUGCUCAAUGGGUGCCCAUGUUUGAGCUGUGCAUAACAUCCAGACUCUCUUUGGCCCCUUGGGUGUGAAGCUCCCAAGCUAUGUUGUGGCAUGAUAGCCGGUUUAAUAGGUAAGGUGAGUCAUCGCUUUGAGAGCAGAAGCCCCCUUGUAACCAAGAAAUUUUGGAAAAAACGGCAGAGGCCCUGCUUUUAGCAAGGAUGCCGGUUUAUUAUAUUGAUCAUAAUAUAUACAUUGUCAUAAUAUGUACAUAAGGAAAGCCUAUGGCUCAGGUGUAGUAAGGCCGAAGGAGAGCUAUGUUCCAUGGCCGCCGAGUCUCCUCCUCAGAACUGCGUGAGUCUUCUCGAAUGUCAAUGAGGUAGUAAGAUCCGUUGUGCAGAUUUUUGCUGACCACAAAGGGUCCUUCCCAAGGUGGGGAUAACUUGUGCAUAUCGGUCUAAUCCUGGAUGAGCCGAAGCACUAAGUCGCCUUCUUGAAAGGUUCGUGUUUUAACCUGGCGGCUGUUAUAACGCCGCAGGUCUUGUUGAUAAACCGCCGACCGAGCCAAAGCCAUGUCCCAUUUCUCAUCUAACAGGUCCAAUGCCUCUUGACGCGCUUGCUCACUGUCCGCUUCAACAUAAUUGGCAACCCGGGGCGAGUCAUGACGAAUAUCACUUGGGAGGACAGCCUCAGCCCCGUAAACCAUGAAGAAAGGUGUAUAACCCAUGGAUCGGUUUGGGGUGGUGUUUAUACUCCAUAACACAGAUGGUAACUCUUCCACCCAACAACCCGGCGUCCGCUUCAAGGGAACCAUAAGCCUAGGCUUAAUACCCUUCAGGGUCUCUUGAUUCGCCCUUUCAGCUUGACCAUUGGACUGUGGAUGAGCCACAGAUGCUACAUCAAGCCGGAUGUGCUCUCGUUGGCAGAACUCCUCCAUCUCACCUUUAGAAAGGUUCGUGCCAUUAUAUGUGAUGAUGCUGUGUGGAAACCCAAAACGGAAAAUGAUCUUUUUGAGAAAUUGAACCGCCGUGGCUGCAUCACACUUGCUGACAGGCUUCGCUUCAACCCAUUUAGUAAACUUGUCAACCGCCACCAACAGGUGGGUCUUCUUAUCCUGGGAAUGCUUAAAAGGUCCUACCAUAUCAAGCCCCCAAGUGGCAAACGGCCAAGUGAUAGGAAUCAUCCGUAGCUCCUGAGCCGGAACAUGAGCUCGACGUGAAAAUUUCUGACAAGCGUCACAUCGCUUUACCAGAUCCUCUGCAUCAGCAUGAGCUGUCAACCAAUAGAACCCAUGACGAAAAGCUUUCGCCACCAGGGAUUUUGAACCGGCGUGGUGACCACAACCCCCUUCAUGGAUUUCAUGUAGAAUCUCUUGUCCUUCUUCAGGGGAAAUACAACAUUGAAAAACUCCUGAAACACUGCAACGGUGUAACUCGCCAUUGUGAAUAACCAUGGACUUGGACCGCCGUAUUAUUUGUCAAGCGAAAGCCUCAUCAUCUGGUAACUCGCCCCGGUUUAAAUACGCCAAAUAUGGAACCGUCCAAUCCGGAGUAGUGUGUAAAACGGCCACCAAUUGGGCCUCUGGAUCAGGAACAGCUAAAUCCUCCUCUGUAGGCAACUUAACAGACGGGUUAUGCAAGAUAUCUAAAAAGGUAUUGGGUGGUACCAGUUUACGCUGAGAUCCCAGCCGGCUUAAAGCAUCUGCUACCUCGUUUUUGUGCCGGUCAAUGUGCUCCACCUGAUAUCCCUUAAAAUGAUCUGCCACAAUAUCCACCUCGCGUCUGUAAGCCACCAUUAGUGGGUCCUUAGAAUCCCAAGUACCAGAAACUUGCUGAGCCACCAGAUCAGAGUUGCCAAAACAGCGGACCCGGCUUAAGUUCAUCUCCUUAGCCACGCGGAGACCGUGGAGUAAGGCCUCGUACUCAGCUGCAUUGUUAGUAUAGGGAAACAUUAAGCGGAGAACAUAACAAAUUUUAUCACCUCGAGGGGAAGUAAGAACAACUCCAGCCCCCGAGCCCUCCAAUUGCCUGGAACCAUCAAAGUGAAUGAUCGAAUAUGUAUUAUCCGGUUUGUCCUCUGGUGCUUGUAACUCGGUCCAAUCAUUGAUGAAGUCAACAAGUGUCUGUGACUUGAUUGAUGUCCGAGGCAUAUAUUUCAAUCCGUGCGGGCCAAGCUCAAUUGCCCACUUUGCAACCCGGCCAGUUGCCUCCCUGUUCUGAAUUAUAUCGCCCAAAGGAGCUGAACUGACCACUGUAAUGGGAUGGCCUUGAAAGUACUGUUUGAGCUUCCGACUUGCCAUAAAAACCCCAUAAACUAGCUUCUGCCAAUGCAGAUAUCGUUGCUUUGACUCGAUAAGCACUUCACUGAUGUAGUAAACCGGCCGUUGAACCGGGUAUUCCUUACCAGCCUCCUUGCGCUCCACCACAAUCGCCACGCUGACAGCACGAGCAUUAGUAGCCACGCACAAUAACAAGGGCUCGUUGUCAACCGGAGCAGCAAGAACCGGCGGUUCAACCAACUACCGCUUUAAGUCAUCAAACGCCGCAUCAGCUGCAUCGGUCCAUAUGAAAUCGUCCGUCUUUUUUAACAUCUGAUAUAAAGGAAUCGCUUUCUCUCCCAAACGGCUGAUAAACCGGCUAAGGGCGGCAAUUCGACCCGCCAGACGCUGAACAUCAUUGAUACACUUCAGUUUAGUCAAAGAUGUAAUCGCUUUGAUUUUUUCCGGAUUAGCCUCAAUGCCUCUGUUGGACACCAGAAAGCCUAAGAGCUUGCCUGCCGGAACACCAAAAACACACUUAUCCGGAUUAAGCAUCAUUUUGUAAAUCCGAAGAUUGUCAAAUGUUUCCUUGAGGUCAUCUAUCAAGGUUUCCUUCUUCCUGGAUUUUACCACAAUGUCAUCCACAUAGGCAUGAACAUUACGCCCAACCUGCGUGUGAAGACAAUUUUGCACACAACGCUGAUAAGUUGCCUGGGCACUCUUGAGCCCGAAAGGCAUAGAAACAUAGCAGAAGGCUCCAAAGGGAGUGAUGAAGGCUGUCUUCUCCUGGUCCUUAACUGCCAUUUUAAUCUGAUGAUAACCUGAAUAAGCAUCCAAAAAACUCAGGCGCUCACAACCCGCCGUCGCAUCAAUAAUCUGAUCAAUAUGCGGGAGAGCAAAGGGAUCUGCCGGACAAGCCUUGUUCAAAUCUGUGUAGUCCACACACAUACGCCAAGUGCCAUUUUUCUUAAGUACGAGCACCGGAUUAGCCAACCACUCAGGGUGAAACACUUCAAUGAUAAACCCAGCAGCCAACAGCCGGGCUACCUCUUCACCAAUGGCCUUGCGUCUUUCCUCGUUAAACCGCCGAAGAAAUUACUUGGCCUGUUUAAACUUGGGAUCAAUAUUGAGAGUGUGCUCAGCGAGUUCCCUCGGUACACCUGGCAUGUCAGAAGGCUUCCAUGCAAAAAUGUCCCGGUUCUCAUGGAUGAACUCGAUGAGCGUGCUUUCCUAUUUUGGAUCCAGAUUGGUGCUGAUGCUAAAUUGUUUGGAUGAAUCGCCAGGAACAAAGUCAACAAGUUUAGUCUCAUCAGCUGGUUUGAAUUUCAGGGUCGGGUCAUGCUCAGUGGUGGGCUUCUUCAAAGGAGUCAUGUCUACCGGAUCAACAUUGUCCUUAUAAAACUUCAGCUCCUCCGUAGCACAAACUGACUCAGCGUAAGCCGCAUCACCUUCCUCACAAUCCAAAGCGAUCUUUCGACUUCCAUGUACUGUUAUAGUUCCCUUGUGACCCGGCAUUUUGAGCUGUAAAUAGAUAUAGCAGGGCCUCGCCAUGAAUUUUGCGUAAGCCAGCCGUCCAAACAGUGCGUGAUACGGGCUCUGGAUUUUUACCAAUUCGAAGGUCAACUUUUCAGACCUGGAAUCAUGCUCGUCUCCAAACACAACCUCCAAAGAGAUCUUGCCAACAGGAUAUGCCGAUUUACCUGGUACUACACCAUGAAAAACAGUGUUGGACGGUUUAAGGUUCUUGUCUGUCAACCCCAUGCGACGAAAAGUCUCAUAGUACAGGAUGUUGAUGCUGCUCCCUCCAUUCAUCAGGACUUUGGUAAACUUGUAACCUCCCACCUGAGGUGCUACCACCAAAGCUAGUUGACCCGGAUUGUCAACCCAGGGCGGAUGAUCCUCUCUGCUCCACACAAUGGGCUGCUUGGACCACCGUAAAUAAUGUGGCACUGCCGAUUCAACAACAUUAACUGCCCUUUUGUGAAGCUUCUGAUCUCGCUUACACAGGCUAGUAGUAAACACAUGAUACUGCCCCCAUUCAACUGCUUGGGGUGACUUUGAUAACCUGAUUGCUGCCGAUUCCCUUGAUUAUUCUGUUGGCCAUUACCCCCUUGGUUAUGCUGGUUGCCCUGAUUAUUCUGAAAUCCAGAGCUUGAACUGCCGCCACCAUGAAAACCUAGACCUGAACCGCCCGACGGACCCUGAUCAUACCGGAAAACAUCGGAAUUCUUGAACUCCUUCAUGAUAUAACAAUCUUUCCACAGAUGCGUGGAAGGGGCCUCUUUGGUCCCAUGCUUUGGGCAGGGCUGGUUCAUCAAAAGUUCCAAAUUCAUCCCUCCACCGCGCUGGGGCAGUUUACCCUUACGACGCUGCAUAUUGGUGUUAGCCACAAGAUCUGAAUUAUCUGCCUUGCGCUUACCAUUAUUCCCAUGGCCUCCUUGGUUGUGAUGAUGUCCCUUUGCACCGCCGUUCUUCUUUCCCUUCUCCGGUUUCUCAUCAUCAGAAUCAGGAUCCUGUUGGAAAUAUGCCCUAGAGGCAAUAAUAAAUUAGUUAUUAUUAUUAUAUUUCCUUGUUCAUGAUAAUCGUUUAUUAUCCAUGCUAUAAUUGUAUUGAUAGGAAAGUCAGAUACAUGUGUGGGUACAUAGACAACACCAUGUCCCUAGUAAGCCUCUACUUGACUAGCUCGUUAAUCAAUAGAUGGUUACAGUUUCCUGACCAUGGACAUUGGAUGUUGUUGAUAACGGGAUCACAUCAUUAGGAGAAUGAUGUGAUGGACAAGACCCAAUCCUAAGCCUAGCACAAAGAUCGUGUAGUUCAUAUGCUAAAGCUUUUCUAAUGUCAAGUAUCUUUUCCUUAGACCAUGAGAUUGUGCAACUCCCGGAUGCCGUAGGAAUUCUUUGGGUAUACCAAAUGUCACAACGUAACUGGGUGGCUAUAAAGGUACACUACGGGUAUCUCCGAAAGUGUCAGUUGGGUUGGCACGAAUCGAGACUGGGAUUUGUCAACGGAGAGGUAUCUCUGGGCCCACUCGGUAGGACAUCAUCAUAAUGUGCACAAUGUGACCAAGGGGUUGAUCAUGGGAUGAUGUGUUACAGAGACUUGCUGGUAACGAGAUUGAACAAGGUAUCGACAUACCGACGAUCGAAUCUCGGGCAAGUAUAAUACCACUGGACAAAGGGAAUUGUAUAUGGGUUUGAUUGAGUCCUUGACAUCAUGGUUCAUCCUAUGAGAUCAUCGUGGAACAUGUGGGAGCCAACAUGGGUAUCUAGAUCCCGCUGUUGGUUAUUGACAGGAGAACGUCUCGGUCAUGUCUGCAUGGUUCCCGAACCCGUAGGGUCUACACACUUAAGGUUCGAUGAUGCUAGGGUUAUAAAGGAAGUUUGUAUGUGGUUACCGAAUGUUGUUCGGAGUACCGGAUGAGAUCCCGGAUGUCACGAGGAGUUCCGGAAUGGUCCGGAGGUAAAGAUUUAUAUAUGGGAAGUCAUCAUACGGUCACCGGAAUAAUUCGGGGGUUACCGGUAUUGUAUCGGGACCACCGAAGGGGUACCGGGGGUCCACCGGGAGGGUCCACCUGCCCCGGAGGGCCCUGUGGGCUGUUUGUGGAGAGGGACCAGCCCCUUAGUGGGAUGGGCGUAUCCCCCGUAGGGCCCAUGCGCCUAGAGUUUGGGGGAACCCUAAAGGGGGGCGCCCCCUUGCCUUGGGGGGCAAGGCAACCCCCUCUGGCCGCCGCCCCCUCCUCAGAUUGGAUCUGAGGGGGGCGGCCCCCCUCUCCCUUGCCCCUAUAUAUAUGUGGGGGUGGAAGGGCAGCCGCACCCAAGUUCUAGCGCAGCCCUUCCCCUCUCCCAAGUCCUCCUCCUCUCUCGCGGUGCUUGGCAAAGCCCUACAGGAUUGCCACGCUCCUCCAUCACCACCACGCCGUUGUGCUGCUGCUGGAUGGAGUCUUCCUCAACCUCUCCCUCUCUCCUUGCUAGAUCAAGGCAUGGGAGACGUCACCGGGCUGUACGUGUGUUCGGCACUAGGAUCCCCGAUGAUUUGGAUCACGACGAGUACGACUCCUUCAACCCCGUUCUCUUGAACGCUUCCGCUUAGCGAUCUACAAGGGUAUGUAUAUGCACUCUCCUUCCCCUCAUUGCUAGUCUCUCCAUAGAUAGAUCUUGGUGACUCGUAGGAAAAUUUUGAAUUUCUGCUACGUUCCCCAACAGUGGCAUCAUGAGCUAGGUCUAUGCGUAGUUUCUAUGCAUGAGUAGAACACAAAGUAGUUGUGGGUGUUGAUUUUGUUCAAUAUGCUUACCGUUACUAGUCUUAUCUUGAUUCGGCGGCAUCGUGGGAUGAAGCGGCCCGAACCGACCUUACACGUACUCUUACGUGAGACAUGUUCCAUCGACUGACAUGCACUUGUUGCAUAAGGUGGCUAGCGGGUGCCAGUCUCUCCCACUUUAGUCGGAUCGGAUUCGAUGAAAAGGGUCCUUAUGAAGGGUAAAUAGCAAUUGACAUAUCACGUUGUGGUUUUUGCGUAGGUAAGAAACGUUCUUGCAAGAAACCCAUAGCAGCCACGUAAAACAUGCAAACAACAAUUAGAGGACGUCUAACUUGUUUUUGCAGGGUAUGCUAUGUGACGUGAUAUGGCCAUGAAGAAUGUGAUGAAUGAUAUGUGAUGUAUGAGAUUGAUCAUGUUCUUGUAAUAGGAAUCACGACUUGCAUGUCGAUGAGUAUGACAACCGACAGGAGCCAUAGGAGUUGUCUUUAUUUAUUGUAUGACCUGCGUGUCAUUGAACAACACCAUGUAAUUACUUUACUUUAUUGCUAACCGGUAGCCAUAGUAGUAGAAGUAAUAAGUUGGCGAGACAACUUCAUGGAGACACGGUGAUGGAGAUCAUGAUGAUGGAGAUCAUGGUGUCAUGCCGGUGACGAUGAUGAUCAUGGAGCCCCGAAGAUGGAGAUCAAAAAGGAGCAAAAUGAUAUUGGCCAUAUCAUGUCACUAUUUUGAUUGCAUGUGAUGUUUAUCAUGUUUAUGCAUCUUAUUUGCUUAGAACAACAGUAGUCAAUAAGAUGAUCCCUCAUUAAAAUUUCAAGAAAGUGUUCCCCCUAACUGUGCACCGUUGUGAAAGUUCGUUGUUUCGAAGCACCACGUGAUGAUCGGGUGUGAUAGAUUCUAACGUUCACAUACAACGGGUGUAAGCCAGAUUUACACACGCGAAACACUUAGGUUGACUUGACGAGCCUAGCAUGUACAGACAUGGCCUCGGAACACGGAAGACCGAAAGGUCGAGCAUGAGUCCUAUAGAAGAUACGAUCAACAUGAAGAUGUUCACCGACAUUGACUAGUCUGUCUCACGUGAUGAUCAGACACGGCCUAGUUGACUCGGAUCAUGUAAUCACUUAGAUGACUAGAGGGAUGCCUAUCUGAGUGGGAGUUCAUAAGAUGAACUUAAUUAUCCUGAACAUAGUCAAAAGAUCUUCGCAAAUUAUGUCGUAAGCUCACGCUUUUUCUACUGUUUAGAUAUGUUCCUAGAGAAAAUUUAGUUGAAAGUUGAUAGUAGCAAUUAUGCGGACUGGGUCCGUAAACUGAGGAUUGUCCUCGUUGCUUCGUAGAAGGCUUAUGUCCUUAAUGCACCGCUCAGUGUGCUGAACCUCGAACAUCAUCUGUGGAUGUUGCGAACAUCUCUCACACAUGUUUUGAUAACUACGUGAUAGUUCAGUAAUGAUAAACGGUUUAGAGUUGAGGCACCGAAGACAAUUUUGGAACGUCGCGAAACAUAUGAGAUGUUUCAAGGGCUGAAAUUGGGAUUUCAGGCUCGUGCCCACGUCAAGAGGUAUGAGACCUCCGACGGUUUUCUUAGCCUGCAAACUAAGGGAGAAAAACUCAAUCGUUGAGCUUGUGCUUAGAUUGUCUGAGUACAACAAUCACUUUAAUCGAGUGGGAGUUGAUCUUCCAGAUGAGAUAGUGAUGUUUCUCCAAAGUCAUUGCCACCAAGCUGCUAGAGCUUCGUGAUGAACUAUAUCAGGGAUAGAUAUGAUGAUCCUUGAAGUAUUCGCGAUGUUUGACACUGUGAAAGUAGAAGUCAAGUAGGAGCAUCAAUUGUUGAUGGUUAGUAGAACCACUAGUUUCAAAAAGGGCAAGGGCAAGGAGGGAUACUUCAUGAAACGGCAAAUCAGCUGCUGCUCUAGUGAAGAAACCCGAGGUUGAACCCAAACCCGAGACUAAGUGCUUCUGUAAUGAGAGGAACGGACACUAAAGCAGAACCACCCUAGAUACUUGGUAGAUAAGAAGGCAUGCAAGGUCGAAGGAAGUAUAUUGGAUAUACAUUAUGUUAAUGUGUACUUUACCAGUAUUCCUAGUAGCACCAGGGUAUUAGAUACCGGUUCAGUUGCUAAGUGUUAGUAACUCGAAGUAAAAGCUACGGAAUAAACAGAGACUAGCUAAAGGUGAGCUGACGAUAUGUGUUGGGAGUGUUUCCAAGGUUGAUAUGAUCAAGCAUCACACACUCCCUCUACCAUCGAGAUUGGUAUUAAACCUAAAUAAUUGUUAUUUGGUGUUUGCGUUGAGCAUAGACAUGAUUGGAUUAUGUCUAUCGCAAUACGGUUAUUCAUUUAAGGAGAAUAAUAGUUACUCUAUUUAUUUGAAUAAUACCUUCAAUGGUCUUGCACCUAAAAUGAAUGGUUUAUUGAAUCUCGAUCGUAGUGAUACACAUGUUCAUGCCAAAAGAUACAAGAUAGUAAUGAUAGUACCACCUACUUGUGGCACUGCCAUGUAAGUCAUAAAACGCAUGAAGAAGCUCCAUGUUGAUGGAUCUUUGGACUCACUCGUUUUUGAAAAGUUUGAGACAUGCAAACCAUGUCUAUUGGUAUGUACGCAUGAAGAAACUCCAUGCAGAUGGAUCGUUUUGGACUCACUUGAUUUUGAAUCACUUGAGACAUGCAAAUCAUACCACAUGGGCAAGAUGACUGAAAGCCUCGUUUUCAAUAAAAUGGAACAAGAAAGCAACUUGUUGGAAGUAAUACAUUUUGAUGUGUGCAGUCCAAUAAGUGCUAAGGCACGCAGUAGAUAUCAUUAUGUUCUUACUUCACGGAUGAUUUGAGUAGAUACUGAGUAUAUUUACUUGAUGAAACGCAAGUCUGAAUUAUUGAAUGGUUCAAGUAAUUUCAGAGUGAAGUUGAAGAUCAUCAUGACAAGAGGAUAAAAUGUCUAUGAUAUGAUCAUAGAGAUGAGUAUCUGAGUUACAAGCUUUGGCACGCAAUUAAGACAUUGUGGAAAUUGUUUCACAACUAAUACCGCCUGGAACACCAUAGUGUGAUGGUGUGCCCGAACAUCAUAGUUGCACCCUAUUGGAUAUGGUGCGUACCAUGAUGUCUCUUAUCAAAUUACCACUAUCGUUCAUGGGUUAGGCAUUAGAGACAACCGCAUUCACUUUAAAAUAGGGCACCAUGUAAUUCCGUUGAGACGACACCGUUUGAACUAUGGUUUGGAGAAACCUAAGUUGUCGUUUCUUAAAAGUUUGGGGCUGCGACGCUUAUGUGAAAAAGUUUCAGGUUGAUAAGCUCGAACCCAAAGUGGAUAAAAUGCAUCUUCAUAGGACACCCAAAACAGUUGGGUAUACCUCCUAAUUCAGAUCUGAAAGCAAUAGGGAUUGUUUCUUGAAUCGGGUCCUUUCUCGAGGAAAAGUUUGUCUCAAAAAUUGAGUGGGAGGAUGGUGGAGACUUGAUGAGGUUAUUGAACCGUCACUUCAACUAGUGUGUAGCAGGGCACAGGAAGUUAUUCCUGUGGCGUCUACACCAAUUGAAGUAGAAGCUUAUGAUAGUGAUCAUGAAGUUUCGGAUCAAGUCACUACCGUACCUCGUAGGGUGACAAGGAUGCGUACUACUUCAGAGUGGUACAGUAAUCCUGUCUUGAAGGUCAUGUUGCUAGACAACAAUGAACGUACGAGCUAUGGAGAAGCGAUGGUGGGCCCAUAUUCCGACAAAUGGUUAGAAGCCAUGAAAUCCGAGAUAGGAUCCAUGUAUCAGAACAAAGCAUGGACUUUGGUGGACUUGCCUGAUGAUCGGCAAGCCAUUGAGAUAAAUGGAUCUUGAAGAAGAAGACAGACGUGGACGGUAAUGUCACCGUCUAUGAAGCUCGACUUGUGGCGAAGAGUUUUUCACAAGUUCAAGGAAGUUGACUACGAUGAGAUUUUCUCAUUCGUAGCGAUGCUUAAGUCCGUCGGAAUCAUGUUAGCAUUAGCUGCAUUUAUGAAAUCUGCCAAAUGGAUGUCAAAACGAGUUUCCUUACCAGUUUUCGUAAGGAAAGGUUGUAUGCAAUACAAUCAGAAAGGUUUGUCGAUCCUAAGGAUGCUAAAAGGUAUGCUAGCUCCAGCGAUCCUUCUAAGGACUGGAGUAAGCAUCUCGGAGUUGGAAUGUACGCUUUGAUGAGAUGAUCAAAGAUUUUGGGUUUAUACAAAGUUUAUGAGAAAUUUGUAUUUCCAAAGAAGCGAGUGGGAGCACUAUAGAAUUUCUGAUAGGUAUAUGUUGUUGACAUAUUGUUGAUCAGAAAUGAUGUAGAAUUUCUGGAAAGCAUAUAGGGUUGUUUGAAAGGUGUUUUUCAAUAGAAAACCUGGAUUAAGCUGCUUGAACAUUGAGUAUCAAGAUCUAUGAGGAUAGAUCAAAAAAACGCUAAAUGGUAUUUUCAAAUGAGCACAUACCUUGACAUGAUCUUGAAGGUGUUCAAGAUGGAUCAGUCAAAGAAGGAGUUCUUGCUAGAAUUGUAAGGUAUGAAGUUAAGACUUAAAGCUCGACCACAGCAGAAUAGAGAGAAAGGACGAAGGUCGCCCCCUAUGCUUCAGACGUUGGCUCUAUAGUAUGCUAUGUUGUGUACCGCACCGGAAGUGUGCCUUGCCAUGAGUCAGUCAAGGGGUACAAGAAUGAUCCAGGAAUGGAUCAUUGGACAACGGUCAAAAUUGUCCUUGGAGUAAAUAAGGACAUGUUUCUCGAUUAUGGAGGUGAUAAAGAGUUCGGUGUAAAGGGUUACGGCGAUGCAAGCUUUAACACCUAUCCGAGUGACUCUGAGUAGCAAACCGGAUACAUAUAGUGGAGCAACCAUUUGGAAUAGCUCCAAGUGGAGCGUGGAAGCAGCAUUUACAAUAUGACCUAGAGAUUUGCGAAGUACAUACGGAUCUGAAUGUUACAGAUCCAUUGACUAAAACCUCUCUCACAAGCAAAACAUGAUCAAACCCCAGAACUCAUUGAGUCUUAAUCACAUGAUGAUGUGAACUAGUUUAGCGACACUAGUAAACUCUUUGGAUGUUGGUCACAUGGCGAUAUGACCUGUCAGUGUUAAUCACAUGGCGGUGUGAACUAGAUUAUUGACUCUAGUGCAAGUGGGAGACUGUUGGAAAUAUGCCCUAGAGGCAAUAAUAAAUUAGUUAUUAUUAUUAUAUUUCCUUGUUCAUGAUAAUCAUUUAUUAUCCAUGCUAUAAUUGUAUUGAUAGGAAACUCAGAUACAUGUGUGGGUACAUAGACAACACCAUGUCCCUAGUAAGCCUCUAGUUGACUAGCUCGUUAAUCAAUAGAUGGUUACAGUUUCCUGACCAUGGACAUUGGAUGUUGUUGAUAACGGGAUCACAUCAUUAGGAGAAUGAUGUGAUGGACAAGACCCAAUCCUAAGCCUAGCACAAAGAUCGUGUAGUUCAUAUGCUAAAGCUUUUCUAAUGUCAAGUAUCUUUUCCUGAGACCAUGAGAUUGUGCAACUCCCGGAUGCCAUAGGAAUGCUUUGGGCAUACCAAACAUCACAACGUAACUGGGUGGCUAUAAAGGUACACUACGGGUAUCUCCGAAAGUGUCAGUUGGGUUGGCACGAAUCGAGACUGGGAUUUGUCACUCCGUGUGACGGAGAGGUAUCUCUGGGCCCACUCGGUAGGACAUCAUCAUAAUGUGCACAAUGUGACCAAGGGGUUGAUCAUGGGAUGAUGUGUUAUGGAACGAGUAAAGAGACUUGCCGGUAACGAGAUUGAACAAGGUAUCGGCAUACCGACUAUCGAAUCUCAGGCAAGUAUAAUACCACUGGACAAAGGGAAUUGUAUACGGGUUUGAUUGAGUCCUUGACAUCGUGGUUCAUCCGAUGAGAUCAUCGUGGAACAUGUGGGAGCCAACAUGGGUAUCCAGAUCCUGCUGUUGGUUAUUGACAGGAGAACGUCUCAGUCAUGUCUGCAUGGUUCCCGAACCCGUAGGGUCUACACACUUAAGGUUCGAUGAUGCUAGGGUUAUAAAGGAAGUUUGUAUGUGGUUACCGAAUGUUGUUCGGAGUCUCGGAUGAGAUCCCGGACGUCACGAGGAGUUCCAGAAUGGUCUGGAGGUAAAGAUUUAUAUAUGGGAACUCAUCAUACGUUCACCGGAAUAAUUCGGGGGUUACCGGUAUUGUAUCGGGACCACCGAAGGGGUUCCGGGGGUCCACCUGCCCCGAAGGGCCCUGUGGGAUGUUUGUGGAGAGGGACCAGCCCCUUAGUGGGCUGGGCGCCUCCCCCCUAGGGCCCAUGCGCCUAGGGUUUGGGGGAACCCUAAAGGGGGGGCGCCCCCUUGCCUUGGGGGGCAAGGCAACCCCCUCUGGCCGCUGCCCCCUCCUCAGAUUGGAUCUGAGGGGGCCGGCCCCCGUCUCCCUUGCCCCUAUAUAUAUGUGGGGGGUGGAAGGGCAGCCGCACCCAAGUUCUGGUGCAGCCCUUCCCCUCUCCCAAGUCCUCCUCCUCUCUCGCGGUGCUUGGCGAAGCCCUGCAGGAUUGCCACGCUCCUCCAUCACCACCACGCCAUUAUGCUACUGCUAGAUGGAGUCUUCCUCAACCUAUCCCUCUCUCCUUGCUGAAUCAAGGCAUGGGAGACGUCACCGGGUUGUACGUGUGUUGAACGCGGAGGUGCCGUCCGUUCGGCACUAGGAUCUCCGGUGAUUUGGAUCACGACGAGUACGACUCCUUCAACCCCGUUCUCUUGAACGCUUCCGCUUAGAGAUCUACAAGGGUAUGUAGAUGCACUCUCCUUCCCCUUGUUUCUAGUCUCUCCAUAGAUAGAUCUUGGUGACUCGUAGGAAAAUUUUGAAUUUCUGCUACGUUCCCCAACAGAUCCUUGGUAUUAUCAGAAUCUCCAUACUUGACCAAGGCUGCCAUGAGGGUUCCCAUGUCAUUGCAGUGGCGCUUGAGACAUCCCAACUUCAUCUUCAGUGACUUAAACCGGCAAUUGCACUCUAGCGUUAUGAUCACUUGACCAGCGUUAAUCCGGUCAGACGAAUGCAAAACUUCUGAAACCCGGCGUACCCAAUGAGUUGUUGACUCGUUCUCCCCUUGAACACAAGCAUCCAGAUCCACAAUGGACAUGGGCUGUUUGCACGUGUCUUUGAAAUUGGCUAUAAACCAGGCCUUCAUUUGAUCCCACGACUCGAUGGAGUUAGCUGGCAAAUUUUUCAACCAAGUACGGGCCGUCUCUUCCAACAUCAUCGUGAAGUACUUUGCGUAGGCCACUUCAUCCACAUCUAGCAUCUCCAUUGCCAUCUCAUAACUCUCGACCCAUGCCUCAGGUGGCUGAUCCGCAGUAUAAUUAGGCACCUUACGUGGACCCUUGAAAUCUUUGGGCAGAUGCACAUUACGGAGAGCCAGAAUAAGACACGGCACUCCCCAGGAACCGAAGGCAAGCCCGGUGCCUCGGUCUACUGACGUCGCUGGCUGAACCGGGGCGGGUUGAUGACGACCCAAAGCGGCCUCCCUUCAUGCUCUGCCAUUAUCCACCAUGUCUUGAGCAUUACGAUGCCGAGCACUGCUAGACACUUCCGGUUCAUCCAUGUGCCUGCUAUAGCUUGGGCUCGGACGAGGGGUUGAAUGAAUUGUAUCCCGGCUAUAAGAAUAAGCCUGCUGCAGCACCACAGCGGUUUGAAGAAGGUCCCUAGCCCGCCGCGUUUCAAUUGCUGCCAGUGAAUCGCCCUCCAUCGAAAUGGCUGCCAGGCGCGAUGCUGCAGCAAUCAUGUUAUCCAGAGGGCUCGAGAAGUGACCCGGCGGUGUAGACACGUAUUGCAACGGGUUAUCUGUUCGCCGGGGUAGUUCUGUUAUCAGUAGUUGAUCCAGAGCUGUCCUAGGUGCAUCAGUCUGGUUUGCAGCUACCAGAUUGCUCGACCCAGCGCCUGGUGUUUGAAAGAGGUUCAAUCCUUCGUAGACCGACGGCAGACGAGACCGGUACUUCCUUCGCAUUACAUCCUCUGAUGCGGUCCGAUCCAGCAUGAGUUUAUAAUUCUGCGCCUGUAUCUGCUGUGACUGGGCAUCCAAAGCGGCCCGUUCUUCAGCCAUCCUAGCAUCCUCAGUUGCCAGGUCCUCAGCCUGUGUUAUCUAGUCCUUCAGCUUCGCAUGUCCGCAUUGUGCUGAUCCCGCGUCUCCGGGGUGACUGCCGUGGUUAACAAAGUCGCCCAGGCAUCCAUCAAACCGGAGAGGACUUGAGCCGGUCGGCGCGCCGGGGCUCCUGCCGCGGCUGCUGAUCCGGUAUUCAUUGCCGCUAUAGAUGAAGACUGCAAAGUGGGCUGUGUUCCGGCCAUGUAAACAGCAUCCCGACUUGGCGGUUCAAGGAGGUCCAGAAUACUGUUGCCGUCGGAAUAUCCUUCAAACACACCGUUAUGAAUCUGAUACAGGGACUCAGUUUCACCAAUGGAUGACUCGCCAUCAGAAUAAACAACCGUCUCGCCUUCAGACACCGGUUCAGAUCCGAUCCCAUGGACACAUCCUACGAAUGCACGCUUCAUGGCGGGAUUAACCCGGGCUGGACUUGCACGCUGAGCCGUCUCGACGAGGUCGGUGUAGAUGUCCGGCUCAGGGCCUGGUUCGCCGAUCUUGCCGAUGAAGACAUGAAUUCCGCCAAAGGGGACCCGGUACCCGUGCUCGAUUGAGCCGGCCUCGGGGCCCCAGCCUUCGUCGUCGAUGUGGAGCUUGCCGCGAUGACUUUUGGUCAUCCGGCUGACCAUGUACCCCUUAAGUCCUUCAAAGCUGCUCUUCAAGAACUCAAAACCAUCAUGCGAUAGCCCCACAGUGGGCGCCAACUGUCGUGGAAUUAACACGUCAGAUGUCCUCAUGAAAGGACUUAGUCGUGGAGCCAUCACAAUGGGUUAGCUUGAAGGGGUUAAACCGGACAAGGGACACGGGAGUUUUAUACUAGUUCGGCCCCUUCAAUGAAGGUAAAAGCCUACGUCUAGUUGUGAUGGGAUUGAUUGGGUUUCAAUGACCAGGGAGCGAAAACGCUUGCCUGAGUCCCGAGUUGUUGUUUCUUGUCCCUGAACCGCCGCCGGGUCGUCCCUUUAUAUACAUAGGUUGACGCCCGGCCGGUCUACAGAGCCCCGAGGCCAACUCAUACAAGGUGUCCGGCUCGGUCUCUCCUUUCCUAACUUACAUUACAAGUUACAUAGUCAUGGCGGUUUACCAUUAUGGGCCCUAAUCCACCUUUGGGCUUUGGGCCUCCAAGCUUCAUUAAUAAAGCGCCGUCUUCUGGAUCUUCAUGGGCUUCAACAUAGUCGAGGGUGAACCGGGCCCUCCUGGCCGGUUUAAACUCAGUAGUUAUAUCCCCAACAAAAGGCAUCGGUGCCAUCAUACUCCGACUUGACGGCCCGCCACCCGCCUUCUUCGCCUUCUCCGGCCUCCCCAUGCCAGCUGCCCAAGGAGGCGACCCCGAGAAGUUCAAGGAGCCGGCAACACAGAUGAUGGGGUCGCCGGUGUCUCCCCGGAGCGGCGCGCCCGACGCUUAGUCGGACAUGUCAUCCUGCCGCUCGCCACCCUCGCCGUCGCUGCCGCUGUCCUCCUCGACACUCUUGCUCGAGGAGGAGUCUUCGUCAUCAGAGGAGCUCUCCAUGCAGCACCUUACGCGAGUCCCGAAGUGUCCAAAGACCUUGACGGAGAGGAGGCCACUCUUCAUUAAUUUGAAAUGGAGAGUGAGCCCCUCCGUCAGGCUGUGGAUGCAAGCAAAGGUCUUCCACCCUCGGCGAAGAUACAUGACGUGAGGGGCGGGGAACUCGACGUUGGUCCAUGUGCCGCUAUUCCCACAACCCCUCAUAUGCAGCCGUAGCGCCUGCGGCGGGUCCAACUCCAUCUCCCGUGCAAAUGGGGUCGGGAGGCGAAGACGACGGUGCGGCGGCUGGCGCAGCCUGAUGAAGAACUCGUAGGGGUUGUCCCUGACGUGGCCCUCCACUGGGGGAGGGGCCGCUGGCGAAGGCGAGGCCGAUGUGCCGCCCCAUCCUCCUCUUCCCCGAGCGUCGCGACGUCCUCGACCUCGCCCCUCCCCCUGCCUCUAACAGCUAGCUCCGCCACCACAAGCUCUUGGGGAGGGGCGAUGCGCUGUCGAGCAGAGACCCUCGCCGCCACCGAUGAAGCAUCACCGCCCUCUCGCCCUGGUAUAAGAGAGGAAGGAGUAGGGAUGGGGAGAGGCGAAUAGUAAAGGACUAAGAGGCGCCAUUCCUCCCGCUCCCCUCCUUAUAAAGAGACGGGGGCGGGGCUCGGCCACCCCUCUCGGCCAAUCCGGCUCAUUAAAGGUGACAGCGGGCGAGGCCGUCGACCGUCCUCCCCUCCCAAUUGAAGGCGCGUGGGAAUCGACCCACGCGCGCACGUCUUCCUGUAUCCCGCACGCCUGUCAUUCCCUUUGCUUUGUGCAUGCAGUGUACGUGGCGCGAGAGACGGGGUAAUGGGACGCAUGGAAUGACAGUUUCUAGGUAAGGACAAUAAAUGAUCUGCGGCCCUACGGUCUCAAAGGGACACGCAAGCCGCCUCUUUACUGUUCACCGCAAGAUGAUGCAAGCAUGCUUCAAUCACCCGCGCGCGCGACCCCCACGUCACGCAUUCAACGCAGGUCGUGGGGAAGCGUAGCGGACGGAAAGAUACCAUGGUAAAAACCGCCCCGCCUGCCCGCGCACCGUUCUGGGCCUGGCCCAACAACGUGUCACGCUUAUGUGUGGCCCAGGCCCGGGGGCUCCUGUCGGUGUACUAAAAUAGGGGCGCUCUUUUGUACCCCUUAUUUGUGCACGGGCAGUCAGAGCCGCGCCCAUGGCCACACUUAAGCAGGGCAGAGACAGGAAAUCAGAGCCACAACACAGAAUCAAAGCAACACCAAGACAGAAGCACAAAGAGCCAGAAGGCGAAGUGGUUUCCCCUGGCAAGGUUUUUGCUGGGCAGCCCCCACGGCCCCAGCAAGGCCCUUGCCGGGGCAGCCUACCUGACGUCAGCAGGGCACGCCACCCUUGAGCCCUGAUUCCUCCAGCGCCACCAACCGCGUUGGACCAAGGCUCGGGAGGCGUCACCAUGGUGGCAUGCAGAUCUUUGUGAAGACAAGGAUAAUACUCCAAAUCAGAAGAGUAGAAGACGAUGAACCUCGGUGAGAUCUUCGCUCAGAAAACCCACAAGACCCCUGCUACGUCUUGAGCUUGCGUUGGUUUUCCUUGAAGUGGAAGGGGUGAUGCAGCAAUAGUAGCGUAAGUAUUUCCCUCAGUUUUUGAGAAUCAAGGUAUCAAUCCAGUAGGAGGCUCCUUAAAAGUCCCACGCACCUACACAAACAAACAAAGAACUCGCAACCAAUGCAAUAAAGGGGUUGUCAAUCCCUUCACGGCCACUUGCAAAAGUGAGAUCUGAUAGAGAUAGUAUGAUAAGAUAAAUAUACUUUUGGUAUUUUAUAAUAUAGAUUGGAAAAGUAAAGAUGCAAAUAAAAGUAGAUUGAAAGCUUAUAUGAUAAAGAAUAGACCCGGGGCCAUAGAUUUAACUAGUGGCUUCUCUCAAGAUAGCAUAAGUAUUAUGGUGGGUGAACAAAUUAUUGUCGAGCAAUCGAUAGAAAAGCGAAUAAUUAUGAGAUUAUCUAGGCAUGAUCAUGUAUAUAGGCAUCACGUCCGUGACAAGUAGACCGACUCCUGCCUGCAUCUACUAAUAUUACUCCACAUAUCGACCGCUAUCCAGCAUGCAUCUAGAGUAUUAAGUUCAUAAGAACAUAGUAAUGCAUUAAGAAAGAUGACAUGAUGUAGAGGGAUAAACUCAUGCAAUAUGAUAUAAACCCCAUCUUUUUAUCCUCGAUGGCAACAAUACAAUACGUGCCUUGCUGCCCCUGCUGUCACUGGAUAAGGACACCACAAGAUUGAACCCAAAGCUAAGCACUUCUCCCAUUGCAAGAAAGAUCAAUCUAGUAGGCCAAACCAAACUGAUAAUUCGAAGAGACUUGCAAAGAUAACUCAAUCAUACAUAAAAGAAUCCAGAGGAGAUUCAAAUAUUUCUCAUAGAUAAACUUGAUCAUAAACCCACAAUUCAUCGGAUCUCGACAAACACAUCGCAAAAAGAGUUACAUCGAAUAGAUCUCCACAAGAGGGGGGGGGGAGAAUAUGGUAUUGAGAUCCAAAAAGAGAGAAGAAGCCAUCUAGCUAAUAACUAUGGACCCUAAGGUCUAUGGUAAACUACUCACAAAUCAUCAGAGGGGCUAUGGUGUUGAUGUAAAAGCCCUCCAUGGUCGAUUCCCCCUCCGGUGGAGCACCGGCGAAGGCUCCAAGAUGGGUUCUCACGGAUACAGAAGGUUACGGAGGUGGAAAUUGUUUUUCGUUGGCUCCCUGGAUGUUUUCGGGGUACAUGGGUAUAUAUAGGAGGAAGAAGUACGUUGGUGGCCGCCCGAGGGGCCCACGAGAUAGGGGGUGCGCCUUGUAGGGGUGGGCGCGCCCUCCAGCCUCGUGUCCACCUCGGCUUCUUCUUGACUUGCACUCCAAGUCCUCUGAAUCACGUUCGUUCCAAAAAUCAUGCUCCCGAAGGUUUCAUUCCGUUUGGACUCCGUUUGAUAUUCCUUUUCUUCGAAAUACUGAAACAAGCAAAAAAACAAUAUGGGCUAGGCCUCCAGUUAGUAGGUUAGUCCCAAAAAUGAUAUAAAUGUGUAAAAUAAAGCCCAUAAACAUCCAAAAGGGGUAAUAUAAUAGCAUGGAACAAUAAAAAGUUAUAGAUAUGUUGGAGACGUAUCAAGCAUCCCCAAGCUUAAUUCCUGCUCGUCUUCGAGUAGGUAAAUGAUAAAAACAGAAUUUUUGAUGUGGAAUGCUACCUAGCAUAAUUCUCAAUGUAAUUUUCUUUAUUGUGGCAUGAAUGUUCAGAUCCAAAUGAUUCAAAAUAAAAGUUCAUAUUGACAUGAGAAAUAGCAAUACUUCAAGCAUACUAAUACAAGCAAUCAUGUCUUCUCAAAAUAACAUGGCUAAAGAAAGUUCAUCCCUACAAAAUCAUAUAGUUAGGCUAUGUUUCAUUUUCAUCACACAAAAUACUCCCAUCAAGAACAACCCCAAUUUCAGCCAAGCAAUUGGUUCAUACUUUUUAACGUGCUUCAACCUUUUUCAACUCUCAUGCAAUACAUGAGCAUGAGCCAUGGAUAUAGCACUAUGGGUGGAAUAGAAUAUGAUGAUGGAGGUUGUGUGGAGAAGACAAAAAAAGAGAAAGUCUCACAUUGACGAGGAUAAUCAAUGGGCUAUGGAGAUGCCCAUCAAUUGAUGUCAACAUGAUGAGUAGGGAUUGCCAUGCAACGGAUGCACUAGAGCUAUAAAUGCAUGAAAGCUCAACAAAAGAAAACUAGUGGGUGUGCAUCCAACUUGCUUGCUCACGAAGACCUAGGGCAUUUGAGGAAGCCCAUCGUAGGAAUAUACAAGCCAAGUUCUAUAAUGAAAAAUUCCCACUAGUAUAUGAAAGUGACAACAUAUGAGACUCGCUAUAUGAAAAACAUGGUGCUACUUUGAAGCACAAUAUAUGAGACUCGCUAUAUGAAGGACAUGGUGCUACUUUGAAGCACAAGUGUGGAAAAAGAGAUAGUAACAUCGCCCCUUUUUAUUUUUUUAUUUUUUUAUUUUUUAUUUUUUAUUUUUUUAUUUUUUUCUUUUUCUUUUUUUGGGCUUUCUUUUUUUCCUUUUUCUUUUUUGGGACAAUGCUCUAAUAAUGAUGGUCAUCACACUUUUAUUGAUUUACAACAUAUGAAUUACAACUCAAAACUAGAACAAGAUAUGACUCUAUAUGAAUGCCUCUGGCGGUGUACCCGGAUGAGCAAUGAAUCAAGAGUGACAUGUAUGAAAAAUUAUGCAUGGUGGCCUUGCCACAAAUAUGAUGUCAACUACAUGAUCAUGCAAUGGCAAUAUGACAAUAGUAAUGCGUGUCAUGAUGAUAAACGAAACGGUGGAAAGUUGCAUGGCAAUAUAUCUCGGAAUGGCUAUGGAAAUGCCAUAAUAGGUAGGUAUGGUGGUUGUUUUGUGGAAGAUAUAAGGUGAUUUAUGUGUGAUAGAGCGUAUCGUAUCACGGGGUUUGGAUGCACCGGUGAAGUUUGCACCAACUCUCAAGGUGAGAAAGGGCAAUGCACGGUACCGACGAGGCUAGCAAUGAUGAAAAGGUAAAAUUGCGUAUAAUCCAUGGACUCAACAUUAGUCAAACGAACUCAUAUACUUAUUGCAAAAAAAAUAUUAGCCCUCGAAGCAAAGUACUACUACACAUGCUCCUAGGGGGAGGUUGGUAAGAGUUAACCAUCGCACGCCCCCGACCUCCACUCAAGGGAAGGCAAUCAAAAGAGCACUCUAUGUAAUAAAUUUGUUACACAACUUUUACCAUAUGUGCAUGCCACGAGACUUGCUAACUUCAACACAAGCAUUCUCUAAAUUCAUAAUCACCCAACUAGCAUGACUUUAAUACCACUACCUCCAUAUCUCAAAACAAUUAUCAAGUAUCAAGUUUAUCAUAGCAUCCAAUUCACUUCCUAUGAUAGUUUUUAUUAUACCCAACUUGGAUGCCUACCAUUCUAGGACCAAUUUUAUAACCAUAGCAAAUACCAUGCUGUUCUAAAAGACUCUCAAAAUAAUAUAAGUGAAGCAUGAGAGACUAGCAAUUUCUACAAAAUUAAGCCACCGCCAUGCUCUAAAAGAUAUAAGUGAAGCACUGGAGCAAAAACUAUCUAGCUCAAAAGAUAUAAGUGAAGCACAUAGAGUAUUCUAAUAAAUUCCAAUCAAGUGGGCUUCUCCCAAAAGGUGUGUACAGCAAGGAUGAUUAUGGAAAAAUAAAAAACAAAUACUAAUAUCAUACACGAUGCUCCAAGCAAAACACAUAUCAUGAGACGAAUAAAAAUAUAGCUCCAAGUAAAGUUACCAAUGAACGAAGACGAAAGAGGGGAUGCCUUCUGGGGGCAUCCCCAAGCUUAGGCUUUUGGCUAUUCUUGAAUAUCUUGGGGUGCCAUGGGUGUUCGCACCCGAACACGUCACUGUGUACCCUCAACACCGGGGGUGAUGCACCGCAACUGACGUCGAAGGAGACCCGUCCGGAAGCGCGGUACGCAAGCAAUCCGGUGGGUGCUUUUGUAGACCCAAAACCCCACACGCCCGGGAGGGACCCCGUCAGGGCGCGUGGCAGCUAUGGGCUGCCCUAGGUCGACCUGAUCGCCCCUAGGGCCUCGAGGUUCGCCGCCCUGCAACAAGAAGAACGAACGAAGAACGAGGAAGAAGAAGAACUAGGGUUAAGGAGAAAAGAUAAAAGAUAAAAAGUGGUAGAUGAUUUGAUCGAUUGUGUGUUGUUCAAUCGGCCGUCACCCCUUAGAUAUAUAAGAGGCGGCUGGACUUCCCGUGCAAGGAAAAGGCUUGGAUUCACGUCCAAAACCCUAGUCAAAUUUGGAUUGGUUUUGUCCGAACUUUCCAAAACUGUUCGGUUUAAACUGGCUGCACCUUGUGAGUCUUUUUUCUGGUGGUAAACGACCUCAGAUGGAAACGAGCCCAAAAGCAAUCUUAACCGUUUCGACGAGACGAACAACUUUAUUGUUGAAUGUUUUUUGAUCAGAGGCCAUCUUGAGGGAGUUUUAGGCUGUUUUCCGAAGUUUGUCGCAGAAAAAUCCAAAACCCGGACAAACAACCCCGGAGUGUCCGGCCGUCCUCGGAGAAACCCAAAACCCGGAUGAUCAUUCCCGGAGUGUCUGGCCAUCCUGAUGCAGCCGCGCAUUUUUGGCUCUAACUUUUGCAUACGAACUUGGAUUGGGACGAUUUUUAUAUCAAAAUCGACCUUUUCGAUGAGACGAAGACAAUUCAUGUAGAUAAUGUUUUCAUUUGAAGUCUUCUUGGGGGCCUAAUAGGCCAAACUGUACUCUGAAUAUAAGAUCUUUGUACUUUGAGCAUAGUUUCGGCCUUCGAGAUGAAACCGGACGGUGAUGGCCCAAACUUCAAAGAUGUUCAUAUCAACAAUACGGAACUCUUUCAUGUAGAACACUUCUCCAUUUGAAGCCAUCUUAAAUAAGUUCUUGACCGUGCCAAAAUCUGGUGUCAACACAUGCCCCCCUGUUUUUCGGCAAAGCUUGUGUGCCGAAAAAUAAUUUGCACAUAUCUUACUCCGAGGACGAUGUCAACACUCCAUCGGCCAUUUGUAUGUGCUUAGGACGAUAAGUAUAUAUCAGCCAUUGCUUGUUUGAACCUCUUGAUGCAACUUGGGUGAAAACUUCUCAACUUAUAUAACAAUCCGAUGAUAAGGUUCCAUACAUAUGCAUCGCAAAGCCAUCCUCUGAACCAUAUUAUUCACCCUUUCGCUAGGAUUUUGCAGAUAAUCAAGAAUGAACUUCCUCCAAUCCUUGCUUUGCCUACAUAAAAGUUUCAUUAGUGGCCGAGGUGGUGAGCUCCAAUUCGGCCUUACCUAUGUUGGCAAGAAUAAGCAUCGGCUGUUGAUAGAUGUGCAAUAUACCAUGAUGGACAUGGUAGCCGGAUGCUUGCUAUGCCAACUCUCUCCAAUUGUCAUGUCUAGAUAUAUGAAGUAUAUUAAAGUAACCAAGGUAAAUUUUGCAUCUAGACAUAUCCCAAGAUAAACUAUAAAUGAUUCGUCAAAACAUUGAUAACCCUUGGAUAUUUGUUGCACUAUUUUAUAACGAAUCACUGAAAGCCUCAAUUUGUAUAGCACCUAUAGCAACCAAAAUCUUCAAACCGAAUACAAUUUCAUAUUCGGCUUUGAUUUUUGUGCAAAAAUAUUUUAAGUGGCAUGAGGCUUCACAAAAUAACGCCAUAUGGAGAUAUAUGAACAACACUGACACAUUGGCCAUUGCUACGAAUUGAACCAUCAAAAUAUAAUCUCCAUAGUACUAGAGAGACAAGGCUAAUAUCACUUAACAUGUACCUUGUCUCGGUCUCCAAUUGAAUUAAGGACGAUGUUAGAAUUCCACACUGGCCAUGAUCAGAUAGUUUCUUAGGACGAUAGUUAAGUAUCGGCCAUUACCAUGAGGUCCAUGUAGAAUUCAUCCACUAAAGCAUGUAUAGCCAAAAUAAACAAAUAAAAUAGCAAUAAAAUAUUUCGGCCCCUUUGUAUUAGCAACAAAAAUGAAACUAACCAAAUGUAUAGUGAUUUGGUAAUACCCUCUCAUGAUAUAGAAAAUUAUGUUGCAUCCAUGGACCAAAAUGAAUCCAUGGAGGGUAAUUGAUCAUACCUAGGGAUGAAUUCCAUGGCAAAGGCAUCAACGACAUGGUUGAAGAAAAUGGAUGAUGUGCUAACCGAAGAUUUUGAUGUUGUGAUGCGCACCUUCGACUUAAUUGUUUGUUGCUUUCCUUCUUUUCCUUCUUCACUUUUAUUGUACUUGUUGCAAUAGAAACAUGCACAUCAUUUUUGUUUUGAUUGAUCUUCUUGGGAACCCAUGCCACGUUCUUCUUUCUCAGCUCUUGUGCACUAAGAUUUUGUAAUUCCUUCUUUUGCCAAUAUGAUAAGCUGAGUGAGCAGCUCGACUGUGAUUUUCUUUCAAUAAAUGGCAACUCUUUUUGGGCCUUGUGCACCCUCAACUUCUUUUCUUCAGAUUUGGCACUCUGAUUUUUAUCAAUUGAUUGUUUCACUUCUUUGCCUUUUGUAGCCAAUGUCAACACUUUAAUUGGCUCUUUGUUAUUUGAGAUCAAAUCUGAAGUAGCACACUUACGACCAUCUCUUUUCAUGCGGUAAACUUGCUUUACCACCUCUUUCUUCUUCCUUGAGCUCUGGACCGAUUCCUUAUGAUUGAAACAGUCUUUAAUAUGCGACUGUUCAAAUGUUGAUCUUCUCGGAGCUGCAUAAUAUUGGUGAGAUGGUCUAAAAUAAGAUGGAGAAUGUGCCCUUGUAUCAUACCUAUCCCAUGAUGGAUAUGAAUCAACAUGAGCAUAGGGAGGCAUCCACGACAUUGGCAUUGGCGGCCCAAAAUAAGGAUAUGAAUAUCUUGCAUUAAAAUUAUCACUUUGCCAAUACCGUUCCUCAUAUUUGCGCCUUGGGGGUGAUCUUGGUUUCUUUGCAUGAUUUGGCCAAUAAGCAUUCUUCUCUUCACUCUUCUUUUGAUAUUUAUCCAAUAGUUCAGCGAAGGUGAUUUUUGAUCUCUUACACUUGCGCUUACUUCGCCUUUGUUUUCUUUUGGUUUGCUUUCAUCGAUCAUUGGAUUUGCUUGCUACCCCCCAGUCCUUGGCGUCUCCAUUGUAGCUUUGAUGGAAUUUUCACCCUCAAGAUUAUGUUCAUUAUGCUCUUCAACAACUUCUUUACUUGAAAGCUUGAUCCCAUCACCCGCAGUUUUUACCUUCUCUUUAAAUGGGUCGGCUUGAAGCAGCCAAUGCAAAAACUUUCUGCCAUCGGGACCAAUCCGAAUAGACUGGUCAUCUCUUGGUGUCUCAACAAAUUUCAAUCGUCCUUUAGCAAUGGCCGAUUUAACUAUUUUAUGAAACAUAUUGCAAUCCUCAAAAUUAUGUUCGAACGAAUGAUGCAACCUACAAUACAUUCGUCCUUGAAUUGAUGGCUUGACAUGGUGAUAAAAAAUUCUUAUGUAAUUAUUUUUCAGCAACAAAUCAAAUAUUUAAUCACACAUGCUUGAAUUGAGGGCGAACUUUUUAUUUUCUAGCCGAUCUUGCUGUGAGAACGGCUUUGGAGUUAAGCAAACGAAUGAUUCAGAUUUUGUAUCUCUCCAUUUGGCUAUGAAUUUUAUUUUGCAUUCUCUUACCGAUGUCAUUGGAUAAGAAACUAUACUUGCAUCAGUUUGCUCAAAAGAUUUUAACCUUGGCUUUAAAUUUCUGAAACAAAAAUAGUUAGAACAUACAUGUCUCAAUUGAGACCAAGUGUAAGCCAAGUAAGAAAUAAGCAAAGCUACCUAAUUAGAUAUGAAUUUUAGACAAAGCAAUGGCGAAAGCCUUGGCUGCAAUAAUUUUUUGCUAUCGGUCUUUCUGAAUGGUGUAAUGUGUUGACCGAUAUGCUUCAUAACAAGUUUAUUGCUAACAAGUAAAUUACCCUUCUUCAUUGGUCUUUCAAAAUUACUUAUGAGAAUAUUUCUUAUAGAUGCAUCAAUAAUGAAGUCGCGACCAAAUCUGAAAAUAGGUAAAUUACUCUCUAUGCAUACCUCUUCAAAUAUGUUGGGAGAAUAUGAUGGCGGUGCUACUUGAAGAACAUCUUGCUCCAUCUUUGGAUGGCUCCCCAACACCUUUUCAUCAUAUUUUUCUUGAUUCCAUGCAUCAUUGCUUUGAAGAUCCAUGUCAACCGAACUUUGUUUGGCUACUUGUUCUUGUCCUUGAGGCUUGUCAAUUUCUAUGGCACGAAACUCAUAGGGCAGGAAGUAGGUUCCAUUGACUUCGGAAAAAUCAAAUAUGGCUGUUUUGCCAUGCUUUCCAUGCCCUUUCUCAAUAAUGCUUGCCUCUUUGGAUUUGAUGAACUCAUAAUAUAUACUACUUGAUUCGGCUUUUCUAACAAUCAAAUUUUCUUUGUUACCUGAAUCAACAACUUUAUCUUUUUGAAUUUGCGAGGCUUCUCGCUUUCGUAUAAUUUUGGCCCACAUCUCAGCUUGGCGAGCUUUAAACUUUUUCAUCUCAAUUUCCAUCCACUCAUCAUGAGAUUGCCCCCCAAUACUUUGAGACUCUUUCGGCAAUGAGGUGCCGAAACUUUGAGAUUGUUUAGGUGGUAUACUGGAUGGUACAACACUGCACAACUCUAGCUUUUACAGCAGCAAAAUCAUGAGGCUUCCCGCCUUCUAUUAGUUCCUUGCGAAUAGAGUUGCACAAAUCCCAAGAGAAUGUAAGCUUGUUCUUAAUUACCCAGUCUGGAUAUGGUUGCCCCCGAAUGCUUUUAGACUCUUUCGGCAAUGAGAUGUUGCCGAACUUCUGUAAUUGUGAAGGGGGUACAUGAUAUGCCACGGUAGUAGGUGAAGGCAUUUGUGCUCCUGCAGAAGUUUCACUUAUUCGGCCAUGACCAUGAAGGUGCGGAGCCGAAUUAUGGACAUCAAUAGUAGCAUAUGGUGCCAAAAAAUUAGUAGCAUUAGGUAUAGCAUAUGAUGUUUGAGGGUAAUUGGCCAAAUAACUAGUAGUAACAUGGCCAAUUCCCCUAUCCACCGGCACAUUUGGAUUAACGUACUGCAAGUUAUUUGCCGAUCAAUAAGAACUUGAAACACUUUGUUGCAUACCAUUGGAAGUUCCUACAUAGGGUGUCUCAACUUGAUUAACCGAACUCAUCAUGUUAUUCAUUGGCAUAUAAAUUUGUGGGGUUGCCGAUGCAUGGGAGUUGGGAUACAUAUGUUGCAUGUUGCUAAAAUUAUAUGAAGUAGAAUCAUGGAUAUUUUGUUGCACCGGCCCUUGCACAUAAUUAGAUGCAUAAUUGAUAAAGCUAGGGCUAGCCGAUACAUUAUGCUCAUUAGAUGAUCUAGCAACAACAUAUGCAUUAUUUGCAUCUGCAUAUGUGAUUUGGGUAUUCAUAUUACCUUUGUAGAUUGCAAACCCUAGAUGACGAUCUCUUCGUAGCAAGAACGGGUCGGAGACCGUUCAAAGCUUCAUCCCCAGCGGAGUCGCCAAAAAGUGUGUUCGCAUACGAAAACAUCACCGUGUACCCUCGACACCGGGGGUGAUGCACCGCAACUCACGUCGAAGGAGACCCGUCCAGAAGCACGGUACGCAAGCAAUCCGGUGGGCGCUUUUGUAGACCUGAAACUCCACACGCUCGGGAGGGACCCCGUCAGGGCACCCGGCGGCUAUGGGCUGCCCUAGGUCGACCUGAUCGCCCUAGGGCCUCGAGGUUCGCCGCCCUGCAACAAGAAGAACGAGCGAAGAACGAGGAAGAAUAAGAACUAGGGUUAAGGAGAAAAGAUAAAAGAUAAAAAGUGGUAGAUGAUUUGAUCGAUUGUGUGUUGUUCAAUCGGCUAUCAAGCCUUAGAUAUAUAAGAGGCGACUGGACUUCUCGUGCAAGGAAAAGGCUUGGAUUCACGUCCAAAACCCUAGUCAAAUUCGGAUUGGUUUUGUCCGAACUUUCCAAAAUUGUUCGGUUUAAACUGGCUGCACCUUGUGGGUCUUUUUUCUGGUGGUAAACGACCUCAGAUGGAAACAAGUCCAAAAGCAAUCUUAACGGUUUCGACGAGACGAACAACUUUCAUGUUGAACGUUUUUUGAUCAGAGGCCAUCUUGAGGGGGGUUUAGGCUAUUUUCUGAAGUCUGCGGUAGAAAAAUCCAAAACCCGGACAAACAACCCCGGAGUGUCCGGCCGUCCUCGGAGAAACCCAAAACCCGGAUGAUCAUUCCCGGAGUGUUUGGCAAUCCUGAUGCAGCCGCGCAUUUUCGGCUCUAACUUUUGCAUACGAACUCGAAUUCGGAUGAUUUUUAUAUCAAAAUCGACCGUUUCGACGAGACGAAGACAAUUCUUGUAGAUAAUGUUUUCAUUUGAGGUCUUCUUGUGGGCCUAAUCGGCCAAACUGUACUCUGAAUAUAAGAUCUUAGUACUUUGAGCAUAGUUUCGGCCUUCGAGAUGAAACCGGACGGCGAUGGCCCAAACUUCAAAGAUGUUCAUAUCAACAAUACGGAACUCUUUCAUGUAGAACACUUCUCCAUUUGAAGCCAUCUUAAAUAAGUUCUUGACCGUGCCAAAAUCUGGUGUCAACAAUGGGCAUGCCCAAGCUUAGGCUCUUGCCACUCCUUGUUCCAUAGUCCAUAAAAUCUUUACCCAAAACUUGAAAACUUCACAACACAAAACUCAACAGGAAAUCUCAUAAGCUCCGUUAGUGAAAGAAAACAAAACCACCACAUAAGGUACUGUAAUGAACUCAUUCUUAUUUAUUUUGGUGUUAAACAUACUGUAUUCCAAGUUCUCUAUGGUUCAUACUACUUAAUACUAGCCAUAGAUGCAUUAAAAUAAGCAAACAACACACGAGAAACAGAAUCUGUCAAAAACAGAACAGUCUGUAGCAAUCUGUAACUAAUGCAAACGUCUAGAACUUUAAAAAUCCUACCAAAAUAGGAAGUCCUGGGUAAUUUGUCUAUUGAUCAUCAGCAAAAAGAAUCAAUGCAAAAGCAUGUUUCUGUGAUUUAACAAAACUAAUUUCAUGCGCGCAAAGUUUCUGUUUUUCAGCAGAAUCAAAUUAACUAUCACCAUAGGUUAUCCUAUAGGUUUUACUUGACACGAACACUAAUUAAAACAUAAAAACACAUCUAAAAAGAAGGUAGAUGCAAAAUUUAUUACUAAACAGGAAUGAAAACAAAAAACACAAAUAAAAUUGGGUUGCCUCCCAACUAGCGCUAUCGUUUAACGCCCCUAGCUAGGCAUACUCAAUUCCUCAAUAGAGCACUUUUAAUCUUUAGGGGUUUCUCCCUUUUUAGCAAUGAUUAAACCUUUAGGCAAAAAUUCAAGAAAUUCGUUUGUAGCAAAAGGUUCCUUAAUGAUAGAGAGACAAUUGGGAUGAACGCUUAUUGAUUUUAGAUCCGCGUCUCCCUUACUAGAAGAUUCACCCUUAUUUUUAGGAACAUAAAUAAACUUGGCAGUUUUGGUAGGAGGUUUUGGAGUGUUUUUCAUGGAAGAAAACACCAACCCUAAGUUGGUAAUAAUAUUCUCAAGUUUACCGAUUCUUGCAGAAUCGAAAUCUAUCUUUUCAUUAACUAUAGGUUCUUUCUCUAUAAAAGUUUUCAAAGUAACUCCGACCCUAGAUCCAUAUUGGGUAAUGUGAUUAUGAAUCUUUUUAUCCAAAUUUUCAAUCAACUCAACAGUGACAACUUUGUUUUCAAUAAUUUCAAGCUGUUGCAUCACAUGUUCCAAAGUUAAAAUAGUUCCAUUAACCAAAAGAGGUGGUGGGCCAAACAAAUCUAACAUAGCAUUAUAAGCAUUAAACGUAUGGCUACUCAAGAAAUCCCCUCCGGUAAUGGUAUUAAGAACGCAUCUAUUCCAAGGAGUAAUGCCUACAUAAAAAUUGCGAAGAAGAACGGAAGUAGAAAGCUUCCUAGUGGAUUUAUUUCAAGCAUUGCAAAUUCUAUGUCAAGCAUCUUUUAAAUUUUCUCCCUCCCUUUGCUUAAAAUUAAGAAUUUCAUGUUCGGGAGUAAUAACAAAGAUAGGAGGACUAGCCAUUAUGACAAGGUAAACGAUCUAACACACGAGCAAACAAAAAAGGCAAGCUAAAAAGAGAGGAGAAGAUUGGGAAAGAGAGGGCAAAUAAAACGGCAAGGGUGAAGUGGGGGAGAGGAAAACGAGAGGCUAAUGGGAAAUAAUGUAAAUGCGAGGGAGAUGAGUUUGUGAUGGGUACUUGGUAUGUCUUGACUUGAGCGAAGACCUCCCCGGCAACUGCGCCAGAAAUCCUUCUUGCUACGUCUUGAGCUUGUGUUCGUUUUCCUUGAAGAGGAAAGGGUGAUGCAGCAAUAGUAGCGUAAGUAUUUCCCUCAGUUUUUGAGAACCAAGGUAUCAAUCCAGUAGGAGGCUCCUCAAAAGUCCCACGCACCUACACAAACAAACAAAGAACUCGCAACCAACGCAAUAAAGGGGUUGUCAAUCCCUUCAUGGCCACUUGCAAAAGUCCUCAGUUUUUGAGAACCAAGGUAUCAAUCCAGUAGGAGGCUCCUCAAAAGUCCCACGCACCUACACAAACAAAUAAAGAACUCGCAACCAACGCAAUAAAGGGGUUGUCAAUCCCUUCACGACCACUUGCAAAAGUGAGAUCUGAUAUAGUAUGAUAAGAUAAAUAUAUUUUGGUAUUUUAUAAUAUAGAUUGGAAAAGUAAAGAUGCAAAUAAAAGUAGAUUGAAAGCUUAUAUGAUAAAGGAUAGACCCGGGGGCCAUAGGUUUCACUAGUGGCUUCUCUCAAGAUAGCAUAAGUAUUACGGUGGGUGAACAAAUUUCUGUCGAGCAAUUGGUAGAAAAGCAAAUAAUUAUGAGAUUAUCUAGGCAUGAUCAUGUAUAUAGGCAUCACGUCUGUGACAAGUAGACCGACUCCUGCCUGCAUCUACUACUAUUACUCCACACAUCGACCGCUAUCCAGCAUGUAUCUAGAGUAUUAAGUUCAUAAGAAUAGAGUAACGCAUUAAGAAAGAUGACAUGAUGUAGAGGGAGAAACACAUGCAAUAUGAUAUAAACCCCAUCUUUUUAUCCUCGAUGGCAACAAUACAAUACGUGCCUUGCUGCCCCUGUUGUCACUGGGUAAGGACACCGCAAGAUUGAACCCAAAGCUAAGCACUUCUCCCAUUACAAGAAAGAUCAAUCUAGUAGGCCAAACCAAACUGAUAAUUCGAAGAGACUUGCAAAGAUAACUCAAUCAUACAUAAAAGAAUUCAGAGGAGAUUCAAAUAUUUCUUAUAGAUAAACUUGAUCAUAAACCCACAAUUCAUCGGAUCUCGACAAACACACCGCAAAAAGAGUUACAUCGAAUAGAUCUCCACAAGAGAGGGGGAGAACAUGGUAUUGAGAUCCAAAAAGAGAGAAGAAGCCAUCUAGCUAAUAACUAUGGACCCAAAGGUCUGUGGUAAACUACUCACAAAACAUCAAAGGGGCUAUGGUGUUGAUGUAGAAGCCCUCCGUGGUCAAUUCACCCUCCAGCGGAGCGCCAACGAAGGCUCCAAGAUGGGAUCUCGCGGAUACAGAGCGUUAUGGCGGUGGAAAUUGUUUUUCGUUGGCUCCCUGGAUGUUUUCGGGGUACAUGGGUAUAUAUAGGACGUAGAAGUACGUCGGUGGCCGCCCGAGGGGCCCACGAGACAGGGGGCGCGCUCUGUAGGGGUGGGCGCGCCCUCCACCCUCGUGGCCACCUCGGCUGCUUCUUGACUUGCACUCCAAGUCCUCUGGAUCACGUUUGUUCCAGAAAUCGCGCUCCCGAAGAUUUCAUUCCCUUUGGACUCCAUUUAAUAUUCCUUUUCUUCGAAAUACUGUAAUAGGCAAAAAAAACAGCAAUACGGGCUGGGCCUCCGGUUAGUAGGUUAGUCCUAUAAAUGAUAUAAAUGUGUAAAAUAAAGCCCAUAAACUUCAAAAAGGGGUAAUAUAAUAGCAUGGAACAAUAAAAAAUUAUAGAUACGUUGGAGACGUAUCAACCCCCGGCAAGAUCCUUGCCGGGGACGACCGCAACGCCGCGACGAGACCCUUGCCGGGGGCCCCGGCAAGGCCCUUGUCGAGGACGUCAGCGAGGCCACAGCCAGGCCCGCACCCGCCAAGCUUCUGCCACCACUCCCAUGCAGCCGCGAGCCCACCAGCUGGGCAGGCACCUGCGUGUCAGCACAAGGCUUCUUGGCCAAAUCAGCGCAUGCCUACGUGGCGGCAUGCAAAUCUUCGUGAAGGCCCUACCACUGCGCCACCUCAGCAGCCUGCCAGCCUACAUGGCACCACCGCCUCGCUGGUCCAAGCGCGUGUCGAAGCAGGGCGAGGUGGCGAUAAAGUGGAGGGGACGCAUCAGGGGCGCAUUAAAUGCACUUUGUCCCGUAAUGGCGAGGGAUAGGCUUAAUCACAGUGCCCCUAUGCCACCUCCUGUGUGCCACUGUGGUGAUCCCCUUGCCUAUAAAAGGAGGCCCGAGGCAUCCAGGAGAGGGAUUCACACUUUUAGACAAGUUACGCCCAUUGUAGCUAGUUCAAGAACCUCAAGAACACAAACACACACAUCCAAGCAGGACUAGGGUGUUACGCAUCUCUGCGGCCCGAACCUGGGUAAACGAUCCGCGUGCUUUACUGACUGCUGAUCCUGCUCUCCUCACCACCCAGCGCCCCGCAACCGCAGUAGGGAUCCUUGUGAUCCCAUAGGUGUCGUUUCCCACUGACAAGGAGGAAUAAUCCACUUCUCAUGCACAUGGGUGCGGACAAAAAGGAGAAUGGAGCCACACUCUCAAUAAGAGCCUGAAUGAAUGGAGCAUGAGGAAAGGCACACUUGUACUGAAAGCUAGCAAGUCGGAUUUCAUGCCAAAGGAAAUGAGGAACAUUAAUCUUGCCUUUGGGAGACUCAUAGAGACGAGACAUGAGAUCAAUGCAAUAACUGUUGCAAGAACCUUGGUCACCCAUCUUAGGAUAGAUGGUGCGAAUGAUGCAUUGGUAGAUGAUGUAGUACGUAGAUCUACAAAUAGAAACUUGAUUAAGAUCCUUCAGCUUUUCCUCCUCAGUUAGUUCAUCAAUUUCCUUUAGGAGAUAUCCACACGCCUCAACCCCUUUGGGUUUGUGAUUUGGAUCAUCUUUAUGGAUCUUGAAUCCAGUGUUCGGAAACCCAAGAGCAGCGACAAAUUGAGCAUAAGUGGCAGUGAGCUCAGUGUCAGAGGUCAUCCAGGUGACGGUCUUGUUAGGAGCAAAGAAGCAAGUGGCAUAAGACUGAUGGAUAGCAGCCUGAUUAAAAUCAUGUUGAAAGGCAAACAGAGCAGCAAGACCAGAUGACUCAAUGAGCUCAAUGGCACCCGGAUACUUCACGGGAUGUUUUCGAAUAUAAUCUAAGUCAAUGAAGUGUUGCAGAGAUAGACCCUUUGGGAGGACAACAGAGGUGUAGAUGUCAGCCUGAACAUUUGUGUGAAACCGUUGAUCCAGGGAAUCUUGAACCACUUCAAAUUGAUCAACAUCAUGCCGGAACUUAAGAUAUGCUGGCUUGGGCACUUUAGUGAAGUCCUUGAGGAUACACCCAUGAAGUUGAGGAGCCUCAAGAGGUAUGUGGCGACCAUCGGCAUGCGGCUGAUCGGGAGGAGGAGCAGGCAUGUGAGAGGCCCGACGAGAACCACGGGGGCGGGACGAAAACGUCACACGCGCACCACGCUCCUACUCCUCCCCCAUCUCUUCUUCAUAGUCAGAACCAUCGCAAGAGGAGGACUCCAUGAUCACGGGACAUUUUCCAGCAUGCUUGCGGGGACGCAACUCCUCCUGAGAGUCAUUAGAACCACCACGACGGGAGGCUAAAAUCAAGAGGAGAGGAACAUGUACAACCAUAGUGAGCCCCUGACCCGAAUGGAGACAAAGAUGAUGAAAAUUUGAAACUAAAAAAGGACAUAAUUACCAUGGGCAGAGGUACCCCCCGCAUCCUUGUGAGCGGUAUGCUUGAUUUUCACCAUCGUGGGACAAACCUCACCUGAGAUAUUAUCCAAGAGAGAAAGGGGAUCACAACCGUGUGCACGAAAGAGUGACGGAACCAAGAGAAAGAGAGCCGAGAAACACAACAAGGGAGGAGUACCAGAUUGGGAGGAGGGGCGACGGCGAGGCCCUCCAGGCGGCGCGGCAGUGGACUCAGUCAUGCGAAUGGGGAAAAAGGGGAUAGGGCAACCAUUCAGCCCAACCCCAGAAUAUAUAUGUGACCCGCACUAUCAUCGGACGACCGACCGUGGUCGGACGUCCAUGCACUGGUGGACGUGCCAGGCGACGGACGACCGGUGAACCACGGAUGUCCGAGACCUGGGGGGGGUGGUGAUUUUUGGGCUUGUGCAAGAUUGCUGCACAGCAACCGGGCAGCCGAGAGAAGUCGGUCGACCGGAAACUGUGAGUCAUCGUAUGUUCGAGAACCGUCAGACGACCGAUGGCAAAGGGUUUGGCAGAUCACACAUGCCAUAUCUAGAGGAACCAAAAACCAGGAAUAGGUAUAUGACAAAAUAUUAUGGACAAUCAGACAUGUAAAAUACCACAUGGUGAGCAACUCGACACGCAAGUUAAGAACCCAAAACAUGAUUGGACAACCUCUCCUUUUGAGGAGAGUUGGUGGCCAAUAGGCCACCAUGUGUGAGUAUAAGUGUCAUGAUGCCACAAAAAUAGUGUCCUUGGGCUCAAUAACACGACUCCAUCAUUUUAAAGUACCAUAGUUCGAAGAACAUGGUAACUUUGAGAGUGUUUGUUUUAUUUAUGCAUUAUAUAGGGUGAGAGUACUCAUGAGUUGAAAGUCUCCCCCUAAAUAUAUGCCUACAUCUAAACAAGACAUGAUGAAAAUGAAUGAAUGGGUACUAUAUUUCACAUAAUGUUGUCAAGCUCCAAGAUACCAAGUUCACGCCUAAGUUGACAAAAUCUUGCUUCAUCCAAUGGCUUUGUGAAUAUGUGUACAAGUUGAAUAUCUGUACCGACAUGAUCAAUACAAAUGCCCCCCCUUUCCACAUGAUCUCUCAAGAAAUGAUACCUAAUAUCAAUGUGCUUGGUGCGGGUAUAAUCUUUGGGAUUCGCAGCAAUAUUGAUGGCACUUUCAUUAUCACAUAGAAGAGGCACAUGUCUAUAGGUGAUACCGUAAUCCUUCAAAGUUUGCCUCAUCCAUAGUAGCCGAGUUGCACAACUGGCGGUUGCAAUGUAUUCAGCUUCGACGGUGGAGAGAGCAACACAAUUUUGCUUCUUCGAGGACAAACUUACCAAGGAGCGUCCAAGAAACUGACAUGCAUCGGAGGUGGACUUUCGUCUGACUUUGUCUCCAUCCCAAUCCGCAUCCGUGUACCCAAUGAGAUCAAACUUAGCAUCCUUGGGGUACCAUAGACCCAACUUUGGGGUGUGAACAAGGUAUCUAAGAAUAUGCUUAACUGCCUUAUGAUGACUUUAGGGGAAGCUUGAAAUAGCACACAUGCAUACACUGAACAUGAUGUAUGGUCUAAAUGCACAAAGAUAAAGCAAUGAACCAAUCAUAGAGCGGUAAGUACAUGGGUCGAAAGGAAUACCAUUUGUGUCUUUAGUGAGUACAAUUUUGGUUGGCAUGGGAGUCUUACAUGGACUGGCAUCAGACAUGCUAAACUUCUCUAGAAUAUCCUUAAGAUACUUUGCUUGAGAUAAUAAUGUUCCUUCUUGAAAUUGUUGAAUUUGGAAUCCGAGGAAGAACUUCAAAUCCGUAGUGAGUGACAUCUCAAAGUUCUUGGUCAUGGAAGCCGCGAACUUCUUGCACAAAUGAAUGUUAGGAGAACCAAAAAUGAUAUCAUCUACAUAGAUUUGGCAUAAGAUCAAAUCACCCUUGUCCCUCUUAGUAAAAAGAGUGGGAUCGAUCACCCCUCUCACAAAAUCAUCAUCGAGUAAAAACUUCUUAAGAUGAUCAUGCCAAGCACGAGGUGCUUGUUUGAGGCCAUACAGAUCCUUAUGAAGUUUAUACACAUAGGCUUUGUGAUCGGGAUCAACAAACCCAGGUGGUUGUGAUACAUAUAAUUCUUCUUGUAGAGGACCGUUAAGGAAAGCACUCUUCACAUCCAUUUGAUGUAAUGUAAAACCAUUGAAAGUAGCAUAAGCAAGUAAGAUGCGAAUAGAUUCAAGAUGGGCAACGAGAGCAAAGGUCUCACCAAAGUCCAAACCUUCAACUUGUGAGUACCCUUGUGCCACUAACCUUGCCUUGUUCACUACAAAAAAAGACACAUCCAUGACAUUUUGGGCCGAACGAAACUUUUUUCUGUCAUAGAUAUGACACUUCUAUGAUGAUAGUUGUGACAAAACCCGGUAUCAUCAUAGCUGUGGUGGGCUCCUACUUCUAUGACAAAAAACCAUGACAGAAAAUGGGCUUUUUGUCCUGGGCGUGCCGGAGACGUAGCUGCAUGACAUUCUUUGGGUCAUCCAUGACGGAAAAAACCGUGGUAGAAGCAAGGGCGAAGAAGAUUUCGGGGAGUUCCCGGUUACGGUGGGCGGUCGGGGGCCGAGCGAUGCGCGUUUCUCUUGUACACAUACGCAUGUGUGUGCGAGGCGUUGGCUCUAACUGAACUAGAGCGAGGCGUUGGUCUCUAACUGAACCCGAGCGAUUGCACUGCAGGCUACGCAUUACUGAACCCGAGUGAUCGAUCGAUGGCUGUUAACUGAACCCGAUCGAGCGAUUCCUUUGCUACUGCUGCUAACUGAAGCCGAUCGAUUGGAUGAACAAUGAGCAUUGCGCGCGGUGGNNNNNNNNNNNNNNNNNNNNNNNNNNNNNNNNNNNNNNNNNNNNNNNNNNNNNNNNNNNNNNNNNNNNNNNNNNNNNNNNNNNNNNNNNNNNNNNNNNNNNNNNNNNNNNNNNNNNNNNNNNNNNNNNNNNNNNNNNNNNNNNNNNNNNNNNNNNNNNNNNNNNNNNNNNNNNNNNNNNNNNNNNNNNNNNNNNNNNNNNNNNNNNNNNNNNNNNNNNNNNNNNNNNNNNNNNNNNNNNNNNNNNNNNNNNNNNNNNNNNNNNNNNNNNNNNNNNNNNNNNNNNNNNNNNNNNNNNNNNNNNNNNNNNNNNNNNNNNNNNNNNNNNNNNNNNNNGGAGGCUGGAUGAACAGGAGCCCGUGGAGGCUGGAGGAGGUCGACGGUAGCCCGUGGAGGCUGGAGGAGGUCGACGGUGGAGAUGAACAGUAUCCCGUGGAGUCCCGUUUUGCGAUACGCCACACCCCUCCCAAUGAACAGGACCCUCAUUUCGACCGUAGCGCUCCAACACAAGUCCGUUUUGUCCGUUUUGCGGUACGCCACACCCCUCCUGAUCAACAUGACCCCCGUUUUGACUGUAGCGCUCCAACACAAGUCCGUUUCGUCUGUUUUGCGGUACGCCACACCCCUCCCAAUCAUUAGGACCCCCGUUUAGACCGUAGGAGGUCCGUUUCCUCCGUUUUGCGGUACACUAGACCCCUCCCGAUGAACAAGAUCCCGUUUCGAACAUGGCCGGUCGAACACAAGGCCGUUUCCUCCGUUCUGCGGUACGCCAGGCCUCGUUUCCAUGGCCUGUUCCGUCCAAGCCCUCCCGAUGAACACGAUGACGCAUUCCGUUCCGACCCAGCCGGUUGGCUCCCCAUGAACACAACGACGACGCUGUUUCUCCGUUCCGACCCAGCCAUGUACACGAGCCCUGGCCAUACGUAUGCGCGAGUAGGCGUUCGAGACCCCGCCCGUAUGUACACAUACGUGGCUGUAUUUUCUUUCUUGCACACUGGCCGCUGUACGUAUGUGUACAUGCUAUGUGCGCGCCUCUAUUACGACACGUGCGCGCCUCUACAUCGACACGUGCGCGCCUCUACAUCCACCAGUAUAUAUGUACGUACACGUUCGUGACCAGAAUGACAAGCUACGUACGCUUCGACCAGGUGGGUCCCGACUGUCAGGCACUUCCUUGCGUGCGAAGAUGUAACUAGUGAGUCCCAGCAGUCAGGGGGGCGAGUCUUUUUUUGCUCGGACGCACUUCCUUGCGUGCGAAGGUGUAGCUGGUGGCUCCUAGCAGUCAGGGGGCGAAUCGUUUUUUCCCGGACGCACUUCCUUGCAUGCGAAGAUGUAGCUGGUGGGUCCCAACAGUCAGGGGGCGAAUCGUUUUUUUUGCCCGGACGCACUUCCUUGCAUGCGAAGGUGUAGCUGGUGGGUCCCAGCAGUCAAGGGGGAAACAUUUUUUCGCGAAAUACGGUGGCCCGUCCGGUGGGUCCCUGCUGUCAGGUGGAGGAAUAAUUAUUUUGCGUGUAAUAAGGAGGCACUUCCUUGUGGCCGCCGUGGACCCAGCUGUCAGCCUCUCCACGCACAGUACUCUUCCGAUGGAAGUCGGUCGUUGACCACAUUGACCACGCCGCGCCGAGAGCACCACGGUGGUGGACGACGGCGAGGCCUAGGAAGGGAUGGAGCGGAGCAGGGGAAAACACAGCAGUGGAUGCCCAUGUGAAGAGGAGUACAAGGGUUCACUGGUUCGGCUGCGGUGUGAGGCUGCCAUCGCCGCAGAAUAACAGGGGGUGUGGGUGAGUAGAGGGAUGACCUGGCCAGCGGUGGGAGUAGUAGGGGGCGGUGAGGCCUCCGCGGCAUCACAGCCGUCCAUGGGAGGCAGGAGCAUGCGGCACGACCGGCGCUGCUUUGGGCGGCUGGAGCACGAAGACCAGAGGUUGAAGAGGCACUACUGCCGUUGGAUGGACAUCGUACGGUCACCGGAGCUAGAAUUGUUCAUAUUGACUAAGUUGACAAAGCCCUCCGUCCCCGUAAACUUAGUAGGCCCACAAGUCAGCCUCCCACCAAGGUGAGUCCCAGCUAGCAGGGGGUUAUUCAUUUUUUUCGUAAUAAGGAGGCAUUUCCGGUGGGUCCGAGCUGACAGUGGGGGGAACGUUUUUUUCGCGAAAUACAAAGGCCCUUCCGGUGGGUCCCAGCUAUGAGGUGGAGGAAUCAUUAUUUUGCACGUAAUAAGGAGGCAUUUCCCUGUGUGGGCCCCUACUGUCAGCCUCUUCCGAUGGCUGUUGUUUGUUGACCAUGUUGACCUCGCCAUGUCGAGAGCACAAACACGAUGGACGAGGGCAAGGCCCAGGAAGAGAACCACCCGGAGCCGGCAAAGCCACCGUAGCGGAUGCCCACGCUGAGGGGAGAACGAGCGCUGACUGGUCAGCUGCGGGAUGAGGCUGACAUCGCCGGAAAAUAACAGGAUGUGUGGGUGGUUAGAGGGAUGGCCUGGCGGCAGCACAGCCAGCCACAGGAGGAGGGAGCAGGCAGUCCCGUCGGCGCUGGUUUGGGUGGCUAGAGCAAGAAGAUCAGAGAUAGAAGAAGCAUGUCGGCCAUUGGAUGGACAUCCAACAGUCACUGCUGUGUGUUGACUAAGUUGACAAAGCCUUGCGUACGCGUCAAAAAAAUUUAGGACAGCAUCAUCGUCAACCUAGUAGGCCCAGAAGUCAGCCUCCAAAUCUGUGGAAAACAACAUACAUCCCAUUAGCCAUUAUUUUCAAUAAUUUACAGCCCAUUUUCUAAUUCUUAAGGAUAUUUGAAGCCCAUAUUCUUUUUAUUAGCAUUACACACCAUAUAUUCUGGGCACUGCUAAAAAAUUCAACGAAAUUUUGCAUAUUUCGGUGGGGUCCGAACUCUUUUAAUCAUGAAAUUUCGAGUCACGUUAAAAAUAAUUUUCAAAAAAUUAUAUCAAAAUAAAAUUCAAAAAACAAUUCUCCGCAAAAAAAGAAUGAAAUUUAGAAUCUUAACUAGCAAGAUGCCCGUUCGUUGCACGGAACAUGAAGAUGCAUUUGUAUGAGUAGUUUAUCUUGUGGGAGAAAAGAUGAUAUUUUAAUGUAAUUGCCAGUUGGCUUUGUUUUUUAUAAGAGUAGAGAGUAGAGAAAUCUUGAAAAAAAUGAUAUUUUAAUGCAAUUGUCGGUUGGCUUUGGUUAAAAAAUUUACAACCCAUUUCUUACAACUUAUAGCCCGUUUUCUGGGGAAGCGCAUUUCUUACUACUUACAUCCCUCCUUGUCUUGAAAGAUUUGCAGCCCAGCAGGGCUGAGAAAAGCAAGUAGGCCUCAAUUUUGGUAUUCUCCAAAAAAAGAACUGGGCUAGCCAAUUUCAGAAAGAAAAAAUAUAUCAACUGGGCUCAUCAUGUGCUUAAUAAAAGCGUAAGCGUGGGCUAGACGGGCCACAGCCCCCGCACAGCGCGCAGUUGAGCUCCGUCUUUGAAACUGAAAAACAACUGGGCGAGCUGCUGGGUCCCUGGUGUUAUCCGCUCGUUGUGUAAUUUUCUCGUUUAUUGACUACAUUAACAAUGGCGUGGACCCUAGUUGUCAAACAAUUAGGAGGAAGUAUUUUUUUGGCUUGUAAUAACGAGGCACCUGCUUGCGAAAUGCAAUGACCCUGGUGGGUCCCUACUGUCAGCCUCUCCAUGUACAGUCAUCUCCUGAUUCCUCUUGGUUGUUGACCAUGUUGACAAUGCCAGACGGCGGCGGGCACAACGAGCGAACCAAGACGGAGAACGACGGAAAGGCCUCGGACGGGAACGAAUAGCAGCCAUGGAAGAUGCGGCCGUGUAGUGGCAGGUGGAGGGGAGUACGAGGGCAACAACAUGCAAGUCAAGCAUACAAAUGGCACAAAAAGCCCAAGGAUUAAUUGUUCAUCAAGUUUUUAGACAAAACCCAGAUUGAACAUGACAGUAACAUCUAACCCAACCACUCUUUUUUGCAGUCACAGACAAAUGGAUCGGUCUUAUCCAUAAAAUCAACAUCCUGUGCAAAAAUUUUUAUUUCAGGAUGUCUACAACUUAUUGUAAAUAGAAGCCGAGCACGUUUAGAAGCCCAUUUGUCCACCUGAAACUUCUUUUUUUGCUGUUCAACAUGUUCGUCCGUGAGAAAUAUCUUGCUGUAAAAAUUAAGCCUCAUGGACAAAGUAACCUCACAUUCAACAGGAAGAAUGUGACAAAGCUUCUGUUUGCCUGGUUGGAUGCAUAUCGUCCCAUCGUUAUUGUCCUCAAAUGAAUGUCAUGAGAACUGAGAAAAUCCUUGUGCUUAUUACGCCAACGAUUGGUUAUAUGUUUUUCUCCAUGUGGUUCUACCUAAGUAGACAUGAAGAUUGAAAACAAUUAAGGUCUGAAAAAAGAGUAUGUCGAAAGAACGACAGCUGAACAGUUAAUUCUAGUACAAUAUAUACGGGCUUUCAAUGUGCAUGAAAUCAUCACCUCCAUGUAUAAAUUCUCCAUAGAUCGAAAGCAUCGCAGCAAGCCAAUAAUUAUGUCCAGAUCAAAACUAUACAUUCUGAUAUAUAUGAUCUUGACAGAAUCCAGCAGCAUUGAUAGGCUAUCAAUGGACGAACUCUUCAUUGAGCAUAUAACAUAAUAUUAGUACCCAAAGUGUACUCCAAGAUGAUAUAAAACUUAUGCGCACAAAUGAAAAAUGCAGCAUAUGAUUACAAAUGUGUAGAUGAUAAUAUACGGUACCUGAAAAAGUGAGGAGCCAAACACCAACUCCUUGUGAUUAUUAAACGGGUCACAAAUUACACCCAAGGUCUCUAGUUUGGGCGCAAAGACGACAAUUAUUUCUGAAGGUGUAUAACAGUUAUGAAGGAGCAACCUUUCAAGUGAAGGGGCAUCUUCGAUGAUGAGCUGCUGUCCUUUAAAACAAAUUCCAAUGCUUUUAAGGUGAGGCGACUUUAUUUGGAGACAAAUGAUACUGAUUUCUAUUCCCAAAACAAUCAGCAAGUGCUCCAGGGCAGGGCAACUGGAGUGGAUGAUGCUGUGCAGUGAGGCCUCCGACAGAUAAACCACCACAAGCGGAAUUUUUUUUAGCAGUGGGAGUCGAAGCAUUUGUACCAGAUCGUCUAGUAGAUGGCACCGGGCGAAGGUGGCGGUGUGGAUAGAGGAGUAAAACCGCGAGAUGGACAAUGGUGGUGUGGGCAUGAAUUCUUGGUAUGUUCGUGGUAUGAAACUUUUGUGGUAAUGGUAGAACUCAAACUGCUGGAGUUUUCCGAAUUCAGGGGAUGUCAGCCAAGCGUCCACCUUGUCGGGUAUGGACAGCAGGUAGCUUGUCGGGAUGCAGAGGCAUUGAAUGGGGCCCUACUGGUGAGAAGAGACGAUGGCUCUGAGGAUAUCAAAUUCAGGAAGGACAGAUAUCUGAUGACAGUCGAGAUUGAGGGGUGCGGUGCGCCAUAGAGGGCGCCACCGAGUUGAGAGGACUUGUGUGCGGCAGCAAUCCUUGGUGGGGAGAAGCGAGAUGAUCUCCUCAAGGAUGACGCCCGGGAGAUCGCUGAUGCGGUCCACCGGAGAUUCUACCGGUUCCUCAGAUCCGGGUGGGGGGUGGAGGGGCUCGCCGCUUCUCCCCGCGCUACCGGGUGCGGGAUCUACAACCGGCGUCGCCGCUGGCAGGGGCCUCAUCUUCUUGGCGCUGGGGCCAGCCGACUCCAUUUUCCUUGUGGGCGUCGCGCCGAGCUCACGGGUUUGAGCAGAGUAGCCAGAGACGAGCCUAGUGCCAGUGCGAGUGGGGAAGAAGGAGGGUUGGGGAUUUCUGUAGGAGUGGAAGAAGAGGAGCAGGCGUUUUCUGUAUGAGUGAGGAAGAAGGUGAGCAGGGUUUUCUGUAUGAGUGAGGAAGAUUGGGGAGCGGGGGGAAUUGGGAGGGAGACAGAAGCAGGAGAGCGAGCUGUUCGUGUUUAUAAGGCCUGCUGCACUAACUACUCGCUUUUUCCCAAGAACCACUCUCUUCUUUUGCAUUUCUGCAUUGGAGCUGGCGCAUGGACUUGGCUGACUGGCCAUGCAUGCAGGAUGCAUGUGCCCGCCGGCCACUGCAUGCGCCUGGUUUGUUACUAGGCCUAUUUAAUAGGGUGGUUAUGGAGUAAAUUAAGGAGAUUUAUUUUCUCUGUGUGCAUCCACCAAAUUAGAGGAUGCGGUACUGGAUGCAGACACUCACAUUAAACUAACAUCCGGAAGAACAAAAGUUCAGCAUGUCUAUGCAUCUCAAUGAUUCACCAUACUAUAACCAAUACAAAGCUGUGAGAAGGUGUGGAAAUACAGAAAAUCGGUCGAUGCUUCUCUGAGCAAAGGGCCUCCCUGCGCACGCAUUAAUUUCCUGGGCAUGCUUGUUUCUUCUCAAUGUUGCGAGCACUUUGAGCAUGUUGGCAACUCCACAACUAGCUAGCUGCCUCAUCUUGCAAUUGAUGCUGACACAUUUGCAGCAAACACAUGAGGCAAUAGAGGUGACUCAACAUGGGUCCAUAUUGUGCAGUUUCCUGCUACCUCUUGAGCACUGCGUUGAAUUUCCCCGAAGAGGAGAGGACGAUGCAGCAAAGUAGCGUAAGUAUUUCCCUCAGUUUUUGAGAACCAAGGUAUCAAUCCAGUAGGAGACCACACACAAGUCCCUCAUACCUACACAAAAUGAUAGCAACUCGCAACCAAUGCUUAUGGGUUGUCAAUCCCUUCAUGGUCACUUACGAGAGUGAGAUCUGAUAGAUAAUAUUUUUGGUAUUUUUGAUAGAUAGAUGCAAAGUAAAAAAGUAAAAGGCAAAGUAAAAACAAAGCAAGUAAAUAAAGUGAUAGAGAUUGAUAUGAUGAGAAUAGACCCGGGGGCCAUAGGUUUCACUAGUGUCUUCUCUCAAGAGCAUAAGUAUUCUACGGUGGGUGAACAAAUUACUGUUGAGCAAUUGACAGAAUUGAGCAUAGUUAUGAGUAUAUCUAGGUGAUGAUCAUGUAUAUAGGCAUCACAUCCAAGACAAGUAGAUCGAAACGAUUCUGCAUCUACUACUAUUACUCCACUCAUCGACCGCUAUCCAGCAUGCAUCUAGAGUAUUAAGUAAAAACAGAGUAACGCCUUAAGCAAGAUGACAUGAUGUAGAGGGAUAAAUUCAUGCAAUAUGAUAAAAAACCCAUCUUGUUAUCCUCGAUGGCAACAAUACAAUACGUGCCUUGCAACCCUUUCUGUCACUUGGUAAGGACACCGCAAGAUUGAACCCAAAGCUAAGCACUUCUCCCAUUGCAAGAACUACCAAUCUAGUUGGCCAAACCAAAAAGGAUAAUUCGAAGAGAUUUGCAAAGAUAACUCAAUCAUACAUAAAAGAAUUCAGAGAAGAAUCAAAUAUUUUCCAUAGAUAAUACUGGAUCAUAAACCCACAAUUCAUCGGUCUCAACAAACACACCGCAAAAAGAAGAUUACAUUGAAUAGAUCUCCAACGAGAGAGGGGGAGAACAUUGUAUUGAGAUCCAAAAAGAGAGAAGAAGCCAUCUAGCUACUAGCUAUGGACCCGAAGGUCUGAAGUAAACUACUCACACUUUAUCGGAGGGGCUAUGGUGAUGAUGUAGAAGCCCUCCAUGGUGGAUGCCCCCUUCGGCGGAGCUCCGGAACAGGCCCCAAGAUGGGAUCUCGUGGAUACAGAAGGUUAUGGCGGUGGAAUUAGGUUUUUGGCUCCUGUUCUGAUCGUUCGGGGAUACGUAGGUAUAUAUAGGAGGAAGGAGUACGUCGGUGGAGCAUCGAGGGGCCCACGAGGUAGGGGGUGCACCCAGGGGGCGCCCUCCACCCUCGUGACCGCCUCUGGCACUGCUUGGAGUAGGGUCCAAGUCUCCUAGAUCAUGUUCGGUUGGAAAAUCACGACCCCGAAGGUUUCAUUCUGUUUGGACUCCGUUUUGAAGGAAAUAUGCCCUAGAGGCAAUAAUAAAGAUAUUAUUUAUUUCCUUAUUUCAUGAUAAAUGUUUAUUAUCCAUGCUAGAAUUGUAUUAACCGGAAACAUAAUACAUGUGUGAAUACAUAGACAAACAUAGUGUCACUAGUAUGCCUGUACUUGACUAGCUCACUAAUCAAAGAUGGUUAUGUUUCCUAACCAUAGACAUGUGUUGUCAUUUGAUUAAUGGGAUCACGUCAUUAGAAGAAUGAUGUGAUUGACUUGACCCAUUCCGUUAGCAUAGCACUUGAUCGUUUAGUAUGUUGCUAUUGCUUUCUUCAUGACUUAUACAUGUUCUUGUAACUAUGAGAUUAUGCAACUCCCAUUUACCGGAGGAACACUUUGGGUGCUACCAAACGUCACAACAUAACUGGGUGAUUAUAAAGGAGUACUACAGGUGUCUCCGAAGGUACAUGUUGGGUUGGCGUAUUUCGAGAUUAGGUUCUGUCACUCCGAUUGUCGAGAGGUAUCUCUGGGCCCUCUUAGUAAUGCACAUCACUAUAAGCCUUGCAAGCAAUGUAGCUAAUGAGUUAGUUACAGAAUGAUGCAUUACGUAACGAGUAAAGAGACUUGCCGGUAACGAGAUUGAACUAGGUAUUGGAUACCGACGAUCGAAUCUCGGGCAAGUAACAUACCGAUGACAAAGGGAACAAAGUAUGUUGUUCUGCGGUUUGACCGAUAAAGAUCUUCGUAGAAUAUGUAGGGGCCAAUAUGGGCAUCCAGGUUCCGCUAUUGGUUAUUGACUAAGAAUAGUUCUAGGUCAUGUCUACAUAGUUCUCGAACCCGUAGGGUCCGCACGCUUAAGGUUUCGAUGACAUUUAUAUUAUGAGUUUAUGAGUUUUGAUGUACCGAAGGAGUUCGGAGUCCCGGAUGAGAUCGGGGACAUGACGAGGAGUCUCAAAAUGGUCGAGACGUAAAGAUCGAUAUAUUGGACGACUAUAUUCGGAGUUCGGAAAGGUUCCGAGUGAUUCGGGUAUUUUUCGGAGUACCGGAGAGUUACGGGAAUUCGCCGGGGAGUAUAUGGGCCUUAUUGGGCCAUACGGGAAUAGAGGAGAGAGGCCAAAAGGAAGGAGGCCUGCGCCCCCCCUCUGGUCCGAAUUGGACAAGGGGCGCAGCCCCCCUUUCCUUCUUCCUCUCCCCCUCUUUCCCCUUCUCCUACUCCAACAAGGGAGGUGGAAUCCUACUAGGACUAGGGAGUCCUAGUAGGACUCCACACUUGGUGCGCCCCCUCCUAGGGCCGGCCUCCUCCCCCCUUGCUCCUUUAUACACGGGGGCAGGGGGGCACCCCAUGACACACAAGUUGAUCUACGGAUUGUUCCUUAGCCGUGUGCGGUGCCCCCCUCCACCAUAUUCCACCUCGAUCAUAUCGUCGCGGAGUUUAGGCAAAGCCCUGCGCCGGUAGAGCGUCAUCAUCGUCACCACGCCAUCGUGAUGACGGAACUCAUCCCCGACACUUUGCUGGAUCGGAGUCCGGGGAUCGUCAUCGAGCUGAACGUGUGCUGAACUCGGAGGUGCCGUACAUUCGGUACUUGGAUCGGUCGGAUCGUGAAGACAUACGACUACAUCAACCGCGUUGUCAUAACGCUUCCGCUUACGGUCUACGAGGGUACGUGGAAAACACUCUCCCCUCUCGUUGCUAUGCCAUCACCAUGAUCUUGCGUGUGCGUAGAUUUUUUGUUGAAAUUACUACGUUCCCCAACAAGUUUGAUAUUCCGUUUCUUCGAAAUACUGAAAAAGGCAAAAAACAGCAAUUCUGGGCUGGGCCUCCGGUUAAUAGGUUAGUCCCAAAAGUAAUAUAAAAGUGGAAAAUAAAGCCCAAUAUAGUCCAAAACAGUAGAUAAAGUAGCAUGGAGCAAUAAAAAAUUAUAGAUACGUUGGAGACGUAUCAGGCAUCCCCAAGCUUAAUUCCUGCUCGUCCUCAAGUAGGUAAAUGAUAAAAAAGAAUUUUUGAUGCGGAGUGAUACUUUGGCAUAAUUUCAAUGUAAAACUUCUUAAUUGUGACAUGAAUAUUCAGAUCCGAAAGAUUCAAGACAAAAGUUCAUAUUGACACAAAAAUAAUAAUACUUCAAGCAUACUAAUCAAAGCAAUCAUGUCUUCUCAAAAUAACAUGGCAAAAGAAAGUUCAUCCCUACAAAAUCAUAUAGUUAGGCUAUGCUUCAUUUUUGUGACACAAAGAUGUUCCCAACUUCUAUACCCCUGAUGACAAGCCAAGCAAUUGUUUCAUACUUAAAUAAUCUCAAACUUUUUCAACCUUCAGACAAUACAUGAGCGUGAGCCAUGGAUAUAGCACUAUGGGUGGAAUAGAAUAUGAUGAUGGGAAUUGUAUGGAGAAGACAAAAAAGGAGAAGUCUCACGUUGACGAGGCUAAUCAACGGGCUAUGGAGAUGCCCAUGAAUUGAUGUCAACAUGAGGAGUAGGGAUUGCCAUGCAACGGAUGCACUAGAGCUAUGAAUGCUCAACAAAAGAAAACUAGUGGGUGUGCAUCCAACUUGCUUGCUCACGAAGACCUAGGGCAUUUGAGGAAGCCCAUCGUAGGAAUAUACAAGCCAAGUUCUAUAAUGAAAAAUUCUCACUAGUAUAAAAAAGACAACUUAUGAGACUUACUACAUGAAGAACAGGGUGCUACUUUGAAGCACAAUAUAUGAGACUCACUACAUGAAGAACAAGGUGCUACUUUGAAGCACAAGUGUGGAAAAAGAGAUAGUAGCAUUGCCCUUUUCUUUUCUUUUUUGGGCCUUCCUUUUUUUAUAUUUUGGCCUUUCUUUUUUUUUUAUUUGGGUAAUGCUCUAAUAAUGAUGAUCAUCACACUUCUAUUGAUUACAACAUAAGGAUUACAACUCGAAACUUAAAACAAGAUAUGACUCUAUAUGAAUGCCUCCAGCGGUGUACCGGGAUGGUGCAAUGAAUCAAGAGUGACAUGUAUGAAAAAUAAUGCAUGGUGGCUUUGCCACAAAUACGAUGUCAACUACAUGAUCAUGCAAUGGCAAUAUGACAAAAGUAAUGUAUGUCAUGAUAAUGAUGAUGGAAGUACGGAAUGGCUAUGGAAAUGCCAUAAUAGGUAGGUAUGGUGGCUGUUUUGAGGAAGAUAUAAGGAGGUUUAUGGGUGAUAGAGCGUAUCGUAUCACGGGGUUUGGAUGCACCGGCGAAGUUUGCACCAACUCUCAAGGUGAGAAAGGGCAAUGCACGGUACCGAAGAGGCUAGCAAAGGCGGAAAGGUGAGAGUGCGUAUAAUCCAUGGACUCGACAUUAGUCAAAAGAACUCAUAUACUUAUUGCAAAAAUUUAGAAGUCAUCAAAAAUCAAGUACUACGCGCAUGCUCCUAGGGGGAUAGAUUGGUAGGAAAAGACCAUCGCUCGUCCUCGACCGCCACUCAUAAGGAUGCACAAGCCAGGUACACUUCAUGUUUCAAAUUUGUUACAUUACUUUAACCAUACGUGCAUGCUACGGGACUUGCAAACUUCAACACAAGUAUUUCUCAAAUUCAUAAUCACCCAACUAGCAUGACUUUGAUUAUCACCUCCAUAUCUCAAAACAAUUAUCAAGCAUCAAACUUAUCUUAGUAUUCAAUUCACUCAAAAGAAAGGUUCACAUAUCUUGAACACCAAGUAUAUUAACAUUAAGCAAAUUACCAUGCUAUUAACAACUCUCAAAAUAAUCUAAGUGAAGCAUGAGAGAUCAAUAAUUUCUUUAAAACAAAUCCACCACCGUGCUCUAAAAGAUAUAAGUGAAGCACUAGAGCAAAAAUUAUCAUGCUCAAAAGAUAUAAGUGAAGCACAUAGAGUAUUCUAACAAAUUUCAAUUCAUGUAUGGCUCUCUCAAAAGGUGUGUACAGCAAGGAUGAUUGUGGUAAACUAACAAGCAAAGACGCAAAUAAUACAAGACGCUCCAAGCAAAACGCAUAUCAUGUGCUGAAUAAAAAUAUAGCUCCAAGUAAAUUACCGAUGGAAGUGGACGAAAGAGGGGAUGCCUUCCGGGGCAUCCCCAAGCUUUGACUUUUUGGUGUCCUUGGAUUAUCUUGGGGGUGCCAUGGGCAUCCCCAAGCUUAGGCUCUUGCCACUCCUUGUUCCAUAACCCAUCAAAAGAAUUCACCCAAAACUUGAAAACUUCACAACACAAAACUCAACAGAAACCCCGUGAGCUCCGUUAGAGAAAGAAAACAAAAGACUACUUCAAGGUACUGUAAUAAACUCAUUAUUUAUUUACUUUGGUGCUAAACCUACUGUAUUCCAACUUCUCUAUGGUUUAUAAACUUUUUUACUAGCCAUAGAUUCAUCAAAAUAAGCAAACAACACACGAAAAACAGAAUCUGUCAAAAACAGAACAGUCUGUAGAAAUCUGUAACUAACGCAAACUUCUGGAACUCUAAAAAUUCUACAAAAAUAGGAAGUUCUAGAAAAUUUGUUUAUUGAACAGCAGCAAAAAGAAUCAACGCAAAAGAGCGUUCCUGUGAUUUAACAUAACUAUAUUCAUGCGCGUAAAGUUUCUGCUUUUCAGUAGAAUCAAAUCAACUAUCAUCGUAGGUUAUCCUAUAGGUUCUACCAAACACUAAUUAAAAGAUAAAACCACAUCCAAACAGAAGCUAGAUGGAUUAUUUAUUCCUAAACAGAAGCAAAAACAAAAAACACAAAAUAAAAUUGGGUUGCCUCCCAACAAGCGCUAUCGUUUAACGCCCCUAGCUAGACAUUGAGAUUUCAAUGAUGCUCACAAGAAAGACAAGAAUUGAUGCACAAAGAGAGCAUCAUAAAACAUGUGACAAACACACUUAAGUCUAACAUACUUCCUAUGCAUAAGCAUAUUAUAGGAAAACAAAUUAUCGUAGCAAACAAAAACUAGCAUAUGCAAGGAAGCAGAAAGGAACAAUAGCAAUCUUAACAUAACGAGAGGUAAUUUAGUAACAUGAAAAUUUCUAUAACCAUAUUUUCCUCUCUCAUAAUAAUUACAUGUAGGAUCAUAAGAAAAUUCAACAAUAUAACUAUCACAUAACAUAUUCUCAACACGAUCCACAUGCAUGCGAAGUUGGCACUCUUUCGAAAUAGUGGGAUUAAUAUUAACUAAAGUCAUGACCUCUCCAAACCCACUUUUAUCAAAAACUUCAUAAGAUUGAUCAUUAUCCAGAUAUGUGGGAUCUAAAGUUGAUACUCUUCCAAACCCACUUUCAAUAUUAUUGCAAACAAUAUUAUCAAUGUCAUAUUCAUCAUGGGGAUCAAAUAAAUUUUCAAGAUCAUAAGAAGAAUCACCCCAAUCAUGAUCAUUGCAACAAGUAGAGGACAUAGCAAAACUAGCAUCCCCAAGCUUAGGGUUUUGCAUAUUUUUAGCACAAUUGACAUCAAUAGAAUUUAUAGUAAAAUCAUUGCAAUCAUGCUUUUUAUUCAAAGAUCUAUCGUGAAUCACUUCAUAAAGUAUUUCAUCACAAUUUUUAGAUUCACUAAUUUUAGGCAAAACCUCAUAAAGAUAAUCUAGUGCACUAAGUUCACUAGCAAUAGGUUCAUCAUAAUUAGAUCUCUUAAAGAGAUUAGCAAGUGGAUGAGGAUCCAUAAACUUUUAGCAAGUGAAGAUGUAAGCAAAAAGAAGGCACAUGGUAACACAAGAUUGAACAGAGGAAGGGCGAAUAAAACGGCAAGGGUGAAGUGGGGGAGAGGAAAACGAGAGGCAAAUGGCAAAUAAUGUAAUGCGAGGGAUAGGGAUUGCGAUGGGUACUUGGUAUUGUUGACUUGCUUGCGUGAGCCUCCCCGGCAAUGGCGCCAGAAAUUCUUCUUGCUACCUCUUGAGCACUGCGUUGGAUUUCCCCGAAGAGGAGAGGAUGAUGCAGCCAAAGUAGCGUAAGUAUUUCCCCCAGUUUUUGAGAACCAAGGUAUCAAUCCAGUAGGAGACCACACACAAGUCCCUCAUACCUACACAAAAUGAUAGCAACUCGCAACCAACGCUUACGAGUUGUCAAUCCCCUCAUGGUCACUUACGAGAGUGAGAUCUGAUAGAUAAUUUUUUGGUAUUUUUGAUAGAUAGAUACAAAGUAAAAAAGUAAAAGGCAAAGUAAAAACAAAGCAAGUAAAUAAAGUGAUAGAGAUUGAUAUGAUGAGAAUAGACCCCGGGACCAUAGGUUUCACUAGUGGCUUCUCUCAAGAGCAUAAGUAUUCUACGGUGGGUGAACAAAUUACUGUUGAGCAAUUGACAGAAUUGAGCAUAGUUAUGAGUAUAUCUAGGCGAUGAUCUUGUAUAUAGGCAUCACGUCCAAGACAAGUAGAUCGAAACGAUUCUGCAUCUACUACUAUUACUCCACUCAUCGACCGCUAUCCAGCAUGCAUCUAGAGUAUUAAGUAAAAACAGAGUAACACCUUAAGCAAGAUGACAUGAUGUAGAGGGAUAAAUUCAUGCAAUAUGAUAAAAAACCCAUCUUGUUAUCCUCGAUGGCAACAAUACAAUACGUGCCUUGCAACCCUUUCUGUCACUGGGUAAGGACACCGCAAGAUUGAACCCAAAGCUAAGCACUUCUCCCAUUGCAAGAACUACCAAUCUAGUUGGCUAAACCAAAAAGGAUAAUUCGAAGAGACUUGCAAAGAUAACUCAAUCAUACAUAAAAGAAUUCAGAGAAGAAUCAAAUAUUUUCCAUAGAUAAUACUGGAUCAUAAACCCACAAUUCAUCAGUCUCAACAAACACACCGCAAAAAUAAGAUUACAUCGAAUAGAUCUCCACGAGAGAGGGGGGGAACAUUGUAUUGAGAUCCAAAAAGAGAGAAGAAGCCAUCUAGCUACUAGCUAUGGACCCGAAGGUCUGAAGUAAACUACUCACACUUCAUCGGAGGGGCUAUGAUGAUGAUGUAGAAGCCCUCCGUGGUGGAUGCCCCCUCCGACGGAGCUCCGGAACAGGCCCCAAGAUGGGAUCUUGUGGAUACAGAAGUUUGCGGUGGUGGAAUUAGGUUUUUGGCUCCUGUUCUGAUCGUUCGGGGAGACAUAGGUAUAUAUAGGAGGAAGGAGUAUGUCGGUGGAGCGUCGAGGGCCCACGAGGUAGGGGGGCGUGCCCAGGGGGCAGGGGGGCACCCUCCACCCUCGUGACCGCCUCUGGCACUGCUUGGAGUAGGGUCCAAGUCUCCUAGAUCACGUUCGGUUGGAAAAUCACGAUCCUGAAGGUUUCAUUCCGUUUGGACUCUGUUUGAUAUUCUGUUUCUUCGAAAUACUGAAAAAGGCAAAAAACAACAAUUCUGGGCUGGGCCUACGGUUUAUAGGUUAGUCCCAAAAGUAAUAUAAAAGUGGAAAAUAAAGCCCAAUAUAGUCCAAAACAGUAGAUAAAGUAGCAUGGAGCAAUCAAAAAUUAUAGAUACGUUGGAGACGUAUCAUUCCCCUGAAAUCAUAUUCAUUGUCCUGAAUCUGAAAAGAUAGGAAAACAGUAGCUAUACUUAAACGGUGUUGCAAAACAGUAGCACAUAUCAAUAGCUCGGCAUGACAAAACACGAUCAUCUGGACGAAGGGGAUACUGACCUGCCUGAGGAAGAUUAUAUAUAAUUUCAUAAGUCCUUGGUUGAUUUCCACCUUCGGCUGCACUGCUUGUUUGCUCCUCCACACAUGACAGGAUCGUUCUGCACUGCAUUCAGCAAGUCAACGUACGAAUAAGCUAAUUUCAUCUUGCGGUGGUCAUUGUACCAAGUUACGAAUGUAGGAAUACCUGGAGCACCAUGAGGUUAGCUGACAGCCGGUAGAUGUAGCCAUAUAAAUUUUGUGUAGUGCUACCAAAAUUGAGGUUUGUAUCCCUUCCCGUUAUGAGAAUUGUUCUUGAAGUUGGUAGAAUGUGACGGCUUGUUCUUUGCAUCAAACUUGCCUUUCCCCUGAGAUUUGUUCUUGUUGUUUUGGGGCUGGUUGGGCUGGAAGUUCUUCUCAUGUACCAUUUGGGCACUAGAAGCUCCCUCAGCGACCCGAGCACUGUCGGAGUAAUGGGCCACGGGUAGGCUAACCUGAGCCCCAGAGCCUUUCAAGGCAUCAGGGCAGGCUGCGCCCCUUAAGCCAAGUCCCAGGCAGCGACUCCAAGAUGAGCCGAGUCCCAAGCAGCGACUCCAAGAUAAGCCGAGUCCCAGGCAGCGACUCCAAGAUAAACCGAGUCCCAGGCGGCGACUCCAAGAUAAGCCGACUCAUGGCCGACGACUUCCAGAGAAGCCGGCUUUAGAGAGUCGGCCUGCGAUUCCACCCGUCACCUACCUUCGCCACGAUAGGCGAGGCGUGGUACGGUCACGGCGUGGCCGUCACCCCCUGCUUACGAGGAGCUGGCAUGGCUACAGUAUGCCGUAUCGCUGGAGAUCUCCAGCAUGGCGCGGCACUGUUGCCAUGCCUGCCCUGACUUCAGCCAAAGUGGCGGCGCACUAUGGCCACGACGGCCUACCUGUACGACCCAGAGAUGGCAGGACCCGCCCGUCAGCAAGAGAACAGAAGACGACUGGGUGCACCCCGAAGACGGACCCGUGGGAGUCGGCUCCCCUGGAGUCGGCCGGCCCUUCCCACGAGCCCCACACACCAUUAACCAGACAAGACGGAGAAUGGCGACAGUGACCGUCCGAUAGACGGCAGCACUAUUGCCACGACCCCAUGACCAAGCCUGCGUCAUUAGAAGCACGACUACAGUAUCGGACCCGUCGGCGGGGCCCACCAGUCGGCGGGCCCCAGUAGUCGGCGGAGAAGACGGCGGCUUGUGAGACAAACGGCUGGGACCCGCGCCUAGCCGGAUUACCAUUGUACCCCCACGGGGUAGGCCUAUAUAAACCCCCCGGGGCACCCAUGCAAAGGGUUUGGAUCCAUUAGCACUAGACCAGAUCAUACAGGGAGGAGAGAGUUAGCCUUGCCUUCUCCUACCUCCAGAAUACAGCUCUAGGAGCAACCUUGUACUCACUUUGCCUUAGUGAUCAUGCGGAGACCCCGCAGAGCAGCAGUAGGGGUGUUAUCUCCCCGGAGAGCCCCGAAGCUGGGUAAGAUCCGCCGGCGUGCAUGUCUUCGCCUCAUCCCGUUUCCUGGCACCGGCGACGUUCUACUCGCUCCCACCAUGAUAAGCCAUCCUUUGGCAUAUGUCGCACCCAACCCCCGACAUUUGGCGCCCACCAUGGGGCGAGGUGCACCGUCAUCCGGAGACCCGCUCUUGACGGGAACCCUCUUCCUCCCCAGCGAGCGUAGCCAGCCCGGCACGCCCGAUGGCACUUGCCCCGACGCGCUGCAAGGCAUCCACGACGCCUGCGCAGCGAGCUGCCUCGCCGAUCUUCUUGGCGAGGUUUGCAUCUCCGACGAGCCUGCAUCCGACGCAGGCACGGGCGGGCCUCCUCGACCAACUCCAUGUCGCCGGCGAGCCCGCCGUCCAUAGGCUCCACCGACCCGAUGCUGGUCGACUCCGACAGUGUGUCGCUCGACACGUUCCCCACCAAUUUGGUGAUCUAUGACGAUCCGUUCCCUCGCGAGGAGAGCGGCGGAAGCACCGUCACGGAGGUGCUCGUUAUCAGUCAUGGCGAGCACUCCGGUGAGGGAGCUCACGAUCCACUCGACGCGGCUCUGCGAGACCUGACUGCACCCAUUCUGGAGGACGCUGACGGCGAGACGCUGGAGGCACGCCGCCUUCAGCUCAUCAAAGGCGCGAAGAAGCUGGCAAGCAUGAGACGCUUUUCAGAAGCCUACCAGCGUGAAAUGGAUCGCGCUGUGGGCGGCUCGCCAGCCCCGACUGGGCCUAGCCGCCUAGGUGCGGUCCGGCAACGCGGCAUGGCCAUCGCCAACCUGUUCGGGGCCGAUCACCCCAUGUAUGCCACGCCUGCGGAGAACAUUCGCGCCGCCCAGGCGGCGGCGAACGAGCUAGACAACUUCGAAGGCGAAGAGCGCCGCCUAAUGACCGAGCGGGUCCAGCGGCUCCUCAAAGCGGCUGCCGCGCAGAACGAAGCCGGCUGCCGCACGGAGGCGCCGCAACGACAAAACAACAACUUGCCUCCCCGCCGAGAUCAAGGCGCGACGUCUCGGACGCCGACUGGCGGUGUCCGUGGAAGAAAAGAGAAGGAUCCGGCUGUCAGCCACAGUCGGACUCGCAUCACCAUCGAGCGCGACCAAGACGGCCGCCCCAGAGCGGUGGAACGGCAGGGCGACUAUCUGCCUCCCCCACCACGAAGAGAAAGAUGAGUCUCCCCGCCACCUGUUGAGCAUCCGACUCUCGCGACCGCCUUGGCCGCCGAGAGGGAGUCGGAGAGAACGAUGCCCGCCACCGGAUCGACCGACUCCACCGAUCCCUGGCGCUGGAAGAAGAAGAUGAGCUGGGCCCGCCCUGUUUCGGACCCCACAUCCGAGACGAGCCUUUUCCCAAAGGGUUCACGCUCCCCCGAGACACGCCCAAGUACACCGGCUUCGUGAAGCCGGAAGAUUGGCUAGUUGACUAGUCCACAGCAGUCAACAUAGCCAACGACAACAAGCGUGUUGCCGUGAAGUAUGUUCUGCUCAUGCUCCAGGGCACGGCCCGGACAUGGUUAAAUAGUCUGAAGCCCCGCAGCAUCAACAGCUGGGUCGACUUCACCGAGGCCUUCGUCUGCAACUUCACAAGCAUGUACAAGCGACCCCCCAAGAUGCGUCAGCUUUCCUUGUGCGUAAAAGGCCAAGACGAGUCGACUCGCGACUACCUCAGACGAUGGGGCGAGCUUCGGCUCCUGCGAGGGCGUGCACGAGGUGCAGGCUAUUGAGUACUUCACCGCCGGGUGCAGAGAAGGCACCCUCCUCAAGCACAGGCUCCUCUGCGACGAGCCGGAGACCCUCGACGAGUUGCUGGUCAUAGCAGACAAGUAUGCGACGGCCGACUCCUCCAUGAAGACAGAGAUUCAAGUUAGUGCGACUGGCAAAGUGGCCCCUCAAGCUCCCAGAACUCCGGCUGGAGAUACCAGUCGGCGACAACAGCAAAAUGAUCACAAGCACAAAGCCCCACAGCCGACUUCCAGUAGUCGGCAGGUUGCGACAGUCGAAGACCAACAGCCGGAAGGGCAGCCUCCGGCGAAGCGACAGAAAGGCGGCAAGUCCAACUGGUUGCCGACCUUCUCUUACGAGCAGACACUGGAUGGUCCCUACAAGUUCCACAGCGGCGCGAAGCCGUCGAACCAUACCACCCGGAAAUGCCACUGGCUCACCAGAAUCGCCAAGGGAGACGGCCUUCUUCCUCCUCCGCCUGCUGGGCCGCCGCCUCCACAGCCGCCCCAGCAGCCGGCUGCCAGGCCAGUCGGCGCCGUACAAGAUGAGUACCCGGAAGAGCAUGGAGCCUAUGUAGUGUUCACCAGUAUGGCUGAUGACCGACGCAGCAGACGGCUGUAGCAGCAAGAAGUAAAUGCAGUAGCAUCAGAUACUCCGGAGUUUAUGCAUUGGUCCGAGAAGCCCAUCAGUUGGAGGAGAGCUGAUCACCCAGAGGUAAUGCCGAAUCCGGGCUCCUAUGCCUUGGUUUUAAGCGCCACCUUGGCCACAGAUAGGCGGGCCGCUCGCUUCUCGCGAGUGUUGAUAGACGGAGGCAGUAGCAUCAACAUCCUGUACAAGGAUACCAUGGAGAAAUUAGGAAUCAAGCAAAGACAGCUUCAGAGCAGCCGAACUGUGUUCCACGGCAUUGUACCUGGCCUUUCUUGCUCACCAAUCGGCAAGAUCCUGAUAGACGUUCUCUUCGGAGACAAAGAUCAUUUUUGCCGAGAGCCAGUUUGGUUUGAAGUGGUGGACCUUGAAAGCCCAUACCAAGCAUUGCUUGGCCGACCUGCUCUGGCCAAGUUCAUGGCGGUCCCCCACUACGCCUACCUCAAGAUGAAGAUGCCGAGUUCAAAGGGGAUACUGACCGUACCGGCGACUACAGGAAGUCGUCCGCCCGCGCGACUAAUAGUAGUCGGCUAGCCGAGUCCCUGGUGAUCGCAGCUGAGAGGCGGCUCCUUGAUCGGGUUGUGGCAAUGGCCGACAAGCAGCCAGAGAUGUCGCCCGACCCCAAGGAGUCGGAAGCUGAGGGUCCGUUCAAGCCGGCUAAAGAAACAAAGAGGAUACCUUUGGACCCAGAGCACCCAGAGAGGCAUGCUGUCAGAGGUGCAAACCUAGACAGCAAAUAGGAAGGUGAGCUCGUCGAUUUCCUCCGUGAGAAUCGAGACAUCUUCGCAUGGUCCCCUAAGGACAUGCCAGGUGUACCGACGGAAUUCGCCGAGCACAAGUUACAUGUCCGAUCUGAUGUGAAGCCCAUCAGGCAGCCCUUGCGCCGCCUGUCAGAAGAAAAGAGAAGAGUUGUUGGGGAAGAGAUAGCCCGACUCCUAGCGGCCGACUUCAUUAUGGAGGUGUUCUUCCCAGAAUGGUUGGCAAACCCGGUCCUAGUGUUGAAAAAGAACAAGCAGUGGCGGAUGUGUAUCGACUACACAAGCCUCAACAAAGCUUGCCCCAAAGACCCAUUUGCUUUGCCGAGAAUUGAUCAGGUGAUAGACUCCACAGCCGGAUGCGAGCUGUUGAGCUUCUUAGAUGCAUACUCAGGAUAUCACCUUAUCAAGAUGAACCCGGCAGACAGACUGAAGACUGCCUUCAUCACGCUGUUUGGAGCCUUCUGCUACCUGACUAUGACGUUUGGCUUAAGGAAUGCCGGCGCCACCUUUCAGCGUUGCAUGCAGAAAUGUCUCCUCAAGCAACUCGGCAGAAACGCCCACGUCUAUGUAGAUGAUGUGGUGGUGAAGACGGAAAAACGUGGGACACUAUUGGAAGAUCUCCAAGAAACCUUUGAGAAUCUGCGCCGAUUCCAGAUCAAGCUCAACCCUGAGAAGUGCGUCUUCGGAGUACCAGCCGGCCAGCUCCUUGGCUUCCUGGUCUCUGAACGCGGCAUAGAGUGCAACCCUAUAAAGAUCAAAGCCAUCGAGAGGAUGGAAGUCCCCCACCGACUGUUAGAUGUGCAGAAGUUCACCGGCUGCUUGGCGUCCAUUAGCCGAUUCAUCAGUCGGCUGGGUGAGAAGGCUCUCCCUUUGUACUAACUGAUGAAGAAGACCACCUUUUUGAGUGGAACCACAAAGCGGACGAAGCAUUUCUCCAGUUGAAAAAGAUGUUGACAACUCCCCCUGUGCUGGCGGCUCCGACUCCUAAAGAGCCUAUGCUCCUAUACAUUGCCGCUACCAGCCGAGUGGUCAGCACAGUCGUCAUAGUUGAAUGCAAGGAGCAAGGCAAGGCGCUCCCUGUCCAGAGACCGGUAUAUUACCUGAGUGAGGUACUGUCGACCUCCAAGUAGAACUACCCCCACUACCAGAAGAUGUGCUACGGCGUGCAUUUCGCCGCCAAGAAGUUGAAGCCUUACUUUCAAGAGCAUCCAAUCACUAUGGUCUGCACAGCUCCACUAGCCGAGAUCAUUGGAAGCCGAGAUGCUUCGGGCCGAGUGGCCAAAUGGGCCGUAGAUUUGGCUCCCUACACCAUCUACUACCAGCCCUUCAUCGCCAUCAAGUCACAAGCACUGGCCGACUUCCUUGUCGACUGGGCCGAGACCCAGUACCUGCCGCCAGCGCCCGACUCCACUCAUUGGCGGAUGCAUUUCGAUGGCUCCAAGAUGCGCACCGACUUGGGAGCCGACAUCGUCCUCACCUCCCCCAAAGGUGACAAGCUCAAGUAUGCGCUGCAAAUCCACUUCGCCGCCUCCAACAACGUUGCCGAAUACGAGGCGCUCAUUCACAGGCUCCGGCUUGCCAAAGAACUCGGCAUCCGCCGGAUCCUGUGCUAUGGCUACUCCGAUUUGGUGGUCCAGCAGUCGUCUGGCGACUAGGACGCCAAAGAUGCAAACAUGGCGAGCUACUGCUUCCUGGUGCAGCAACUCAGCGGAUAUUUUGAGGGGUGCGAAUUCCUUCACGUGCCAAGAAAUGACAACGACCAAGCUGACGCCCUGGCACGGGUCGGCUCCACACGCCAAGCAAUACCAUCCGGCGUCGCCCUUCAGCGCCUCCUCAAGCCGUCUAUCAAGCCUUCACCAGAAUCAGACUCCAUCUUUGUGCCGGCUCCCCCCGAAGAAGUCGGAUCCGACUCCAAAGCACCAGUAGACGGCACGAGAAUUCUCACAGACGGCUCCAAGAAUACCGCAGUCGAAGCCGGCCCGGGGACUUCAGAACCCGGCUCGGGGACUGCGACGAUCAGCCCGAAGACUCCAGAGCUCGGCCCAGGGACUUCGCCGAUCCAGCAAGCGGCCGCAGACUCCAGCCCGCCGCCUCCCAGCCCAGCCGCCCUUGUCCAAGUCGCAAUAGUGGCAAUUGAAGAAACAGCAGCACCCUCAUGGGCCCAGCCCAUCCUCAAGUUCCUAGUAAACACAGAGCUGCCAACCGAUGAAAUCUUGGCUCGGCAGGUGCAACGCCGAGCGACAGCCUACACCAUAGUCAACAGAGAGCUGGUCAGGCGCAGUGUCACUGGUGUCUACCAACACUGCAUCGAAGCAGAGCAAGGCCAAGCAAUUCUCAGAGACAUCCAUGAAGGCGAGUGCGGCCACCAUGCGGCCUCAAGAGCACUCGUCGCCAAAGCCUUCCGGCACGGUUUCUUCUGGCCGACUGCCCUAGAAGAGGCCAAAGAGUUAGUCCGAAAAUGCAAAGGGUGCCAGAUGUUCCGUUCCAAGCCACUUCAGCCGGCUUCCACACUCAAGACCAUCCCCAUCGUCUGGCCCUUUGCAGUUUGGGGCCUGGACAUGGUGGGACCAUUCAAGACGGCACGAGGCAGCCUAACUCAUCUGCUUGUCGCGGUGGACAAAUUCACCAAGUGGAUAGAAGUAAAACCCAUCAAGAAGUUGAAUGGUCCGACUGCAGUGACUUUCAUCGCCGACAUCAAGACUCGGUACGGCAUACCACACAGCAUCAUCACCAACAAUGGCACAAAUUUUGCCAAAGGCGCCUUGGCCCGUUUCUGCGCGACGUAGGGCAUCCGACUGGACUUAGUGUCCGUUGCCCAUCCGCAGUCAAACGGCCAGGUGGAGCGAGCAAACGACCUCAUCCUAUUCGGCAUCAAGCCUCGACUGAUUGAACCACUGGAGCAUUCGGCUGGCUGUUGGCUUGAGGAGCUGCCAGCCGUCCUCUGGAGUCUGCGCACGACUCCAAACAAGUCAACCGGCUUCACGCCUUUCUUCCUUGUCUACGGUGCUGAAGCCGUCAUCCCAACGGACAUAGAGUUCGACUCCCCGCGAGUCACCAUGUACACCGAGGAGGAAGCAGAAGAAGCACGUCAAGACGGUGUCGAUCUGCUGGAAGAGGGCCGGCUGUUGGCACUCAGUCGGUCCGGCAUCUACCAGCAGAGCCUGCGCCGAUACUACAACAGGAAGGUCAGGCCAAGAUCUUUCCAAGAAGGCGACCUUGUGCUCCGACUGAUCCAGCGGACAGCCGGCCAGCACAAGCUGUCGGCACCUUGGGAAGGCCCCUUCAUUAUCAGCAAAGUGCUGGGCAACGACUCCUACUACCUGAUCGACGCUCAGAAGCCCCAAGCACGCAAGAGAGACGAGUCCAGCAAAGAGUCGGAACAACCAUGGAAUGCAAAUCUCCUCCAAAGAUUUUACAGUUGAUGCAGUAUGUACCAUGCUACCCCUUUGUAUUAAAGUACCGAGACUUCGGGCCCCCCGAGACGAGCUCGGGGACUGCCCCUUUUGAUUAUCUGUAUGAUAAGAAUUAUGCCUUCGAGUAUGCUACUUCUUGCUACGCCGCUUGGCGCCGGGUUCGACUAGUCGGCCCGGGGACUCGCCGUCUGGCGCUAUGAAAUGUUUCCUAAAGUCGGACAAGUAGUGUGCGGCGCCUAAGCCGUCUCCUGCCAGAGGCCGCAGCUUGCAGAGCGACUGUUUGGUGGGCAGGAGUAAGAAUGAAUGGGCAUUCACACGAAAAAUGGCUAAGGACCUAAAGCAUUAACAUAGCUUAAGCCGGCUUCCAGCCCCUUUUCGCAAAACCGACUCGCGAGUAGUCGACUUGCCGCUUUCUAUCCAACUUGUUAAAAAAACUCCAAUGAAUGGCAAGUACUUGCUUUCCCCAAAGUAGCCAGGCACUUGGUCCAGCGGCAGUGCGCGGAGCGGUUGUCCGGCUGACAAGGCGGCAACAAGGGGAAGGCGGCAAAGGAAAAAGCCAAAGGAGCAAUGAGCAAGGAAAGAUAGAACUCGGAUUAAUAUUUACAUAGCAUAGGCCCUUGGCCGAAUCUUCAAACAGAAGUUCAAAAUACACCCCGCGGGUGGAAUUGUGCAAAUUAACAAGUUCUUCAAAGACUUUUUUAGAGCAGAUAAAAUAAAAGCCAGAAAGCAGCCUAGGGAGCAGCAGACGGGUUCGGAGGAUCGGAGGAGACGGCGGUGUCAGGCGCCGGGGCAGCCGGCUGGGCAGUCUCGGCUUGAUCGCCGCCAGCGGCAGCCGGCCCGGUCGGACGCGGGUCGUUGCUGGAGGCACGGUCGAGCUAAGGCUAGUCGCCCGCUCCGUCUUCUGGUGCCUCCGUCUCGCCUUCAUCCUCCGCCUCGCCUUCCUCCUCGGUGCUAGAGUCAAUCACCUCCGCCGAGUCCUCGCCAUAGUCCGGGUUCAUCCCGAACCACUCUGGCGGCACCUCCUCACCGCCUGCAGCCCGCUCAGGGACGAAGACACUGGUAUCUGUGUAGUCGGCAAUCGCCACCGCACGCUCGACAAGGGCGCCCUCCACAGCCACCAGCUCUGCUUGGGCCUCUAACCAGAACACGGCCAGCCGGCCCAGGUCCAGCCCCGGAUACCACCCCUUGACGAAUUCCAAGGCCCGGCGCGCUCCGUCCCGGGCCGAGGAACCCUUCCAAGGUUCAAGACGGCCAGCUGUGACCUCCAGCCAGUCGGCAGUCCGACUGGCGGUGCGCAGAGCCGGCAUGUCUGGCCACAGAGCGGCAACCUCCUGGGCGCCGGCACGCUGAAGCCGGCGCAUCAACCGAUGGGCCGGACAAAGACGGGCCUCGAUGCUCAGAAGCUGCUCGUCGACAGUCAGGGGGGCGUUAGCGGCGAUCUCCGCGCCGCUUGCCCUCCGUGCCUCGCGAUCAGCCUCGAUGGCCUGAGUGACUGCCUGCGAGUGGCCAGGGAAGAAGUCUGCCAAGACAAAAAAGAAGCAAGUCAAAAAAUCAGAAGUCAGCCCGACCUAUAGUCGGAAGCUCAAAGAAAGAAAGGAAGAAAAGAAACUCACCGUCGACGAUGUCCUUGAUCUCAUGGAAGCCGGAGGUCAGCAUCGCCUCCUUGUCAGUCCAGGAGGAGCGCUCGCUCUCGAACUCGGCCAGGAGAGCAGCCUCCUUCUUCUCGGCCUCGUCCUGUGCCUUCUUAAGCAGCUCCUUCUGCUCGGCCAGCUGCGCAGCCAGCAGGUCGCGCUCUGUGGCAAGCUUGCUGCACUCCUCCCCCUUGACGCGCAAGGCGGUGUUGACUUCGCCCAGCUGCUCCUGAAGAGUGGCGUUGGCCCCUGAAGAACGAAAGAAAGAGACGUUAAGUCGUCAGCAAAGAAGGUCGCCGGAAAGAUCCGGCCCGACUGCUCAACAGUCGGCCCGAAUCUCGGGGACUACAGCCCGCGGGUGCGCCAGCGCGCCCCCGCGAAGAAGAAGAAGAACAAAGAAAGAGACAUUAAAGUCGUCAAGAAAAGAAGGCCGCUGGGAAGAUCCGGCCCGACUGCUCAGUAGUCGGCCCGAAUCUCAGGGACUACAGCCCGCGGGUGCGCCAGCGCGCCCCCGCGAAGAAGAAGAGGAACUCACUCCGGCUCUCCAUCAAGUCGGCAAUCCGCUUGCUCAACUCCUCAACGUUGCGGUUGAAGGCAGUGGCGCGGAGGUUGUGAUACUCCUGUAAUAAACAUUUCAGACAAAGAUAAAUACUUGGAACUCGCCAGAGGGAGUUCUGAACCGCCUGCUCAGCAGCUGGCCCGAAACUCGGGGACUACACCCAGUGGGUGCGCUAGCGCGCCCCCAUAGAGAAGAGCAAGAAAGACAAGAAUCAAAGAAAAAGCAUACCCGGACGGCCGCUUGCGACGCCAGAUGCGCCUUGGUGCAGUUCUGGAGAGCGUCGCCCUCGGCUCGCAGCUUCGCCUGGACGUCCAGAAGCGCCUGGUACAGCGGACCUGUGCCGCCUCCACGCACCCACCCAACGGGCGCGGCGCUCGUCGCCAUGGCGUGUGGGAUGGCCGAGCUGGCGGCACCGACCUCCAAGGGCCGCGGCGCCGAAGUCACCUUCUCAAGACGGCGGCGCGCUGGCGAGGCGACUUGAAGGAGCAGCGUCACCACGGCCUCGUCUUCAGUCGGCGGCACCGGCGGGCCCGCCGGCUGUUUUCCACGCGCGCUCCUAGACGGCGGCGGAGGCGGCGGUGGCGGCACGAGCGUGUACGACAUGGAGGCCUUGCCGCUUUCCUUCUUCGCGAUGGGGUUCUCGGCGCCGGCUUCUCCAGUCUGCCCCAUGAACUCCGGAGGCGGCGGUGUGGACGACAGGGGGAGGACGUGCAACACCGAUUGGCGGCGCGUGGCCUCCUCAGCUCGCCAUCUGGCCGCGAUGGCGGCUUCGGCCUCUUCCAGCUUCUUCUGGGAAGAGGCCGCCGCCAUCUUAGCCUCCGCCUUCUCCAGGCGGUCGGCCUCCUCCUCAUCGCGCCUCUCCCGCGCGUUUCGCUCCGUCGCCUCCCAGAGGUCGGCGGCGGGGUCGACCCGCCGGGUGUUGGCGGACAUCUCUGCCGAGCCCAUGACGGAGGGGACGGCGACCCUCUCAAGGAGACUAGCGGUGGCCUCUUCACUUCCUUACAAAAGCGGUUGGCCUUCGCGGCCGCCUCCUCCCGCUUGGUCGCGGCGGCCGCCCCCUUGAACUUCUUUGGCUUGCCGCCGAGCGAACUCGGCCCGGCGUGGCGCCUCUUCACGCCGCCUUGGCCGGCCAAGCCGGCGGAGGAACCCGCGCCCGAUGGGACGACCCUUGGCUGGUGGCGCGGGACGACUUCCCCUUCGGCGUCGUCUUCAGACCAGUCGGUGAAGGUGGCCGAGGGCCUGAGGCCGCUUCCCGCUCCUCCUCCGCCGCCUUCGAUGUCGGCCUCCAUCGCCGCCGCCCCCAAGUCAGGGUCGUCAACGUCGCUCUCCGCUCGGUCGGGGACGAACUCGUGGGGCGGUCUUGCGACACCGGCUACGGGCUGAAUGAGGGGGUUCUAACUCAGAGAAACCAAUGAAAAUCAGAAGUCAGAUUCGGCUAUAAAGAAGACAAAGCAAUAAAGAGAUGUGACUUACCACUGGAGGGGGGUUGGCACGCGAGUACGGCUCCUUGCCGAACUGCCAAUCCUCCCCGAGCUCGCAGUUCGCGAUGUGGUUCACCAUGUUUGCCACCUCUGCACGGGGCAUUUCCCUGGUGCACAUCCGACUCGGGUCCCGGUGGUCGCUCAUCUGACUGAUUAGAUGAGUCCGGCCUUGGAGCGGGAGGACUCGGCGUGCCACGAAGGCGGCUAGCAAGUCGGCCCCAACGAGGCCCUCCGACUGCGUCAGAACUCGGAGUCGCGCUACGGCGGCGGCUCCGGCGGGAGUCAGCGUCUUGACUCGAUGAGACCAGCUGGGGAGCCUACUAGCCGGUGUGCCGGCUUCAUAAGGCGGCAGAUUGACCCAGUCGCCGUCGGGGGCGACGUUCUUCAUGUGGAAGUACGACCGCUACCACAUCUUCACCGACUUGAUCAGCGGGAUGGAGGGAAACAGAUUGUCGGCCGUCGAUCGCCGCAUCGCGAUGAAGGCGCCGCAUUGAGCCGGCACGCCGGCGACGUGCGUGCCGAGCUUGGAUGAGAAGAAUUCUCCCCACAGCUUGAUGGUGGGGAGAACGCCGAGAAAGCCUUCGCACAGGGUGGCGAAGGCAGCCAACAACACCACCGUGUUCGGGGUGAGGUGGUGCGGCUGGAGCCCGUGGAACUCCAAGAAGGAGCGAAAGAAGCCGCUCGCCGGCAGCCCCAGGCCGCGCAUGAGGUGCGAGCGGAAGAUGACCCGCUCUCCUUCCUCCGGCGCCGGCGAUAUCUCCCUCGCCGGCGCGACGCGGGCUCGCACGAGGUGCGCGCCGGGGAGGCGGUGCGUCUUGCGGAGAAACUCGAUGAGGUCGACAUCUACCUCCGAGCCGUCCCACACGCCGGAGCGCAUGACAGAAGCCGCGGCGGCGGAGGAGGAGCUCCUCGCCGUUGGCACGGUGUGGUUCUGCACGACGGCGGCAAAGAAGAAGAGCAGAGGAGGCAAGAGGAGGCGGGGGAGCAAGGAAGAUGGGCGCGCGUGCUUUGCCGCUCCACUUCUCCCGCCUACUUAUAGCCUUGUAGGCUGAGAAGCCGAUGGGGCGGGCGUGGGAUUAACUGCGCACGGGACCCCACGCCUCCCACCGAUUUACCCCAUGAAGUUACUGCGCGCAGUAACAACGUGGGAAACCCAACCGUCCGCACGGCCGCAACGGAUCCGUUUGCAUGGGUAGGCAGACUGUCCUUGCCGCGUGGCGCCGCGUGACACGACCGCGGCGGGCGGCUACGGGGAAGCGUAUCAGGCACGCCGCCUAAUCUCCCGCCACGACUGUCGAACUCUUUACGGAGCAAGACAGCUCCCUGCGAAUCCGACUCUGGAUAGUCGGCCUGAAGGAAGACGGGAAGCGAAGCCUAGAUUCCACUGCCAGAAGAAUGAAACUAUUGAGGCCCCAAAACGUAUCACUCUCGGAGCCUCACCAGCUUCGGGGACUACUGUCGGAGUAAUGGGCCACGGGUAGGCUAACCCGAGCCCCAGAGCCUUUCAAGGCAUCGGGGCAGACUGCGCCCCUUAAGCCGAGUCCCAGGCAGCGACUCCAAGAUGAGCCGAGUCCCAAGCAGCGACUCCAAGAUGAGCCGAGUCCCAGGCAGCGACUCCAAGAUAAACCGAGUCCGAGGCGGCGACUCCAAGAUAAGCCGACUCAUGGCCGGUGACUUCCAGAGAAGCCGACUUUAGAGAGUCGGCCUGCGAUUCCACCCGUCACCUACCUUCGCCAUGAUAGGCGAGGCGGGGUACGGUCACGGCGUGGCCGUCACCCCCUGCUUACGAGGAGCUGGCAUGGCUACAUUAUGUCGUAUCGCUGGAGAUCUCCAGCAUGGCGCGACACUGUUGCGAUGCCUGCCCUGACUUCAGCCACAGUGGCGGCGCACUGUGGCCACGACGGCCUACCUGUACGACCCAGAGACGGCGGGACCCGCCCAUCAGCGAGAGAAUAGAAGACGGCUGGGUGCACCCCGAAGACGGACCCGUGGGAGUCGGCUCCCCUGGAGUCGGCCGGCCCUUCCCACGGGCCCCACACGCCAUCAACCAGACAAGACGGAGAAUGGCGACAGUGACCGUCCGAUAGACGGCGGCACUGUUGCCACGACCCCAUGACCAAGCCUGCGUCAUUAGAAGCACGACUACAGUAUCGGACCCGUCGGCGGGGCCCACCAGUCGGCGGGCCCCAGCAGUCGGCGGAGAAGACGGCGGCCUGUGAGACAGACGGCUGGGACCCGCGCCCAGCCGGAUUACCAUUGUACCCCCGGGGGGUAGGCGUAUAUAAACCCCCCGGGGCACCCAUGCAAAGGGUUCGGAUCCAUUAGCACUAGACUAGAUCAUACAGGGAGGAGAGAGUUAGCCUUGCCUUCUCCUACCUCCAGAAUACAGCUCUAGGAGCAACCUUGUACUCACUUUGCCUUAGUGAUCAUGCGGAGACCCCGCAGAGCAGCAGUAGGGGUGUUAUCUCCCCGGAGAGCCCCGAAGCUGUGUAAGAUCGGCCGGCGUGCAUGUCUUCGCGUCAUCCUGUUUCCUGGCACCGGCGACGUUCUACUCGCUCGCACCAUGAUAAGCCAUCCUUUGGCAUAUGUCGCACCCAACCCCCGACAAGCAUGUGUGUCUUUUGCUCUCGCCUUCUCCUCAAAAUCAAGAGUGCUAAUGAGAUCCAAAAUAGAAAACUCAUGUCUCUUGUUUUUCAGAGAAGUAGCAAAAUCGUUCCACGAAGGUGGAAGCUUGGCAAUGAUGGUCCCAGCAACAAAUUUGUCCAGCAACACACACUUAAAGUACUCAAGUUCCUUAGAGAGUGACUGUAUCUCAUGAGUCUGCUGAACAACAGAGCGCUCAUCAGUCAUCUUGUAGUCACAGAAUUGCUCCAUGAUGUACAACUCAUUGCUAGCACCCGAGGGCCCAAACGUGGCCUCGAGCGCAACCCACAUGUCUUUGCCGCUGUCAAACAACAUAUAUGAAUCCACAAUGGAAUCGUCAAGAACACUCAACAUGGCGGCUUUGAAGAGGGUAUCCAUGUUCUGAAAAUCUUCCUGCUGUGUAGGAUUAAGAUCGCCCUCAGACUUACCCUUAGUGGCAUCAUAGCAGUACAUGAUCUGAAACCAAUAUACUGCUCUUGUGCGCCACCUUUUAUAUUGCACCCCCUUAAAAGUAGGCGGCUUCAAAAGCGCAGCAAAACCACUCGGAGUAAAUUGCCUGUAAUCAGGUUUUUGGAUUGGAUAGUUGAAUAUAUGAGCAAUUUAGUAUGGGAUUUAAUCCGAAUCAGCAGUAAAUAGAUCAUGACGACAAUUGCAAACAUCAAAGUAAUGAUGCGGACUAAACUAGGAGGACAUAAUCACAUACUGUAUAGUGGGAGCAGAACCGAUGUGGUUGAUGUUGUCACUCAUGUCGUUGAUGAAGGGGUUACCGAGGUCGGGGAAGAAGGCUGUCGUUGAGGAAGUCGUCACUGGCAGCAGUCACAGGAGUGUGCUCCCCAAAAACCUGAUCGCCCCUCUCCCGUACAGGAUCACGAAAGGCGACUUUCGGUGGACUGCUGUCCCUUCUCGCGGUGCACGCCGGAAGGAGGGCUGGAGAAGAAUUGCGUGGCGGCACUAAGAUCUGGAAAGGUGCAAAACCAUAUGAUACAACGGCGGCUAGGGUAGAGCAUGUCAGGUCGGUCGUGCGAGUAUAAUAGUAGGCCUUUGGCCCCCAAACCCCACGUCCAAGUCAAUAAUAGCUCAAAAAAAGUCAAUAAUAGCCCCACCAAGGUUUGUCUCAAAAAAACAAAGUAAUUAAGGCGUCCGUUAGUCCCUUUAUUAUAAAUACUAUAUCAUUAAUAAUGGCCCCACCUUUUGUCUCACAAAGUAUGUUGGAGUACAACUAGCUACACGUUUACAAUCCGCUUCUCUUCUCUCUCCUCUUCUCUCUCCUUCAACUAAGCACAAAUACUAUAUUUAAAUCCUUAUAGUCUGCUUAUGCAAUCUAAUUGUAGUACUUGCUCUAAAGUUACUCUCCACUGUGUAGUCUGAAAUGCCGAGCGUGCAGCGGGCGAUUCCCUCGGCCGGCGCGCCGCUUCAACAGCGGAAGUAGAGAGAGGUCACGUUGCCCUGACUUGCCAUCAAUGUGGAGUAGCGGGCUCAGCUGGCGCCGGGUGGGAAGCACGCGUGGGAGGGGGGAGGUUUUUUUGUUGGGCCAAGAAGGUGAGAAGCCAACUUGGGACCGGUCCGGACGGGGAAAUAUCAUGUGCUCCCAUACUCUGCAUAUGACACUGGUCUAUGUUACUACUCCCUCCUUUCCGGUUUAUAGAGAUGUUUAGAGUAACAUAGUAAUAUGUUACAAUAUAAGUUACUCCCCACUAUGACCAGCCUUGGCAUCUCCCAGUGCUCCACCAUGUAUAGCUGCUAAGCCUGCCACGUAGGCAUAAAAUACGAUGUGGCACCAAUAAACUAAGCACCUAUGCAUUGAAGACUUGAGUUACUAAGCCAUUUAAUGCACUUAGCACCUCAUCUAAAGAGCAUGGUUAAUAGUAUAUCCAGCUGCUGGCUAUAAGCCAGUGCCAUGUCAUCUACAACCCAUCUUAUAGUCAACAUGUACAAUAGUAGAUCAAAAGAGUGUACUACUUUUUUUAUUAUGUGGCCCACCUUUCAUUCUCACAAAGUGCCUAGGAGCAUGUGCUAGAGCUGGCUCUUCACGAAGAGCCCGCUUACCUUCUCUCUCCUCUUCUCUUUCCUCCAACUAAGUAGAAAUAUACUAGUUUAUUCCUUAUAACCCGCUGACUCAACUCUAUUGUACUUGCUCUAAGCACAUCUAAGCACUCACUAGCACCACCUUGAUCGUGGACCUUGACGGUGUACGUCACCUUGUGUCUCAUAAUUUUCCUCGUCAUCAUCUGAGUACUAGAAGAUCUCACCCACAUCAUCAUUAGCAUACAGCCGCCUUGAUAGACAACAUGCACAGAAGGAGUAGAGGCGACUGGGGACGCACCACCACCACAUCGUGGGCACUCUGUAUGUGCUCGUGUGCGUGCAACAUGCAUGUUUUUCCAUCGGUGCUAGCUAUAAGGCCGAGGCUGCGGUCGUCUUCGUCUCCGACUAGUAGUUGAGCAACGACGGCAAAGAGGUGCUGCAAGAGAUGCGUAUGCGCCGUUGCGUGCGAGCUUCGCCGUAGCACGAUGAACCGGAUGUCGCCGCGGAUGGCGCAUGCCUCCAUGCAGCCGAGUGUGUGCGCAUGCAUGUGUUAUUCACAUGCAUUCUGCGGCCGAGCGUGUGUGCAUGCACGUGUUGUGUACGUGCGUUGUGUGCUCCAUGCUGUGCGCGUAUGUGCAUGAGUUGGAUCGGAUGGAGUUAGUGUGUUGGCUUGUGUACAUGCGUGGCUGCAUGCGUCCUAUACAUGCGUUGCUUGUUGCGUGGUUAUCAAUAAUUCAAUAUAAACUACUCCCUCCGUUCCUAAAUAUAAGUCUUUCUAGUCAUUUCAAAUAGAUUACAACAUAUGGAUGUAUGUAGACAUAUUUUUGAGUGUAGAUUCACUUAUUUUGUUUCGUAUGUAGUCCCUUAUUGAAAUCUCUAAAAAGACUUAUAUUUGGGAACGGAGGGAGUAUAAAACAUCUUCAACUUAGCAUCCUGAUGUACCGUUUCUAGUGGUUAGCGAAAAAUUCAUGUUCUUUUAUUUGUUUAUAGGUGGGCAGGCAGCAAAAAACAGGGGAAAACGCGCAAGGUUCCUUGCAGACGCUCCACCGCGAGGUUCCUUGCUCCUUCUCGGUCGUCGGGAAUCUAUGCUCUUCAACUCUUUUCUUUUACGUGAGCUUUGUUCAUCCUUUUCCCAACACAUGAGACAUCUAGCAUCAAGGUGCACGUGUCAUGCAAGAAAAUGGAGAUAAUCAGAUAAGCAAUGCGUAAGUGAGUCAUGCGGGGGGAAAAGCGGGGGGGGGGACCCUUUUUCGUAAGUGGGUCGUGCACUUCGAUGGCACCUACGCAAUAUUUUUUCUCCUCGAUGGCACGUGAAUAGUGCACGUACUCAACGACGGAGCACAGGAUGGUAGCAAUGACAUGGUCAGCCCUCUUUUGGAGAGACUACGUACUACUAGUAAAUAAAUUCGAUGUGUCCUGUCAACUCGCAGAACGACGAGAAGCUUGAUUAUGCCUUCUCCCUCGCCAACGCGUGCGCGGUGGCUCGCAGCACGAGGAGAAACUUUUGCUUACAAGCGGUGGACGUGCAACAGUUCAUUUGGUGUCAGAUUGCCAGAAGCACUACUGUAGAACCAUCGACUUCCGGAAGAGGUGAAGAGCCAAGUGCAAGGUCACCUACUAACCUUAGGCUAGGUGUAGUGGGAAUAACAUAAGUAGGGGUACCUUCUUUUUUUAUUCUAGAAACAACCACAUGCGAAUAUCAAGGUGCUGGUUACGUAGAACAAAUUUCCUGGAAUCCGUGCUCAGCCCUCCUCUAUCUCUCUUCUCAGCCAGCCAGCGGACGUGUGGAGCCCAUUGUUUGUUUGCUCACAUGCGGUCCCACAUGUCAGUGAAAACGAAAGAGGACCCACAGAACCUGCACAUCUUUCACCUCGGUGUGCUGGUGAUAAAAAACAAAUCGAAAUAAAGAUCUUCGGUGGCUGCUUUUGGAGUUACUCAAGAGUAGUAAGAUUCUAUUUAUAGUUUAACCCAAGAUGCACAUCACGUGGCUUCAUCUACCACUCUAUUUUCUUGCAUGACACGACCUAGAUGCUGGAUGUCCCACGUGUCGGCAAAAGGAGGAAGAGCCCGACCAAAUCUUCGGUUGUGCUCUCGGAUUAGACUAGUUGUGCUAACUUAAAAAAUUUAUUGUGUACUCCCUCCGUUCCAAAAUACUUGACUUCCAUUUGUCCAAAAAUGGAUGUACCUAUAUACUAAAACAUGUCUAGAUACAUCUAUAUUUUGACAAAUAGAAGGCAUGUAUUGUGGAACGGAGGGAGUAGAAUGGAUGCAAGUUUUGGUAUUAGGAAGAAGAGUACAUCCAUAUAUUGAUAGAGCGUUGGAGUUGGCCUUACAAGUGGGACCACAGUUGAGGAAACCGACUAUUGGCAAACCCCCACCUCGCCCGCCGCGCGAUGGCUGAGUUAGAGAAACGAUGAGGUUGAAGAGAUUGCUCUAGUACGGACUCCAAGAAAUAUGGUGUCAGAUGGAAGUCGUGCUGGUGGCGUGUGCCGUACUCCUGGACGUGAAUGCUUGUUCUGGCGCAUGCCACCCUACUACUCCUACUACUUACUAUAUAGUACUAGUAUCGAGGAUUCGAGCUGCUGGUUACGUAUAGUAUGGCUACAGUAAAAACACCCACCCAAUGCGCGAAGCAUGUGAAGCUAGUACAAAUAGUGUACUACUAUUGUUGAUUGGCCUCAUCUGAUAACCUGUUGCAAUGCACGUACAAUUAUGUAUUCAGAAAAUAUUUUUUUGCCUCAUCGCACCACUCACUCAGAGAAGCGACUCGAAAGCCAUUCAUAAAUUUAGUUAGUUUAUCACAAGCAUAUCAUUUUAUUACAUACAAUAGGUCAUCAACCCACAUCGACAACGAGGAUACGUUAUAAAUACUAAAGUUUUCAUCACACAACAAAUAACAAGCAAUGAAAUGAACUUCAAAUCAACCAAUCCUCAGCGUUGGAAACACUUGCUUUGAACCACAAGUGAUUCUCUGGGACGGGCCAUCUAUUGUCGAUCUCGAGACCAACGCAGGACUGAUCAUCCAUGCUGAAGUGGCCUACUAUAUCAGUACCAGGGUAGGGAACCACCCAAAUGUCCGAGGUAUAGACACAGUUGCUUCUCAUAAAUGGUACUAGAAACAUUGUGUCAACAACAGUUGGAUCGCCUUUCACCAUCAUCGGAUAGUUUUGUCCAAGGAAGAGCGAGUUUUCUGCAAGACUAUCAAUUCUGUACCAGGGAGAAGGUGUUGGCGCUAGCACACUAGUAUCCAUCCUGAAUACCAUGCAAUGGGUGUUGGAAUAGGUCCGGAGAGUGCGACCAUGGGAUACUACACGUGCUCCCUUAGUAGUAACAAACUCAGUGCGCUGUAUACACACAAGAAGAGGUGAUCCAUCGGAAUUAGUUGCCAGGCGCCACUGAGUAUAUACAUUUUGCUCGUCCUCAUGCUCAUGAUCAUCACCAUCGUUAUCUCCCCCUUGGUUAUAAAAAUUUUCAAGUAUAGGUGGUGGAAUGUUCACAGGACCUUGGAAACACAAGAAGAAGGUUAAUUAGUAAAGGGAAACUUGCUAACCCGAUGAAACAAUUAUAAUUAUGGUGGAAGACAAACAUACUGAAAGUAUAAGGAUUCCAUGCAAAAACAGUGCCACGAGUAGUGGCAGCAAACACAAGGCCCAUCGUAUUGAAUUGCAUCACAGUACACAUUCAUGUAUAGAAACUAAUUUUUGAGCAAUAUCCAUCCAGUCGAACCACGAAGGACGGCAACAAGCUUGUCGAAGAUAGCAACAACUUCAUAGUUGUUUUAAUUCCAAGAGCGGUUGGGAACUCAACAAAUUGCUAUCUUCCGUAGAAGACAGUCACCAUGAUCGUAUUUGAACGUGCGUACAAUAUCGGUGUGCUCAACCUCUGGGCAGUCUGUUGAGAUUUUUGGAAGUGGAACCCGGUCACGAGUGUACACAUUCACAAGUUCCCACUCACAAUUAGACCCAACGUAAACAACCCAAUCUCCAUUUGCGCCUACCCAAUCCUUGCCCUCAAGCGAUGGCAUCUUAACAUCAUAUGUAUCAUUAUCAAGCGGCAUCAGCUUGCACAAGGCGAGGCCUCCGUCGUCCCCGCACCAGUAGUCAUCAGGGUCACGACGAAGAAGAUAGGGGAGAUCAAACCGCUCCUUGACUCUUGGGUUCCUUGUAAUGAUGUUAUUAGUUGAGUCGAGAAUGGGCUUGAACGAACCUAUCAUGCUAGCCUAGGUGAUGACAUCGCACUGAUCAAUGAGUUCCUCCACCAUGUCAUCUUUCAGAUCGGGGAAAGAAUAAUGGGGUCGUUUUCGGCCUGUUCCCUCCAUGGAGAAGACAAUCAAACAAUGGCAGAAGGAAGGGUGAAGGGCUAAAGGAAAAUGGAGGAGGGAGAGGAAGAGCGUGCGACAGCAGUUCCAAAUCGAGAGGGAAAGGCAAAGAGUCGGUGGACGGUUGCCUAGUUUGCCAUGGUUCACGAAGAGGCGGCCUACACGUCUGUUCGGGAAUACUAGUAGAAAAGGACUCGCCGUCGUCUCACUGAUAUGUUGGAACGGUGAAAGCACAAGUGCUCCCUAGGUGGUUUUGGUAAUUAAUAUCAACAUAUCUCUUGUUGGACUAACACUUUUAUCUAGUAUGUUUCAGAUAAGUUCAACAAUGGAGUGGCAUGGACUAAAGGAUGUGGGAACUCCUUCAAGAUGCUAAGGACAAAGGAUUGGCUCAAGCUUCAAGCUCUAGACUCUUCAUUUUACAUUUUAGUGAUCCCAAAUCACAUUGAGUCUAUAGGAAAAGCCAAUACUAUCAAGGAGGGAUGAGGUGUUGCUUAAUGAGCCUCUUGCUUCAAGUGCUUAGUGAUAUGCUCCAAAUACCCUCAACUACUUUCCCACUUCCACACAUAUGACCUAAACCUAAAGUCAAACUCGGUCACACCGAUUCUUCCUAUCCGGCGCCACCGAGUUCAGUUGUCAUAGCCACUGCCAGAAACCCUAGGCAAAUCGGUCUCACCGAUAGGGAUCUCGGUCUCACCGAGAUGGGAUUGUAAUCUCUCUGUGUAUGUCCAUUAUCAAAAUCGGUCUCAUCGAGUUUGAGCAAUCAGUACUACCGAGAUUACAAUGCAAACUCUCUGGUUAACUUAUUAUCAAAAUCGAUCCCACCGAGUUUGAGUAAUCGGUCCCAUCGAGUUUGCCUGACCAACUCUCUGGUUAGCUAAUUACCAAAAUCGGCCUCACCGAGUUUGUGUAAUCGGUCUCACUGAGAUUAUGUUAUGCCCUAACCCUAACCAUAUCGGUUUUACCGAGUUGCAUUUUGGUCCCAUCGAAAAUCCUAACGGUCACUAGGUUUACUACAUCGGUCCAACCGAGUUUGAUGAUUCGGUCCCACCGAGUUUGGUAAAUUGUGUGUAAUGGUUAGAUUUUGUGUGGAGGCUAUGUAUACCCCUCCACCUCCUCUUCAUUCGUGGAGAGAGCCAUCAGACUGAACCUACACUUCCAGCAUCCUAUCUCUGAGUGAGAACUACCUACUCAUGUGUUGAGGCCCAGAUAUUCCAUUCCUACCAUAUGAAUCUUGAUCUCUAGCCCUCCCAAGUUGCUUUCCACCCAAAUCUUCUUUCCACCAGAUCCAAAACCUAUGAGAGAGAGUUGAGUGUUGGGGAGACUGUCAUUUGAAGCACAAGAGCAAGGAGUUCAUCAUCAAUGCACCAUUUGUUACUUCUUGGAGAAUGGUGUCUCCUAGAUUGGCUAGGUGUCACUUGGGAGCCUCCGACAAGAUUGUGGAGUUGAACCAAGGAGUUUGUAAGGGCAAGGAGAUCGCCUACUUCGUGAAGAUCUACCGCUAGUGAGGCAAGUCCUUCGUGGGCGACGGCCAUGGUGGGAUAGACAAGGUUGCUUAUUCGUGGACCCUUCGUGGGUGGAGCCCUCCGUGGACUCGCGCAACCGUUACCCUUCGUGGGUUGAAGUCUCCAUCAACGUGGAUGUACGAUAGCACCACCUAUCGGAACCACGCCAAAAACAUCCGUGUCUCCAAUUGCGUUUGAAUCCUCCAAAACCCUUCCCUUUACAUUCUUUCAAGUUGCAUGCUUUACUUUCCGCUGCUCAUAUACUCUUUGCAUGCUUGCUUGCUAUAUGUUGUGAAUGCUAAACUUGUGGCUAAACUCCACUUAAACUUUAAGAACUUAAAAACUGCAACUUUGGUACUUAGUGUCUAAUCACCCCCCUCUAGAUACCUCUUCUCAAGGUCCUACAAGUGGUAUUAGAGCUUUAGUCUCCAUUGCCUUGGUUUAAUCACCAUUGGAGGAAGAUGGAUGAGUCUACUUUGGGGAGUCUUAGACAUAGAGUGCCUAUUCUUGAUGGAGAGUAUUUUCAUGAGUGGAAAAAUGAGAUGCUUGUAAUUUUCAAUCAAUAUCAUUUGAACAAGUACAUUGCUAGCCCUUGCGCACCUCAUGUUGAUCCUAUGCAUCCUACCCUUGAUGAGUCAAUUGACAUGGUUAGGAAUCUUAGAUCUGCCGAACUUAUUAUUAGAGGAUUGCCUAGAAACUUGAUUGGAUGUUUGCCUACUCUUGAGUGUGCCUACACUAUAUGGAAAUUUCUUGAGGAACGAUUUCCAGAUUAUUCCUUGAAAAAUCUUGAUGAAAUUCUCCAUAAGUCUAUUGCUUUGAGUAAGAUGAAUACUAGUGAUCCUAUGUUUGGUGAUCGUCUAUUUGAACUUACAAACCUUAUGCGUGCCAAAGGAGGUGUUGGAAUUAUUAGUGAUAUUGUUUCCGAAGCUAUAAAAAUUCAUAAGCAAGAUCAUUGUCAAACUCACUCUAACGAAUCACCCUCUCUAGGAUUUGAUCCACCACAUGACGAUGUUGAACAUGGAUACUAUGAUGAGGAUGAUGAUAGUGACUUCGAUCUUGAUGAUGCAAUGAGACAUUUUGGUCUUAUGGCAAAUCUUCGGGGAUAUAUGUCAGGAGGAAAGGAAUGGGUUCUUGAUAGUGGAUGUACCGAUCACAUGACCGGAGAUAAAGACAUGUUUCGUGAGCUUGCUGAAAAUGAUAGUCCUCGAAAGUCUGUCACUUUCGAUGACAACUCAAAGGGUAAGGUGGUUGGCCUUGGUAAGGUGGCCAUAUCACAUGAUAGCUCCAUACAAAAUGUUAUGCUCGUUGAAUCUCUUGGAUACAACCUACUUUCAGUAUCUAGACUUGCUGAUUUCGGUUUCAAUGUCCUAUUUACUGAAGUAGAUUGCCAAGUGUUUCGUCGAGACAAUUAUAAAAUGGUCUUUACCGGUGUACGUAGAGGUGAUCUAUACAUUGUUGAUUUCACUAAAAAGGCUCAACCUAAAACUUGCUUCAUUGCUAAAUCCUCAAAAGGUUGGUUAUGGCAUAGACGAUUAGGUCAUGUUGGUAUGCGAAACCUUGACAAGCUUAUUAAGGGAAAUCAUAUCCUUGGAGUUAAUGAUGUCAUAUUUGAUAAGUAUAGACUUUGCAGUGCUUGUCAAGCAGGUAAACAGGUUGGCGGAAGGCAUCCCGUGAAGAACAUUAUGACCACAAGGAGGCCACUCGAGCUACUUCAUAUGGAUCUCUUUGGUCCUAACUCCUACAAGAGUCUCGGUGGAAAUUCUUUUGGUCUAGUUAUAGUUGAUGAUUUUUCAAGAUUUCGUGGGUGUUCUUUCUCGAUGAUAAAUCGCAGGUUCAAAAGAUCUUCAAAAAUUUCGCUAGGAAGGCCCAAAAUAAAUUUGAAGUGAAGAUCAAGAAGGUUCGCAGCGACAACAGAACGAAAUUCAAGAACGCAAAUGUGGACACCUUUCUUGACGAAGAAGGGAUUUCACACGAGUUCUCGGCUACAUACACACCUCAACAAAAUGGAGUUGUUGAGAGGAAGAACCGGACGCUCAUCGAAAUGGUGAGAAAGAUGCUUGAUGAGUACAAGACGCCGAAGCACAUUUGGGCAGAAGCGGUUGAGACAGCUUGUCAUGCAACAAAUCGCUUGUAUAUUCACAAGCUACUCGGCAAGACGGCAUAUGAGCUCCUCACCGGUAACAAACCCCAAGUUGGAUACUUUCGAGUAUUUGGCUCAAAGUGCUACAUUCUUGAUAAGCAUCGUUGUUCUAAAUUUGCUCCUAAGUCUCAUGUAGGUUUCCUACUAGGUUAUGGCUCAAACUCUAACACAUACCGUGUCUACAACAAUUUCACCCAAAAGGUUGAAGAGACGGUAGAUGUGAAGUUUGAUGAAUCUAACGGCUUGCAAGUAGAGCAAUUGCCAAUUGAUGUAGGAGACAAAGAUCCUUCGGAAGCAAUCCAAGACUUGUCUAUUGGCAAGGUCCGUCCAACGGAGGUGAAGGAGAGUACCUCGUCCAUCCAAGUGGAAGCUUGUACUUCACGACAAGGUGAACCAAGAGUUGAUACGGAAGCAUCCACAAGUGGGACACACCAAGAUGAAGAAAACGAGGAAGUGCAUCAAGAUGAACGUCAACAACCUCCUUCUCCACCAUGACAAGAGAACGACAAUGCCAAAAAUGAAGAAGGCCAAGAAGAAGGAGAAGAUGAAGAAGAAGUUCAACCAAGAUCCAAGCAAAAACUUUCACGAGUUCGAGCAAGAAUUGCUAAAGACUAUCCCGUCGAGCAAAUCUACAAUGAUAUUCAAACCGGGAGAAUCACUCGCUCUUAAACUCGUUUAGCUAACUUUUGUGAAAACUAUUCUUUCAUCUCUAGCAUUGAACCUAUGAAGGUCGAAGAAGCAUUGGAAGAUCCGGAUUGGAUAAAUGCUAUGCAUGAAGAGCUACACAACUUUGAGAGGAACCAAGUUUGGACAUUGGUUGAGAAGCCCGACAACAACCACAACAUCAUCGGUACCAAAUGGGUGUUUCGCAACAAGCAAGAUGAAGAUGGACAAGUAGUUCGCAACAAAGCACGUCUCGUUGCCCAAGGUUACACACAAGUCGAAGGUAUGGACUAUGGUGAGACUUAUGCUCCUGUUGCUAGACUUGAGUCCAUUCGCAUCUUACUUGCCUAUGCUAAUCACCAUGAUAUCACCUUGUACCAAAUGGACAUUAAAAGUGCUUUUCUAAAUGGUGAAAUAGAGGAGGAAGUUUAUGUUAAACAACCCCCCGGCUUUAUCAAUUCUAAGAAACCCAAUCAUGUUUACAAACUUCACAAAGCUCUUUAUGGUCUUAAACAAGCUCCUAGAACAUGGUAUAAAUUCUUGACCAAGUUCCUUAUUGAAAAAGGCUUUGAAAUUGGGAAAAUUGAUUCCACACUUUUUACUAAAAGGGUUAAUGGAGAACUCUUUGUGUGCCAAAUCUAUGUUGAUGAUAUUAUAUUUGGUUCAGCUAAUCCUCAUUUUAGUGAAAAGUUUGGGAAGCUAAUGUCGGAGAAGUUUGAGAUGUCUAUGAUGAGUGAACUUAAAUUCUUUCUUGGGUUGCAAAUCAAGCAAACUAAGGAAGGUACUUUUGUCUCUCAAACCAAGUACACCAAGGACUUAUUCAAGAAGUUCAAUAUGCAAGAAUGCAAAGGUAUGACUACACCCAUGCCUACUAGUGGACAUCUUGACUUAACCAAAGAUGAUGAACCGGUUGAUGAAAAGGUUUAUCGCUCUAUGAUUGGUUCAUUGUUAUAUCUAUGUGCUUCACAUCCCGAUAUUAUGCUAAGUGUGUGCAUGUGUGCACGAUAUCAAGUUGCUCCUAAAGAAUGUCAUCUUAAGGCCGUGAAAAGGAUAGUGAGAUACUUAAUCCAUACACCAAAUUUUGGCAUUUGGUAUCCUAAGAGGGCCUCUUUCGAUCUUGUUGGAUACUCCGACUCGGACUAUGCCGGAGACAAGGUUGAUAGAAAGUCCACUUCGGGUACUUGUCAAUUUCUUGGUAGAUCUCUUGUGUCUUGGUCCUCCAAGAAACAAAACUCGGUAUCCUUAUCCACCGCCGAAGCGGAAUACACUGCCGCUGGUUCAUGUUGUGCUCAAUUACGUUGGAUGACUCAAACUCUUAAAGAUUAUGGGAUAUAUGUGAAACAUGUUCCAUUGCUUUGUGACAAUUAAAGUGCUAUCAAAAUUGGUCAUAAUCCUGUGCAACAUUCUUGAACUAAGCAUAUUGAAGUUCGUCAUCAUUUCAUUCGAGAUCAUGUUGCUAAGGGUGACAUUGAUCUUAAGCAUGUUCGCACCGAAAGCAAUUAGCGGAUAUAUUCACUAAACCUCUUGAUGAGAAAGUGUUUUGCAGGUUAAGAGGAGAAUUGAACAUCAUUGAUGCUUCAAACUUGGAGUAGAAACUCCAUUGGAUACAUGCAAGACAUGAGCUUAUGACUAAUCCUUGAUAUUUCUCUUAUGAUCAAAAUCUUCUGUCUUGGAUAUAUUUGUAUCUUGCAUGUUAUCUAACCCAUGUAGGUACUUGGUUGAAUCAAAUUCCAUGAGAUUGUAACCUACUCAUAUCUUGAGCAAUCUCUACAUCACCAAGUCUCUACACUAUGGUGGUUGAAGACAAGGAAGCAUGGAACCAUUCAAACAUAUCCUUUGACAAAUUCUAUGUUGAGCUUCAUGAUUGUCAUUUUUGGAUACACAAGUGCUAUUCCUUGCAAGAACUAACCCAUGUAGGUAGAUGGACACAAAUUCCAAGUGGUGCUCCAAAUUCUUGAUAAGCUACAUCACCCUUGAGCAACCCACAUGAGUUCAACUACAUGGACAACACCAUCAACCAAGGUAUGUUAUUCCAUCUUAGAGAAGCUUUACUCCAAGUCAUGAGUUAAAGCACCUCGACAAGAUGUGAAUACAUCAAGAUGCUUAAACAAAAAAUGGCAACCCCAUUUUGAGCUUAAACGAUGAGUAUGACCUAUGAUCAAGUGAUCUCACUUGACUCCUAAGUCAAUAUACUCUAACAUAGGUGACCUUGUCGCCGACCAUCUCUAGAUGAAGUUCUCUUAUGUUCUCUUCUGUGUUUUUGCAUUCGUCUCAUGCAUAUUUGUUUCCCCUUUUUUUAAAAAAAACUUCAUCUAGAUUUCUUUCUAUUUGUUCUGCAUUUUUUGCAUCCAAUUCAUUGCAUAUCAUUCAGUUAAUUCCUUGCAAAUCCUCGUGAGAUAUUAUUAGUCUAGUGAGCUGAGGUGACAACUGUUUUCCCUGCAAUGAACUCGGUUCCACCGAUUUGUUAUUUUCGGUCCAACCGAAUACUUUCGGUACCACCGAAGCAUACCACUCUAUGCCACCGAUUUCACAACAGAAAAAACCAGUUUGCCACUUAUUCUGUGUUUCUUAUGAUCCAACUCCACUCAAUGAAUCUUGUCCUCUACAAGCAUCACAUUUUUUUUAUAUAAAUUCUUUGUGCUGUGACUCAAGGAUCAAACCCUUCUUGGAAAUUGAUGUCAAAGGGGGAGAGAGAGAUCACAUCAAAGCUUAUCACUUAAAGAGAUCACAUCAGAGAGAGAGAGAGUAUCACCUCCUCAGAGGGAGAGAGAGAUCCUUCAGGGGGAGAAAGAGAUCUCUAGGGGGAGAGAAUACUAGUAGAAAGUAUUUCUCAAGGAUCCCAGAUGCUUGGUGUUCAAGAGGAGAGAUGCCACAUGUAUUCUUGAGGGGAAAGACAUGUUCAUUCGUGCUCAUUUGCAUUAGCUCUGUUCAUUUAUAACUUUCAGCUCUGAUUUUCUAUUCCCUAUCUUCUCCCAGUAUCCCAUGCUAGAUUCAGGGGGAGCAAGACAUCUAAGUGAAAGAAAUCAUUUAAAUUCAUUGCAUAUCUUUACUCUUGGGGACAUGUCUAAUCCAAUGUAGUACUUAGUACUCACUCUCUACAUGUCAUCCCAAUCUUGGUAUUCUUGUGGUUUCUUCUGUUUGCUCUGGCUAGUAGAUGUAUCUGUGUUAUCUAACCUUGUUUACGCAGGUUCAUUCCAUCCUAAGCCAACUCAAGACUACAAGGUAAGUAUAUGCAUCACAAUCAUGUGUAUGAGGAAUUCUUGCUGAUGUACAUACUGUUUGCAAGAAGGACUCAUGUGCAUGAAGGUAUUCUCUUUAAUAUUCUUUGCUCUGAUGCAUAUGGCCAAGAUACAUGUAACACAUUGCCUGCUCUAUCAUGGUUAUGCUAUCACAUGCUUCUAUAUUUCAUAUUCACAUGAUUGCAUACAUGUAGGGGGAGCCUAUGCUUGUUACAUGUCUUUCCAAAGCUUUACUUGCUACUCUUUAUAUCUUUAUCGAAAGCUUUGAUGUAUGUUGUCAUGAAUUACCAAAAAGUGGGAGAUUGAAAGCACAAGUGCUCCCUAGGUGGUUUUGGUAAUUAAUGUCAACAUAUCUCUUGUUGGACUACCACUUUUAUCUAGUAUGUUUCAGAUAAGUUCAACAAUGGAGUGGCAUGGACUAAAGGAUGUGGGAACUCCUUCAAGAUGCUAAGGACAAAGGAUUGGCUCAAGCUUCAAGCUCAAGACUCUUCAUUUUACAUUUUAGUGAUCCAAGAUCACAUUGAGUCUAUAGGAAAAGCCAAUACUAUCAAGGAGGGAUGAGGUGUUUCUUAAUGAACCUCUUGCUUCAAGUGCUUAGUGAUAUGCUCCAAAUACCCUCAACUACUUUCCCACUUCCACACAUAUGACCUAAACCUAAAGUCAAACUCGGUCACACCGAUUCUUCCUAUCCGGCGCCACUGAGUUCAGUUGUCAUAGCCACUGCCACAAACCCUAGGCAAAUCGGUCUGACCGAUAGGGAUCUCGGUCUCACCGAGAUGGGAUUGUAAUCUCUUUGUGUAUGUCCAUUAUCAAAAUCGGUCUCACCGAGUUUGAGCAAUUGGUACUACCGAGAUUACAAUGCAAACUCUCUGGUUAACUUAUUAUCAAAAUCGGUCCCACCGAGUUUGAGUAAUCGGUCCCACCGAGUUUGCCUGACCAACUCUCUGGUUAGCUAAUUACCAAAAUCGGUCUCACCAAGUUUGUGUAAUCGGUCUCACCGAGAUUACGUUAUGCCCUAACCCUAACCAUAUCGGUCUUACCGAGUUGCAUUUCGCUCCCACCGAAAAUCCUAAUGGUCACUAGGUUUACUAAAUCGGUCCAACCGAGUUGGAUGACUCGGUCCCACCGAGUUUGGUAAAUUGUGUGUAACGGUUAGAUUUUCUGUGGAGGCUAUAUAUACCCCUCCACCUCCUAUUCAUUCGUGGAGAGAGCCAUCAGACUGAACCUACACUUCCAGCAUCCUAUCUCUGAGUGAGAACUACCUAGUCAUGUGUUGAGGCCAAGAUAUUCCAUUCCUACCAUAUGAAUCUUGAUCUCUAGCCCUCCCAAGUUGCUUUCCACUCAAAUCUUCUUUCCACCAGAUCCAAAACCUAGGAGAGAGAGUUGAGUGUUGGGGAGACUAUCAUUUGAAGCACAAGAGCAAGGAGUUCAUCAUCAACGCACCAUUUCUUACUUCUUGGAGAGUGGUGUCUCCUAGAUUGGCUAGGUGUCACUUGGGAGCCUCCGACAAGAUUGUGGAGUUGAACCAAGGAGUUUGUAAGGGCAAGGAGAUUGCCUACUUCGUGAAGAUCUACCGCUAGUGAGGCAAGUCCUUCAUGGGCGACGGCCAUGGUGGGAUAGACAAGGUUGCUUCUUCGUGGACCCUUCAUGGGUGGAGCUCUCCGUGGACUCGCGCAACCGUUACCCUUCGUGGGUUGAACUCUCCAUCAACGUGGAUGUAUGAUAGCACCACCUAUCGGAACCACACCAAAAACAUCCGUGUCUCCAAUUGCGUUUGAAUCCUCCAAAACCCUUCCCUUUACAUUCUUGCAAGUUGCAUGCUUUACUUUCCGCUGCUCAUAUACUCUUUGCAUGCUUGCUUGCUAUAUGUUGUGAAUGCUAAACUUGUGCCUAAACUCCACUUAAACUUUAAGAACUUAAAAACUGCAACUUUGGUACUUAGUGUCUAAUCACCCCCCUUGACGGUGUCCUAGACUAGGGGGUACUCAAUGCGUCGUCUCCCGAUCAGUUGGAUUGGGCUGAGGACCCCCAUGGCCGUAUAUUCAUGGGCCAGUCCGGACAACUGCCGCAUACAAGGAAGAAUCCACAAGACUUGGCGAUCAAGACAAGGACUCCUCCCCCACCGGCGUAUUCGGCUGGGACUCUUGUUAUCCUAGGCCUCUGGUGCAUUAUAUAAACCAGGGCCAGGCUAGUCGAUAGACAUAUACAAAAAACAAUCAUACCAUAGGAUAGCUUCUAGGGUUUAUCUUCUCUGAUCUCGUGGUAGAUCAACUCUUGUACUAUCCCUAUCAUCAAUAUUAAUCAAGCAGGAGUAGGGUUUUACCUCCAUCGAGAGGGCCCGAACCUGGGUAAACAUUGUGUCCCUUGCCUCCUAUUACCAUUGAUCCUAAGACGCACUUCUUGGGACCCCCUACCUGAGAUCCGCCGGUUUUGACACCGACAUUGGUGCUUUUAUUGAGAGUUCCGCUGUGUGGUCGGCGAAAGAAUCAAUGGCUCGACUGCAGGUCAACUGCGACGUUGGCUUCUUCGUCACUAGCUCGACUGGUCACGUUGGCUUGACCGAGGACUGCGCCCUACCUCUGAUCAUCAUGUUCGGAUGAAGGCCUUCAUCAACACCAACUCCGAUCUCUAUCAAGAUCAUGGAGGAGUCAUCCAUGGAGCUCGGGGGCUCAACGUCAACAUUGCCUUCAGGCGACCGUGCUAUUUUUCCGGACAACAAACUUGUAUCCGCCGCCACCGCCUCCUCGAGUGUCGCUUAAACGAUUACUUCGGUGGGAUUAUGCGGAAUUAAGUCUACAACAACCCUGCAAAAAUUUCGUCGAGUUCCGAUGGAGGAAUAUCCGGCAAUCUCCGAUAUACCGGAGCCCUGUUGAAUCUGGAUGAGAAUCCGGACGAGUUUAGGGCGUGGUAUCCAGCAUCUAUCUCGGAUGUCCUUUGGAUGAUCCAACCAUUGAUUUUCUGCGGAAUUCCCAUAUCUACCACCUGCCAAAAAUUCAGCUCGAUCCAACCGUCCAAACUCCGGGAAACUUCCGAUUAGUGCAUCACUUUUUGGAUCUGUUUUCUGUGCGAGAACUAAUCCGACCCGAAUUCAUCUUCUUUAUGAACGGGAUCUCAGACAUCCUUUUUGAAGGAAGUUUUCGUAUGGGGUGUUGUGUUUUAUUCUCAAACACAUCCCAGUAGUACUAAAAGUAUUCUUGCAAUACGAACUUCACCGUCGCGCUGGUGUCCAACUAGCCCAACAACAUCACUCCACGGCGGCUGACUGCGUUAGACACGUCGUCACUUUGUUGAGUCGAGCUCAAUUUCUUCGGAUCAUCAUAUCGGCCAGCCGAACAAUAGUUCGGCAUCGUGAAGGAUAAAUCGUCACCAACAUCGCCGCCCCACGGAUUACACGGAGCGGGCACACCGGCAUCGCCACACAGUCACUUCAUCAAGCCGGCAUCGACCACGUCACGACCUGCAUCGCUGGACCGGGGGCUUCAUCAUCUCUUCAUCAACCUACUCCGGAGACUUCGGCGUUGCUGGCUGGCCAGCUCCAUCACGUUAGCUGGACCGAGGGCUUUGCCUCGGCGUGCCAACCUUUGCCAGCAUCACCAUGCCGUUGCUUUAUCGCCCAUCAGGCGAUAGGUGUGCGGAUCGAGUCCCAAUUUUGGGAAUCACCUUUCUUCGGAUUGCUACAACAAAUAAGCCAGGUGCUAUUAAUCCUAGUAUUUUUCACUUGUUAGGGUUCAUUUUUCCCAAUGAAUUAUUACUCUGGUUUGUCCGUCAUAUGUACGCAGGUCUAUCAAAUGGUGGCCGCAUUAACGAGGUUGCAUGGUGGUUAGGUCAGUUUCCGUACAUAGUCCGGCGAACGCCGCAUCCGGAACUCGAACCGACCUGUGAAUUCAGGCCUUGCCAUGCCUUUACCGCAUCACGCCGCCGCCCGGCAUCGACAUUGACUUCGGCGCCAGGCCAUAUUUCUUUUAUUACUCACUUUGCAUAAAUUAUUUGUUAUGCAACGAAUUUUUAUUAUUAUUAUUAUUACUAUUAUCUCCGAUUUGCACUAUUUUUUGUGCACAGGAAAAUGAUCCAGCCGGACUAUAUCCUUUGGCGUCACCUCGGCUGGACGGGGGGCUUCGUCAACACUUCAUUACCCCAUGCCGGGGACUUCGGCAUCACCCUGCCGCCCUGCAUUGACCGUGCUAUGUCACCACUUCGGAGUGCCGAGCUCCUUGCUCCGUGACCUCGGGACCGGCUCGGGAUGGAACCUUGUCCCGCAUCAAGCUCGGACCGCGUCAUCAAUACCGAACACAUUAACCAGCUAAGUUGUCUUCAUGCUCAAAGUUUUAAAUUUUUAACUUGUGUUCGGCUCGGACAAGCAUUAUACUUUUUUGGAAAAAAGUUGCUUGUAAAAAUUUUCUUGUCCAAACUUUGUUUGUGAUGCGCAAAUUCAAAUACCCCGUUUACUUGGGGGCUUCCUUAAUGAAGCUUUUUCCUGUUGCAUAUGGUUAUACUUGUACGGCUUCGUUCCUUGUUCGUGUAUUACGCCACAAUAUGCACCAUAUUGACUUAAGCGAUUUGCAAGCUGGGUUGCCUGGCUUCUGUGCUUAUCCCUACGUUCUCGAUUGUUCGGCUAGGGAGUAAAGGGAGCACCUCUGCGAUUGUCACGAUCGGGUCACCCGAGCCGGACCUCAGACUAGGUGAAGCCGAAAGCUAGCGCUCUUAUUGUUUUCAAUCAUGGUCGGCACACAACGGAACUCAUGAGUACAAAAAAUCUAUUGCACAAGUCUCAUAAUAACAAUGAGCACCGAAGAAAGGUAUCGGUGGGGGUACUAUUUUCUUCGAAGAUGCUUCUUACUCUUCGCAAUAAUAUAGCAUAAGUUCCCUGAGCGCGCUUUGUCUGUUACAUCCUUAUGGCCUGAUUGCCUGGUUAUUGGAAACACCGUCGAUAUUCUCGACAGAUGGAGUACAUAACACUUUUCGGUCCUUGACCGAAGAGGGAGAAGCCGACGGUCGGUUAAGACGCGUUUAAAGUUUGGUUGAACAUAGAUAUGAUAUAAGUACUUCGGUACAUGCAAUCAUUCUUUUACCCAAGUCACUUGGGGGCUCUUAAAUUUAUAUGAGCCGUUUUAUGAUAAGUGUUUUUCUUCUUAGUCGUUGCAGAGUUUUUAUUAUUAUUUGUCACUCCUUUUCUCGACACGAGUGUGCGGUCACUAGCCGGGGAGCCUAAUUUCUCUCUCAAAGCCGCUAGAGUUUAGUUUGCUAAACUGGCCUAGUAGGAAGUACUCCGCCUUCGGGAUAGGAGGUUGAAGCCGUAGGCUGACCCGCUUGAAGUUUUGAGAUAGGAUGUGUCAUGUUAAAGCACGACAGAAGCACCUUUUUUUUUCUAAAGUCCAAUUUUCGGAUUGGCACCGAACACUUGAUCUAGUUCGGACAUUAAUCUUUUGAAUAAGUUUUUUUGGCUUUUCGAGCCCAUGGCACUUUUAAACUAUUUGUGUGUUUUCAGCACAAGUCUCGCAGGGCAACGCCGGACACCUUUAGAGAUUCGGCAAAAACAUUCUCGGAUAUUGCUAUAUAUGCAUCAGUUUCGAAUUGUGUCUUCGGUCAAUAGUUGGGUUUCCCGGCUCCUGCACUUGCCUCCUAUGUUCCGCUUUGUUCGGCUAGGUGUGCAAAGGGAGAACCACUGCAAUUGUGCUUCCAGCUCACAUGGUUAAGCACCUCAGUGGAGAAAGCCGAAAACUGACUGUCAUAAUAAGCGUAAACUGGUCGGUGAUCCGAUGACGUCGUUAAACGACGGGCCAUUCAUAACAAUGCCGAAGUGUUUACGGCUUGACCUUGACUAUCGCCGAACACUACCGGAGGCUAUUAACUGGCCUCCCAAACGAAAUCCUCGAUAUUUUGCUCUUACAUUGGAGCUGAGGUUUCAUGAUCAUGCUUAGCAUGACAACCCAAAGAAAGGAACCGAUAGCGGAGCUAUUUUCUUUGGAAGACAUUUCUUCUAUUAAACAGUAAUAUAACAUGUCUCUCUGUGUACCUAUGUUUAUAAAACCGUAUGGCCAUAUUGCCUUGUUUGUUGUGAAUCUUUGCCCUCAUAAAGGCUUUAUAAAGUAGGACAAACACUCCUCGGCUAUUGGCCGAGGAGGUGGAAGCCGAUGGUCGGUCAACAAAGUUUUGUACAAUGCGGAUCCGAGCAUUAAUGACGUAAAGUACUUGGAUACAUAGAGUCAUUACACAUAAUUUGUGAUUUUACUAUGGAUAUCGAUCCUUAAUUUGGCCUCCCGUGCCCGCAUUAAGGCUCGGGGGCUACUGGGCUUUAGGCUUAUUAUUUACAAAUAUUAAAGGGGCACAUCGAUCCCCUGAUCUGGUGUUGCCACACGACCAGUGUCUCGGGGGCUACUGCAUUGCCUGUUCUAUGCAGAAAAUUUUAAGUGCAAUACAAUUUCCGAGGAGAUUUUGAUCCUCAGGUUGGUCGGCCGCAUCCAACCUGAGUCUCGAGGACUGAGCACACCACUUUUUGUGUCCCGAAGUAUUCUGCCGAGCUAGGACUUGAUCCUCAGGCCGAUUUUGCAAAUCAACCUGAGUCUCAGCGGUUACUGGGAUCAGCGGUCUUAUGUCAUCCUUCAGGUGCAUCUCGGGUUUUAGACCGAUACACACCUUGAGGGCUACUAGCUAUAUAUCUCGUCAGAGAACAAAUUGCAUCAAUAAAAACAUUGACCAAAAAUCAGCCCAUGACCGAGGUGCUUAACCACCUCAGAAGCAGUUCGGCGUAUAGCUCGGAUGAAAGUGGCUGGCUCCUUAGAGGGCAUUUCCGGCAUUAAGCUCGCUAAACUCCUUCAACUUUUUUGGACCAAGAUGAUCUAUGACAUCUUGGAUAUAGUCCGGCAUUGGAGCUUGGACACAGUCCGGCGUUGGAGUUCGGAUACAUUUCGGCGUUGGAGCUCGAAAGCAGUCCGGCAUUUGUGCUCGUCUGCAAGAGAUACCUUGAAUGCAGUCCGGCGUUAGAGCUCGGACGCAAGAGGACACUGCCUCCCGGGAACAACUUCAAACCCGAGGUGUGGCUUAAAAAUAACAAGGCAUUGCUAAAGGCCAGAAACUUAAAGGGGCUCCUCGGAUACCCGACGUGUAAACUCGUCGAAUGCAUUUCGGCGAUCCUCAAGAUAGAAGAUGAGAAGAUUUGUUGAACCAGUUUUCAAGACCGGCAACCGAAGAUGAAGAACAGUUCGGAAGAAUCGAGGAGCGUCCCUAACUUGAAGACCAGUUCAGGGGGCUACUAACGGUGUCCUGGACUAGGGGGUACUCAACGCGUCGUCUCCCGAUUAGUUGGAUUGGGCCGAGGACCCCCAUGGCCGUAUAUUCAUGGGCCAGUCCGGACAGCUGCCACAUACAAGGAAGAAUCCACAAGACUUGGCGAUCAAGACAAGGACUCCUCCCCCACCGGUGUAUUCGGCUGGGACUCUUGUUAUCCUAGGCCUCUGGUGCAUUAUAUAAACCAGGGCCAGGCUAGUCGAUAGACAUAUACAAAAAACAAUCAUACCAUAGGCUAGCUUCUAGGGUUUAGCCUCUCUGAUCUUGUGGUAGAUCAACUCUUGUACUACCCCUAUCAUCAAUAUUAAUCAAGCAGGAGUAGGGUUUUACCUCCAUCGAGAGGGCCCGAACCUGGGUAAACAUUGUGUCCCUUGCCUCCUGUUACCAUUGAUCCUAAGACGCACUGCUUGGGACCCCCUACCCGAGAUCUGCCGGUUUUGACACCGACACCCCUCUAGACACCUCUUCUCAAGGUCCUACAAACGGGACCACAUGUCAACGAAACAUGGUGUGUAAUUUCUCGUGCAAAAUGCGAUCUGGCCGCGUUGGCCCAAGGUGCCGCAUUAGUUUUUUUUGAAAGUUUGCCGCAUUAUUUAUCGACAUUUAUUUUUUUAACAUGCAAUCUGAAUGGAUAGCUCCUGUGGCCAUCAAACGUGAGCAGAUAUAGUGAUGGUUGAUUCGCCCGAGCAACUCAUUACUGUGGGAAUAUGGGAGUACCAGCGGAUUCAAGGAACAGAGAAAUGAUGGUUGCUUCGUCCGAGCAACUUACUGUGGCGAAGGUGGGGCUCUGUGAUUUGACUGCUCACUAGUCAUUACUACUGUGGCGCAACGACCAGGGUGAAUCUUUCCCUGAAGUUGUGUUGUGCACUCAAUAUUGCUGCAUAGCAGGUGGAGCCGGAUGAAGGAUGUCCAACAGGACACAACUUUGGUGCCUUAAAGGCACCUACCUUUGGGUCACUAACAUGUGGGUCAGCCAUUUGUUGGACCCACAUGUCAUAGACACAAAGGUAGGUGCCUUAAGGCACCAAAGUAUUGUCCAUGUCCAACAUGUGGGCGAAACGAAGUUGAAUUGUUUCUGGCAUUGCUAUCAAUCCUUCAGGAUUUGUUUAUAUGUACGCAUAAUUUUGAUGAAAUUGUACUGUGAUGCUAUGAAGGUUUCAACUUUGGUUCCCGCAGGAAAAAAAGGUUUCAACUUAGGAUUCAUGUGUCUUGCCUCGAGAUUAUCUCGUUACAACAUUCCAUCAAAUACAAAUGAAACUACCAUGGCUAAUGCAUCUCAAUGGUUCGCAGAUCAGCGCCAAUAUUCACAUUACAACUGAAGACAAAGUUGUGAGAAGGUGUACAAAUAAAGAAAAAAAUAUAAUUGAUCGAUGCCAUUCGUAGGCAUGGCUCCAUUUCCUUGGCAUAGUGUUCAUUGCUUGGCAGCUAGUUUCACCCAGCUCUGUAGCCAAAAAAGAGGUGUAUGAAGGACACCAUAAUCCGAUCAUUUUGUGCAGCUCCACUAAAAUCGAGCGGAUCAUCCCUAUUUGCAAAGAUAUCCAUUCAGUGUGAUUACAAUAAUAGUUGAACUAGAUGAUGAAACAUAACACACAUAAAUAGAAGCCGAUCACCUCUACGAUUUCUCUUUAGGACUAACUUCUUGUUGGAGAAGAUUAGGCACGGAGUUGGAUGAGGAGGAUAGCAAAACCAAUCUCCCUUUCCGCUGUCCCACAAAAAUGUAAAAAUGUUGCCCGUGUGACAUUUUGGCGGAAAUGCACAAAACACUCUUUAGAAAAGUGAUUUGUGCAGUUCACCAAAAGGUCGCAAUAGCAACAAGGUGAAAAUGGAUAGCCCUGCUUGCAAAAGGAGGUCGAAAUGAAACAAUUACUGCCCAAUAACACGAGUUGAAGACACAUACGCCAACAAAAAAGAAGCAUGUUCCAUGUAAUAAGGGAAAGAUAGCACAUGGUGUUUUAUCAAAAAUGGUUUGAGGACGAGAUUGUAAGAUGGGAAAUACGCCAGCCAAGAUACGAUUUAAGAAAACAACUAAAGAAGAUCCACAUGCAGCAACGUGGAAGAUGGGCAGUGGAGCAAGGUCGGAGGAAGUUGUAGGUGAGGGUCGUCGGGAUGUUCCUAGGAGGGCGCCGGCGGUCGGGAUCUGCCCGUACUGCGGCAGCGAGCAACUGGCGAAGGCCCUACCGCGCCGGAGCUUGGUCAGAGCAAACGGUGGGUACCACAGAUUGGGACGUGCUGCCUCAACACUAUCGAACGGAGAGACGAUGCACAUCCUCCCUUUCCGCCGGCGGACGGGAUGCGGCCAGAUCACUGACCAACACUGAGAGAGAGAGGCCACGGUGGCCUUGUGUGAGAUGGUGUGACGAGAGACAAACCGAUUUUUCCAUUUUCCCCACGGCAAUCGUUUUAUAUUCUGUACGUGCCAUUGAGGAAUAUAUAACUAUUUAAUGCUAACGCAUCAAGUCGAACUUUGUUCCGUCUAGGCGUGGUACCCAACCCUCCUUCGAGUAAACAACCGCUACACGUGUCAUGGGCUGCCUUUUCGUACAGAAACGAACUCCACCGUGUACCCGCGCGGGUGUGGCCGGGAACGAGACGUGAGUACGUGCGUCCUGCGUGCACUUCUUCUUUAGGUGCAGGUACGUACGUGGGUGGGUGUGAGAGAGAUGGUUUGUGCGAAACAGAGGCAAUGUGUUGAUGGUAUCUCAAUCAGAAAAAUGUAACAUAUGCAAUGUGUGUGAAAUGGAGUCAUGGACGUGAGAUAUCAAUAGAAUUGAAAACAGGGAUGAAGUGUGUGGCUGCGCGAUCGAUAAAGAGUGCCAUCGAAUUUGUGUUUGCCCACGUCAAAGAUACAGGGCGGCUGGCCUACUAGAAUUUGAGAGGCCAGAGGUGCAGUUUUUCUCCAUGGCAUGGAUACCUACCUACAGCGUUCGACUAUCGGUGUGUGUGUGUGGGGGGGGGGAGGGGGUAGAGACCGAUCGACUAGUAUAUGUGUGGGGAAGGAGAGAGACCUAGCUAUGUAUUGAGGGAGAUUGAUCGACAUCCAUGGAUAUGUGUAGCAGAGGAAUAAGGUUGGGAAAAAGACAAAGGUAGAGCGUCAGAGGGUUGGUGGUGGAGUGGCAUCUCACAAAUGGUGGGAGAGGCCUGCUAGACAAACGGAGGGUAUGAGUGCAAUAUCAAUAAGAGUGGGCGGGGGAUGUCUGUCUGUCUAUGCACGUGCGUGUGAGAGACGGAUUGGGAGGUAUUAAAGGAUGAUGAGGGGAGAAGAUAUGGUUGUGGUAAGCAUACGUAACUACAUAGGAAUAUCAACCGUCGUGUGUCCGAGAAAGGGAGAGACAUAACUAGCGAGGUAAGUGUAUCGAUGCUUGGUGAAAACGAAUUAUAGUUGACCUGGCUAUAUGUAGGGAGAUCAGUUCAUAUACAUGCCUGCAUGUGUUAGAAGCAAAUAAGGUCCAGAGAGGCAGACAGGGGGAGAGAGUGUGGCUAGGAGGUGGUGCGAGAGGCCUACCAUGUCGAGGGGGAGGAGUGUGCGAGUAUGUGAUCAAUGAAAAGAGGGGCGGGAGUGUGCACCUGCGUGGAAUCGUAUUGGACAUAGGGGGGCAUGGACGAUGAGAAGAGAAGAGGGGAAGUAUAUAUGUGUUUGUUAUAGGCACACGUAUCUAGAGAGGUAUAUCGACCGGUGUGUGCCAGAAAGAAGGAGCCGGGGGCCUACACACACCGCUAGUGGACGACCUAAAGAGAAAUAAUGAACGUGCGCGAUGGAGGGGACGCUAAGGGUGGGUGAGAGGGGGGCGGGCGUGUGCAUGCACGAUAGAAAGUUAGCGCUAGCUAGCUACAAAUAGAAGAGGAUCGUGAAGGUGUAAAAGAUGAACAAAGAUCAUAAUUCAUUAUAAAAAAGUGGAUAUGGAUACUUGAAGAAGAUAUCAUAAUGUAGAACAUUGAUUAUAAUUUGGGCUAAUGUGUGGCUUUUGCAACUCAGGUCUAAAUACUUGUCAUAAUGUAGGGGGCGGGGCACUAUACUUUGUGUGAUAAACACGGUGUACGUAUGGAACAUGGUUUAGAUUAUGAAUAUAUAGUUAGUACACCAAAUGUACUAUUAUUUGGAAUCAACAUCAAGUGUAUUCAAAAAAUAGAAUUCAAGUUCAUAUAGUACACAUAGUUCAUAUCUAUCUCUAUAGUAAUCAUGUGGUGUGUUAUUAAGGUAAUACACGAAUGAUGGUUGAAGUUGGCAACAAUCAUGAUUGUAGAUUCUUAUUGAAAUAGAGAAAUGAAUUCAAAUUUAGUUCGAAUUGCAGCGGUAGUAUAGACAUUUGGAGUGCACUAAAAUGUUGGUAUGAGUAGGUUACAUGCAUUAUACAGCAAGUGAAAAAAUUUAAUCGGACAUAACAUGGAUUCAUACUCCCUCCUUCCAUCUAUAUAGGGCAUAAUGAGAUUUUUAAGACCGCCUUUGACUAUUGACAAGAUUAAUAGUACAUGACAUGCACAAUGUGAAAAUUAUAUCAUUGAAAGAACCUUUCACAGACGUAUUUAACGGUGUGCUUUGUGUAAGUUGCAUGUCAUAUAUUAUUGCUCUAAUAUUUGGUCAAAGUUAGCAUCAAAAAAUGCAUUAGGCCCUAUAUAGAUGGAAGGAGGGAGUAGCUUUGAAUAGCAUUUGUAUAGUAAAAUGGGGCAAGGCUCUCUCUUUGUGUGGUGUGAAUAGUUUUAUUUUUUUCGUUUUCUUUUUGGUUGAGGGAAGUGCGAAUUGAUUUGGUACGUACAAGUACAAUAUUACUACACGUUAGGCUUGUCCCUAAAAUUCAACCUGCGUCUUGUUAUAUCCCGAAAAUUCAGAUAUCAUGCUCCCAAAACUGGUGCCUUCACAACCCGCGCCUUGCUAUCCCAAAAUUACAACGCGCACGAAAACUCCCUCCAGCUGCCAAAUCCCGACACACGAAAUCCCCCUUCUAACCCUGAGCCGAAAGGGUCGCUAGUUCAAAUCGGUGGGGGGUACUUUUGUAACACACCCUACAUUUUGUACAAGCGCGUCCCUAAGUCAUGCUUCACCCCUCCCAUCGCCCCCUUUUCACCAUUCGAAAUCCCAGGCCGCCAUAACCUCUUCGCUCCAGUCGCAAAACCCCACCCUCCUCCGUCCGCCACCUCACCGCUGCCCAGCCGGAGCCUCUUCCCCGACGACGUCGUCCACCGCAACAGCUCGACGUCCCUCGUCCACCUCCCCGGAUGAGGAUCCGUCGUCCAUCUAGUCAUCCCGCCGGUUCAGCCGCCCCUCCUCCACCUCCAAGGAGCUGCUUCGACGAUCGCCUCGUCUAUCGCGGCUGCUCCAUCCCCACAGCGCUGCCUUACCCUGCUCCACCAGAACCGUAGCAUCCUCACCGACUCCUCGGACGAAGCCGAGCCCUACUCGGUGCCACCAAAGAGGUUGUACACUCAUCACAUCGCACCUUCUCCUUAACUCGACCUCCCGAAGACGACGGUGUUCCAUUCCGCACCCCCAUGGAGCGGCUACCUUGAAGCCGGUGCCGCAUGCGACAUCUCCACGGCGGCUCUCCCCUAGUGCGAGGCCCCCUCGGCGGCGGUGUCCAUACCAGCCAGAUCUGCUGCUGCUGCUCCGGCUCUCGCUCGCUCGCUCGUGCUGCUACUACUGCUCUGGCUCUCGCUCGAUCGCUCGCUCGCCCAGCUGCUGCUGCUGCUCUCCCCCUCGCUCGUGCUGCUGCUCUGCUCCGAUUUAGCCACACUUCAGUCGACUGAAUUGACUUUUGGGUUAGUCGNNNNNNNNNNNNNNNNNNNNNNNNNNNNNNNNNNNNNNNNNNNNNNNNNNNNNNNNNNNNNNNNNNNNNNNNNNNNNNNNNNNNNNNNNNNNNNNNNNNNNNNNNNNNNNNNNNNNNNNNNNNNNNNNNNNNNNNNNNNNNNNNNNNNNNNNNNNNNNNNNNNNNNNNNNNNNNNNNNNNNNNNNNNNNNNNNNNNNNNNNNNNNNNNNNNNNNNNNNNNNNNNNNNNNNNNNNNNNNNNNNNNNNNNNNNNNNNNNNNNNNNNNNNNNNNNNNNNNNNNNNNNNNNNNNNNNNGGCGGCGAGGCGGCGCUAGGGCCGACUGUUCGGCCGGUGGUGGCUGGCGGCUCAGGGGGGUGCAGGUUGAAGAUGAACUGCAGGCCCUCCCUAAACUACAUGUCAAGUGCCUCUCUGCUACCAUUGCGUUGAGUUUCGACAAUAGCAUUCAGAUUCCACAGUAAAUUUCAGUUUUGAGAGUUAAGUUCAGAGUCAACAGUUUUUACCUCAUAUGUUGUAGUCAGGUGGUUUUUGGUGAUGUAAAUUUUACAUCCAUUUUACAUCAUCUAUUGGAGAUGCUAUUAGAAUCCCACUUAAGAUCGACGAUGUCUAUCUUGUGCUGCUUCAGCCUUGAUGUCUUACGGCUCACCGGAGUUGCUCCAACGACAGAACGAUCCAUCACAACAGAGCAGUGCCCUGGACACCGUCUACAGAUUCCUCAGAUCUUCCUCCACACCUCCGACAGCCACCUCUGCCUCAACUGCUUCAGUGACCAACCCAAUUAUUCAUGCAUUUUGUUGAAAGGAAUGAAGCAAAACAUCCACCUGGACCUACUUUUCAAAAUCCUAUGCAUGAAAACAAGACCAAGUGCAUUAGUGCCAGAAUAACAUUCUAACUGUACACGCUUUCAUAUGGUUUCACUUUAUUUUGGCCAUGUUUCUUUGCAUUCCUCUGCUCUUCCAAUUCCUGUAAACCAAACACCCAAGUUGACAGAAAUCCUAUGUUUACAAAUGCUUUGUUUACCAUGUGCAUUUUCCUAUCCUAUUCCGGUGUUUUUCCUAUCCCUGCGUUUUAAGAAUCAUGCAAGCCAAUUGAGCCCUUACAGAAUUACUUCAGUUACAGGUACGUGUCGAAGGGGACUUUGUGUGGUUUGUCCUGCUCCUCCCGCGAUGUCGUCCACCUCACUUGAGCCGCCCCAUCGACAGAAGCAUCCACCAAACCAGACAUCACGACUCCUGACCAUCUUUCGCCGCCUCAGAUCUCCUUCCCUACCGCCGGCACCCACCGCAACGGCAUCACCAUCAUCGACUCAGCAUAUGAACUUGAGGAGUACACGGGUCCACAAGAGAGGUCGCACUCUUUUGUUUCUACUUAUGUUAUGCAUUGCUUAAACUUACCUGCUACUUUAUCGUCCUGUUCAGCACUUGGACUCCCAAGUCAGGUCCAAAUUAAUGUUCAAACUUGAGUUCCAAAUUAGUUGUGGGGCACAUAUUGAGGCAGCAAUGAAUAGUAUGUCUGUCUAAUAUCCGGUUCACCUAGGGUAUGCCUAUGUUGUUCAUCUUGGGUGGGAAACAAAUAGUAAAGCAAUCAUCAUCUGUCUUUUUAUUAAUUUAAAGCAAUCAUCAGCCUGCUAUCAUUAUUUUUGGAUCCAUCCAUUGGUUGUUACCAUCACUCUAAAUUUUUGCAUGCACUCCUUAUAUAAUCUCACCAUAUUUUUUCAUAUGCAUGUCAGAUAUUGUACACAGUCAUGCUGAACAUGUAGAGAAAAAGAGAAGAGUUUUGCACGGCAAUACAAUGUCAUGCAGACAUCGCUCCAUGGUGGGUCCAAUAGCAAACCCUCCCCACCCUCUCCAGAUUGUAAUCCAGAGGAAGAUAUCUAUUCUGAGGCGGAUUUAGACGCCGCUAACCACUCCUAUCUACCCCCCAAGGUGUUUGCUCUACCUUGGCAUGAUGAUGUUAGUCAUAUCAUGCAUAUGUUGCCUUGCAGUGCCUACUGUCGGGGGUUGGAUACGACAUAUGCCAAAGGAUGGCUUAUCAUGGUGGGAGCGAGUAGAAUGUCGCCGAUGCCUGGAAGCAGGAUGAGGCAUAGACAAGCACGCCGGCGGAACUUACCCAGCUUCAGGGCUCUCCUAGGAGAUAACACCCCUACUGCUGCUUUGCGGGGUCUCCGCAUGAUCACUAAGGCAAAGUGACUACAAUGGUGCUCCUGGAGCUGUUUUGGGAGGCAGGAGAGGGCAAGGCUAGCUCUCUCCUCCCUGUGCUAUCUGGUCUAUCUCUAUCUAGGUUCGAACCCUUUGCAUGGGUGCCCCGGGGGGUUUAUAUAGGCCUACCCCCUGGGGGUACAAUAGUAAUCCGGCUGGGCGCCGGUCCCAGCCGUCUGUCUCUCAGGCCGCCGUCCUCCCCGCCGGCUUCUGGGGCCCGCCGACUGGUGGGUCCCACAGACAGGCUUGAUACUGUAGCGGCACUCCUGAUGACGCAGGCUUGGUCAUUGGGUCGUGACAAUAGUGCCGCUAUCUAUCGGGCGAUCACUGUCGCCAUUCCCCAUCCUAUCUGGUUAAUGGCUCGUGGGGCCCUGGGGAGGAGUCGGCCGACUCCAAGGAGGCCGAUUCCCAUAGGUCCGUCUUCGAGGCGCUCAGGCCGCCUUUGGCCCACCCACUGACAGGCGGCCCCGCCGCCUUCGGGUCGUACAGGCCGGCGUCAUGGGCACAGUGCGUUGCGCACUGUGGCUGAGGUCAGGGCAGGCAUGGCAACAGUGCCGCGCCUCGCCGGAGAUCUUCCAGCGAUACGGCUCACUGUAGCCAUGCCGGCCCUUCGUAAGCAGGGGGAACGACCACGCCGUGACCGUACCCCACAUCGUACUUCGAGAUGAGGGAGGAGUCAUGGGCCGACUCUCCAUAGUCGGCCUCUCUGGAGGUUGCCAGCUCGGAGUCAGCUUAUCUCGGAGUUGCCGUCUGGGACUCGGCUUGUCUUGGAGUCGCUCCUGGGACUCGGCUUGAGGGGUGCGGCCUGCCCCGAUGUCUUGAAAGGUCCUGGGACUCGGGUUAGGCUACCCGUGGCCCAAUACUCCGACAGUAGUCCCCGAAGCUGGUGAAGCCCUGCGGACACUGCAUUGUGGGGCUUCAACAGUUUCAACCUUCCAGGAGCGGACUCUGGAACUCAGCUGCCGUCUUCCCUUGGGCCGACUGUCGAGAGUCGGAUGUUUAGCGAAGAGCCGCAGCUCAAAAGUCGCGGCGGGAAACCAGGCGGCAUGCCUGAUACGCUUCCCCGCAGCCAUCAGGGCGGUCCUAUCGCGUGGUGCCACGUGGAGAGGGUUGUCUGCCUGCCCACGCGUGCGACGGGACGGCCGUCAGGUGGGGCCCGCCACUACUGUGCCUCGGCAUACGAACGGAUCCGUUGCGGCCAUGGACGGUUGGUUUUCCCAUGUCGUUACUGCGCGUAGUAACUNNNNNNNNNNNNNNNNNNNNNNNNNNNNNNNNNNNNNNNNNNNNNNNNNNNNNNNNNNNNNNNNNNNNNNNNNNNNNNNNNNNNNNNNNNNNNNNNNNNNNNNNNNNNNNNNNNNNNNNNNNNNNNNNNNNNNNNNNNNNNNNNNNNNNNNNNNNNNNNNNNNNNNNNNNNNNNNNNNNNNNNNNNNNNNNNNNNNNNNNNNNNNNNNNNNNNNNNNNNNNNNNNNNNNNNNNNNNNNNNNNNNNNNNNNNNNNNNNNNNNNNNNNNNNNNNNNNNNNNNNNNNNNNNNNNNNNNNNNNNNNNNNNNNNNNNNNNGGAGCGGCACAGCACGCGCGCCCUUCUUCCCCGCUCCCCCGCCUCAUCUUGCCUUCUCUCUCUCCUGCCUCCGCCGUCAAGCAAGAGCACUCCACACCACGGUGAUGAGUUCUUCCUCCACCGCGGCCCCCACCGUGCGCUCCGGCGUAUGGGACGGCUUGGAGGUAGAAGAGGAACACAUCGAGUUCCUCCACCGGACACGCCGUCUUCCCAGCUGGUCCCACCGAGUCAAGACGCUGACUCCCGCCGGAGCCGCCGCCGUAGCGCGACUCCGAGUCUUGACGCAGUCGGAGGGUCUCGUCGGGGCCGACUUGCUGGCCGCCUUCGUGGAGCUCCGAGUUCUCCCUCUCCAAGGUCGGCCUCACUUGAUAUGUCAGAUGAGCGGCCUCCGAGACCCGAGUCGGAUGAGCACCAAGGAGAUGCCCCGCGCGGAGGUGGCAAACAUGGUGAAUCAUAUCGCGAACUGCGAAUUCGGGGAGGACUGGCAGUUUGGCAAGGAGCCUUACUCGCGCGACAACCCCCCACCAGUGGUAAGUCACGUCCCCCUAUUGUUUUGUCUUCUUUGCGGCCGACUCCGGCUUCUGACUCUUGUCAGUUUCUUCUGAGCUAGAAUCCCCUUAUGCAGCCUGCAGCCGGCGCCAUGAGACAGCCCCACGAGUAUGUUCCCGAUCGUGCGGACAGUGACGUCGACGACCCCGACUUGGGGGCGGCGGCGAUGAAAGCCAACGCCGAAGGCGGGGGAGAAGGAGCAGAAGGCGACUUCAGGCCCUCGACCACCUUCGCCGACUGGCCUGACGACGACGCCGAAGGGGAAGUCGCCCCGCGCCAUCAGCUGAGGGUCGGCUCGUCGGGUGCCGGCUCCUCCGCCGGCCUGGCUGGCCAAGGCGGCGCGAAGAGGCGUCACGCUGGGCCGAGUGCGCCCGGCGGCAAAUUGAAGAAGUUCAAGGGGCGGCCACCGCGACCAAACGGGAGGAGGCGGCCGCGAAGGCCAACCGCUUCCGAAGGGAAGUGAGAAGGCCGCCGCUUGUCUCUGCGUAAGUCUUUACGCUUUUUUAUUUUCCUUCGUUGAAUCUUGUCUGAGUCUUCUUUUAUACUACCUCCAUUCUUCUUCAGGGCCCCUCUUUCCCUUGAGAGAGUCGCCGUCCCCUCCGUCAUGGGGUCGGCAGAGACAUCCGCCAAUACUCGGCGGGCCGACCCCGCCGCCGACCUCCGGGAGGCGACGGAGCGAAAUGCGCGGGAGAAGCGCGAGGAGGAGGAGGCCGAAUGUCUGGAGAAGGCGGAGGCCAACAGGGCGGCCGCCUCCGCCCAGAAGAAGCUGGAGGAUGCCGAAGCCGCCCUUGCGGCGAGACGGCGUGCCGAGGAGGCCGCGCGUCGCCGAUCAGCGAUGCUCAUCCCUCCACUGUCGUCUGCACCGCCGCCUCCGGAGUUCACGGGGCAGACCGGAGAGGCCGGCACCGAAAACCCCAUCGUGGAGAAGGAGAGCGGCGAGGCUUCCAUGUCGGACACUCUCGUGCCGCCACCGCCGCCUCCACCACCGUCUGGGAGACCGCACGACAAACAGCCGGUGGGUCCAUCAGAGCCGCCGGUCACGGACGAGGCCGAGGCGCGACUGCUUCUCCAAGUUGCCUCACCGGUGCGUCGCCGUCUUGAGAGGGCGACCUCGGUGCCGCGACCUCGGGAGACCUGCGCCGCUAGCUCGGCAACCUUAGACGCCGAGGCCACAAGCGCCGCGACCUCGGGAGACCGGCGCCGCUAGCUCGGCAACCUUAGACGCCGAGGCCACAAGCGCCACGCCCACCGGGUGGUUGCGCGGAGGCGACACCGGGCCGCUGAAUCAAGCGCUUCUGGACGUUCAGGCGAAGCUGCGCGCUGAAGGCGAGGCCCUUCAAACUUGCACCAGGGCGCAUCUGGCAGCGCGGACGGCCGUCCGAGUACGUUUCCUUCUUCUUUUUGAUUCUUGUUUUUCUCUGUGGGGGCGCGCCAGCGCACCCACUGGGUGUAGUCCCCAAGUUCCGGGCCAGCUGCUGAGCAGGCGGUUCGGAACUCCCUCUGGCGAGUUCCAAAUACUAACUUUGUCUUCAAUGACUUAUUGCAGGAGUAUCACAACCUCCGCGCCACUGCCUUCAACCGCAAUGUUGAGGAGUUGAGCAAGCGGGCUGCCGACUUGUUGGAAAGCCGGAGUAAGUUCUUCUUCUUCGCGGGGGCACGGUGGCGCACCCGCGGGCUGUAGUCCCCGAGAUUCGGGCCGACUGCUGAGCAGUCGGGCCGGAUCUUUCCGGCGAUCUUCUUUGUUGACGACUUAUUUGUCUCUUCUUUCGUUCUUCAGGAGCCAACGCCGUUCUUCAGGAGCAGCUGGGCGAGGCCAAUACCGCCCAGCGUGCCAAGUAGGAGGAGUGUGGAAAGCUUGCCGCGGAGUGCGACCUGCUGGCAGCGCAGCUGGCCGAGCAGAAGGAGCUGCUCAAGAAGGCGCAGGACGAGGCCGAGAAGAAGGAGGCCGCUCUCUUGGCCGAGUUUGAGAGCGAGCGCUCCUCCUGGACUGACAGGGAGGCGAUGCUGACCUCUGGCUUCCACGAGAUCGAGGAUAUCGUUGAUGGUAAGUUUCUUUUAUUUCUUCGGGCUUCCAACUAUGUGUCAGGCCGACUUCUGAUUUUUCGACUUGCUUCUUUUUUGUCUUGGCAGACUUCUUCCCUGGUCACUCGCAGGCAGUCCCUCUGGCCAUCGAGGCUGCUCGUGAGGCGCGAAGGGCAAACGGUGAGGAGAUCGCCGCUAAUGCCCCCCGAACCAUCGAUGAGCAGCUUCUGAGCAUUGAAGCCCGUCUUCGUCCGGCUCACCGGCUGAUGCGCCGGCUUCAGCGUGCCGACGCCCAGGCGGUUGCCGCCCUGUGGACAGGCACGCCGGUUCUGCGCACCGCCAGCCGAACUGCCGACUGGCUGGAGGUCGCUGCCGGCUAUCUUGAGGCCUGGAAGGGCUCCUCGGCCCGGGCCGGAGCGCGCCGGGCCUUGGAGUUCAUCAAGGCGUGGUAUCCAGGGCUGGACCUGGACCGUCUGGCCGCGUUUCGGUCAGAAGCCCAGGCCGAGAUGGAGGCCGUGGAGGGCGCCCUUAUCGAGCGUGCGGCGGCCAUCACCGAGUACACGAACACCAGUGUCUUCGUCCCCGAGUGGGCUGAAGGCGGCGAGGAAGUGCCGCCAGAGUGGUUCGGGAUGAACCCGGAGUAUGGCGAGGACUCGGCGGAGGUGAUCGACUCCAGCACCAAGGAGGAGGAUGAGGCGAAGGACGAAGGCGAGGCAGAGGUGCCAGAAGACGGAGCAGGCGGCCAGCCUCAGCUCGACCGCGCCUCCAGCAACGAGCCGCGUCGAGAGAAGGCGACUGCCGCCGGAGGCGAUCAAACCGAGACCGCACAGCCGACUGCCCCGGCGCCUGACACCGCCGCCUCUUCCGAUCCUCCGAUCCCAGAUGCCGCCUCCUAGGCUGCCUUUUUCACCUCUGUUUGUCUGUCUUAGUAAUCUUUUGAAAACUUUGUUAGAUUCGAACAAUUCCACCCGCGGGGUGUAUCUUGAACUUCUAUUCGAAGAUUCGACCAAGGGCCUAUGUAAAUAUUUAUCCAAUUUCCGUCUUUCCUUGCUUACUGCUCUUUAGGCUUUUCCCUUUGCCGCCUUACUUUAGUCGCUGCCUUGUGAGUCGGACAGCCGCUCUGCGGUCUGUCGCUGGGUCAAGUGCUUGGCUACUUCGGGAAGGCAAGUACUUGGCCGUUUAGAGUUUCUUUAGCAAGUCGGAUAGAAAAAGACAGGCCGACUACCCAAGAGUCGGCCGUCCUUGAUAGAGGCUAAUAAAGACGGCAAGCCGGUUACUCAUGAGUCGGCUUUCCGCUUCAGAAAUGCUGGAGGCCGUCUUAUGCUAUGUUCGUGCUUUAGGUCCUUAGCCAUUUUUCGUGUGGGCGCUCGUUCUUCCUCACUCCUGCCCGCCUCACAGUCGCUCUGCAAGCUAUGGCUUUGCCAGGAGGUGGAUUGGGCACCGUGCACUACUUGUCUGACUCCAGGAAGCUCCUUAUAGCGCAAGGCGGCGAGUCCCCGGGCCGACUAGUCUGGCCCGGUGCCAAGCGGCUUGUAAUGAAAGUAAUGUACUCGAAGGCAUAAUUCUUACCAUACAGAUAACAAAAAAAGGGCAGUCCCGAGCUCGUCUUGGGGGGCCCAAAGUCUUAGUACUUUAAUACAAAGGGGUAGUGUGAUACAUACUGCAUCAACUGUAAAAUCUUCGAAGAAGAUUUGCAUUCCACGGGUGCUCUGUCUCUUUGCCGGAGUCGUCCCUCUUGCACGCUCGGGGCUUCUGAGCGUCGAUCUGAUAGUAGGCGUCGUUCCCUAGCACCUUGCUGAUGAUAAAGGGGCCUUCCCAAGGUGCCGACAGCUUGUGCUGGCCGGCUGUUCGCUGGAUCAGCCGGAGCACAAGGUCGCCUUCUUGGAAAGAUCUUGGCCUGACAUUCCUGUUGUGGUAUCGGCACAGACUCUGCUGGUAGAUGCUGGACCGGCUGAGUGCCAACAGCCGGCCCUCUUCCAGCAGAUCGACGCCGUCUUGACGUGCUUCUUCUGCUUCUUCCUCGGUGUACAUAGUGACUCGCAGGGAGUCGAACUCUAUGUCCGUUGGGAUGACGGCUUCAGCACCAUAGACGAGGAAGAAGGGUGUGAAGCCGGUUGACUUGUUUGGAGUCGUGCGCAGACUCCAGAGGACGGCUGGCAGCUCCUCAAGCCAACAGCCGGUAGAUCGCUCCAGCGGUACAACGAGUCGAGGCUUGAUGCCGGAUAAGAUGAGGCCGUUCGCUCGCUUCACCUGGCCGUUUGACUGCGGAUGGGCAACGGACGCUAAGUCCAGUCGGAUACCGUGUGUCGCGCAGAAACGGGCCAAGGCGCCUUUGGCAAAAUUCGUGCCAUUGUCGGUGAUGAUGCUGUGUGAGAUGCCGUACCGAGUUGUGAUGUCAGCGAUGAAGGUCACUGCAGUUGGACCAUUCAACUUCUUGAUGGGUUUCACCUCCACCCACUUGGUGAACUUGUCCACUGCGACAAGUAGGUGAGUCAAGCCACCUCGUGCCGUCUUGAAUGGUCCCACCAUGUCCAGGCCCCAAACUGCAAAGGGCCAGGCAAUGGGGAUAGUCUUGAGUGCGAAAGCUGGCUGAAGUGGCUUGGAACGGAAAAUCUGGCACCCCUUGCACUUUUGGACUAACUCUUUGGCCUCUUCCAGGGCGGUUGGCCAGAAGAAACCGUGCCGGAAGGCUUUGGCAAUGAGUGCCCUGGAGGCCGCGUGGUGACCGCACUCGCCUUCAUGGAUGUCUCUGAGGAUUGCUUGGCCUUGUUCUGCCUCGACGCAGCGUUGGAAGACGCCGGUAACGCUGCGCCUGACCAGCUCUCUGUUGACUAUGGUGUAGGCUGCUGCUCGGCGUUGCACUUGUCGAGCCAAGAUUUCAUCGGUUGGCAGCUCUCUGUUUACUAAGAACCUGAGGAUGGGCUGGGCCCAUGAAGGUGCUGCUAUUUCUUCAACUGCCACUAGUGCGACUUGGACAAGGGCGGCCGGGCUCGGAGGCGGCGGGUUGGAGUCCGCAGCCGCUUGCUGAUUUGACAAAGUCCCGGGGCCGACUGGAGCAGUCCCCGGGCCGAGCUCUGGAGUCUUCGAUCUUGCCACUGCAGUCCCCGGGCUGGGUUCUGAAGUCCCCGGGCCGGCUUCGACUGUGUGUUUCUUGGAGUCGGAUCCGUCUUCCUCAGGCGGAGCCGGCACAGAGAUUGAAUCUGAUUCUGGUGACGGCUUGAUAGAAGGCUUGAGGAGGCGCCGGAGGGCGACACCAGAUGGUAUUGCCUGGCGGGUGGAGCUGAUUCGUGCCAAGGCGUCUGCUUGGUCGUUGUUGUUCCUUGGCACGUGGAGGAACUCGCACCCCUCGAAGUAUCCGCUGAGUUGCUGGACGAGGAAACGGUAGCUCGCCAUAUUUGCGUCCUUGGCGUCCUAAUCGCCAGAUGAUUGCUAGACCACCAAGUCAGAGUCGCCAUAACACAGGAUCCGGCGAAUGCCGAGUUGUUUGGCAAGCCGGAGCCCGUGGAUGAGCGCCUCGUACUCGGCCACGUUGUUGGAGGCGGCGAAGUGGAUCUACAGCGCAUAUCUGAGCUUGUCGCCCUUGGGGGAAGUGAGGACGACGCCGGCUCCCAAGCCGGUGCGCAUCUUGGAGCCGUCGAAGUGCAUCCGCCAAUGGGUGGAGUCGGGCGCUGGCGGCAGAUACUGGGUCUCGGCCCAGUCGACGAGGAAGUCGGCCAGUGCUUGCGACUUGAUGGCAGUGCGGGGCUCGUAGUAGAUGGUGUAGGGGGCCAGGUCGAUGGCCCAUUUGGCCACUCGGCCAGAAGCAUCUCGGCUUCCGAUGAUCUCGGCCAGUGGAGCUGUGCAGACCACAGUGAUUGGAUGCUCCUGGAAGUAAGGCUUCAAUUUCUUGGUGGCAAAAUGCACGCCAUAGCACAUCUUCUGGUAAUGGGGGUAGUUCUGCUUGGAGGCCGACAGUACCUCGCUCAAGUAAUAUACCGGUCUCUGGACAGGCAGCGCCUUGCCUUCCUCCUUGCGCUCGACUACAAUGACUGUGCUGACUACUCGGCUGGUGGCGGCAAUGUAUAGCAGCAUGGGCUCUUUGGGAGUCGGAGCCGCCAGCACAGGGGGAGUAGUCAACAUCUUCUUUAGUUGGAGAAAAGCCUCGUCCGCCUUGGGAGUCCACUCAAAGAAGGUCGUCUUCUUCAUGAGCUGAUACAAGGGGAGAGCCUUCUCGCCCAGCCGACUGAUGAAUCGGCUGAUGGAUGCCAAACAGCCGGUGAACUUUUGCACAUCUAAUAGUUGUCUGGGUGCUUCCAUCCUCUCGAUGGCCUUGAUCUUCACAGGAUUGCACUCUAUGCCGCGUUCGGAGACCAGGAAACUGAGGAGUUGGCCGGCUGGUACUCCAAAAACGCACUUCUCUGGGUUGAGCUUGAUCUGGAAUCGGCGCAGAUUCUCAAAUGUUUCCUUGAGGUCCUCCAGCAAGGUUCCAUGCUUCUCUGUCUUCACCACUACAUCAUCCACAUAGACGUGGGCAUUUCUGCCGAGUUGCUUCAGGAGGCACUUUUGCAUGCAACGCUGAAAGGUGGCGCCGACGUUUCUUAAGCCGAACGUCAUGGUCAGGUAGCAGAAGGCUCCAAACAGCGUGAUGAAGGCGGUCUUCUGUCUGUCAGCCGGGUUCAGCUUGAUCUGGUGAUAUCCUGAAUAUGCGUCUAGGAAACUCAACAGCUCGCAUCCGGCUAUGGAGUCUAUCACCUGAUCGAUUCUCGGCAGAGCAAAUGGGUCCUUGGGGCAAGCUUUGUUGAGGCUCGUGUAAUCAAUGCACAUCCGCCACUGCUUGUUCUUCUUCAGCACCAGUACUGGGUUUGCCAUCCACUCUGGAAAAAACACUUCCAUGAUGAAGCCGGCUGCCAGGAGCCGGGCUAUUUCUUCUCCAACAACUCUUCUUUUUUCUUCUAACAGGCGGCGCAAGGGCUGCUUGACGGGCUUCAUAUCAUACCGGACGUGUAAUUUGUGCUCGGCGAAUUCCGUCAGGACACCAGGCAUGUCCUUGGGGGACCAUGCGAAGAUGUCGCAAUUUUCACGGAGGAAAUCGACGAGCUCACCUUCCUAUUUGCUAUCAAGGCCUGUGCCCAUGACAGCGUAUCUCUCCGGGUCCAAUGGUAUCUUCUUUGUUUCUUUGGCCGGCUUGAAUGAUCCUUCUGCUUCCGACUCCUUGGGGUCGGGCGAUAACUCGGGCUGCUUGCCGGCCAUCGCCACGACCCGAUCAAGAAGCCGUUUCUCAGCCGCGAUCACCAAGGACUCGACCAGCUGACUGCUUUCGGCCGCGCAAGUGGACGACUUCCUGUAGUCGCCGAACACGGUUAGGAUUCCCUUGGAACUCGGCAUCUUCAUCUUAAGGUAGGCGUAGUGGGGGACCGCCAUGAACUUGGCCAAGGCGGGUCGGCCAAGCAAUGCAUGAUAUGGGCUUUCAAGGUCCACCACCUCAAACCAAAUUGGCUCUCGGCGGAAAUGAUCCUUGUCUCUGAAGAGGACAUCUAUCAGGAUGUUGCCGAUUGGUGAGCAGGAAAGGCUAGGGACGAUUCCGAGGAACACAGUCUGGCUGCUCUGAAGUUGUCUUCGCUUGAUUCCUAAUUUCUCCAUUGUAUCCUUGUACAGGAUGUUGAUACUGCUGCCUCCGUCUAUCAGUACUCGCGAGAAGCGAGCGGCCCGCCUAUCUGUGGCGAGUGUAGCGCCUAAGACCAAGGCGUAGGAGCCUGGACUCGGCAUCACCUCUGGGUGAUCAGCUCUGCUCCAACUGAUAGGCUUUUCGGACCAAUGAAUGAACUCUGGUGUACUUGACGCAACCGCAUUCACUUCUUGCUGCUGUUGGCGCCUGCUGCGUCGGUCAUCCGCUACACUUGUGAACACCACAUAGGCUCCAUGCUCAUCCAGGAACUCGUCUUGUAUCGCGCCGACUGGCCUGACGGCCGGCUGCUGGGGAGGCAGUGGAGGAGGCGGCCCAGCAGGAGGGGGAGGGAGCAGGCCGUCCCCCUUGGCGAUUCUGGUGAGCCAGUGGCAUUUCCUUGUGGUGUGGUUUGAGGGCUUCGCGCCGCUGUGGAUCUUGCAGGGACCGUCUAGAGUCUGCUCGUAGGAGAAAGCCGGCAGCCAGUUGGACUUGCCACCCUUCUGUCGCUUCGCCGGAGGCGGUCCCUCCAACUGCUGGUCCUCUGCUGUUGCCACUUGCCGACUGUUGGAAGUCGGCUGCGGGGCUUUGCGCUUCUGGUCAUUCUGCUGUUGCCGCCGACUGGUGUCUCCAGCCGGAGUUCUUGGAGCCUGAGGGGCGACUUUGCCAGUUGUGCUGACCCGAAUCUCCGUCUUCAUGGAGGAGUCGGCCCUGGCGUACUUGUCCGCUGUGAUCAGCAGGUCAUCAAGGGUCUCCGGCUUGUCGCAGAGGAGCUUGUGCUUGAGGAGGGUGCCUUCUCUGCACCCGGCAGUAAAGUACUCGAUGGCCUGCACCUCAUGCACGCCCUCGCAGGAGUUCCGGAGUUCGCCCCAGCGUGUGAGGUAGUCGCGAGUAGACUCGUCAGGGCCUUGCAUGCACAAGGAGAGUUGGCGUGGCUUGGGAGGUCGCUUGUACGUGCUGGUGAAGUUGCGGACGAAACCCUCGGUGAAGUCGACCCAGCCGUUGAUGCUGCGAGGCUUCAGACUGUUCAACCACGUCCGGGCCGAGCCCUGGAGCAUGAGCGGGACGUAUCUUACGGCAACACGCUUGUUGCCAUUCGCUAUGUUGACGACUAUAGAAUAGUCGAUCAGCCAAUCUUCCGGCUUCACGGUGCCGGUUUAUUUGGGCGUGUCUCGGGGGAGCGUGAACCCUUUGGGGAAGGGCUCAUCUCGGAUGCGGGGUCCAAAGCAGGGGGGACCCAACUCGUCUUCUUCUUCCAGCGCCAGGGAUCGGUGGAGUCGGUCGAUCCGGUGGCGGGUGUCGUUCUCUCCGACUCCCUCUCGGCGGCCAAGGCGGUCGCCGAGAGUCGGAUGUUCCACGAGCGGUGAGGAGACUCGCCUUUCUCUGCGAGGAGGGGGAGGCAGGUAGUCGUCCCACCGUUCCACCGCUUUGGGGCGGCCGUCCUGGUCGCGCUCGAUGGUAAUGUGAGUCUGACUGUGGCUGACAGCCGGCUCCUUGUCCUUCUUCCCACGGGCCCCGCCAGUCAGCAUCCGAGACGUCGCACCUUGGUCUCGGCGAGGCGGUGGGUCGUCGUUUUGGCGCUGCGGCGCCUCGGUGCGGCAGCCGGCAUCAUUCUGCAUGGCAGCCGCGUCGAGGAGCUGCUGAACUCGCUUCGUCAUUAUGCGGUGCUCUUCGCCUUCGAAGUUAUCGAGCUCGUCUGCUGCCGCCUGGGCGGCACGGAUAUUCUUUGCGGGCGUGGCAUACACAGGGCGAUCGGCCCCGAAGAGGUUGGCGAUUGCCGUGCCGCGCUAUCGGACCGCGCCUAGGCGGCUAGGACCGGUCGGAGCCGGCAAGCCGCCUACGGCGCGAUCCAUCUCGCGUUGGUAAGCUUCUGACAAGCGCCUCAUGCUUGCCAGCUUCUUCGCGCCCUCGACGAGCUGAAGGCGGAGCGCCUCCAGCGUCUCGGCGUCGGCGUCUUCCGGAAUCGGCGCUGCAAGGCCUCGCAGGGCCGCGUCAAGCGGGUCGUGCGCUCCUUCGCCGGAGCGCUCGCCGUGGUUGAGGAUGAGGACCUCAGUGAUGGUGCUUCCGCCGCUCCCCGCGUAAGGGAGCGGCUCGUCGUAGACCACCACGUUGGUGGGGAACGCGUUGAGCGACGCGGUGUCGGAGUCGACCAGCAUCGGGUCGGUGGAUCCUAUGGACUCCAGGUCCGCGGCAGGCUCGCCGGCGACGUGGAGUUGGUCGAGGAGGCCCGCGAGGAGGCUCACGGGGACACUCGUGCCUGCAUCGGACGCAGGCUCAUCAGAGAGGCGAACCUCGCCGAGAAGAUCGGCGAGGCAGCUGGCCGCACAGGCGAUCUCAGCGCCGUGCAGCGCGUCGGCACAGACGCCAUCCGGCGUGCCGGGCUGGCUGUGCUCGCCGGGGAGGAACAGGGUUCCCGUCCAGAGCAGAUCUCCGGACGACGGUGCACCUCGCCCCAUGGUGGGCGCCAAAUGUCAGUGGUUGGAUACGACAUAUGCCAAAGGAUGGCUUAUCAUGGUGGGAGCGAGUAGAACGUCGCCGGUGCCUGGAAGCGGGAUGAGGCGAAGACAUGCACGCCGGCGGAACUUACCCAGCUUCAGGGCUCUCCUAGGAGAUAACACCCCUACUACUGCUCUGCGGGGUCUCCGCAUAAUCAUUAAGGCAAAGUGACUACAAUGGUGCUCCUGGAGCUGUUUUGGGAGGCAUGAGAGGGCAAGGCUAGCUCUCUCCUCCCUGUGCUAUCUGGUCUAUCUCUAUCUAGGUCCGAACCCUUUGCAUGGGUGCCCUGGGGGGUUUAUAUAGGCCUACCCCCCGGGGGUACAAUAGUAAUCCGGCUAGGCGUGGGUCCCAGCCGUCUGUCUCUCAGGCCGCCGUCCUCCCCGCCGGCUUCUAGGGCCCGCCGACUAGCGGGUCCCGCUGACAGGCUUGAUACUGUAGCAGCACUCCUGAUGACGCAGGCUCGGUCAUUGGGUCAUGACAACAGUGCCGCCAUCUAUCGGGCGAUCACUGUCGCCAUUCCCCAUCCUAUCUGGUUAAUGGCUCGUGGGGCCCUGGGGAGGAGGCCGACUCCCACAGGUCCGUCUUCGGGGCGCUUAGGCCGCCUUAGGCCCACCCACUGACAGGCGCCCCGCCGCCUUCGGGUCGUAUAGGCCGGCGUCGUGGGCACAGUGCGUUGCGCACUGUGGCUGAGGUCAGGGCAGGCAUGGCAACAGUGCCGCGCCUUGCUGGAGAUCUUCCAGCGAUACGGCUCACUGUAGCCAUGCCGGCCCUUCGUAAGCAGGGGAGGAACGGCCACGCUGUGACCGUACCCCACAUCGUACUUCGACAUGAGGGAGGAGUCAUGGGCCGACUCUCCAUACUCGGCCUCUCUGGAGGUCGCCAGCUCGGAGUCGGCUUAUCUCGGAGUCGCCGUCUGGGACUCGGCUUGUCUUGGAGUCGCUCCUGGGACUCGGCUUGAGGGGCGCGGCCUGCCCCGAGUCUUGAAAGGUCCUGGGACUCGGGUUAGCCUACCCGUGGCCCAAUACCCCGACACCUACUUUUGACAUCAUAUAUGUCAUCUGCUUAGUUUAGACAUGUUCUGUAAUGCCACCUGUUUAGUUUCUAUAUCAUAUAUGGGAAUUAUGCAGUCUCAUGUCUUUUAGCCAGCCAUAAUAUAUGUGAAAUGUGCAAUGCCAUCCUAUUUAACCAGGCAUCAUAUAUUUGAAUGAUAUCAUGCCCAUCCUUUUCUUCAUUACAUUUCCAUUUGUCAACAAUGUUUGUACAUUAAACUACUCUUCCUGUGAAUCAGCCAUUUGGGUGGGAGAUGGAAAAAUCUGGAGUGAAAACAAGGCCUUCAGAGCAGACAGUGCUACCAGUCGAAGCAUAUCUCUUGUUGGGUCCCGAUAGCUCCUCAGAGAUGGAUUCAGAGACAGAUGACCAGUCCUAUUCCCCCACUGAGGUGUAUGCUCCAACUUGGCACGGUUAUACUGCUCAUAUCAUGCAUAUGGUGUCUUGCAUUGCAUAGUUUAGACAUCAUAUACACAAUAUUCAACACCAUGUUCUUAGUUCAGACAUCAUAUCAAAUGCCCUCUGUUUAGCAUAUAAAUCACAUAUGUGAAUUAAAUGAUGCGAUCUUGAUUACUUAGAUAACAUGUAGGUGAAUUAUGUCAUGCGAUCCUGUUUAGUUAUUCAUCAUAUCUUUGAAUUAUGUUAUGCUAUGCUAUCCAGUUUAGAUAGACAUCAUAUAUGUGAAAUUAUGUCAUGCUAUCCGUUUUAGUUAAACAACAUACAUGUCAACUAUUUCAUGCCCUCUUUUUUCCAUGCUAUCUAUUGCAUCUGUCUCUCAUACAAUGUCUGUACAUUCAACUAUGUUUCCUGUUUAUCAGCCAUUUGAAUUGGAGCGGGUGAUGCCAGUAUCUAGCGGACUAAAAACAUGGUCUUCAAAUAAAACAGUGCUACCUCUUGGUGGAGAUAGCACCCUGGUUGUACAUGCACAAGAACUAGCCCUACCACACAUAACCCAAACUCUUGCAGAUUGUACCCCUACUGCGAUGGACAGAGAACCAGCUUCACCCAAUCUAACCCCAACCCCAGCCCAUAGUAACCCAGUUCCUGUUGACACAUCACCAUCUCCACCACAGAGCUCCCAAACAAGAGCAGUUAGUAAGGCAGCUCCAGUGCCCAAAGGGUCAGUACUAUCACGGCGAACCCCAACUCCACCAGUUAGUAUUCCUAUUCCUGUGGAGGAAGCACAACUAGCUAGUCUUAGUUUAGCAUCUAUCGCAUUUGAUGUUGUUAAAUCGUAUGUGCGUAUCUUCCCAUCUUGGAAAUAUUAUACUAAUGAUGAAGGAAAAUGCCAGUUGCAGGUGUUUGUCCAGGAGUUAUGUGUAAGUAAUGUUAUUCAUGGCAAUUACUUUGCUUUGUCCCAUAUAUCCUACCUCCAUGAUGGUUAUAAUACAGCAAAUUUUCCCAUUUUUCUCUAUAGAGAAGGACCGAUUUGGAAACUCAGGAUGAGGUAACCUAUGCUAAUACCUCUGCUAUCUUCAAGAAUGCUUGGUGGCAGUAUUGGAAUUACCUGAAGAAAACGUACUUCAUCGGCAAAGAAACUCAUCAAAUUCCCCUACGUUCUCCUGAGACACAUUUACUGGACAAUGACUGGGAACACCUUGUUCUGUACUGGUCCCGAACAAAGAAUGUGGUAAGGUCUAUGAGCUCAUUUUCUAUUUUAAGUAUUAUAUUCUUACGUCUUACUGUACUCUGUUCAUGUAGAACAAGUGCCUAAACCUGAAGAACAACUGUUCUAAUUUAAGAUUCCAUUGCUAUCAUAGUUCAAAAAAGCGCUAUGCAUUAAUUGUGCGCUUUGCCACCGCCUUGCGCUUUACUGACCAAAGCGCAUGCUUAUGUGCAGUUAUGCACAGAUUAAGCGUAGUUAUGCGCAAUGCGUUUUGCCAACGCCUAGAGCCUAGGCGCGCUUAAGCGCUCGCUUAGGCGCGCCUUUUUUUAACUAUGAUUGCUUUGCUCUUGUAUCACAGUAUUUACUCAUACAAACUUACUUUUAAAUUGAAGGAUCCAAUCAAAACUCCAAUGGCACAUCAGGUAUGUUCACGCAUGUUUCUUUAACAGGUUUGCUCUUACCAAUAGCUCUGUUGAUUUCAAUUUCAGUUGUGUAUACAUUUAACUUUCAUAUCAUGCACAUUACUAGCAUCACAACAGAGCCAAUAGUGUUGUUGUACAUGUAGACCCGUGGUACCCAUCUAAAAUCUUGUUGUGCCAUGUAGUUUCCCACUUUCACUGCUGCUUUGUCUUGAACUGAUAUGAUUUGAACCGUGUCUCUAUUUUGAUUUGGCAAGACAAUGCAGUGACCAUAGGACAUAGAUAUAUGUUUGUUUGAUGCUUUUAUUAUGUACUAGUACUUGGCAAUAGAAGACUUGGUAGUUUAAUCCUGUCCACCUUACUAAUGAACUGGUUCACCGAAAUGAGUUUCAUAUACUAGUACAUGCUAAACUUGUCAUGUGUUGCACAAGCUAUUCAAACUAACUGUCUGAAUCAGUUCGGUUUCUUAAGUCUCAACUACAAGCUGAAAGACAUCGAUCAGCUGUGCUGCGACAAGAAGUGGAAGGACGCGGAAGUCCCUGGAGCAUUCAGAUGCAUACUUUCUGGUGCAACAGCAAGCGUUGGAGGAUUUUAGCGCCAAACAGGACAAAGCUAAUAAGCUUGCUAAGAUUAUUGCCAGCAUGGUGGAUACCCAGGAUAACGUUUCUUGAGCUCUUCUGAAGUUGUUUCAGUUAUGCUCUUGUUUUGCUGCCACAUUUAUUUGCACUGAUGGCCAAUUUUGACGGCCAGUGUAUGUAAAUAUGCUGCUUUGUUCCCUAUAUUUGCAUUGGUGGCGAACUUUGAUGCCCAGUGGAUGUAAUAUGUGUAAUAGCGGUAAUAGGCUAGCAUUAAUUGCUUGCUUAUUUAUUUCCUUAUUGUCUUGUUUAGUUGUUUGCUUGUAGUCACUGCAGUUCUUUUUCUUUGUUUUUCUAGUGGCCACAAUAGUCUAUUUUUGGUAACUAGGCCAAAAUAAUCAUGGAAACACACGGACUGUUGUAACCAUGGGCCUCCUGCGGGCCAUAUGAUCCAUGGGCCUUCUUCCGGCCGUAGGAUCCAUUGGCCUUCUAUAUGGGCCGUAGGAUCCAUUGGCCUUCUAUAUGAGCCUUAGGAUUCAUGGGCCUUCUACAGGCCGUAGGGUCCAUGGGCCUUCUACGGGCCGUACGAUCCAUGGGCCUUCUACGGGCCGUACUAUCCAUGGGCCUCAUACGGGACGUAGGACCCAUGGGCCUUCUACGGGGCGUAUCAUCAUUUCGCCAAUCAUGGGCCGUACUAUUCGUGGACCAUAACGGGCCGUUAAUAGGCCGUAUUUGAUAACUCUAUGAAAACAGCCCAAUGAUUUUUUUGACAUGAAAACGCCCAACGUAUUCGGUCCACAAACGGGCCGACUGUAACGACGGGCUGAAUUUGGCCCACAAGCAGAAAAUGAUAGUAACGGGCCAUAUGUAACCGAAUGCUGCAAAUGAGCCCAAGAAUCAAUGGGCCCUGAGAAGGCCGAAAGAUAACUUGGGGCUGGAAACGGCCCAAUGGAAUAACAGGCUGUUAAUGGGUAUAAAGUGAUACACUGUUCAUUACGGGCCAGCUUCACCACGGGCCGUUAAUGGGCCAAGAGUUACAAAGGGCCUCAUAUGGGCCGAAAGAAGUCAUGGGCCACACAUGGGCUGGAAGUUAAAACGGGCUGGAAUCAUAUUGGACGGCCCAGAUGACGCUAUUGGGCCUAAUUCGGAGAGGUCGUAAUGGGCCCUGGGUUAGCGAACUAUAAAUGGGCUAUAUGCAAACAUGCCGUUAACAGGCUUUCCGUGGGGCGGCCCGCCACCUUUUGACCAAGUCAAACAGGCCGGCCUUUUCACAGGAAUGGGCCUCUGUUGGGCCGUGCCACGUGUCUCCAUAUCAUAGGCGCCUUCGGUCCAAUGAGUGGAUGACAUCUGUCCCAACAGUGAGCCGACACGUGUUUCCUCCAGCCAAUGAUGAUUUUACAUGUGGAAAUUCCCCAUUGGUCGGGGCUGUUAACGGGUUAUCGGAUCCAAAACCAGACCCGAUAGCUUAACACCGUUCCGUUACGGUGGAUGCCAUGUGUCGGUAACCCUUGACGAAAGCACUUCUACGACGCGCGAUUUAUCGUCAUGGAAGUGGACACUUCUGUGAUGAUAAUUUUGGUAAUGUCAUGGAACACUUCUACGACAGCACAUGUAUGACUAUCUUGAUUCUGUCAUAAAAUCGUCAUGGAUGUACAUGCAUGACAAAAAACGCGACCUACUGUGACAAACAUGUAUCAUCACGGAAGUGUAUUUUUUUGUAGUGGUUGCGGAUGAUUAUACCAUUCUCAUCUUGCUUGUUAUUGAAAAUCCAUUUGGUUCCAAUGACAUUGUGUUUCGUAGUUGGCCUCCUGACUAACGACCACACUUGGUUACAUUCAAAACUGUUCAACUCUUCUUGCAUAGCAAUGAGCCAAUCGUUGUCCAUGAAUGCUUCGUGUACCUUGAGAGGCUCAACACUAGACACAAACGAGAAGUGAGCACAAAAGUUUGUCAAUUGUUUACAAGUGACUCUACCUUCCGAUAUGCCAGUGAGAAUUUUAUCAACAUGAACACAACCGGCCACUCGAGGCAUGAUGGAGGUUAAGGUUUCACGAGGUUCAACUUCAUGUCCAUCAUCCACGUCCUCAACAUAUGGAUCAUUAAUUUGUGGUGGAAGAUCUUCUUCUUCAUAUCGCAUUUGUUGAGCUUCAUUAUCAAUGAUUUCACCUUCUUGUUCUUGCCCUUGAUGAUGAACUUGUUCUUGAAUAUUAUCAUGAAGAGGGACUUGAACAUCUUCUUGUACUUUGACUACGGGCAUUGGUUGAGUAGUAGGAGCUUGAGGAGGUAUGGGUGUUGGAGUGGUUUGAUGAUGUGUGAAGCUUACAUCUUCUUCCUCAUCAUCAUGAGGUUAUUGUUCCAUUGGAAGAAGUGCACCAACACCCAUGGUCAAAAUAUCUUGAGAAGAAUCUUCUUCACCUACAUAACUUAGAUCAACUUGCACCUAAUGGGAGCCAUUAAAUUCAUCAAACACCAUGUCACAAGUUUCUACAACACAUCCAGUGGAUUUGUUGUAGACUCUAUAGGCGUGAGAGUUUGAUCCAUAACCAACAAAUAUGCCCUCAAUUGUUUUGGAUUGGAAUUUUCCUAAACAUUCUCUUUUGUUGAGGAUGAAACAUUUGCACCCAAAUACAUUAAAGUACUUGACAUUCGGCUUGUUCCCAGUUAGGAGAUCAUAUGGAGUCUUUUCCAAUAUAGUGCGGAGGAAGAGCCAGUUUGAUGCAUGGCAUGCAGUGUUGACAGCCUCGGCCCAAAAACUAUAUGGCGACUUGUAUUCAUCCAACAUGGCCCUUUCCAUCUCCACAAGUGUAUGGUUCUUCCUUUCGGCUACACCAUUUUGUUGAGGAGUGUAUGGAGCAGAAUAUUGAUGCUCAAUCCCUUCAUCACUAAGAAAUUCUUCCAAGGUGUAGUUCUUGAACUCAGAGCCAUUAUCACUCCUUAUUGCCAAGAUGUCUUUAUCAAACUUGCGUUGUGCUUGCUUGGCAAAAUCAAUGAAGGUGAUCUUAUUCUCGUCCUUGGAUAUUAGAAAAAACAGCCAUGUAUACCUUGAGUAAUCAUCAACAAUGAUAAACCCAUACUUUUUCCCACCAAGACUAUCCCAUGAAGGAGGCCCAACAAGAUCCACAUGAAGGAGCUCCAAAGGCCUUGAAGUAGACACGAUAUUCUUGGGUGGGUGCUACCUCUUGAGCAUGCAUUGGUUUUCCCUUGAAGAGGAAAGGGUGAUGCAGCAAAUUAGCAUAAGUAUUUCCCUCAGUUUUGAGAACCAAGGUAUCAAUCCAGUAGGAGACGACACACAAGUCACCUAGCACCUACACAAACAAUCAAGAACCUUGCAACCAACGCAAUAAACGGGUUGUCAAUCUCUUGCUACCUCUUGAGCACAGCGUUGGUUUUCCCUUGAAGAGGAAAGGGUGAUGCAGCAAAGUAGCAAAAGUAUUCCCUCAAUUGUUGAGAACCAAGGUAUCAAUCCAGUAGAAGGCUCCUCAAAAGUCCCACGCACCUACACAAACAAACAAGAACCUCGCAACCAACGCGAUAAAGGGGUUGUCAAUCCCAUCACGGAAACUUGCAAAAGUGAGAUACAAUAGAGAUAAUAAGAUAAGAUAACUAUUUUUGGUAUUUUUAUGAUAUAGAUUGGAAUGUAAAGAUUGCAAAUAAAAGUAGACUGGAAACUUAUAUGAUAAAAGAUAGACCCGGGGGCCAUAGGUUUCACUAGUGGCUUCUCUCAAGAUAGCAUAAGUAUUAUGGUGGGCGAACAAAUUACUAUCGAGAAAUUGAUAGAGAAGUGCAUAGUUAUGAGAAUAUCUAGGCAUGAUCAUGUAUAUACGCAUCACAUCCGCAACAAGUAGAUCGAAACGAUUAUGCAUCUACUACUAUUACUCCACACAUCGACCGAAUCUUGCCUGCAUCUAGAGUAUUAAGUUCAUAAGAACAGAGUAACACAUUAAGAAAGAUGACAUGAUGUAGAGGGAUAAACUCAAGCAAUAUGAUAUAAAACCCAUCUUUUUAUCCUCGAUGGCAACAAUACAAUACAUGCCUUGCUUCCCCUGCUGUCACUGGGAAAGGACACCGCAAGAUUGAACCCAAAGCUAAGCACUUCUCCCAUUGCAAGAAAGAUCAAUCUAGUAGGCCAAACCAAACUGAUAAUUCUAAGGGACUUGCAAAGAUAACCAAUCAUACAUAAAAGAAUUCAGAGAAGAUUCAAUUAUUUCGCAUAGAUAAACUUGAUCAUAAACCCAUAAUUCAUCGGAUCUCGAAAAACACACCGCAAAAAGAGUUACAUCGAAUAGAUCUCCAACAAGAUCAAGGAGAACUUUGUAUUGCGAUUCAAAGAGAGAGAAGAAGCCAUCUAGAUAAUAACUAUGGACCCCAAGGUCUAUGGUAAACUACUCACAACUCAUCGGAGAGGCCUUGGAGAUGAUGUAGAGCCCCUCCGUGGUCGAUUCCCCCUCUGGCGGAGCGCUGGCGAAUGCUUCAAGAUGGGAUCUCACGGAUACAGGAGGUUGCGGCGGUGGAAUUAGGUUUUCGUGGUGCUCUUGGAUGUUCUCGGGGUAUGUGGAUAUAUAUAGGCGAAGGAGGUAGGUCAGGGGAGCCACGAGGGGCCUGCGAGGGUGGGGGGCGCGCCCACCCUCCUAGGGCGUGCCCUCCUGCCUCGUGGCUGCCUGGGUUGCUUCUUGACGUCCACUCCAAGUCUCCUGGAUUGCGUUUGUUCCAAAAAGAUCACUCCCAAAGGUUUCAUUCUGUUUGGACUCCGUUUGAUAUUCCUUUUCUUCGAAACACUUAAAUAGGCAAAAAAACAACAAUUCGGGCUAGGCCUCCGGUUAGUAGGUUAGUCCCAAAAAUGAUAUAAAAGUGUAAAUUAGAGCCCAUAAACAUCCAAAACGGGUAAUAUAAUAGCAUGGAACAAUAAAAAAAGUUAUAGAUACAUUGGAGACGUAUCAAGCAUCCCCAAGCUUAAUUCCUGCUCGUCCUCGAGUAGGUAAACGAUAAAAACAAAUUUUUUGAUGUGGAAUGCUACCUAGCAUAAUUCUCAAUGUAAUUUUAUUUAUUGUGGCAUGACUGUUCAGAUCCAAAUGAUUCUAAAUAAAAGUUCAUAUUGACAUAACAACAAUAAUACUUCAAUCAUAAUAAUAAAGGAAUCAUGUCUUCUCAAAAUAACAUGGCUAAAUAAAGCUAUCCCUACAAAAUCAUAUAGUCUGGCUAUGCUCUAUCUUCAUCACACAAAGUAUUUAAUCAUGCACAACCCCGAUGACGAGCCAAGCAAUUGUUUCAUACAUUAGUAUUCUCAAAAAAUUUCAACCUUCACGCAAUACAUGAGCGUGAGCCAUGGACAUAGCACUAUAUGUGGAAUAGAAUGGUGAUUGUGGAGAAGACAAAAAGGGAGAAGAUAGUCUCACAUCAACUAGGCGUAUCAACAGGCUAUGGAGAUGCCCAUUAAUAGAUAUCAAUGUGACUGAGCAGGGAUUGCCAUGCAAUGGAUGCACUAGAGCUAUAAAUGUAUAAAAGCUCAACAAAAGAAACUAAGUGGGUGCGCAUCCAACUCACUUGCUCACGAAGACCUAGGGCAUUUUGAGGAAGCCCGUCAUUGGAAUAUACAAGCCAAGUUCUAUAAUGAAAAAUUCCCACUAGUAUAUGAAAGUGACAACAUAGGAGACUCUUGAUACGUCUCAAACGUAUCUAUAAUUUUUGAUUGCUCCAUGCUACUUUAUUUACUGUUUUGGACUAUAAUGGGCUUUAUUUUCCACUUUUAUAUUAUUUUUGGGACUAACCUAUUAACCGGAGGCCCAGCCUAGAAUUGCUGUUUUUUUGCCUUUUUCAGUAUUUCAAAGAAACAGAAUAUCAAACAGAGUCCAAACGGAAUGAAACCUUCGGGAACGUGAUUUUCUCAUCAGAUAAGAUCCAGGAGACUUGGACCCUCCGUCAAGAAAGCCACGAGGCGGUCACGUGGGUGGAGGGCGCGCCCCUCCCCCCUGGGCGCGCCCCCUACCUUGUGGGCCCCUCGAAGCUCCACCGACGUACUCCUUCCUCCUAUAUAUACCUACGUACCCCCAAACGAGCAGGGGGAGCAAAAAAACCUAAUUCCACCGCCGCAACCUUCUUUAUCCACGAGAUCCCAUCUUGGGGCCUGUUCCGGAGCUCCGCCAGACGGGGCAUCCACCACGGAGGGCUUCUACAUCAUCACCAUGGCCCCUCCGAUGAAGUGUGAGUAGUUUACUUCAGACCUUCGGGUCCAUAGCUAGUAGCUAGAUGGCUUCUUCUCUCUUUUUGGAUCUCAAUACAAUGUUCUCCCCCUCUCUCGUGGAGAUCUAUUCAUUGUAAUCUUCUUUUUGCGGUGUGUUUGUUGAGACCGAUGAAUUGUGGGUUUAUGAUCCAGUAUUAUCUAUGGAAAAUAUUUGAUUCUUCUCUGAAUUCUUUUAUGUAUGAUUGAGUUAUCUUUGCAAGUCUCUUCGAAUUAUCCGUUCGGUUUGGCCAACUAGAUUGGUAGUUCUUGCAAUGGGAGAAGUGCAUGGCUUUGGGUUCAAUCUUGCAGUGUCCUUACUCAGUGACAAAAAGAGUUGCAAGGCACGUAUUGUAUUGUUGCCAUCGAGGAUAACAAGAUGGGUUUUUUAUCAUAUUGCAUGAUUUUAUCCCUCUACAUCAUGUCAUCUUGCUUAAGGCGUUACUCUGUUUUUACUUAAUACUCUAGAUGCAUGCUGGAUAGCGGUCGAUGAGUGGAGUAAUAGUAGUAGAUGCAGAAUCGUUUCGAUCUACUUGUCUCAGAUGUGAUGCCUAUAUACAUGAUCAUUGCCUAGAUAUACUCAUAACUAUGCUCAUUUCUGUCAAUUGCUCAACAGUAAUUUGUUCACCCACCGUAGAAUACUUAUGCUCUCGAGAGAAGCCACUAGUGGAACCUAUGGCCCCCGGGUCUAUUCUCAUCAUAUCAAUCUAUAUCCCUUUAUUUACUUGCUUUGUUUUUUACUUUACUUUUACUUUUUACUUUGCAUCUAUCUAUCAAAAAUACCAAAAACAUUAUCUCUAUCAGAUCUCACUCUCGUAAGUGACCGUGAAGGGAUUGACAACCCCUAAGCGUUGGUUGCGAGUUGCUAUCGUGUUGUGCAGGUAUGAGGGACUUGCGCGUGACCUCCUACUUGAUUGAUAUCUUGGUUCUAAAAAAAUGAGGGAAAUACUUAUGCUACUAUGCUGCAUCAUCCUCUCCUCUUCGGGGAAAACCAACGCAAGCUCGAGAUGUAGCAAGAAGAAUUUCUAGCGCCGUUGCCGGGGAGGCUUACGCAAAAGUCAACAUACCAAGUACCCAUCACAAUCCCUAUCUCUCGCAUUACAUUAUUUGCCAUUUGCCUCUCAUUUUCCUCUCCCCCACUUCACCCUUGCCACUUUAUUCACCCUGUCUUUCCCUAUCUCCUCCUCUCUUUCCCGUUUGCCUUGUCAUUAUGUCAAGUUCUUUUUCCGCUCCUAUGUCCCCCGAGUUUGAAGUUCUUCACUUCAAGCAAAGGCAAGGAGAAAAUUUAAAAGAUGCUUGGUAUAGGAUGAUGGAAUCUUAUCGCAAGUGCACCCUAGAGGUGAACUUUAGAAUUCUUCUUCAUAAUUUUUAUGUUGGGUUAAAUAUGACGCAUAGACAACUCUUGGAUUGCAUUGCCAAGGGAAAUUUCAUUGAGAUUGAUCCCAGUAUUGCGCAUGAAAUUAUAGAGGGAAUAGUGGAACACUACCUCAAAAUGGAGGAUCACAUCCUACCCAAGGAGAAACCCAAGUGUUUGAGAAGACUUGCGAAGUAACAAUUUUUUUACAAAAGUCUCUUGAGCCUCUUAAAAGUGUUAGCGGAAAUCUUCACCGCAUGAAUAUGUUGAUUACUCUUUGCAAUAAGCAGUUGGAUUCUUUAGAUCUAAAAAUUUCCGAGUAUGAAGGGAAGAGGAAAGAACCUCCCGGAUUCGAGCAUGACUCCACCAAAAAACUGAAAAUUAAAGAUGACACUACCUAGAUCUAUCCUUGCUUUUAUGCCUAGCUAGGGGCGUUAAACGAUAGCGCUUGUUGGGAGGCAACCCAAUUUUAUUUUGUGUUUUUUGUUUUUGCUUAUGUUUAGGAAUAAAUAAUCCACUACCUUCUGUUUGGAUGUGGUUUUAUGUUUUAAUUAGUGUUUGUGCCAUGUAAGACCUAUAGGAUAACCUACGAUGAUAGUUGAUUUGAUUCUGCUGAAAAACAGAAACCUUAGUGCUCACGAGAUUAGCUGCCAUUUUUUACUGGAGAGUCAUUUUGCGUUGAUUCUUUUUUAUGAUGAUAAAUAAACAAAUUGUCCAGGACUUCCUAUUUUGGUAGAAUUUUUAGAUUUCCAGAAGAUUGCGUUAGUUACAUAUUACUACAGAUUGUUCUGUUUUUGACAGAUUCUGUUUUUCGUUUGUUGUUUGCUUAUUUUGAUGAAUCUAUGGCUAGUAAAUUAGUUUAUAAACUAUAGAGAAGUUGGCAUACAGUAGGUUUAACACCAAUAUAAAUAAAGAAUGAGUUCAUUACAGUACCUUGAAGUAGUCUUUUGUUUUCUUUCUCUAACGGAGCUCACGAGAUUUCUGUUGAGUUUUGUGUUGUGAAGUUUUCAAGUUUUGGGUGAAUUCUUUUGAUGGAUUACGGAACAAGGAGUGGCAAGAGCCUAAGCUUGGGGAUGCCCGUGGCACCCCUAAUAUAAUCCAAGGACACCAAAAAGUCAAAUCUUGGGGAUGCCCCGGAAGGCAUCCCCUCUUUCGUCCACUUCCAUCGGUAAUUUACUUGGAGCUAUAUUUUUAUUCACCAACAUGAUAUGUGUUUUACUUGGAGCGUCUUGUAUUAUUUGUGUCUUUGCUUGUUAGUCUACCACAAUCAUCCUUCCUGUACACACCUUUUGAGAGAGCCAUACAUGUUUUGGAAUUUGUUAGAAUACUCUAUGUGCUUCACUUGUAUCUUUUGAGCUUGAUAUUUUUGCUCAUAGUGCUUCACUUAUAUUCUUUUGAGCGUGAUAAUUUUUGCUCUAGUGCUUCACUUAGAUCUUUUUGAGCACGGUGGUGGAUUUGUUUUAAAGAAACUUGAUCUCUCAUGCUUCACUUAGAUUAUUUUCAAAGUCUUUAAUAGCAUGGUAAUUUGCUUAAUGUUAAUAUACUUGGUAUUCAAGAUGUGUGAAACUUUCUUUUGAGUGCGUUGAAUACUAAGAUAAGUUUGAUGCUUGAUAAUUGUUUUGAGAUAUGGAGGUGAUAAUAUCAAAGAUGUGCUAGUUGGGUGAUUAUGAAUUCAAAGAAUUCUUGUGUUGAAGUUAGAAAAUCCCGUAGCAUGCACGUAUGGUUAAAGUUAUGUAACAAAUUUGAAACAUGAAGUGUACCUGGCUUGUUCAUCCUUAUGAGUGGCGGUCGGGGACGAGCGAUGGUCUUUUCCUAUGAAUCUAUCCCCCUAGGAGCAUGCGCGUAGUAUUUGAAUUUUUGAUGACUUCUAAAUUUUUGCAAUAAGUAUAUGAGUUCUUUUGACUAAUGUUGAGCCCAUGGAUUAUACGCACUCUCACCCUUCUGCCUUUGCUAGCCUCUUCGGUACCGUGCAUUGCCCUUUCUCACCUUGAGAGUUGGUGCAAACUUCGCCGGUGCAUCCAAACCCCGUGAUACGAUACGCUCUAUCACACAUAAACCUCCUUAUAUCUUCCUCAAAACAGCCACCAUACCUACCUAUCAUGGCAUUUCCAUAGCCAUUCCGAGAUAUAUUGCCAUGCAACUUCCACCAUCAUCAUCGUGACAUGCAUUACUUUUGUCAUAUUGCCAUUGCAUGAUCUUGUAGUUGACAUUGUAUUUGUGGCAAAGCCACCAUGCAUUAUUUUUCAUACAUGUCACUCUUGAUUCAUUGCACCAUCCCGGUACACCACCGGAGGCAUUCAUAUAGAGUCAUAUCUUGUUCUAGUUUCGAGUUGUAAUUAAUAUGUUGUAAUGAAAGUGUGAUGAUCAUCAUUAUUAGAGCAUUGCCCAAAAAAAGGAGAAAGGCCAAAAGAAAAAAAGAAAGUCCCCAAAAAAGGGGCAAUGCUACUAUCUCAUUUUCCACACUUGUGCUUCAAAGUAGCACCUUGUUCUUCAUGUAGUCAGUCUCAUAUAUUGUGCUUCAAAGUAGCACCUAGUUUUUCAUGUAGUGAGUCUCAUAAGUUGUCUUUUUAUACUAGUGGGAAUUUUUCAUUAUAGAACUUGGCUUGUAUAUUCCUACGAUGGGCUUCCUCAAAUGCCCUAGGUCUUCGUGAGCAAGCAAGUUGGAUGCACACCCACUAGUUUUCUUUUGUUGAGAAUUCAUAGCUCUAGUGCAUCCGUUGCAUGGCAAUCCCUACUCGCUGUUUUUUGCAUUUUUCAGUAUUUCGAAGAAACAGAAUAUCAAACGGAGUCCAAACGGAAUGAAACCUUCGGGAACGUGAUUUUCUCAUCAGAUAAGAUCCAGGAGACUUGGACCCUCCGUCAAGAAAGCCACGAGGUGGUCACGAGGGUGGAGGGCGCGCCCCUCCCCCCUGGGCGCGCUCCCUACCUCGUGGGCCCCUCGAAGCUCCACCGACGUACUCCUUCCUCCUAUAUAUACCUAUGUACCCCCAAACGAUCAGGGGGGAGCAAAAAAACCUAAUUCCAACGCCGCAACCUUCUGUAUCCACGAGAUUCCAUCUUGGGGCCUGUUCCGGAGCUCCGCCGGAGGGGGCAUCCACCAUGGAGGGCUUCUACAUCAUCACCAUGGCCCCUCCGAUGAAGUAUGAGUAGUUUAGUUCAGACCUUCGGGUCCAUAGCUAGUAGCUAGAUGGCUUCUUCUCUCUUUUUGGAUCUCAAUACAAUGUUCUCCCCCUCUCUCGUGGAGAUCUAUUCGAUGUAAUCAUCUUUUUGCAGUGUGUUUGUUGAGACCGAUGAAUUGUGGGUUUAUGAUCCAGUAUUAUCUAUGGAAAAUAUUUGAUUCUUCUUUGAAUUCUUUUAUGUAUGAUUGAGUUAUGUUUGCAAGUCUCUUCGAAUUAUCCCUUUGGUUUGGCCAACUAGAUUGGUAGUUCUUGCAAUGGGAGAAGUGCAUGGCUUUGGGUUCAAUCUUGCGGUGUCCUUACUCAGUGACAAAAAGAGUUGCAAGGCACGUAUUGUAUUGUUGCCAUCGAGGAUAACAAGAUGGGGUUUUUAUCAUAUUGCAUGAAUUUAUCCCUCUACAUCAUGUCAUCUUGCUUAAGGCAUUACUCUGUUUUUACUUAAUACUCUAGAUGCAUGCUGGAUAGCGGUCGAUGAGUGGAGUAAUAGUAGUAGAUGCAGAAUUGUUUCGAUCUACUUGUCUCGGACGUGAUGCCUAUAUACAUGAUCAUUUCCUAGAUAUACUCAUAACUAUGCUCAGUUCUGUCAAUUGCUCAACAGUAAUUUGUUCACCUACCGUAGAAUACUUAUGCUCUCGAGAGAAGCCACUAGUGAAACUUAUGGCCCCCAGGUCUAUUCUCAUCAUAUCAAUCUAUAUCACUUUAUUUACUUGCUUUGUUUUUACUUUACCUUUACUUUUUACUUUGCAUCUAUCUAUCAAAAAUACCAAAAACAUUAUCUCUAUCAGAUCUCACUCUCGUAAGUGACCGUGAAGGGAUUGACAACCCCUAAGCGUUGGUUGCGAGUUGCUAUCGUGUUGUGCAGGUACGAGGGACUUGCGCGUGACCUCCUACUGGAUUGAUACCUUGGUUUUCAAAAACUGAGGGAAAUACUUACGCUACUGUGCUGCAUCAUCCUCUCCUCUUCGGGGAAAACCAACGCAAGCUCGAGACGUAGCAACUCUCUAUCAUGAAGAUCAUGGUGCUACUUUGAAGCACAAGUGUGGUAAAAUGAUAGUAGCAUUGUCCCUUCUCUAUUUUUCUCUCAUUUUUUUCUCUUUUUUCUCCUUUUCCUUUCUAUUUUUUUCUUUCUAUUUUUUUCUUUCUUUUUUUCUCUCUUUUUUCUUUGGCCUUUCUCUUUUUAUUUGGCCUUUCUCCUUUUUUUUAUAAAGUCCGAAGUCUCAUCCCGACCUGUGGGGGAAUCAUAGUCUCCAUCAUCCUUUCCUCACUUGGGACAAUGCUCUAAUAAUGAGGAUCAUCACACUUUUAUUUACUUACAACUCAAGAUUACAACUCGAUACUUAGAACAAAAUAUGACUCUAUAUGAAUGCCUCCGGCCGUGUACCGGGAUAUGCAAUGAAUCAAGAGUGACAUGUAUGGAAGAAUUAUGAAGGUGGCUUUGCCACAAAUACGAUGUCAACUACAUGAUCAUGCAAAGAGCAAUAUGACAAUGAUGAUGCGUGUCAUAAUAAACGGAACGGUGGAAAGUUGCAUGGCAAUAUAUCUUGGAAUGGCUAUGGAAAUUCCAUAAUAGGUAAGUAUGGUGCCUAUUUUGAGGAAGGUAUAUGGUGGGUGUAUGGUACCGGCGAAAGUAGUGAGGCACAAGAGAGGGUAGCAAUGGUGGAAGGGUGAGAGUGCGUAUAACCCAUGGACUCAACAUUAGUCAUAAAGAACUCAUAUACUUAUUGCAAAAAUCUACAAGUCAUUGAAAACAAAGUACUACCCGCAUGCUCCUAGGGGGAUAGAUUGGUAGGAAAAGACCAUCGCUCGUCCCCGACCGCCACUCAUAAGGAAGACAAUCAAUAAAUAAAUUAUGCUCCAACUUCAUCACAAAGCGGGUCACCAUACGUGCAUGCUACGGGAAUCACUAACUUCAACACAAGUAUUCCUCAAAUUCAUAAUUACUCCACUAGCAUGACUCUAAUAUCACCAUCCUCAUAUCUCAAAACAAUUACCAAGCAUCAAAUUGAUCAUAGCAUCCAAUUCACUUUCUAUGAUAGUUUUUAUUAUACCCAACUUGGAUGCUCUUCAUUCUAGGACCAAUUUUAUAACCAUAGAAAAUACCAUGCUGUUCUAAAAGACUCUCAAAAUGAUAUAAGUGAAUCACUAGACAUCAACAAUUUCUACAAAAUUAAACCACCUCCGUGCUCUAAAAGAUAUAAGUGAAGCACUAGAGCAACAUUAUCUAGCUCAAAAGAUAUAAGUGAAGCACAUAGAGUAUUCUAAUAAAUUCCAAAUCAAGUGUGUCUCUCCCAAAAUGUGUGUACAGCAAGGAUGAUUAUGGAAAACUAAAAAGCAAAGACUCAUAUCAUACAAGACGCUCCAAGCAAAACACAUAUCAUGUGGUGAAUAAAAAUAUAGCUCCAAGUAAAGUUACCGAUAAACGAAGACGAAAGAGGGGAUGCCUUCCGGGGCAUCCCCAAGCUUAGGAAUUGGGUUGUCCUUGAAUUUCUUGGGGUGCCUUGUUCAUCCCCAAGCUUAGGGUCUUGCCACUCCAUAUUCCAUAGUCCAUCAAAUCUUUACCAAAAACUUGAAAACUUGACAACACAAAACUCAACAGGAAAUCUCAUAUGCUCCGUUAGUGCAAGAAAGAAAAACCACCACAUAAGGUUCUGUAAUGAACUAAUUUUUUAUAUAUAUUGGUGUGAAACCUACUGUAUUCCAACUUCUCUAUGGUUCAUACUCCCCGAUACUAGCCAUAGAUGCAUCUAAAUAAGCAAACAACACACGAAAAACAGAAUCUGUCAAAAACAGAAGAGUCUGUAGCAAUCUGUAACUUUCGAAUACUUCUGGAACUCUAAAACUCCUAAAAAAAUAUGUAGUGCUGGGCAAUUUGUCUAUUGAUAUACUUCAAAAGGAAUCAACGCAAAAACACAUUUUUGUGAUUUAUUAAAAUUAUUCUCGCGCGCGCAAGAGUUUCUGUUUUUCAGCAGAAUCAAAUUAACUAUCAUCGUAGGUUAUCCUAUAGGUUCUACUUGGCACAAACACUAAUUAAAACAUAAAACCACAUCUAAACAGAGGCUAGAUGAAAUAUUUAUUACUAAACAGAAGCAAAAAGCAAGGAACUAAAAUAAAAUUGGGUUGCCUCCCAACAAGCGCUAUCGUUUAGCGCCCCUAGCUAGGCAUAAAAGCAAGAGUAGAUCUAAGUAUUGCCAUCUUUGGCAUUCAAUUCAUAAGUAGCUCGCAUGAUAGAUUCAUAAGGUAAUUUGACUUUAUUUCUAGGGAAGUGUUCCAUGCCUUUCCUUAGUGGAAAUUGGAAUCUAAUAUUCCCUUCCUUCAUAUAAAUAAUUGCACCAAUCGUUCUAAGGAAAGCUCUACCAAGAAUAAUAGGACAUGAAAGAUUGCAAUCUAUAUCAAGAAUGAUAAAAUCUAUGGGCAGAUAAUUCUUAUUUGCAACAAUAAGAACAUCAUUGAUCCUUCCCAUAGGUUUCUUAAUGGUGGAAUCCGCAAGGUGCAAGUUUAAAGAGCAAUCAUCAAAAUCAUGAAAACCUAGCACAUCACAUAAAUUUUUUGGAAUUGUGGAAACACUAGCAACCAAAUCACACAAAGCAUAGCAUUCAUGAUCUUUAAUUUUAUUUUAUAGUAGGUUCCCACUCAUCAUAAAGUUUUCUAGGUAUAGAAACUUCCAAUUCAAGUUUUUCCUCAUAAGAUUACAUCAAGGCAUCAACAAUAUGUUUGGUAAAAGCUUUAUUUUGACUAUAAGCAUGAGGAGAAUUCAACACGGAUUGCGACAAGGAAAUACAAUCUAUUAAAGAACAAUUAUCAUAAUUAAAUUCCUUUAAAUCCAUAAUAGUGGGUUCAAUGCUAUGUAAAGUUUUGACCUCUCCAAUCCCACUUUUACCAAAUUUAGCAUCAAGAUCUAAAAACUCCGAAUCAUUGGGACGCCUUUUAACUAAAGUUGACUCAUAUCCAGCCCCAUCAUUAUCAAGAUUCAUAUUGCAAAACAAAGAUUUAAUAGGGGACACAUCAAUAACUUUUAGAUCUUCAUCAUUAUUUUCAUGGAAACUAGAAGAACACGCUUUUACAAAGCAAUCUUUCUUAGCACGCAUCCCAGCGGUUCUUUCUUUGCACUCAUCAAUGGAAAUUCUCAUGGCUUUGAGAGACUCAUUGAUAUCAUGCUUAGGUGGAAUAGAUCUAAGUUUCAAAGAAUCAACAUCAAGAGAAAGUCUAUCAACGUUCCUAGCCAAUUUGUCAACUUUAAGCAAUUUUUCUUCAAGCAAAGCAUUGAAAUUCUUUUGAGAGAUCAUAAAUUCUUUAACACUAUUCUCAAAAUCAAAGGGCAUCUUAUUAAAAUUUCCAUAAGAGGUUGUAGGAAUUACCAUAAUUAUUAGAGGAAUUACUAGGAAACGGCCUAGGAUUAAAGUUUCCUCUAUACGCGUUGUUACCAAAAUUAUUCCUACCAACAAAAUUCACAUCUAUAGAUUCAUUAUUAUUCUCAAUCAAAGUAGACAAAGGCAUAUCAUUGGGAUCAAUAGGAGCACUCUUAGUAGCAAACAAUUUCAUAAGUUCAUCCAUCUUUCCACUCAAAACAUUAAUCUCUUCUAUAGCAUGCACUUUUUUACUAGUAGAUCUUUUGGUGUGCCAUUGAGAAUAAUUGACCAUAAUGUUAUCAAGAAGUUUAGUAGCUUCUCCUAAGGUGAUUUCCAUAAAAGUGCCUCCCGCAGCCGAAUCCAAGAGAUUUAUAGAAGCAUAAUUCAAUCCGGCAUAAAAGUUUUGUAUGAUCAUCCAUAAAUUCAAACCAUGAGUAGGGCAAUUGUGAAUCAUUAAUUUCAUUCUUUCCCAAGAUUGGGCAACAUGCUCAUGAUCAAGUUGUUUAAAAUUCAUAAUAUCAUUUCUAAGAGAGAUAAUCUUAGCGGGAGGAAAAUACUUAGAGAUAAAAGCAUCUUUGCACUUAUUCCAUGAAUCAAUACAGACGAAAACCAAGUUUUAGCACGAUCUCUAAGUGAAAUGGAAAUAACUUCAAUUUAACAAUAUCAUUAUUUGUAUCUUUCUUAUUUUGCAUAUUACACAAAUCAACAAAGUUGUUUAGAUGAGUAGCGGCAUCUUCACUAGGAAGGCCGGAGAAUUGAUCUUUCAUAACAAGAUUCAACAAAGCAACAUUGAUUUCACAAGAUUCAACAUCAUUAAGAGGAGCAAUUGGAGUGCUAAGGAAAUCAUUAUUAUUGGUAUUGAAAAAAAUCACACAAUUUGGUUUUAUCUUGCGCCAUCGUGACAAGAAAUCCAACACACAAGCACACAAGAGGCAAGUGAAAGAGAGUGGAGAACAGGAAAGAGAGGGCGAAUAAAAUGGCAAGGGUGAAGUGGGGGAGAGGAAACGAGAGGCAAAUGGCAAAUAAUGUAAUGCGAGGGAGAUGAGUUUGUGAUGGGUACUUGGUAUGUCUUGACUUGAGCGAAGACCUCCCCGGCAACGGCACCAGAAAUCCUUCUUCCUACCUCUUGAGCACUGCGUUGGCUUUUCCCUUGAAGAGGAAAGGGUGAUGCAGCAAAGUAGCAUAAGUAUUUCCCUCGGUUUUUGAGAACCAAGGAAUCAAUCCAGUAGGAGGCUCCUCAAAAGUCCCACGCACCUACACAAACAAACAAGAACCUUGCAACCAACGCGAUAAAGGGGUUGUCAAUCCCUUCACGAAAACUUGCUAAAGUGAGAUCUGAUAGAGAUAAUAAGAUAAGAUAAAUAUUUUUGGUAUAGAUUGGAAAGUAAAGAUGCAAAUAAAAGUAGAUGGAAAACUUAUAUGAUAAAAGAUUGACCCGGGGGCCAUAGAUUUCACUAGUGGCUUCUCUCAAUAUAGCAUAAGUAUUACGGUGGGUGAACAAAUUACUAUCGAGCAAUUGAUAGAAAAGUGCAUAGUUAUGAGAUUAUCUAGGCAUGAUCACGUAUAUAGGCAUCACGUCCGCAACAAGUAGAUCGAAACGAUUCUGCAUCUACUACUAUUACUCCACACAUCGACCGACUCCUGCCUGCAUCUAGAGUAUUAAGUUCACAAGAACAGAGUAACGCAUUAACAAAGAUGACAUGAUGUAGAGGGAUAAACUCAAGCAAUAUGAUAUAAACCCCAUCUUUUUAAACUUGAUGGCAACAAUACAAUACGUGCCUUGCUGCCCCUGCUAUCACUUGGAAAGGACACUGCAAGAUUGAACCCAAAGCUAAGCAUUUUUGCCAUUGCAAGAAAGAUCAAUCUAGUAGGACAAACCAAAUUGAUAAUUCGAAGAGACUUGCAAAGAUAACCAAUCACACAUAAAAAAAUUCAUAGGAGAUUCAAUUAUUUCUCAUAGAUAAACUUGAUCAUAAACCCACAAUUCAUCGGAUCUCGACAAACACACCACUAAAAGAGUUACGUCGAAUAGAUCUCCAAGAAGAUCAAGGAGAAUUUUGUAUUGAGAUUCAAAGAGAGAGAAGAAGCCAUCUAGCUAAUAACUAUGGACCCGAAGGUCGGUGGUAAACUACUAACAACUCAUCAGAGAGGCCUUGGAGAUGAUGUAGAGGCCCUCCAUGGUAGAUUCCCGCUCCAGCGGAGCACCGGCGAAGGCUCCAAGAUGGGAUCUCGUGGAUACAAAAGGUUGCGCCGGAGGGGAAUCGACCAUGGAGGGCCUCUACAUCAUCUCCAAGGCCUCUCCGAUGAGUUGUGAGUAGUUUACCAUAGACUUUCGGGUCCAUAGCUAUUAUCUAGAUGGCUUCUUCUCUCUUUUUGAAUCUCAAUACCAUGUUCUCAUUGAUCUUUUUGGAGAUCUAUUCGAUGUAACUCUUUUUGCGGUGUGUUUGUCGAGAUCCGAUGAAUUGUGGGUUUAUGAUCAAGUUUAUCUAUGAGAAAUAUUUGAAUCUCCUCUGAAUUCUUUUAUGUGUGAUUAAGUUAUCUUUGCAAGUCUCUUCGAAUUAUCAGUUUGGUUUGGCCUACUAGAUUGAUCUUUCUUGCAAUGGGAGAGGUGCUUAACUUUGGGUUCAAUCUUGCGGUGUCCUUUCCUAGUGACAGCAGGGGCAGCAAGGCACGUAUUGUAUUGUUGCCAUCGAGGAUAAAAAGAUGGGGUUUAUAUCGUAUUGCAUGAGUUUAUCCCUCUAUAUCAUGUCAUCUUUCUUAAUGUGUUACUCUGUUCUUUAUGAACUUAAUACUCAAAUGCAUACUAGAUAGCGGUCGAUGUGUGGAGUAAUAGUAGUAGAUGCAGGCAGGAGUCGGUCUACUUGUCACGGACGUGAUGCCUAUAUACAUGAUCAUGCCUAGAUAAUCUCAUAAUUAUUCGCUUUUCUAUCAAUUGCUCGACAUUAAUUUGUUCACCCACCGUAAUACUUAUGCUAUCUUGAGAGAAGCCACUAGUGAAACCUAUCUUUUAUCAUAUAAGCUUUCAAUCUACUUUUAUUUGCAUCUUUACUUUUCCAAUCUACAUUAUAGAAUACCAAAAAUAUAUUUAUCUUAUCAUAUUAUCUCUAUUAGAUCUCACUUUCGCAAGUGGCCUUGAAGGGAUUGACAACACCUUUAUUGCGUUGGUUCCGAGUUCUUGUUUGUUUGUUUAGGUGCGUGGGACUUUUGAGGAGCCUCCUACUGGAUUGAUACCUUGGUUCUCAAAGGAUGAGGGAAAUACUUACGCUAUUAUUGCCGCAUCAUCCUUUCCUCUUCAAGGAAAACCAACGCAAGCUCAAGACGUAGCAAGAAGGAUUUCUGGCGCCGUUGCCGGGGAGGUCUUCGCUCAAGUCAAGACAUACCAAGUACCCAUCACAAACUCAUCUCCCUCGCACUUACAUUAUUUGCCACUUGCCUCUCGUUUUCCUCUCCCCCACUUCACCCUUGCCGUUUUAUUUGCCCUCUCUUUCCCAAUCUCCUCUCUCUUCUGCUUGUCUUCUUGUGUGCCUGUUUGCUUUUAUGGCUUUGCCUAAGAACACCGACCUUUAUCUUAGAAGGUUGGAAGAGAUUGAAUCAAACGUUAGAAGUUUUAUGACUUUACAAUUUGAGCAUAGUAAUUUCUUUAGAAAAGAGCUUAAAGAACAAAAAAGUUUUAUGGGGUUUAUGAACAAAGAGCUUGAUGAUAUAUCUAAAUAAUUUUAUGGUUUGAACUCUCAAAUUACUCGGCUUGAAAAUUCUAUAGCCCAAAUCUCUAAUAAGCAAGCUACGUACCUUAGUCAAUAAGAUGGCUGCCAAACCAGAAAAGUUAGAUGAAAAUAAUGAUGAAGAUCUAAAAUUUAUUGAUGUGUCCCCUAUUAAAUCUUUGUUUUGCAAUAUGAAUCUUAAUAAAGAUGGGACUGGAGAUGAGUCAACUCUAGUUAAAAGGCGUCCCUAUGAUUCAGAGUUUUUAGAUCUUGAUGCUAAAUUUGGUAAAAGUGGGAUUGGAGAGGUCAAGACUUUAAAUAGCAUUGAACCCACUAUCUUGGAUUUCAACGAAUUUAAUUAUGAUAAUUGUCGGUGUACUAAAGUAGGGGUACCUUAGUAUCCCGAACUUGUCCACGGGCAGUUGCAGCACCCCGCGGCAAGGCUUGCCGGGUGACCGUCAAGAUCCUCCGUGGUUCCUUUGGAGCCAUUCAAGAACAAAGUAUUCAAGCCAAGGAGACAAGGCCCCGGCAAGAGGAGCUUGCCGGGAAGGCCAGCCAAGGCAUCUCAAGGAACUUGCCGCGACGCGCCACGCGUCCCGGCAAGGCCCGGUGAGCGACAAGCUUCCGGACGCGACAAGACAACGACCGCGGCAAGGCGCUUGCCGCGACAAGCUACCACCCUGUACCCACGCUCCAGCACAUCUACCAACGUAUCACCUUGGGGCCUUUCCAGGCGCGCGUGGCAAGAGGCUGUGCAGCCAGCGGUGCGAGGUGGCAAGCAACGGUGACAAGAUUGCCAUCGUGGCGAACGGUGGCGUCCCUGACGGUCCUUUCCUGCACUGUUUGGGCGACACAGACGGGCAUUUAAUGCCUUUGUCCCCUGCCGUCAGGGUUAGGUAGGAUACACUGUACAUGUAGUUGUACCAACCGCAACUCCUUUUACGUUUUUACCCUUGUCUAUGUUGCCACCUGUCGGUGACCAGUUUAGCAUAUAAAAGGAGGCCCACGGGCAACGUAGAGGGGGUUCGGUUCGGGCCGAAGCCAGAAAAACACUCACGCUCGGUCUCGUUAGCAGCUAGAGUGCGCCAUAGCACUCAGCGCUCCCGAGCAAGAACAUAAUACACUAAAACAUGCAGCAGUAGGAGUGUUAUCUCUCCGGAGAGCUCCGAAGCUGGGUAAACUGCUCGUGUGCUUCGCCUCGAUCCGCUCUUCGUGCGACCUCCGCCCCCCGCCGAACCGAAAGGGGCUCGGUCCGCCGGUCCCAUAGGUGUUCGUGGAUCAGCUUCCCCGACAUCUUUGGCGCACUAGGUGGGGGGCGUCGAGAUUGUGUGAACCUGAUCCGACGUUCACACGAGCUGGAUCUUCAUUUUCUUCAUCAACAUGCCACCGAAGAAGAAGGCUUCGGGGGCAACUGUUCCGCCCACGUCGAUCCCACCACCACCGGAGCAAACGGGUGGUGGGAUAGACGCCGGCGGAAGAACGGACAUCGACGAGGGAGCUCACGGUGCUGCCAGAUCCAAGGACAAGGCUGCACAGACCUCAGCGUCCGUACAUGCACCGCGCCCAUCUCAGGAGGCGCAGGACUGACAGCGUCAUGGUAUUCGCAGUACCAUACGUUUGUUGGACCAAGAUUGAGCUGGUGGAUCUCGGAGUGCUCAAGACCAACAUGCACGCCAACAUGCAGGCACGAGCAAGAUACGAUCGCCUGGACGGGAUACUGCUCCUUCUAACAUAGUUAGAAGUCCGAGCAUAUCCCGCUCCUCGCGCCGUUCACCACUGCCACCCACCACUCGAGCAGAAGCUUUGGCGCGAGCUCAACUGCUCCUGGAUUACCCUCCAACGGCAGACAAGAUCGACGAAUGGAGCGCCACCAUUCAGAGUCUCAUCGACUUCGCCAAUGGCGACACUCCGCAGCAGCCGAGUGCAUCGCGGCCGCGGCAGGACUGCCAGGCACGAGCCGAUGGUGACAAAACCGGUGGGGGUGCAACCACCAUGCACUCUCCACCCCGAAGGCCAAGAUCGCCGACUCGCCGGAUCCACCUCGACAGCGACUCCACCGCAUCGUCAGAUCCACGAGCUCGUCGCGAUCAGCGCCAAGUUCUUCACGAACGACAGAAAGAAGACGCUCGUACUCGCAUCGAGCGCUGAAGAGAAGCGCGGCGUCAAUCUGACCAGCGCGCUGGGCCCUCUGUCGACAUGCAUGCGCCAGGGGCACCAGGUGACUUGCCGUACGCAGUAGGUUGCCCUGCGUUCACUCGUGAGCUGCGGCAAGUCCAGUGGCCCAGCACGAAAAAUUUCAAGCCAGAUGUACCAGAGAAGUACGACGGCAAGUCACAUCCGUCGGAGUUCCUCAGCAUCUACACCAUCGCGGUGCAAGCUGCCGGGGGACGGGACGACAAGAUCCUUGCCAACUACUUCCCGCUGGUGCUCAAGCCCAAUGUCAGAUCCUGGCUCAUGCACUUGCCGGACAACUCCAUAUCCUCCUGGGCGGACCUGUGCCAUCAUUUUGUCGGAGCCUUUACAGGCGGCCACAAGCCUCAUGGCCAAGAGAGCGACCUUCAUCUGCUCGCCCAGAAGGAAGGAGAGCCCCUGCGCAAGUACAUUCAGAGAUUCAGCCGUGUACAGCACAACCUCCCAGAUGUCCACCCUGCCGCGGUAAUCAGCGCGUUCCAUCAGAACAUGCGAAACAGCAGGAUGCGGGAGGAGAUGGCGAUGUGCAAGAUCAGAGAUGUCAGUGAGCUAUACGCCCUGGCCGACAAGUGUGCACGUGCUGAGGAAGGGAGGAAACUCCCCGGAGAGAGUACAGGAGCAGGAGGAUCUGAUAGUGAGGAUGCUGCCCCGACAAAGAAAAACCGGCGGCGGAACAACAGGAAGAAGAAAGGCAAAGAUGUGCUAGUCAUUGAGCAAUCCGGCAAGGAAGCCAAAGCUGGUAGCUUCGGCAAGGAGAUUGCCGUAGGCACCAACCACCAGGCUGUGGCGGUCGCCGACAAGCAGGACGACACCAACAGGCAGUACUGCAAGAUCCACCGCACCAAGGGCCAUGACCUCCAGAGUUGCAAGAAGGUCGAGCAGCUUGUCAAGCAGCAAAAGGCUGAAUACGAGCGACGCGACAAGGAGAAGGCCUAUGAAGGUGCUGGAGGAGCCGGCAAGAAACGCCCCGGCCGAGGAGGACGCCGCGGCAAGGCCAAGCAGCGCUAAGGAGACAGACCUCCCCGCGGCCGCGACAAGGAUGAAGAUGACGACAACGAUGAAGAUAUGGAUGAUGACGAGACCGAUGAGUAGGAGUUCUAGAAAGCCACAGAGAUCCUGUGCGUUGACGGUGGUGCUUCUCUGCAUACUUCACACCGCCAGCUCAAGCAGUGGGUGCGGGAAGUCAAUGCAGCAGAGCCACCCGUCGAGUCACGCAAGCCUCUGAAAUGGUCCAGCACGCCUAUCAUCUUUGAUAUUGAGGACCACCCUGAUCGCAUAACUGCGGUCGGGUGCUUGCCGAUGUUGGUUUCACCAACUAUCCGCAACCUCAAGGUCACUAAGAUGCUAGUUGACAGCGGGGCCGGCUUGAACCUGAUCUCCUCCGCGGUACUCCAGAAACUCCAGAUCCCUGAUAGCGAGCUCGAAGAGACCGGCACGUUCUAAGGAAUCAAUCCGGGAAGAAGCAAGCCAAAGGGAAAGAUCACGUUGCCGGUAACAUUUGGCAGCGAGUUAAACUUCAGGACUGAGAGGGUCACUUUUGACGUUGCUGACUUUCCAUUGCCUUACAAUGGGAUAGUCGGCCGUCCAACACUCGCCAAAUUCAUGGCAGCCUCUCACUAUGCAUACAACAUGCUGAAGAUGCCAGGCCCGAUAAGUGUCAUCUUUGUCCCUGGCGACAAGAAGGAUGCUCUUAUCUCCACCGACAAGAUCUACCGGGAAGCAGCAGCCGCAACAGAUCAUAGGUCACUUGCCGUUGAAGCUCCCGGGGGGAGGAAGAAGACCAAGUCCGGCAAGAGUUCUGAUGCCCACUCCGGCAAGCGCACCUCUUCGGGGUGCUGCACUACCGUCGAGGACGCACCAUCGAGCUCCACCGGGAAGUGUAAGAAGACAAUGGUAGCUCCACCAGAGACCAAGAAGGUGUCCGCCAAGGAGGAUGGCACUGGUGGUACCGUCACCAUCAGUGCCACUCUCGACCCUAAAUAGGAAGGCACACUCAUUGCUUUCCUGUGGGCGAAUGUCGACGUGUUUGCAUGGCAAUCAUCUGACAUCCCCGGUGUUCCUAGGAAAGUAAUCAAGCACCAUCUAGCCGUCUGUCCUCAUGCGCGGACCGUCAAGCAGAAAGUCAGAAAACAAGCAGUGGAGCGCCAAGAAUUCAUCGCUGAAGAAAUCAAGAAGUUGGAAGCAGCAGGCCUUGUUAGAGGAGUGCUCCAUCCCACGUGGUUGGCCAAUCCUGUAGUCGUGCGCAAGGCAAACGGGAAAUGGAGGCUUUGUAUCGACUUUACCGAUGUCAAUAAAGCUUGUCCCAAAGACCCAUUUCCCUUGCCGCGCAUCAACCAGAUUGUUGACUCCAUAGUCGGAUGUGACUUGCUUUCAUUUCUUGACGCAUAUUCAGGAUACCAUCAGAUCUUCAUGGCAGAAGAGGAUGAGGAAAAGACCGCAUUCAUCACACCAUGCGGCACAUACUGUUUCAUACGGAUGCCUUUCGGUUUAAAGAAUGUUGGUUCAACAUUUGCAAGGAUAGUCCAUGACGCUUUUGAGCCGCUAAUACAUAGGAAUGUGGAGGCCUACAUGGAUGACAUAGUGGUCAAGAGCAAGGACAAAGCAACUCUGAUUCAAGAUUUAGACGAAACCUUUGCAAACCUGCGCAAGAUCAACCUCAAGCUUAACCCCGAGAAGUUUGUGUUCGGAGUCCCCUCCGGCAAGCUUCUCGGGUUCUUCGUGUCUCAGCGGGGAAUCGAAGCCAAUCCCGACAAGAUCAAGGCCAUUGAGCAGAUUGAAGCACCAAAGCGCGUCAAGGAUGUAUGAAGACUUGCCGGUUGCGUAGCUGCUCUCAGCAGGUUUAUCUCUAGGUCUGCUGAGCGCGCCCUGCCAUUUUUCAAAUUAUUGAAAAAGGUAGGUCCAAUGAAAUGGACUCCGGAAGCGGAGGCUGCGCUGUAGGACUUAAAGAGAUACCCGUCCUCCACUCCGACACUUGUUGCACCUAAGCCACAAGAGAAGUUGCUGCUAUAUAGCGGCAACCAAUCAAGUGGUUAGUGCUGCGUUAGUAGCGGAGAGGGAGGCGGAUGAUGAGCCAGCAACCACGGCAAGUGCAUCCAGCGACAAGCAAGGAUCAUCACCGACAAGCUCUGGUCCCGGCAAAGAUGGAUCUGCGCAGGCGCGUGAGAAGAUGCAGAAGAGAAUGGUGCAGCACCCAGUUUACUUUGUCAGUUUCCUUCUGCAGGGGGCUAGGUCAAGGUACUCUGGUGUGCAGAAAUUGCUUUCCGGCCUUCUCAUGGCCUCGAGAAAGCUGCGCCAUUACUUCCAAGCACAUGAGAUCACAGUGGUCACUCGUUUUCCGCUGAAGAGGAUACUGCAAAAUCCAGAAGCAACAGGCAGGAUUGUCGAGUGGGCACUAGAACUGUCAAGCUUUGGCCUCAAGUUUGAGAGCACCUCAACUAUCCAAAGCAGAGCAUUGGCGGAGUUCAUAGCAGAGUGGACGCCAACACCAGAUGAAGAAAUUCCAGAAACGAGCAAACCCGUCAAGGAAGCAAGCAAAGAGUGGCUGAUGUACUUUGAUGGUGCCUUCUCGCUGCAAGGCGCCAGUGCGGGCGUACUACUUGUCGCACCCAUCGAAGAGCACCUCAAGUACGUAGUCCAGAUGCACUUUCCCAAGGAGCAAGCAACAAACAAUACUACAGAGUAUGAAGGUUUGCUUGCCGGUCUCAGAAUCAUAGCAGACCUUGGGAUCAAGAAGCUCAUUGUCAGGGGUGACUCACAGCUUGUCGUGCGCCAAGUGAACAAGAAUUAUCAGAGUCCAUUUAUGGAAGCUUACGUUGAUAAAGUGAGAAAGCUAGAAGAGCACUUUGACGGCCUACAGAUGGAACAUGUUCCAAGAGCUCAGAACGACAUUGCCGAUGGCCUGUCGAAGUGCGCCGCACUUAAGUUACCUGUGGAACCAGGGAUCUUUGUGCUCAAGCUGACUCAACCAUCCGUAACGCCAUCAACUCGACAGAACAAGAAGAGGAAGUUGAUUUCUGGUGACUAUUUUCCGGCAGAGCUCCCCGAAGCCGCCGCCAAGAAGGUCCUCAAGAUCAACACCAAGGAUGCUGAGGAGCAGUCUGCUCCGACAAGCCCUAGGGUUUGUUCCGUUGAAGCAGACGCUCCCGACAAGUUUUGCUGCGGCAAGCUUGCCGGGGAACGUCAAGCUCCGGCUGAGCCGCAGGUUCUCGCCGUAGAAGUGGAUGUUCCCGCAGCAGCAGAUAUGCCUUUAGUCCUUGUUGUCGAGCCGCAAGCUCCAGCAUGGGCGCAGCAGAUUGUCCAUUUCCUUCAAACAAGUGAACUUCCCGAAGAGCAAGAAGAAGCGGAAAGAGUAGCCCGGCAGUCAAGUAUGUACUAGUUUGUCGACAACACACUGUACAGAAGAAGACUCAACGGCGUGAAAUUGAAGUGUAUUCACCGGGAAGACGGAAAAAAGCUAUUGGCAGAGAUACACAGAGGCAUAUGUGGCCACCAUAUUGGCGCAAGAGCACUUGCCGGCAAAGCGUUCCAGCAAGGUUUCUUUUGGCCAACAGCCCUCCAGGAUGCAACUGCACAAGUAACCAAGUGUGAAGCGUGCCAGUUCCAUUCCAAGCAGAUACACCAGCCAGCUCAAGCUCUCCAGACGAUCCCUUUAUCCUGGCCAUUUUCGGUCUGGAGGCUCGACAUCCUCGGCCCCUUUCCCCGAGCUGUCCGGGGCUUUGAGUACUUGUACGUUGCAAUCGACAAGUUCACAAAGUGGCUGGAAGUGGAAGCAGUGAGGAAGGUGACAGCACAGUCGGCAGUCAAGUUCUUCAGGUCGAUUGUUUGCCGUUUCGGGAUCCCUAACAGGAUCAUCACCGACAACGGCACACAAUUCACGAGCCGCACCUUCAUGCAGUACGUCCAAGAUCUUGGCGCCAAGGUCUGCUUCGUUUCUGUUGCUCAUCCAAGAAGCAAUGGUCAAGUAGAGGGGGCAAAUGCUGAAGUGCUGCGCGGGCUCAAGACCAGGACUUUCGACAGGCUGCACAAGUGCGGAAAGAACUGGAUUGAGGAGCUGCCGGUGGUUCUUUGGUCGCUCAGGACGACGCCAAAUCGAGCCACUGGCCAGACACCUUUCGCUCUAGUCUAUGGAGCAGAGGCAGUUCUCCCCACAGAACUCGUAUACGGGUCACCUCGAGUGCUCGCUUAUGAUGAGCUUGAGCAAGAGCAGCUGCGACAAGAUGACGUGCUGCUCCUCGAGGAGGACCGUCUUCAGGCUGCUGUACGAGCUGCUCGAUACCAGCAAGCUUUGCGCCGCUACCAUAGCUACAAAGUUAAUGCCAGAAGUCUCGAGGAAGGCGACCUUGUUCUUCGGCGCGUUCAGUCCGCCAAGAAUUCCAACAAGUUGACGCCGAAGUGGGAAGGCCCUUAUCGGGUGAAAUGAGUCACUAGGCCUGGCGCUGUCCACCUUGAGACCGAAGAUGGCAUUCCGGUGAGCAACUCCUGGAACAUUGAGCAUCUUCGUAAGUUUUACCCGUAGGGCGCGGUUGCCGGAACCUGUUCCGGCAACCACCUUUUGUACAAGUCUUGCCGAUGUUGCAUGUAAUCCUUUGUACAAAGCCGGGCGCAGACCCCGUGCAUAAGUAAAGCUCAUGUGCCCCGCACAUCUUGUCGAUUUCAUGCUUUCUACUACUUUUUGCAUGCGUUAUCUGACACUUUGUGCAGCACCUACCCCCGGUAAGCAAUAACGAGCCAUAGGGCUCCAUAUCUUUAUUUUCUCUUCUUUCUCUUUCUCAAGGAAAGGAAGGAUCCCUCGCCCACAAGUUUGCCGGGGGGAAAGGAGAAGAUAAUGGUGUGGACCAGGCGUCGUUCGAGGGAGUUUCGCCUUACCGGGAAGCAAACGACAGAAAAGCUAAGUUGCCAAAGUUUGAGCAAUCAGUUUUAAAUUUUUUAAGUUAUCUUCCUCAAACGACCGUGCUUUGUAUGGAAAACCUGUGCACGGAGGAACCAACUCGUAGCUAGUUGCGCCCUUACUUUGUUUCGAGUCCGCUCAACAAUUUAAGUGAGCUGCGACUAGUUGCAACAAGGUUUCUUGUUGGUAGCGGCACCGCCAGCAGGCUGCUGACAUUCCGCACUCAGCGCUCGCGGCUAAGGUACCUGCACCGACAAGUUCCCUAAAAGCGUAGGGCAAAAACAUACAAAGGAAGGAAUCAAGUAAAGGAAAUAACACAUCAAUCUCUACCAAAAUAGAGUUGUAUUACAAGAUAACUUGUCACAACUCUAACAGAAUGUUCUCAUGACAUGACCAGCGGCGACAAAGAAAAAGAAAAGACGGGCGGCCUAAUCCACGCGUUCACCCUCAACCCUCUUGAUCUCGCUCACCUUGUCCACAGUGGGUGCGACAAGGGCCUUGAGCGCUUCCAGAUCAGCAUCCGGCGACAAGGACCUAAGGACGUUGGUGAGGUUGAGGCCUGGGUUGCGGAAGGCCACCUUCACCAGCACCUUCUGAAGAGCCCUCGCGCAGAUCCUGCGCGACUCGUCGGCCAGCUGCUUUGGGAUCUUCUCCCGGAGUCGCUGGAGGGCCGUCACCAUGCCUUUGAAGAACAGGCUGAGCUUGGCGCUGGGUUGGAGGUGCUCACCGGAGGAGUACCCGAGAUCCUCCAUCCCCAGCUGCGCCAACUCAACGUCGAUGGCUGCGGCAAGAUCCACUAGACCCUCGGUCCAGUGUUCCACAGUCUCCCUGAAAGCGUCGUGGGCGGCAGCAGCAUUCGCCAGCAGCGCCUCGUCGGUCUUGAUCUUCUCCUUCAAGGCCACCUCCUGCUCCCUGGCGCGGUCCAGCAUCUUGGUCAAGGUGGCCAGCUUCAAUUCGAGAUCCGCGUUGGAGUCCUUGGCGGCGCUAAGCUCUUUGCUCAUCUCAGCGAGACGACCCUGCAGCUCACCAUGAGCAGCGGCGUCCUUCUCGCGCUCACGCUUGAGCACAGCAAGCUCCUCGCCGCUCGCCUUGAGAUCAGCCUCCAGCUGCGCCAUCUUCGUCUCCAGCUCCUUCUUGGCGGCCACGGCAGCUGCGGCAGCAUCCUUUGCUUCCUUGAGAGCCCCGCCAAUCGCUUGCUCGCGCGCGGCAAGCUCCUCCUCGUGGCUGUCAAGGUUGACCUUGCGCUGCGCUAAUUCACCUUCCUGCGCAGACAACUUCUCGGCAGCGAGCCGCUGCUGCUCUUCAACCUCAGCCUUCCCGAGGAGGAAGGCUUUCCGCUCCUCAGCGAGUUGCUCCCACUCCUCUGCUAAGGAUCGGAGAGCUUCCUGCAUGAGACCCCAGAGCUCCUCCGCGCGCUUCUCGAUGUCCACUCCCGCCUUUGCGACAAGCGCCUCUCGGGAUGCCAGCUUGGCUUGUCGGGCGCGGUAGAGCAACAACAACUUCCGCAGCAACCGCUCCUCCUCAGGCUCAUCGCUGCAGCUUGGCGUGUCGACCAGCGUCAGCCCAGCAGAGGCGAGAACCUCUCCAUCCAAGAUUUCUCCUUCGACCGGCACCCUGGAACUUGACGCCCAGGGGAGCUUGAUGAAGAUGCCAUCGCCGGCCUUCAAUUAGGCGCCGGGCUGGGGCUCAUCGGAGCCUGGCGCUGCAGCAGCGGCGGAGGGAUCGGCGGUUGGCGUAGCGCCUGGCGCUCCUGCGGCCUCGGGGCCAUCAGUGCGAUCGCCGGAUCCCUCGCCAGCUUCUGCGGCGGCAGCUUUGGCGGCCUCUUCGCCGGCGGGAUCAUCAGCGCCGGCCUCUUCUUCGGUGGCAGGGGUGACUCGCAGGCGCCGGCCUCGGUGGCGUCGUUGUUGUUGCCAUGCGCGUUCUCCUCGCCGGCGACCUCGGUUUCCAUUGGAUCUGCGGCAGAUGGAUCUGACGACCGAGAAGGGGAGAAAAGUCAAGCAAAAAUUCAAAAAGAAAAUCAGAAGAAGAAGAACCCAAGGGAAGUUCUCAAGCAAGAGGAUUACCUGGAUCUACAGCCGCGGUCUCCGCCACUGGGGGGUCGCUGGUGCUAUCCCUUGCCGGAGAACUGUCCCUUGCCGGAGAAUUCUCCCUUGCCGGAGAACGCUCCCUUGCCGGGGAAUCCUCCCUUGGCGGUGUAGUCGAAGAAGAUGGCAUUUCGGGAGCGACUUCUGGGCACUCCUGGUGAGGCUGCUCUGCUCCUACACAAACCAACAAUCAGAUAUCAGCGAAGAAAGAGCACCAAUGCGCGCCUGACAGCAAGAAGUAAAAUAUACACUUACGCUGGGGGCUGCGCUGGAGGCUGCUUUGGGGAAUAGUUGCCGGGUCCGGCAAGGUGGUUUCAGGCGCGUCCCCUGUUGCCGUGGUGGGUUCGUCCUCAAUGACAAUCACCGGGACCUUGGCUCUCUUCGCCGCUCUCUGGGCCAGAGUCCUGAAAAGGAAUGAGUUCGGAGUAAAGCAAAUCAGAGACAAGACAAAACAACAAAGAUUGAAGAACUACAAGUACAACAAGGAAUAUUACUCUUCUUCUUCCUCAUCGGAGCUGAGCGCGGAGAGAUCGAAGUCUGGCUCGCCUCCGGUGCGACGAGGCGGAGGAGUAGGAUCCCUUGUCCACUUGGCAGGAGCAGUGGCGGUGGACCGGCAAGACCCCGCUCCAGUUGCUGCAGCGGCGUGAGGCUCUCCCGCGGCAACAGUGCUUGCCGCGGUCGAGCGCGUCGCGCGGUGCGGUGGCUGUUGACCCGUCUGCCGCCCCGCUACAUCCCCGGCGUUGCGGAGACGCCUUCUUGGUGGAGGUGGGGGCUCCGCUUGCGGCGAGCUGGCUGAAGGUGGGGAGGAGGAGGAGCCGAUCCUCAACGGGUCGCUCGCGCCCUCGGCGGGCUAGCUCGACUCAGAUUCAGGCCCAACAAGUUCUUCCUCACCGACAAGCUCUUCUCGCUCGGCAAGGCUUGCCGCCUCUGCUGCCUCUGCCUCCUCCACGGUGAAUCCAAAUUCGCCCGCGGCAGCUGCUGCCACUGCCUCUUCCAGCCUAGUGGCGAUGCGCUGCAUCUCCGCAUCGGUGGUGUCGCGAGUGAGGCUCUUCUGUUCAUCGACGCGGACCGGCACUUCUACCAAGCUGUCGAAGAACUCCUGCAUGACGUCGUCUGCAGGCUCUUGCCAAGUUGGGACGAUUCCAUGCGAAUCACACAGCGGCAUCAUUGCACGGAUGCGGUCGAGCGAGGAAUUGUUGCACAGCGGAACGACACUCCUCGGCAGCAUGAAUGGAUGUUGAGGAUCGCGCUUGAACAGCUCCAGAAGCAUCGCAUCCAGCUCCAAGACAGUGAAGUUGAAGUUGAGGCCCGGGCGCAACCUCAUGAUAUCCGCCGAGUUCUGGAACUCCCAAGCGGGUCUCCUCCUCUCCUGAAGGGGGGUGAUGCGGCGGCGAAGGAAAUCUGCGCCAACGGCGCCUACGGUGAGCCCGGCAAGCCUGAGGCGUAAGAUCCGGGUGACGGCAAUCUUCAGCCUAUCAUCUUCCGAGGCCACGUUGCUCCAAUCGUUGCCGCGUACAAUUGGGGUUUGGUGCCGGGCGGUGAAUGGCUGCGGGUUCUCCUCGACGAUCCAGCACCACUCUGCUCUCCAUUCUUCCCAUUUGCUGCGGAGCUCUCCCUCCAGAUAAGCAUCCUUCUUGCCAGUUCUCGAGAUCCAGGCGAUUCCACCGGCAAGGGGCUCUCCUCUCUCGACUCGGGGCAUAAAGAAGUGGCGAAAAAGGGCUACAUUGGGAUGGACUCCGACAAAGUUUUCGCAGAGAUGUGCGAAAACUGCCAUGGUCAGAACGGCAUUGGGGGUGAAAUCAAGGAUGCGGAACCCGUAGGUGUUCAUGAUAUCACAGAAGAAUUCAGAGAAGGGCGGGCAGAGCCCGCAGUAGAAGAAUAGCGCGAAGAAGGGGUACCCGUUCGGAGCCAGUUUUGAAGCGGCAGCUGAGAGUACCCUCGUGCGCGGAUGCGCUCGCGUCUCAGUCGACCAGAAGAGGUACUAGUACUCCCUCAGCUCCUUCGCGUCAAGCUGAGGGGGAAAGAUUGCCCGCUCCUUUCGCAGCGCCGCGAGCCGCUGUGCCUCGGCUGACUUCACGCCCUUCCCCUUGUCGGCUUUUGGAGCCAUGGCGGAGGCGGCGGGGGAGAUCGACGGCGUCGGUGGUGCCGGUGGCAAUGGGGGGCGGAGUGCUGCUCUCUUUCGACUUUGGGAAGAAGGGGGGAGCGGCGGAGAUUUCUGAGAUUGGAGUAGUAACCGGCGAGAUGGGCGAACUGCCCCUGUUUCCCCUGCUUAUAAAGAGGGAGGGGGCGGACAUUCCGCCUUUCUGAAUAAAGAAACCACCCACGAUCUCUCCCACGACGCCGCAUUCGACGCGUGCCGUUGGGGGAGGGCGCGGUGGAUACGGAGUGAGAUAUGGCGUGACCCAAGCCGUGCGUGCCCGUGCCUUGCUUUGCACCUGGCCCAACAGCGCUCGGCACCGUGUGUGGCCCAGGCCCGGGGGCUCCUGUCGGUGUACUAAAGUAGGGGUACCUUAGUAUCCCGAACUUGUGCACGGGCAGUUGCAGCACCCCACGGCAAGGCUUGCCGGGCGACCGUCAAGAUCCUCCAUGGUUCCUUUGGAGCCAUUCAAGAACAAAGUAUUCAAGCCAAGGAGACAAGGCCCCGGCAAGAGGAGCUUGCCGGGAAGGCUAGCCAAGGCAUCUCAAGGAACUUGCCGCGACGCGCCACGCGUCCCGGCAAGGCCCGGUGAGCGACAAGCUUCCGGACGCGACAAGACAACGACCGCGGCAAGGUGCUUGCCGCGACAAGCUACCACCCUGUACCCACGCUCCAGCACAUCUACCAACGUGUUGCCCUGGGGCCUUUCCAGGUGCGCGUGGCAAGAGGCUGUGCAGCCAGCGGUGCGAGGUGGCAAGCAACAGUGACAAGAUUGCCAUCGUGGCGAACGGUGGCGUCCCUGAGGGUCCUUACCUGCACUGUUUGGGCGACACAGAAGGGCAUUUAAUGCCUUUGUCCCCUUCCGUCAGGGUUAGGUAGGAUACACUGUACAGGUAGUUGUACCAACCGCAACUCCUUUUACGUUUUUACCCUUGUCUACGUUGCCACGUGUCGGUGACCCCUUUAGCAUAUAAAAGGAGGCCCACGUGCAACGUAGAGGGGGUUCGGUUCGGGCCGAAGCCAGAAAAACACUCACGCUCGGUCUCGUUAGCAGCUAGAGUGCGCCAUAGCACUCAGCGCUCCCGAGCAAGAACAUAGUACACUAAAACAUGCAGCAGUAGGAGUGUUAUCUCCCCGGAGAGCUCCGAAGCUGGGUAAACUGCUCGUGUGCUUCGCCUCGAUCCGCUCUUCGUGCGACCUCCGCCCCCCGCGAACCGAAAGGGGCUCGGUCCGGCGGUCCCAUAGGUGUUCAUGGAUCAGCUUCCCCGACAAUAAUUGUUCUUUAGAAGAUUGUAUUUCCUUGUUGCAAUCCGUUGUGAAUUCUCCUCAUGCUUAUAGUCAAAAUAAAGCUUUUACCAAACGUAUUGUUGAUGCCUUGAUGCAAUCUUUUGAUGAAAAACUUAAUUUGGAAGUUUCUAUACCUAGAAAACUUAACGAUGAGUGGGAACCUACUAUAAAGAUUAAAAUUAAAGAUCAUGAGUGUUAUGCUUUGUGUGAUUUGGGUGCUAGUGUUUCCACGAUUCCAAAGACUUUAUGCAUUAUUCUAGGUUUCCAUGAUCUUGAUGAUUGCUCUUUAAAUUUGCACCUUGCGGAUUCCACCAUUAAAAAGCCAGUGGGAAGGAUCAAUGAUGUUCUCAUUGUUGCAAAUAGGAAUUUGGUGCCCGUAGAUUUUAUCGUUCUUGACAUAUAUUGCAAUCUUUCUUGUCCUAUUAUUCUUGGUAGACCUUUCCUUAGAACAGUUGGUGCGAUUAUUGAUAUGAAGGAAGGUAAUAUUAGAUUCCAAUUUCCAUUAAGGAAAGGCAUGGAGCACUUUCCAAGAAAGAAAGUCAAAUUACCUUAUGAAUCUAUCAUGCGAGCUACUUAUGAAUUGAGUGCCAAAGAUGGCACUACUUAGAUCUAUCCUCGCUUUUAUGCCAAGCUAGGGGCGUCAAACGAUAGCGCUAGUUGGGAGGCAACCCAAUUCUAUUUGUGUUUUUUGUUUUUGCUUCUGUUUAGUAAUAAAUUUUGCAUCUACCUCCUGUUUAGAUGUGUUUUUUAUGUUUCAAUUAGUGUUUGUGCCAUGUAGAACCUAUAGGAUAACCUAUGGUGAUAGUUAAUUUGAUUCUACUGAAAAACAGAAACUUUGCACACACGGAAAUAAUUUUAGUAAUUCACAGAAACGUGAUUUUGCGUUGAUUCUUUUUUCUGUAGAUCAAUAGACAAAUUUCCCAGGACUUCCUAUUUUGGUAGGAUUUGUAGAGUUCCAUAAGUAUUCGAGAGUUACAGAUUGCUAUAGACUGUUCUGUUUUUGGCAGAUUCUGUUUUUCGUGUGUUGUUUGCUUGUUUUGAUGCAUCUAUGGCUAGUAUGUAAGGGUAUGAACCACAGAGAACUUGGAAUACAGUAGGUUUAACACCAAUAUAAAUAAAGAAUGAGUUAAUUACAGUGCCUUAUGUGGUGGUUUUUCUUUCUUGCACUAACAGAGCUUAUGAGAUUUCCUGUUGAGUUUUGUGUUGUGAAGUUUUCAAGUUUUGGGUAAAGAUUUGAUGGACUAUGGAAUAAGGAGUGGCAAGAUACUAAGCUUGGGUAUGCCCAUGGCACCCCAAGAUAUUCAAGAAUAGCCAAAAGCCUAAGCUUGGGGAUGCCCUGGAAGGCAUCCCAUCUUUCGUCUUUGUCUAUCGGUAACUUUACUUGGAGCUAUAUUUUUAUUCGCCACAUGAUAUGUGUUUUGCUUGGAGCGUCUUGUAUGAUAUUAGUCUUUGCUUUUUAGUUUACCACAAUCAUCCUUGCUGUACACACCUUUUGGGAGAAACCCACUUGAUUGUAGGUUAUCCUAUAGGUUCUACUUGGCACAAACACUAAUUAAACAUAAAACCACAUCUAAACAGAGGCUAGAUGAAAUAUUUAUUACUAAACAGAAGCAAAAAGCAAGGAACUAAAAUAAAAUUGGGUUGCCUCCCAACAAGCGCUAUCGUUUAGCACCCCUAGCUAGGCAUAAAAGCAAGAGUAGAUCUAAGUAUUGCCAUCUUUGGCAUUCAAUUCAUAAGUAGCUCGCAUGAUAGAUUCAUAAGGUAAUUUGACUUUAUUUCUAGGGAAGUGUUCCAUGAAUUUCCUUAGUGGAAAUUGGAAUCUAAUAUUCCCUUCCUUCAUAUAAAUAAUUGCACCAAUCGUUCUAAGGAAAGCUCUACCAAGAAUAAUAGGACAUGAAAGAUUGCAAUCUAUAUCAAGAAUGAUAAAAUCUAUGGGCACAUAAUUCCUAUUUGCAACAAUAAGAACAUCAUUGAUCCUUCCCAUAGGUUUCUUAAUGGUGGAAUCCGCAAGGUGCAAGUUUAAAGAGCAAUCAUCAAAAUCAUGAAAACCUAGCACAUCACAUAAAAUUUUUGUAAUUGUGGAAACACUAGCAACCAAAUCACACAAAGCAUAGCAUUCAUGAUCUUUAAUUUUAUUUUAUAGUAGGUUCCCACUCAUCAUAAAGUUUUCUAGGUAUAGAAACUUCCAAUUCAAGUUUUUCCUCAUAAGAUUACAUCAAGGCAUCAACAAUAUGUUUGGUAAAAGCUUUAUUUUGACUAUAAGCAUGAGGAGAAUUCAACACGGAUUGCGACAAGGAAAUACAAUCUAUUAAAGAACAAUUAUCAUAAUUAAAUUCCUUUAAAUCCAUAAUAGUGGGUUCAAUGCUAUGUAAAGUUUUGACCUCUCCAAUCCCACUUUUACCAAAUUUAGCAUCAAGAUCUAAAAACUCCGAAUCAUUGGGACGCCUUUUAACUAAAGUUGACUUAUAUCCAGCCCCAUCAUUAUCAAGAUUCAUAUUGCAAAACAAAGAUUUAAUAGGGGACACAUCAAUAACUUUUAGAUCUUCAUCAUUAUUUUCAUGGAAACUAGAAGAACACGCUUUUACAAAGCAAUCUUUCUUAGCACGCAUCCCAGCGGUUCUUUCUUUGCACUCAUCAAUGGAAAUUCUCAUGGCUUUGAGAGACUCAUUGAUAUCAUGCUUAGGUGGAAUAGAUCUAAGUUUCAAAGAAUCAACAUCAAGAGAAAGUCUAUCAACGUUCCUAGCCAAUUUGUCAACUUUAAGCAAUUUUUCUUCAAGCAAAGCAUUGAAAUUCUUUUGAGAGAUCAUAAAUUCUUUAACACAAUUCUUAAAAUCAAAGGGCAUCUUAUUAAAAUUUUCAUAAGAGGUUGUAGGAAUUACCAUAAUUAUUAGAGGAAUUACUAGGAAACGGCCUAGGAUUAAAGUUUCCUCUAUACACGUUGUUACCAAAAUUAUUCCUACCAACAAAAUUCACAUCUAUAGAUUCAUUAUUAUUCUCAAUCAAAGUAGACAAAGGCAUAUCAUUGGGAUCAAUAGGAGCACUCUUAGUAGCAAACAGUUUCAUAAGUUCAUCCAUCUUUCCACUCAAAACAUUAAUCUCUUCUAUAGCAUGCACUUUUUUACUAGUAGAUCUUUUGUUGUGCCAUUGAGAAUAAUUGACCAUAAUGUUAUCAAGAAGUUUAGUAGCUUCUCCUAAGGUGAUUUCCAUAAAAGUGCCUCCCGCAGCCGAAUCCAAGAGAUUUAUAGAAGCAAAAUUCAAUCCGGCAUAAAAUUUUUGUAUGAUCAUCCAUAAAUUCAAACCAUGAGUAGGGCAAUUGCGAAUCAUUAAUUUCAUUCUUUCCCAAGAUUGGGCAACAUGCUCAUGAUCAAGUUGUUUAAAAUUCAUAAUAUCGUUUCUAAGAGAGAUAAUCUUAGUGGGAGGAAAAUACUUAGAGAUAAAAGCAUCUUUGCACUUAUUCCAUGAAUCAAUACAGACGAAAACCAAGUUUUAGCAUGAUCUCUAAGUGAAAACGGAAAUAACUUCAAUUUAACAAUAUCAUUAGUUGUAUCUUUCUUAUUUUGCAUAUUACACAAAUCAACAAAGUUGUUUAGAUGAGUAGCGGCAUCUUCACUAGGAAGGCCGGAGAAUUGAUCUUUCAUAACAAGAUUCAACAAAGCAACAUUGAUUUCACAAGAUUCAACAUCAUUAAGAGGAGCAAUUGGAGUGCUAAGGAAAUCAUUAUUAUUGGUAUUGAAAAAAAUCACACAAUUUGGUUUUAUCUUGCGCCAUCGUGACAAGAAAUCCAACACACAAGCACACAAGAGGCAAGUGAAAGAGAGUGGAGAACGGGAAAGAGAGGGAGAAUAAAAUGGCAAGGGUGAAGUGGGGGAGAGGAAAACGAGAGGCAAAUGGCAAAUAAUGUAAUGCGAGGGAGAUGAGUUUGUGAUGGGUACUUGGUAUGUCUUGACUUGAGCGAAGACCUCCCCGGCAACGGCACCAGAAAUCCUUCUUCCUACCUCUUGAGCACUGCGUUGGUUUUUCCCUUGAAGAGGAAAGGGUGAUGCAGCAAAGUAGCGUAAGUAUUUCCCUCAGUUUUUGAGAACCAAGGAAUCAAUCCAGUAGGAGGCUCCUCAAAAGUCCCACGCACCUACACAAACAAACAAGAACCUCGCAACCAACGCGAUAAAGGGGUUGUCAAUCCCUUCACGAAAACUUGCUAAAGUGAGAUCUGAUAGAGAUAAUAAGAUAAGAUAAAUAUUUUUGGUAUAGAUUGGAAAGUAAAGAUGCAAAUAAAAGUAGAUGGAAAACUUAUAUGAUAAAAGAUUGACCCGGGGGCCAUAGAUUUCACUAGUGGCUUCUCUCAAUAUAGCAUAAGUAUUACGGUGGGUGAACAAAUUACUAUCGAGCAAUUGAUAGAAAAGUGCAUAGUUAUGAGAUUAUCUAGGCAUGAUCACGUAUAUAGGCAUCACGUCCGCAACAAGUAGAUCGAAACGAUUCUGCAUCUACUACUAUUACUCCACACAUCGACCGACUCCUGCCUGCAUCUAGAGUAUUAAGUUCACAAGAACAGAGUAACGCAUUAAGAAAGAUGACAUGAUGUAGAGGGAUAAACUCAAGCAAUAUGAUAUAAACCCCAUCUUUUUAUCCUCGAUGGCAACAAUACAAUACGUGCCUUGCUGCCCCUACUAUCACUUGGAAAGGACACUGCAAGAUUGAACCCAAAGCUAAGCAUUUUUGCCAUUGCAAGAAAGAUCAAUCUAGUAGGACAAACCAAAUUGAUAAUUCGAAGAGACUUGCAAAGAUAACCAAUCACACAUAAAAAAAUUCAGAGGAGAUUCAAUUAUUUCUCAUAGAUAAACUUGAUCAUAAACCCACAAUUCAUCGGAUCUCGACAAACACACCACAAAAAGAGUUACGUCGAAUAGAUCUCCAAGAAGAUCAAGGAGAACUUUGUAUUGAGAUUCAAAGAGAGAGAAGAAGCCAUCUAGCUAAUAACUAUGGACCCGAAGGUCGGUGGUAAACUACUAAAAACUCAUCAGAGAGGCCUUGGAGAUGAUGUAGAGGCCCUCCAUGGUAGAUUCCCCCUCCAGCGGAGCGCCGACGAAGGCUCCAAGAUGGGAUCUCGUGGAUACAAAAGGUUGCGCCGGAGGGGAAUCGACCAUGGAGGGCCUCUACAUCAUCUCCAAGGCCUCUCCGAUGAGUUGUGAGUAGUUUACCAUAGACUUUCGGGUCCAUAGUUAUUAGCUAGAUGGCUUCUUCUCUCUUUUUGAAUCUCAGUACCAUGUUCUCAUUGAUCUUCUUGGAGAUCUAUUCGAUGUAACUCUUUUUGCGGUGUGUUUGUCGAGAUCCGAUGAAUUGUGGGUUUAUGAUCAAGUUUAUCUAUGAGAAAUAUUUGAAUCUCCUCUGAAUUCUUUUAUGUGUGAUUAAGUUAUCUUUGCAAGUCUCUUCGAAUUAUCAGUUUGGUUUGGCCUACUAGAUUGAUCUUUCUUGCAAUGGGAGAGGUGCUUAACUUUGGGUUCAAUCUUGCGGUGUCCUUUCCUAGUGACAGCAGGGGCAGCAAGGCACGUAUUGUAUUGUUGCCAUCGAGGAUAAAAAGAUGGGGUUUAUAUCGUAUUGCAUGAGUUUAUCCCUCUAUAUCAUGUCAUCUUUCUUAAUGUGUUACUCUGUUCUUUAUGAACUUAAUACUCAAAUGCAUACUAGAUAGCGGUCGAUGUGUGGAGUAAUAGUAGUAGAUGCAGGCAGGAGUCGGUCUACUUGUCACGGACGUGAUGCCUAUAUACAUGAUCAUGCCUAGAUAAUCUCAUAAUUAUUCGCUUUUCUAUCAAUUGCUCGACAUUAAUUUGUUCACCCACCGUAAUACUUAUGCUAUCUUGAGAGAAGCCACUAGUGAAACCUAUCUUUUAUCAUAUAAGCUUUCAAUCUACUUUUAUUUGCAUCUUUACUUUUCCAAUCUACAUUAUAGAAUACCAAAAAUAUAUUUAUCUUAUCAUAUUAUUUCUAUUAGAUCUCACUUUCGCAAGUGGCCUUGAAGGGAUUGACAACACCUUUAUUGCGUUGGUUGUGAGUUCUUGUUUGUUUGUUUAGGUGCGUGGGACUUUUGAGGAGCCUCCUACUGGAUUGAUACCUUGGUUCUCAAAGGAUGAGGGAAAUACUUAUGCUAUUAUUGCUGUAUCAUCCUUUCCUCUUCAAGGAAAACCAACGCAAGCUCAAGACGUAGCAAUAAGGAUUUCUGGCGCCGUUGCCGGGGAGGUCUUCGCUCAAGUCAAGACAUACCAAGUACCCAUCACAAACUCAUCUCCCUCGCACUUACAUUAUUUGCCACUUGCCUCUCGUUUUCCUCUCCCCCACUUCACCCUUGCCGUUUUAUUUGCCCUCUCUUUCCCAAUCUCCUCUCUCUUCUGCUUGUCUUCUUGUGUGCCUGUUUGCUUUUAUGGCUUUGCCUAAGAACACCGACCUUUAUCUUAGAAGGUUGGAAGAGAUUGAAUCAAACGUUAGAAGUUUUAUGACUUUACAAUUUGAGCAUAGUAAUUUCUUUAGAAAAGAGCUUAAAGAACAAAAAAGUUUUAUGGGGUUUAUGAACAAAGAGCUUGAUGAUAUGUCUAAAUAAUUUUAUGGUUUGAACUCUCAAAUUACUCGGCUUGAAAAUUCUAUAGCCCAAAUCUCUAAUAAGCAAGCUACAUACCUUAGUCAAUAAGAUGGCUGCCAAACCAGAAAAGUUAGAUGAAAAUAAUGAUGAAGAUCUAAAAGUUAUUGAUGUGUCCCCUAUUAAAUCUUUGUUUUGCAAUAUGAAUCUUAAUAAAGAUGGGACUGGAGAUGAGUCAACUCUAGUUAAAAGGCGUCCCUAUGAUUCAGAGUUUUUAGAUCUUGAUGCUAAAUUUGGUAAAAGUGGGAUUGGAGAGGUCAAGACUUUAAAUAGCAUUGAACCCACUAUCUUGGAUUUCAAGGAAUUUAAUUAUGAUAAUUGUCGGUGUACUAAAGUAGGGGUACCUUAGUAUCCCGAACUUGUGCACGGGCAGUUGCAGCACCCCGCGGCAAGGCUUGCCGGGUGACCGUCAAGAUCCUCCGUGGUUCCUUUGGAGCCAUUCAAGAACAAAGUAUUCAAGCCAAGGAGACAAGGCCCCGGCAAGAGGAGCUUGCCGGGAAGGCCAGCCAAGGCAUCUCAAGGAACUUGCCGUGACGUGCCACGCGUCCCGGCAAGGCCCGGUGAGCGACAAGCUUCCGGACGCGGCAAGACAACGACCGCGGCAAGGCGCUUGCCGCGACAAGCUACCACCCUGUACCCAUGCUCCAGCACAUCUACCAACGUAUCGCCCUGGGGCCUUUCCAGGCGCGCGUGGCAAGAGGCUGUGCAGCCAGCGGUGCGAGGUGGCAAGCAACGGUGACAAGAUUGCCAUCGUGGCGAACGGUGGCGUCCCUGACGGUCCUUUCCUGCACUGUUUGGGCGACACAGACGGGCAUUUAAUGCCUUUGUCCCCUGCCGUCAGGGUUAGGUAGGAUACACUGUACAUGUAGUUGUACCAACCGCAACUCCUUUUACGUUUUUACCCUUGUCUAUGUUGCCAGCUGUCGAUGACCAGUUUAGCAUAUAAAAGGAGGCCCACGUGCAACGUAGAGGGGGUUCGGUUCGGGCCGAAGCCAGAAAAACACUCACGCUCGGUCUCGUUAGCAGCUAGAGUGCGCCAUAGCACUCAGCGCUCCCGAGCAAGAACAUAAUACACUAAAACAUGCAGCAGUAGGAGCGUUAUCUCUCCGGAGAGCUCCGAAGCUGGGUAAACUGCUCGUGUGCUUCGCCUCGAUCCGCUCUUCGUGCGACCUCCGCCCCCCGCCGAACCGAAAGGGGCUCGGUCCGCCGGUCCCAUAGGUGUUCGUGGAUCAGCUUCCCCGACAUCUUUGGCACACUAGGUGGGGGGCGUCCAGAUUGUGUGAACCUGAUCCGACGUUCACACGAGCUGGAUCUUCAUUUUCUUCAUCAACAUGCCACCGAAGAAGAAGGCUUCGGGGGCAACUGUUCCACCCACGUCGAUCCCACCACCACCGGAGCAAACGGGUGGUGGGAUAGACGCCGGCGGAAGAACGGACAUCGACGAGGGAGCUCACGGUGCUGCCAGAUCCAAGGACAAGGCUGCACAGACCUCAGCGUCCGUACAUGCACCGCGCCCAUCUCAGGAGGCGCAAGACUGACAGCGUCAUGGUAUUCACAGUACCAUACGUUUGUUGGACCAAGAUCGAGCUGGUGGAUCUCGGAGUGCUCAAGACCAGCAUGCACGCCAACAUGCAGGCACGAGCGAGAUACGAUCGCCUGGACGGGAUACUGCUCCUUCUAACAUAGUUAGAAGUCCGAGCAUAUCCCGCUCCUCGCGCCGUUCACCACUGCCGCCCACCACUCGAGCAGAAGCUUUGGCGCGAGCUCAACUGCUCCUGGAUUACCCUCCAACGGCAGACAAGAUCAACGAAUGGAGGGCCACCAUUCAGAGUCUCAUCGACUUUGCCAACGGCGACACUCCGCAGCAGCCGAGUGCAUCGCGGCCGCGGCAGGACUGCCAGGCACGAGCCGAUGGUGACAAAACCGGUGGGGGUGCAACCACCAUGCACUCUCCACCCCGAAGGCCAAGAUCGCCGACUCGCCGGAUCCACCUCGACAGCGACUCCACCGCAUCGUCAGAUCCACGAGCUCAUCGCGAUCAGCGCCAAGUUCUUCACGAACGACAGCAAGAAGACGCUCGUACUCGCAUCGAGCGCUGAAGAGAAGCGUGGCGUCAAUCUGACCAGCGCGCUGGGCCCUCUGUCGACAUGCAUGCGCCAGGGGCACUAGGUGACUUGCCGUACGCGGUAGGUUGCCCUGCGUUCACUCGUGAGCUGCUGCAAGUCCAGUGGCCCAGCAUGAAAAAUUUCAAGCUAGAUGUACCAGAGAAGUACGAGGGCAAGUCACAUCCGUCGGAGUUCCUCAGCAUCUACACCAUCGCGGUGCAAGCUGCCGGGGGACGGGACGACAAGAUCCUUGCCAACUACUUCCCGCUGGUGCUCAAGCCCAAUGUCAGAUCCUGGCUCAUGCACUUGCCGGACAACUCCAUAUCCUCCUGGGCGGACCUGUGCCAUCAUUUUGUCGGUGCCUUUACAGGCGGCCACAAACCUCAUGGCCAAGAGAGCGACCUUCAUCUGCUCGCCCAGAAGGAAGGAGAGCCUCUGCGCAAGUACAUUCAGAGAUUCAGCCGUGUACAACACAACAUCCCAGAUGUCCACCCUGCCGCGGUAAUCAGCGCGUUCCAUCAGAACGUGCGAAACCGCAAGAUGCGGGAGGAGAUGGCGAUGUGCAAGAUCAGAGACGUCAGUGAGCUAUACGCCCUGGCCGACAAGUGUGCACGUGCUGAGGAAGGGAGGAAACUCCCCGGAGAGAGUACAGGAGCAGGAGGAUCUGAUAGUGAGGAUGCUGCCCCGACAAAGAAAAACCGGCGGCGGAACAACAGGAAGAAGAAAGGCAAAGAUGUGCUAGUCGUUGAGCAAUCCGGCAAGGAAGCCAAAGCUGGUAGCUUCGGCAAGGAGAUUGCCGUAGGCACCAACCACCAGGCUGUGGCGGUCGCCGACAAGCAGGACGACACCAACAGGCAGUACUGCAAGAUCCACCGCACCAAGGGCCAUGACCUCCAGAGUUGCAAGAAGGUCGAGCAGCUUGUCAAGCAGCAAAAGGCUGAAUACGAGCGACGCGACAAGGAGAAGGCCUAUGAAGGUGCUGGAGGAGCCGGCAAGAAACGCCCCGGCCGAGGAGGACGCCGCGGCAAGGCCAAGCAGCGCCAAGGAGACAGACCUCCCCGCGGCCGCGACAAGGAUGAAGAUGACGACAACAAUGAAGAUAUGGAUGAUGACGAGACCGAUGAGCAGGAGUUCUAGAAAGCCACAGAGAUCCUGUGCGUUGACGGUGGUGCUUCUCUGCAUACUUCACACCGCCAGCUCAAGCAGUGGGUGCGGGAAGUCAAUGCAGCAGAGCCACCCGUCGAGUCACGCAAGCCUCUGAAAUGGUCCAGCACGCCUAUCAUCUUUGAUAUUGAGGACCACCCUGAUCGCAUAACUGCGGUCGGGUGCUUGCCGAUGUUGGUUUCACCAACUAUUCGCAACCUCAAGGUCACUAAGAUGCUAGUUGACAGCGGGACCGGCUUGAACCUGAUCUCCUCCGCGGUACUCCAGAAACUCCAGAUCCCUGAUAGCGAGCUCGAAGAGACCGGCACGUUCUAAGGAAUCAAUCCGGGAAGAAGCAAGCCAAAGGGAAAGAUCACGUUGCCGGUAACAUUUGGCAGCGAGUUAAACUUCAGGACUGAGAGGGUCACUUUUGACGUUGCUGACUUUCCAUUGCCUUACAAUGGGAUACUCGGCCAUCCAACACUCGCCAAAUUCAUGGCAGCCUCUCACUAUGCAUACAACAUGCUGAAGAUGCCAGGCCCGAUAAGUGUCAUCUCUGUCCCUGGCGACAAGAAGGAUGCUCUUAUCUGCACCGACAAGAUCUACCGGGAAGCAGCAGCCACAACAGAUCGUAGGUCACUUGCCGUUGAAGCUCCCGGGGGGAGGAAGAAGACCAUGUCCGGCAAGAGUUCUGAUGCCCACUCCGGCAAGCGCACCUCUUCGGGGUGCUGCACUACCGUCAAGGACGCACCAUCGAGCUCCACCGGGAAGUGUAAGAAGACAAUGGUAGCUCCACCAGAGACCAAGAAGGUGUCCGCCAAGGAGGAUGGCACUGGUGGUACCGUCACCAUCAGUGCCACUCUCGACCCUAAAUAGGAAGGCACACUCGUUGCUUUCCUGCGGGCGAAUGUCGACGUGUUUGCAUGGCAAUCGUCUGACAUCCCUGGUGUUCCUAGGAAAGUAAUCGAGCACCAUCUAGCCGUCUGUCCUCAUGCGCGGCCCAUCAAGCAGAAAGUCAAAAAACAAGUAGUGGAGCGCCAAGAAUUCAUCGCUGAAGAAAUCAAGAAGUUGGAAGCAGCAGGCCUUGUUAGAGGAGUGCUCCAUCCCACGUGGUUGGCCAAUCCUGUAGUCGUGCGCAAGGCAAACGGGAAAUGGAGGCUUUGUAUCGACUUUACCGAUGUCAAUAAAGCUUGUCCCAAAGACCCAUUUCCCUUGCCGCGCAUCAACCAGAUUGUUGACUCCAUAGUCGGAUGUGACUUGCUUUCAUUUCUUGACGCAUAUUCAGGAUACCAUCAGAUCUUCAUGGCAGAAGAGGAUGAGGAAAAGACCGCAUUCAUCACACCAUGUGGCACAUACUGUUUCAUACGGAUGCCUUUCGGUUUAAAGAAUGUUGGUUCAACAUUUGCAAGGAUAGUCCAUGACGCUUUUGAGCCGCUAAUACAUAGGAAUGUGGAGGCCUACAUGGAUGACUUAGUGGUCAAGAGCAAGGACAAAGCAACUCUGAUUCAAGAUUUAGACGAAACCUUUGCAAACCUGCGCAAGAUCAACCUCAAGCUUAACCCCGAGAAGUGUGUGUUCGGAGUCCCCUCCGGCAAGCUUCUCGGGUUCUUCGUGUCUCAGUGGGGAAUCGAAGCCAAUCCCGACAAGAUCAAGGCCAUUGAGCAGAUUGAAGCACCAAAGCGCGUCAAGGAUGUACGAAGACUUGCCGGUUGCGUAGCUGCUCUCAGCAGGUUUAUCUCUAGGUCUGCUGAGCGCGCCCUGCCAUUUUUCAAAUUAUUGAAAAAGGCAGGUCCAAUGAAAUGGACUCCGGAAGCGGAGGCUGCGCUGUAGGACUUAAAGAGAUACCCGUCCUCCACUCCGACACUUGUCGCACCUAAGCCACAAGAGAAGUUGCUGCUAUAUAUAGCGGCAACCAAUCAAGUGGUUAGUGCUGCGUUAGUAGCAGAGAGGGAGGCGGAUGAUGAGCCGGCAACCACAGCAAGUGCAUCCAGCGACAAGCAAGGAUCAUCACCGACAAGCUCUGGUCCCGACAAAGAUGGAUCUGCGCAGGCGCGUGAGAAGAUGCAGAAGAGAAUGGUGCAGCACCCAGUUUACUUUGUCAGUUUCCUUUUGCAGGGGGCUAGGUCAAGGUACUCUGGUGUGCAGAAAUUGCUUUCCGGCCUUCUCAUGGCCUCGAGUAAGCUGCGCCAUUACUUCCAAGCACAUGAGAUCACAGUGGUCACUCGUUUUCCGCUGAAGAGGAUACUGCAAAAUCCAGAAGCAACAGGCAGGAUUGUCGAGUGGGCACUAGAACUGUCAAGCUUUGGCCUCAAGUUUGAGAGCACCUCAACUAUCCAAAGCAGAGCAUUGGCGGAGUUCAUAGCAGAGUGGACGCCAACACCAGAUGAAGAAAUUCCAGAAACGAGCAUACCCGUCAAGGAAGCAAGCAAAGAGUGGUUGAUGUACUUUGAUGGUGCCUUCUCGCUGCAAGGCGCCAGUGCGGGCGUACUACUUGUCGCACCCAUCGAAGAGCACCUCAAGUACGUAGUCCAGAUGCACUUUCCCAAGGAGCAAGCAACAAACAAUAUUGCAGAGUAUGAAGGUUUGCUUGCCGGUCUCAGAAUCGUAGCAGACCUUGGGAUCAAGAAGCUCAUUGUCAGGGGUGACUCACAGCUUGUCGUCCGCCAAGUGAACAAGAAUUAUCAGAGUCCAUUUAUGGAAGCUUACAUUGAUAAAGUGAGAAAGCUAGAAGAGCACUUUGACGGCCUAUAGAUGGAACAUGUUCCAAGAGCUCAGAACGACAUUGCCGAUGGCCUGUCGAAGUGCACCGCACUUAAGUUACCUCUGGAACCAGGGAUCUUUGUGCUCAAGCUGACUCAACCAUCCGUAACGCCAUCAACUCGACAGAACAAGAAGAGGAAGUUGAUUUCUGGUGACUAUUUUCCGGCAGAGCUCCCCGAAGCCACCGCCAAGAAGGUCCUCAAGAUCAACACCAAGGAUGCUGAGGAGCAGUCUGCUCCGACAAGCCCUAGGGUUUGUUCCGUUGAAGCAGACGCUCCUGACAAGUUUUGCUGCGGCAAGCUUGCCGGGGAACGUCAAGCUCCGGCUGAGCCGCAGGUUCUCGCCGUAGAAGUGGAUGUUCCCGCAGCAGCAGAUAUGCCUUUAGUCCUUGUUGUCGAGCCGCAAGCUCCAGCAUGGGCGCAGCAGAUUGUCCAUUUCCUUCAAACAGGUGAACUUCCCGAAGAGCAAGAAGAAGCGGAAAGAGUAGCCCGGUAGUCAAGUAUGUACUAGUUUGUCGACAACACACUGUACAGAAGAAGACUCAACGGCGUGAAAUUGAAGUGUAUUCACCGGGAAGACGGACAAAAGCUAUUGGCAGAGAUACACAGAGGCAUAUGUGGCCACCAUAUUGGCGCAAGAGCACUUGCCGGCAAAGUGUUCCGGCAAGGUUUCUUUUGGCCAACAGCCCUCCAGGAUGCAACUGCACAAGUAACCAAGUGUGAAGCGUGCCAGUUCCAUUCCAAGCAUAUACACCAGCCAGCUCAACCUCUCCAGACGACCCCUUUAUCCUGGCCAUUUUCGGUCUGGAGGCUCGACAUCCUCGGCCCCUUUCCCCGAGCUGUCCGGGGCUUUGAGUACUUGUACGUUGCAAUCGACAAGUUCACAAAGUGGCCGGAAGUGGAAGCAGUGAGGAAGGUGACAGCACAGUCGGCAGUCAAGUUCUUCAGGUCGAUUGUUUGCCGUUUCGGGAUCCCUAACAGGAUCAUCACCGACAACGACACACAAUUCACGAGCCGCACCUUCAUGCAGUACGUCCAAGAUCUUGGCGCCAAGGUCUGCUUCGUUUCUGUUGCUCAUCCAAGAAGCAAUGGUCAAGUAGAGGGGGCAAAUGCUGAAGUGCUGCGCGGGCUCAAGACCAGGACUUUCGACAGGCUGCACAAGUGCAGAAAGAACUGGAUUGAGGAGCUGCCGGUGGUUCUUUGGUCGCUCAGGACGACGCCAAAUCGAGCCACUGGCCAGACACCUUUCGCUCUAGUCUAUGGAGCAGAGGCAGUUCUCCCCACAGAACUCGUAUACGGGUCACCUCGAGUGCUCGCUUAUGAUGAGCUUGAGCAAGAGCAGCUGCGACAAGAUGACGCGCUGCUCCUCGAGGAGGACCGUCUUCAGGCUGCUGUACGAGCUGCUCGAUACCAGCAAGCUUUGCGCCGCUACCAUAGCUACAAAGUUAAUGCCAGAAGUCUCGAGGAAGGCGACCUUGUUCUUCGGCGCGUUCAGUCCGCCAAGAAUUCCAACAAGUUGACGCCGAAGUGGGAAGGCCCUUACCGGGUGAAAUGAGUCACUAGGCCUGGCGCUGUCCACCUUGAGACCGAAGAUGGCAUUCCGGUGAGCAACUCCUGGAACAUUGAGCAUCUUCGUAAGUUUUACCCGUAGGGCGCGGUUGCCGGAACCUGUUCCGGCAACCACCUUUUGUACAAGUCUUGCCGAUGUUGCAUGUAAUCCUUUGUACAAAGCCGGGCGCAGACCCCGUGCAUAAGUAAAGCUCAUGUGCCCCGCACAUCUUGUCGAUUUCAUGCUUUCUACUACUUUUUGCAUGCGUUAUCUGACACUUUGUGCAGCACCUACCCCCGGUAAGCAAUAACGAGCCAUAGGGCUCCAUAUCUUUAUUUUCUCUUCUUUCUCUUUCUCAAGGAAAGGAAGGAUCCCUCGCCCACAAGUUUGCCGGGGGGAAAGGAGAAGAUAAUGGUGUGGACCAGGCGUCGUUCGAGGGAGUUUCGCCUUACCGGGAAGCAAACGACAGAAAAGCUAAGUUGCCAAAGUUUGAGCAAUCAUUUUUAAAUUUUUUAAGUUAUCUUCCUCAAACGACCGUGCUUUGUAUGGAAAACCUGUGCGCGGAGGAACCAACUCGUAGCUAGUUGCGCCCUUACUUUGUUUCGAGUCCGCUCAACAACUUAAGUGAGCUGCGACUAGUUGCAACAAGGUUUCUUGUUGGUAGCGGCACCGCCAGCAGGCUGCUGACAUUCCGCACUCAGCGCUCGCGGCUAAGGUACCUGCACCGACAAGUUCCCUAAAAGCGUAGGGCAAAAACAUACAAAGGAAGGAAUCAAGUAAAGGAAAUAACACAGCAAUCUCUACCCAAAAUAGAGUUGUAUUACAAGAUAACUUGUCGCAACUCUAACAGAAUGUUCUCAUGACAUGACCAGCGGCGACAAAGAAAAAGAAAAGACGGGCGGCCUAAUCCACGCGUUCGCCCUCAACCCUCUUGAUCUCGCUCACCUUGUCCACAGUGGGUGCGACAAGGGCCUUGAGCGCUUCCAGAUCAGCAUCCGGCGGCAAGGACCUGAGGACGUUGGUGAGGUUGAGGCCUGGGUUGCGGAAGGCCACCUUCACCAGCACCUUCUGAAGAGCCCCCGCGCAGAUCCUGCGUGACUCAUCGGCCAGCUGCUUUGGGAUCUUCUCCCGGAGUCGCUGGAGGGCCGUCGCCAUGCCUUUGAAGAACAGGCUGAGCUUGGCGCUGGGUUGGAGGUGCUCACCAGAGGAGUACCCGAGAUCCUCCAUCCCCAGCUGCGCCAACUCAACGUCGAUGGCUGCGGCAAGAUCCACUAGACCCUCGGUCCAGUGUUCCACAGUCUCCCUGAAAGCGUCGUGGGCGGCAGCAGCAUUCACCAGCAGCGCCUCGUCGGUCUUGAUCUUCUCCUUCAAGGCCACCUCCUGCUCCCUGGCGCGGUCCAGCAUCUUGGUCAAGGUGGCCAGCUUCAAUUCGAGAUCCGCAUUGGAGUCCUUGGCGGCGCUAAGCUCUUUGCUCCUCUCAGCGAGACGACCCUGCAGCUCACCAUGAGCAGCGGGGUCCUUCUCACGCUCACGCUUGAGCACAGCAAGCUCCUCGCCGCUCGCCUUGAGAUCAGCCUCCAGCUGCGCCAUCUUCGUCUCCAGCUCCUUCUUGGCGGCCUCGGCAGCUGCGGCAGCAUCCUUUGCUUCCUUGAGAGCCCCGCCAAUCGCUUGCUCGCGCGCGGCAAGCUUCUCCUCGUGGCUGUCAAGGUUGACGUUGCGCUGCGCUAAUUCACCUUCCUGCGCAGACAACUUCUCGGCAGCGAGCCGCUGCUGCUCUUCAACCUCAGCCUUCCCGAGGAGGAAGGCUUUCCGCUCCUCGGCGAGUUGCUCCCACUCCUCUGCUAAGGAUCGGAGAGCUUCCUGCCUGAGACCCCGGAGCUCCUCCGCGCGCUUCUCGAUGUCCACUCCCGCCUUCGCGACAAGCGCCUCUCGGGAUGCCAGCUUGGCUUGUCGGGCGCGGUAGAGCAACAACAACUUCCGCAGCAACCGCUCCUCCUCAGGCUCGUCGCUGCAGCUUGGCGUGUCGACCAGCGUCAGCCCAGCAGAGGCGAGAACCUCUCCAUCCAAGAUUUCUCCUUCGACCAGCACCCUGGAACUUGACGCCCAGGGGAGCUUGAUGAAGAUGCCAUCGCCGGCCUUCAAUUAGGCGCCGGGAUGGGGCUCAUCGGAGCCUGGCGCUGCAGCAGCGGCGGAGGGAUCGGCGGUUGGCGUAGCGCCUGGCGCUCCUGCGGCCUCGGGGCCAUCAGUGCGAUCGCCGGAUCCCUCGCCAGCUUCUGCGGCGGCAGCUUUGGCGGCCUCUUCGCCGGCGGGAUCAUCAGCGCCGGCCUCUUCUUUGGUGGCAGGGGUGACUCGCAGGCGCCGGCCUCGAUGGCGUCGUUGUUGUUGCCAUGCGCGUUCUCCUCGCCGGCGACCUCGGUUUCCAUUGGAUCUGCGGCAGAUGGAUCUGACGACCGAGAAGGGGAGAAAAGUCAAGCAAAACUUCAAAAAGAAAAUCAGAAGAAGAAGAACCCAAGGGAAGUUCUCAAGCAAGAGGAUUACCUGGAUCUACAGCCGCGGUCUCCGCCACCGGGGGGUCGCUGGUGCUAUCCCUUGCCGGAGAACUGUCCCUUGCCGGAGAAUUCUCCCUUGCCGGAGAACGCUCCCUUGCCGGGGAAUCCUCCCUUGGCGGUGUAGUCGAAGAAGAUGGCAUUUCGGGAGCGACUUCUAGGCACUCCUGGUGAGGCUGCUCUGCUCCUACACAAACCAACAAUCAGAUAUCAGCGAAGAAAGAGCACCAAUGCGCGCCUGACAGCAAGAAGUAAAAUAUACACUUACGCUCGGGGCUGCGCUGGAGGCUGCUUUGGGGAAUAGUUGCCGGGUCCGGCAAGGUGGUUUCAGGCGCGUCCCCUGUUGCCAUGGUGGGUUCGUCCUCAAUGACAAUCACCGGGACCUUGGCUCUCUUCGCCGCUCUCUGGGCCAGAGUCCUGAAAAGGAAUGAGUUCGGAGUAAAGCAAAUCAGAGACAAGACAAAACAACAAAGAUUGAAGAACUACAAGUACAACAAGGAAUCUUACUCUUCUUCUUCCUCAUCGGAGCUGAGCGCGGAGAGAUCGAAGUCUGGCUCGCCUCCGGUGCGACGAGGCAGAGGAGUAGGCUCCCUUGUCCGCUUGGCAGGAGCAGUGGCGGUGGACCGGGAAGACCCCGCUCCAGUUGCGGCAGCGGCGUGAGGCGCUCCCGCGGCAAUAGUGCUUGCCGCGGUCGAGCGCGUCGCGUGGUGCGGCGGCUGUUGACCCGUCUGCCGCCCCGCUACAUCCCCGGCGUUGCGGAGACGCCUUCUUGGUGGAGCUGGGGGCUCCGCUUGCGGCGAGCUGGCUGAAGGUGGGGAGGAGGAGGAGCCGAUCCUCAACGGGUCGCUCGCGCCCUCGGCGGGCUCGCUCGACUCAGAUUCAGGCCCAACAAGUUCUUCCUCACCGACAAGCUCUUCUCGCUCGGCAAGGCUUGCCGCCUCUGCUGCCUCUGCCUCCUCCACGGUGAAUCCAAAUUCGCCCGCGGCAGCUGCUGCCACUGCCUCUUCCAGCCUAGUGGCGAUGCGCUGCAUCUCCGCAUCGGUGGUGUCGCGAGUGAGGCUCUUCUGUUCAUCGACGCGGACCGGCACUUCUACCAAGCUGUCGAAGAACUCCUGCACGACGUCGUCUGCAGGCUCUUGCCAAGUUGGGACGAUUCCAUGCGAAUCACACAGCGGCAUCAUUGCACGGAUGCGGUCGAGCGAGGAAUUGUUGCACAGCGGAACGACACUCCUCGGCAGCAUGAAUGGAUGUUGAGGAUCGCGCUUGAACAGCUCCAGAAGCAUCGCAUCCAGCUCCAAGACAGUGAAGUUGAAGUUGAGGCCCGGGCGCAGCCUCAUGAUAUCCGCCGAGUUCUGGAACUCCCAAGCGGGUCUCCUCCUCUCCUGAAGGGGGGCGAUGCGGCGGCGAAGGAAAUCUGCGCCAACGGCGCCUACGGUGAGCCCGGCAAGCCUGAGGCGUAAGAUCCGGGUGACGGCAAUCUUCAGCCUAUCAUCUUCCGAGGCCACGUUGCUCCAAUCGUUGCCGCGUACAAUUGGGGUUUGGUGCCGGGCGGUGAAUGGCUGCGGGUUCUCCUCGACGAUCCAGCACCACUCUGCUCUCCAUUCUUCCCAUUUGCUGCGGAGCUCUCCCUCCAGAUAAGCAUCCUUCUUGCCAGUUCUCGAGAUCCAGGCGAUUCCACCGGCAAGGGGCUCUCCUCUCUCGACUCGGGGCAUAAAGAAGUGGCGAAAAAGGGCUACAUUGGGAUGGACUCCGACAAAGUUUUCGCAGAGAUGUGCGAAAACUGCCAUGGUCAGAACGGCAUUGGGGGUGAAAUCAAGGAGGCGGAACCCGUAGGUGUUCAUGAUAUCACAGAAGAAUUCAGAGAAGGGCGGGCAGAGCCCGCAGUAGAAGAAUAUCGCGAAGAAGGGGUACCCGUUCGGAGCCAGUUUCGAAGCGGCAGCUGAGAGUACCCUCGUGCGCGGAUGCGCUCGCGUCUCCGUCGACCAGAAGAGGUAGUAGUACUCCCUCAGCUCCUUCGCGUCAAGCUGAGGGGGAAAGAUUGCCCGCUCCUUUCGCAGCGCCGCGAGCCGCUGUGCCUCCGCUGACUCCACGCCCUUCCCCUUGUCGGCUUUCGGAGCCAUGGCGGAGGCGGUGGGGGAGAUCGACGGCGUCGGUGGUGCCGGUGGCAAUGGGGGGCGGAGCGCUGCUCUCUUUCGACUUUGGGAAGAAGGGGGGGAGCGGCGGAGAUUUCUGAGAUUGGAGUAGUAACCGGCGAGAUGGGCGAACUGCCCCUGUUUCCCCUGCUUAUAAAGAGGGAGGGGGCAGACAUUCCGCCUUUAUGAAUAAAGAAACCACCCACGAUCUCUCCCACGACGCCGCAUUCGACGCGUGCUGUUGGGGGAGGGCGCGGUGGAUACGGAGUGAGAUACGGCGUGACCCAAGCCGCGCGUGCCCGUGCCUUGCUUUGCACCUGGCCCAACAGCGCUCGGCACCGUGUGUGGCCCAGGCCCGGGGGCUCCUGUCGGUGUACUAAAGUAGGGGUACCUUAGUAUCCCGAACUUGUGCACGGGCAGUUGCAGCACCCCACGGCAAGGCUUGCCGGGCGACCGUCAAGAUCCUCCGUGGUUCCUUUGGAGCCAUUCAAGAACAAAGUAUUCAAGCCAAGGAGACAAGGCCCCGGCAAGAGGAGCUUGCCGGGAAGGCUAGCCAAGGCAUCUCAAGGAACUUGCCGCGACGCGCCACGCGUCCCGGCAAGGCCCGGUGAGCGACAAGCUUCCGGACGCGACAAGACAACGACCGCGGCAAGGUGCUUGCCGCGACAAGCUACCACCCUGUACCCACGCUCUAGCACAUCUACCAACAUGUUGCCCUGGGGCCUUUCCAGGUGCGCGUGGCAAGAGGCUGUGCAGCCAGCGGUGCGAGGUGGCAAGCAACGGUGACAAGAUUGCCAUCGUGGCGAACGGUGGCGUCCCUGAGGGUCCUUACCUGCACUGUUUGGGCGACACAGACGGGCAUUUAAUGCCUUUGUCCCCUUCCGUCAGGGUUAGGUAGGAUACAUUGUACAGGUAGUUGUACCAACCGCAACUCCUUUUACGUUUUUAUCCUUGUCUACGUUGCCACCUGUCGGUGACCCCUUUAGCAUAUAAAAGGAGGCCCACGUGCAACGUAGAGGGGGUUCGGUUCGGGCCGAAGCCAGAAAAACACUCACGCUCGGUCUCGUUAGCAGCUAGAGUGCGCCAUAGCACUCAGCGCUCCCGAGCAAGAACAUAGUACACUAAAACAUGCAGCAGUAGGAGUGUUAUCUCUCCGGAGAGCUCCGAAGCUGGGUAAACUGCUCGUGUGCUUCGCCUCGAUCCGCUCUUCGUGCGACCUCCGCCCCCCGCCGAACCGAAAGGGGCUCGGUCCGGCGGUCCCAUAGGUGUUCAUGGAUCAACUUCCCCGACAAUAAUUGUUCUUUAGAAGAUUGUAUUUCCUUGUUGCAAUCCGUUGUGAAUUCUCCUCAUGCUUAUAGUCAAAAUAAAGCUUUUACCAAACGUAUUGUUGAUGCCUUGAUGCAAUCUUUUGAUGAAAAACUUAAUUUGGAAGUUUCUAUACCUAGAAAACUUAACGAUGAGUGGGAACCUACUAUAAAGAUUAAAAUUAAAGAUCAUGAGUGUUAUGCUUUGUGUGAUUUGGGUGCUAGUGUUUCCACGAUUCCAAAAACUUUAUGCAUUAUUCUAGGUUUCCAUGAUCUUGAUGAUUGCUCUUUAAAUUUGCACCUUGCGGAUUCCACCAUUAAAAAGCCAGUGGGAAGGAUCAAUGAUGUUCUCAUUGUUGCAAAUAGGAAUUUGGUGCCCGUAGAUUUUAUCGUUCUUGACAUAGAUUGCAAUCUUUCUUGUCCUAUUAUUCUUGGUAGACCUUUCCUUAGAACAAUUGGUGCGAUUAUUGAUAUGAAGGAAGGUAAUAUUAGAUUCCAAUUUCCAUUAAGGAAAGGCAUGGAGCACUUUCCAAGAAAGAAAGUCAAAUUACCUUAUGAAUCUAUCAUGCGAGCUACUUAUGAAUUGAGUGCCAAAGAUGGCACUACUUAGAUCUAUCCUCGCUUUUAUGCCAAGCUAGGGGCGUCAAACGAUAGCGCUAGUUGGGAGGCAACCCAAUUUUAUUUGUGUUUUUUGUUUUUGCUUCUGUUUAGUAAUAAAUUUUGCAUCUACCUCCUGUUUAGAUGUGUUUUUUAUGUUUCAAUUAGUGUUUAUGCCAUGUAGAACCUAUAGGAUAACCUAUGGUGAUAGUUAAUUUGAUUCUACUGAAAAACAGAAACUUUGCACACACGGAAAUAAUUUUAGUAAUUCACAGAAACGUGAUUUUGCGUUGAUUCUUUUUUCUGUAGAUCAAUAGACAAAUUUCCCAGGACUUCCUAUUUUGGUAGGAUUUGUAGAGUUCCAUAAGUAUUCGAGAGUUACAGAUUGCUACAGACUGUUCUGUUUUUGACAGAUUCUGUUUUUCGUGUGUUGUUUGCUUGUUUUGAUGCAUCUAUGGCUAGUAUGUAAGGGUAUGAACCACAGAGAACUUGGAAUACAGUAGGUUUAACACCAAUAUAAAUAAAGAAUGAGUUAAUUACAGUGCCUUAUGUGGUGGUUUUUCUUUCUUGCACGAACAGAGCUUAUGAGAUUUCCUGUUGAGUUUUGUGUUGUGAAGUUUUCAAGUUUUGGGUAAAGAUUUGAUGGACUAUGGAAUAAGGAGUGGCAAGAUACUAAGCUUGGGUAUGCCCAUGGCACCCCAAGAUAUUCAAGAAUAGCCAAAAGCCUAAGCUUGGGGAUGCCCUGGAAGGCAUCCCAUCUUUCGUCUUUGUCUAUCGGUAACUUUACUUGGAGCUAUAUUUUUAUUCGCCACAUGAUAUGUGUUUUGCUUGGAGCGUCUUGUAUGAUAUUAGUCUUUGCUUUUUAGUUUACCACAAUCAUCCUUGCUGUACACACCUUUUGGGAGAAACCCACUUGAUUGGAAUUUAUUAGAAUACUCUAUGUGCUUCACUUAUAUCUUUUGAGCUUGAUAGUUUUUGCUUUAGUGCUUCACUUAUAUCUUUUAGAGCACGAUGGUGUUUUAAUUUUGUAGAAAUUGUUGAUCUCUCAUGCUUCACUUAUAUUAUUUUGAGAGUCUCUUAGAACAACAUGGUAUUUUCUAUGGUUAUAAAAUUGGUCCUAGAAUGAUGAGCAUCCAAGUUGGGUAUAAUAAAAGCUAUCAUAGAAAGUGAAUUGGAUGCUAUGAUCAAUUUGAUACUUGAUAAUUGUUUUGAGAUAUAGAGGUGGUAAUAUUAAAGUCAUGCUAGUUGGGUGAUUAUGAAUUUAAAGAAUACUUGUGUUGAAGUUUGUGAUUCCCGUAGCAUGCACGUAUGGUGAACCGCUUUGUGAUGAAGUUGGAGCACAAUUUUAUUUAUGGAUUGUCUUCCUUAUGAGUGGCGGUCGGGGACGAGCGAUUGUCUUUUCCUACCAAUCUAUCCCCCUAGGAGCAUGCACAUAGUACUUUGUUUUCAAUGACUUGUAGAUUUUUUCAAUAAGUUCAUGAAUUCUUAUGACUAAUGUUGAGUCCAUGGAUUAUACGCACUCUCACCCUUCCACCAUUGCUAGCCUCUCUUGUGCCCCGCAACUUUCAUUGGUACCAUACACCCACCAUAUACCUUCCUCAAAACAACCACCAUGCCUACCUAUUAUGGCAUUUCCAUAGCCAUUUCGAGAUAUAUUGCCAUUCAACUUUCCACCAUUUCGUUUAUAUGACACGCAUCAUCAUUGUCAUAUUGCUCUUUGCAUGAUCAUGUAGUUGACAUCGUAUUUGUGGCAAGGCCACGUUCAUAAUUUUCAUACAUGUCACUCUUGAUACAUUGCAUAUCCCGGUACACUGCCGGAGGCAUUCAUAUAGAGUCAUAUCUUGUUCUAAGUAUUGAGUUGUAAUCUUGAGUUGUAAGUAAAUAAAAGUGUGAUGAUCUUCAUUAUUAGAGCAUUGUCCCAGUGAGGAAAGGAUGAUGGAGACUAUGAUUCCCCCACAAGUCGUGAUGAGACUUCGUACCUUACAAAAAAAAGAAGAGAAAGGCCAAAUAAAAAAAAGAGAAAGGCCAAAGAAAAAAAGAGAGAAAAAGAGAGAAGGGACAAUGGAACUAUCCUUUUUACCACACUUGUGCUUAAAAGUAGCACCAUGAUCUUCAUGAUAGUGAGUCUCUUAUGUUGGCACUUUCAUAUACUAGUGGGAAUUUUUCAUUGCAGAACUUGGCUUGUAUAUUCCAAUGAUGGGCUUCCUCAAAAUGCCCUUGGUCUUCGUGAGCAAGCGAGUUGGAUGCACACCCACUUAGUUUCUUUUGUUGAGCAUUCAUGCAUUUAUAGCUCUAGUGCAUCCAUUGCAUGACAAUCCCUAAUCACUCACAUUGAUACCUAUUAAUGGGCAUCUCCAUAAUCCGUUGAUACGCCUAGUUGAUGUGAGACUAUCUUCCUCCUUUUUUGUCUUCUCCACAACCACCAUUCUAUUCCACAUAUAGUGCUAUGUCCAUGGCUCACGCUCAUGUAUUGCGUGAAAGUUGAAAAAGUUUGAGAUUACUAAAGUAUGAAACAAUUGCUUGGCUUGUCAUCGGGGUUGUGCAUGAUUAAAUACUUUGUGUGAUGACGAUAGAGCAACAACCAGACUAUAUGAUUUUGUAGGGAUAACUUUCUUUAGCCAUGUUAUUUUGAGAAGACAUGAUUGCUUGCUUAGUAUGCUUGAAGUAUUAUUAUUUCUUAUGUCAAUAUGAACUUUUAUUUUGAAUCAUUUGGAUCUGAACAUUCAUGCCACAAUAAAGAAAAUUACAUUGAGAAUUAUGCUAGGUAGCAUUCCACAUUGUCGUUGUCAAAACCGGCGGAUCUCGGGUAGGGGGUCCCAAGCAGUGCGUCUUAGGAUCAAUGGUAACAGGAGGCAAGGGACACAAUGUUUACCCAGGUUCGGGACCUCUCGGUGGAGGUAAAACCCUAAUCCUGCUUGAUUGAUAUUGAUGAUAUGGGUAUUACAAGAUUCGAUCUACCACGAGAUCAGAGAGGCCAAACCCUAGAAGCUAGCCCAUGGUAUGAUUGUUGUUGUAUAUGUCUAUCGACUAGCCUGGCCCCGGUUUAUAUAAUGCACCAGAGGCCUAGGAUAACAAGAGUCCUAGCCGAAUACGCCGGUGGGGGAGGAGUCCUUGUCUUGAUCGCCAAGUCUUGUGGAUUCUUCCUUGUAUGCGGCAGCUGUCCGGACUGGCCCAUGAGUAUACGGCCAUGGGGGUCCUCGGCCCAAUCCAACUGAUCGGGAGACGACGCGUUGAGUACCCCCUAGUCCAGGACACCGUCAGUAGCCCCCUGAACCGGUCUUCAAGUUAGGGACGCUCCUCGAUUCUUCCGAACUGUUCUUCAUCUUCGGUUGCCGGUCUUGAAAAUUGGUUCAACAAAUCUUCUCAUCUUCUAUCUUGAGGAUCGCCGAAAUGCAUUCGACGAGUUUACACGUCUGGUAUCUGAGGAGCCCCUUUAAGUUUCCGACCUUUAUCAAUGUGUUGUUAUUUUUAUGCCACACCUUGGGUUCGGAGUUGUUCCCGGGAGGCAGUGUCCUCUUGCAUCCGAGCUCUAACACCGGACUGCAUUCAAGGUAUCUCUUGCAGCCGAGCACCAAUGCCAGACUGCUUCCCGGCUCUAACGUCGGAAUGUAUCCGAGCUUCAACACCAGACUAUGUAUCCGAGCUCCAACGCCGGACUAUAUUGAGCUCCAAUGUCGGACUAUGUAUCCGAGCUCCAAAGCCGGACUAUAUCCGAGGUGUCGUAAAUCACCUUGGUUCAAAGAAGUUUGAAGGAGUUUAGCCGAGCUUAAUGCCGGAAAUGCCCUUUAUGGAGCCAGCCACUAGCGCCCGAGCUUUAUGCCGGACUGCUUCCGAGGUGGUGCACCUCCCGAAUGUGGGCCAAUUUUUGUCAAUAUUUUUGAUUAGUGCAAUUUAUUCUCUGCCGAGAUACAUAGCCAGUAGCCCUCAAGGUGGGUAUCAGUCUAAAACCCGAGAUGCACAUGAAGGAUGACAUAAGACCGCUGAUCCCUGUAGCCACUGGGACUCAGGUUGAUUUGCAAAAUCGGUCUGAGGAUCAAGUCCUAGCUCGGCAGAAUACUUCGGGACACAAAAAGCGGCGUGCUCAGUCCUCGAGACUCAGGUUGGGUGCGGCCGACCAACCUGAGGAUCAAAAUCUCCUCGGAAACUGUAUUGCACUUAAAAUUUUCUGCAUUGAACAGGCAAUGCAGUAGCCCCCAAGACACUAGUCGGGUGGCAACACCAGAUCACGGGAUCGAUGUGCCCCUUUAAUAUUUGUAAAUAGUAAGCCCGAAGCCCAGUAGCCCCCGAGCCUUAAUUCGGGCACGGGAGGCCGAAUUAAGGAUCGAUAUCCAUAGUAAAAUCACAAAUUAUGUGUAAUGACUCUAUGUAUCCAAGUACUUUACGUCAUUAAUGCUCGGAUCCUCAUUGUACAAAAAUUUGUUGACCGACCAUCGGCUUCCACCUCCUCGGCCAAUAGCCGAGGAGUGUUGGUCCUACUUUAUAAAGCCUUUAUGAGGGCAAAGAUUUACAACAAACAAGGCAAUCUGGCCAUGCGGUUUUAUAAACAAAGGUACACGGAGAGACAUGUUAUAUUACUGUUUAAUAGAAGAAAUGUCUUCCAAAGAAAAUAGUCCCGCUAUCGGUUCCUUUCUUUGGGUUGUCAUGCUAAGCACGAUCAUGAAACCUCAGCUCCAAUGUAAGAGCAAAAUAUCGAGGAUUUAGUUUGGGAGGCCAGUUAAUAGCCCCCGGUAGUGUUCAGCGACAGUCGAGGUCAAGCCGUAAACACUUCGGCCAUUGUUAUGAAUGGCCCGUCGUUUAACGCUGUCAUCGGAUCACCGACCAAUUUUCGCUUAUUGUGACAGUUAGUUUUUGGCUUUCUCCACUGAGGUGCUUAACCAUGUGAGCUGGAAGCACAAUCGCAGUGGUUCUCCCUUUGCACACCUAGCCGAACAAAGCGGACCAUAGGAGGCAAGUGCAGGAGCCGGGCAACCCAACUAUUGACCGAAGACACAAUUCGAAACCGAUGCAUAUAUAGCAAUAUCCGAGAAUGCUUUUGCCGAAUCUCUAAAGGUGUCCGGCGUUGCACUGCGAGACUUGUGCUGAAAACACACAAAUAGUUUAAAAGUGCCAUGGGCUUGAAAAGCCAAAAAACUUAUUCAAAAGGUUAAUGUCCAAACUAGAUCAAGUGUUCGGUGCCAAUCCGAAAAUUGGACUUUAGAAAAAAAAGGUGCUUCUGCCGUGCUUUAACAUGACACAUCCUAUCUCAAAACUUCAAGCAGGUCAGCCUACGGCUUCAACCUCCUAUGCCGAAGGCGGAGUACUUCUUACUAGGCCAGUUUAGAAAACUAAACUCUAGCGGCUUUGAGAGAGAAAUUAGGCUCCCCGGCUAGCGACCGCACACUUGUGUCAAAAAAAGGAGUGAUAAAUAAUAAUAAAAACUUUGCAACGACUAAGAAGAAAAAAACACUUAUGAUAAAACGGCUCAUAUAAAUUUAAGAGCCCCCAAGUAACUUGGGUAAAAGAAUGAUUGCAUGUACCGAAGUACUUAUAUCAUAUCUAUGUUCAACCGAACUUUAAACGCGUCUUAACCGACCGUCGGCUUCUCCCUCUUCGGUCAAGGACCGAAAAGUGUUAUGUACUCCAUCUGUCAAGAAUAUCGACGGUGUUUCCAAUAACCAGGCAAUCAGGCCAUAAGGCUGUAAUAGACAAAGCGCGCUCAGGGAACUUAUGCUAUAUUACUGCGAAGAGUAAGAAGCAUCUUCGAACAAAAUAGUACCCCACCGAUACCUUUCUUCGGUGCUCAUUGUUAUUAUGACACUUGUGCAAUAGAUUUUUUGUACUCAUGAGUUCGUUGUGUGCCGACCAUGAUUGAAAACAAUAAGAGCGCUAGCUUUCGGCUUCACCCAGUCUAAGGUUCGGCUCGGUUGACCCGAUGACAAUCGCAGAGGUGCUCCCUUUACUCCCUAGCCGAACAAUCGGGAACGUAGGGGUAAGCACAGGAGCCAGGCAACCCAGCUUGCAAAUCGCUUAAGUCAAUAUGGUGCAUAUUGUGGCGUAAUACACGAACAAGGAACAAAGCCAUACAAGUAUAACCAUAUGCAAGAGGAAAAAGCUUCAUGAAGGAAGCUCCCAAGUAAACGGGGUAUUUGAAUUUGCGCGUCACAAACAAAGUUUGGACAAGGAAAUUUUUACAAGCGACUUUUUUCCAAAAAAGUAUAAUGCUUGGCUGAGCCGAACACAAGUUAAAAAUUUAAAACUUUGAGCAUGAAGACAACUUAGCUGGUUAAUGUGUUCGGUAUUGAUGACGCGGUCCGAGCUUGACGCGGGACAAGGUUCCAUCCCCGAGCCGGUCCCGAGGUGGCAGAGCAAAGAGCUCGGCACUCCGAAGUGGUGACAUAGCACGGUCAAUGCAGGACGGCAGGGUGAUGCCAAAGUCCCCGACAUGGGGUAAUGAAGUGUUAACGAAGCCCCCUGUCUAGCCGAGGUGACGCCAAAGGAUAUAGUCCGGCUGGAUCAUUUUCCUGUGCACAAAAAAUAGUGCAAACCGGAGAUAAUAGUAAUAAUAAUAAAAAAAAUCGUUGCAUAACAAAUAAUUUAUGCAAAGUGAGUAAUAAAAGAAAUAUGGCCUGGCACCGAAGUCAAUGUCGAUGCAGGGCAGCGGCGUGAUGCGGUAAAGGCAUGGCAAGGCCUGAAUUCACAAGUCGGUUCGAGUUCCGGAUGCGGUGUUCGCGGGACUAUGUACGGAAACUGACCGAACCACCAUGCGACCGUUGUUAAUGCGGCCACCAUUUGAUAGACCUACGUACAUAUGACGGACAAACCACAAUAAUAAUUCAUUGGGAAAAAUGAACCCUAAGUAGCAAAAAAUACUAGGAUUAAUAGCACCUGGCUUAUUUGUUGUAGCAAUCCGAAGAAAGGUGAUUCCCAAAAUUGGGACUCGAUCCGCACACCUAUCACCUGCUGGGCGAUAAAGCAACGGCAUGGCGAUGCUAGCAAAGAUUGGCUCGCCGAGGCAAAGCCCUCGGUCCAGCUAACGUGACGGAGCUGGUCGGCCAGCAACGCUGAAGUCUCCGGAGUAGGUUGAUGAAGAGAUGAUGAAGCCCCCGGUCCAGCGAUGCAGGUCAUGACGUGGUCGAUGCCGGCUUGAUGAAGUGGUCGUGUGGCGAUGCAGGUGCGCCCGCUCCGUGUAAUCCAUGGGGCGGCGAUGUUGGUGACGAUUUAUCCUUCGCGAUGCCGAACUAUUGUUCGGCUGGCCGAGAUGAUGAUCUGAAGAAAUUGAGCUCGGCUCAACAAAGCGACGAUGUGUCUAACGCAGGUCGGCCGCCGUGGAGUGAUGUUGUUGGGCUGGUUUAACACCGGCGCGAUGGUGAAGUUCGUAUUCCAAGAAUACUUUUAAUACUACUGGGAUGUGUUUGAGAAUAAAACACAGCACCCCAUAUGAAAACUUCCUUCAAAAAGGAUGUCCGAGAUCCCGUUUAUAAAGAAGAUGAAUUCGGGUUGGAUUCGUUCUCGCGCAGAAAACAGAUCCAAAAGUGACGCACUAAUCGGAAGUUUCCUGGAGUUUGGACGGUCGGAUCAAGCUGAAUUUUUGGCAGGUGGUAGAUAUAGGAAUUCCUCAGCAAAUCAACGGUUGGAUCCUCCAAAGGACAUCCAAGCUAGAUGCUGGAUACCACGCCCUAAACUCGUCCAGAUUCUCGUCCAGAUUCAACAGGGCUCCGGUAUGUCGGAGAUUGCCGGAGAUUCCUCCAUCGGAACUCGACGAAAUUUUUGCAGGGUUGUUGUAGACUUAAUUACGCAUAAUUCCACCAAAGUAAUCGUUUAAGAGACACUCGAGGAGGCGGUGGCGGCGGAUACAAGUUUGCUGUCCAGAAAAACAGCACGGUCGCCUGAGGGCAAUGUUGACAUUGAGCCCCCGAGCUCCAUGGAUGAAUCCUCCAUGAUCUUGAUAGAGAUCGGAGUUGGCGUUGAUGAAGGCCUUCGUCGGAACAUGAUGAUCAGAGGUAGGGCGCAGUCCUCGGUCAAGCCAAGGUGACCAGUCGAGCUGGUGACGAAGAAGCCGACGUCGUAGUUGACCUGCAGUCGAGCCAUUGAUCGUUUCGCCGAUCACACAGCGGAACUCUCAAUGAAAGCACCAAUGUUGGUGUCAAAACCGGCGGAUCUCGGGUAGGGGGUCCCAAGCAGUGCGUCUUAGGAUCAAUGGUAACAGGAGGCAAGGGACACAAUGUUUACCCAGGUUCGGGCCCUCUCGGUGGAGGUAAAACUCUACUCCUGCUUGAUUGAUAUUGAUGAUAUGGGUAUUACAAGAGUUGAUCUACCACGAGAUCGGAGAGGCCAAACCCUAGAAGCUAGCCUAUGGUAUGAUUGUUGUUGUAUAUGUCUAUCGACUAGCCUGGCCCCGGUUUAUAUAAUGCACCAGAGGCAUAGGAUAACAAGAGUCCUAGCCGAAUACGCCGGUGGGGGAGGAGUCCUUGUCUUGAUCGCCAAGUCUUGUGGAUUCUUCCUUGUAUGCGACAGCUGUCCGGACUGGCCCAUGAGUAUACGGCCAUGGGGGUCCUCGGUCCUAUCCAACUGAUCGAGAGAUGACGCGUUGAGUACCCCCUAGUCCAGGACACCGUCACACAUCGAAAAUUCUGUUUUUAUCAUUUACCUACUCAAGGACGAGCAGGAAUUAAGCUUGGGGAUGCUUGAUACGUCUCCAACGUAUCUAUAAUUUUUUAUUGUUCCAUGCUAUUAUAUUACCCAUUUUGGAUGUUUAUGGGCUUUACUUUACACAUUUAUAUCAUUUUUGGGACUAACCUACCAACCGGAGGCCCAACCCAUAUUGCUGUUUUUGCCCAUUUCAGUGUUUCGAAGAAAAGAAAUAUCAAAUGGAGUCCAACCGGAAUGAAACCUUCGGGAGCGUGAUUUUUGGAACGAACAUGAUCCAGAGGACUUGGAGUGGAAGUCAAGCACCAACCUAGGCAGCCACGAGGGUGGAGGGCGCGCCCCCCCUACUGGGCGCGCCCCCUAUCUCAUGGGCCCCUCGCGCGUCCACCGACCUACUUCUUCCUCCUAUAUAUACCCAUGUAGCCCGAAAAUAUCAGAUGAGCCCACGAAAACCUAAUUCUACCGCCGUAACCUUCUAUAUCCGCGAGAUCCCAUCUUGGAGCCUUCGCCGGUGCUUCGCUGGAGGGGGAAUCGACCACGGAGGGCCUCUACAUCAUCUCCAAGGUCUCUCCGAUGAGUUGUGAGUAGUUUACCACAGACCUUCGGGUCCAUAGUUAUUAGCUAGAUGGCUUCUUCUCUCUCUUUGUAUCUCAAUACCAUGUUCUCCUUGAUCUUCUUGGAGAUCUAUUCGAUGUAACUCUUUUUGCAGUGUGUUUGUCGAGAUCCAUCGAAUUGUGGGUUUAUGAUCAAGUUUAUCUAUGAGAAAUAUUUGAAUCUCCUCUGAAUUCUUUUAUGUGUGAUUAAGUGACCUUUGAAGUCUGUUCGAAUUAUCAGUUUGGUUUGGCCUACUAGAUUGAUCUUUCUUGCAAUGGGAGAAGUGCUUAGCUUUGGGUUCAAUCUUGCGGUGUCCUUUCCCAGUGACAGCAGGGGCAGUAAGGCACGUAUUAUAUUGUUGCCAUCGAGGAUAAAAAGAUGGGGUUUAUAUCAUAUUGCAUGAGUUUAUCCCUCUACAUCAUGUCAUCUUUCUUAAUGCGUUACUCUGUUUUUAUGAACUUAAUACUCUAGAUGCAUGCUGGAUAGCGGGAUGUGUGGAGUAAUAGUAGUAGAUGCAGGCAAGAGUCGGUCUACUUGUCACGGACGUGAUGCCUAUUGUCGGGGAAGCUGAUCCACAAACACCUAUGGGACCGGCGGACCGAGCCCCUUUCGGUUCGGCAGGGGGCGGAGGUCGCACGAAGAGUGGAUCGAGGCGGAGCACACGAGCAGUUUACCCAGCUUCGGAGCUCUCAGGAGAGAUAAUACUCCUACUGCUGCUUGUUUGAUUGUAUUCUGUUCUUGCUCGAGAGAGCUAAGUGUGUUUCUGGCUUCCGAAUGAAUCAAACCUUCGAACCCCCUUCUACGUUGCACGUGGGCCUCCUUUUAUACGCUAAAGGGGUCACCGACAGGUGGCAACGUAGACAAGGGUAACAACGUAAAAAGAGUUGCGGUUGGUACAACUACCUGCACAGUGUAUUCUACCUAACCCUGACGACAGGGGACAAGGGCAUUAAAUGCCCGUCUGUGUCGCCCGAACAGUGCAGAAAAGGACCGUUAGGGACACCACCGCUCGCCACGAUGGCGAUCUUGUCAGCGUCGCAUGCCACCACACACCGCUGGCAGCACAGCCUCUCACCACGCGCGCCUGUGAAGGCCCCAGGGCGACACGUUGGUGGAUGUGCUGGAGCGUAGGUACAGGGUGGUUUCUUGCCGCGGCAAGCGCCUUGCCGCGGUCGUUGCCUUGUCACGCCCAGAAGCUUGUCGUUCACCGGGCCUUGCCGGGACGCGUGGCGCGUCGCGGCAAGUUCCUUGAGAUACCUUGGUUGGCCUUCCCAGCAAGCUCCUCUUGCCGGGGUCUUGUCUCUUCGCUCGAAUACUUUGUUCUUGAAUGGCUCCAAAGGAGCCACGGAGGAUCUUGGCGGUCGCCCGGCAAGCCUUGCCGCGGGGUGCUGCAACUGCCCGUGCACAAGUUCGGGAUACUAGGGUACCCCUACUCUAGUACACCGACAGGAGCCCUCGGGCCUGGGCCACACAUGGUGCCGAGCGCUGUUGGGCCAGGCACAUAACAGGGCACGGGCACAUGCGGCCUGGGUUACGCCAAACCUUACUCCGCAUCCACCGCGCCCUCCCCAACAGCACGCGUCGAAUGCGGCAUCGUGGGAGAGAUCGUGGGUGGUUUCUUUAUUCAGAAGGGCGAAACAUACGCCCCCUCCCUCUUUAUAAGCAGGGGAAAUAGGGGCAGUUCGUCCUCCUCGCCGAUUACUGCUCCAGUCUUCAGAAAUCUCCGCUGCUCCCCCCUUCUUCCCAAAGCCGAAAGAGAGCAGCACUCCGCCCCCCAUUGCCACCAGCGCCACCGACGCCGCCGAUCUUCCCCGCCACCUCCGCCAUGGCUCCAAAAGCCGACAAGGGGAAGGGCGUGAAGUCAGCCGAGGUGCAGCGGCUUGCGGCGCUGCGAAAGGAGCGGGCCAUCUUCCCCCCUUAGCUCGACACGAAGGAGCUGAGGGAGUACUACUACCUCUUCUGGUCGACGGAGACGCGCGCACAUCCGCGCACGAGGGUACUCUCCGCCGCCGCUUCGAGAUUGGCUCCGAACGGGUACCCAUUCUUCGCGUUGUUCUUCUACCGCGGGCUCUGCCCGCCUUUCUCCGAAUUCUUUUGCGACAUCAUGAACACCUACGGGUUCCGCCUCCUUGAUUUCACCCCCAACGCCGUUCUGACCAUGGCAGUUUUCGCACAUCUGUGCGAAAACUUUGUCGGAGUCCACCCCAAUGUUGCCCUCUUCCACCACUUCUUUAUCCCCCGAGUCGAGAGAGGAGAGCCCCUUGCCGGCGGAAUCGCCUGGAUCUCGAGGGUCGGCAAGAAGGAAGCCUAUCUGGAGGGAGAACUCCGCAGCAAGUGGGAGGAGUGGAGAGCAGAUUGGUGCUGGAUCGUCGAGGAGAACCCGCAGCCAUUCACCGCCCGGCGCCAAACCCCAAUAGUACGCGGCAACGAUUGGAGCAACGUGGCCCCGGAGGAUGACAUGCUGAAGAUUGCCGUCACCCGAAUCUUUCGCCUUAGGCUUGCCGGGCUCACCGUAGGCGCUGUUGGCGCAGAUUUCCUCCGCCGUCGCAUCGCCUCCCUGCAAGAGAGGGGGAGGCCCGCCUGGGAGUUCCAGAACUCGGCAGAUAUCAUGAGGCUGCGCCCAGGCCUCAACUUCAAUUUCACUGUCUUGGAACUCAACGCGAUGCUAUUGGAGCUGUUCAAGCGCGAUCCCCAACACCCAUUUAUGUUGCCGCGGAAUGUCGUUCCGUUGUGCAACAAUUCUUCGCUUGACCGCAUCCGUGCAAUGAUGCCACUGUGCGACUCGCAUGGGAUCGUCCCAACUUGGCAAGAGCCCGCAGACGACGUCGUGCAGGAGUUCUUCGACAGCUUGGUCGAAGUGCCGGUCCGCUCCGACGAGCAGAAGAGCCUCACCCGCGACACCACCGACGCGGAGAUGCAGCGCAUCGCCUCUAGGCUGGAGGAGGCGACGGCAGCAGCUGCCGCGGGUCAAUUUGGAUUCGCAUUGGAGGAGGCGGAGGCAGCAGAGGCGGCAAGCCUUGCUGAGUGAGAAGAGCUUGUCGGCGAGGAAGAACUUGUCGGGCCUGAAUCAGAGUCGAGCGAGCCCGCCGAGGGCGCGGGCGACCCAUUGCAGAUCGGCUCUUCCUCCUCCCCACCUUCAGCCAGCUCGCCGCAAGCGGAGCCCCCAGUUCCACCAAGAAGGCGUCUCCGCAGGGCCGGGGACGUGGCGGGGCGGCAGACGAGCCAACAGCCGUCGCAACGCACGACGCGCUCGACCGCGGCAAGCAUUGUUACCGCGGGAGCACCUCACGCUGCUGCGGCAACUGGAGCGGGGCCUUCCCGAUCCACCGCCACUGCCCCUGCCAAGCGGACAAGGGAGCCUUCUCCUCCGCCUCGUCGCACUGGAGGUGAGUCGGACUUCGAUCUCUCCACGCUCAGCUCUGACGAAGAAGAAGAAGAGUAAGUUUAUUUGUUGUACUUGUAAUCCUUCAUUUCUUGAGGUGCAUCUUGUAUCUGAUCUGCUUCGUUUCGGACUCAUCUCUUUGCAGGACUCUGGCCCAGAGGGCGGCGAAGAGAGCCAAGGUCCCGGUGAUUGUCAUCGAGGACGAACCCACUGCGGCAACAGGGGACGCGCCUGAGACCUCCUUGCCGGACCCGACAACUACUCGCCAAAGUAGCCCCCAGCGCAGCCCCCAGUGUAAGUGUAUAAUUUACUUCUUGCUGUCAAACGCGCAUGGGUGUUCUUCUAUUGCUGAUGUCUGUCUGUUGGUUUGCGUAGGAGCAGAGCAGCCUCACCAGGAGGGCCCGAAGGCCGCUCCCGAGGCGCCAUCUUCUUCGACUACACCGCCGAGGGAGGAUUCCACGGCAAGGGAGCAUUCUCCGGCAAGGGAGAAUUCUCCGGCAAUGGGGUAGUUCUCCGGCAAGGGACAGCGCCAGUGAUCCUCCGGAGGUGGAGACCACGACCGCGGAUCCUAGCAUAGGUAACCCUUUUGCCUAAAAACUCCCCUUGGAUUCUUCUUCUUCUGAUUUUCUUCUUGAGCAUUUACUUGACUUUUCUCCCUUCUUCGGUCGUCAGACCCACCUGCCGCGGAUCCCAUGGAAACCGAGGCCACCGGCGAGGAGGCGCACGCGGCAACAAUGAUGACGCCGCCGCCACCGAAGAAAGGGCCGGUGCUGAUGAUCCCACUGGCGAAGGGGCCGCCAGGGCUGCCACCGCAGAAGCAGGCGAGGAAACCGGCGAUCGCACUGACGGCCCAGAGGCCGUAGGAGCGCCAGGCGCUGCACCAACCGUCGAUCCCUCUACUGCUGCCGCGUUGCGAGGCUCCGAAGAGCCCCAGCCCGACGCCUACUUGUAGGCCGGCGAUGGCGUCUUCAUCAAGCUCCCCUGGGCGUCGAGCUCCAGUGCGCCGGUCGAAGGAGAAACCUUUGACGAAGAGGUGCUCGCCUCUGCUGGGCUGGCGCUUGUCGACGUGCCAAGCAGCAGCAGCGACGAGCCUGAGGAGGAGGGCUGCUGCGGAAGCUGCUGUCCCUUUACCGCGCCCGACAAGCUAAGCUGGCUUCCCGAGAAGCACUUGUUGCGAAGGCGGGGGUGGAUAUCGAGAAGCGCGCAGAGGAGCUCCGGGGUUUUAGGAAGGAGGCUCUCCGGUCUCUGGCGGAGAAGCGGGAGCAACUUCUCGAGGAGCGGAAAGCCUUCCUCCUCGAGAAGGCUGAAGCCGAAGAGAAGCAACGGCUUGUCGCCGAGGAUCUAUUUGCGCAAGAAGGAGAGUUGGCGCAGCGCAAGGUGAACCUUGAAAGCCACGAGGAGGAGCUUGUCUCGCGGGAGCAAGCCAUUGGCGGGGCUCUCAAGGAGGCAAAGGAUGUUGCCGCAGCUGCCGAGGCCGCCAAGAAGGAGCUGGAGACAAAGGUGGCGCAGCUGGAAGCAGAUCUCAGGGCGAGCGGUGAGGAGCUUGCCGCGCUCAAGCGUGAGCGUGAGAAGGAUGCUGCCCCUCAUGGUGAGCUGCAGGGUCUUCUCGCUGAGAGGAGCAAGGAGCUCAGCGCUGCCAAGGAUUCCAACGCAGAUCUCGAGCUGAAGCUGGCCACUCUGACUCAGACGCUGGACGGCGCCAAGGAGCGGGAGGCGUCCUUGUCAGAGAAGAUCAAGGCCGACGAGGCGCUGUUGACGAAUGCUGCUGCCGCCCACGAUGCUUUCAGGGAGAGUGUGGAGCAUUGGACUGAGGGUCUUGUGGAUGCUGCCGCAGCCAUCGACGGGGAGUUGGCGCAGCUGGGGAUGGAGGAUUUUGGGUAUCCUUCCGAUGAGCAUCUCCAACCCAGCGCCAAUCUCAGCCUGUUCUUCAAGGGCGUGGUGACGGCUCUCCAGCGACUCCGGGAAAAGAUUCCAAAGCAGCUGGCCGACGAGUCGCGCAGGAUCUGCGCGGGGGCUCUCCAGAAGGUGCUGAUGAAGGUGGCCUUCCGCAACCCAGGCCUCAACUUCACCAACGUCCUCAAAUCCUUGCCGCCGGAUGCUGACGUGGAAGCGCUCAAGGCCCUUGUCGCACCCAUUAUGGACAAGGUGAGCGGGAUCAAGAGGGUCGAGGGUGAUCGCGUAGACUAGGCCGCCCGUUUUCUCUUUCUCUUUGUCGCUGCUGGUCAUGUUACGAGAACAUCAAUUAGAACUGCGACAAGUUAUCUUGUAAUAUAACUCUAUUUUGGGUAGAGAUUGCUAUGUUAUUUCCUUUACUUGAUCCCUUCCUUUGUAUGUUUUUGCCCUACGCUUUUAGGGAACUUGCCGGCGCAGGCUCCUUAGCCGCGAGCACUGAGUGCGGAACAUCAGCAGCCUGCUGGCGGUGCCGCUUCCGACAAGAAACCUUGUCGCAACUAGUCGCAGCCCACUUAAAUUGUUGAGCGGACUCGAAACAAAGUAAGGGCGCAACUAGCUACGAGUUGGUUCCUCUGCGCACAGGUUUUCCAUACAAAGUACGGUCGUUUGAGGAGAAUAACUUCAAAAUUUAAAAACUGAUUGCUCAAACUUUGGCAGCUUAGCUUUUCUGUCGUUUGCUUCCCGGCAAGGCAAAAUUUCCUCGAGCGACGCUUGGUCCACACCAUUAUCUUCUCCUUUCCCCCUGGCAAACUUGUGUGCGAGGGAACCUUCCCUUUUGAGAAAAAGAAAGGAGAGAAAAUAGAGAUAUGGAGCCUUAUGGCUCGUUAUUGCUUACCGGGGGUAGGUGCUGCACAAAGUGUCAGAUAAUGCAUGAAAAUAUAAAGUAAAAAGCAUGAAAUUGACAAGAUGUGCGGAGCACAUGAGCUUUACUUAUGCACGGGGUCUGCGCCCGGCUUUGUACAAAGGAUUACAUGCAACAUUGGCAAGACUUGUACAAAAGGUGGUUGCCAGAACGGGUUCCGGCAACCGCGCCCUACGGUAAAACUUACGAAGAUGCUCGGUGUUCCAGGAGUUGCUCACCGGAAUGCCAUCCUCGGUCUCAAGGCGGAAAGCGCCAGGCCUAGUGACUCGUUUCACCCGUUAAGGGCCUUCCCACUUCGGCGUCAACUUGUUGGAAUUCUUGGCAGACUGAACGCGCCGAAGAACAAGGUCGCCUUCCUCGAAACUUUUGGCAUUAACUUUGCGGCUAUGGUAGCGGCGCAAAGCUUGCUGGUAUCAAGCAGCUCGUACAGCAGCCUGAAGACGGUCCUCCUCAAGGAUCAACGCGUCAUCUUGUCGCAGCUGCUCUUGCUCGAGCUCAUCAUAAGCGAGCACUCGAGGUGACCCGUAUAGGAGUUCCGUGGGGAGAACUGCCUCUGCUCCAUAUACUAGAGCGAAAGGUGUCUGACCAGUGGCUCGAUUUGGUGUCGUUCUGAUCGACCAAAGAACCACCGGUAGCUCCUCAAUCCAGUUCCUUCCGCACUUGCGCAGCCUGUCGAAAGUCCUGGUCUUGAGCCCGCGCAGCACUUCAGCAUUCGCCCUCUCCGCUUGACCAUUGCUUCUCGGAUGAGCAACAGAAGCGAAGCAGACCUUGGCGCCAAGAUCUUGGAUGUACUGCAUGAAGGUGCAGCUCGUGAAUUGUGUGCCGUUGUCGGUGAUGAUCCUGUUAGGGAUCCCGAAACGGCAAACAAUCGACCUGAAGAACUUGACUGCUGACUGUGCUGUCACCUUCCUCACUGCUUCCACUUCCGGCCACUUUGUGAACUUGUCAAUUGCAACGUACAAGUACUCAAAGCCCCCAACUGCUCGGGGAAAGGGGCCGAGGAUGUCGAGCCCCCAGACCGAAAAUGGCCAGGAUAAAGGGAUCGUCUGGAGAGCUUGAGCAGGCUCGUGAAUCUUCCUGGAAUGGAACUGGCACGCUUCACACUUGGUUACUUGUGCAGUUGCAUCCUGGAGGGCUGUCGGCCAAAAGAAUCCUUGUCGGAACGCUUUGCCGGCAAGUGCUCUUAAGCCAAUGUGGUGGCCACAUAUGUCUCCAUGUAUCUCUGCCAAUAGCUUUUGUCCCUCUUCCCGUUGAAUACACUUCAAUUUCACACCGUUGAGUCUUCUUCUGUACAGUAUGUUGUCAACAAACUGGUACAUACUUGACUACCGGGCUACUCUUUCCGCUUCUUCUUGCUCUUCGAGAAGUUCUCCUGUCUGAAGGAAACGGACAAUCUGUUGCGCCCAUGUUGGAGCUUGCGGCUCGACAACAAGGACUAAAGGCACAUCUGCUGCUGCAGGAACAUCCGCUUCUACGGCGAGAACCUGCGGUUUAGCCGGAGCUUGAUGUUCCCCGGCAAGCUUGCCGGAGCAAAACUUGUCGGGAGUGUCUUCUUCAAUGGAACAAACCCUAGGGCUUGUUGGAGUAGACUGCUCCUCAGCAUCUUUGGUGUUGAUCUUGGGGACCUUCUUGGCGGCGGCUUCGGGGAGCUCUGCCGGAAAGUAGUCACCAGAAAUCAACUUCCUCUUCUUGCUCUGUCCAGUUGAUGGUGUUACGGAUGGUUGAGUCAGCUUGAGCACAAAGAUCCAUGGUUCCACAGGUAACUUUAGUGCGGCGCACUUCGACAGGCCAUCGGCAAUGUUGUUCUGAGCUCUCGGAACAUGUUCCAUUUGCAGGCCGUCAAAGUGCUCUUCUAGCUUCCUCACUUCAUCAACGUAAGCUUCCAUCAACGGACUCUGAUAAUUCUUGUUCACUUGGCGGACGACGAGCUGCGAGUCACCCCUGACAAUGAGCUUCUUGAUCCCAAGGUCUGUUGCGAUCCUGAGACCGGCAAGCAAACCUUCAUACUCUGCAGUAUUGUUUGUUGCUUGCUCCUUGGGAAAGUGCAUAUGGACUACGUACUUGAGGUGCUCUCCGGUGGGUGCAACAAGUAGCACGCCGGCACCGGCGCCUUGCAGCGAGAAGGCACCAUCAAAGUACAUCAGCCACUCUUUGCUUGCUUCCUUGACGGGGAUGCUCGUUUCUGGACUUUCCUCAUCUGGUGUUGGCGUCCACUCUGCUAUGAACUCUACCAAUGCCCUGCUUUGGAUAGUUGAAGUGCUUUCAAACUUGAGGCCAAAGCUUGAUAGUUCCAGUGCCUACUCGACAAUCCUGCCUGUCGCUUCCGGAUUCUGCAGUAUCCUCUUCAGCGGAAAGCGAGUGACGACUGUGAUCUCGUGUGCUUGGAAGUAAUGGCGCAGCUUUCUCGAGGCCAUGAGGAGGCCAAAAAGCUAUUUCUGCACACCAGAGUACCUUGACCUAGCCCCCUGCAGAAGGGAACUGACAAAGUAAACUGGGCGCUGCACCGUUCUCUUCUGCAUCUCUUCCCGCGUCUACGUAGAUCCAUCUUUGUCGGGACCAGAGCUUGCCGGCGAAGUCCCUUGCUUGUCGCUGGAUGUACUUGUCGUGGUUGCUGGCUCAUCAUCCGCCUCCCUCUCUGCUACUAACACAGCACUAACCACUUGAUUGGUUGCCGCUAUAUACAGCAGCAACUUCUCUUGUGGCUUAGGUGCGACAAGUAUUGGAGUGGAGGACAGGUAUUUCUUCAAGUCCUGCAGCGCAGCCUCCGCUUACGGAGUCCAUUUUAUUGGACCUGCCUUUUUCAAUAUUUUGAAAAAUGGCAAGGCGCGCUCAGCAGACAUAGAAAUAAACCUGCUGAGAGCAGCCACACAACCGGCAAGUCUUCGUACAUCCUUGACGCGCUUUGGUGCUUCAAUCUGCUCAAUGGCCUUGAUCUUAUCGGGAUUGGCUUCAAUUCCCCGCUGAGACACAAAGAAUCCGAGAAGCUUGCCGGAGGGGACUCCAAACACGCACUUCUCGGGGUUAAGCUUGAGGUUGAUCUUGCGCAGAUUUGUAAAGGUUCCGUCUAAAUCUUGGAUUAGAGUUGCCCUGUUCUUGCUCUUGACCACUAUGUCAUCCAUGUAGGCUUCCACAUUUCUGUGCAUUUGCGGUUCAAAAGCAUCAUGGACUACUCUUGCAAAUGUUGAACCGGCAUUCUUCAAACCAAAAGGCAUCCGUACGAAACAGUAUGUGCCACAUGGGGUGAUGAAUGCGGUCUUCUCCUCAUCCUCUUCUGCCAUGAAGAUCUGAUGAUAUCCUGAGUAUGCGUCAAGAAAUGAAAGAAAGUCACAUCCGGCCGUGGAGUCAACAAUUUGGUCUAUGCGUGGCAAGGGAAAUGGGUCUUUGGGACAAGCUUUAUUAACAUCGGUAAAAUCGAUACAAAGCCUCCACUUCCCGUUUGCCUUGCGCAUGACUACAGGGUUGGCCAACCACGUAGGAUGGAGCACUCCUCUGACAAGGCCUGCUGCUUCCAGUUUCUUGAUUUCUUCAGCGAUAAAUUCUUGGCGCUCCACUGCCUGUUUCCUGACUUUCUGCUUGACGGGCCGCGCGUGAGGACAGACAGCAAGAUGGUGCUCAAUCACUUUCCUGGGAACACCGGGGAUGCCAGACGGUUGCCAUGCAAACACGUCGACAUUCGCCCGUAGGAAAGCAACGAGCGCGCUUUCCUAUUUAGGGUCGAGAGUGGCACUGAUGGUGAAGGUACCACCAGUGCCGUCCUCCUUGGCGGUCACCUUCUUGGUCUCUGGGGGAGCCACCAUUGUCUUCUUACACUUGCCGGUGGAGCUCGAUGGUGCGUCCUCGACGGUAGCGCGGCACUCCGAAGAGGUGCGCUUGCCGGAGUGGGUAUCAGAGCUCUUGCCGGACUUGGUCUUCUUCUUUCCCCCGGGAGCUUCAACGGCAAGUAAUCUGCGAUCUGUUGCGGCUGCUGCUUCCCGGUAGAUCUUGUCGGUGCAGAUAAGGGCAUCCUUCUUGUUGCCAGGGACAGAGAUGACACUUAUCGGGCCUGGCAUCUUCAGUACGUUGUAUGCAUAGUGAGAGGCCGCCAUGAAUUUGGCGAGUGCUGGACGGCCGAGUAUCCCAUUGUAGGGCAAUGGAAAGUCAGCAACGUCAAAAGUGACCCUCUCAGUCCUGAAGUUCAGCUCGCUGCCAAAUGUUACCAACAACGUGAUCUUUCCCUUCAGCUUGCUCCUUCCCGGAUUGAUUCCUUGGAAUGUGCCGGUCUCUUCGAGCUCGCUGUCAGGGAUCUGGAGUUUCUGGAGUACCGCGAAGGAGAUCAGGUUCAAGCCGGCCCCGCCGUCAACUAGCAUCUUAGUAACCUUGAGGUUGCGGAUAGUUGGUGAAACCAACAGCGGCAAGCACCCGACCGCAGUUAUGCGAUCAGGGUGGUCCUCAAUAUCAAAGAUGAUAGGCGUGCUGGACCAUUUCAGUGGCCUGCGUGACUCGACUGGUGGUUCUGACGCAUUGACUUCCCGCACCCAUUGCUUGAGUUGGCGGUGUGAAGUAUGCAGAGAAGCACCGCCGUCAACGCACAGGACCUUUGUGGCUUUCUGAAACUCCUGCUCAUCGGCCUCGUCAUCAUCCAUAUCUUCAUCGUCGUCGUCAUCUUCAUCCUUGUCGCGGCCGCGGGGAGGUCUGUCUCCUUGCCGCUGCUUGGCCUUGCCGCAGCGCCCUCCUCGGCCGGGGCGUUUCUUGCCGGAUCCUCCAGCACCUUCCUGGCCCUUCUCCUUGUCGCGCCGCUCGUAUUCAGCCUUCUGCUGCUCAACAAGCUGCUCGACCUUCUUGUAGCUCUGGAGGUCAUGGCCCUUAGUGCGGUGGAUCUUGCAGUACUGCCUGUUGGUGCUGUCCUGCUUGUCGGCAACCGCCACAGCCUGAUGGGUGGUGCCUGCGGCAACCUGCUUGCCGGAGCUACCAGCUUUGGCUUCCUUGCCGGACUGUUCAACGACUAGCACCUCUUUGCCCUUCUUUUUCCUGUUGUUCCGCCGUCGGUUUUUCUUUGCCGGGGCAGCGUCCUCGCUAUCAGAUCCUCCUGCUCCUGUGGUUUCUCCGGGGAGUUUCCUCCCUUCUUCAGCACGUGCACACUUGUCGGCCAGGGCAUAGAGCUCAUUGACGUCUCUGAUCUUGCACAUCGCCAUCUCUUCCCGCAUCCUGCGGUUUCGCACAUUCUGGUGGAACGUGCUGGUUACCGCGGCAGGGUAGACAUCUGGGAUGUUGUGCUGCACGCGGCUGAAUCUCUGAAUGUACUUGCGCAGGGGCUCUCCUUCCUUCUGGGCGAGCAAAUCAAGAUCGCUCUCUUGGCCAUGAGGCUUGUGGCCGCCUGUAAAGGCGCCGACAAACUGAUGACACAAGUCAGCCCAGGAGGAUAUGGAGUUGUCCGGCAAGUGCAUGAGCCAGGAUCUGACAUUGGGCUUGAGCACCAGCGAGAAGUAGUUGGCAAGGAUCUUGUCAUCCCGUCCCCCGGCAGCCUGCACCGCGAUGGUGUAGAUGCUGAGGAACUCCGACGGAUGCGUCUUGCCGUCAUACUUCUCUGGCACAUCUGGUCUAAAAUUCUUCGUGCUGGGCCACUGGACUUGCCGCAGCUCACGAGUGAACGCAGGGCAACCUACCGCGUACAGCAAGUCGCCUGGUUCCCCUGGCGCAUGCAUGUCGACAGAGGGCCCAGCACACUUGUCGGAUUGAUGUCGCGCUUCUCUUUGGCGCUCGAUGCGAGUACGAGCAUCUUCUUGCUAUCGUUCAUGAAGAACUUGGCGUUGAUCGCGACGAGCUCGUGGAUCCGAUGACGCGGUGGAGUCGCUGUCGAUGUGGACCCGGCGAGCUGGCGAUCUUGGCCUUUGAGGUGGAGAAAGCAUGGUGGUUGCAUCUCCACCAGUUUCGUCACCACCGGCCCGUGCCUGGUGGUCUUGUCACGGCAGCAACGUAUUCGGCUGCCGCGGAGUGUCUCCGUUGGCGAAGCCGAUGAGACUCUGAAUAGUGGCCCUCCAUUGGUCGAUCUUUUCUUCCGCUGGAGGGUAAUCCAGGAGCAGUUGAGCUCGUGCCAAAGCUUCUGCUGGAGUUGUGGGUGGCAGUGGCGAACGGUGCGAGGAGCGGGAUAUGCUCGGACUUCUAACUACGUUAGAAGGAGCAGUAUCCUGUCCAGGCGACCGUGCCUCGCUCGUGCCAGCACGUUGGCGUGCAUGCUGGUCUUGAGCACCCCGAGAUCCACCAGCUUGAUCUUGGUCCAACAAGCGUAUGGUACUGCGAAUACCGUGACGCUGUUGGUCCUGCGCCUCCUGAGAUGGGCGCGGUGCAUGUACGGACGCCGAGGUUUGCGCAGCCUUGUCCUUGGACCUGGUAGCACUGUGAGCUCCCUCGUCGAUGUCCGUUCUUCCGCCAUCAUCGUCCCCACCACCCGCUUGCUCUGGUGGUGGUAGGAUCGACGUGGACGGAGCAGUUGCCACCGAAGUCUUCUUCUUCGGUGGCAUGUCGAUGAAGAAGAUGAAGAUCUAGCCCGUGUGAACGCCGGAUCGGAUUCACACAAUCUCGACGCCCCCUACCUGGCGCGCCAAAGGUGUCGGGGAAGCUGAUCCACGAACACCUAUGGGACCGGCGGACCGAGCCCCUUUCGGUUCGGCGGGGGGCGGAGCUCGCACGAAGAGCGGAUCGAGGCGGAGCACAUGAGCAGUUUACCCAGCUUCGAAGCUCUCUGGAGAGAUAAUACUCCUACUGCUACUUGUUUGAUUGUAUUCUGUUCUUGCUCCAGAGAGCUAAAUGUGUUUCUGGCUUCCGAAUGAAUCGAACCUUCGAACCCCCUUCUAUGUUGCACGUGGGCCUCCUUUUAUACGCUAAAGGGGUCACCGACAGGUGGCAACGUAGACAAGGGUAAAAACGUAAAAAGAGUUGCGGUUGGUACAGCUACCUGCACAGUGUAUUCUACCUAACCCUGACGGCAGGGGACAAGGGCAUUAAAUGCCCGUCUGUGUCGCCCGAACAGUGCAGAAAAGGACCGUUAGGGACACCACCGCUCGCCACGAUGGCGAUCUUGUCAGCGUUGCAUGCCACCACACACCGCUGGCAGCACAGCCUCUCGCCACGCGCGCCUGUGAAGGCCCCAGGGCGACACGUUGGUGGAUGUGCUGGAGCGUAGGUAUAGGGUGGUUUCUUGCCGCGGCAAGCGCCUUGCCGCGGUCGUUGCCUUGUCGCACCUAGAAGCUUGUCGUUCACCGGGCCUUGCCGGGACGCGUGGCGCGUCGUGGCAAGUUCCUUGAGAUGCCUUGGUUGGCCUUCCCGGCAAGCUCCUCUUGUCGGGGUCUUGUCUCUUGGCUCGAAUACUUUGUUCUUGAAUGGCUCCAAAGGAGCCACAGAGGAUCUUGGCGGUCGCCCGGCAAGCCUUGUCGCGGGGUGCUGCAACUGCCCGUGCACAAGUUCGGGUACUAGGGUACCCCUACUCUAGUACACCGACACCUAUAUACAUGAUCAUGCCUAGAUAAUCUCAUAAUUAUUCACUUUUCUAUCAAUUGCUCGAUAGUAAUUUGUUCACCCACCAUAAUACUUAUGCUAUCUUGAGAGAAGCCACUAGUGAAACCUAUGGCCCCCGGGUCUAUCUUUUAUCAUAUAAGCUUUCAAUCUAAUUUUAUUUGCAUCUUUACUUUUCCAAUCUAUAUUAUAAAAUACCAAAAAUAUAUUUAUCUUGUCAUAUUAUCUCUAUCAGAUCUCACUUUCGCAAGUGGACUUGAAGGGAUUGACAACCCCUUUAUUGCGUUGGUUGCGACUUCUUGUUUGUUUGUGUAGGUGCGUGGGACUUUUGAGGAGCCUCCUACUGGAUUGAUACCUUGGUUCUCAGAAACUGAGGGAAAUACUUACGCUACUAUUGCUGCAUCACCCUUUCCUCUUGAAGUAAAACCAACGCAAGCUCAAGACGUAGCACCUUGCUGCCCCUGCUGUCACUGGGAAAGGACACCACAAGAUUGAAUCCAAAGCUAAGCACUUCUCCCAUUGCAAGAAAGAUCAAUCUAGUAGGCCAAACCAAAAUGAUAAUUCAAAGAGACUUGCAAAGAUAACCAAUCAUACAUAAAAGAAUUCAGAGAAGAUUCAAUUAUUUCUCAUAGAUAAACUUGAUCAUAAACCCACAAUUCAUCGGUUCUCGACAAACACACCACAAAAAGAGUUACAUCGAACAGAUCUCCAAGAAGAUCGAGGAGAACUUUGUAUUGAGAUUCAAAGAGAGAGAAGAAGCCAUCUAGCUAAUAACUAUGGACCCAAAGGUGUGUGGUAAACUACUCACAACUCAUCGGAGAGGCCUUGGAGAUGAUGUAGAGGCCCUCCAUGGUUGAUUCCCCCUCUGGCGGAGCGCUGGCAAAGGCUCCAAGAUGGGAUCUCACGGAUACAGAAGGUUGCGGCGGUGGAAUUAGGUUUUCGUGGUGCUCUUGAUGUUCUCGGGGUACAUGGAUAUAUAUAUAUAGGAGAAUGAAGUAGGUCGGUGGAGCCAUGAGGGGCCCACAAGGGUGGGGGGCACGCCCACCCCCCUAGGGUGCCUCGUUUACUUUUUAGUGUCCACUCCAAGUCUCCUGGUUUGCAUUUGUUCCAAAAAGAACGCUCCCGAAGGUUUCAUCCCGUUUGGACUCCGUUUGAUAUUCCUUUUCUUUGAAACACUGAAAUAGGUAAAAAAACAACAAUUCGGGUUGGGCCUCCGGUUAGUAGGUUAGUCCCAAAAAUGAUAUAUAAGUGUAUAGUAAAGCCUAUAAACAUCCAAAACAGGUCAUAUAAUAGCAUGGAACAAUCCAAAAUUAUAGAUACAUUGGAGACGUAUCACAAUCCCUUCAUGGUCACUUGCAAAAGUGAGAUCUAAUAGAGAUAAUAAAGUAAAUAUUUUUGGUAUUUUUGUUGUAUAGAUUGGAAAGUAAAGAUUGCAAAAUAGUAAACGAGAUGUUAUGUAUAUAAAAGAGAUGUAAUAUAAUAGGAAAGAGACCCGGGGGCCAUAGGUGUCACUAGUGGCUUCUCUCAAGAUAGCAUGUAUUACGGUGGGUGAACAAAUUACUGCCGAGCAAUUGAUAGAAGAGCGCAUAAUUAUGAAGUCAUCUAAGGCAAUGAUCAUGAACAUAGGCAUCACGUCCGUGUCAAGUAGACCGAAACGAUUCUGCAUAUACUACUACUACUACUCCACACAUCGACCGCUAUCCAACAUGCAUCUAGAGUAUUAAGUUCAUAAGAAUGGGGCAACACAUUAAGCAAGAUUACAUGAUGUAGAGGGAUAAGCUCAAGCAAUAUGAUAUAAACCCCAUCUUUUUAUCCUCGAUGGCAACAAUACAAUAUGUGCCUUGUUGGCCCUACUGUCAUUGGGAAAGGACACCGCAAGAUUGAACCGAAAGCUAAGCACUUCUCCCAUUGCAAGAAAGAUCAAUCUAGUAGGCCAAACUAAACCAAUAAUUCGAAGAGACUUGCAAAGAUAUCAAAUCAUGCAUAUAAGAAUUCAGAGAAGAACGAAAUAAUAUUCAGAGAUAAUCUUAUUCAUAAAUCCACAAUUCAUCGGAUCUCGUCAAACACAUCACAAAAGAAUUACAUCGUAUAGAUCUCCAAGAACAUCAAGGAGAACUUUGUAUUGAUAAUCAAAGAGAGAGAAGAAGCCAUCUAGCUAAUAACUAUGGACCCGAAGGUCUAUGGUAAACUACUCACGCUUCAUUGGAGAGGCAAUGGUGUUGAUAUAGAAGCCCUCCGUGAUCGAUUCCCCCUCCGGCAGAUCACCAGAAAAGCCCCCAAGAUGGGAUCUCACGGGUACAGAAGGUUGCGGCGGUGGAAAAGUGGUUUCGUGGCUCCCCCUGAUGUUUUUAGGGUAUAAGAGUAUAUAUAGGCGAAAGAAGAACGUAGGUGGAGCUACGAGGGGGGCACGAGGGUGGGGGGCGCGCCCUCCUUCCUCGUGGCCUCCUUGUAGAGUCCCAGACUUCAACUCCAAGUCUUCUGGAUUGCUUUUGGUCCAAGAAAGAUCCUCACGAAGGUUUCAUUCUGUUUGGACUCCGUUUGGUAUUCCUUUUCUGCAAAACUCUAAAAUUGGCAAAAAACAGAAACUCGCACUAGGCCUCCGGUUAAUAGGUUAGUCCCAAAAAUAAUAUAAAAGAGCAUAUUAAAGCCCGUUAAACACCCAAAACAGAUAAUAUAAUAGCAUGGAACAAUAAAAAAUUAUAGAUACGCUGGAGAUGUAUGAAGCAUCCCCAAGCUUAAUUCAUGUUCGUCCUCGAGUAGGUAAAUGAUAAAAACAGAAUUUUUGAUGUGGAAUGCUACCUAGCAUAUUUAUCAAUGUAAUUUUCUUUAUUGUGGCAUGAAUGUUCAGAUCCAAAAGAUUCAAGACAAAAUAUUAAUAUUGUCAACAAAUAAUAAUACUUCAAGCAUACUAACAAGGUAAUCAUGUCUUCUCAAAAUACAUGAGCGUGACCCAUGGACAUGGCACUAUAGGUGGAAUAUAAUGGUGGUUGUGGAGAGGACAAAAAGGAGAAGAUAGUCUCACAUCAACUAGGCAUAUCAACGGGCUAUGGAUAUGCCCAUCAAUAGAUAUCAAUGUGAGUGAGUAGGGAUUGCCAUGCAAUGGAUUCACUAGAGCUAUAAGUUUAUGAAAGCUCAACAAAAGAAACUAAGUGGGUGUGCAUCCAACUUGCUUGCUCACGAAGACCUAGGGCACUUUUGAGGAAGCCCAUCAUUGGAAUAUACUGUCACAUCCCUAGCUUCUGGCAUUGCUCUAGGUUAGCUUCAUGUGUGCAUCAUGUCUAUAUUUUUGAAAACUUGAAUUGAGGAAUAUUGGAAGCCUCAAAACCCUAAAUAAAAGAAGGGCAAGCACCCUUUAAAAUUGCAUUCUGUGAAUCCAAAAUGCCCUAAAAAUAGUUUUGUGAAUUUUGGCAAGAGUUAUAUAUCAAACCAAAAUUCUGGAAUAUUUUUAAGGAAUUAUUUGGUCUCUGAAUUUAAAUCAAUAAUCUAUUUGAAUUUGGGGAUAUAUUCAUAAUAUAUAAUGAAUAUAUUUGCAAAUGCUUUGAAAUGUUUUAUGUACUUUUGGAAUAGUCCAGAGAGGUAACAUAAAAUAUUUCAGAAUGUUUUGGCACUGUAAGAAAUUAUUUUGAAUUUGAAAACAGUGGCAAAAUAAAAUAAAAAGGGAAACAGAACAGGAAAAAAUAAAAAGAGAGAAGGAAGUACCUGGCCUCACCCGUGCAGCCCAGCCGGCCCAGCUCCUCCAGCGGCCCAGCCCACCUGGCCCCCUUCUCCUGUCUUCUUCCCGUGCCAGCGCACGAAGCAGCUGCAUGCUGGACGCACGCGCGCCGACGCCGGCCACCUCCUGCUUCGCCGUGGCAGCCUCCCCGACCCCCUCGCGACGCCACGGAGACGGCCUCGACCCCCCUCGACCGCCUCUCUCUCUCUGGACCCCCUCCUCCUCCUCUGUUCUCCCUCCCUCUCGUCACCGAACGCACCUGGGAGCGCCGCUCGCCGUAGCCAUGACCACGGCCACCCCCUCCCCUCUCCGACGUGCUCCCGAGCUCCUGCACCUCGUCGCCAACCCCCUCACCGAGCCACGUGACCGGAAGGGCCCCGAGCAGCCGCCAUCGUCAUCAUCUCCGAGCUUCGGCCCCGGUGCCGUCUCCGUCGGAUUCGGCCACUCCGGCGCGCCCCCGAGCCCACUGACCCUCCCUACAGCUCCGCGGUGAGCCUCCGUGCAGAACCCCUCUCUCUCCCCUCGCGUUUGCGAGCUCUAGGCCAUAGCCCCGUCGCGGCCGAACUCCGGCCGCCGCUGACCAUGUCGCCGCCGUGGCCUGAGCUCGAACGGGUCACGCCCGUGCAUCUCACCGAGCUCGUGGUGACUCCAGGAGGCUGCGCAGUGCUUUACCUCACUCGCCCGUGCUCCACAACGCCGUUUUCGCCGAGGUCCGAACUCCGGCGCCGCCUCGGGCUCCAUUCCGGAGAACCCCGGCCACCCCGCACCUCCCGUUGGCCCCCCUAGAUGCGCACGGGCACGGGCUACCUUCUGGUGCCCUUCGCGCGUCCAGCCGCCGCCCGUAGCGCAACCCCGGUGAACUUCCGCCGCGUUUCGGGUCGCCGCCGGCCGAACUCCGGUGGCCAGUGACGUGGCGCUGUCAUUAGCACUAAUGGCCCUGUUAAACUAACCCCGUGACACUGACAGUGGGCCCCGUAGCGGGUCAAAGCCCGGGUCAACGCGGGAUUAGCCCCUGUGUCACUGACGUGUGGACCCCCACACGUCAGGUUUGACCUGGACCGCCCGUUGACCUGCUGAGGUCAGCAUGAGGUCAUGCUGACGCCAUAAUUCAUUUUCUGGAAUUAUUUUAAUUCUAAAUAUUCAGGAAAUUCCAGAAAAUGCCUAAAACUUCAAUAAAUCAUAGAAAAUUAACCGUAACUCCAAAUUAAAUAAUUUAUAUAUGAAAAAUUAUCAGAAAAAUUCAAGGAAUCCAUCUGUACCAUUUUCAUGCAUGUUAGAACAACUUAUCACUACUGUUUAGGACAAAUGAAGUGAAUGACAUUUAAAUAAUCACAUAUGGAGUUUGAAUUUGAAUCUUGUAUUCAAACCAACCCCAUUUAAUCUGUUGCUAGUUGCAUUAGCCCAAAACACAUUCAUUUUGCCAUGUCAUGAUCAUGCAUCAUAUUGUGCAUUGCAUUGAUUGUGUUCCCUUCUGUGUUGCCGGUAUUUGUCCCCUCUCGAUAGACGCGAUACCGAUGAUGUGAUCGUUGACACUGAUGAAGACUCAAUGUUAUCUUCAGAAGUGCCGGACAAGCAAAACCCCCUUGUUCAUUCCGAUACAAUCCCACUCUCUCGCUCCUGCUCUCUUUUACUGCAUUAGGACAACACCGUUUCAACUGUUACAUGCUGCGGUAGUUGAACCCCUUUUAUCCUCUGCAUGACCUGUCAUUGCCACAGUAAAUAGAUGAAACCCACUAGCAUGAGUAGGAGUUGUUUGAGCCCUGUUGUGCCUACUCAUUCAUGUUUGUUUGUCAUGCCUGCUACUGCUUAGAGUUGAGUCAGGUCUGAUUCAUCGGGGAUGAAUCAGAGGUGUGUGAACAUGUCCUACGGUGUGUGAGGUAAGCGUGUGAACACGAUUUGGUAAAGGUAGCGUUGAGAGGCCAUGUAGGAGUACAUGGUGGGUUGUCUCAUUGCAGCCGUCCUCAGGAACUGAGUUCUGUGUUUGUGAUCCAUGAUUCAGCUACUACCACACAUUGGGCCCGAAACCAAUGGACCCUCUCGGCUUCUUAAUCACCCUUGUCCUCUGUCCAGGAGUUGCAAGUAGUUUCUGGUGUUUGUAGUAUGCUGGAGGCCGUGCGCAGCGCUGACCGUAGGGGUGGGCUGUGAUGCGGUAGGCACGUGGCACGGUGUACCGGGCGCCCGUUUGGUGUAUCGGGAACCCUGUUCACAUCGUUUGGGGCUGUGACCGAAACUCCGGCCGGAUCUCCUCAUGGAUGGAACCCGAAUAGGCGAUAAACCUGGACUAGAGACUUGAGUGUUUAGGUAGGCCGUGGCCGACACCCACGUUGGGCUUCCGCUUGAAGGUUGCCGAGUACAUGUCGUGUAAACGGCGGUAAGUGGUGAGAGCGUGUGUGAAGAAGUACACCCCUGCAGGGUUAAUAUGAUCUAUUCGAAUAGCCGUGUCCGCGGUAAAGGACUUCUGGGUUGCUUAUAUCAGUUCAUAGACAAGUGAAAGUGGAUACUCUAAAAUACACAAGAUAAGCGUGAGUGCUAUGGAUGGCAUUCUCGUAGGGAGACGGGAGCGGUUCCAUAGUGGUGUAUUGGUUGGUGAAUAUGUGGACUCGUGUGCGCCACCUCAAAAGAGUUACUUGCAGUCGUAGUUCAGGAUAGCCACCGAGUCAAAGCUGGCUUGCUGCAGUUAAACCCCACCAUCCCUUUGUUGAUAAUGAUGCAUAUGAAGAUAGUUCUGAUGUAAGUCUUGCUGGGUACAUUUGUACUCACGUUUGCCUAUUUUAUGUUUUUGCAGAGAGACUUCGGUCUCGCUAGUAGUUCCACGUGGACUUCGACGUUUAGCUUGAUACCUCAGCUACGAUCUUGUGCCCCGGCAGGAUCUGGUAGAUAGUCAGGCUUCUCAGCCUUUUUCAUUUAUAGAUGUCUGUACUCAGACAUGAUAGCUUCCGCUUGUGCUUUGACUUGUAUGCUCUGAUUGUUGGGUCAUGAGACCCAUGUUUGUAAUAUCUCGCUCCUCGGAGCCUAUUGAUUAAAAUACUUGAUUUAUAGAGUCAUGUUGUGAUGCCAUGUUGUAUUUGCACAUAUCGAGCAUAUUGUGUGUAUGUUAUUGAAAUGCUUGGUAUGUGUGGGAUCUGACCAUCUAGUUGUUUAUCUUUAGUAGCCUCUCUUAUGGGGAAAUGUCUCCUAGUGUUUCCACCGAGCCAUGGUAGCUUGCUACUUCUCUGGAACACUUAGGCUGGCCGGCAUGUGUCCUUCUUCGUUCCUGUGUCUGUCCCUUCGGGAAAAUGUCACGCGGUGAAUACCGGAGUCCUGUUAGCCCGCUACAGCCCGGUUCACCGGAGUCCUGCUAGCCCAGUGCUACAGCCUGGAUUCACUCGCUGAUGACCGACACGUUCGAUGCUGGGUCAUGGAUGCCUGUCCCUGUAAGUCUGUGCCGCUUUGGGUUUACGACUAGCCAUGUCAGCCCGGGCUCCUUAUCAUAUGGAUGCUAGCGACACUGUCAUAUACGUGUGCCAAAAGGCGCAAACGGUCCCGGGCAAAGGUAAGGCGACACCCGUGGGAAUACCGUGCGUGAGGCCGCAAAGUGAUAUGAGGUGUUACAUGCUAGAUCGAUGUGGCAUUGAGUCGGGGUCCUGACAGCGUUGGUAUCAGAGCUUGACUGCCUGUAGGAUUACCAAGCCAAACUGGUCGAAGUUGAGUCUAGAAAUUCUUUAGUUAUGUAAGGGAAUUGAUUGUGGGAUGGAACGUAAGGCUCUUUUUACUCCUUUACCUCAUGCCCUUCUGAUCUGAGUCAUCAUCUUCUCUUCUACGGGGAUUAAGAACUAGGCUAUCCCUUCUUUCUAUUAGGAUCACGUGUUACUAAUCAGUGGACUUAUAAGAUUGUUGGAUUUAAGUCUCAGUUCAGUUCCUACUACUUCCGUAUGUUAAUUGUUGAUCUCGAAACCUUGAUAUUGUGCUUCUGAGUGGUUAUGCCACCAUUUUUGUGAAUGUCUCAAAUCUUUUCUGAGCAUUUACAGCCGUUAUGCUGUCCGAGUCAUUCCAGGUUUCUAAAUAGUCUGAUGCAUUUGCAAAAUCCUUUCCCUCUAGUUUCGAUGUUCCUUUAUGCCAGCUCAAUCACACUAAUUGUUGAGUUGAGGUAUUCUAUUGCCUUGACAUUAUGUUGGAGUUACUAUUAUGACCCUAGGUGUCUCAGGGGAUCAUCUAGUAGUCCAGCCAUGAUUUAUGUUCCAGUGUGAUGACUCUGGCCGUCAUUAUCGAAAGCAUCCCGUGAUGCCAUUUAGUAGUAGGUAUUCUAUCCCUAGGUUUGAACCCGAGAUUCACCCUACUUACUUCAUGUUGAUAGUUUUGCUCGUUCCUUUAGGAUAUUAGCAACCUUUGCGAUAGUCCUUGAAGUCCGUGGUAUCUUCUUCUUCCAAAUACCAUGAACUACUUAUGGCAGAAGUUCCUCGUUGAACUGAAAUAUCACAACAGGAUUAUUCUUGAGGAGUUCUCCAUUCAUAAAUCGUGACUCUGCCAGUUCUACCUUUCUGCAUGGGUUAUCCGGAAGAAUUAUGUUGAACUCGGUUCGACAUACUAAUUUAUGCAUCCACAACUCAGAAAGUUAUAUGUUCCUUUGAGUUGUCCCUCUUUAGUUGUCUACUGACCUUCGUCUAUCAAUUGAUAGUCAAGAGUAUGCGUGCAUUCAUUCAUCGAUGCCUGUUACUCUUGUGGUCCGUCAAGCCAUUCUGUCCUGAAUGACUUGGAGAAACAAACUCCAGUACCUCAUCCAUAUCUAGGAUUGGGUCAAAGUAGUUGUAUUCCGCAGAUCAAAUGCCAAUCCAGCUUUUGGUUCUGUUCUACCCUGAAGUAUUACCUUCUUUAUGACAGGAAUUUCAUGAGAAUUGCACCACCUUUUGUGAAUUCUUGACAUAGUGAUACUUCUCGCCAUCCUUUUUCAUUCCUCGGUUCCGUGUUGUUGCAGCCGGAGCGCCGACAGGUGAAUUGUGAUGUGUGAAAUCAAUACUCCCAGCAACCUCGUUGCUUGGUAGUUAAAGGGUAAUAAUUUCAAUCUUAGCAUGUUGGGUUUUAAAUCAUCCCUCUAAGACUGAUCGUGCUACCUAGUCCUUAUUUCGGUGCACCCCUCGAUUGAUGAGAUAGGAUUUGCUAAGUCCUCACUCAUUUGAUCAUAUCGUCUUGCCCUCAAAAGCGAGAUUGUUCUCGAGCUUAGUAACAUACCGGUGGUUCGUGAUUUUCCAAAUAUCUUCUCGAAAGUAUCACCAGGCUGUCACCUGACUGUUAUGUUGAGCUCGUGAUCAAGUUGGUUUCUUGUGAACCACCUUCUCUCCAAGAAUCGGUGUUAGAUAUCCCUGAGCUAGUUGGUUAAGCUAGACAACAACUUGGAGAGUUGGAAGAUAAAAGCUUGCCGACUUAGUUCGUUCCAAAGGGAUAUUCUUGUGUAGUGUGUGUUGAAGAAAGAUGAUAUCUUCAUCGAUUGGUCCUUGUGAUCAGUUGCUGGACCUAUUGCCUUAUCAAUCCUUUGAUUUGAGUGUGGGCUAUCGUCAAAUCAAAUCAGUACCAACGAUGCUCGUAAUGUUGUCCUACUCGUGGUUGAUCCCUCGAGCAUACACCAUUACAUCUUUGGUCUGACCAAUGCUAUCACCGUGUUCACAUGAUGGUGGAAGUCCAGUGAUAUGGAAAUUCCGAUGAGUUGCUGUUGAGCCCAUCAGUAGCAUUUUGUCUGCCCCCAUGAAUCAUGUUGAACAUCAACCUAGUGUUGGAAACUUGUGUAAGCAUUUCUUCGUGUUUCGUUCAUGAAGCAUAUGUUUGAAUGAAAGUAGUGAUUUUCCCUAAUUCAUGUGCAUAUGAUGCAAGUUGCCGCCAUGAAUUUGAGGAAGAUUGUUUUGUUUCCCUGGAAUCAUUCCAAAUUAGUCAUGCACACGUGCGAAGUAUUCUGUGGUCUGGAGACUUGCAACCUUCAUUCCAUAUGUGUCCCGAGCACACCAAGCCACUGAUUGAUUUGUUCAAGGGGAAGAAGUUCCUUCAUAAGAGCUAAUCAUAUGACUUAUGCAAGGACUUCGUUAUCCACGGUGAUGGUUCCCAACCAGAACUCGGUAGUGUUUUAUUGUAAGACUACCACGUGGUCAUGCUUGUCCGGGACAACGUGUUCACAUGUUUGUAGCAGAACCAGCUCAUGUUUUGGAGCUUACUAUCGUAGUUCAUUUCCCGAGAAUCUCGCAACGUCAUCUCGUCGAUUUGUGUUGCAAACUUUCAUUUUUCUUUCUAGACUUGAUGAGUCUGGGAUAUCCUGACACGAACCAGAUCUGAAUCUCAGGCAGAUAUGAUGGUUGGAACAUUCUCCAAGAACUAUAAUAUUGGUCCCUCGAUAACCGGUAAAGUGGAUGUCGUGGCCAACACACCCAGCCGGAAGACCUGUUAUUAUAAUAUCUUGAUUGAGGAAGUUGGCCACCUCCCCAUAGGGAUUUCGUAGGAUUUACUCCCUAGUUGCCCCUAUGGAUUUUGAGAUCCCGAAGUCCGACCUUUUACUUGAUGUCCUAGAUACUAGACCAUUUCUAUGAAUGGGUUACACUAGCACAUCAAGGAGAACAUUAGAAGCAGAGUGCUAAAUGUUUCUCGGUCGAUCAUCCAGAUUUUGUUUCCUUGGCCUCGCUAAGAUGAAAUCUGAGAAGGUGUUAUCUUUCUUUGCAUCUACAUCCUCCAUCAUCAUUCAUCAUGGUAGCAAGUUGUGUUGCCGGACCCUUGACACGGAUGUUGGUAAAACCUUGAUGAAUAUGGAAAUGCUCAAGUUCUUGAGAGCACGCACAAGCGUUACGUGUUAUCAUCGGCUCUAACUGGGAUUACUCUCAGUUUCCUCGGCAAUGCUAUGACCUCUUCAAACAGUGAAUUCACUCCCUAUUGUUGGGUUCUUCCCCAGUUACCAGAAUCAUUCCUAGCAUUUGCAUUUUGUUCCUAGCUUGCACCGCCAAUGUGCCAUUCUACCAUGGGUCUCUUCCAUUUCCGGUGAUAAGCAAAUUCAUCCAUUACGUUGUCUUCAACAAGGUAAUCCACAUCAUCCAAGUCCGAGUAUGCCAUUCUACCGACCCCCUCCAAACGAUCGCUCGAGAAUUGCCUUAGGCUGGUUUAAAGAGUUUCAAUGAUCUCUGAAUCAAAAGUAAUUCUUUUUGCCACUUAAGGGGAUAUCUCUACGAGUCACCUUCCGUAAGGUGUAUCGUUAUGGUAUCAUGGCAACUCAACUCCUCGCUACGUUGACAAUCGUUUACCACCUUCUUAGGUAUAAAAUUGUUGUCUACCUAGUGAACCUUCGUCAUCCGUUUCUUCCACCCCUAUUGAUGUGUAUCUCGUGUCUCAACCCGAAAGAUGGUUCUAUGUCUCAUUCCGUAAGUUAAUCUUGAGUUGUUCGAUCUUCGAGGAGAUCGACCCUUCUAGAGUCUCCUUCUUCCCCCCCCUGUCAUGUUGACAGGAUUUCUCAGAGCAAGACGACAAGACAAAGAUGGUGUUCAAAUCAACGUUCAUUUGAAGUGCACCCUGGAUCGUGAACAUUAUACUAGUUGUGUUUCCCCUUCACCUUACCCUACGCUUGAAUCUCGAGACGAGAUUCUUGUUUAGUGGGGGUGAGUUGUCACAUCCCUAGCUUCUGGCAUUGCUCUAGGUUAGCUUCAUGUGUGCAUCAUGUCUAUAUUUUUGAAAACUUGAAUUGAGGAAUAUUGGAAGCCUCAAAACCCUAAAUAAAAGAAGGGCAAGCACCCUUUAAAAUUGCAUUCUGUGAAUCCAAAAUGCCCUAAAAAUAGUUUUGUGAAUUUUGGCAAGAGUUAUAUAUCAAACCAAAAUUCUGGAAUAUUUUUAAGGAAUUAUUUGGUCUCUGAAUUUAAAUCAAUAAUCUAUUUGAAUUUGGGGAUAUAUUCAUAAUAUAUAAUGAAUAUAUUUGCAAAUGCUUUGAAAUGUUUUAUGUACUUUUGGAAUAGUCCAGAGAGGUAACAUAAAAUAUUUCAGAAUGUUUUGGCACUGUAAGAAAUUAUUUUGAAUUUGAAAACAGUGGCAAAAUAAAAUAAAAAGGGAAACAGAACAGGAAAUAAUAAAAAGAGAGAAGGAAGUACCUGGCCUCACCCGUGCAGCCCAGCCGGCCCAGCUCCUCCAGCGGCCCAGCCCACCUGGCCCCCUUCUCCUGUCUUCUUCCCGUGCCAGCGCACGAAGCAGCUGCGUGCUGGACGCACGCGCGCCGACGCCGGCCACCUCCUGCUUCGCCGUGGCAGCCUCCCCGACCCCCUCGCGACGCCACGGAGACGGCCUCGACCCCCCCUCGACCGCCUCUCUCUCUCUGGACCCCCUCCUCCUCCUCUGUUCUCCCUCCCUCUCGUCACCGAACGCACCUGGGAGCGCCGCUCGCCGUAGCCAUGACCACGGCCACCCCCUCCCCUCUCCGACGUGCUCCCGAGCUCCUGCACCUCGUCGCCAACCCCCUCACCGAGCCACGUGACCGGAAGGGCCCCGAGCAGCCGCCAUCGUCAUCAUCUCUGAGCUUCGGCCCCGGUGCCGUCUCCGUCGAAUUCGGCCACUCCGACGCGCCCCCGAGCCCACUGACCCUCCCUACAGCUCCGCGGUGAGCCUCCGUGCAGAACCCCUCUCUCUCCCCUCGCGUUUGCGAGCUCUAGGCCAUAGCCCCGUCGCGGCCGAACUCCGGCCGCCGCUGACCAUGUCGCCGUCGUGGCCUGAGCUCGAACGGGUCACGCCCGUGCAUCUCACCGAGCUCGUGGUGACUCCAGGAGGCUGCGCAGUGCUUUACCUCACUCGCCCGUGCUCCACAACGCCGUUUUCGCCGAGGUCCGAACUCCGGCACCGCCUCGGGCUCCAUUCCGGCGAACCCCAGCCACCCCGCACCUCCCGUUGGCCCCCCUAGAUGCGCACGGGCACGGGCUACCUUCUGGUGCCCUUCGCGCGUCCAGCCGCCGCCCGUAGCGCAACCCCGGUGAACUUCCGCCGCGUUUCUGGUCGCCGCCGGCCGAACUCCGGUGGCCAGUGACGUGGCGCUGUCAUUAGCACUAAUGACCCUGUUAAACUAACCCCGUGACACUGACAGUGGGCCCCGUAGCGGGUCAAAGCCCGGGUCAAUGCAGGAUUAGCCCCUGUGUCACUGACGUGUGGACCCCCACACGUCAGGUUUGACCUGGACCGCCCGUUGACCUGCUGAGGUCAGCAUGAGGUCAUGCUGACGCCAUAAUUCAUUUUCUGGAAUUAUUUUAAUUCUAAAUAUUCAGGAAAUUCCAGAAAAUGCCUAAAACUUCAAUAAAUCAUAGAAAAUUAACCGUAACUCCAAAUUAAAUAAUUUAUAUAUGAAAAAUUAUCAGAAAAAUUCAAGGAAUCCAUCUGUACCAUUUUCAUGCAUGUUAGAACAACUUAUCACUACUGUUUAGGACAAAUGAAGUGAAUGACAUUUAAAUAAUCACAUAUGGAGUUUGAAUUUGAAUCUUGUAUUCAAACCAACCCCAUUUAAUCUGUUGCUAGUUGCAUUAGCCCAAAACACAUUCAUUUUGCCAUGUCAUGAUCAUGCAUCAUAUUGUGCAUUGCAUUGAUUGUGUUCCCUUCUGUGUUGCCGGUAUUUGUCCCCUCUUGAUAGACGCGAUACCGAUGAUGUGAUCGUUGACACUGAUGAAGACUCAAUGUUAUCUUCAGAAGUGCCAGGCAAGCAAAACCCCCUUGUUCAUUCCGAUACAAUCCCACUCUCUCGCUCCUGCUCUCUUUUACUGCAUUAGGACAACACCGUUUCAACUGUUACAUGCUGCGGUAGUUGAACCCCUUUUAUCCUCUACAUGACCUGUCAUUGCCACAGUAAAUAGGUGAAACCCACUAGCAUGAGUAGGAGUUGUUUGAGCCCUGUUGUGCCUACUCAUUGAUGUUUGUUUGUCAUGCCUGCUACUGCUUAGAGUUGAGUCAGGUCUGAUUCAUCAGGGAUGAAUCAGAGGUGUGUGAACAUGUCCUACGGUGUGUGAGCUAAGCGUGUGAACACGAUUUGGUAAAGGUAGUGGUGAGAGGCCAUGUAGGAGUACAUGGUGGGUUGUCUCAUUGCAGCCGUCCUCAGGAACUGAGUUCUGUGUUUGUGAUCCAUGAUUCAGCUACUACCACGCAUUGGGCCCGAAACCAAUGGACCCUCUCGGCUUCUUAAUCACCCUUGUCCUCUGUCCAGGAGUUGCAAGUAGUUUCUGGUGUUUGUAGUAUGCUGGAGGCCGUGCGCAGCACUGACCGUAGGGGUGGGCUGUGAUGCGGUAGGCACGUGGCACGGUGUACCGGGCGCCCGUUUGGUGUCUCGGGAACCCUGUUCACAUCGUUUGGGGCUGUGAGCGAAACUCCGGCCGAAUCUCCUCAUGGAUGGAACCCGAAUAGGCGAUAAACCUGGACUAGAGACUUGAGUGUUUAGGUAGGCCAUGGCCGACACCCACGUUGGGCUUCCGCUUGAAGGUUGCUGAGUACAUGUCGUGUAAACGGCGGUAAGUGGUGAGAGCGUGUGUGAAGAAGUACACCCCUGCAGGGUUAAUAUGAUCUAUUCGAAUAGCCGUGUCCGCGGUAAAGGACUUCUGGGUUGCUUAUAUCAGUUCAUAGACAAGUGAAAGUGGAUACUCUAAAAUACGCAAGAUAAGCGUGAGUGCUAUGGAUGGCGUUCUCGUAGGGAGACGGGAGCGGUUCCAUAGUGGUGUAUUGGUUGGUGAAUAUGUGGACUCGUGUGCGCCACCUCAAAAGAGUUACUUGCAGUCGUAGUUCAGGAUAGCCACCGAGUCAAAGAUGGCUUGCUGCAGUUAAACCCCACCAUCCCUUUGUUGAUAAUGAUGCAUAUGAAGAUAGUUCUGAUGUAAGUCUUGCUGGGUACAUUUGUACUCACGUUUGCCUAUUUUAUGUUUUUGCAGAGAGACUUCGGUCUCGCUAGUAGUUCCACGUGGACUUCGAUGUUUAGCUUGAUACCUCAGCUACGAUCUUGUGCCCCGGCAGGAUCUGGUAGAUAGUCAGGCUUCUCAGCCUUUUUCAUUUAUAGAUGUCUGUACUCAGACAUGAUAGCUUCCGCUUGUGCUUUGACUUGUAUGCUCUGAUUGUUGGGUCAUGAGACCCAUGUUUGUAAUAUCUCGCUCCUCGGAGCCUAUUGAUUAAAAUACUUGAUUUAUAGAGUCAUGUUGUGAUGCCAUGUUGUAUUUGCACAUAUCGAGCAUAUUGUGUGUAUGUUAUUGAAAUGCUUGGUAUGUGUGGGAUCUGACCAUCUAGUUGUUUAUCUUUAGUAGCCUCUCUUACGGGGAAAUGUCUCCUAGUGUUUCCACCGAGCCAUGGUAGCUUGCUACUGCUCCGGAACACUUAGGCUGGCCGGCAUGUGUCCUUCUUCGUUCCUGUGUCUGUCCCUUCGGGAAAAUGUCACGCGGUGAAUACCGGAGUCCUGUUAGCCCGCUACAGCCCGGUUCACCGGAGUCCUGCUAGCCCAGUGCUACAGCCUGGAUUCACUCGCUGAUGACCGACACGUUCGAUGCUGGGUCAUGGAUGCCUGUCCCUGUAAGUCUGUGCCGCUUUGGGUUUACGACUAGCCAUGUCAGCCCGGGCUCCUUAUCAUAUGGAUGCUAGCGACACUGUCAUAUACGUGUGCCAAAAGGCGCAAACGGUCCCGGGCAAAGGUAAGGCGACACCCAUGGGAAUACCGUGCGUGAGGCCGCAAAGUGAUAUGAGGUGUUACAUGCUAGAUCGAUGUGGCAUUGAGUCGGGGUCCUGACAUAUACAAGCCAAGUUCUAUAAUGAAAAAUUCCCACUAGUAUAUGAAAGUGACAACAUAGGAGACUCUCUAUCAUGAGGAUCAUGGUGCUAGUUUGAAGCACAAGUGUGGUAAAAGGAUAGUAGCAUUGUCCCUUCUCUCUUUUUCUCUAAUUUUUUAUUUGGGGCAUUUUCUCUUUUUAUGGCCUCUUUUUUUAGUCUGGAGUCUCAUCCCGACUUUUGGGGGAAUCAUAGUCUCCAUCAUCCUUUCCUCACAUGGGACAAUGCUCUAAUAAUGAAGAUCAUCACACUUUUAUUUACUUACAACUCAAGAAUUACAACUCAAUACUUAGAACAAAAUAUGACUCUAUGUGAAUGCCUCCGGUGGUGUAUCGGGAUGUGCAAUGAUUCAAGGGUGAUAUGUAUGAAAACAUUAUGAGUAGUGGCUUUGCCACAAAUACGAUGUCAACUACAUGAUCAUACAAGGCAAUAUGACAAUGAUGGAGCGUGUCAUAAUAAACGGAACAGUGGAAAGUUGCAUGGCAAUAUAUCUUGAAAUGGCUUUGGAAAUGCCAUAAUAGGUAGGUAUGGUGGCUGUUUUGAGGAAGGUAUAUGGUGGGUGUAUGGUACUGGCGAGAGUUGCGCGGUACUAGAGAGGCUAGCAAUGAUGGAAGGGUGAGAGUGCGUAUAAUCCAUGGACUCAACAUUAGUCAUAAAGAACUCACAUACUUAUUGCAAAAAUCUACAAGUCAUCAAAACAAAGUACUACAUGCAUGCUCCUAGGGGAAGGGUUGGUAGGAGUUAACCAUCGCGUGAUCCCAACCUCCACACAUAAGGAAGGCAAUCAAUAAAUAAAUCAUGCUCCAACUUCAUCACAUAACGGUUCACCAUACGUGCAUGCUACGGGAAUCACAAACUUUAUCACAAGUAUUCUUUAAAUUCACAAUUACUAAACUAGCAUGUCUCUAAUAUCACCAUCCUCAUAUCUCAAAACAAUCAUCAAGCAUCAAACUUCUCAUAGUAUUCAACACACUUUAUGUGAAAGUUUUUAAUUAUACCCAUCUUGGAUGCCCAUCAUAUUAGGACUAAUUUUAUAACCAAAGCAAAUUACCAUGCUUUUCUAAAAGACUCUCAAAAUAAUAUAAGUGAAGCAUGAGAGGUUAAUAAUUUAUAUAAAAUAAAACCACCGCCGUGCUCUAAAAAGAUAUAAGCGAAGCACUAGAGCAAAAUUGUCUAGCUCAAAAGAUAUAAGUGAAGCACAUAGAGUAUUCUAAUAAAUUCUGAUUCAUGCGUAUCUCUCUCAAAAGGUGUGUACAGCAAGGAUUAUUGUGGUAAACUAAAAGCAAAGACUCAAAUCAUACAAUACGCUCCAAGCAAAACACAUAUCAUGUGGUGAAUAAAAAUAUAGCCUCAAGUAAAGUUACCGAUAGAUGAAGACGAAAGAGGGGAUGCCUUCCGGGGCAUCCCCAAGCUUAGGCUUUUGGUUGUCCUUGAAUUACCUUGGGGUGCCUUGGGCAUCCCCAAGCUUAGGCUCUUGCCACUCCUUAUUCCAAAAUCCAUCAAAUUUACCAAAAACGUGAAAACUUCACAACACAAAACUUCGACAGAAAAUCUGAUGAGCUCCGUUAGUAUAAGACAAUAAACCACCACUUUAAGGUACUGUAAUGAACUCAUUCUUUAUUUAUAUUGGUGUUAAACCUACUUUAUUCCAACUUCUCUAUGGUUCAUACCUCCGAUACUACUCAUAGAUUCAUCAAAAUAAGCAAACAACACAUGAAAAACAGAAUCUGUAAAAAACAGAAAAGUAUGUAGCAAUCUAUAACUUUUAAAUACUUCUGUAACUCUAAAAAUUCUGAAAUAACUUGGUGGACGUGAGGAAUUUGUCUAUUAAUCAUCUUAGAAAAGAAUCAACCUAAAAUCACUCUCCAGUAAAAAAUGACAGCUAUUCUCGUGAGCGCAAAAGUUUCUAUUUUUUAAAGCAAGAUCGCAGAGACUUUACCCAAGUCUUCCCAAAGGUUCUAUUUGGCAGAAACACUAAUUAAAACACAAAAACACAUCUAAACAGAAGGUACAUGAAAUAUUUAUUACUAAAAAGGAGCAAAAAGUAAAUAACAAAAAUAAAAUUGGGUUGCCUCCCAACAAGCGCUAUCGUUUAACGCCCCUAGCUAGGUAUAAAAACAAGAAUUGAUCUAGGUAUUGCCAUCUUUGGCAUGCAAUCUAUGAGUGGAUCUCAUAAUAGGUUCAUAAGGCAAUUUAAUUUUCUUCCUAGUAAAGUGUUCCAUGCCCAUGUAGAUUCAUAAAUGGCUCUCAUAAUAGAUUCAAGGCAAUUAUUGAUAUUCCAAUUUCCUAGUAAAGAACAAUUAUCAUAAUUAAAUCCCUUGAAAUCCAAAAUAGUGGGUUCAUUGCUAUGUAAAGUUUUGACCUCUUCAAUCCCACUUUUAUCAAUUUUUGCAUCUAGAUCUAAGAACUCCGAAUCAUUGGGAUGCCCUUUAACUAAAGUUGACUCAUCUCCAGUCCCAUCUUUAUCAAGAUUCAUGUUGGAAAACAAAGAUUUAAUAAGAGUCACAUCAGUCACUUUUAGAUCUUUAUUAUUAUUAUCAUGAACACUAGAAGAACACGCUUUCAUAAAGCAAUCUUUUUUAGCACGCAUCCUAAUGGUUCUUUCUUUGCACUCAUCAAUGGAAAUUCUCAUGGAUUUGAGAGACUCAUUGAUAUCAUGCUUAGGUGGAAUAGAUCUAAGUUUCAAAGAAUCAACAUCAAGAGAAAUUAUAUCCAUGUUUCUAGCCAACUCAUCAAUCUUAAGCAAUUUUUCUUCAAUCAAAGCAUUGAAAUUCUUUUGCGAACUCAUAAAUUCUUUAACACUAUUCUCAAAAUCAGAGGGCAUCUUAUUAAAAUUUCCAUAAGAUUUUUUGUAAGAAUUACCAUAAUUAUUAGAGGAAUUACUAGGAAACGACCUAGGAUUAAAAUUGCCUCUAUACGCGUUGUUACCAAAAUUGUUCUUACGAACAAAAUUCACAUCCAUAGAUUCAUUAUUAUUCUCAAUCAAAGUGGACAAAGGCAUAUCAUUAGGAUCAGAAGAAACACUUUUAUUAGCAAACAAUUUCAUAAGUGCAUCCAUCUUUCCACUCAAAACAUUAAUCUCUUCAAUCGCAUGAACCUUUUUACUAGUGGAUCUUUCGGUGUGCCAUUGAGAAUAAUUAACCAUAAUAUUGUCUAGGAGUUUAGUAGCUUCUCCUAAAGUGAUUUCCAUAAAAGUGCCUCAUGCGUCCGAAUCUAAAAGAUUUCUAAAAGCAAAAUUCAAUCCGGCAUAUUCUUUUUGUAUAAUCAUCCACAAAUUCAAACCAUGUGUAGGGCAAUUAUGUAUCAUUAAUUUCAUACUCUCCCAAGCUUGUGCAACAUGCUCAUGAUCAAUUUGCUUAAAAUUCAUAAUAUCGUUCCUAAGAGAGAUGAUCUUAGCGGGAGGAAAAUACUUAGAGAUAAAAGCAUCUUUGCACUUAUUCCAUGAAUCGAUAUUAUUUUAGGCAAAGAAGAGAACCAAGUUUUAGCAUGAUCUCUAAGAGAAAAUGGAAAUAGCUUCAAUUUAACAAUAUCAUUGUCCACAUCUUUCUUCUUUUGCAUAUCACACAAAUCAACGAAGUUGUUUAGAUGGGUUGCAACAUCUUCACUAGGAAGGCCAGAAAAUUGAUCUUUCAUAACAAGAUUCAACAAAGCGGUAUUAAUUUCACAAGACUCAGCAUCGGUAGUAGGAGCAAUUGGAGUGCUAAUAAAAUUAUUGUUGUUGGUAUUGGAAAAGUCACAUAAUUUAGUAUCAUCUUGAGCCAUCGUGACAAACAAUCAAUCCAACACACAAGCACACAAGAAGCAAGCGAAAAGAAACGAACGAAAUAGGGGCGACGAAAAGGCAAGGGUUUUCAAAAAUCGUUUUAGAAGUGGGGGAGAGGAAAACGAGAGGUGAAUGGCAAAUAAUGUAAUGCAAGGGAGAAGAGUUUAUUAUGGGUACUUGGUAUGUCUUGACUUGUCAUAGAUCUCCCCGACAACGGUGCCAGAAAUCUUUCUUGCUACCUCUUGAGCAUGCGUUGGUUUUCCCUUAAGAGGAAAGGGUGAUGCAGCAAAGUAGCGUAAGUAUUUCCCUCAGUUUUGAGAACCAAGGUAUCAAUCCAGUAGGAGACGACACACAAAUCACCUAGUACCUGCACAAACAAUCAAGAACCUUGCAACCAACGCGAUAAAGGGGUUGUCAAUCCCUUCACGGUCACUCACAAAAGUGAGAUCUAAUAGAUAUAAUAAAGUAAAUAUUUCUGGUAUUUUUGUUGUAUAGAUUGGAAAGUAAAGAUUGCAAAAUAGUAAACGAGAUGCGAUGUAAAUAAAAGAGAUGUAAUAUAAUAGGAAAGAGACCCGGUGGCCAUAGGUUUCACUAGUGGCUUCUCUCAAGAUAGCAUGUAUUACGGUGGGUGAACAAAUUACUGCCGAGCAAUUGAUAGAAGAGCGCAUAAUUAUGAAGACAUCAAAGGUAAUAAUCACGAACAUAGGCAUCACGUCCGUGUCAAGUAGACUGAAACGAUUCUGCAUCUACUACUAUUACUCCACACAUCGACCGCUAUCUAGAAUGCAUCUAGAGUAUUAAGUUCAGAAGAACGAAGUAACGCAUUAAGCAAGAUGACAUGAUGUAGAGGGAUAAACUCAAGCAAUAUGAUAUAAACCCCAUCUUUUUAUCUUUGAUGACAACAAUACAAUACGUGCCUUGCUGCCCCUACUGUCACUGGGAAAGGACGCCGCAAGAUUGAACCCAAAGCUAAGAACUUCUCCCAUUGGAAGUAAGAUCAAUCUAGUAGGCCAAACUAAAUCGAUAAUUCGAAGAGACUUGCAAAGAUAUCGAAUCAUGCAUAUAAGAAUUUAGAGAAGAACCAAAUAAUAUUCAUAGAUAAUCUUAUUCAUAAAUCCACUAUUCAUCGGAUCUCGACAAACACACCGCAAAAUAAUUACAUCGAAUAGAUCUCCAAGAACAUUGAGAUGAACUUUGCAUUGAGAAUCAAAGAGAGAGAAGAAUCCAUCUAGCUAAUAACUAUGGACCCGAAGGUCUGUGGUAAACUACUCACGCUUCAAUGGAGAGGUAAUGGUGUUGAUGUAGAAGCCCUCCAUGACCGAUUGCCCCUCCGGCAGAUUGCCGAAAAAGGCCCCAAGAUGGGAUCUCACGGGUACAGAAGGUUGCGGUGGUGGAAACGUGGUUUCGUGGCCCCCCUGAUAUUUUUAGUGUAUAAGAGUAUAUAUAGGCGAAAGAAGUACAUUGGUGGAGCUACGAGGGGUGGUGCACUUCUCGUAAAAAUGUUUCUUUUAGAGGGGUGGUGCACUUUUGAGAGGACGACUUCUUCUUGCUUGUGCUUGGGUCAAACCAGAGCCCCUCUUUGGCAAACACCUCAUUGUGUUGGCUCAACACCUCAUUAAGGUUCUUUUGUCCUUGAGCACAUGUCAUGAGACCUUUCUCGAUUUGAACUUUGAGAAAGCGAUUCUCCUCAAGAAUAGAUGCUAGAUCACUACUAGAGUUAGUAGUACAAGCAUCAACAUUGAUAAUAGGAGAAGAGUAAGCUUUGGCUAGAGUUUCAAGAUAAGUAAGUUUGAGCGUCUUAAAACUCUUUGUAAGAAGGGUGAGAUCUUCUUCCUUAGUCUUGAGGGACACGGAUAGAAGCUCACAAUCCUGAGAGAGAGAAGCAUGAGACUUCACAAGCUUACUUUUAUCAUUCAUCAACUCUUCACAAGAUUCAUUAGCCUUUUUCAAGGAGGCAAGAUCUUUAGCAUGAACAUCAAUGUUUGAACCAAUUUUCAAGCAUAGUUCAUCAUUUCGUGCUUUCUCAUAUUGGUCUUUCCGCUCAAGGAUUUCAUAUUUUUCCUUUUCCUCGGUGACGAGGGUUUCGAGUUCCUUAAUGGUGAUGGUGUGCUUACUCACCAUCCCCAUAAGCAUAUGAAACAUAGUGAGCUUCUUUCCUUUGAGGGAGCACAUGAACUUAUUAAGUUUAGCAAGCAUAGGAUCAUCUAUAUCAUUAUCCUUAUAACUAUCCUCCGCAUCAAGAUACUCAUCACUAGGAGUAGAAGGAGUGAAAAGAGGAGGAUUUGAUCAUGGGGUUACCUUGACCUUGUCAGGAGAGCUUUGGUCCUCUCCAUCUUCUACCACGGCCUUUGCCAUUAGGCACUUGUGAGUGUUGCCAUUGGAGUCUUUCAUGUAGUUGUAGGUGACCACAUCACCAUUCUUGUUCACUAGCCUCAAAGUGUUUUGAGAAUCUUGAGCAACUCCGGCAACACCACUAACAUCAUCUGGAUCGGAUUCUUCAUGAGCAACCAUUGCUUUCCCAUCUCUCCUCUUGAGCUUGGAGUUCAAAGGAUUUGGCAAAUUCUUCUUGGGAAAGGUCUUGGGAAACCUUGGUUUAUCUUCUCUCUUCUCAUAAGGUCACUCGUUGGAGAAGUGGUUGGUUUCUUCACAGUUGUAGCAUUUCCUCACUUUCUUCCUCUGGAACCUUCCCUUGAAUUUUCCCGCGCUAAACUUCUUGACAAAGAGAGCAAUGUCUUCAUAUGACGGGCUCUCAUUUGAGUCAAUCUCAUCACCAUCCUCCUCCUCCUCAUCAUCAUCAUCUUCUUCUUCUUCUUCUUCACUUUUCUCUUCUUCACAUACAUGCUUGGCCUUCAAUGCAAGGUUGAUCUUUGAUGUUGAGGUACCAUGCAUGGCAAGAUGUUUUGUGGUAUUUGCCUUUGACUCUUCAAAUAGUUGGAAAGUGGAUAUCAUGUCAUCUGGAGUCAUUUCCUUGAAUCCAUGGUGUUGUCUUAUGUCCCACACCAUUUGGUGAUGAUAUGGAGCAAGAGCAUGAAGCAACUUAUCCACGAGAAAUCGCUUAGUCAAGUUGAAUCCAUCUUGAGUCUUGUCACAUUCACAUGACUCAAUGUCGGCGGUGAGAGUCAUGAGACGCUCAAGUAGUUGCUUGGGAGAUUCACCUUUCUCCAUACAAAAGUUUUGCAAUUGACCCAAGACGGAGAGUGGAAGUACCGGUCUUGGUCCUCACAAUGCUAUCCCGUAAUUCCUUGGCACUUGUGAUAUGUAUGUAUGGUCUCCUUUGCUUGUCAGUCAUACCUCUUCUUAUGUACAUGGUUGCUGUGUCGUUGAGAUUCUUGUCAUAAACCUCUCUUGGAGUAAGAUUCUUCGGGUCAAUAGCUUGGUAGCCAUACUCCAAGAUCUCCAACAUCUCAUCAUUUCCAUAUCGAAGAUGAUCCUGCAUAGCAACUCUCCACAAAGCAAAAUCGGUAGUGUCAUCAAGUAAAGGAGGCUUGCCUUGAGGGUUAUACUUAGGUUUCUCUAUUUGAGGUCUUGCAUAAAGCCAAGGAACACCGGAGUGUUCAUUACAAGGAGGUUAUUGGACAAGUGAGGAAGUAGGCACAACUGGCCUCGAGGUCGCACCACCAGAAAGUGGUGCAAGCAUCGUGGUUAGUGUGGCUAUACUCAUUUGGACCAAGGCCUCAAGAGAGGCAUCAUGCUCCUCCUUUUGCUUAGCAAGAGCUCGUUCCAGAUCCUCUGAAGUGAAGGACUUGGUUUUCGUGGAAGCCGCGCCCGUACUCUUCAGAUCUGCAACAAGGGGAGUCCCAUCAGGGUUCAUCUCGCUCUAGGGAAGUUACGCCACAAGAAUAGAGCACGAGGCUCUGAUACCAAUUGAAAGGAUCGAGAUGGACCUAGAGGGGGGGUGAAUAGGUACAAUUACAAAUUUUAAUUGUUACUUAGAAAUUUUAGUCAGUAAUGCGGAAUAUGAAGUUGAGCCUAACAAUUGCAAGUGUGAAGCUAUGAGCUAAGCAAGGUAAACAAGUAACUCAAGUAGGAGAGUAAGCAAGCACAAUAUGAUAUAAGUAAAGACUAAGAGACAAGUAACCACAAGUAGGGAGUUAGUGUUAUGGAUAACCGCAACUCCAAGAGACGAGGAUGUAUGCCGAUGUUCACUUCCUUGGAGGGAAGUUACGUCACCAUUAGAGAAGUGGGUGUUACCACGAAGGCACACCAACGCCACGAAGGCUCACCCUAUUGUCCCUUCAAGACAACACCAUGAAGGCUUUUUUCAACCACUAGUGAAAGAACAUGAGGUGCCCCCAUGUUUGGUUUUGGUAAUUGAUGACAAUCUCUAUGGACUAAUGGUUGCCUUGAGUUAUAUUUGAAGGUUUUGUCCAUAGGCUUUUCUUGGAGUACAUGUGUUGGUUUCAAGGAGAGUUUGUGUCGACCAAGGUGCUAUUCAAGGAAUUACGUAAAAUAUUGGUCUUGUGAGAGGUUGAUCAAGACUAAGUCAAAGAGUGAAUCAAGUUGAUCAACACACAAAGUGUAGAAGAUGUACCGAGAAGGAUCAAGUGAUCCCAUGGUAUGGUAAGCAUUGUCAAUUACUCUUUGUGUACUAUCCCAUGGUCUCGUGAGAGUUCUUUAUGGGGUUAGGAUGCGGUGUGCAAGUUCAAGUGAUGCAUCACGAAGAGAUCAAGUGCUUGAAGCUUGCUGUCCAUUGUGGUGACAAUGGACUUGUGAAGAUGAGCCGAAGAUUGGCUCACCCAUAGUGGACUAUGGGGAGCAAUCAUCUAGUCUUCAUCGAGCCAACGCAAUCAAGAAAGGCGGUCCAACUUGAGGGAGUCAAGAUCAUCAUCAUCUAGCUCAAGUGGACCAUGUGCAAGGCAAAGGUUUGCCCUCGAUAGGUUUUCUAUUUUACCGAUCUCAUGGUCGUAGUUGGAAGACUGGGUUAUAGGAUCGUUUGCCGUACUAUCAAGGUGGACUCUCAAGUUGGUAGCUUGAUUGUAUCAUUAGUAGAGAGAUCAAACCAUUGCAUAAAUGCAUCAUAUUUCUGAGUUCUUGUUUGGUUCUCUUUGUGAGUCUUAGAGCUUAUGGUCAUCUUGAUGCGAAGCUUGAGUUCAUCGAAAAUGGAGUUCGCAUGCGUCUUCUAUGAUGUUUUCGGUGUUGGAGGUUUUACCGGUCUUAUCCGAGGAAGGGUUCUCACCAUUUUCUUAUGGGUCUUUUCUCAUUUGCUUAUUAUUGAUAUGUCUAUCCAGAUUGUGUUAGCCCAUGUCGUUAGCUUUCCAAAAAACUUGGUUUCGUUGAAUUCGGAGUCCGUUUGCAAAAGUUGUGGCUGUUUUGGUAAAGACUGCAGCGGUACUAUCGCGACUAGAGCGGACAUAAAUUUUUACUACCGCUCCAGAGAGGUACUACCGCGGCUCCUGAGCGGUAGUACCGCUCCAGAGCUGUACUACAGUGGCUCCUGAGCGGUAGUACCACUCCGGACCAAAAUCUCAUGUUUUGCUUAGCGGAGGUAGGCACGGAAGUAUUUUUUUUAAUACCGCUCGCAAGCAGUAGUACCGCUACCAUUUGUGGUAGUACCGUGACGUCGAGCGCUAGUACCGUGAGGACGAGCGGUAGUACCGCUCCGGCGGUUCUACUGACCUUUUGCCUCCUCGUUGUUGUUUUUCAAAGGGGUUCUACCGCCCUAGCGGUAGUACCACUCCUUGGAGCGGUAGUACCGCUUUGUGCGGGGUGUGAGCAUAACGGUUGGAUUCUCCCCAACCUAUAAAAGGGGGUCUUCUUCCCCAUUGAACAUUAUCUCUUAAGCUCGUGUUCUUCCCCCAUUGUUGACCUUCUUCGAGCUUGCUAACACUCAAUCCCUCCAAUGAUUCUUGCUAGUUCUUGAGGGAAAAGAGAGAGGAGAUCUAGAUCCAUGUUUCCACCAAUCACUUUCUUCUCUAAGUGAGGGGAAUCCCUUGGAUCUAGAUCUUGGAGUUCUUCAUGUUCUUCUUUAAUUCUUCCUCUCAUUUUCCUCCCUAGCAUUAGUUGCUUUGGUGGGAUUUGGGAGAGAAGGACUUGGGCACUCCGUGUGCCCUUGCAUUGCUUUUGGUGCAUCGGUUUGAGUUCUCCACGUGAUACGUGGAAGUUACAUGUUGAGAAGCUUAUUACUCUUGGGUGUUUGGACACCCUAGAGCUUGUUCCUCUUGGGUGCCUUGGCGCCCUAGACGGUUGGUGUUGUUCGAAGCUCAAUCAUUGUGGUGUAAAGCCCCAGGCAAGCGUCGGGGGUCUCCAAUUAGGUUGUGGAGAUCGCCCCAAGCAAUUUGACGGGUACCGGUGACCGCCCCCAAGGGUUGCCAAAGUGUACGGGUUAGGUGACCUCCCCCAAGGGUUGCCAUUUGUAUGGGUUCAGUGACCGCCCUCAAGGGUCCCUUAGUGUAAUCAUGGCAUCUUGCAUUGUGCGAGGUCAUGAGGAGAUUACAGUGGCCCUAGUGGCUUCUUGGGGAGCAUUGUGCCUCCACACCGCUCCAAACGGAGAUUAGCAUCCGCAAGGGUGUGAACUUCGGGAUACAUCAUCGUCUCUGAGUGCCUCGGCUAUCUCUUACCUGAGCCCUUUACUUAUGCACUUUACUUUGUGAUAGCCAUAUUGUUCUUUGUUAUAUAUCUUGCUAUCACAUAGUUGCUUAUCUUGCUUAGCAUAAGUUGUUGGUGCACAUAGGUGAGCCUAGUUGUUGUAGGUUUUGUGCUUGACAAAUUAACCGUUAGGUUUAUUCCGCAUUUGUUCAAGCCUCUACCGUAAUUUUAAAACGCCUAUUCACCCCCCUCUAGGCGACAUCCAUGAUCUUUCAAUUGGUAUCAGAGCCUCAUCUCUCUUUGUUAGGCUUAACCGCCUAGAGAGUAAAGAUGUCGACUAGGGGAUUAGGAUUCUUUGACACUCUUAGUUUUGAUGGCACAAAUUUUGAUGUUUGGGUAAUUCGCAUGCUUAAUCUCUUUAGGGUCAUGGACCCAAAUUUAGAGCGAAUUGUAGAUAUGGGUUUUUCUCCUCCUAAGGAUCCCCAAAUAUUAUCUUUAGAGGAUGAGAAAAACUCUUAUCUCAAUGCUCAAGCUUCUAAUGUGCUUUUUGAUGCUUUGAGCAAUGUAGUUAUAUUUCAACUCAUGCCGUUCCGGGAUGCUCAUGAGUUGUGGACAAAGCUUCAAGAUAAAUAUGGUGUGUCAAAGAUUUGUAAGGAUGAUCAUUCUCCCUCCACCUCCAGCCGUGUUGCGUUCUCAACUUCUUCUACUUCACCUACAUGUGGUUUGCCACAAGGUAAUGACAUGGUGAGUAGUGGUGUUCAUUGCAAUGAUGAUAGUGGGCUUAUUGUUGAUAAUCCUUCAUCACUUUCUUAUUGCAAUGCUUCAUCUUUGGACUUUAGCACUUCGAGCACUCCCAAUGUUUCACAGCUUGUGUUGAUAGUUCUUGCAUAUCAUGUCGAAAUUGCUUGACUAAAUCUCAUGAUGAUAUGCUAGCUAUAUCUUGUUGCCAUGAUAAAAAUGCAUGUAUUUCCUCGAGUUGUUGUGCUAACAAUGUAGAGGAAACCCAGCACUCCAUGGAACAAGAUGUGGUCUUGAAUGGUGCUUCAAGGGAUCCUACAUCAUCAUCUAUUGCUUUUUGCCUUAUGGCCAAGGCUUCAAAAGUAUCUCCCACUUUGAAUCCCAAUAUAUCUUGUGAUGAUAUUGAUGAUGGCAAGAGUGAUGAUGAUGUCGAUUAUGAUGAAGAGAAUGAUGAUGUUGCCUCCUUAAAAAUUAAGGGGAAAUGAUUUUUAAAACUCUUCUUAAGAAUAAAAUUGCUCGUUCCAACUUCAUGGAAAUCAUGUCGAUUGCUAUUGAGAGCAAGAAAUAUAUUAAUGAGUUGGAAUCUCGUCUUGAGGAGCAUGAGGUCACCAUUGAUAAAAUGGAAGGUCAUGAGCGUGAUUACGCUAAUGAUAUUGCGGACCUCUCUCAAGCUCUUGAACUUGAACAAACCACCAAGGAAUCUCUUGAGAAGACUUUUCCUCUAGAAUUAUCUAGAGUGAAGGAAUCUAAUGAUAGAGCUCUUGAGGUGGCCAAUAUUUUUGAAACUAAAAAUGCUAAGAUUGAAGUUGCUCAUGCUAGACUCCUUGAGGAUUUUGAUCACCUCACAAAUGGCUCAAGGGUCAUCAAGGGUGAGCUCAUCAAACUCACCGAGUCUCAUGCUCAACUUGAAGCUUCUUAUUUAAAAGAGCUUUCCAAGUUGCAUUCUCAUCUUGUUGUUAAUGAUUAUGCUUGUUCUAGUAACUCUAUUUCUUGUGAAGCAUCCAUUUUAAAGGAGAAUGUUGAGCUAAGGGCUCAACUUGAGUUGCUAUCUAGAAAGUAUGGGAAAUUGGAAGAAAGUCAUGAAAAGCUUUCUAACUCUCAUGAUGAUCUUCUUGUAUCCCAUAAUGUGCUAAAAAUAGCUCAUGAGGCUAUGAUUGCUAAGGUAACAUAUAGUGAGCCUCAUGUGGAUAUUAGCACUACUUUUAGCCAAAAUGCUAUAUUGCCUUGUGUUAGUCCUCGUAAUUCGUCUAUGCAUAACAUUGGUACAUCUUGUGAUGAAUUGCUUUCCUUGCCUUGUUGCUCUAAUGAUGAAGCUUAUACUUCCUCUAGUACUUGUGCUGAGACUAACCAUGUAGAGGAAACCAAAGAGCUCAAGGCCCAAGUCACUUCUUUGAAGAAAGACUUGGAAAAGAGUCAUGAAGGGAGAUCCACACUCAACAAUAUCUUGAGUGUGCAAAAAUCCCCCAAUGACAAAGGUGGACUUGGAUUCAACUCCAACAAGAAGAAGAAGUCCAAGUUGAACAAGAAGAAGGGCCAAGAACAAGUCAAGAAUUCAGCCAAGAUUAUUUGCUUCAAGUGCAAAAUUGAAGGGCAUCAUGUGAGAUCUUUCCCAUUGAAGAAGAAGGACAUUAGUGACAAGCAACAAGGGAAGCGGCCACAAGUUCAAUAUCAUGCUCAACCACAAGUUGAAGAAAUGCCUCUUCCCAAGAAUACUCAAGAUAAUGCUUCUCAAAUUGAGAAAUCAAGUGAGAAGAAAGUGAAGAGUAGAUGUUGCUACUUAUGUCGUGAGAAAGGUCACGUCGCUUCUUCAUGCACUAGUGGUAACUUAUCCAACCCAAUUAUUAUUGAAAAUAUCUAUUCUCUUUGGAAUGAUAAGAUUGGCAAUGUGUUUUCCAAGUUUGUUGGUACUCAAAGUGGUGUCAAGAAAAGAACCAUUUGGGUUGCCAAGACUAUUAUGACUAACCUCUUAGGACCCAACUUGGUUGGGGACCGACAAGAUCAAACUUGAUCAAUAGGUGUUGUUGGAGGGCAUUGGACACUUGGUUACAUUAUGAAGAAUUAAGGGGACUUCAUCAUUCUUAUUGUCUCAAGCCAAGUCAAUUGGGUUAUCAAGUUUCUAUGUUAUAUCCAAUGUUCCUCCUUGCGGUAACUCGUACUUAAGUUGUUUACAUUGAUAGUUACUUGCCCCUAAGCAUGUUGUGGUUUUGUACCUUGCAUGUUUUUCUAUAUGAUGUGUUUCCAAUGUGCUUAACUUGAGUAAUCAAGUAUGUGUAUGUUGGUUUGCACAUCAUGUACGUGUGUGUCGUGCGUUGAGCCUUUGUGCAUCUUAUUUGUUUCUUAGUUGGCUCUUGUGAGAGAUUAAUGGAAUAUCCCAUUAUGGGGGAGUGAUGUGCUUUGUGCACCUCACAAUCUUAUAGAUGUGUGUACAUGAGGAAUACCAUCUAGUAUUGAUAUUACAAGAGUAUCUAGUCACUAUGUGGUAUGUCUUCUCAUGAGAAAUUCAAAUUCUAAAUAGUCCAUUAAUCAUUUGUUGUUGGAUCCUCUUAUUGCCUCUUGUUAAGUUUUUAUUGGUAUCACAUUAUGGGGGAGUAAUAUGCUAUGUGCAUACUACAAGCCUAGAAAAUGUGUACAUUUGAGAUAUUGUCACCUAGAAUUGAUAUUGUAAAUUAUCUUGUUCCUAGGUGGCAUGUUAGCUCUACAAGUUGCAAUUUGCUUGUGUUUGGUGUGAAGAUGAUGUCGGAUAUCCUUGCUAUCUACCACCGGGAAUUACUUCCAAAUACUUCUUGUCUUUUGACAACUGGUACUCACUUAUGUGUGGUAGAAAUUAUUUUUGACUAUGAAGACAGUAGGAAAGGUUCCUACUGCAUAUAUAUUACCAAAACCUCAGGGGGUAUAAUUACAUGUGUGUGUUACAUACAUGCGUAGUGGUUGCACCACUCAAAAAAAGCACUAGAGAGUACACAGGCACCUAUUGUAUGGAUUCAAGUAUAGCAGUAACAAUAUGCUCUUUGGAGGGUUUCACUCUAUAUCUAAGAUUAGAGAAGUCCAACUUAAACCUCUGUUUCCAGGCUGUGACAGAGGGUUUGAUCUUCCUGAAGUGGUUGUUAUUUCGCUCCUUCCAAAGACUCCAGGACGACGUCAAAAAGAUAUCCAUCCACAUCUUUCUAGGCUACAUGGUUUUUUGAUGUUUGAUCAUAUCAAGUCUGUCAUGAUGUGUGGUCCAUGUGAAGCCAAGAGCUCGCUAGCAUUCCUGACUGAAAGUGCAAAGAAAGAAUAGGUGUUCCACCGUUUCUUCAACGUGAUGGCCACACAAGAGGCAAUCAAUGUUUGUACCAAUGUUGUAGUGCCUCCUCUUGAGCAUGUUUCUGGUGUUGAGACGAUCAACGAGUAGGAACCACCCAAAGGUCUUAAUCUUGGGAGUACUUUUUUGCUUUCCACAGCCAGCCGAAAGCUUCAUGGGCAAUCACAUCUUUGAAAUAAAAUUUGUAGUAUGAGGAUGUUUUGAAGGUUUGGUCGCCCCAUAUACAUUGCCAGGUGUCAUGUUCAUCCGUAAGUGUGAUCUCGGCCACCUCAUAUUGGAUGGAUCGCAGUUCGUCAUGUGCUUGAACAGAGAGGGGGAGCUGAAAGGUUUCAUGCAGGUCGGUGGACGUCAGGAGUUGUUUGACCGAAAUGUCUUCAACAAUAGCAUAAGAAAAAUCCCUGGGGCAACUAUCAGCAUAUAUGGACUGGCUCCAAUUAUCUUUCCAGAACAGAGCAGAAGAUCCAUCCCCAAUUUUUAUGCGUGUCACACCUCGAUACGUGGGCAUUAGCUGAGUUAAAUAUUUCCACCAGAAGGAGCCACACGAGUCAUGAGCAUGUGGGAUGGUGUCACCAUAGUAGGAUUUCUAGAUUAGAUGGACCCAAGGGAUAUCAUGCCUGUUGUAAAACUUGUGGAGAAAUUUGAGUAGCAGGGCAUCAUUCUGAAUUUUGAGGUUGACAACACCCAAUCAACCAUUUUUCUUGGGCGUGCAGACCAUGUUCCAAGCGGCAAGAGAGUUGCUCUUAAUCCCAUCAUCGGACCGCUUUUGCCAUAGGCAAUGCCUUCUGAUCUUGUCAAGUUGGGCAACAAUUUUUGGUGGGAGGCGAAUGGUGCCCAUUGUGAACAUGAUAAGGGAGGUUAUCAUCGAGUUCAUUACAGCAAGUUUCCCCGCGUAUGACAUUAGAGACAUAGAAGUCGUAAUAUUUCUUUCUGCUUUGCAAACUAGAGGAGCCAAGUCAAGGACGGUCGGGCGAGUGGUGCCUAGGGGUAGGCCAAGGUACGUGAACGACAUGGAUCCCACAGUGCAUCCCAACAAAUCAGCUAGUUCUUUGCAUUUCUCAGGAGGUGUGUUAAUUGGCACUAGCAUGGAUUUAUGGAAGUUGAUCUUGAGCCCUACGGACGUGGCAUAAUCCUCUAGGAUUUCCUUAAUCUUGGCAAGUUGGCGGUUGCAGGCUGGCAGGAUGAUGAGCAUGUCAUCCGCGUAUUGAAUAACAGGGUAGUCACCAUUAGUGUUGCGUCGGAUGGGUAAUUCCAGGAGGUUAUUUCUAAGUGCCUCAUUAAUUGCAGACUGGAGUAGGUCCGCAGCUAUGACAAAAAUUAGAGGCGAGAGGGGGUCACCUUUUCGCACACCACAUUUGCAUUGGAAAGAUUUUCCCGAAGUACCAUUGAGCAAGACCGAAGAUUUACCAGAAGUGAAGAUGCAUUGCAUCCAUUGGAGCCACUUGUCAUUGAAACCCACUUUUCUCAUAAUGUGCAGCAUAACAGAGUGUUGGAUAGUGUCAAAGGCUUUGGCGAAAUCUAAUUUCAGCAAGAUUAUCUCUUUUUGCGAGGCUUAACACUGGUGUAUAUAUUCGAAAGCCCACGCCAAACAGUCAUGGAUGGAUCGGCCGCGUAAGAACCCGUACUGAUUACGGUGGACUAUCUGCAAGAUGAUUUUUUGAAGACGAUUGGCCAGCAGCUUUGUGAUAAGUUUGAGAAAACAGUUUAAUAAUGUGAUCGGGCGGAAGUCAUUGACCGUCUCUUGUGAGUUCUUAGGGAUCAAGGUGAUAUAGCCAUAGUUUAGGCAAUCAAGAUUCAAAUCCCCUCUGUGGAAUUCAUUGCACAGAAUGUAGAAGUCAUUUUUAAUGAUAGGCCAGCAUGCUUUCGAGAAGGCGCCAUUGAAACCAUCCGGGCCUGGUGCUUUGUUCGGGGGCAUCUCCUUUAUGACAGCAUCGAUUUCAGCAUGUGUCAAUGGGGUAGUGAGGCUAUCGAAAUCAACUUGCUGUCGGAGCAAAGACGAGAGGUUAAACUUCAUGUUUGGCUUCGAGCAUGAACCCAAUCUUUGUUUGAAGGCUUGGAACAGAAUAGCUUCUUUGCCAGCAUGAUCCUCCACAACAAUCCCAUUUUCAGUUUUUAGUGUAGCAAUGCAGUUUCUUCUGAAUCUUUCUGUAGCAACAGUUUGGAAAAACUUUGAGUUUUCGUCUCCAAACUUGAUCCAUCUGAUGGUGCAUCUUUUCUUCCAGUAUUCCUUUUGGUAACUAAGAAGUCGUAGGAGGUGCUUUUUGAGAAUGUUUCUGAAGUUAUGUUCAGGGAGCGAAAGAGCACGCCGCUCUUCAAUACCAUCUAGCUCAAGAAGUGCUUUAUUGGAAUUUUCGAUGGCAAUUUUUAGGCGGGAAAUCUUUUUGCUCCAGUGAGAAAGGGCAUAACAGAUAGCUUUCAGCUUUUGGCAUAGUAUAGAAGCUGCAUUUUUAUCUUUGCCAAAUUUGAGGGGCUUAUUCCAAGCUUCCUCAAUGACAUGCAGGAAGCCCAGGUGCGCAAUCCAAUAGGUUUCAAAUCUGAAAAUUUUGCUCUUGGGGAUUUUGGAUUGUAUGAUCACAAAGUAGGGUAUAUGGUCAGAGACUGGGCGGCCCAAAGGGUUUACCAUAGUGUUAGGAAAAGAUGUCGUCCAAUUUAGCGAGGUGAAAAACUAGUCAAGUUGUUCGAGCAGAGGAUUGAGCUGCAUAUUAGACUAGGUGAAAGUACGACCUUUAAUGGUAAGUUCAGUUAAAUCUUGCUGUCGGAUGAAGUCAUUGAAAGUAAACAUAUCCUAAGUGUUUCCUCCUAGCAGAUUACGAUUUUCAGGCGAGCGAACGUAGUUGAAGUCCCCUAGCAGAAGCCAAUCUUCAGAAGAUGGGAUUGAAUGGUCAAACAACCAUUAAGUGUAUGUAUUGUGCUGAUCCCCUUGACAUGGGCCAUAGAUAUUAACUAACGUCCAGUUAUGCGCGUUUUGGGUGGAAGUGAAGUUGAUGCCUACUGCAAAUUGUUCCUCAAAAGUGACCGUACCAGUGAAAAGAGCACUAUUCCAGAUCGUGACAAUUCCUCCCGACGCUCCAACGGACGGAACAUACACAUAGCUAUCAAAACGCUUAGGGCAGAGCAACUUGAGAGUGGCAGCAUCAAACGUCUGCAUUUUAGUUUCUUGAAGAUAGAUAAUUGCACACCCACUAGACUGGAUCGCAUUCGAUAGAGCUAAGCGUUUUUUGUCUGAAUUAAGACCGCGAAUAUUCCAACAUAGGACAUUCCACGACUGCAAAAGAACCAUUUAACGAUGAAGUAAAGAGGAAGAUCAAGCUGAGGUUGAUGAAGAAAUCCCCGCCUGGUCUUCAGUGAGAGCAGCAACCGUGAGCUCCUCCUCCGGGAUGGCACAUAAGUUUGUGCCAAUGGCUUGCAUUGUGGAAAUAUCAGUUGGAGGAGGGAUUUCUUCAUUGAGCAUCUAAGUGGAAGUAGUAGUUGCAGAACCAAGGGAGGCAGCCGAACAAACAGUACGUGGCUUCACCUUGGAUUGGAGGCCUUAGCUUUAGAAAGAGAAUUUAUGCGAAAACUAUCAUACUUGUUGGUACGGUUGCUGUGACGAAAAGUGGAAGUGUCGAUGGGAGCUAACACUUUCCCUUUGCGCUUACGAGCUGAGGAACCAACCGCAUUGUUUGCAGUUUCAGAGAUGGCACCUGUUGCAAUCUGAAGCAGACCAGUCUAAGUUUCAGAGUGAUAUGCAGCCAGGUCAGAUAGAUGUGAAUCAGCAUCCGUGUUAGACCUCAAAUGGAGGGAAUCAGCCUCAAUGCUAGUAGAUCCAUCAUCAUCAUCAGAGAGUUCAUCAACAAAAAUUUCCAUGGGACCCUGAAUCUCCUGCCUGAACUGUCCAACAGAGUUUGGCGGGCUAUCAGAAAUGUCCUCAAUGAUCACAGCAGAAGGAGUGACAGCACUGGAGUUAUGCUGUGUGAAUUGGAGGCCUGUAGGACCAGCCGCCACCUGAACCUCAAGAUGCAGAACAUCUUGUCUAAACCCAAAACCAGAAGCCCAUGGAUCCCUUGUAGCAAGCAUAGGGCGGAUAGAAUUGAAAAGUGCAUUGUUGAGUUGCUGACGUGGUAUAGGAUCGGACAGAAGGAUUUCCAAGAGGGAGUCACCUUGAGCAGACAAACCAAAACACAUACCUUGGUCAUGAAUAUCCACGGAGAUGGUAAUCACUUCAGCAGCAGUAGUGUGAGUCACCUGGUCGACAAGGGCAACAACAUUAAACCCUGGAGAGGUCACUGGUAGAAUGAGCAAAUCUGAUUCAGUGGAAGCAAAAUCUUCAGAGGAAGUAUAUUCAGAAGAUGCAGUAACAGCCUCAUGCCAAGCUUGCAUAGGAAUGUUAGCAAUAUUGUUGUCAGGAACCACGCCAUGCAUAACAGUAAAACCCCAAGAAGCCUGCCAAGCCUGAUAAUUCAUUAGAUGAGGUGGCAUAGGAGGAUUUGGAGGUUGAGGCCAAGGAGCCCACCCUUAGUUAGGUGCUUCUUCAUUGUUGUUGUGAACAGGGUGAUUGGGGGCAGCAUUCUGCACCAUCCAAUUGUGAACCUGCUGCUGAUAGAGCUGUUCAACAGUAAGUUGAGGCCCAAACUACGGGUGAGGGUUGCCAUCCGCAGGAGGUGGUUCUUCGUUAGGAGGCAACACUUCAGGUAACAGCCCAUUCCAGUCAUUGCUUCUCAAGAUAGUAACCUGAACUGUCCAGCAGUCUCUUGCACCUCCAAGCUGCCAGACAGCAAAGCUCUUGGGCACAAGAUUCAGACGGAUUACACGAGCCUUGAUCAGCAUAUAUCUCCUAUCUUGGCGGGGAUUGUACCAAUGAACUAGAGAACCAUAGCCCCCUAAUGCCUUAGUGAUAUAGUAAUCCGUUUGGUAGUCAUAUGGAAAGCCGAAAAACAUCAACCAAAUCUCUGGACCAAAGGAGGUGGUGCGUCUGUUGAGUGCUUCGUUGUUAGGCACAAAAGUGCUAAGCAGAUCCUCCUCCUCUAAUUCUAAGGGUGUGUUGACAGCCAUAUCCCUCAAGAAAGAGUUUGCAAAACCAAAGAUCCCAACCCCAAGUGGAUGAUCACUAGCUUCAGUGGUAAAAAGAUGGGCUUCAUGCAGCAAACCUUCGAUAGCAGUUCGAACAGCAGCCCGGCGAUGCAGAGGAACAUAUGCACUUGCUUCCGAAUCGCCAGGUAGUCGUGGUUGAGCGGCGCAAUCGGGCGACCACCAUCCCAGACCUGACCAGGCGGUUCGCCGGACCAGGCUCCACUACAAACCCAGGUGACAAGAAGGGGACGGGGUUGAGCGGAUAGUUGGCCAUGGCGGAGGGCGAGAUGAGUGGAGGCAUCAAUGGUGAGUGAGGUAGAGUGCUGGCAUUGGUGGCAUGGGAGGUGUUUUGCAGGCUGGGGCGAGGCGUUUGGGCAAUCGAGGUGGAAGGCGGAGCAUGAGGGGCAGAAUCGGUAAGUCGAGUGGAUUUAGGAAUCCAUUUCCAUUUUUGCACCUUCCUUCGCUGGAAGCAAUGCCGUUCCAGGUGGCCAUAGAAACCACACGAUUGGCAUCUAAUGGUGCCUUUCUUACGCUGAUUGAUAGGAAGUGGUGGCAGAGCCGCGGGACUAGCGUUGGAGUUGAUUUGCUUCCCUAGGCAGUCGCCAAUCUGGUCAAAAUUAUGCAUCUGUGAAGCAGAUUUGGGGCAAUUGAUUGCCUUGUGGUCAGGCGCCGAGAAAUUAAUACAAAUUAGGCAUGCAAGGCAACUGGUUUUUUUGUGACCCCAUUGCAGACAUUUGGAGCAGAGUGAGGCCCAAUGGGUAUUAAGGUCUGUUAUAUCCUCCAAGGAGUAGUGGGCUUGGGCUAGAUCGGCCUUGUGUUGGUUGCUAAGUGUUGGAGGCCAAAACUCAUGCGGAGGCGCGUAUUUGAACGCAGAUGAAAGAAAACAUUGGGGUAACGAUGGGUAUUGGACAUGAAGUAAGCAUUUAAAGCUGCCCAGGAGAAUAAAAUCCGCUGGCUGAUUGCCCAACAAUUGCUCUUGUCGGAGAUAAUGCUGCAUUAAUUGAAUAUGUGAACCCAUAGCCUGUGAUGUAGGCAAAUUACGCUACUGAAUCAAGGGAUCAUCCAAAUUCAAAUUAUGAAGCAUCUGACCAGAAGAUGAAGCUUCGCAAGAAUUUUUGUUUGAAAAAACCAUCUUGUCAAUUGGAACAAUGUUGAAUUUGCCAAGGAUCUGAGCAGACCGUGAUCCUGGUGAGCCCAUUGGCGUCUUGAAUCUAAGGUUGGACUUGAUCGCAACUGGAGACCGAGAAGGAAUGUCCAAAUUUUCUUGAUCCGCAUGCCAGGAAGAGGCAGAGACAGGAGCUCUAGCAUAUCGGCCAUUAAAAAGAUGGAAGUGACAAACAAAAUCUAGCCAUACUCGAUCUUUCAAACCAUAUAUGAAAUGACCAACUUUGUUGCUUGCAACAGAAAAACGGAAGGUGCGAUCCUUGAUCUUGGUGACAUGGAAUCCAGAGCUUAGACCCCCAAGACAACAUUGCAAAGCAAUACCAAUAGAUUCCACCGAGAGAGGAAAGGAGGCUGAGGAGAAAGUGACCACCAUAAAGAAUUCCCUAGAUCCUUGGGAAGGGGAAAAAUGGACUGUCGUGCCAAACCUGUGCCUCACCUGAUUUGCAAGGGCUAGGCCCGGAGCAAAGUCCCAAUGGAGAAGACCAUCCAUGAUUCCUAGAUCUAUAGGCCACCAUUGUUGGUGGAGGUCAAGGGGAGGGGUGGGAGGUGGGAGGGAGAGGAGAGGGAGAGGAGAGCCAUUUCUUUACUAAGUCUAUCUUGUGGUGGUAGAAAUAAUUGAUCAUCUUCACAUUGGCUUUUGCCUUUUUUUGCCUUAUCUCUUGCCAAGUUUGUGUCAACUCCCAUUGCCUUCUGUGCCACUUGAGGAUCUUGGUGUUUUCUUGAUAUUGUCUAAUGUUUUCUUGAAAUAGUGAAAGUUGUGAUCCUACCUUGUGCAUUUUGUAUUCAAUUGCAAAUUCUCUAUAAUGCACAACUCGUGGGGAGCUAUCCUAUUUUCUAUAAAACACUAAUCUUGUGAUCGAUUUUAAGUGUGUGUUGGUGGACGGAAAGCUGUUUAUUUUUGGUAUGUGUGCCAUCAUGAAACUUUGUAGAGAGCUUGGUUUGUUUGGAACCAUCCUCUCUUUUGGGAGUUUGAUAUAAUUUUGUGUGUUCCAAUGGAUAUCUCAUCCCGUGAUGUAUCUUUGAUAUCUUCCAAGUGAUGAUUUCUCCAUUUGGUAUCCUUUUCACUUGGUAUUUCCUUUUUUUGGUAUCAGUUCUUGAAAGUAUUAAGCAUGCAUAUUAACUUCAUGUAGUUUCUUUGGCAUGCUUUCUUUCUUUGACCCAAUAUAUAGGGGAAUCUCCACCAAGUCUCAAAUCAGAUGAGAUGUGUAUGAAAUUCAUUUUCAUAUCUAUUUGCACAUAUUUAUGUGGAGAUUGUCCUAUGUAUUGAUGUUUCUAACCCUUUUGUCCCAAUGAGUUUGGGUACCAUUUUGUUUGUGUUGUUGUCCUAGGAACAAUUGGAGAUGCAUUGGAUACUCGGCUCAUUCAAAAGGAAGGUGUUGUAACCAUGUGCUUAUUGGAGUCAAGCUGGGAUGAUCAAUGAACUACUUUCUACCUUCAAUUGGUUUCUACUACAUCCUUCCAAUGCUAUCUCGGUAACAAGUAUCAUCAUCUACUACAUCCACACAUUUAUUGCAUCAACCGUGUGUAGGUUGUAUCAUGGCAUGUUAUUCAUUCUAUCUUGUGAUAUUUGUUUCCUUUCUCAAAGCAUCCCAACAAUGAUAUCUUGUUGCUAGUUGUGAUGUCUUUGAUGGUUGUGUGGUAGGAAUUCAUUUAUAUACAAUAAGACCAUAUCUAGCCAUGUGUUAUGCUUCCAAGCAAAUAUUUUAUUGGUAUAUCUAUGACUUCCUUUUGGAUAUCUUGUUCCUUCGUCUUGUAACUAUUCCAGGUGUACGUCCUUCUUUGUAGAUAUAUAUCAUCAUGAUUUCGUCUACCUAGAAUCUUAUACACUUGAGAGAAGUUGCAUAUCUAGAUGAUAUCCUUUCUUUCACGUCCACGUUGUCUUUCUUUUGUUUUUUUGCUUUGGUGGCUCCAUGAAAGGUUUUGCCUUGAGUGUAUGUCUUAUCUCGUUGCGUCUUGAUGCACUCUUGUGUGGUGAAGAUUAUUUUCCUCAUGCUUAUCUCUAUGAGGCUUUUGCCAUCUUGGUAUCCCUCGUCUUGAUGAGGCUUUCAUAUUCUAUCUUCACCAUGGGUUGUCACAAGUGUUGGUUAUUCUUUUUACAUUUUUAGUGUGCUUGUGAACCCUUUUGCUUGGUGUGUGUGGGGAGGACAUGUCAUGCACCGUGUAUCUCAUUUACCCAAGGCUAUGUUGAUGCUUUAUGCUCAUCCUUAUAUUAGUCUUCUCAAGUGCUUUGUCAUGACUCACACACAUUAUUUUGGUUGAGCCUAUUCUUAAGUUGCCUCUUUUACAUGUUGCUCAACCAUGUGCUUGUUGCAAGUGCUAGGCUUUGUUUCCUAUAUGCUCACUUGCACUUGUUGUGAGUUUCUAUUGAUUUUCGGGGAGUGAUGAUCCUAUUUUGUGCACUUGGUAUCCUAAUGCAAAUAUUGUAAGGAGUGCACAAAUCAUGGAGAGCUUCACUAGUGUCUUUAGAACACUCUGUUGCUCUCUUGCACUUGUCGUGAGGUUCUAUUGAUCUUGGGGGAGUGACGAUCCUAUUUUGUGCUCGUUGUAUCCAAUUACAAAACUAAAUUGUGCUCAAAUCACGGGGAUCUUCUCUAGUUUCUCUAGAACACUCCUUUGCUCAUAUCAUAAUUUAUUUCAUUCAUGUGGCACGUAGGAUCAUUGGUCUAGUUGGCUCAAUUGAUAUCCGUUGAUUGCUUGCUUCAAUUGGUAUCUUUUGAUUGCUUAAUUGCUUGUUUCUCUCUUUGUUAUGUCUUUGUGGCAUAUCAUUCUUUUGCAAUCUUUGGGCCUCAAUAUAGUUUUUCUUCCUCCAAGUAUUUACCAUUGGACAUGUGUAUUGCAUUCCACUCUCUUGUUGAGAAAUACACAAUUUAUGGAGGAACACUUUUUAUAUUGGCCUUCUAAGCUUUUUACCCAUUUUGGCAAUCGAUGCCAAUGGGGGAGGAGUUUCAGAGAGUUUUGUUCCUAAGCAUUUGCAUCCCAUUCUCAUGCAUCAUUGGUUGUUGCAUUGCAUGGUGAUGCAUAAUUCCUUAUAUAAACUCUCUUGAAAGUGAUUGUCAGCAAUUACCAAAAUGGGGGAGAUUGAAAGAACAUGUGGUGCCACCAUGUUUGGUAUUGGUUAUUGAUGACAAUCUCUAUGGACUAAUGGUUUCCUUGAGUUAUAUUUGAAGGUUUUGUCCAUAGGCUUUUCUUGGAGUACAUGUGUUGGUUUCAAGGAGAGUUUGUGUCGACCAAGGUGCUAUUCAAGGAAUUACCUAAAAUAUUGGUCUUGUGAGAGGUUGAUCAAGACUAAGUCAAAGAGUGAAUCAAGUUGAUCAACACACAAAGCAUAGAAGAUGUAUCGAGAAGGAUCAAGUGAUCCCAUGGUAUGGUAAGCAUUGUUAAUUACCCUUUGUGUACUAUCCCAUGGUCUUCAUGAGAGUUCUUUGUGGGGUUAGGAUGCGGUGUGCAAUAUCAAGUGAUGCAUCACGAAGAGAUCAAGUGCUUGAAGCUUGCCGUCCAUUGAGGUGACAAUGGACUUGUGAAGAUGAGCCGAAGAUUGGCUCACCCAUAGUGGACUAUGGGGGAGCAAUCAUCUAGUCUUCAUAUAGCCAACGCAAUCAAGAAAGGCGGUCCAACUUGAGGGAGUCAAGAUCAUCAUCAUCUAGCUCAAGUGGACCAUGUGCAAGGCAAAGGUUUGCCCUCGACAGGUUUUCUAUUUUACCAGCCUCAUGGUGGUAGUUGGGAGACCGGGUUAUAGGGUCGUUUGCCAUACUAUCAAGGGGUGCUUUGUCAGGCCCAAUAUGCGACCCUAUCCAAAAGGAACUCGAAGGUCCCACCAAGGAUAGACCCGCAUAUUGGAAUGCUUUUGCAAGGUGGAUAUCAUUACAUCAACAUUACAUAAUAGAUAGGGAUACAUACAAAAGGCAUAACGAGCAGGGAAAACUAGCGAGAGGCGAACGAGCAGGGAAAACACUUGAGCCGACGAAAAGAAUAUAAUCACUACCGAAAAAAUUAGAAUUGAAUCCACCGGAGAAGAAAAAGGGAUGAUGAAUGACGAACGAGACGAGAAUUCACCGGUUGAAAUAAUUGAGGGAAGACUGAAGAGGCUCCGUACGAAUGUAAUUGAUGCUCGAAAGAGACUCAGACUCCGGAAAGAAAAAGCGUGGGACGGCGGGAAAACAAAGGGAACUUGGAAGGGGAAAACCAACGAAUAUCUUGAAGAGAAAACACCGGUUGAAAUCAUUGAGGAAAGAAAGCAAAGACUUUGCACGAGUAGGAUGGAUACUUGAUUACGGACUCCGGUUCCGAGAAGAAGAAGGGUGGGUGGGUGGGAAAAGAAAACAACUGAGGAUUGAACUUGCAAAAACAGAGGGGGUCGAAUCACCUUGACGAGAAAUGCACUGGAUCAAAAGAGCUGAGAACCAACGAACGAAAAACUAACCGCGUGAUCCUAAAGAAAAAUUUGAAGGGAAGAGGAGUAGUUCAAAACACCUACGUCAAGAUUCCUCACCAGAGCAACGAAGGGGCUGAGGAGUAAAAAGAAUUCCUACUCUCCGAUAUAACUAGACUCAGAAAAUAGUUUUUUUCUAGACUCAACAAUGGCCAAACUACACGAUCAAUCAAGGGGGCUCCUAGGGUCGGUCGAGGCUCUGAUACCAACUUGGCACGCCCAAUAUGCGACCCUAUCCAAAAGGAACUCGAAGGUCCCACCAAGGAUAGACCCGCAUAUUGGAAUGCUUUUGCAAGGUGGAUAUCAUUACAUCAACAUUACAUAAUAGAUAGGGAUACGUACAAGAGGCAUACAAUGCCACAUGAAUACAACAUCAAUACAUCAUACAUAAGAUCAACAUCCGAACUAUGGAUGAAACACAAACAGAAACUCAAACGACAUCCACCCUGCUAGCCCAGGCUGCCGACCUGGAACCUAUCCCCUGACCGAAGAACAAGAAGAAGAACUCCAAAACAAGCAACAUCGCUCUCGCGUCAUGAUCAUCGCAAAACCUGUACCUGCAACUGUUGUUGUAGUAAUCUGUGAGCCACGAGGACUCAGCAAUCCCAUUACCAUGGGUAUCAAGACUAGCAAAGCUUAAUGGGUAAGGAAGGGGUAAAGUGGUGAGGUUGCAGCAGCGACUAAGCAUGAUAUGGUGGCUAACAUACGCCAAUAAGAGCGAGAAGAGAGCAAGCAGAACGGUCGUCAACUAGUAAUGAUCAAGAGGUGAUCCUGAACUCCUACUUACGUCAAACAUAACCCAAAGACCGUGUUCACUUCACGGACUCCGCCGAGAAGAGACCAUCACGGCUUCACGGACUCCAUAAUUGCAAACAGGGGCAUGGAUGGAUAGCUCAUAACCAUAUGUACAAAACAUCCUUACUGAAGUAUCUCAAAAUAAGCAUGGAUCUCUCUGUAGCAUCAAGUUUACAUGGCAUAAAAAUAACAACAGAACAGGGACUGAAAUCAGCAACAUCACGAGGCCUAGUUUACAUGCUUGUGCUAGUCACCACAUUGAUCACAAAAAUACAUGUCAUACACCCCUGUAAAGAUGGCAUGGCAUAGUUAAAAACAUAUGUAGGGCUCAAGUUCAUAAGAUGCACACAUCAAUCAUGGCAAAAAUGACAAAUCAUCAAGUUAUAACAGUUUCAGUAGAUUAACAGCAACAUGCACUCUUGAAACGAUGAUUCGGGCAUCAAGAUGAACUCAAAUGAACAUGAUGCAAUGGAAUGAAAGGAAGUACUCAUUGAGGCGAACAAUUUGACAUAUUACACACACGAAACAGAGCAGUAUGCAGCAAGUUAUGAUGCGUUGAACAUGGCACGAAAAUGUAUGGAUUCGGGGACUUAGAGGAAAAAUGGACCUCGAGGGGAAAAAGUCAACUCGCCGGAAUCUUCGCUGGAGAACGGCCGGAGUAGACAGGGAAUACGCCGGAGCUGCGGGGAGAGGUCGGGGAGGACGGAUCCGGGGGCGAGGUCGCCGGAUCUGGCCGGAGCCGCGCCGAGGAGCGGCGGGGCACGUGCCGGCAGAGCUCCACGGCCGGAGGCGGCCUUCCAUGGCGGCGACAGCGGCGGUUGCCGGUAGGGCGCGGGCCCUGGAGGCCACGAGGCGGCGGGGAUGGCGCGGACGGCGGGGUCCGGCCAGCCAAGACAGUCGGUGGCGGGACGGAGGGGCCGAGCCACGCGCANNNNNNNNNNNNNNNNNNNNNNNNNNNNNNNNNNNNNNNNNNNNNNNNNNNNNNNNNNNNNNNNNNNNNNNNNNNNNNNNNNNNNNNNNNNNNNNNNNNNNNNNNNNNNNNNNNNNNNNNNNNNNNNNNNNNNNNNNNNNNNNNNNNNNNNNNNNNNNNNNNNNNNNNNNNNNNNNNNNNNNNNNNNNNNNNNNNNNNNNNNNNNNNNNNNNNNNNNNNNNNNNNNNNNNNNNNNNNNNNNNNNNNNNNNNNNNNNNNNNNNNNNNNNNNNNNNNNNNNNNNNNNNNNNNNNNNNNNNNNNNNNNNNNNNNNNNNNNNNNNNNNNNNNNNNNNNNNNNNNNNNNNNNNNNNNNNNNNNNNNNNNNNNNNNNNNNNNNNNNNNNNNNNNNNNNNNNNNNNNNNNNNNNNNNNNNNNNNUGGAGGCAGGGACCACACAGCGGCGACAUGUGGCAGGCCGGGAUUGGCCGGAGGCGACGGGCGGACACGUCCGACUCGGGACGGACAUGUCCGGCGGCGGAAGGUGGAAGAAGAUUAGGGUUAGGGGUGGAUUUCGGGGGAGAUGCACAUAUAUAUAGGUAGAGGGAGCUAGGAGUGUCCAAAUGAGGAGUGGUUUUUUGCCACGCAAUCGUGAUCGAACGGCCGAGAUCAUGGAGGGGGUUAGGAUGAGUUUUGGGCCAGUUUGGAGGGGUGUUGGGCUGCAAAGAGAAAGGGGCUUUUACGGUUACCCGGUUAACUGUUGGAGUAUCAAACGACCUCCAAAUGGCACGAAACUUGAUAGGCGGUCUACCGGUGCUAUACCAAGGCCACUUGGCAAGACUUGGUCCAUUCCGAGAAUGUUUAACACCCGCUCACAAUAGGAGACAAAAGGGGGACGCCGGAGGCAUAGGAGUGCCGGAUUGCAAAACGGACAACGGGGAAAAUGCUCGGAUGCAUGAGACGAACACGUAUGCAAAAUGAGAUGCACAUGAUGACAUGAUAUGAAAUGCAGAUGAUGACAUGGCGAAAUGCAACACGCAAGCACAUGACAUGGCAAAGAUGGCGAAUAGCUGGCGGACACCUGGCGCAUCGAAUCCGGGGCGUUACAAGCUCUCAAGUUGGUAGCUUGAUUGUAUCGUUAGUAAAGAGAUCAAACCAUUGCAUCCUUGCAUUAUGUUUCUUGAUUCUUGUUUGGUUCUCUUUGUGAGUCUUAGAGCUUAUGGUCCUCUUGAUGACAAGCUUGAGUUCAUCAAAAACGGAGUUCGCAUGCGUCUUCUAUGAUGUUUUCGGUGUUGGAGGUUUUACCGGUCUUAUCCGAGGAAGGGUUCUCACCAUUUUAUUAUGGGAAUUUUCUCAUUUUCUUAUUGUUUAUAUUCUAUCCAGAUUGUGUUAUCCCAUGUCGUUAGCUUUCCAACAAACUUGGUUUCGUUGAAUUCGGAGUCCGUUUGCAAAAGUUGUGGCUGUUUUGGUAAAGGCUGCAGCGGUACUACCGCGACUAGAGCGGAUGUAAAUUUUUACUACCGCUCCAGAGCUAUACUACCGCGGCUCCUGAGCGGUAGUACCGCUUCAGACCAAAAUCUCGUGUUUUGCUCUGCGGAGGUAGGCAUGGAAGUAUUUUUUUAGUACCGCUCGCAAGUAGUAGUACCGCUACCAUUUGCGGUAGUACCGUGAGGUCGAGCGCUAGUACCGUGAGGACGAGCGGUAGUACCGCUUCGGUGGUUCUAUUGACCUUUUGCCUCCUCGUUGUUGUUUUUCAAAGGGGUUCCACCGCCCUAGCGGUAGUACCACUCCUUGGAGCGGUAGUACCGCUCUGUGCGGGCUGUGAGCAUAACGGUUGGAUUUUUCCCCACCUAUAAAAGGGGGUCUUCGUCCCCAUUGAACAUUAUCUCUUAAGCUCGUGUUCUUCCCCCAUUGUUGACCUUCUUCGAGCUUGCUAACUCUCAAUCCCUCCAAUGAUUCUUGCUAGUUCUUGAGGGAAAAGAGAGAGGAGAUCUAGAUCCAUGUUUCCAGCAAUUACUUUCUCCUCUAAGUGAGGGGAACCCCUUGGAUCUAGAUCUUGGAGUUCUUCGUGUUCUUCUUUGGUUCUUCCUCUCAUUUCCCUCCAUAGUAUUAGUUGCUUUGGUUGGAUUUGGGAGAGAAGGACUUGGGCACUCCGUGUGCCCUUGCCAUUGCUUUUGGUGCAUCGGUUUGAGUUCUCCACGUGAUACGUGGAAGUUACAAGUUGAGAAGCUUAUUACUCUUGGGUGUUUGGACACCCUAGAGCUUGUUCCUCUUGGGUGCCUUGGCGCCCUAGAUGGUUGGUGUUGUUCGGAGCUCAAUCAUUGUGGUGUAAAGCUCCGGCAAGCGUCGGGGUCUCCAAUUAGGUUGUGGAGAUCGCCCCAAGCAAUUUGACGGGUACCGGUGACCGCCCCCAAGGGUUGCCAAAGUGUACGGGUUAGGUGACCGCCCCCAAGGGUUGCCAAAGUGUACGGGUUAGGUGACCGCCCCCAAGGGUUGCCAUUUUUACGGGUUCGGUGACCGCCCUCAAGGGUCCCUUAGUGUAAUCAUGACAUCUUGCAUUGUGCGAGGGCAUGAGAAGAUUACGGUGGCCCUAGUGGCUUCUUGGGGAGCAUUGUGCCUCCACACCGCUCCAAAGGAGGUUAGCAUCUGCAAGGGUGUGAACUUCGGGAUACAUCAUCGUCUCUGAGUGCCUCUGUUAUCUCUUACCUGAGCCCUUUACUUAUGCACUUUACUUUGUGAUAGCCAUAUUGUUCUUUGUCAUAUAUGUUGCUAUCACAUAGUUGCUUAUCUUGCUUAGCAUAAGUUGUUGGUGCACAUAGGUAAGCCUAGUUGUUGUAGGUUUUGUGCUUGACAAAUUAACCAUUAGGUUUAUUCCGCAUUUGUUCAAGCCUCUACUGUAAUUAUUUUAAAAUGCCUAUUCACCCCCCUCUAGGCGACAUCCAUGAUCUUUCAACUAGUGGUAGACCUUGGAGUGGUCUCCAGACCCUCACAAACUUUCCGGGGAUAAUCACAAAGAACGAUUCCUCUCCGAAUGACUCCUACCGCCUAGGUGUCUCCAACCUCCAAGAUUAACAAGAACAAUGGGGAAAAAGCUCAAGACUUGCUCAAAUCACGAAUUCCUUUGGUGCAAAGAAGGGGAAUGAGUGGAUUUAUCACUUUAGUGGACAACUUCUCUCAAAUGCUCUCAAAUCCCUUAGGGAUCUAAGAUUUGGUGUUGGAGUGUGAGAGAGAGAGUGAAGAUGUGUUCUUGAGGGUGCUUGAAGUGAACGAUCAACCCUCUCACGGGAUAGGAGAGAGAUAUUUAUAGUAUGCCUCAAUAAGUGGCCAUUGGAGCCCAAAACAGCACAACAGCGUCGGGCGUCCGAUGCACAACGGACGACCGAAGGCUUGACAGACAUCGGACGUCCGGCAGGGACCGAACGUCCAAUGUUUUGGCACGGUAUAGUGGGUAUCGGACGAUCGGAGGAUCCGGACGACCGAUGUUUAGGCUCCGUGGAGAAGGUACCGGAGGAUCGAAGAAUAUCAGAUGACUGAGGGCUCUGCAGACAACAGACGUCCGACAAGGACCGGACGAUCGAUGUUUCGGCUCUGUAUAGGAUUUGCCAAACUUCCUAUGCACAUCGGACGACCGAUGUUUUGGCUCUGUAUAGAAGCGGUUGGACGUCCGGUGAGUACUGGUCGUCCGACAGAGAUGAAGAUCAGACACUAACUUUGAAGUAGAUGUUUGAGCAAGACUUUAGCAAUAACCCAUGUUCCCCUCUUAAUAGUGUGGGAUCCUAUACUCAAGAAUAAACAUAAAGAUAGUGAUUCCGAGGGGACUAAAACCUGAGAUAUACUUGACAAACUUUGUUAGUCCCCUUUGAGUAUCUUGUCAUCAACAUCAAAAAAUAUUUAGGGCAUGAUUGGACUUUCAGCACGGUUCUUGGAACAAGACGUGUGCUGACAUUGCCUAUUGCGGUGCACCAAACACCACGUACGUGGCCGAGAGAAUGCGUGCCCAUGUUACGCCGUCCAAGAAUAGUGUCGCACUUACAAAUUAUAGAACCAUCAAUAAAUUUUGAGCUUGCAUCCCGUCACCUUCCAAACCGCAAAGCUGUUCACACCUAUCAAAACCUAAACGGUUUCCCACUUAGGACGUAUUAGUACUCGGUUAUAAAUACUGUACUAGCCAAGAUGAUUGCACAUUCCUUCCUCAACUCCUCAUCCACAAAAGCAAACAGAUCAUUCAACACCAUUCUCUUGCGUCUGCCAUGGCCAGAUUGAGUUCUUGGUCGAGAGAUUACCACCACAGAGAGGCGAGCAUGGAAAUGGAAGCACGAGAGAUGUCCCGCUUAGCUGCAAAAGCAGCCGACAUGCCCCGCCACGCCGUCGAAGCAGCACAGAGGUCUCGCUGUGCCGCCGAAGCAGCACAGAGGUCGCGCCGCACCGCCAAAGCAGCAUGGAGGUCUCGCUGCACCGCCGUAGCACCACGGAGGUCUCUCCAUGCCGCCAAAGCAGCACAAAGGUCCCACCGCGCCGUCGAUGCAGCAGACUGGUCCGGUCGCGCCACGGAAGCAGUAGAGAUGUCUUACCGCGCCGCGAAUGCAGCAGAGAUGACCUUCCACGCUGCGGCAGCCUGGGAAAAUCUCUCGCGGCUAGGCGAGGACUCUUACAGGCGCAUGCAUGCGAUCGUCAAUAGCCAGAUGGAUCAAAUCUCCGACUGGAUGAAGCCGCAGGACGAUUUGAAUGCCUCGUUUGAACAACUCCAGGCCGACCGCAACCUGCUAAGGGCGAAGAUCACCGGAAGGGCGGAGCAGGAGGAGGAGACGGCAGCCUUGUUGAAGAGGACGGGCAUCAUCGUCAAGAAACUUAUGGACGAGAAUGCCAUGCUCCGCAUCGAGCGUGAAAGGCUGGUGGUGGAAUCCCCGGUUGCUUCCGAGCAGCGUGUUAAGGACAUGAAACGGAUGAAAGAGAUCAUCGCUGCUUGCCACGAGAACUAGUCUCCAUGACCUGAAGCGCAUCAAGAAAGUAGAGAUCAGGGAGCCAGAUUGUUGUAUGUGUCUUCCUUCUUCUUUUGCCCUUAUGUAUUUCGGGCGUAGCCGCAUGUGGCUUUUUUAGUUAUCUUCCUAGAUAUGUAAGACAAUUAUUAUGCACUAUCAUCGUCCUUAUAUUCAUCAUGCUUGCUAUAAGUCACAGUCGAUGCUAUAUAGGUCUGUCGGAUCUUACAUCAAGAUCUAUGCAAAACUUUCUUUUCAGAUUUUCACUUUUCUCUCUUAAAUCUCAGUCCGGUGAGAAAUAUCCAUGCCGUGAAACAGGGGCUCGGGCGCCAUUAAUGGAGAGGUUGGGAGGGAGGUGCGCGGCGGAUAGAGGCCAAAGGGCUCUCCUCCAGAUGAGCAUGCGCAAGGGUCUAAUUGCAUGCCUCCCGUACUCAAAUAGCUACCCCGCACGACACCUCCUAGCCAAUAAAAAGGCAUGUGUGGCGGCACGUAAUUGGUAAGUAGAACACCAAUAGUUUCAAUGAUAGUUAUGUUUUCACUUUGUAACGUGACAACACUUGUUCGAAAAUGACUUUGUUGAUUUUUAAUGUGUCCACCUAUGCAAACCGGACAGAAAAAUUACCAUAGCAUGUUGGUGCCAUGUCAUGACACCAUGCCAAGUUUCAUGAUUUUCAGGCAUGUUUUGGAUUUACAGGAAUUAAAAAACGAAGUUUCUCAAAUUUUCCGGCCCAGCCACGACACCCAGAUGUUUGAAUUUCAUUCUCAUUUCUUGCAUGGGACCUGGAAAUUCACCCCAAGGACACAGAUGUGAUUUUUCAACCAACUUUGGUGCACUGGAGCAUGUGCUUGUAGUUCAAAUUUGAAUUAUGCACAUUAAAAGCCCAGCAAUUCAAUUAAUGUAUAAAAAGGCCAAACGAACCCGAAAUAAUUCCAAAAUUUAGCACGAUACUUCUAUUUGGCCUAAUCUUCCUGUGUAAACAAAUUAAGACAGGAGAAGGCAGUGUACGUAUGUUGUUUUGCACACGGAGGUGACACGUUCCCUCUCGGAACCACGGGCCUUCUUUAGAUAAGCUCCGGUUUACAAUCAGCUUAUACCAAAGCUUGUCCCAAUUCGGCCAAAAACUUUACCGCAGCAUGUUGGUGCCAUGUCAUGACACCAUGCCAAGUUUCAUGAUUUUCAGGCGUGUUUUGGAUUUACAUGAAUUAAAAAACCAAGUUUCUCAAUCUUUCCCGGCCGAGCCACGACGCCCAGAUGUUUGAAUUUCAUUCCCAUCUCUUGCAUGGGACCUAGAGUUUCACCCAAGGGCACACAUGUGAUUUUUCAACCAACUUUGGUGCACUGGAGCAUGUCCUUGUAGUUCAAAUUUGAAUUAUGCACAUUAAAUGCCCAGAAAUUCAAUCAGUGUAUAAAAAAGUCCGGAAUAAUUCCAAAAUUUUGCACGAUACUUCUAGUUUGUCUAAUCUGCCUGUGGAAACAAAUUAAGGCGGGAGAAGGCAGUGUACGUAUGUUGUUUCGCACACGGAGGUGACAAGUUUCCUUCUCGGAACCACGAGCCUUCUUGAGAGAAGCUCCGGUUUACAAUCAGCUUAUACCAAAGCUUGUCCGAAUUCGGCCAAAAAAAUUACUGCAACAUAUUGGUGCCAUGUCAUGACACCAUGCCAAGUUUCAUGAUUUUUAGGUGUGUUUUGGAUUUACAUGAAUUAAAAAACCAAGUUUCUCAAUCUUUCCGGCCAAGCCACGACGACCAAAUGUUUGAAUUUCAUUCCCAUUUCUGGCAUGGGACCUAGAAAUUCACCCAAGGACACACAUGUGAUUUUUCAACCAACUUUGGAGCACUAGAGCAUGUGCUUGUAGUUCAAAUUUGAAUUAUGCACAUUAAAUGACCAGAAAUUCAAUUAAUGUAUAAAAAAGGCCAAACGAACCCGGAAUAAAUAAAAAAAUUAGCACAAUACUUCUAUUUGGUCUAAUCUUCCUGUAUAAAAAAUUAAGGCGGGAGAAGACAGUGUACGUAUGUCGUUUCGCACACAAAGGUGACACGUUCCUCUCGGAACCACGAGCCUUCUUGAGAGAAGCUCCGGUUUGCAAGAAGCUUAUACCAAAGCUUGUCCCAAUUCGGCCAAAAAAAUUACCGCAUCAUGUUGGUGCCAUGUCAUGACACCAUGCCAAGUUUCAUGAUUUCUAGGCGUGUUUUGGAUUUACAUGAAUUAAAAAACCAAGUUUCUCAAUCUUUCCGGCCGAGCCACGAUGCCCAGAUGUUUGAAUUUCAUUCCCAUUUCUUGCAUGGGACCUAAAAAUUCGCCCAAGGACACACGUGAUUUUUCAACCAACUUUGGUGCAUUGGAGCAUGUGCUUGUAGUUCAAAUUUGAAUUAUGCAUAUUAACUGACGAGAAUUCAAUUAAUGUAUAAGAAAUUCCAAACAAACCCGGAAUAAUUCCAAAUUUUAACACGACACUCAUAUAGCUCUAUGUUGCCUCUAUAAAACAAUAAGGGGGGCGAGGCAGCGUAUAUCGCUUCGAACACAAAGGUGACACGUCCCCCCUCGGGAACCAUGAGUCUUCUCGAGAGAAGCUCCGGUUUGCCAGAAGCUUAUAGCAAAAACUUGUCCAAAUGCGGCCAACUUUUUUACCACAACAUGUUGGUGCCAUGACAUGACAUCAUGCCAAGUUUCAUGAUUUUCAGGCGAGAUUUGAAUUUCCAGGAAUUUAAAAACCAAGUUUCUCAAUGUUCUCGACCGAGCCACGACGCCCAGAUGUUUGAAUUUCAUUCCCGUUUCUUGCAUGGGACCUAUAAAUUCACUCAAAGACACACAUGUGAUUUUUCAACAAAAUUUGGGGCACUAGAGCAUGUGCUUGUAGUUCAAAUUUGAAUUAUGCACAUUAAAUGCCGAGAAACUCAAUUAAUCCAUAAAAAUGCCAAACGAACAUGGAAUAAUUCCAAAUUUAAACACGACACUCAUGUAGUUGCAUGUUCACUGUACAUAAAUGUUCUAGAAAUUCAAAAACCGUCCUUUCCCUCCGUAGCACCAUUUUGUCUUUCAAAACAUAAUGAAAAAAUCAGGUAUACCACAAAUAGUUUACUAGAAAGAAUCGUGUGGGAUGCGAUAUAAAAUAUCUUGGUGCACCAUCUUGUCUGGCUUAUGCAUGAAGCUUCGUUGUCUACAGUCCACCACCCCCGCUUGAACCACACUUGCGCCAGUUUCUCGCGGCACCGAGCGAAUUUUUUUUGCCACCGCAAAAAUAUCUAUCUCCCCGCCCCUCCCUCCCACCAAAAGCCACAUUUCCACUGUUCCUCCUUGCUUUACAAGUUCAAACCUUCACUGCUACUUACUGGCAACUCAGCCUCCUCGCCGGCGAUCCUUCUUCUUGCAGCGCCGCCUCCUCGCCGGCUACCCUUCUUCUUGCAGCACCGCCUCCUCGCCGGUGACCCUUCAUCUUGUAGUGCCGCCUCCUCGCCGGCGACCCUUCUUCUUGCUGUGCGGCCUCCUCGCUGCCGACCCUUCUUCUUGCUGUGCGGCCUCGUCGAUAUGGUCAGGUAAUCCACACCCCACCCACACCAUCCUCCUCCUUUCCCAUCCCACAUGCCCUGACCGAUGACGCGACACCUUCUGCCGAAAUCAUUGUCCCCCUCCUCCAAUUAAGUGCCGCCCACAGCUAUUUUGCACACAGUAUAACAUGGAGCUCAAUAGAAUCUGGCAGCGGAGAAGCAAAUCGCGGCCGCACGCGUGCACGAGGUCGCUAUGGCUGCCAUGCGUGCCGACCGCUAGAUCUUGGAGGAGCACCUCAUCUUUGAGGCCAUCGUCAACACCGAUGUCGGUGUCAAAACCGGCGGAUCUCGGGUAGGGGGUCCCGAACUCUACGUCUAAGGCUAUUGGUAACAGGAGGCAGGGGACACAAUGUUUACCCAGGUUCGGGCCCUCUCUAUGGAGGAAAUACCCUACUUCCUGCUUGGUUGGUCUUGAUGAAUAUGAGUAUUACAAGAUUUGAUCUACCACGAGAUCGUAAUAGUUAAACCCUAGAAACCUAGCCUAUGAGGUUAUGAUUGUUUUCUACGGACUAAACCCUCUGGUUUAUAUAGGCACCGGAGGGGGCUAGGGUUACACAAAGUCGGUUAUAGAGAAAGGAAUCUACAUAUCCAAAUCGCCAAGCUUGCCUUCCAUGCCAAGGAGAGUCCUAUCCGGACACGAGAAGAAGUUUUUGUCUUGUAUCUUCAUAUCCUAACAGUCUGUCUCAUAUAUAUAGUCCGGUUGUCCGAGGACCCCUUAAUCCAGGACUCCCUCAAUAGCCCCUGAACCAGGCUUCAAUGAUGAUGAGUCCGGCGCGCAGAUUGUCUUCGGCAUUGCAAGGCGGGUUCCUUCUCUGAAUACUUCAAAGUAGAUUUCAAACACAAGAAUCGUGUCCGGCUCUGAAAAACAAGUUCCACACACAACCGUAGAGAGUAUAAUAUUUCACGAGUCCAAUCUACUGACAACUUUUUGUAGCGUGACAUUACGCCACUGCCCGGUCAUUAUUUGAACCAUUUUUUAGCUUGUCGCUCCGUAUUUCGAGGCGCGGUUCUAUUGGCAUGUCUUCUCAAAGUAGAGAUCAUGUCCCCUUAUCAUGGGAUUCUCAUCAAUACGGGCAUGGGUAACCCAACCAUGUCACCUGCAUGGCGCUUGGGAAAUAGGCGAAUGUUAAGGCGGGUAGGGAGGCGCAUGACUUUGACUUCCUUUAUAAAGGGAUAAGGAUUCACCUUUUUUCACCCACGCCUUCUCCUUCCUCUCCCCAUCCAUUCUCGAGCUCCAGCACCCAAGCUCUCGCCUUCUCCGCCCAAAAAAGCUCUCCAAUCAUGUCUGGAUUCGGAGCAGGAGGCAAGUGGAUGGCCUCCCCCGGUAAGGAGAAGAACAUCAAGAAGCUCUAGGAGGCCGGGUACCUAGCCAAGGAAAUCGCCCAUCGACUUCCGGCCAAGGGACAGAUCGUCCCCUCCCCGGAGCCCCAGGAGAGGGUAGUGUUCCUCACACACUUCAUUCACGGGCUGGGAUUCCCUCUCCACCCGUUUGUCCACGGACUCAUGUUCUACUAUGGGUUGGACUUCCAUGAUCUGGCCUCCAAUUCCAUCCUCAACAUAUCGGCAUUUAUUGUCAUGUGUGAGGCCUUCCUCCACAUCCCACCUCACUUCGGGCUAUGGCUGAAAACCUUCAAUGUGAAGCCGAAGGUGGUGAGCGUCCAACAAGCAGAGUGUCGAGGCGCCAUGGUGGGCAAGAUGCCCAAUGUCCCCUGGCCCGAAGGCUCCUUCGUGGAGACUGUCAAGGGAUGGCAAUCGAGGUGGUUCUACAUCACCGAGUCGCGCAGCACUAACUGGGCGGCGACUCCUGCAUUCCGUUCCGGAGUCCCAAUGCGGCUCACCUCCUGACAAGAGAAGGGCCUGACCUGGUCUUUGUUGGAUGAGCUGACAACGCUCCAAAUGCGUGUUCAGAGCAUGAUAAACAAGAGAGUCAAGGUCGUCAAUGUGAUCUAGGUGAUGCUCAUUCGCCAGAUCCUUCCGUGCCAACGCCGGACUUGCUAUCUGUGGGAGUUCGAUCCGGCCAAGCACCAGACGCUACUGGAGCUCUUCGGCACAACGCACGAAGACAUCUGGAAGGUGCUCUUCAAGGCCAACGAGGCGCCACAGCCCACGGACGAGGAUCGCGAGCAUGACUUGACUCACCCUGCUAAACCGGUAAGUUCUUUCAUGUUUUCAUGGUAUGCUCUUUACUGGCUCACCCGAAGAAGGCAUCUAAGCCUCCCUAUUGAUUUUUUCAGGACUGGACAGAGAUGGCGGAGCGGAUUAACUGUCCGGCUCCACUGCUCGAAGGCCUAGAAAUACCGCUUUUCACGAAGAUGCUGAUUCCGGCACCUUAUCAGAUGCCAGAGAAGAAGGCCAAGGGGACCCGAGGUGGUCUCCGUCGCAAGGACAAUUCGGACGUGACGUCCGAAGACGCCAAGGCUCACUCCUCCGCCGCCAAAGACGACGAGGAAGAGGAGGAGGAAGAAGAAUAAAUCCACUCCCCCUGCAGGGGGGAGAAAGAAGAGGAUGGCCUCCACACAUCCGGAGGCCGAGGCAUCCAAGAAGGGGAAAGCUUCCCUUCCGGACAGCUCCACAGCGACCACCGACAGUAGCUGGGAGUGGGAGCCCAAGGAGAAGCCCCUGGCCAAAUCGUAAGUGUUCGGACACAUGUUUGUAUCCGGAUUCUUUAGUUCAUUGUUUUAAUGUGCUAAAUUAUGCAUUUGCAGUCCGGCUCGGUCCAACCUCAAGUGGUCCUUAUCUUCAGAGGAUUCGCUGGACCCAGCGGCGAUGGACAGCAGGACCCUCCCAUCGGCCACCUCUCCCCGGGACCUGGAUGGCGCUGAGGCAUCAUCCCGAAGGAUCCCGGCCCAGGAGAGAAUCCAGAGGCCGUCAGGGAGGCGCCAGAGGGUGAAGCCUCGGUUACCGGACACAUGGGGGAGCAAACCCCCAUGGAUACCAAUGAUUGGGGCCAUAUCCAAGUCGGCCCCCAACCGAAUAUAGUUUCGGAGACACAUGCGGCUCCGGAACGAGGCCAGCCGCCCGUUUCUAAAGGAGGCGGUGCGCCUAUUCCACCGGUGGCCUCUGUCCAUCUAGAGGCACCAGAUAAUUUGCUGGAAGCGCUGCAAGGUGCUUCCAUUGUGGAAGAACAUCGUACCCUUAUGGGUACGGUGAUUGAGAGGAUCCAGUCCACGAAAAGCGGAUUGACCGAAGCCUGCACUAGCCUUCUAAUAGGCUUUGAGGUAAGUAAUAUAAUUGUAUAAAAAGAAUGUCACAGUAUAGAUAGUAGCCCCUGAUACUCUGUCCGGUGUUCGGAAAGAAAAGCCAAACAGAGGAUCAAAUAAUUUUCAUAGGAGUCUAAUCUAAAAUGUCUAUGUGAAUAAGCAGGCGUCGCUGCUGGCCGUGACCACUCACACCGCAGAAGUCUCUGGACUGAAGCAGAAUCUGGAGCAGGCCGAGGAAGAGCUCGGCCGCGUGAAGAAGCAGCUGGAGGACAGUCAAGGUAUGAAGUAACCAUGUAUAUAUUCAGGAAGGAUGAAUGAUUCAUGCUGACUAAAGUGCCAUGAAAUUUAUUAGGGGCAACGACUGGAGUAGAGGCCCUCAAGAAGGCGCUGGCCAGGGCCGAGGACAAGGCGGCCAUGGGGCGGGCCGCACGCCAAAAUCACGAGGCCCGGGUCAAUGAGGUCCAGCAAGAGCUCCAGGACGCCGUCAAGAAGCGCGACACCUUGGGGCGUGAUCUUAAGGAGCAAGGGUUCGAACUUGCCAAGGCCCGCCAGAGCACACACGAUGCUCGGGCCGAAGCCCAGGGCGCCCUCCAGGAAAUCCGGCAGCAAAGAAGAUCACGAUGGGUAAGGCUUUCAUUAUGCAGAGCAGAUAUGUGAAGGAAAGAUUCCUUUUACUUACCCGGAUUUAGAGCUCUCCAGGGACGUUUGUGGAUCUGUCGCGCAGCAUGUCGGAUGCUGUGGAAUUCUAUCGAGCUGAAGAGGGGAGCUCUACGGAGAAGCUGUUCUGGUCGCAAUACCUUGGACCAGAACAUCCAGUGCCCUUUAGUGAUCAGCUGAAAGAACUGGUCGAGUUGCAUAGGGUGGCUGAACUAGCCAUGAAGGAUUUGAUAAUCCGGCUAUGGCCUGCCGAAGCCAUUCCCAGCUACUACUUUGGGCUCGUGAAGCGGCUUGUCAGCGCCUGCCCUCGGCUUGAAGCCAUCAAGCGGCCGGUCUGUAUGGAAGGCGCGUGAAUAGCCUUUGCCCGUGCUAAGAUGCAUUGGGCGAAGAUGGACGCCACAAAGCUGAUGACCGAGGUGCCGCCCGAGUGCAAGGAGCAUCGCAAACCCCAACUGUAUUUCGAUAGUGUCCUGGAGGGAUCCCGCCUUGUGGCAGAGCAAUUUGCUAAGGAUAUCAUAUUCCCAUGAAUACGUUCAUGUUAUCCUGUUCUUGUAACACCCCAAAAUUUUAACCUUGUUUUGUUAAUUAAAUUUUUGCCAAGAAAUUAAAACUUUUAUUUUCUGGGCUCCCUUUUGAUUUUUGAACCUUUUUCUCCCUUGUUAUGGAGUUUUCCCCCAAAGUGAAAAAAACCCUUUCAAAUAUGUUAUUGGGCUUGUUUAACCUCUCAAGAAAAACUUUUCUUUUAUUAGUAGAACUAAUUACAUAAUUAUUUUGCUUGAUCUCUAUUUUCUUGAAAAAUGGUUUUCCAAGAUUAUAUGGCCAUAUUUGAACUGCAACCAUUUGAUAAAUUCUUUUAAAAACCCCACCAAAAAUUGGAGAUGUCAGGUGAUGUUUUAAAAUCACUUUUAUGCAAAAAUAUCUUUUAUUCAUGAUAUAUUUUGAGCUCUACACCCAAUUUUCUUCUCUGGUCCAGAGGACAAUUUUGCACUACAACCUAUUUAUAUAAUUCUUUAAUACUCCUACCAAAAUUUUGGGAUGUCAACAGGAGUAUAUUAAUCAACUUUUUGCAAAAACCCAGUGAUGUUAUUUGAAAAUUUUGAGUGAAUCAACCUCAUCUUCAUUCUGGUCCAACAUGAUGGUUUGUACAACAUCCAUAUUCUUGCUUGCUCUUUGGCCCUUGAUUCUUUCCCCAACUUGUAGACCACCCUGCAAAACCCCUAAGUCCAGGAGGAUGCAACCAGUGGAAUACUUUUGGUCCAUGAGAUGAUGCCAUUUACCUCCUGUCCAGAUUUGAAGUUCUACAAAACUAGCACUAGCAAGUUUGUGCUUUUCACAAACUAACCUCACCACCCUCUUGUUCAUCUAAAGAGACUAGGAUCUGGAAGUUUUUACCACUCCAAGAAAUGCCUAGGUGCCUGUGGCAUUUUGUCAAACACCUGGAGUGGAUGGACAUAUUUGGCAUGAGUUUUUAUUUGCACUAUGAACUUGGUCUCCUGACCAAACCACCUUGUCCCUUGAUCUUCCCUCUAUCACUAACCUUAUCCUGUUGCUUGCCAACCUCGCUCGAGCGCUCUGGAGUGCCUUGGCAUUUCACCGAGCAGUUGGUGGGCGUGCACUGGGCGCGCCUAGAGCGCGCCAACUGUAGCCACACAUCCGAAACUGCCGCGUCGCGCCCCUGGUUUUGCCACUCACUGCAGAGCCACGCCACACACUCUCCCUCUCUCCAGAACACGCCAACCAGCCCCUCGCCACGCCUCCGACGGGCCAAGAGUUCGCCAUCACGGCCGCCCGACAGUGCACCCUGCCACGGUCGGCACCGCCGAGCCACCAGUGCUCGCCAGCUGCCCCCUGGAGCGGCUCAAGCUCAUCCGCAGCCUCGUCCUCUAGCGCGCGUCGCUGCCACGUCGCCCUAUCUACAGAACGGCAGUCGCCGGCAAGCUUAUCCACGGCCGCCGCGAACCGACUCGGAUGUGCUAUAAAAGAAGGCCCCCGAGCUCCUCCGUGCAUGGAGGUAGCCUCACACCAUCCUUCUCGUGCCCCCUUAGCCGUCAAUCAAAGAGAGAAAGUCGUCUUCUUCCUCUCCGGCAACUCCUGCCGCCACCACUGCCCCGGCCAUUCCAGCGCCACCAGGACCUCCCCCUCUCCACACUCUUCACCAGAAGCUCUCUAUUCCUCCCAUGAACCCUUUCCCCUGCUCGAUUUUGAUCGGGAACCACCACAGCCCCAAAACCACUUUACUCCCGACGCCGCCGGCCACCGCGAAGCUCGUCGCCGACGACUCCCUCCAUCCCCAUCACUCCCUCGACCACCGGAAGAACCGCCCCAGUCUUGCGGAUCCAUCCCCACCCUCGGGGGCCCGUGAGGAGCCGCCUAACGCCGGCGACGAUCGCCGGAGCCCCCGCCUCUGUUCGGCCAGAGGAUGAAGAGGGAAGGGAGAAUAGUCAAACCUGACUAGUGGGCCCCCUGGACCCACUGUUCGUGACUCACGCGCGUCCACGCUGGAGUAAGUGGAGGCGUAUAGUCAGAAUACGUCUUCGACGUGUACGUAUAUUCGAAUCGUUUUCUUUUUAUUCUGUUUUUUUUAAAUAACAGAUUUUUGACCACAGCUUUGACUGCUUAUAACUUUUUAAUGACAACUCCAAAUGAAUUGAUUCUUUUUCUUGCCUCUCUCAAAUUUGACCUAGUUUAUUUUUAGAUUUAUUUGAAAAAAUUUCAAAACAACUUUUUGUGCUGUUUUGAAUUUGUGUGUUGAUUCAAAUUUUAUUUAAAUAGGACUUUGGAGAGAGAGAAGCAAACUUUCAAAAGUUUAGGAGUGCACCCUACCUUUCCACACAUUGAAGGCAAGCAUCAUGAACCCUGGCAUAAUAUUUUGCAUGCACGAUCAUGACACCACCUCAUUACAUAGGACUCGUUAUUUUAUGUGGUGAUAUGGUCAUUUGCAUGAAUGCUUAUUGGAAAUUCCUUGCUGUUGGAAAUGGCCAUGCUUGGGAUGAUGAUCAUCCUCGUAUGCCUUUCGUGCCUACCGAAAGGAAAACGGGAAAGUCUCUGUCUUGGGUAGACCCGAGCUUGUCCCUAGUUCCUCGUCGAGACGAGUGUGUCCGGCAUGGCAUGAGGGGUAUGAUGAGUGGUGACUCUGUCUGUUGGAUGAAAUAUAUUCGUUAUGCUAAUCAUGCAGGGAAUACUUAAACCUCCUGAGUCGACCCUAGAUCGAGUCUUGUUCCAGUAACCCCCAUACUUGUUUCGUACUACCACUCGUCUCUACAACAAGUAGAGUACGGUUCAGUAAGUUGUCAACCUAUUUCUAGUACACACCGUACAGAGAGGCCAUGGUGGAAGAUACCGGUUGUAGCUGGUAGGCGGGCCACCUGGUCCGGGGCAUGGGUGUUACCGGUUGAGACCGAGAGGGGAGGCCACCCCUUAGAGUGCGCAAUAUAAGUUUGAUCCCAUGCUACGCGAGGUUGUAGCCUCCCCACUUAGAGUUUGCUUGACAGGUGUUGUGGGUGAUUCCAGACACAUGUGAGUUAAGCUGGUGUGUGCAAGUUAGGUGUGUUUUCAACAAAAAGGCCGUAGAUGGAAUUAGUCCCGAUGGACUAAAGGAAUCCGUUACUCGUGGGUAAAGAGUACAUCCUCUGCAGAGAUUAAACCUAUUCGAAUAGCCGUGUCCAUGGUUAAGGACUACAGUCUGGGAUGGGUCAAGUGUCGGUCUUAGUGUCGGUCUUCGGAGGUGAAACUGUUAAACCAGAACUGGAAUCGCGACUUGUGACUUGUGAUAAUUAUGAUUAUUAUUUUCGUUGUGAACUAAACCGUGAUAUUUUUGGUAUUGUUGAAUAUCCCUGGGGAUGGUUCUACCUCCGGGAUAUUCACUAUGAUUGUUUCUUUUAAAGCCCUUUAUGUGGUGUCGCUGAGACGCCCGACUGUGGCAUUUCUUUUAUAAGCCCUUUAUGUGGUGUCGCUGAGACGCCCGACUGCGGCAUUUCUUUUAAAGCCCUUUAUGUGGUGUCGCUAAGACGCCCGACUGUGGUAUUUAUUUUAAAGCCCUUUAUGUGGUGUCGCUAAGACGCCCGACUGCGGCAUUUCUUUUAAAGCCCUUUAUGUGGUGUCGCUAAGACGCCCGACUGUGGCAUGCUUGUUAUUUAUUUCAUAAUUUUAAUACUACUAUGUCAUUGCAUUUUCAUAAUUAACCUGCUUACAUGCAUCAGAGAUAUAUUUACCUUUUGUGACUAACGUCAUGAGCAUAAAUAUUUCGAAACAUCGUUGUUAUAUUGUACCCGUGUUCAUAAUGUUUGCGAGUACAUUCAAAGUACUCACUGGCUUGUCCCUGGCUAUUGUCUUGGCCAGAUUUCUUGCACGGAGAGGAGCGACCUUGAUGACAGCCCCGGAACCCACGCAAUGGUGAUAGCAGCCUUGCGAAGAUAGGAGUUAUCCUGGUCAGCUGUUCCUGUGGGAAGUGGAGUCCCAUAGACACUGAUGAUUCACAACCCGCUUCCGCCAUCAACCACUAGAAACCAUUUGUUGUACUCACAGACCAGAAUGGUCUUGUACUACAUAUUUUGUGUUUUGCUUGGAAUUUCUGUAUCAAGUUGGUGCCUCAUCAGCUAAAAGUAAUCCUGGGGCUGAUGAGCACAAGGGCCAUUUUCUGGGAAUUAAUACCCGGAAAACCAGUCGCGACAGUUCUGUACUAUGAAAACAGUUCGAUUAUGCAAUAUAAAGUCUGUUAUUUAAAAAAUUUCCUCCCGUGCGGUCGUUUUGUUAAAUCUGAGAGUUGGCCAGUCGUUGGCUUCUGCCCCCACGUAGGUAGUACGGGGGUGUUCGGGAUAAAUCUAAACACUCUUUAUCCAAGGUUUUGGUCCUUUAAGGAGGUGUUUAGCGCAACAAACCAGGCAAUUGGACUAUGCGGCUUUAUUACUCUCACUUAGCCAUAGGAGUUUGACAAGAAAAAUUUAGGCGCAGCCCCUAGUGUUUGGAAGUCUGAACUUGGGGCGCUACACACGUCAGAUCGGAUAAAAACCGAUUCAUUGCAUAAUGCAGAAAAAAUCGCUAAAGAUUUGCAACCUCUCAAACAACUGACUGGCUCUCACCGCAUCAUGAUAGUCAGUUUUCGGCUUUCUCUACUGAGGUGCUCAUCCGGAAGAACCGGGACACAAUUGCAGUAGUUCUCCCUUUACUACCCUAGCCGAUAUAGCGGAACAUAAGGUAGUAAGCACAGGAGCCGGGUAACCCAACUAUUGACCAAAGACAUGAUUCGGAGCCGAUGCAUAUAAUGCUAUAAGUUCGGGUGCCGAAAUGUACUAUAAAAGUGUUCGAACUUUAUUGCCGUAUUGUGGGGUAUGAUGAAGCCCCUGGCGAAUUAAGGCGUACUAGAGUGUACGGGCGCAAUUGAUAAGAAUAUAAAGAAAAGGAAAAAAAUCAAGUAAUAAGCUGACGCCGCAAAUGUUGACUACGAAUUAUUUUCCAUUGUAAUUUUGUUUAAUACGUCAAGGCAUAUUUAUACAAGUAAUGCAAUAAGCAAAUAGGGCUAUUUGACAUGCCACGACCAAGGGCGAGCUGCGUGCGGGUUUUUAAAACAGGUAUAAUGAUCGUUAGCAGAGACCACCUGGGGGUUCCCUUAUACGUCAAAGAUUCUUGCCUUCUUGGUCUAUCCGUCCCUUGAUAGGUCCGAUGAUCAGGUCGCCAGGAAAGGCAUCGAGAAGGGAAAAAACCUAAAAAGAAAAAGAAAAAGUGAAGGUAUGCUGGUCCAGGAGCGGUUGAGCCGCAUUAUGGAUCACGGUCUAGCUGUGCCUCCGUCCAUGCCCAUGGUAUUUUAAGUGCAUAGGUAUGUAUGCGCGACACAAGUGUCGCCGCUUGAUUGGGACUAGGACGGAGGCCGAAUUGCUAGUCAAGCUCUGGAUGAGCUGGACUGUCCUGCUACAGAGUAGUUCGGACUCGCUUGACGGUGUCCGGGAGCUUUACUACCGAAUUGAGGUUCUGCCUCAAAAGGCUGUUCUGUACUUCUGCUCCAAGGGCAGCGGUGUGCUCCUCAAUACGGAGGGAGCGUUCCGUGUUUCCAUUGACUGUUAUGAUACCGCGUGGUCCGGGCAUUUUGAGCUUGAGGUAGGCGUAGUGCGGCACCGCAUUGAAUCAAGCAAAUGUGGUUCGUCCGAGCAGUGCAUAAUAGCCACUGCGGAAGGGGACAAUAUCGAAGAUCAACUCUUGGCUUCGAAAAUUAUCCGGGGAUCCGAAGACCACUUCCAGUGUGAUUGAGCCUGUACAUCGGGCCUCUACACCUAGUAUGACACCUUUAAAGGUGGUUUUUGUGGGUUUGAUCCUUGAGGGAUCGAUACCCAUUUUGCGCAAUGUAUCCUGAUAGAGCAGGUUCAGGCUGCUGCCACCAUCCAUGAGGACUCGCGUAAGGUGGAAUCCAUCAAUAAUUGGGUCAAGGACCAGUGCGGCUGAACCGCCAUGACGGAUACUGGUCAGAUGGUCCCUGCGAUCGAAGGUGAUCGGACAGGACGACCAUGGGCUGAACUUUGGGGCGACUGGAUCCAUUGCGUAGACGUCCCCGAGUGCACGCUUGCGCUCCCUCUUGGGGAUAUGGGUGGCGUAUAUCAUGUUUAUCAUUUUAACUUGGGGGGGGGGCUUCUUCUGUCCCCCUGUGGUCAGUGGCCGGGGUUCCUCAUCAUCGUCAUCGCUUUGUGACCCUUUCUCCUUGUUCUCGGCAUUUAACUUGCCGGCCUGUUUGAAGACCCAACAUUCUCUGCUGGUAUGAUUGGCUGCUUUAUCAGGAGUGUCGUGGAUUUGGCAUGGAUGAUUGAGUAUGCGGUCCAAACUGGACGGGCCCGGAUUGUUUCUCUUAAAUGUCUUCUUCCACUGACCGGAUUUAGAGCCACUGAAUCCGGCAUUGACCGUCGUGUCUUCGGCGUCAUCGCUAUUGUUUUGAUGCUUGUGUCUGUUGCGUCGGGGCUUGCCAUUGCUGUUUCUGGCUUCAGAAGUGCCAGGUUCACCUGUGUUGUUAUUGCUACGGGCUAGCCAACUGUCUUCUCCCGCACAAAAGUGGGUCAUGAGUGUCGUGAGGGCCACCAUGGACUUCGGCUUUUCUUGGCUGAGGAGUCGGGCGAGCCAUUCGUCACGGAUGCUAUGUUUAAAGGCCGCUAGGACUUCAGCAUCCGGACAGUUGACGAUCUGAUUCUUUUUAGUUAGGAACCUAGUCUAGAAUUUCCUGGCUGACUCUCCGGGCUAUUGAACUAUGUGACUUAAGUCGUCGGCAUCCGGAGGUUGGACAUAUGUGCCUUGAAAGUUGUCGAGGAAGGCAUCCUCCAAAUCCUCCCAGCUGCCAAUGGAGUUUUUGGGCAGACUGUUUAACCAGUACUUGGUUGGUCCCUUGAGUUUGAGCGGGGGGUAUUUGAUGGCGUGAAGACCAUCACCGCGGGCCAUGUGAAUAUGGAGAAGAAAAUCCUCAAUCCAUACCGCAGGGUCUGUUGAGCCAUCAUAUGAUUCGAUGUUCACAGGUUUAAACCCUUCUGGGAAUUCAUGUUCCAUUACUUCGUCAGUGAAGCAAAGGGGGAGUGCGGCGCCUCUAUAUCAGGCCAAGUCAUGACGUAGCUCGGAUGGAAUUCGUCUGCGGUUUUUGGCCCGGACAUGGUUAUGUUUGUCACACUCAGCUGGAUGGCCAUCGUCGUGCAUCGGGGCAUGCCCCCGCGAUCCAUAGAUUGAUCUUGUCUGACCUGCUCUGUUUUCCAAGUCACGCCGUAGGUCAUGUGUGUAUCCCCGAGCUGUUGUAUUUCCGUUUCUACGACGAGGUAGUGCGGGCUGGUGUUUGGCUCGAGGUGCCGCUUUGUCUCGGCCACGUGGUGGCUGGUCAGCUGCAUUAUAUCUUGGUAGGACAGGCUCCAUUGUCUCGUCAUCGAACUGUGGUAACACUUUGUGUUUCGGGUAGCUUUUCGUUGGGCGCUCGAGGCCAUAUUCCUCGGCUGCCAGGACAUUAGUCCAUCUUUCGUUCAGCAGAUCUUGAUCAGCUUGAAGCUACUACUGCUUUCGUUUUAGGCUCCUUGCAGUGGCUAUUAGCCGGCGCUUAAAGCGUUCCUACUCAACGGGCUCCUCAGGCACGAUAAAGUCUUUGUCGCUGAGGCUCACGUCAUCCUUGGAGAGCAGAAGGUAGUUAUUGUCCUCUGCAUCUUCAUUCGUGGCCUGUUCAUUAGGGCUAGCUUGCCCAUCUUCCUGUUUGUCCUGUUCGGAGGUUGGCUCAACGGGGUCUUCAUUGUCUUCGGCAUCGUCCAGAGUAUUGUUUUCUCCUGUGACGGUGUUGCUAUUUUUACUACAGCAUGGCUUAGAGCGGCGCCACUGACGUCGGCGCUUUGGCUGUAUCUCAGGAGGUUUAUCCUCGACUAGAUUUUCAUUGUCGCUGUUGUUCUCUUUGGGAGUAUCCACCAUGUAUAUGUCAUACGAAAAGGUGGUUGUCCAAUGCCCUGUAGGCGGUGGUUCCUGUUCUUCUCCGGCAUCGUCGGCCAUACCGUCGAUGUCAUCGGAGUCAUAAUCAAGCAUGUCGGUUAACUCAUCGACAGUGGCUAUAAAGUGGGUGCUGGGUGGGAAAAGAAGUUCUUCGUCGCCCGCUUCCCAUUCGAGCCGGACAUAGUUCGGCCGAGAGUCCCCCGACAAGGAGAGGGAUAUCAAUGAGUUUAACACAUCACCUAGAGGUGAGUGCUAGAAGAUGUCCGCGGAGCUGAACUCCAAGAUCGGCACCCAAUCAGGUUCCAUGGACGCGGAUGCACGCGAUCCGGAACCUAUGGCCGGAGACGAGUCCGAGGUUCCGGGGAAGCAAGCCCAGCCCGAUGUUGGGCCUGUGUGCGGCUCAAGCACCGUUGAGUCUGCGACUUUCGUGGUGAGGUUAAGCUUCCCGUCUUCGGACGACGCGGUCCGCUUCGGAUCUAGGGCCAGAGCGGUUACAUGCGCUAUCUCCUGAGCGCAGCCAUAUGACAGAUUUAGGUCAUGUUCAUCAUGGUGGCCGGGGACAGCCGUCAUGGGCUCGAAUCCGUCGAAGAUCAAGUCUCCAUGGAUAUCGGCCACAAAAUUCAGGCUUCCAAAUCUGACCUGAUGGCCAGGGGCAUAGCUAUCGAUCUACUCUAGAUGGCCAAGCGAGUUGGCCCGCAGUGCAAAGCCACCGAAUACGAAUAUCUGUUCGGGGAGGAAGAUCUCCCCCUCGACUGCAUUGUUGUAGACGAUUGAUGGAGCCAUCAAGCCUUCUGGUGACGAUGUAGUGGAACUCUCAAUGAAAGCACCAAUGUCGGUGUCAAAACCAGCGGAUCUCGGGUAAAGGGUCCCAAAUUGUGCGUCUAAGGCUAAUGGUAACAGGAGGCGGGGGACACAAUGUUUACCUAGGUCCGGGCCCUCUCUAUGGAGGUAAUACCCUACUUCCUGCUUGAUUGAUCUUGAUGAAUAUUACAAGAGUUGAUCUACCACGAGAUCGUAAUGGCUAAACCCUAGAAGCCUAGCCUAUGAGAUUAUGAUUGUUUACUAUGGACUAAACCCUUCAGUUUAUAUAGGCACCGAAGGGGGCUACGGUUACACAAAGUCAGUUACAGAGAAAGGAAUCUACAUAUCUGAAUCGCCAAGCUUGCCUUCCACGCCAAGGAGAGUCCUAUCCGGACACGGGAAGAGUCUUCGUCUUGUAUCUUCAUAGCCCAAUAGUCCGGCUCAUAUAUAUAGUACGGCUAUCCGAAGACCCCUUAAUCUAGGACUCCCUCAACCGCCACGUGGUUAUCUACCUUAAAAUACAAUUUGUAAUGUUUUCUCGAGGCCACAGCCAAUGUCUUCGAGUUAUUUGUCCUCUGUAAUGUUAAUAUGCAAUCUGAUGUUCAGUUAACAGCUUGGUCCUCUAAAAUGUAAUGUUCAGUUAACAGUUUGGUCCAACAAUUGCUACAUUCGUAGUAGUGUUCUCAAGCAUUCCUUGUUUUGUUAACUGUCUUAUCUUCUAGUACAUGUUUCUAUUCUGCAAUGUCGUGCUUAGUUAACUAUUUUGGUUCAUUUGGUCUUCUUUCCAUUUAACUAUUUGGUUCAGUUCUGCAAUUUGAUUUUCAUUUGCUGUGGGUACAAUUUUGUAUUGUUACGCAUGUGAAAUAAAUCAAAUUUGGCUAUACUCAAUUCAUAUUCUACUGAUAGUAUGACAACUCUCAGUUAACCUGAUCAAUCUUCCUUAUGUGUGUUGCAGGGAAACAAUGGGAGACACUCUGGUUUACAUCGAGGUUUGUUCAAGCAUGAUCCUUUGGCUAAUAGCACAUUAUUGUGCAGUUGCAGGAAUCAUUCUAAUAUUUAGGUUUCUUACAAUUUGGUUUUGCACAUGUAGGUCCUGCUAUCAGAGGCUUAGACCCAUUGUUCGACCCAUUUUGCAUAUGGGGAAAGGAGAUGUCCAGGAAUAUCAGUCAAGUUAAGAAACUCAGAAAGAUUUUUAGGAUGAAGAAUCUUGCGAAGAAUAACAGCAAGAUCUUUGUUUGCACAAUGAAGAAGGCACCAGUCAACUAUAGGAUCGUACUAACUCUUUUACCUUGUUUUUACCCCUUGCGCCAUCAGUCAACUAUAUGAUGGUACUAACUCUUUUACCUUGUUUGCAUAUCUUUAUUUUCAGUACUUUGCAAAGCAGUUCAUCGAUGCUUACCUCUCAAACCACCUGCAUGGUCAAGAGGCGAGGAAGGUAUUCAUUCAACACCCACGGUACAAUAUUGAAGUUUUGCUGAAGAGGACGAAGGUUGGGCGGGCAAUUAUCCAUAGCCACUGGCCUAAAGUUGCAAGGACAUUCAAAAUCACAGAAGGCUCAACAUUUUCCUUCCGCUUCUGUAGUUCCCAAGAUGAGAUUCAUCUAUCCAUUUAUCGUGUAUGAUGCUACUUUCCAAAGGUUUUUGAUGUUGCAUGUGAAACUUGGUCCUGUUGUGUAAUGGCAGAACUGAGUGUCGAAGCUAUCAGAUGUAAUUCGAUUAUGAAAUCCUGGUUGUUGUUAUACGGAUAUGAAAUAUCUGGUGUGUUUAUAUAAGAAAUAUCAAUUUGAUUAGUACAUGGAUUACCAAUAAUAGGCUAAUUACCCUGCUUAUUGGGGUUUUCUAUUGCAGACGGUUACUCAGACAACACCGUGGGCUAUGAACUCAAACACACUCACGGUUUCUAGAAAGUUAGUGUGUUCGAUCAACUAAUAAUCACACACGGCUUAUGGCAGGCCACCUUGCACAAACGUUUCCACACAAAAAACUGUGUGUGAUAUACAUACGAGCGAAAAUGUUUUUCUAGGAUUCACUGUGUGGGAUGUACAUACGAACGGAAACAAUUGGGUUUUGAUGCCUCGCCCGAUCGCACAUAGCCAGCUUGUGUGCCCGGAGGGCCUAUCCUUGACGAUUUCUGGGUCAUGUGGGAAGGACCCCCAUAUCGCCCACACUCACUUGGCAACGGUUCCAAAUGUCGUCGCGGAAAGGGGUUAAAAACCGUUUGUAUAGCACGUCGUUGUACCAGUGAUACCACCAGAUGAGAGGAAGGCAUUGCGAGUUCAAACAAACGCAGACCUUGCAACUAAACAGAAAAACCCGUGCGCUAAAUGCACCGCAAUGCCUUGCCCAGAUGCAUAUCUCUAAUGAAUCACUGUGCUUUGUUACUGAAGUUUUCAUGUGUCGAGUCUAUAUUUGUCAGUUACUUGUUAAUCAUGUUUUGCAGAAUUUAGUUGUAGAUUGCUAUUCUAUCAGCCCUCUAUGGAGGUGAAUAUUAAAUGAAAGUUAUACGUAUGUACUUGCAGAUAUAGUGAUAUGAACAUCGAACCAUGAAUUAAUUCCUAGGCAUAUUCAUUUUUGAAUUCAGUUUGAUUUCUGACUCAUUAGCCACAAGAUAUAUUUAUGUAGUGAUUUUAAAACUAGCACUCUAGAGAAUUUUUUAUACUUCCACUAUAGGAAUUAGCUUCUUUGUCGUCUGCCAUGGCAGACGACAAAGGUACCAAAAGCGGACGGCAAACCUCUUUGUUGUCUGCCACCAAUGGCAAAGCUGCGCGGCAAAGAACCUAACGGUAAACAAGUUCUUUGUUGUCUACUUCCUUAAAGAGGACGUCAAAGAACAUUUGUCGUCGGUGGCAGACGGCAAUGUGGACGGUAACUAACAGGCGUUAGCCACGUUAGGUGGCUAACGACAGCCUUUGUCGUCCGCCGGCGAACGGCAAACAUGCCCUCCCCUUUGUCGUCUGCCACAGACGGCAAAGUAACCAAAUGGGUGAGCUCCCAGGUUGCACAGGCUGUUGCCAUGUGGCCACUUUGCCGUCCGUGGCAGACGGCAAAGAGCCCUUUGUCGUCUGCCACAGAAGGCAAAGAGCCUGUAUUGUUACUGCUAUUUCUAUUUUCUGUUAUAUCCCUGCAUUCUGUAAAGACAUAAAUGAUAUAUAUAUUUCCAAUCUCAAACAUAGCCCAUGUAUCAGCCAUCUAGCAGUCCAUCAACGCAACAUAACUUAUAGGGUCUUAAAACGUCCAAUGCAUACAUAGUUUCACGGAGUUCAUCAACAUACAUAGUUUCACGGAGUUAUUCAACAUACAUUGUUCAUCAACACAAACUCAAAACAGAAACUAAAACUAGCAGUCCAUCAAAUGCCAGCUUCCAUGAAGUGAAUCAAAUCUGCAAAAAUAGGAGUAAGCAAGUUAGAAGAAGAAGAAGGUUUUUACCCUUUUCCUUCUCAUUCUUCUUCUUUUAUUCUUUCUUUUUCUUCGCUUUCUUCUUCUAUUCUUUUUUUCUCCUAUUCCUUGUUUUCUUCUUCUUAUUCCUUAUUUGUGUCAUUUUAGAGCUUACAUAGGUAAUUAUGCCAUUUUUGAGCUAACUAAGCUUAUUAUGUCAAUUUGGAGGAAAAUAAGGUAAGUAUAGGUCAUUUUUGUGCUAACAUAAGUAAUUAUGCCAUUUUUUAGCUAACGUAGGUAAAAUGCAUCAUUUUGGAGCUAACCUAGCUAAAAUGGAUCAUAUUGGAGCUAACCUAGGUAAACUUGGUCAUUUUGGAGCUAACUUAGGUAAAAUAGAUCAUAUUGGAGCUAACUUAGGUAAAAUGGGUCAUUUUGGAGCUAACCUAGCUAAUUAUGCCAUUUUCGGGUUAACUAAGCAUAUUAUGCCAUUUUUUACACAAGUAAGCUAAGUAUAGGUCUUUAUUGAGCUAACCUAGGUAAGUAAGCAUAUUAGAGCUAAUUUAGCAUUUUAGAGAUAACUUAGGUCAUUUUGGAGCUAACUUAGGUAAAAUUGAUCAUUUUGGAGCUAAUUAAGCUUAUUAUGUCAUUUUCGAGGAAAAUAAGCUGAGUAUAUGACAUAUAUGAGGUUACCAAGGUUGUUAUGCCAUUUCAAACCUAAGUAAGCUAAUUAUGCCAUUUUUAAUAUAAAGAAGCUAAGUGUAUGUCAUUAUUGAGCGAACCUAGGUAACUAAGCAUAUUAGAGAUAACUUAGCAUAUAGAGCUAACUUAGGUCAUUUUAGAGGAAACAAAGCUAAGUAUAGAUCAUUUUGGAGCUAAGUAAGCUAAUUAUCUCAUUUUGGAGGAAGAUAAGUUAAGUCUAGGUCAUUAUGGUAAGCAUUUUGGAGGAAAUAAAGCUAAGUCUAGGUCUUUAUGCAUUUCUUAAGCAAAACACUAGAGAAAACUUACCGUCAUCACGGAGGUGAAGCACCGGCGUGGCUCGCGCCGGUACCACCACCUGGAGAAGGAUCGUGUGAUGCUUGUCUGGAGGUACGUUGCACCAAAGAUCAUUUGCAAUGUCUCGUUAGCAUGACGACACUCAAAUGUUAAUACUAGUAACUAAUGACCAUUCAAAUUAAACUCACCGUGGUCCCCGGAGCAAUCUCUAGCAUUGGUGGAGGGGUCUGACCGGCCUUUUGGCACACAGAUUGCACAUUUGGUUUUCACGGUCAAUCAUACUAGUUAGUAAUGAAAAGAACAUUACGUGAAUGAUUUGGCUAAUAUGCAGAAGAAACUUACCACGAGGAGCUCGUACAUGGCCCGGUUCUGCAUGUCAUUCUGGGCCCUCUCCUCCUCCAUCAACCUUGUCGUCUUCUCCUCCAACUCCUGUUGCUUCUCCUCCGCCUGUUGGUCCCUCUCUGCCGGAAGCGCAUGGGUUCUAUCUCUCUCACUCUGAAGAGCAGCCUGCAACACCACUCCUCAUUAGCAUUGUAAUCAUCGAUGGCUGCACACACAAUGUAAUGCUUGAAAGAAAUCUGAGUCUGUAUAGCUAACCUGGAAGGUGAGCUCGAUUGGCUGCGGACGAGGCCUUAUCUCAGGAUAUGAGCAUGUUUGGCGCGCCCUGAUCUCUGGGAGAGUGCGAGGACAACGAAUAAGUCCAUCUCCAAUGGCUAUCGAGCCACGGGACCUCCCACCACUAUAUAUGUCAUCACCAGCUCCGGAUCAAACGGCCCGCUCGGGUUAAGGUCCUUCCCUUUCCUCGCCUUCCCCUCAUCUCUGUACUUGACGAGCUUGUUGUGGGAGGAGAUGUUGGUGAAGUUCUCUGGAUGAUCGAGGUCAGACGCAGAGAAUGCCUUGGCCUUCUUGUACGGGGCAGUAUGGGCCAUGGCAUAGAGGUCGAACACCUCUGGCACCGGUGCCAUAUUGUAUCCCGCCUAAAAGAGAGGAACAUAGUAUUAGUAGUUAAAGGGCUCAAGCUAGCAUGACAGAAUGAAUUGCAUCAAUCAUGAAUCUAACCACACACCCAGUUCCUCCUAUAUUGAUAUAAGUUGGCGCUGCCUUGAUGGUGUGGCACACCUCUCAUUUUGGCGUGAUUGUCCUUGGCAUUUUUGUGGACGGCAAGCCAUGCUUCUGAGCACCACUUAUCUGCCAACGCCUCCCAACAAUCCAUCUUAUCCGCACACCAUCUCAGGGGCACCUAAGUCAGUAAAGAGAAACUUGAGCGCUAUGCCUACGUAUCAAAUCAACGAAACUAAGAACAAGUCCUUAAGAAUAUAGACAAUUACCGUCAUGUACUCCUUCUUCAGAAACUUUCCGCGGCACUUCUUCUCGGGCUUCCAAAAACCACGCGAGGCGAACCUAAGCGAAUGGAUAAGGGAAAGCCCACUAUAUUAUAUAUAGUAAUUGUUGGGGAACGUAGUAAUUUCGAAAAAAUUCCUACGCACACGCAAGAUCAUGGUGACGUAUAGCAACGAGAGGGGAGAGUGUUGUCUACAUACCAUUGUAGACCGUAAGCGGAAGCGUUAGCACAACGCGGUUGGUGUAGUCGUACGUCUUCACGGCCCGACCGAUCAAGCAACGAAACUACGGCACCUCCGAGUUCUAGCACACGUUCAGCUCGAUGAUAUCCCUCGAACUCCGAUCCAGCCGAGUGUCGAGGGAGAGUUCUGUCAGCACGACGAUGUGGUGACGAUCUUGAUGUUCUACCAUCACAGGGCUUCGCCUAAUCACCGCUACGAUAUUAUCGAGGUGGACUACGGUGGAGGGGGGCACCGCACACGGCUAAGAGAUCCAAGGGACCAAUUGUUGUGUCUUUGGUGCUAGCCCUGCCCCUCUAUUUAUAUGUUGAGCCCCGGGGUCGAAACUUGGAGCAAAAGCCUCCUCAAAGUCGGUUUUGCCGGAAAGGCAAGAGUCCCACUCGGACUCCAGGACCAAACGCCACAAUCCUUGGCGUCUGGCCCAGACGCCAUAGGCCUCGGCGUCUGGCCCAGGGCCAGACGCCAGGGUCUCCGGCGUUUGGCCCCCUGGCCUUUGCAAAACUCCUUUUACACCGACCUAAAGCCUCAUGGGCUUGACCCCUUGGCCUAACCAUAUCAUCCAAUAUAUGAAUCUUUACGUCUCGACUAUUUCGAGACUCCUCGUCAUGUCCCCGAUCUCAUCCGGGACUCCGAACUCCUUCGGUACAUCAAAACAUGUAAACUCAUAAUAUAACUGUCAUCGAAACCUUAAGCGUGCGGACCCUACGGGUUCGAAAACAAUGUAGACAUGACCUAGAACUAUUCUCGGUCAAUAACCAAUAGCGAAACCUGGAUGCUCAUAUUGGCUCCUACAUAUUCUACGAAGAUCUUUAUCGGUCAAACCGCAUAACAACAUACGUUGUUCCCUUUGUCAUCGGUAUGUUACUUUCCCGAGAUUCGAUCGUCGGUAUCCAAUACCUAGUUCAAUCUCGUUACUGGCAAGUCUCUUUACUCGUUACUUAAUGCAUCAUUCCGUAACUAACUCAUUAGCUACAUUGCUUGAAAGGCUUAUAGUGAUGUGCAUUACCGAGAGGGCCCAGAGAUACCUCUCCGACAAUCGGAGUGACAAAACCUAAUCUUGAAAUACGCCAACCCAACAUGUACCUUUGGAGACACCUGUAGUACUCCUUUAUAAUCACCCAGUUACGUUGUGACGUUUGGUAGCACCCAAAGUGUUCCUCCGAUAAACGGGAGUUGCAUAAUCUCAUAGUUAUAAGAACAUGUAUAAGUCAUGAAGAAAGCAAUAGCAGAAUACUAAACGAUCGUGUGCUAAGCUAAUGGAAUGGGUCAUGUCAAUCACAUCAUUCUCCUAAUGAUGUGAUCCCGUUAAUCAAAUGACAACUCAUGUCUAUGGUUAGGAAACAUAACCAUCUUCGAUUAACGAGCUAGUCAAGUAGAGGCAUACUAGUGACACUCUGUUUAUCUAUGUAUUCACACAUGUAUUAUGUUUCCGGUUAAUACAAUUCUAGCAUGGAUAAUAAACAUUUACCAUGAUAUAAGGAAAUAAAUAAUAACUUUAUUAUUGCCUCUAGGGCAUAUUUCCUCCAGUAAUCACCUGCCAAAAGGAAAGCCUGACCGAUAAUAAUAAUAGUAGUCUCGAAUAGCCUGCACCUGUCGGUGAGAAAUGAUACGGAAUCCCUACUACGGUUGCGGGGCGCAGGAUCGUGAGAAGAGCGGGACUAGUAGACAGCACAAAGGGGAUUUACCCAGGUUCAGGCUGCAAAGGUGCGUAAAACCCAACGAUCCUGCUUUGGUGGAUGUAUUUAGUGUUCUUGAGCUCUUGAACUAGCUUUGGGUGUUGCCAGGUUCGAAAGAACCGAAUCCUUCUCCCAUGCGCCAUGGGUGUCGGUGUCAAAACCGGCGGAUCUCGGGUAGGGGGUCCCGAUCUGCGCGUCUAAGGCCAAUGGUAACAGGAGGCAAGGGACACGAUGUUUUACCCAGGUUCAGGCCCUCUCGAUGGAGGGAAAACCUUACUUCCUGCUUGAUUGAUCUUGAUGAUAUGAGUAUUACAAGAGUUGAUCUACCACGAGAUCAUACAGGCUAAACCCUAGAAGCUAGCCUAUGAUGAUUAUGAUUGUCCCCUAUGGACUAAACCCUCCGGUUUAUAUAGACACCGGAGGGGGCUAGGGUUUACACAGAGUCGGUUACAAAGAAGGAGAUCUAACAUCCAGAUCGCCAAACUUGUCUUCCACGCAAAGGAGAGUCCCAUCCGGACACGGGGCGAAGUCUUGAGUCUUGUGUCUUCACGGUCCAACAGUGCGGCCAAAGUAUAUAGUCCGACUGUCCGGAUACCCCCUUAUCUAGGACACCCUCAGUAGCCCCUGAACUAGGCUUCAAUGACGAUGAGUCCGACGUGCAGAUUGUCUUUGGCAUUGCAAGGCGGGUUCCAUCUCCAAAUACUCCAAAGUACCUAUUGUAACGAAUAGUGUCCGGCUUCCCAUCAAUGUUGUACUCCUCGGCUUCUGUGCUUCAAUAAUGGCCAUCUCCACAUGUCGAGCGAAUACGAGGAGCCGGAGCACUUUUACAUUUGCCACCCUGGCCCUGCAGGCAAACCGUCUAUUUGAAGAGACAGGGAUCCUCAGACCCAAAUCUCACUUUCUUCCCUUGAGCUAGCAUCCAACAGAGCGCAUCCGGAAAAAACCAUUCCAACAUGGCCGGUCGCCGCAGCUCCUCUUCUCGCUCCCUUAGCUCCAAGCCAGGUGAUUGCGAAGAGUGUUCUGUUCCCCAUAGCCGUUUAUUAGACUUGCAAACCCAAGGGUUUCUUCCACCAGCGUUCAUGGUCCCCGUCUGAGCCGGACUUUCCACCUAUAAUGGCGGGGAGCAAGCGGAGAGAUCUCCUAACCCAUCUCAGGGGGAGUGAGUAUGCCUCAUCCCAUAUUUGCUAAGAGGCGUCGGGUUUCCAAUCCACCCAUUCCUUCAUGAGCUCUUGGAGUUCUAUGGCCUCCAGUUGCACAACUUCACCCCAGCCCCCGUGCUGCACAUCGCAGGAUAUGUCGCCCUUUGUGAAUUAUUUCUGGGCUGCGAGGCUCACUUCAAGUUAUGGAAGAAGUUAUUCUGCCUCGUCCCUCGCAAUCAGGGGAAUCCAUAUGUCAAGUGGGCGGAGCCGAAGUAUGGCGCGUCGCCGAGACCGGAUACCUGUCCGGUACUCCCAACAAGGCGUUUGAAAACUGGCCCUCGGAGUGGUUUUAUGUUGAUGACGUUCCCCUUCCGGAUCCAAUCCGGACGGGCCUCCCUGUGGUUAAUAACGCUCCGCUGAAGAAACUCCGAAGUUGGCGUCCUCGGAGCACCCAGGAGGAAGAUACCAGAGAAGUCCACUUCUUGAUGAGCAGGAUAAAGACACUGGCCAAAUCAGGACUGACAAUAGUCGAGGUUAUAUCAAUAUGCAUAAUGCGGGGGGUGUAGCCACUUCAAUAUCGGGGGAAGCCCAUGUGGCACUUCAACGGGGAAGACGACGCCACCCGCUGUGGUCGUAAAGGUUCGGACUCCGCCACUGCUCUGGCGAGAAUACUGUCCGAUUUGUAUAAAGGAGAAGAAGAAUAAUUCCUUCGUAUUAAACCGCGGGAUGGAUUUUCCAUGUACAACCCCCCAAGAUGGGUAAGUCGUAACUCUUUACCCCACUCUAUCCAUUCUGGCGCCCUUCAUCACAAUCAUUUACCAUGAUAUUUCUGAGCAGGAACUGAGGAGGGCCGUGGAAGGAUUCAACAGCCCCUCCCCGCAGCCAGAGGACCCCGGGAGGGCCUUCGAUCCAGGACUUAAAGAAGAUCCGGAUAUAUCUAUGGAGCUUGUCGACGGGACAUUUUAUCAGGCCAGCUGCGAUGGCGCCCCGGUGGCUAUUAUCGUCAACUAUCCCGGACUGCUACCUACGUCGUGUGUAAGUAAAACCGAAGCCUUAUCCUCUAAAGAGGACUCCUUUCUUAUACCAUGCCUUAUGCCUAAAAUAUCGUAUUUUUAUAGAGACGACCAUCGGAAUGCGGCGCCGAGCCCCUGGGGGCUCGUCGGCAAAGGGCGUCCGGGCCAGGCAGGCUUAAGAGGAAGGCGGUUAGGGCCGAAAUGCUGUUACAGAGGUAUAGUUAAAAUCUGCUAUGUGGUUAUCGUAUUUGACAUGUAACAGCUUCCCUUGUGUCCUCGCAGAAAGAGGAAUCACCGGACUAUAUCCGGAGGUCCUUCCGGUCACGCCUUUACCAGCCGGAUUCUAGAUCCGACUUCGAGAGAGGAGGCCGAUGCGGGGCUGAUGCCGGUUUGUCCUCUGACAGAGGAUGCGGAUAUGCUCUCUGCCACUAAUUCCGAAGUAGAGAGUGCCAUGAAUGAUCGGCGCCGAUGGGCCGUACUUCACAAUGGCAUCUUUUCUAAAGAGGCAUUCAAUGCUUUCAAUUCGGGAGACACAUACAUCUGAGCUGCUCAAGGUGGGCUUGCCCGAGAGACGGACCAGUAUGCGAAAGAUAUAUGGGUAAGAAAAUUUGAUAAGUAUGUAUAGCAGUAGCCCCUAAGACUUGAAACGGUUGGAACAACCGAUUUAAGGAUCAUUUUAUGGACAGUUUCUUGUAGAGAAGAAUACCCAUUUGUCUCAAGAGCUGGAGGAGUGCAAGUCCCAGCUGAGGGCCGCGGUUGCCAAACUAGAGGAAUCCCAGAAGCCCUCAUCUGGUAACAUUUGUCUCAAUAGAGAAAUUUUAAGGGAAUAUACCAGUUAGUAAUUGGCUUGUUUUAUGAGUCUAACAGAAAAUUCUGCAGACAAUCCCGGGAAGAAUCCGGAGAUCGUAAGAGAUAGCGAGUUUGUGCUUACGUAGGUUAGGCAGGAGAAAAACAAUCUCCAAGAUGCCAAUGUCCGGCUGGGCGUCGAAUUAGCAGAUGUUCGAGCUCAGCUGGUGGACUCCGUGAAGGAGAACAGGAGGCUUCAUCGCGGCAUUUAUGGUAAGUGCCUAAACGAACUGCAGUACAGUUCGGCGAGGAGGCAUUUUUUAAAAGAGAUUAUAUCUGUAGGUAUGCUGACGGGCCGUCCUGAAGAGGAGAUGCCCGGGUCCGCGGGUGAUUUACUACAAGAUCUCUCACAACUGCACGAACGAGUUCGAUAGGUGAUGCAGGGUAUUGCCCAGGCCUUGUGGCCAUCCACUUCCCUGCCAAAAGGCAUGGGAGAGCUCGUGGAUAUGCUCCAAGGAGCACGGUGGUGCUUCCAGUUGUGGAAGGUAUCAGCCUGUCAACAAGGUGCAAGGGAAUCCUGGGCCAUGGUGAAGACGCGCUACACCAAGCUUGACCCGAACCAUAUGGCCGAAGUCGGACCGGCAGGGCCAGAUGGGCAAGAGAUUCCUGUGAGUCUGGUGUAUGACCAGGUAGCGCUAGCCACAAAGUAUUCCCAACAGGAUUGCAAGCUAGAUAGCCUGUUGGAUGGUAUGGAGGAAGAAUAUAGCCAGUCCAAGUGACUAUGUAAUUCAAUGGACAUAUGUAGUCCCUAGCCGGAUUAAAAAUCUUUUGUCAUGGUGGACCUUUUCGCUUCAGCCCCCGGAUCCGACAGUCCGGGGUGUAUCCGAAUACCCGCUCAGUUAUGCAAAACCGGGGUAUGCGUGGAAACCAGGCGUAGGGGUAAUAAGUGCUUGAACAGACAAAUACCCAACUAGUUAUGGUAUAUUACAUGGGUAGUAAGAAACAUCUUCUAGGGAGAAUAGUUCCGUUAGGGUUUCCUUUCCCUGGGUACACAUGCAUCGAUGUACAUGUCUGAACUGCGAACAAAACACAGGAUACAAAACAUCUGGGGAUUCACAUUGUAAUAAACGAAAGAAACAUCUUCUGUUCACCGACUGUCGGCGUUCUGGGAACGGGGGUCCCCAUACUUGCCUGCCUGCAGCCUACGGCGUGGCUCAAGUGGGGGCCCAGCGCGGCCCAGCUUCAUCAGCUCAAGCUCAAGACCCUCGCGAGGGGCCAAGCCUCGCGGGGCGGACGACGGGAAGCUUCCUCAGGAGCAGCCACCUCAGGCAGGCUUGCGAGGAGGAGGAGAGAUCAAGGCACGGUUGCUCAUGAGGGUGCCCCAUGACGCAAGCCAUGACGAUCGAGACCAGGCGGGCGCCAGGCGGGCGCCGGCCUACGCACUGUCCUUGUUUCCCCUUCGGUGAAAAGGGGGCAAGCACAGGCCAAGGCAUCAGGGAAAGGUUACCGUUUCAGUGCAACAAGACCAAGACCAGCAGAACGACAGGAUGCAGGUCAUCGUGGAGCCCACGACGGCGUCAUCGGCAGAGCCUUUGGCAGCCGAAGACCAACUUUAGUCAGGAUAAGUGUACUGGAUGUUCCCCUUCAAAAUGGCCAACUAUUGGCGCCCUUCCUGCUCAUUAUUUAGGAAGAGGCCCAGGGCCUCCUCCUAUAAAUAGGACUAGCCACCACAGAGUAGAGGCAUCUGGAAGAUCGAUGAAUCAACCAGAGAGAGAGAGAGAGAAGUGACUGAACUCAUCCAAGUAGUUCAUCGCAGCAGCUCAAGAACAGCCCCUCGCGAGGCUGUUCUCACUUUGUACUGUUCAUCAUCAGCCCCAGAGGCAAUCCACCAUGCCACAAACUAGAGUAGGGUAUUACACCACAAUGGUGGCCCGAACUAGUAUAAACCUCGUGUCCCUCGUGUGUUCUUCCUUCUAGCCUAGAUUCCUUGCAAGCCUUCGACGCGUGCGCUGGUAGGGGAAAGAUCUUCGUGCGCACCCCAGUGUUUGAACCUCAAGGGUUUGCCGGAACCCGAAAUCUGACAUUUGGCGCGCCAGGUAGGGGUGCGUCGGAGUCUUUCUUCCGUUGGCCGUGUGAUCUUCCGUCGUGUCCAUGUCUGACGCUCGCCGAGCCAGCGCCGAGCGCCGGGCUGCUCUCGCCGCUCGAGUCGCCCAGACGGCUCCCGUCGGUGGACGCCCCCAUUGUUCCCCAUCGCCUGCUGCCAACGCCGCCACUGGCCUAGCGGGGAACGAGUAGUAGGCCUCGUUCCUGCAUCCCUCAGUGCGGCGAGAAGGCUGCACCGCCACCCCGCCCCUGACUCCAGCCGGCUCGCCGUCCCACGCCCGUCGCGCCCCCACGGACACACACGCCGCGCUGCUCCGGGCGCGUGAGUUCCUGCACUAGCGUCCCGUCGACGACCUCUACAAGGACUGGCUCGCCCGCAUCACCGAGCUCGUCAGCACCGCAUGGGGCUCUCCCAUGUCGUCCCUCUCGCUGCCUCCCCCUCCAUCCUGCGCAGGAGGCGUGGACCAAGAGGUGCCUCCACCACCUCCUCCCCAAGAAGGCGCACUGGCUCCAAGGCACGUGGCCCCAGGACGAGACCCUCCGCGUUCCGCGCCUGCGCGACAAGAAAGGAGCUGCCAAGAGAUCCCUCGUCCCCAAGAAGGUGCUCGCGUGCUCCCGGCACCGGAGCACCAUGGCCGUGCCCCUGUGCCACCACGUCAAGACCCCGCGCUGCUCUAGGCGCCGGUGCAUGGGGAUCCUCAGGAGUAAGCCCCGCAUCAACAGAGAGCUCCGGUGGCCACCACAGGCUGCCACGCCUUCACCGCCGAGCUGCGUAGCGUCGCAUGGCCCGGCAAGUUCAAGCCGGACCUGCCUCCUCGCUAUGACGGCACUGCAGACCCUGCGGAGUUCCUCCAGCUCUACGAGCUGGGCAUCAAAGCCGCCAACGGGAACGAAAAGGUCGUGGCAAACUGGUUUCCCAUGGCGCUCAAGGACAGAGCCCGCACCUGGCUCUUGAACCUGGCUCCUGGCACGAUCUCCUCCUAGGACGAGAUGCGCGCUCGCUUCAUCGCCAACUUCCAAGGCACUCGCGACCAGCCCCCGGCCAUGAGCGACCUGCGCCGCAUCAAGCAGCAGCCAGAAGAGACCCUGCAGAAGUACAUCCAGUGCUUCAACAACGCCCUCCUCAAGAUCCCCAGGGUGACUGAGGAGGCCAUCAUCUCAGCCUUCUCCGAUGGCGUGUACGACAUCAAGAUGAAAGAGGAGUUAGCCAUCCAUGAGGACAUGUGCACAUCCUUGGAGCUGUUCAACUUGGCGACCAAGUGCGCCAGGGCUAAGGAAGGGCGCCUUUCCCUCCUCGAGCUUCCGGCCGCCGAUCCAGAAGAGAAUAAGCCCAAGGUCAAGGACGUGAAGCGCAAGGGGGAUGUUGUGCUCGCAGCAGAGCUAGACACCAAGCAAGGCAGGGAUCAGCCUGAGUCAUCCAAAGGCAGCCGGUACUGCGUGUACCACGACCUCCACACCCACAACACCAAUGAAUGUCAAGAGCUCAGGGCCGUGCGAGAUGGGCAUAUCGGCCAACGUCCCGACCGCAACGACCGGGGCUAUGGCCGAGGAGGAGGAAGAGGUGGAGGAUGAUGGGAAGAUCGUGGCCUGCGCCAAGGGUGGCGUGAUUGACCUCGCGAGGACUGCUGGCAGGACCAGCCUCAAGAGGGAGGUUGGAGGGAUCAGCCUCGUGAAGACCGCCCUCAAGGCAAUGCAGGCCUCCCUCCUCUGCCACCACCCCCAAGGAGGAAUGAAGACCACCACCAGGACGAGGUGGCUGGGGGCUUCUAGGAGCCACGCAUAAUCGCUUGCAUCUUGGGCGGCGCUCAGGCCCCAGCCUCUCAGUGGAUCUUCAAGCAGUUUCCUCGUGAGGUGAAUGCAGUCCUUCCCAAGCUUGAAUCCACGUGCCCUCUCAGGUGGUUAGCAUGCGCUAUCACAUUCAACUCAGCGGAUCAUCUCAAGUGCGUAGCAACGGCCGGAGUCCUCCCGAUGCUUUGUUCCCGAGUCAUCAGCAAUGUGCAAGUCACCAGGACCCUCAUCGAUGGCGGAGCAGGACUCAGUGUCCUGUCCGUCGAAACGUUCAACAAUCUCCAAGUGCCAUACGAUCAGCUUCAGCCGACCAAGCCUUUCUCAGGAGUCACUGAUGGUUCCACUGUUCUGAUAGGGCAAGUUUGCCUUCCUAUCACCUUUGGGCAGCGCAACAACUACCACACCGAGCUCAUUGACUUCGACGUCGCCCACAUUCGCCUGCCAUACAAUGCCAUCCUCGGGUACCCAGCUCUAGCCAAGUUCAUGGCAGUGACUCACCAUGGCUACAAUGUUCUCAGGAUGCCAGGAAGCGGUGGAAUCAUCAUAGUGCCUUGAGAGGAGAGGGACGCAGUGUGUUCUCUUGAGCGUGCCUUCCAGGCUGCGGCAAUCGAAGACCCAGAUCACAGGAGCGGGAGCCUCCCCGAGGCGGUCCCUAAAAAGAAGAAGGCUUCACCUGGCCGAAACCCUCAUGAGGUAGGCAUCUCCGGAGGCGUUGCGUCAGGGUCCGCGCCAGUUCAAGGGGCGCCACCCUCUGUCGCAUAGGAAGGCGUGCUUGGCGCCCUCCUCGGGCAGGGCUCGGGGGCUCUGUCUUGGAGAGCCACUGACUUUGCCAAGGUCACGAGGGAGGCGCUCGGGCACCACUUGGAGGCGUGCUUCAAGGCACGUUUCCCUCAGGAAGGCAUGAGGCAAGGAGGGCCAAACCCUCAGGAGUUCAUCGCGAGGAACAUUCAGGAGCUACAGGAGUCAAGAGUCAUGCGCGACAGUCGCUGCCUGCCCGCAGUAGCCCCACAUCCCGGCGAGGAUGGUGGGAUGCGCGUCUGCAUCGAUGUACCAGGGCUCAACCGAGCCGCAUCUCAGGAGCGCCUCUGGCCUUCACGUGUGGGGCAUUGUGAGGGGCCACCUCACAGCUACGUUCGCAUGCCCCUCGGCCUGCCGAACGCGGCCGCCGCUCAUCAGCACCUGCUGAGGAGCAUUCUGGAGGCUCAGGAGGUUAGGCAUCACGCGGUCCUGGCGGAGAUGGAGAUGGUCCUCGGAGAUCCACCCGAGCCCUCAGAGCCUCCCGAGGCUCUAGGACCCGGGAGCUCGUGAGGAUCGACCUCCUCACCACACGUUGUCUGCUACUUCAGCAUAGCUUCAUCCCAACGGUAUCAGGUGACACCUCUCGAAGUUCCAUUUUUAGCUGGGAGCGCCCGCAGGGCUGCAUCAUUCCCAAGUCGCGUGGGUCUGCCCCUGCGGCAUGUAUCCAUUUUGCUUAUGUUCCUUACCUGCCUUGUUGAGGGCGCCCCUCGGGCUGCAUUGUCCUCAAGCUGCUCGGGCCAGACCCAAUGGCGUUUACUUUUUCCGCAUCUAUCUAAAUAGAUUUGCUCCUUCGUGCUUAACAUGCUUGACCUAACCGCCUGCUUGAUUGACACCUACCUUUGGAGUCGCACGCUCUGGCACGGCACUUGCGCACGGGUCCAUCCCUGCAACGCCGAUAAAUCUGAGUGGCUGAGCUCUGGCCGCGGCAGCCCCGCAAGGCGCCACCUCACCAGGCCCUCAGUGCCCCAAUCACUCCCUCGGAGCGACCAAUGGUUGGCUGGCAACCGUAACAACAAACCUUGUUUCCCCUCGUGACUGAUACGCAGGACCCGCUCUAGGAGUAACGCUGGUGGUGUCGCGAGCCUUCUCUCCUUCUCUCCGGCACGAUCCGCUUGCACGUUAAAAGGGGGGCGCCAGAGCAUCGUGACUCAUGGGCUCCUACUGGCUCUCCAGCCCUCACCCCCCGGCCUUGACCCACGGCAUCACGACCUGUCAUUCCAGCGGCAGCUGAGCUCACUCGAGGGCCGGGACCUGAGGACGUAGAGCAUUAAGGAAAGUGCAGGGGAGAGGGAAGAAGCUCAUGAGGACCCAACCCAGCAACACCUCAGCUGCCGCCACGCAGGCGCGACACCUCGUGAAACACUACUCCAAACCUACAAGAUAAGUCACGAAAAACUGAUUCGACUCAGCGCUAAACCCUCGGCUACUGGAGCUCUGUCACGGCAAUGUUUCUUGCCUUUCUUGCCCAGCGGAGGCUGCUUGAACGCUAAAGGGGACAUCCUGAGCAUCGCGACUCAGGGGCUCUUACUGGACCUCGGGCCGCUCACCUCCUGGCCUUGACCACGGCAUCACGACCUGGCAUACCAGUGACGGCUGAAGCCUGCGUGGGGAUCGGGACCUGUCAGCGUAGAGCACCAAGCCCUCGUGAUGAAAGAAAGGGGGAGCUGAGCCGGGAAAGGACAAGCAUCACGCCUCGAUUCAUAAUAAGGAUGUCAUAUUCGCAAAAGUCAUGGCCAGCGCCUUACGUACCCCCGUGGGGCAGUGCUUCGAUUUCUCACAGGGAACAAAAGGUGCUAAUCCUAAGGAACGCUAACUAAACGCGCCUCCGCAGGAGACGCCAUCAUCAACAGUGGGCCGCCAGGCACCGGCGCCAACCCCAUCCAGAUCAGCAGCGCCGGCGUCCUGAAGCAACCACCCUGCUCCGGGUGCGGCGCGAACUCAGGGGCUCGUAGCUGUCGUCGCUCAUCUCCGGAGUCGCGAGAAGCUCAGCAGAGUCGCUGGACCCUCCGCCACCUCCGCUGCCGCCUGAGGAGCUGCUAGGGAAGCGGUUGGUGGGCCAGGUCCUCGCCGCGAUGAUGCCCCGACCACCUUUCUCGGGGCAGCACUCCAGCUGGCGUCCCUCCGCAUCGAAGACCUUGAAGAGCAUCAAGGAGGCGCCAUCAUAUUCUAGGUGUAUUACGAGGGUACCCCCUGUCCGGCAGAUCCAGGCGAUCUCGCCCCAGCCUCGGGUCAUGUAAACCUUGCCGGGAGCGACAACCUCAACCUCUGCUCCGGUCGCGGGGGUGCUACAGUCAGCGUGCUGCAGCCAGAGCUCCAAAGGCCCCCUCUGCGAGAUCUCAAAGGCGAAGGAGGGAGGAAGGUAAAUCCAAGAUCAAGGAGGCAUGGCUGCGUGGAGCACAAGCUCACGAGAGGAGCCCUCGGCGUGGACUCCACGAGGAACGACGCACACCACCGUGACCCGCCGGCAUCGACGGUGGCACCGUUGGUGUUGCUUGGCGCCUUCUUCUCGAGAGCCCUCGAUGCGGGCAUACAAAGGCAGCGAGAACCCUGGCGGCGGCCGCUCGUAACAGGGUCUCGAUGCCUCCUACCGAGAGCCCUCAUCUCGGCGGCAGAGGGCUAGCCGUUUCUUCGGCGGAAGCGGAUCGGGACCCUCUCGAGGGGCCUUUCCCUUCUCUUCUAUAGAGAACUGGCGGAUUGGUUCCAUUGGCGCAAGGUGGAGCGAGGGUGAUGAAGAAGAAGAAGAGGAGUAGCAGGAAGGGAUGGACUAGAAGGGCUCGCGCCAUUCCGUACUUAUAGCUGGUGGAGGCCAACCGUCGGCCUCCACGAUCGAAGGUAAUCGUGACCCGUUUUUAUAUGCAGGGACUUGUCAAGUCAUGCGGUUGCGGAGGCAUCAUGGGGAAGCGGAGACACCCACGUCCAAUCAAUCGCCACGUGGCGCCCAAGGCUGCAGGUUGUUAGGGCCCGUGGCGCUUCGCACUUGCUCCUUCGUUUCUUUGCAAAGCCAAGUCCGGGCGCGCCUUGGGCCCGGGGGCUACUGUCGGCAUUCUGGGAAUGGGGGUCCCCAGACUUGCCUACCUACGGCCUGCAGCGUGGCUCAAGUGGGGGCCCAGCGCAGCCCAGCUUCCUCAGCUCAAGCUCAAGACCCUCGCGAGGGGCCAAGCCUCGCAGGGCGGACGACAGGAAGCUUCCUCAGGAGCAGUCUCCUCAGGCAGGCUCGCGAGGAGGCAGAGAGAUCAAGGUAGGGUACCUCACGAGGGUGCCCCAUGAUGCAAGCCAUGACGAUCGAGACCAGGCAGGCGCCAGGCGGGCGCCGGCCUGCGCAGUGUCCUUGUUUCCCUUUGGUGCAAAGGGGGCAAGCACAGGCCAAGGCAUCAGGCAAAGGUUACCGUUUCGGUGCAACAAGACCAAGACUAGCAGAACGGCAGGAUGGAGGUCAUCAUGGAGCCCAGGACGGCGUCAUUGUUAGAGCCUUUGGUAGCCGAAGACCAACUUUAGUCAGGAUAAGUGUACUGGAUGUUCCCCUUCAAAAUGGCCAAUUGUUGGCGCCCUUCCCGCUCAUUAUUUGGGAAGAGGCCCAGGGCCGCCUCCUAUGAAUAGGACUAGCCACCAUAGAGUAGAGGCAUCUGGAAGAUCGACGAAUCAACCAGAGAGAGAGAGAGAGAGAGAGAGAGAGAGAGAGAGAGAAACGACUGAACUCAUUCAAGCAGUUCAUCGCACCAGCUCAAGAACAGCCCCUCGCGAGGCUGUUCUCCCUUUAUACUGUUCAUCAUCAGCCCCGGAGGCAAUCCACCACACCACAAACUAGAGUAGGGUAUUACACCACAAUGGUGGCCCGAACUAGUAUAAACCUCGUGUCCCUCGUGUGUUGUUCCUUCUAGCCUAGAUUCCUUGCGAGCCUUCGACGCAUGAGCUGGUAGGGGAAAGAUCUUCGUGCGCACCCCAGUGUUCGAACCUCAAGGGUCUGCCGGAACUCGAAAUCCAACACCGACCGAAUAUUCCCUUAAGAACGCUAGCUUUCAGCUUCACCCUGUCUGAGGUACACAUCCGGCUGAACUGGAAGUAACAAUCACAGAGGUGCUCCCCUUAUGCCCUAGCCGAAUUAACAGGAACGUAGGGCAUAAACACAAGAGCCAGGCUACCCAGCAUGGCCACAUCUUAAGUCAUAUCUAUGCAUAUAAUGGUGAAGAAAAGGCACAUAUGGAAAAAUAAUGCAUAUCUGAUAUGCAGGAAGCCAUAAAAGUAAUUAUAUUUAGCUUCCGUAUGGGAAGCCCCCAGGUAUGGUGAACACACAUAGUGCGGCCGGAGUGAUCCGAGCAUCCACACUGUAUUGAAUACUUUGUGUGCAGAAGGGAAAAAGGCGAGAAGGAAAAAGAGGGGGGAACAUAAUUAAAAGAGCGGGGGUAAGGAGACGAAUACUGAGUUCGGCACUAGGCGUAGAAUCUCCGGAGUCUGGCCUCGUUCCAUGGGUUUGGCUCGAGUCUGUUAUCGGAUGCAUUACGCAGGCGGUACGCUCCUCCGGUGAGAACUUUAUCAAUAAUGAAGGACCCUCCCAUUUAGGUUUGAGCUUGUUCUUCUUCUUCUCCGGUAGGCGUAGAACGAGUUCGCCAACAUUAUAAGUUUUGGCCAGCACUUCUCUGCUUUGAUACCUUUGACCCUGCUGCUGAUAGAAUGCGGAACGGGCUUUUGCGACAUUGCGCUCCUCCUCCAGGGCAUCUAAGUUGUCCUGCUGAUCUAAAUCGGCUUCCUUCUCUUCGUACAUGCGCACGCGAGGUGAGUCAUGGAUUAUGUCGCAGGGUAGUACUGCCUCUGCGUCGUACACCAUAAAAAAUGGUGUGUAUUCGGUGGUGCGAUUCAGCGUGGUCCGCAGCCCCCAGAGUACGGAGUUGAGCUCCUCGACCCAGUGCAUGUCCGAUUCUGUCAAGGAUCGCACUAGUCUGGGUUUGAUGCUGCUCAUGAUGAGACCAUUUGCACGUUCGACAUGUCCGUUUGUUUGGGGAUGGUAGACGGAGGCAUAAUCGAGCUUAAUGCCCAUGUUGCCGCACCAAGUUUUCACUUCAUCGGCUGUGAAGUUUGAGCCAUUGUCAGUGAUGAUGCUGUGGGGGACGCCGUAACAGUGUACAACCCCUAAUAUGAAGUCUAUCACUGGUCCGGAUUCGGCCAUUUUAACUGGUUCGGCUUCUAUCCAUUUGGUGAACUUGUCCACCAUGACCAAUAAGUAUUUUUCUUAUGGCUUCCCCCUUUAAGAGGUCUGACCAUAUCCAUCCCCCAGACCGCAAAGGGCCAGGUUAUGGGAAUUGUUUGGAGAGUGGUAGGGGGCAUAUGGCUCUGAUUGGCAAAGAGCUGGCAACCGACGCAGUGUUGGACAAGGUCCUGUGCAUCUGCCCGGGCUGUCGGCCAAUAAAAACCUGUACGGAAGGCUUUGCUGACAAGUGCCCGAGCCGUAGCGUGGUGCCCGCCGAGUCCGACAUGGAUUUCAGCCAAUAGCUGCCGCCCUUCCUCUUCGGAGAUGCAUCUUUGGAGCACUCCGGUGGCACUUUUCUUAUAGAGUUCUCCCUUAUGGACUUUGUAGGCCUUGGAAUGCUGCACAAUACAACGUGCUUCAUUUUGGUCCUCGGUGAGCUCCUGCCUAUUUAGGUAGGCCAAGAAUAUGUUAGGUGGGACAGGGUCACGUUUAGCGCCGACGCGGGCGAGGAUAUCCUCCGCUUGAUUGUUUUCUCGAGCCACAUGGUGGAAUUUGAGCCCCUUGAACCGAGAUGACAUUUUGAGGACGGCAUUGCGGUAUACCGCCAUUUUUGGAUCCUUGGCAUCAAAAUCUCCAUUUAUUUGUGAUAUUGCGAGGUUUGAGUCCCCGCGCACUUCCAGACGUUGAAUGCCCAUAGAGAUUGCCAUCCGAAGACCAUGCAACAGGGCCUCGUAUUCGGCUACGUUGUUGGAGUCUGUGUAUAAUAUUUGGAGUACGUAUUGGACCACGUAUCCGGUGGGGGAUGUCAGGACUACACCCGCUCCCAAUCUGGCCAUCAUUUUAGAACCGUCGAAGUGCAUGAUCCAAUUGGAGUACGCGCCGUACUCUUUAGGGAGUUCGGCUUCUGUCCAUUCGGCAACGAAGUCAGCCAAUACUUGUGACUUAAUGGCCCGCCGUGGUUUGUAUGUUAUGUCGAACGGAAGGAGCUCGAUGGCCCAUUUAGCAAUCUGUCCUGUGGCGUCGCGGUUGUUUAUUAUGUUGUUGAGUGGUACUUCGGAGGCCACCGCAAUCGAACACUCUUGAAAGUAGUGUCAUAGCUUCCGGGAUGACAUGAAGACCGCGUAUGCUAUCUUUUGAUAGUGUGGGUAUCAGGAUUUGCAUGGGGUGAGGACAGUUUACACGUAAUAUACCGGCUUUUGGAGCGGGAACUUGUAUCCAUCUACUUCUCGUUCGACGACGAGCACUGCGCUUACAACUUGAUGUGUUGCAGCUAUGUACAAUAGCAAAGGUUCGCCAAUAUUGGUGCUGUCAGGACUGGAUUACUGGCUAAUAGGGUCUUUAUUUCAUCCAGUCCGUCCGCAGUUGCAUCCGUCCACACGAAGUGUUUGGUGCGUCGAAGAAGGCAGUAAAGAGGUAGUGCCUUUUCUCCUAAUCGGGAGAUAAAGCGGCUUAAGGCAGCCACGCAUCCAGCUAGUUUCUGGAUAUGCUUGAGGUCUGUUGGGAUAGCCAACUGCGACAGAGCUCAGAUUUUUGCCAGGUUUCCUUCGAUUCCUCUAUUGGAAACGAUGAAGCCGAGCAACUUCCCGGAGGGUACGCCAAAAACACAUUUUUCCGGGUUGAGCUUGAUGUUGUAUGUUCGGAGGUUGUCGAUUGUAAGUCUCAAGUCAUCUAUUAAGGUUUCGACGUGUCUUGUUUUUAUGACUAUGUCAUCCCCAUAUGCCUCCACUGUUUUGCCGAUUUGCUUCUCCAGGCAUGUUUGAAUCAUGCGUUGAUAGGUUGCGCUGGCAUUUUUAAGCUCGAAAGGCAUAGUGUUGAAGCAGAAGGGACCAUAUGGCGUUAUGAAGGCCGUUGCAUCUUGGUCGGACUUGCCAUCUUUAUUUGAUGGUAUCUGGAGUAUGCGUCGAGGAAACAUAGUGAGUCGUGUCCAGCGGUAGCGUCGAUGAUUUGGUCGAUGCGAGGGAGGGGGAAGGGAUCCUUGGGGCAGGCCUUGUUGAGGUCUUUGAAAUUGAUGCAUGGGCGCCAGGAUUUGUCCUUCUUUGGUACCAUUACCAGAUUUGCCAGCCAAUCCGGAUGCUUUAUAUCUCUGAUGAAUCCGGCCUCAAGUAUCUUGGCUAGCUCUUCUCCCAUGGCUUGCCAUUUAGGUUGUGAGGAUCCCCUAAGAGUCUGUUUGACUGGCUUGUAUCCUUUCAGUAUAUUGAGGCUGUGUUCGGCCAGCCUACGUGGGAUGCCCGACAUGUCUGAAGUAUGCCAGGCGAAAAUGUCCCAAUUCUUGCGUAGGAAGUCUCGUAGUGCGGCGUUCAUUGUGGGGCUCAACUGUGUCUCGAUGGAAGCUGUCUUUGUGGGGUCCGUUGGAUGGACCUGGAAUUUGACUAUCUCGUCUGGGGGCUUGAAUGAGGUGGACUUGGGUCGUUUGUCGAGUAUCACGUCGUCCCUGUCCACUGUGGCGCGCAACAUUGUUAGUUCUUCGGCCGCUAGGGCUUCGGAUAAUGCUUCCAGGGCUAGUGUUGCAGUUUUAUUUUCGGCGCGGUUCGGAUCACUAGCUAGAGUGAUGAUUCCAUUGGGUCCGGGCAUUUUAAGCUUCAUGUACCCAUAAUGGGGUAUAGCUUGAAAGCUCAUGAAUGUGUCCCGCCCAAACAGGGCGUGGUAUCCGCUGCUGAAAGGAGCCACUUGGAAUGUGAUUUCUUCGGACCUAUAAUUCUCCAGGGUGCCGAAUACCACAUCGAGUGUGAUUUUUCCCGCACACAGUGCCUCCCGACUAGGGAUGAUUCCCCUGAAGGUCGUGCCGCUUUGCUCAAUGCAACUUUUAUCAAUUUCCAUCUUGUUGAGUGUUUCUUCAUAGAUCAAGUUUAAUCCGCUUCUCCCGUCCAUGAGUACUUUGGUGAGCCGAAAGCCGUCCACGAUUGGACUAAGGACCAAAGCGGCUGGUGCCCGGACUGUCUGGAAUUGAGGUUCGUCACUGGCACUGAAGGUUAUAGCAGUGUCGUUCCACGGAUUUAUUUUUGCCAUGUGGCAGAUUUCAGCGAAAUUUCAAUGAGCUCACUUGCGCCUAUUAUUUGAGGUGAAAGUCUCAAAGACUGUCAGUACCGCAUUGUUGUCUUCGGCGGGAUGUUGCUCUGCUUUAUGGUUUACAAGAAGAUCCUCGCCGUUUUUUGCUACCUGCCAGAGUUUGCAACAUGCUCUAAGGCUAUGCGUUGGCGUAGUAUCCGGCGUGCUGUGAAUUUUGCAUGGCCCAUUGAGCCAUUCUUCCAAUACAGUUCCAUGCCCUGGAAUGGGCUUUGGUUUUUUGGGAAUUGGAUCGGAUAACUUACGAGAGUUUACCCUUUUAGCUUGGACGAAGGGUUUAGUGAGAGCCGGAUUAUCCCAAAAGUCUGUUUGGAUUUUCCAGGUGCUUUCCAUUGCACAGUACUUCUGUACUAUGGCUGCUAAGUCGGCAAACUGUACUAUGUCACAGUGACUUAUAACAUUAAGGAUCCCUUUGUUCGUGCAACUUUUACAGAAAAGUGAGAUUGCGUCUUCCUCACGACAGUCCUUGACCUUGUUUAUCACAAGGAGGAAUCUGGCCCAGUAAUGACGUACUGUCUCUUGGGGCUCUUGUCUGAUAUGGGAGAGAUGGCUUAAGUCUGGGCGGGUGGGCGUAGUUAAAUCUGGAUUUUGAUCCGAUCUAACACCCAGGGGCAGAGGAGCUUCUGGGCUUGGCAGCUCGAGCUCCGGGAUGUUGCCCGAUUUUUCUGGCCCGUUGCCCGAUUCUGAGUCCGGGGUCUGGGUCAUGUCCUCCCGAGAACGAGUAUCCGACUCAGAGAGCUCGAUAAUCUGGACAUAGUUCAUCCUCAAAGAAGAGGGAUAAUCCAUGUGUGGCUCUUCCACUACCGCUAUCUCGUGGGUGACCGGUGGGGACUCCCAAAGCGGCGAUGCGAUCCAAGAGCUCAUUAAGGGAGAGAGCUCCAUUGGAUCCAUCUGUUCGGCGAGUUCUGAAUUGACGUGGAGGUUGUUUUUGAUGACCCGAGAGGUCAUUGUCGGUGCGGCAGCCGAUUGGGCGGCCAUGACGAAGCCGCCUAGUCAGAGAGUUUGGCCUACCGCUAGUGCUCCCCCAGAGGUGAUGUUGUCCUUGACAACGAGACGAGCCAUCGGGCCUUGCAGCAACGACAGAGAGGAACUCUCAAUGAAAGCACCAAUGUCGGUGUCAAAACCGGCGGAUCUCGGGUAGGGGGUCCCGAUCUGCGCGUCUAAGGCCAAUGGUAACAGGAGGCAAGGGACACGAUGUUUUACCCAGGUUCGGGCCCUCUCGAUGGAGGAAAAACCCUACUUCCUGCUUGAUUGAUCUUGACGAUAUGAGUAUUACAAGAGUUGAUCUACCACGAGAUCGUAGAGGCUAAACCCUAGAAGCUAGCCUAUGAUGAUUAUGAUUGUCCCCCUAUGGACUAAACCCUCUGGUUUAUAUAGACACCGGAGUGGGCUAGGGUUUACACAGAGUCGGUUACAAAGAAGGAGAUCUAACAUCCGGGUCGCCAAGCUUGUCUUCCACGCAAAGGAGAGUCCCAUCCAGACACAGGACGAAAUCUUGAGUCUUGUGUCUUCACGGUCCAACAGUCCGUCCAAAGUAUAUAGUCUGGCUGUCCGGAUACCCCCUUAUCCAGGACUCCCUCAAUGGGCCUCCUUUUAUAGGCGAAAGGGGCUGCCACAGUGGAACACAGGAGGUGGAAAGUGUUACAGUGCUGCGAGCUUAUCGCUGGUAUUACAGGACAAAGUGCAUUUAAUGCAAGGCUUAGGUCUCCCUUCACUUUAUCGGGGACGGGAGCGAGGCAUGUCCCGUCCGCCGCCGCUCCUCCUUGCUUUGACAUGCGCCCUGGCCAGCGAUGCAUGCGGUGCCAUGUAGGCAGACAGGCAGCUGAGGUGGCACGAUGGUGGAGCCUUCACGAAGGGCCGCAUGUUGCCAUGCAGGUGCCUGCCCAGCUGGUUGGGUCGGCAGCUGCAUGCGAACGGCGGCGGAGACUUGGCUGGCGUGGGCCUGGCGGUGGCCCUGCUGGCGCGCUUGGCGAGGGCCUUGCCAGGUGGCCCGGCAAGGGUCUUGCUGCGGCACGCCGUCAUCCCCGGCAAGAACCUUGCCAGGGGUCUCGUGGGCUUCCUCGGUAAGAACCCUGCCGAGGAUUGUUGCCUCCCUAUCCUCAUUUGAUCUUGACUGUUCUUUAUCUUCACAAAGAUCUGCAUGCCACCACGAAGGUGCCUCCCGAGCCCUGUCCCAAUGCGUUUGUUUAGUGUUGGUGGGCUCAAAGGUGGCUCGCUCAGCUGGUGUGGGCAAGCUGCCCCGGCAAGGGUCUUGCCGAGGCCGCCGAGGCUGCCCCGGCAAAGGUCCUUGCUGGGGAAACUUGCUUCGUCCAUCCGAUCCUUGUGGCCUUGGUCCCUGUCGUUGCUUUGUUUGUCUUGUGCCUUCGGCUUCUCUCCGGCUUCCCUUUCCUGCCCUGUUAUGCGUGGCCGUGGCGGGUGGCUCUGACUGCCCGUGCACAAGUAAAGGGGUCAAAAGCAGAGCCCCUACUUUUGUACACCGACAGCACCAAGCCUUGUAACGUAAGUUUUGUAGUAGGCGCCUGCACUCGGCAUCGAUAACUUGUGCUCAAGCCUCCUCGUAUCCCUCCUCACACCUGUAGAAGGUCUGCAAUCAAACGAGACAACAUUGAUUAGUACAAUAACUAAGCUUCUUCGAAGAUUUUUAAGUGUGUAAAGGAGAAAUUAUCCAAAAUGUUCUGAUCCCCAAGUCGGCCCUCGUGUGGCACAAGAUACCGUCGAUCAUCUCCUCCCGUGCGGCCGGGGCAGCCAAGUAGUGCUCCCAGGUCAAUCCUAGCUCUGGAAUCUAUCCCUCAUUGGGCAACAUGAGAAACCCCGGGAAGUUUUGCUGGCAAAUCACACCAAGGACUUGGUUGGGCCUGUGGACAUCCUAAGGGUGGUCCCAACCCCUGCAGUAUGACAAGGCCAACGCAUUAGGUAUUUGAAGAAACAUGAUGGCAAAAGGUAUGAAAAUAGUAAAUGCACUUACCUCGUCCCAUUAGGCCAAAUCAACCACCUCUGCUCACGGGUCGCCGGCAUGGACAGGAGCUCCCCUCAACCACCUCGUCCACGUUGCUGCUAUUAGAAAUCUGAUGCCUGCCACCAUCAGCAUGGCCACUCGACCCCUCAAGCGGAUCCUGCUAGGUACCCCAUCCGGACGUCUCCUGGGACGUAGCCUAGGUUGGAGUCACGUGGGCCCAAGUGUCCUGGCCCGAACUUUCAUGGGCCUAAGGCCCAUCGACCCGAGGCUAGUGGACCGGAGUCCAUGUAGCCUCCUCCUCAUACGUGCCCCCUAGCAGUCGUGUGCUUGGGUGACUCAGCUGGGGGUGGCGGCGAGGAAGGCGUAGGAGCCAGCCUACCUCUCCCAUGACCACUUCCUGAUCUACCUCCUCUCUUCUUCCCUCCCUGACCUCCUCUCCCGGUGGGCACUGAUGUCGACAAAGAAGGGCCCGUCCGUGUCCCCAAACUAUCUAACAACGCUCUCCAGAGAGGUGCGGGUGGAAUGGAAGAACCUCUCCCACCACGCUCUGGACCCGAGCCCACGAUCUUUCAACACAUGUCAUGAUAGAAGAGUAAAAGGAAUUAGUACAACAUAAAAAAAUUGAAUACCGACAUGAAUAAUAAAAUGUAUAUUAACUCAUCAGAUAAUAGGUAAAGGUAGGUCCAUCAGCAUGUAUAUUCAUCAGUUAAUCUAGUUUGUCAAUUUUGAAACUUCAAACAACCAAACUGACUCAUGACAAAAGAUCCUUGACCAUCGACCCCUCGACCCCUCGGCGAUGGGGACUAAAAGCCAAGAUUUGAAACUUCAAACAACCAAACUGAGAAAAAAAUCAGGGCGUAGAAAGAGAAACGAAAGACGAAAUAGUACAUAGUGAGAGGUUGUGCAACUAGGAUGAUUUUAUUGUACCAGCUUUUUUAAUGAAUUGGAGACGAUGAUGGUGAAGAAGUCAAAAGACACCAAUGGAUUUCGAGUUCUUCACUAUCAUACUUACAAAUUCAUUAAAAAAGCUAUUAUAGAAUAUCAUCCUAGUUGCACAACCUCUCACUACGUAUUGUUUCGUAUUUGGUUUCUCUUUCUAUGCUUUGAUUUUCUGUCAUGAGUCGGUUUGGGUGUUUCAACUUUCAACACUUGGCUUUUAAUCCUCGGCAAUCAUCGACCCCUCGACCCUAGACCCCUCGGCAACCCUCGACCCCUGACCCCUCGACAAUCCUCAAACACCUUCACUAGGAGCAUGGUGCGGUUGUUGUCGUAGCUUAAGAUGCGGACGUGCCCGAGCUGAAUGUCAUCAGCGCGGGCGAACUGCUUCAAUCCGUUCAUCACAGACGAAUGGAAGCAGUUCACCCACGCUCAUGACAUUCAGCUCGGGUGUGUGCUCGCCUUAAGCUACAACACCAGUCGGUCAGCACUGAGACCAGAAGAUCCUCGCCCCUCGACCCCUUGACCCUCGACCACUCAACCCCUCGGCGACCCUCGACCCCCUACCCCUCGGCAAUCCUCGACCCUCGACCCCUUGGAGGUCCUGUCGAACACCUUCACCCUGAGCAUCGUGCAACUAUUGGUGUAGCUUAAGAUGCAGACGUGCCCGAGCUAAAGGUCAUCAGCACGGGUGAACUGCUUCCGUCCGUUCUUCGCGCACGGAUGGAAGCAGUUCGCCCACUCUCAUGACCUUUAGCUCAGGGACGUCCUCAUCUUAAGCUACGACACCAGUCGGUCAACACUUGGACCGGAAGAUCCUCGAUCGUCGACCCCUAAACCCUCGACCCCUCGCCCCUCGAUCCUCGACCCUCUGCCCUGACCCUCGGCCCCUUGGCGACCGGCGAUCCUUGACCCGGUUCCGUCAGUGCCGACGCACCCCUAACCUCGACCCGAUUCCUUCGGUGCUGACCCACCCAUAACCUCCUCUUCUUCUUCUCCCGUUGUCGGUGUCAAAACCGGCGGAUCUCGGGUAGGGGGUCCCGAACUGUGCAUCUAGGCGGAUGGUAACAGGAGACAGGGGACACGAUGUUUUACCCAGGUUCGGGCCCUCUUGAUGGAGGUAAAACCCUACGUCCUGCUUGAUUGAUAUUGAUAUUGUGGAUGUUUACAAGAGUGGAUCUACCACGAGAUCAAGGAGGCUAAACCCUAGAAGCUAGACUAUGGUAUGAUUGUAAGGGUUGUUGUUGUUGUUGUCCUACGGACUAGAGCCAUCCGGUUUAUAUAGACACCGGAGAGGGCUAGGGUUACAUAGAGUCGGUUACAAUGGUAGGAGAUCUACAUAUCCGUAUCGCCAAGCUUGCCUUCCACGCCAAGGAAAGUCCCAUACGGACACGGGACGUAGUCUUCAAUCUUGUAUCUUCAUAGUCUUGGAGUCCGGUCGAUGAUGAUAGUCCGGCCGAUGAUAGUUCGGCUGAUGAUGGUAGUCCGGCUAUCCGGACACCCCCUAAUCCAGGACUCCCUCAGUAGCCCCUGAACCAGGCUUCAAUGACGAUAAGUCCGACGCGUAUAUUGCUUGGCAUUGCAAGGCGGGUUCCUCCUCCGAAUGAUAGAAGAUUGUGAACACCAGGAUAGUGUCCGGCUCUGCAAAAUAAAUUCCACAUUCUACCGUAGAGAGAAUAAUAUAUGCACAAGUUCAAUCUGCUGACGUUUUUUGCGGCAUGACGUCACGCCACUACCAAGCCAUUACUUGAAUCGUUUUUUACUCUACCACCUCAGCGCAUUCAGCGAAGCGGUUUCCUUGGCACGUCUUGUCGAAGCAGAGAUCGUGUUCCCCCUUAAUCUGGGAUUCUCAUCAAUACGGACAUGGGUAACCCAACCGCGCCAUUGAUGGUGACGCUUGGGGGAUAAGAGAGUUUUACCAGGCCGGUGGGGGACGCGUAGACUUCGCCCGCCCAUAUAAGGGAUAAGGAUUCACCUUUUCACCUACGCCUUCUUCCUCCUUUGCUUAUCCAUCUCCGCGCACUCAAGCUCCAGCGCCCAAGUCCGCACAUCUCGUCUCAACCUUCCCCAGUUAUGUCCGGAGCGGGAGGCAAGUGGAUGACCUCCUCCGUUACGGAGGAGCACAUCGAAAGACUACGCAGCGCCGGCUACCUGUCCGGCGACAUCGCGCACCGGCUGCCCGACGAGGAGCAGCUCAUCCCCAACCCCAGGCCCCAUGAGAGGGUCAUUUUUCUUCCCCAAUUCCUCCGCGGACUGGGUUUUCCACUUCACCCCUUUGUCCGGGGGCUCAUGUUCUACUACGGCCUGGAUUUCCAUGAUCUGGCGCCGAACUUCAUCCUCGACAUCUCGGCGUUUAUCAUCGUGUGCGAGGCCUUCCUCUGCAUCCAGCCCCACUUCGGCUUGUGGCUCAAGACCUUCAAUGUCAAGCCGAAGGUAGUGAAGGGCACUCAAGCGGAGUGCGGAGGCUCCAUGUUGAGCAAGAUGCCCAAUGUCCUUUGGUUCGAAGGGGCCUUCAUGGAAUCCGUCAAGGGUUGGCAAUCGGGGUGGUUCUAUAUCACCGAGUCGCGCGACCCUAAGUGGGCGGCGGCCACCGAGUUCAGAUUUGGUAUCCCCAUGCAGCUCACCUCCUGGAAAGAGAAGAGCUUGCUGUGGGGUAGUUCGGAGGAGCUGACGGGACUCCAAGCCUGUAUCCAGAAGCUGGUGAAGAAGCUCAGGCUGGUUAACGUGGUCCAAGUCAUGCUCGUCCGCCGGAUUCUCCCAUGCCAAGAGCGGGCAUUCAAUCUGUGGGAGUUCAAUCCGGAACAGCACCAGGCGAUGAGCGGGCUCUUCGAAACGACAUACGAAGGCGCCUGGAGGGUGCUGUUUAAGGGCGCUGAAGCCCCCGCAUCCGCGACUGAAGAUCGCGGAUUUCGCUCACAGCGCCAAGCCGACGAGGUAAGUGAUUCUACCCCUUUACGGGACACUUGCUUUUCAUAGUUUGACUUUAUGCGGGUUUUAAUUUCCCCUUUUCCUUUGACAGGACUGGAUGAGGAAGGCGGAGCAGAUUAUCUGCCCGGCUCCCAUGCCAGAAAACCCAGUAGACGCCCAUCUAGCGAGGCUGCUGGUUCCGGCACCGCACGUGGUGCCGGAGAAGAAGGCCAAGAAGGAGGCCACGGGUGCUCGAAAGAGUUCCCGUUUUCAGGUGUCCGAUGACUCCAGGGUGGACUCCUCCCCCGAAAACGAGGAGGAGAAAGAGGACUCUCUCCCAGAGGAGGGAGAGAGGAAGAGGAAGGCUUCCCCAACAGGGGAGGCCGAAGGGUCCAAGAGAGGAAGGACUAUUCCCUCGGACAGCUCCGCCAACAUCAAUGUUGGCGAGGAAGAAUGGCCUUCAAGGGCCAGGCCUCCAGCGAGAUCGUAAGUAUCUGGAUUCCUGAGUGAUUUAUAAUUUCUUUUUCUGUGUCACAUAGUGUCAUUCUGAUGCCGCAUGCUGCCUGUAGUCUGGCCAAUGAUGAUCUCCCCGCCUCAUCGGGCGGGUCGUUGGCUCCGUCGGAUGUAGACUCCAUCCCGACCGCCUCCACCCCUCGCGACACCGAGGACACCGAGGUGGGAUCCCAAGAAGGGACCCAUCAGGGGGAGGCUCCGGAGGCGUCACAAGGCGUCCUCCUGGACUUUACGCCGGACUCCAUAUCAGAACCCGCAAUGGUUCCGGAGUCCGGCCGGCGGCCCCUUCGCACGAAGGGCAAGACCGUGACGCCGGCGGCUUCCGUCCAACCGGAGGCACCAGACAAUUUGUUGGAGGCGCUCCAGAGCGCUUCCAUCAAGGAAGAACACCGCACUAUUAUGAGUGCGGUGAUUGAGAAGGUACAGCUGGCCAAGGGCGGGCUGACCGAAGCCUGCAGUAGCCUUCUAUCAGGCUUUGAGGUAAGAAGUUAAAAAUAUGCAAUGUAAUACCGCAUAGACAGUAGCCCCUGAUGCUCGGUUCGGUGUUCGGAAAGAAAAGCCGGACUGGGGAUCUGAAAAAAAAAAGAUAUACGCAGGGUUGCUAAAAAAUAUGUCAAUAUGGGUUGCAGGCUGCACUGCUGACCUCUGCCGCACUGACUGCAGAGGUCGGUGCUUUUAAGCAGGAGCUCGAGCGGUCCGAGCAAGAGCUCGGCCGCACCAAGAAGCAGCUCUAGGACAAAGAAGGUGAGUAACACUACUUUGAACUUGUACCUUACAGAAAAGGAUUUAGGUUGCAACAAAAAAUAACAAGGAUAACAUGGGUACUGCAGGGGCCACGAACGAGGUGGUGACCCUAAAGGAGGCUGUGUCUGCGGCCGAACGCAAUGCGGCCGCGGAACGGGCAGAGCGAGAAAAGCAGGAGGCGCGGGUGGCAGUGGUUCAGCAAGAGCUCCAGGCUCUCAUGGAAAAGCAUGAGAGUUUGGAGCGUGACUCAAAGACUUGAGAGUCCAAGCUUGCCUCGGCUCUCGAAAGUGCCAAGACUGCCAAGGCCGAUGCCCAUAAGUCCCUUCAGGAGAUUGAGUUGUUGAGGAAGAUAGCGGCGGGUAAGCCAUUUUUCAUGCAAAGCAAGCAUGUGAAUGUAAAUUACGUGUUACUUACCCGAAUUUGGAGCUCUCCAGGGGCGUUUGCAGAUCUGCCUCGCAAUGUGUCUGAUGCCGCCGCAUUCUACCGAGUCGAGGAGGGGAGCUCAACGGAGAAGGUCUUCUGGUCUCAGUAUGCUGAGGUCGGCCAUCCGGUGCCCCCUAGCGACCAGCUGAAGCAGCUGGUCGAGCUCCACAAGGUGGCCGAGCAGGCCAUGAAGGGCCUCAUAGUUCGGCUGUGGCCUGGAGAGGCCAUGCCUGGGAGCUACUUCGGUCUCGUGCGAUGGUUGGUGGAUGCGUGCCCCUGGGUGGAGGUUAUCAAGCACUCCGCUUGUAUUGAAGGUGCUCGUCGGGCCCUUGCCCGCGCAAAGGUGCAUUGGGGCAAGCUGGAUGCGGAGAAGCUAAUCACUGACGCACCACCAGCGGGCAAGGAAUAUCGUACGCCCGAGAUGUACUAUAAGACUGUCCUGAAGGGUGCCCGCAAGAUUGCGGAUGAGUGCCCCAGGGAUGAAAUUAUUGAGUAAAUUCACAAUGUGUUAUCCUAUGCGCUGAAAACUUUGUUCAUAUGCGCUAAGCAACGCUUGUUAAUUUAAAAUAUUACCUUCUGUGCGGCCGUUUAUUAAAUCUGAGAGAUGGCAAGUUGUCGGCUUCAGCCCCCAUGCCACGAGUGCUGGGGUGUUCGGGAUAAACUUGAGAACUCUUGUUCCCAUUUUUGGGUCCAUCUAGGGAGGCGCUCAACACAACGAACAAGGCAACUGGACUUAUAGUGCUUGAACACUCUCACUUAGCCAUAGAAUUCUAUAAUUUUAAAUUUUGGCGAAGCCCCUAGUAUUCGGAAGACCGAAUUAGGGGCGCUAUCCACGCCUUCGUCAGACAUUAUCCGGAACUUCGCUCGAAGCGGCGUAGGUCUUUAAGGACCUGAAAGGACCUCUCGAACAGUGACCAGUCUCUCGCCUUAUCAUGACAUUCAGUUUUAGCUUUCUCCACUGAGGCGUUAACUCGGCUCAACCGGGGCACAAUCGCAGUGGUUCUCCCAGUGCUACCUUAGCCGAUAAAACGGAAUGUAAGGUGCCAAACAUGGGAGCCGGGCAAACCCAACUAUUGACCCAAGACAUGAUUCGGAGCCGAUUCAUAUAAUGCUAUAAGUUCGGGGUGCCGCACUUGUGAAAGUGUUCGGACUUUAUCACACCAUAGUGCGGGGAGCAUAAGCCCCUGGUGUAUUUGGCCGUACCAAAAUGUACGGAUGCGACAUGUCGUAAAUGAACACAUAUAUAUAUAAGGUAAUGUAAUUAUGGGCAAAAAGUGCUGCAUUUUAUUCAAGAAGAUCUGCUAUGAGUGCGGAAUGAUACAAAUAGUGCGGAAAGCAAGGGAUUCGACGAAUUAAAGGCGUCUCCCUCCAGGGGUAGGCCGCGGAAUGGUGUAUUUAACAAAUUAAAUGCUCGUAGUGGAGACCACCUGAGUGUUCGUCGCGGCCUUUGUCCCUCCCUGGCUGUUGCAUCAUGAGUUCGGCAGGUUCGCCGCCGGACAGAGUUCUGUAUAAAAAAGAGAGAAAUAAAAGAUAAAAAGAGUGACACACUUGGGAGCCCCUGGUGUGGUCGAACCGCACUCUGGGUCUGUUGUGGUUGUGCCUCUCCCCCUAUGCCCAUGGUAUCUCCAGGGCAUAAUUAUGUAUGCGGAGAGUUUGUCUUACAAUUGUGCAAGGGCUGGGGUUGAGGCCGCAUUGCUACGCGUGCUCGGAACGUGCCAGGUGGUCUUGGUUGAUGUUGCUCCGGGCGCGUUUGGCCGUGUCCGGUCGUUUAACGGCCGGACUCGAAAAUUGACUUAAAAGGCUACUCUGUACUUCUGCCGCGAGAGCCGCUGUAUGUUCCUCCGUUCGGAGGGAGCGUUCCGUGUUUCCAUUGACCGUGAUGACUCCACGAGGACCUAGCAUCUUGAGCUUAAGGUAUGCAUAAUGUGGCACCGCGUUGAAUUUUUCGAACACGGUUCGUCCGAGCAGAACGUGAUAGCCACUGGGGAACGGGACUAUGUCGGAGAUUAACUCCUCAUUUCGGAAAUUAUCCGGGGAUCCGAAGACCACUUCCAGUGUGACUGAGCCUGUACAACUGGCCUCGACACCUGGUAUGACGCCUUUGAAGGUUGUCUUUGUAGGUUUAAUCCUUGAAGGGUCUAUGCCCAUCUUGCGCAUUGUAUCCUGAUAAAGCAGGUUCAGGCUACUGCCGCCGUCCAUCAGGACUCUCGUCAGGUGAAAUCCAUCGACGAUUGGGUCUAAAACCAAUGCGGCGAAUCCUCCAUGGCGGAUACUGGUCGGAUGGUCUCUUCGAUCGAAAGUGAUCGGGCAAGAGGACCAUGGGUUGAAUUUUGGGGCGACUGGCUCCAUCGCGUAUACGUCCCUUAGUGCACGCUUCCGCUCCCUCUUGGGAAUAUGCGUUGCGUAUAUCAUGUUUACCGUUCGAACUUGAGGAGGGAAUCCCUUUUGUCCUCUGUUGUUCGGCGGCCGGGUCUCUUCCUCGUCAUCGCUGUGUAGCCCCUUGUCAUUGUUUUCGGCGAUUAAUUUGCCUGCUGCCUGAAUACCCAACAAUCUCUGUUGGUGUGGUUAGCUGGCUUUUCGGGGGUUCCAUGUAUUUGACAGGAGCGGUCGAGUAUUCGGUCCAAAUUGGACAGGGCCGGAGUGGUUCUUUUGAAUGGCUUCUUUCGUUGACCGGGCUUGGAGCCUCGGAAUCCGGCGUUGACUGCCGUAUCCUCAUUGCUGUCGUCGUUAAUGCGGCGUUUGUUUUUGUUUUGACGCAACCUGCCAUUGCGGUCCUUGGUAUCCGGACUGCCAGUGUUUUUGCUGAGGUUGUUGUUACGAGCGAGCCAGCUAUCCUCUCCCGCACAAAAGCGGGUCAUGAGUGAUGUGAGGGCUGCCAUGGAUUUCGGCUUUUCCUGUCCUAGGUGUCGGGCCAGCCACUCGUCGCGGAUGUUAUGUUUGAAGGCAGCGAGGGCCUCUGCAUCCGGACAGUCGAUGAUUUGAUUUUUCUUUGUUAAGAACCGUGUCCAGAAUUGCCUGGCCGAUUCGUCUGGCUGCUGGAUUAUGUGGCUUAGGUCAUCUGCGUCUGGUGGUCGCACAUACGUGCCCUGGAAGUUGUCGAGGAAUGCGGCUUCCAGGUCUUCCCAGCAUCCAAUUGACUCUGCGGGCAGGCUGUUGAGCCAAUGCCGAGCUGGUCCUUUAAGCUUGAGCGGGAGAUAUUUGAUGGCGUGAAGAUCGUCGCCGCGGGCCAUGUGUAUAUGGAGGAGAUAAUCCUCAAUCCAAACCGCGGGGUCUGUUGUGCCAUCGUAGGAUUCGAUAUUAACAGGUUUAAACCAUUCAGGGAUUUGAUGAUCCAUUACUUCGUCAGUGAAGCAUAGAGGGUGUGCGGCGCCUCUGUAUUAAGCAAUAUCGCGACGUAGCUCGAUAGAGCAUUGUCUGCUGUGUUCGGCCCGGCCGGAGUAGUUGUAUCCGGCGCGACAGUAUUCAUCGUGGGUCUUGGGGCACCCACGUGAUCCAUAGAUAGAUCUGGAUUGUCUUGCCUUGUCCUCCAAUAUAUCCCGCAAGUCCGGCCCGUUCCCCCGUGGCUUCAUGCUUUUUGAGCGAUGCCGGGGUACGGUGUUGGUGGAGGGCUUGCAUGCCUCUCUGUCGCGGCCACGAGGUGGUCGGUCUGCCGUAUUGUGCGCUGGUGAUGCAGGUUUGUACGCUUCCUCCUCUAGUCGGGGGAGCAACUUGCGUUUUGGGUAACUUUUGGAGGGGCGUUCGAGUUCAUACUCUUCGGCCGCGAGGACCUCAGUCCAUCUGUCGGCCAGUAGGUCUUGAUCAGCUUGAAGCUGUUGCUGCUUUUUCUUUAGGCUGUUUGCCGUGGCCAUUAGCCUGCGUCUGAAACGCUCUUGUUCGACGGGAUCCUCAGGCACGACGAAUUCGUCGUUGUCGAGGCUUGCCUCGUCUCCGAAGGGAGGUAAGUAAUUAUCUCCUCGACCUCUUCAUCUGCCGCCCUCUCGUGAGGGCUUGCUUCUGCCUCCUCCUGCGCUGGAUCGUGCUAGAGGGGUUUGUCUUUGGCACUUUCUGGGGUGUUAUUAUCUCCUGUGCCGGAAUCUCCAUUCUUGCUGUGGCGGGAUUUAGAGCGGCGCCGCUGGCGUCGAUGCUUGGGCUGUUUCUUUAAGGAAUCGGCCUCCGUUGCUUCUUUGCCGUCCCCAUCUUUUGGGGUGUCCACCAUGUAUAUGUCGUAUGACGAGGUGGUCUUCCAGUGUCUUGUAGGCACUGGUUCUUGAUAGUCUUCGGCAUCGUCGUCCAUACCGUCGAUGUCCUCGGAGUCGUAGUCAAGUACGUCGGUUAGAUCGUCGACGGUGGCUACGAAGUGGGUGGUGGGUGGGCCCUGAAUUUCUUUGUCGUCCGCGUCCCAACCAUCCUGGCCGUAGUUCGGCCAGGGCUCUCCGGAUAGCGAGAGAUGCUUCAGCGAAUUUAAGAUAUCGCCGAAGGGUGAGUGCUGAAAGAUGUCCGCAGCGGUGAAUUCCAUGAUCGGCGCCCAGUCGGAUUCGACUGGCAGGGGCGCAGGAGGUUCGGAGUCCGGCAGGGAGUCCGGCGCCUCGGAGUCAUGAGCUUUAUGUGGGACAAGGUAAGUGUUCGGCUCCAUCGCCGUAGAAGUUGCAGCUCCCGAGGCGGUGUCCAGCCAUCCGUCCUCGAUCUGAGCGAUCGACUCCGGACUAUGGGUCGGAGCGGAUUCGUGUGCGGCCUCAAGGUGCUGUCCGGCGGCAGAGUUAGGUCGUGCCCAUCGUGACAGCGCGGCACGCUCGCCUGUGGCUCGGAUCCAUCGAAGAUCAAGUCCCCGCGGAUAUCGGCCGUGAAGUUUAGGCUUCCAAACCUGACCUGACGGCUAGGGGCGUAGAUUUCGAUCUGCUCCAGAUGGCCAAGUGAGUUGGCCCGCAGUGCGAAGCCGCCGAAUACGAAGAUCUGUCCGGGGAGAAAAGUCUCACCCAGGACUGCGUCGUUGUCGAUUGAAGAGGCCAUCAAGCCUAUCGGUGACGACACAGAGGAACUCUCAAUGAAAGCACCAAUGUCGGUGUCAAAACCGGCGGAUCUCGGGUAGGGGGUCCCGAACUGUGCGUCUAGGCCAAUGGUAACAGGAGACAGGGGACACGAUGUUUUACCCAGGUUCGGGCCUUCUUGAUGGAGGUAAAACCCUACGUCCUGCUUGAUUGAUAUUGAUAUUGUGGAUGUUUACAAGAGUGGAUCUACCACGAGAUCAAGGAGGCUAAACCCUAGAAGCUAGCCUAUGGUAUGAUUGUAAGGGUUGUUGUUGUUGUUGUCCUACGGACUAGAGCCAUCCGGUUUAUAUAGACACCGGAGAGGGCUAGGGUUACAUAGAGUCGGUUACAAUGGUAGGAGAUCUACAUAUCUGUAUCGCCAAGCUUGCCUUCCACACCAAGGAAAGUCCCAUCUGGACACGGGACGAAGUCUUCAAUCUUGUAUCUUCAUAGUCUUGGAGUCCGGUUGAUGAUGAUAGUCCGGCCGAUGAUAGUUCGGCUGAUGAUGGUAGUCCGGCUAUCCGGACACCCCCUAAUCUAGGACUCCCUCACCCGCCUCUUCCUCCUCCUCCUCCUCUUCUUCUUCUUCUUCUUCUUCUUCUUCUUCUUCUUCUUCUUCUUCUUCUUCUUCUUCUUCUUCUUCUUCUUCUUCUUCUUCUUCCUCUUCUUCUUCUUAUUUUUCUUCUUCUUCUUCUUAUUUUCAUCUUUCUUCUUUCUUAUUAACUAAACCUAAACUAAACUAAAUAUAAACCUAAAACUAAAAAACAGAAGAAAAAAAACCUAAACUAAACCUAAACUACACUAACUACACUAACUAAACCUAAAAAACAGAAGAAAAAAAACCUAAACNNNNNNNNNNNNNNNNNNNNNNNNNNNNNNNNNNNNNNNNNNNNNNNNNNNNNNNNNNNNNNNNNNNNNNNNNNNNNNNNNNNNNNNNNNNNNNNNNNNNNNNNNNNNNNNNNNNNNNNNNNNNNNNNNNNNNNNNNNNNNNNNNNNNNNNNNNNNNNNNNNNNNNNNNNNNNNNNNNNNNNNNNNNNNNNNNNNNNNNNNNNNNNNNNNNNNNNNNNNNNNNNNNNNNNNNNNNNNNNNNNNNNNNNNNNNNNNNNNNNNNNNNNNNNNNNNNNNNNNNNNNNNNNNNNNNNNNNNNNNNNNNNNNNNNNNNNNNNNNNNNNNNNNNNNNNNNNNNNNNNNNNNNNNNNNNNNNNNNNNNNNNNNNNNNNNNNNNNNNNNNNNNNNNNNNNNNNNNNNNNNNNNNNNNNNNNNNNNNNNNNNNNNNNNNNNNNNNNNNNNNNNNNNNNNNNNNNNNNNNNNNNNNNNNNNNNNNNNNNNNNNNNNNNNNNNNNNNNNNNNNNNNNNNNNNNNNNNNNNNNNNNNNNNNNNNNNNNNNNNNNNNNNNNCGCGGGGGGGAGGGGGCCAGGACGGCAAGGGCGACGGGGUCGCGGGGGUGCCGGGGCGGUGAGCCGGUGGGCGGCAGGGUGGUGUUGUGACGGGGCAGCGACGGGUGGUGGGGGCGGUGGCGUGCGUGUCAGGGAGGAGAGGGAGAGAAACAUAGAGAGAGAGGGGCGGGGUAGGGUGGGGCGCGACCAUUAGUUAAGUCAAAUGUUUGUCGUCUGCCACGCCUUUGCCGUGUGCCUUUUUGCUCUUUGUCGUAUGCUAGCAGAUGGCAAAGAGGGGGUUGUUAGGUUUUUUGUAACCAGCUUGUUAGUGAGGCCCACCUCCUUCUUUGCCGUCAGCUAGCUGUCGCCAAACCUCCUUUGUCGUCUGCUAGCAAACAGCAAAGAAGUGGCUGAUGGAAAAUAUUAUCUUUGUCGUGGCCAAUUCUGUGUUGUUCAUUUUUUGGAAGCAGACGACAAAGAGCUCCUUUGCCGUUCCCUAGAAGACAACAAAGAAGUGGUUGAUGGCAAAUCCUCUGAUUCCAGUAGUGUUCCAAGUUACAAUUAAACCCUUUGGUUGCCAGUAUGUCUAGCAGUCUAAACUAAUCCUCCUAUACCUAAAUCAUUGGCCUAUAGUUCUGAACUAAUCCUCCUAUACCUAAAUCAACGGCCCAUAAUUCUGAGCUAAUUGUUCUGCACCGAUUCUUGUACAACUCAGCUCUGCAACAACUGGUCAUUGGGAGCACUAACACUACUAUGAUGACCGAGAAAAUCAAGUCUUCUUCCAUGAACCGAAGCCAACACAUGCUUGCGGCAGAUUGAGCGACAAAAGGACCUGUCGCCAUAGUACAAGAUUCCUCACAUUCGCUAGUUAAGAUACUCGAUUUGUUAUAUAAAAGUUCUAUCUACUGUACUGAGGCCAGCUUAAUCAAUUCCUAGUUGACACUAAUUUUUCUUGUUAUUGUCCAUGGAUUGAAUCGGACAUCGAUAAAAUUAUCCCUAUGCACUUAUGUCAAUUUAAACAAUUUAAUAGUUGGGAGACACUAAUUUUGAAUCUCUACGCCCACAAGCAUAGUUCAUGCUCCUAGGAAACAAGCACGAAAUCCAAGCUCAUGAGAGCAACAAAGCAAGAAGAUAAUUUACUUGUGUGGUUCUAUCGUGUCUCAUGUGGUGGUCCAUCUGAAUCUCCUUGCAAACAAAAAAAGGCACCACGGGAGCACUCCAUCGUGAGCCUACAGAGUCCAGGUCUGCCGCCUCUAGCUAUGUGCAUCAGGACCAUACACUAUAAAAUGCUUGUGUCUAAUUAGACAAUAAAUAAUCCAGCAAUAAUCAUUAUUGGCACACUUCAAGCUAGGAAGGAACAUGAUAGAGAAGCAAAAGUAACUUGUCAAAAGAACAAAGGGAUAUUGUCAGGAUAAACUGAUUUCACACUGAAAGCCACAUGAAGAAGACCUACCUUAUGCGGAUUUCACAUAUGUGCAUUUUAAUAAUAUAACAACACAAAAUCACAUAUGUGUGUUUCACACUGAAAGGCCCAUCUGUCUUACGAUGAUGAAUUUUGAAAAUUGCAUAGGUUGGCCUGGAGAGAGAAUGGUGAGGAAAACAUGAAGUAACUAGCCAGGUGUCAAACUCCUUGGGUGCCUGGCCACGAGCAUGGGGAGCACAGCGGUGGGCGUGUCCAGGAGCGCGGUGACCUUGUCCUGGGGCGUGGUGAGGACCGUGGGGGGCUCGUCCAGCGGCGCGGUGGCUGCCAGGGACGCCACGUCCAGCGGUGAUACGUCUCCAAUGUAUCUAUAAUUAUUUAUUGUUCCAUGCUAUUAUAUUAUCUGUUUUGGAUAUUUUAUAUGCAUUAUUAUGCUAUUUUAUAUUAUUUUUGGGACUAACUUAUUAAUCGAGAGCCCGGUGCCAGUUUCUUUUUUCCUUGUUUUUAAGUUUCACAGAAAAGGAAUAUCAAACGAAGUCCAAACGGAGUAAUACCUUACGAUGAUUUUUCUUGGACCAGAAGACACCCAUAGGACUUGGAGUCCAAUCCAGAAUACCUACGAGGCAGCGACAAGGAUGGAGGGUGCACCCUAGGGGGGCGCCCCCUGCCUUGUGGCCCCCUCGGGAGUCCCCUGACCUACCUGUUCGUCCUAUAUAUUCAAAUAUAAUCCAGAACCCUCAGAGAGAGCCAUGAAAAUGCUUUUCCACCGCCGUAGGUCUCUGACCUCGUCAGAUCCCAUCUGGAGGCCUUUUCUGGCACUUUGCUGAAGGGGGAUUUGAUCACGGAGGGCAUCCACAUCAACCCUAUUGCCCUUCUGAUGAAGCAUGAGUAGUUUACCUCAGACCUAUGGGUCCAUAACUAGUAGCUAGAUGGCUUCUUCUCUCUCUUUGAUUCUCAAUACCAUGUUCUUCUCGAUGUUCUUGGAGCUAUCCGAUGAUAUCUUCUUUUGUGGUGUGUUUGUCGAGAUUCGAUGAAUUGUGGAUUUAUGAUCAGCUUAUCUAUGAAUAUUAUUUGAAUCUUCUUUAAAUUCUUAUAUGCAUGAUUUGAUAUAUUUGUAUUUCUCUUUGAAUUAUCGGUUUGGUUUGGCCAACUAGAUUGGUUUUUCUUGCAAUGGGAGAGGUGCUUAGCUUUGGGUUCAAUCUUGCAUGAUGGCGAGAACAAAAUGGAGUUGUUGAGAGGAAGAACCGGACACUCAUUGAGAUGGCGAGAAUGAUGCUUGAUGAAUACAAGACGCCAAGACACUUUUGGGCGGAAGCGGUUGAAACAGCUUGUCAUGCAACAAAUCGACUAUAUCGUCACAAGCUUCUCGGCAAGACGGCAUACGAGCUUCUCACUGGUAACAAACCACAACUUGGAUACUUUCGAGUAUUUGGCUCAAAGUGUUGCAUUCUUGAUAAGCAUCGUCGCUCGAAAUUUGGCCCUAAAUCUCAUGAAGGUUUCCUACUCGGUUAUUGCUCAAAUUCUCGCACUUACCGUGUCUACAACAAUUUCACCCGAAAGGUUGAAGAGACGGUAGAUGUGAAGUUUGAUGAAUCUAACGACUCACAAGAAGAGCAAUUGCCAAUUGAUGUAGGAGAUAAAGAUCCCUCGGAAGCAAUUCAAGACUUGUCUAUUGGAAAGAUUCGCCCAAUAGAGGUGAAGGAGAGUACCUCGUCCGUUCAAGUGGAAGCCUCAACUUCACACCAAGGUGAACCACAAGUUGACUUGGAGGCAUCCACAAGUGGAACAUGUCAAGAUGAAGGAAACGAGGAAGUACAACAAGGUGAACCCCAUCGAUCUCCUUCUCCACCUUGUCGGUGUCAAAACCGGCGGAUCUCGGGUAGGGGGUCCCGAACUGUGCGUCUAGGUGGAUGGUAACAGGAGACAAGGGACACGAUGUUUUUACCCAGAUCCGGGCCCUCUCAAUGGAGGUAUAACCCUACUCCUGCUUGAUUAAUAUUGAUGAUAUGGGUAGUACAAGAGUAGAUCUACCACGAGAUCAAAGAGGCUAAACCCUAGAAGCUAGCCUAUGGUAUGAUUGUUGUUCGUCCUAUGGACUAAAACCCUCCGGUUUAUAUAAACACCGGAAAGGGAUAGGGUUACACAGAGUCGGUUACAAUGGGAGGAGAUCUACAUAUCCGUAUCGCCAAGCUUGCCUUCCACGCCAAGGAAUGUCCCAUCCGGACACGGGACGAAGUCUUCAAUCUUGUAUCUUCAUAGUCCAGGAGUCCAGCCAAAGGUCAUAGUCCGGUCAUCCGGGCACCCCCUAAUCUGGGACUCCCUCAGUAGCCCUGAACCAGGCUUCAAUGACGACGAGUCCGGCGCGCCAAUUGUCUUCGGCAUUGCAAGGCGGGUUCCUCCUCCGAGUACUUCAUAGAAGAUGUUGAACACAAGGAUAGUGUCCGGCUCUGCAAAAUAAGUUCCACAUACCACCGUAGAGAGAAUAACUUUUGAACAAAUAUAAUUUGCUGACGUAUUCCGCAGCGUGACAUCACGCCACGGCCAAGCCUUUAUUCGAAUCGUUUUAUUAUCCCACCUCAGUGUGUUUAGCGAGGCGGUUUCCUUGGUACGUCUUGUCAAAGCAGGGAUCGUGUCCCCGUAUUCCAGGAUUCUCAACAAUACGGGCGUGGGUAACCCAACUGUGCCAUUAAUCACGGCGCUUGGGAGAUAAGCGAGUUUUACUAGGCUGGUGGGGGUACAUAUCUUCGUCCGCCCAUAUAAGGGGAUAAGGAUCCACUCUUUCCAUUUACGCCUUCUUCUUCCUUUGCUUAUCCAUCUCCACGCACUCGAGCUCCAACGCCCAAGCCCGCACUUCCCACCUCAACCUUCUCCAGUCAUGUCCGGAGCGGGAGGCAGGUGGAUGGCCUCAUCCGUCACGGAGGGGCACAUCAAAAUGCUGAGGAAGGCCGGAUACUUGUCCAACGACAUCGCGCACCGGCUCCCAGACGAGGGGCAGCUCAUCCCCACCCCUAGGCCCCAUGAGAGGGUUGUGUUCCUCCCCCAUUUCCUCCGCAGACUGGGCUUCCCACUCCACCCAUUCGUCCGGGGGCUCAUGUUCUACUACGGCUUGGACUUCCAUGAUCUGGCCCGAACUUCAUCCUCAACAUCUCGGCGUUUAUCGUCUUGUGCGAGGCCUUCCUCCGCAUUAAGCCCCACUUCGGCUUAUGGCUAAAGACCUUCAAUGUCAAGCCAAAGGUAGUGGGCGGCCGGCAAGUGGAGUGCGGAGGCGCCAUGGUGGGCAAAAUGCCCAAUGUCACAUGGCUCGAGGGCUCCUUUGUGGAUACCAUCAAGGGGUGGCAAUCGGGGUGGUUCUACAUCACCGAUCCGCGCGACCCUGAAUGGGCGGCGGCCCCCGAAUUCCGAUCUGGCAUCCCCACACGGCUCACCUCUUGGAAAGAGACGGGCCUGUCGUGGGGUAAUUGGGAAGAGGUGACCGGACUCCAAACCUGCGUCCAAAACCUGAUGGACAAGAAGGUUAAACUCGUCACCGUAGUCCAGGUCAUGCUCUUCCGCCGCAUCCUCCCGUGUCAACGAUGGGCUUUUAACCUGUGGGAAUUCGACCCCGGCCCAGCACCAAACUUUGUCCAGGCUUUUUGACACAACGCACGAAGAUGCCUAGAAGGUGCUAUUCAAGGGCUCCAAGGUUCAUCCUCCCACUACCGAGGAUCGCGGAUUCAGCGCGAAGCGCCCAGCUAGCACGGUGAGUUUAUUUUGCCCAUCAUAGGAUAUUUGUCUUUUUUAUAGUUUGACUCUAUGCGGGAUCUAAGCUCUUGUUCCUUUGACAGGACUGGCAGAAGAAGUCCGGACAAAUCAACUGUCCAGCUCCUUCGCCCGAAGGUCUGGCAGAUGCCCGGUUGGCAAAGCUGCUGGUCCCGCCACCUCACUUGGUGCCGGAGAAGAAGGCCCAAAAGAAGGCCACGGGAACUCGAAACAGCUCCCGGCGCCUGGUAGUGUCGGAUUCCUCGUCCGAGGAUUCCGAAGCGCGCUCCUCCCAUGAAGGCGAGGAGGAGGAAGAGGCCUCUCCCCCUCCAACGGGGGGAGGAAAGAAAAGGAAGGCCACCCUGACUAGGGGGGGGCGGAGGGUCCAAGAAGGGAAAAACCCUUCUCCUGGACAUCUCCACCAACGCCGACGACGGCGAAGAGGAGUGGCCAUCCAGGGCCAAGCCCCUAGCGAAACCGUAAGUAUCCGGAUAUCAGAAUAACUCACGGUGUUCCUUUAUGGCACAGUAUCUUCUAACGCUGAACAUAAUCAUGCAGUCUGCCCAAGGCCCAGCUCGACGCUUCAUCGAGCAGAUCCCUGGAUUCGUCGGACGUGAGCAGUCUUUUACUUCCAACCGCUACCUCCCCUCUGUUGGGGAACGUAGUAAUUUCAAAAAAAUUCCUAUGCACACGCAAGAUCAUGGUGAUGCAUAGCAACGAGAGGGGAGAGUGUUGUCCACGUACCCUCGUAGACUGUAAGCGGAAGCGUUAUGACAACGCGGUUGAUGUAGUCGUACAUCUUCACGAUCCGACCGAUCCAAGCACCGAACGUAUGUCACCUCCGAGUUCAGCACACGUUCAGCUCGAUGACAAUCCCCGGACUCCGAUCGAGCAGGGUGUCGGGGAUGAGUUCCGUCAGCAUGACGGUGUGGUGAUGAUGAUGAUGUUCUACCGAUGCAGGGCUUCGCCUAAGCACCGCAACGAUAUGAUCGAGGUGGAAUAUGGUGGAGGGGGGCACCGCACACGGCUAAGGAGCGGUCAUGAUGAUCAACUUGUGUGUCUUUGGGGUGCCCCCUGCCCCCGUAUAUAAAGGAGCAAGGGGAGGAGGGCCGGCCAAGGAGGAGGAGGCGCGCCCAAGGGGGGAGUCCUACUCCCAUUAGGAGUAGGACUCCUCCUUUCCUAGUAGGAGUAGGAGAGAAGGAAGGGGAAGAGAGAAGGGAAGGAAGGAGGGGGUGCGGCCCCUCCCUUAGUCCAAUUCGGACUAGGCCUUGGGGGGCGCGGUCUGCCCUAGGCAGCCCCUCCCACUUUCCCGUAUGGCCCAAUAAGGCCCAAUACUUCUCCCCAGCGAAUUCCCGUAACUCUCCGGUACUCCGAAAAAUACCCGAAUCACUCGGAACCUUUCCGAACUCUGAAUAUAGUCGUCCAAUAUAUCGAUCUAUACAUAUCGAUCAUUUCGAGACUCCUCGUCAUGUCCCCGGUCUCAUCCGGGACUCCGAACUCCUUCGGUACAUCAAAACUCAUAAACUCAUAAUAUAACUGUCAUCGAUACCUUAAGCGUGCGGACCCUAUGGGUUCGAGAACUAUGUAGACAUGACCGAGACACGUCUCCGGUCAAUAACCAAUAGCCGAACCUGGAUGCUCAUAUUGGUUCCCACAUAUUCUAUGAAGAUCUUUAUUGGUCAGACCGCAUAACAACAUACGUUGUUCCCUUUGUCAUCGGUAUGUUACUUGCCCGAGAUUGGUAUCUCAAUACCUAGUUCAAUCUCGUUACCGGCAAGUCUCUUUACUCAUUCCGUAAUACAUCAUCUCACAACUAACUCAUUAGUUGCAAUGCUUGCAAGGCUUAAGUGAUGUGCAUUACCGAGAGGGCCCAGAGAUACCUCUCCGACAAUCGGAGUGACAAAUCCUAAUCUCGAAAUAUGCCAACCCAACAAGUACCUUCGGAGACACCUGUAGAGCACCUUUAUAAUCACUCAGUUAAGUUGUGACGUUUGGUAGCACACAAAGUGUUCCUCCGGUAAAUGGGAGUUGCAUAAUCUCAUAGUCAUAGGAACAUGCAUAAGUCAUGAAGAAAGCAAUAGCAACAUACUAAACGAUCAAGUGCUAAGCUAACGGAAUGGGUCAAGUCAAUCACAUCAUUCUCCUAAUGAUGUGAUCUCGUUAAUCAAAUGACAACUCUUUUGUCCAUGGCUAGGAAACUUAACCAUCUUUGAUUCACGAGCUAGUCAAGUAGAGGCAUACUAGUGACACUAUGUUUGUCUACGUAUUCACACAUGUAUUAUGUUUCCGGUUAAUACAAUUCUACCAUGAAUAAUAAACAUUUAUCAUGAAAUAAGGAAAUAAAUAAUAACUUUAUUAUUGCCUCUAGGGCAUAAUUCCUUCACCCUCGCCCUACGGACGACACCGAGGUGGAGUCCCAAAAGGGGAUGAGCCAGGAGGAGGUAGCCCCGGAGGCGCCGCAAGGCGACCUUCCGGAUUCCAUGCGCCAAGGGGAUAGAACCCCAAAGGGCUCUAAGUCCGGCCCUGGACCGGACGCCGCACCGGAACCUUCAGUGGUUCCGGAGUCCGGCAGGCGGCCCCCUCAUAAGAAGGGCAAGCCUACGACGCCGGCGACCCCCGUCCAACCGGAGGCACCGGAACAUUUGCUGGAGGUGCUUAAAGGCGCCUCCAUCAACGAGGAGCACCGCACUAUUAUGAGUGCGGUGGUCAAGAAGGUUCAGUCCGCCAAGAGCAGGCUGACAGAAGCCUGUGCCAUCCUUCUAACAGGCUUCGAGGUAUGUAUUAAGACAUGUAAAAAUAUUACCACAUAGACAGUAGCCCCUGAUGCUCAGUUUGGUGUUCGAGAAGAAAAGCCGGACUGAGGAUCUAAAAAGAUAUACGCAGGAGUCUAACAUAAAUAUGUCAAUAUGGGAAUGCAGGCUGCGCUGCUGACCUCUGCCCCACUGACUGGGGAGGUCGAUGCAUUGAAGCAGAGCCUCGAGCGGUCCGAGAAUGAGCUCGGCCUUGCCAAGAAGCAUCUCGAGGAUAAGGAAGGUAAAUAGUACCUGAUGUUAGUAUAUAUAAAAUACCUAGUUGCAAAAAAAAUGACAGGACCAACGUGAGUGUUACAGGGGCCACAACCGAGGUGGCGACCCUGAAGGAAGCACUGUCCAAGGCCGAAGACAAUGCGGCCGUGGAGCGCACCGAGCGAGAAAAGCAGGAGGCGCGGGUGGCGAGGUGCGGCAAGAGCUCCAUACUCUUGUGAAGAAACACGAGAGAUUGGAGCUUGACUCAAAGGCUCGAGAGUCCGAGCUUGCCUCGGCUCUUGAGAGCGCCAAAUCCGCCAAGGCCAAAGCCCAAAAAGCCCUCCAGGAAAUUGAGGCGAUGAAAAAGAUAGCGGCAGGUAAGGCAUUCUUUAUGCAAAGCAAGCACGUGAAAGUAAGUUACUUGUUACUUACCCAAAUCCGGAGCUCUCUAGGAGCAUUCGCAGAUCUGCCCCGCAGUGUGUCCAAUGCUGCCGCAUUCUACCGAGCCGAGGAAGGGAGCUCGAUGGAGAAGGUGUUCUGGUCCCAGUAUGCUGAGGCCAGAUACCCGGUGCCCUUGAGCGACCAACUGAAGCAGCUGGUCGAGCUCCGUAAGGUAGCCGAACAGCCCAUGAAGGGCCUUAUAGUCCGGCUAUGGCCUGGCGAGGUCAUGGCCGGGAGCUACUUUGGGCUGGUGAGGCGGCUGGUGGAUGCCUGUCCAUGGAUUGAAGUCAUCAAGCGCUCCGUAUGCAUCGAAGGCGCCCAUAGGGCCCUUGCUCGUGCUAAGGUACACUGGGGCAAGAUGGAUGCUGAGAAGCUGGUGACAGAUGGGCCACCAGAGGGCAAGGAGCAUCGCAAGCCCGAGAUGUAUUAUGAGCGUGUCCUGAAGGGUGACCCCCUUGUGGCAAAUGAAUGUUCCAGGGAUUUAAUUUUUGAGUAAACUCGCUCGUGUUUAUCCUGUGCGCUGAAAACUUGUUCAUAUGCGCUAAGCAACGCUUUUUGAGUUUUAAAUAUUACCUUCUGUGCGGUCGUUUAGUAAAUCUGAGAGAUGCGAGUCGUCGGCUUCUGCCCCCAUGCCGCGAGUGCUGGGGUGUUCGGGAUAAACCUGAGCGCUCUUGUUCCCAUUCUUGGGUCCUUCGAGGGAGGCGCUCAGCACAACGAACAAGGCAAUCAGACUAUAAUGAUUUAUCACUCUCACUUAGCCAUAGAAUUCUAUAAUUUUAAAUUUUGGUGAAGCCCUUAGUAUUCGGAAGACCGAGUUCGAGGCGCUAUCCAUGCCUAGGCCGGACAAAGCCAGCUCCUCGCUCUAAGCGGCAUAAGUCUUUAGGGACUCGAAAACCUCUCGAACAGCGACCGGCUCUUGCCCUAUCAUGAUGGUCAGUUUUAGCUUUCUCUACUUAGGUGCUUAACCCAUCUCAAUUGGGGCACAAUCGCAGUAGUUCUCCCAGCGCUACCUUAGCCGAUAUAACGGAACGUAAGGUACCAAAACAUGGGAGCCGGGAAAACCCAACUAUUGACCCAAGACAUGAUUCGGAGCCGAUGCAUAUAAUGCUAUAAGUUCGGGGUGUCGCACUCGUGAGAGUGUUCGGACUUUUCAGACCAUAUUCUGGGGUACUUAAGCCCCUGGUGUACUAGCCGUACCAGAGUGUGCGGUUGCGUAAUGUCAUAACUGAACAUAUUUAAAGAAAAAAAGGAAUGCAAUAAUAGACAAGAGCUAUGUAUUGUUUAUUAAAAGGCUGUUGUAAAAGCAAAACGAUACAAAUAGUGCGAUAAGCAAGAGGUGGGAUUGUUUGACAUGUCCCCCUCCAGGGGCAAGCUGCGAAACUUUAUGUAAGACAUGUAUUUAGCUCGCUAUAGAGACCACCUGAACGUUCGAUGUAGCUUGCUGCUUCCCUGGCUGUUGCAUCGUGUGUUCGGCGAUUAUACUGCCAGACAGGCCUUUCGGAUAGUGGAGUCCUGAAAGUAAGAAAAAGGAAAUGACAAAGCUUGGAGCCCUUGGUGCAGUUGAGCCGCGUGUUGGGCGUGUCGUGGUUGUGUCCCUCCCCGUAUGCCCAUGGUACUUCCAGAGCGUAAUUAUGUAUGCGUAACACUGGUUUCGCAAUUUCCUGAGGGCUGGGGUUGGGGCCGCACUGCUACGGUUGCUCGGAACGUGCCAGGUGGUCUAUUUGUAGGCUACUCCGGGCGUGCUUGACGGUGUCCGGACGUUUAAUAGCCGGACUGGAGAAUUGCCUUGAGAGGCUACUUUGUACUUCUGCUGCUAGGGCCGCCGUAUGCUCCUCCAUUCGGAGAGAGCGUUCGGUGUUUCCAUUGACCGUAAUGACUCCUCGAGGGCCUGGCAUCUUGAGCUUGAGGUAUGUGUAGUGCGGCACCGCAUUGAACUUUGCAAAUGCGGUUCGUCCGAGCAGGGCGUGAUAGCCACUGCGGAACGGGACUAUGUCAAAGAUUAACUCCUUGCUUUGGACAUUAUCCGGGGAUCCGAAGACCACUUCCAGUGUAACUGAGCCAGUACAGUUGGCCUCCACACCUGGUAUGACGCCUUUAAAGGUCGUCUUUGUGGGUUUAAUCCUUGAGGGAUCUAUGCCCAUUUUUCACAUUGUAUCCUGAUAAAGAAGGUUCAGGCUGCUGCCGCCGUCCAUAAGGACUCUGGUGAGGUGGAAUCCGUCAAUGAUUGGGUCUUGAACCGAUGCUGCGAAUCCGCCGUGGCGGAUGCUAGUGGGGUGGUCCCUUCGAUCGAAGGUCAUCGGGCAGGAGGACCAUCGGUUGAACUUUGGGGUGACUGGCUCCAAUGCAUAUACAUCCCUGAGUGCACGCUUCUGUUCCCUUUUAGGGAUGUGGGUUGCGUAUAUCAUGUUCACCGUCCGCACUUGUGGGGGAAAGCCCUUCUGUCCCCUAUUGUUCGGCGGCCGGGGCUCCUCCUCGUCCUCACUAUACAGCCCCUUGUCUCUGUUCUUGGCGCUUAGCUUGCCUGCCUGCUUGAACACCCAACAAUCCCUGUUGGUGUGACUGGCUGGUUUUUCGGGGGUGUCGUGUAUCUGGCACAAGCGAUCGAGUAUUCGGUCCAAAUUGGACCGGCCCGGAGUAGUUCUUUUGAAUGGCUUUUCCCACUGACCGAGUUUAGGGCCUCGGAAUCCGGCAUUAACUGUCGUAUCCUCUGUGUUGUCGCCGUUAAUGCGGUGCUUGUGUUUGUUGCGACGCGACCUGCCAUUGUUGUCCUUGGUAUCCGAAUUACCAGGGCUCUUAAUCAUGUUAUUGCUACGAGCUAGCCAGUUGUCUUCUCCCGCGCAAAAGCGGGUCAUGAGUGUUGUGAGGGCUGCCAUGGAUUUCGGCUUUUCCUGUCCUAAGUGCCGGGCAAGCCAUUCGUCACGGAUGUUAUGUUUGAAGGCUGUGAGGGCCUCCGCGUCCGGACAGUCAACUAGUUGAUUUUUCUUGGUUAGGAACCGUGUCCAGAAUUGUCUGGCCGAUUCAUCUGGCUGCUGGAUGAUGUGGCUUAGGCCAUCGGCGUCUGGUGGUCGCACAUAGGUGCCCUGGAAAUUGUCGAGGAAUGCGGCUUCCAGGUCCUCCCAGCAACCAAUUGACUCUGCUGGCAAGCUGUUAAGCCAAUGUCGAGCUGGUCCUUUAAGCUUGAGUGGGAGGUAUUUGAUAGCGUGUAGAUCAUCACCGUGGGCCAUGUGGAUAUGAAGAAGAUAGUCCUCGACCCAUACCGCUGGAUCUGUUGUGCCAUCGUAUGAUUCGAUGUUUACGGGUUUAAAACCCUUGGGGAUUUGAUGAUCCAUUACUUCAUCUGUGAAGCAUAGUGGGUGUGUAGCGCCUCUGUACUGGGCUAUAUCACGACGUAGCUCAAAUGAGCUUUGUCUGCUGUGUUCGGCCUGGCCGUAUUUGCCAUAUCCGGCAUGACAGUUAUCAUUACGUGCUGUGGGGCGCCCACGCGAUUUGUAGAUCAAUCUUGUUUGCCUUGCCUUGUCCUCCAAUAUGUCUCGUAGGUCCAGCGCAUUUCCCCGUGCCUUGGUAUAGCGGCGCUGGGGUUCGCCUUGAAUUGAUGGCCGAGAGGCCUAUCUGCCAUGGCCACGAGGUGGCCGGUCGGCUGCGUCAUGCACUGGUGAUGCGGUUUGGGUGCUUCCUCCUCUAAUCGGGGUAGCAGCUUGCGGUUUGGGUAGCUCUUGGAGGGGCGUUCGAGUUCGUAUUCCUCGGCCACUAGGAUUUUGGUCCAUCUGUCGGCUAGCAAAUCUUGGUCAGCUCUAAGCUGCUGCUGUUUUUUCUUGAGGCUGCUUGUCAUGGCCAUAAGCCUGUGUUUGAAACGCUCUUGAUCGACGGGAUCCUCGGGCACGACAUAUUCGUAGUCGUCGAGGCUUGCCUCAUCUUUGAAGGGAGGCAUGUAAGUAUCGUCCUCUACCUCUCUGUCUGCCGCUUUCUCAUGAGGGAUGGUCUCUCCAUCCUCCUGUGUUGAAUCUAGCUGGAGGGGGUUGUCUUCGUCACUGUCCGGGGUGUUAUUAUUUCCCGUGCCGGAAUCGCCGUUUUUGCUUUGGCGGGAUUUAGAGCGGUGUCGCUGACGCCGGUGCUUAGGCUUCUUCUUGGAGGGGUCAUCCUCCGUUGUUCCAUCGCCAUCCCCUUCUUUUGGGGUGUCCACCAUAUAUAUGUCGUAUGACGAGGUGGCCUUCCAGUCCCCUAGAGGCGCUGGGUCUUGGUCGUCUCCUGCAUCGGUGUCCAUGCCGUCGAUGUCUUCGGAGUCGAAGUCGAGCAUGUCGGUUAAAUCAUCGACAGUGGCUAUGAAGUGGGUGGUGGGUGGGUUUUGAAUUUCUUCGUCGUCCGCAUCCCAACCUUGCUGCCCAUAGUCCGGCCAGGGCUCUCCUGAUAAAGAGAGAGAGACUUUAGUGAAUUUAUAAUGUCGCUAAAGGGCGAGUGCUGAAAGAUGUCCGGGGCGGCGAACUCCAUGAUCGGCGCCCCAUCGGGUUCGAUUGGCAGGGGCGCGGAAGGUUCGGAGUCCGAAAAGGAGUCCAGCAUCUUUGAGUCACGAGCUUUGCAAAGGACAAGGCUGGUGUUCGGCUUGAUCGCCGUGGAGAUUGCAGCCCCCAAGGCGGUGUCUAGCCACCCGUCCUCGAUUGGUGCAGUCGGCUCCGAACUAAGGGUCAGAGCGGGCACUGGAGCGGCCUCCAGGGCACUGUUCGGCGGCAGAGCUAGAUCAUGCCCAUCGUGACAGUGCGGCGCGCUUGGCCGUGGCUCGAAUCCUUCGAAGAUCAAGUCUCCGCAGAUGUCUGCCGUGUAGUUCAAACUUCCAAAUCUGACCUGAUGGCCAGGUGCGUACCUUUCGAUCUGCUCCAGAUGGCCAAGCGAAUUGGCCCGCAGUGCAAAGCCGCCGAAUGCGAAGAUUUGUCCGGGAGAAAAGUCUCACCCUGGACCGCGUCGUUGUUGAUGAUCGGGGGAGCCAUCGGGCCUAAAGAUGAUGACACAAAGGAACUCUCAAUGAGAGCACCAAUGUCGGUGUCAAAACUAGCGGAUCUCGGGUAGGGGGUCCCGAACUGUGCGUCUAGGCGGAUGGUAACAGGAGCCAAGGGACACGAUGUUUUUACCCAGGUUCGGGCCCUCUCGAUGGAGGUAAAACCCUACUUCUGCUUGAUUAAUAUUGAUGAUAUGGGUAGUACAAGAGUAGAUCUACCACGAGAUCAAAGAGGCUAAACCCUAGAAGCUAGCCUAUGGUAUGAUUAUUGUUCGUCCUGUGGACUAAAACCCUCCGAUUUAUAUAGACACCGGAAAGGGCUAGGGUUACACAGAGUCGGUUACAAUGGGAGGAGGUCUACAUAUCCGUAUCGCCAAGCUUGCCUUCCAUGCCAAGGAAUGUCCCAUCCGGACACGGGACGAAGUCUUCAAUCUUGUAUCUUCAUAGUCCAGGAGUCCGGCCAAAGGUCAUAGUCCGGUCAUCCGGACACCCCCUAAUCCAGGACUCCCUCACACCUCCACAAGAAAACAACAACGCUAACAACAAUGAAGAAGGACAAGAGGCAGAACAAGACAAUGAAGAGGAUGUUCCACACCGACCCAAACAAAAGCUUUCAUGAGUCCGAGCAAGAGUCUCAAGAGAUCAUCUCGUCGAACAAAUAUUUGAUGAUAUUCAAACCAGGAGAAUUACUUGCUCUAAAACUCGUUUGGCUAACUUUUGUGAACAUUACUCAUUGAUUUCUAGUAUUGAACCUAUGAAGGUUGAAGAAGCUCUUGAUGAUCCGGAUUGGGUGAACGCUAUGCAUGAAGAGCUACACAAUUUCGAGAGGAAUCAAGUAUGUACGUUGGUUGAAAAGCCCGAUGAGAAGCACAAUGUCAUUGGAACCAUAUUGGUGUUUCGGAAUAAUCAAGAUGAAGAUGGACAAGUUGUACACAACAGGGCCCGUCUCGUCGCCCAAGGCUACACUCAAGUCGAAGGUAUGGACUAUGGUGAUACAUAUGCCCCCGUUGCUAGACUUGAGUCCAUACGCAUCUUACUUGCUUAUGCCAAUCAUCAUGAUAUCAUUUUGUACCAAAUGGACAUAAAAAGUGUUUUUCUAAAUGGUGAAAUUGAGGAGGAAGUUUAUGUUAAACAGCCUCCCGGCUUUGUUAAUCCCAAGAAACCCGAUCAUGUUUACAAACUUCACAAAGCUCUUUAUGGUCUUAAACAAGCUCCUAGAGCUUGGUAUAAAUGCUUGACAGAGUUUCUAUUGAAAAAGGCUUUGAAAUUAGGAAGGUUGAUUCUACACAUUUUACUAAAAGGUUUAAUGGUGAAUUAUUUGUGUGCCAAAUUUAUGUGGAUGAUAUCAUAUUUGGUUCAACUAACCCUCAUUUUGUGAAAAGUUUGGAAGGCUAAUGCCGAAGAAGUUUGAGAUGUCUAUGAUAGUGAACUCAAAUUCUUUCUUGGUUUGAAAAUCAAGCAAACUAAGGAGGGUACCUUUGUUUCCCAAACAAAGUAUACCAAGGAUUAUUCAAGAAGUUCAACAUGCAAGAAAGCAAAGGUACGAAAACACCCAUGCCUAGUAGUGGACAUCUUGACUUGACUAAGGAUGGCAAACCUGUUGACCAAAAGGUUUACCGCUCUAUGAUUGGUUCAUUGUUAUAUCUAUGUGCCUCCCGUCCCGAUAUUAUGCUAAGUGUGUGCAUGUGUGCACGAUAUCAAGCGGCCCCUAAAGAAUAUCAUCUUAAGGUUGUGAAAAGGAUAGUGAGAUACUUAAUUCAUACACCAAAUUUUGGCAUUUGGUAUCCUAAGAGGUCUUCUUUUGAUCUUGUUGGCUACUCCGAUUCAGACUAUGCUGAUGACAAGGUUAAUCGAAAGUCCACUUCGGGUACUUGUCAAUUUCUUGGUAGAUCUCUUGUGUCUUGGUCCUCCAAGAAACAAAACUCGGUAUCCUUAUCCACUGCCGAAGCGGAAUAUAUUGCCACCAGAUCAUGUUGUGCUCAAUUACUUUGGAUGACCCAAACCCUUAAGUACUAUGGGAUAUAUGUGAAACAUGUUCCAUUUCUUUGUGAUAAUGAAAGUGCUAAUAAGAUUGCUCACAAUCCCGUGCAACAUUCUCGGACUAAGCAUAUUGAAGUUCGUCAUCACUUCAUUCGGGAUCAUGUUGCUAAAGGAGACAUCAAUCUUAAGCAUGUUCAUACCGGUAAGCAAUUGGCGGAUAUAUUCACCAAACCACUUGAUGAGAAAGUGUUUUGCCAUUGGGAGGUGAAUUAAACAUCAUUGAUGCCUCAAACCUGGAGUAGAAACUCCAUCUAGAUGCAUGCAAGGCAUGAGCCUUUUUAUGACUAAUUCUUGAUAAUUCUCUUAUGUUGAUCAUAUGUCUUGGAUCUAUACUUGUAUCCUUGCAUGUUAUCUAAUCCUUGUAGGUACUUUUGGAUGACCCCAAAUCUAUGAGAUUGCAAGUCACUCACAUCUUAAGCAAUCUCUAGAUCACCAAGUUUCUACUAUAUGGUUGUGGAAUACAAGGAAGGAUGAGCUCACUCAACAUAUGCUUUGACAAUUUCUAUAUAUUAAAUUUCAUUUGGUAUCAAGUUUCAUGAUUGUCAUUUUGGAUACACAAGUGCUUUUCCUUGCAAAAACUAACCCAUGUAGGAAGAUGAACUCAAACUACAAGUGGUGCUCUCAACACUUGAUGGACUACAUCAACCUUGAGCAUCCAACGCAAGUUCAACUACAUGACAAAGAUCGACACAACCCAAGGUAUGUUAUUCCAUCUUAGAGAAGCUCUGACCCAAGUCAUGAGGCAAAGCAACUCAACGAGAUGUGAAUACAUCAAAAUGCUUAAACAAAAUAUGGUAACCCCAUUUUGAGCUUAAACGAUGAGUAUGACCUACAAUCAAGUGUUAUCACUUGACUCCUCAGUCAAUAUACUCUAACAUAGGUGACUUUGUCGCCACCCCCCCCCCUCUAGAUGAAGUUCCCUAGUGUUUCUUUGUUCACUUCAUCUAGAUCUUUUGUCUACAUUUCUUUCUAUGUUUAAUUCAUUGCAAAUCCUUGUGAGAUUUAAUUUGUCUAGUGAGCUGAGUUGACAAAUCUUAUACUUUGCAUUGAACUUAGACUCACCAAUUCAUGCCUAUCGGAUAGACCGAACUACAUGAAUUACUUGUAGAUAAUUCAUUGGUACAACUGGUACGUCCAUUUUGCAUCAUGUUUUCCUACUGUUAUUUAUGUUUUGUUAUUGAAUAAUAAAGCUUUUUGGAGUUAUUCUAAUGCAUUUUCUCUCAUAAUAUGCAAGGUAUACACAAAGGCGGAGAAUUCUGGCAGCUGGAAAUCUGGACCUGGAAAAGCUACAUCAAGCUACCUAUUCUGCACAACUCCAAAUGAGUUGAAACUUCACCAGCAUUUUAUAUGGACUAUUUAAUAAAUAUUGGAGCAAAUAAGUACUAGAUGGGGGCACCAGGUGGGCACAACCCACCUGGGCGCGCCAGGAGGCCCAGGUGCGCCCUGGUGGGUGCUGCCCUCCUCGGCUCACCUCCGGUGCCCGACUUCUGGUAUAUAAGUCAUUUUGACCUAAAAUAAUUGAGGAGAGGACUUUCGGGACGAAGCGCCUCCGUCUCGAGGCAGAACUUGGGAAGGAGCACUAUUUCCCUCCAGCGGAGCGAUUUCGCCGGGGGAACUUCCCUCCCAGAGGGGGAAAUCAUCGUCAUCAUCAUCACCAACAACUCUCCCAUCUUGGGGAGGGCUAUCUUCAUCAACAUCUUCAACAGCACCAACUCCUCUCAAACCCUAGUUCAUCUCUUGUGUUCAAUCUUUGUACCGGAACUAUAGAUUGGUGCUUGUGGGCGACUAGUAGUGUUGAUUACAUCUUGUAGUUGAUUACUAUAUGGUUUAUUUGGUGGAAGAUUAUAUGUUCAGAUCCAUUAUUCUAUUUAAUACCCCUCUGAUCUUGAGCAUGAUUAUCAUUUUUGAGUAGUUACUUUUGUUCUUGAGGUGUCGGGAGAAAUCAUGUUGCAAGUAAUAAUGUGAACUUGAUAUGUGUUGGAUAUUUUGAUGAUAUGUAUGUUGUGAUUCCCUUAGUGGUGUCAUGUGAACGUCGACUGCAUGACACUUCACCAAUUUGGGCCUAAGGGAAUGCAUUGUGUAGUAGUUAUUAGAUGAUGGGUUGCGAGAGUGACAGAAGCUUAAACCCUAGUUUAUGCGCUAUUCCGUAAGGGACUGAUUGGAUCCAAAAGUUUAAUGCUAUGGUUAGAAUUUAUUCUUAAUACAUUUCUCAUAGUUGCGGAUGCUUGCGAGAGGGUUAAUCAUAAGUAGGAGGUUUGUUCAAGUAAGAACAGCACCUAAGCACCGGUCCACCCACAUAUCAAAUUAUCAAAGUAGUGAACACAAAUUAAGACAACAUGAUGAAAGUGACUAGAUGAAAUUCCCGUGUACCCUCAAGAACACUUUGCUUAUCAUAAGAGACCGCUUUGGCCUGUCCUUUGCCUCAAAAGGAUUGGGCUACCUUGCUGCACUUUUUUUACUACUAUCGUUACUUGCUCGUUACAAAUUAUCUUGCUAUCAAACUACUCUGCGACUUACAAUUUUAGCACUUGCAGACAUUACCUUGAUGUAAACCACUUCUCAUUUCCUUCUGCUCCUCGUUGUGUUCGACACUCUUACUUAUGAAAAGGAUACAAUUGACCCCAUAUACUUGUGGGUCAUCAAGGCUAUUUUCUGGCGCCAUUGCCGGGGAGUGAAGCGCUCUUGGUAAGUGGAAAUUGGUAAGGAAACAUUAUUACUAUGUGCUGAAAUUUAUUGUCACUUGCUACUAUGGAAAACAAUCCUUUGAGGGGUUUGUUUGGGGUAUCUUCACCAAGACCGGAACCACAAUUACUCGCCCCUCAACCUACUGCACCUACUCAAAAUAUUGAAUAUGAAAUUCCUUCGGGUAUGGUAGAACAACUGCUAGCUAAUCCUUAUGCAGGAGAUGGAACCGAACAUCCUGAUAUGCACUUGAUAUAUGUGGAUGAAAUUUGUGGAUUAUUUAAGCUUGCAGGUUUUCCCAGAGAUGAAGCUAAGAAGAAGGUUUUCCCUUUAUCUUUGAAGGGAAAAGCAUUGACCUGAUAUAGGCUAUGCGAUGAUCUUGGAACUGGAAUCGGUUGAAAUUGGAAUUUCAUCAAAAAAAUUAUCCUAUGCAUCUAGUUCAUCGUGAUCGGAACUAUAUAUAUAUAUAUUUUUUUUGGCCUCGUGAAGGAGAAAGUGUCACUCUAGCUUGGGGGAGGCUUAAGUCAAUGUUAUAUUCAUGCCCCAAUCAUGAGCUUUCAAGAGAAAUUAUUAUUCGGAAUUUUUAUGCUUGGCUUUCUCGUAGUGAUCAAUCCAUGCUCGAUACUUCUUGUACCCGUUCUUUUAUGAAGAAGACUAUUGAAUCCCGGUGCGAUCUUUUAGAAAGAAUUAAACGCAAUUCUGAAGAUUGGGAACUCUACGAAGGUAAAGAGUCAGGUAUUGAACCUAAGUUUGAUUGUGUUAAAUCUUUUAUGAAUACCGAUGCUUUUCAAAAGUUUAGCACUAAUUAUGGACUUGACUCUGAGAUAGGAGCUUCCUUUUGUGAAUCUUUUGCUACUCAUGUUGAUCUUCCUUAGGAGAAGUGGUUUAAAUAUCACCCACUAUUAAAGAAGAAGUUAAAGAACCAGUAAAAGCUAAAGAAGAAACUAUCAUUUACAAUGUUGAUCCAGUUGUUCCCAUUUCUUAUAUUGAAAAAACACCUUUCCCUGUUAGGAUGAAGGAACAUGCUAAAGCUUCAACUGUGGUUAACAAAAGUUAUGUUAGAACACCCAAACCAGCUAAGCAAAUCGGAGUUGAACAUAGUGUUGCUAUGAUUAAAGAUCUCUUAGUCGAUAAUAUUGAUGGGCAUGUUAUUUACUUCUAUGAUGAAGCUUCUAGAAUUGCCAAACCUGAUAAAAAGGAUAAACAUAGACCAGUUGUUGGCAUUCCUGUUGUCUCAGUUAAGAUAGGAGAUCAUUGUUAUCAUGGGCUAUGUGACCUAGGUGCUAGUGUGAGUGCUAUUCCUUUUUCCUUAUUUGAAGAAAUUAAGAAUGAAAUAGCACCUGCUGAAAUAGAAGACAUAGAUGUCACUAGUAAACUUGCCAAUAGAGAUACAAUAUCACCAAUUGGAAUUCUUAGAGAUGUUGAAGCCUUGUGUGGGAAAAUAAAAUACCCUACUAAUUUUAUUGUUCUUGGCUCCCAACAAGAUGAGUUUUGUCCCAUUAUCUUUGGUAGACCUUUCUUGAACACCGUCAAUGCUAGAAUAGACGGUAAGAAACAAACUGUCGGUGUUAGCUUUGGUGAUGAAUCUCAUGAAUUUAAUUUUUCCAAGUUUAGUAGACAACCUCAUAAGAAAGAUUUGCCUAGUAAGGAUGAAAUUAUUGGUCUUGCUUCUAUUGUUGUACCUCCUACUGAUCCUUUGGAACAAUAUUUGCUAGACCAUGAAAAUGAUUUGCAUAUGCGUGAAAGAAAUGAAAUAGAUAGAAUAUUUUUUUGAACAACACCUCUGCUUAAACACAAUUUGCAUAUUGAAACUCUAGGAGGUCGUCCUCCACCUAAAGGUGAUCCUGUGUUUGAAUUAAAACAAUUGCCAGACACUUUGAAAUAUGCUUAUCUUGAUGAGAAAAAGAUAUAUCAUGUUAUUAGUGCUAACCUUUCAAAAAAUGAAGAAGAAAGAUUAUUGAAAGUUCUAAGGAAGCACAGAGCUACUAUUGGAUAUACUCUUGAUAAUCUUAAGGGCAUUAGUCCCACUAUAUGUCAGCAGAAGAUUAAUAUAGAACCUGAUGCUAAACCCGUGGUUGAUCACCAACAUUGGUUAAAUUCAAAAAUGAAAGAAGUGGUAAGAACAGAAAUAUUGAAACUUCUGGAAGCAGGUAUAAUCUAUCCUAUAGAUGAUAGUAGAUGGGUAAGUCUUGUUAAUUGUGUCCCUAAGAAGGGAGGUAUUACUGUUGUUCCUAAUGAUAAGAAUGACCUUAUUCCACAUAGAAUUGUCACAGGUUAUAGGAUGGUAAUUGAUUAUACCAAAUUAAACAAAGCAACUAGAAAAGAUCAUUACCCUUUGUCUUUUAUUGAUCAAAUGUUAGAAACAUUAUCUAAGCACAUACAUUUUUGCUUCCUUGAUGGAUAUUCUGGUUUUUCACAAAUACCUAUUUCACAACGUGAUCAAGAAAAUACCACUUUUACUUGUCCUUUUGGAAUUUAUGCUUAUAAACGUAUGCCUUUUGGUUUCUGUAAUGCACCUGCUACCUUUCAAAGAUGUAUGACUGCUAUAUUCUCUGAUUUUUGUGAAAAGAUUGUUGAGGUUUUCAUGGAUGAAUUUUCUGUUUAUGGGAAGUCUUUUGAUGAUUGUUUAAGCAAUCUUGAUCGAGUUUUGCAGAGAUGUGAACAAACAAAUCUUGUCUUGAACUGGGAGAAGUGGCACUUUAUGGUUAACGAAGGUAUUGUUUUGGGCCAUAAAAUUUCUGAAAGAGGCACUGAAGUGGACCAGGCCAAGGUUGAUGCAAUUGAUAAAAUGCCAUGUCCUAAAGAUAUUAAAGGUAUUCGUAGUUUCCUUGGUCAUGUUGGUUUCUAUAGGAGGUUUAUCAAAGACUUUUCUAAAAUUUGUAGGCCUCUUACGAAUCUUUUGCAAAAGGAUAUUCCCUUUGUGUUCGAUGAUGAUUGCUUGGAAGCCUUUGAAACACUAAAGAAAGCCUUAAUUACAGCACCUUUGUUCAGCCACCUGAUUGGAACUUGCCUUUUGAGAUUAUGUGUGAUGCUAGUGAUUAUGUUGUUGGUGUUGUUCUAGGACAAAGAGUUGAUAAGAAACUGAAUGUUAUUCAUUAUGCCAGUAAAACUCUAGAAAGUGCUCAAUGAAACUAUGCUACUACUGAAAAAGAAUUCUUAGCAGUGGUGUUUGCUUGUGAUAAAUUUAGAUCUUACAUUGUUGAUUCUAAAGUGAUUGUUCACACCGAUCAUGCUGCUAUAAAAUAUCUUACGGAAAAGAAAGAUGCUAAACCUAGACUCAUUAGAUGGGUUCUGCUGCUACAAGAAUUUGAUUUGCAUAUUACUUAUAGGAAAGGAGCAGAGAAUCCCGUAGAUGAUAACUUGUUUAGGCUUGAAAAUAUUCUUGAUGACCCACAACCUAUUAAUGAUAGCUUUCCUGAUGAACAACUAGCUGCAAUAAAUGUUUCUAAUAGUACACCUUGGUAUGUUGACUAUGCUAAUUAUAUUGUUGCUAAAUACAUACCACCUAGUUUCACAUACCAACAAAAGAAAAUUUUCUUCUAUGAUUUAAUACAUUACUUUUGGGAUGACCCACAUAUUUAUAAAGAAGGAGUAGAUGGUAUUAUUAGACGUUGUGUACCUGAGGAUGAAUAGGAACAAAUCCUACAGAAAUGUCACUCGGAAGCUUAUGGAGGACAUCAUGCGGGAGAUAGAACCACUCAUAAGGUAUUGCAAUCUGGUUUUUAUUGGCUUAGUCUCUUCAAGGAUGCCCGUAAGUUUGUCUCAUCUUGUGAUGAAUGCCAAAUAAUAGGUAAUAUCAGUAAGCGUCAAGAAAUGCCUAUGAAUUAUUCACUUGUUGUUGAAGCAUUUGAUGUUUGGGGAUUUGAUUUCAUGGGACCUUUUCCUUCCUCUAAUGGGUAUACACAUAUUUUGGUUGCUAUUGAUUAUGUUACUAAGUGGGUAGAAGUUAUACCAACCAGUAUUGCUGAUCACAACACCUCUUUUAAAAUGCUUAAGGAAGUUAUUUUCCCAAGGUUUGGAGUCCCUAGAUAUUUAAUGACUGAUGGUGGUUCACACUUUAUUCAUGGUGCUUUCCGUAAAAUGCUUGCUAAGUAUGAUAUUAACCAUAGAAUUGCAUCACCUUAUCAUCCUCAGUCUAGUGGUCAAGUUGAACUUUGCAAUAGAGAAAUAAAACUAAUCUUACAAAAGACUGUUAAUAGGUCCCAGAAGAAUUGGUCUAAGAAAUUAGAUGAUGCACUUUGGGCUUAUAGAACAGGUUAUAAAAAUCCUAUGGGUAUGUCUCCAUAUAAAAUGGUUUAUGGAAAAGCUUGUCAUUUGCCUCUUGAGUUAGAACACAAAGCAUAUUGGGCAAUUAAAGAACUCAAUUAUGAUUUCAAACUUGCUGGUGAAAAGUGGCUAUUUGAUAUUAGCUCAUUAGAUGAAUGGAGAACUCAGGCUUAUGAAAAUGCAGCGUUAUUCAAAAAAAAUGUUGAAAGAUGGCAUGACAAAAGAAUCCAAAAGUGCGAGUUCAAAGUUGGAGAAUAUGUUCUUUUGUACAACUCUCGUUUCAGAUUCUUUGCAGGAAAACUCCUCUCCAAAUGGGAAGGACCCUAUGUCAUCGAGGAGGUCUAUCGAUCUGGAGCUAUAAAAAUAAAUAAUGCCAAAGGUACUAACCCGAAGGUUGUCAAUGGGCAACGAAUAAAACACUAUAUCUCAGUUACGCCCAUUAAUGUUGAAAGCAAUAUCAUCCAAACUUUGACACCGGAAGAACACAUAAACGAAACCUUCCAGAACACCCCAGAAUCACGAAAAAAUGGAGGUACGUGAUACGGUAAGUAAACAGACUCCGAAAAAUCCACAAAAAUAUUUUUUUUCAGUUUUGGAAUAUUUAAAAAAUUAGGAAAAUAAGAAACUUCCAGGAAAGUGACCCUGGUGGGCACUAUACACCAGGGCGCGCCUAGCAUGCCAGGCGUGCCCCGGUGGGUUGUGCCCACCUCGAGUACUUUCCGGACUCCGUUUUUCUUCCAUUGUGCUUGUUCCCCAAGAUAAAAAAUCUUUAUAUACCUCCCAAACCUGUUGAGCUCCGUAUCAUGGAGAAAUCGCAUGUUCUCUUUUCUUGUUGUUUUCUGUCAUAUCCAAUCCAUCAUGGCCGCUUCAAGCUCCUCCAAGGACAAGUUCUUCGACAACGUCAUCAACCCAUAUCUGCGGGAGGUGAUGCAGCACCCUCAAGCUAUCUAGAUGCGCGAUGGGGUGAUGCACAUCCGCGAUGUGCAAGGACCCAAGGGGACUGGAUCCGUGGAGGCCAGGCUUGAAGCUAUGGAGCAGGACAUCUUCAGGUGCAAGGGGAUGGUGGAACAUGGACUCAAUGCCAAUCAUCUCAUGAUCGCGGACUACACCCGUCAUCUCAAGGUGGAUGGAAAGUCCAUAAAGGACAGUGUCUUCUCCCUCAACGAGCAAAUCAACUUUCUCCAUAGCCAGAUUCAUGACCUUCAAAGCAAGUCUUUAAAUAUGAGGCAAGGUUUAAAGGUAUGAGUUUGGCUGCCAGUUGCAGGAUCUGAGAGACUCACUCUUCCUCUUUAUGAUGGUGAACCUCUCCCAUGGAAACCCGAGGACAAGAAACCUUCUAAUUCAUCAUCACCACCUCCUUCUUCACCACCAGAAGAAAAUUGAGUAUCGGGUACAGUCCCCUUGGCUUUUGCCAAUCUUGGGGGAGGUGCCUCGGUAUCGUAUCAUCUCCACUAUCUUUUGCCUAUACUUUCUUAAUUCGAUCCAUUGUUAUCUUUUGCUUUUAGAUGAAUAAAAGUUUAGUUCGAUCCUUUCUUUUUGAGAGUUUGCUUAGUGAUCAAUCAUUGUAAUCGUGUGCGAGAUAUAUAAUAAAGUUUAGUUUGAGUUUUGCCUUCUUUACUCUCUUGUUUCAAUAAAAAGAAAGGAAAUAAUGAAAAAGAUCAUAUGCUAACCUUAUGGUAGGUGAUGACAUUACACAAGGAAAAGUAUAAGUAGAAAAUUUUAUUGUAGAUUGACAAACAUAGCAUUGGUCAAUGACACAACUCAUGAAAUAAUUAAUAAGGGAAGAGAAGAUUCACAUAUAAAUAGACUAUCCUGGAAUCUUUUGUGAUUGUGAGCACCCAUCAAAAUAUUAUAUGCCAAAAUUGUUGACGUUGGACAAGGAAGACAACAUAAUGAUUUAUGUUUGUUCAUAUUCACGUAGAAGUUAUAUUGUCAUAGAUCCUUCAACAUGUGGUGCUUGCCCCAAUCUUUGCUAGCCAAAAACUCCGCACUAAGUAGAGAUACUAGUUGUGCAUCCAAAACCCUUAAACCUAAAUCUUGUUUGAGAGUCCACCAUACCUACCUAUGGAUUGAGUAAGAUCCAUCAAGUAAGUUGUCAUCAGUGCAAAAAUGGCAAUAAAAAUUGCUUCUAAAAGUGUGAUAUCAUUUAGUGUAAGGGAAAAUUGAGCGUUAUACAAACUUCUGAUGGCGAAGAAUAAAAGCAGCAAACUUCAUAAUAAAGGUUUCCAUCACAAGGGGCAAUAUAAUGUGAUGUUCUCUUGCACUAAGGGGUUGAGCAUACAAAAAAAUGCAUGGCAACCUUUGCUUCCCUCUGCAAAGGGCCUAUCUUUUACUUUCACGUAUUACUUUCAUGCAAGAGUCAAAGUUUUCUCUCUAUUCCUUUUAUUUUUCUCCUUUGGCAAGCAUCAUGUGGUGAGGAAAGAUCUAGGCACAUAUAUCCACUUGAAUAUGAGUAGCAUGAGUUAUUAUUGUUGACAUCACCAUUGAGGUGAAUGCGUUGGGAGGUGAAACUAUAAGCCCCUACCUUCCUAUGUGUCUGGUUGAAACAUUUUGCUCAUGUGUACGCGGUGAGUGUUAGCAAUCAUAGAAGACUAAAUGAUGGUUGAGUGUGGACUUGCCUAAAGGCUCCGAUACGUGACCCUUCCUGAAAAGAUGAUGAAUUGUAAUUGCAAAAUUGACUGAGAACAUAGUUUGUUGACUUCCAAUAAAGUUUAUGCUUUAUACUUCGAUGUUGUGAUGAAUUGUCACUUGUUCAUGAGAAGUCUAUGAUAAAAGUUAUAUGAUAAAAGUUAUAUGUUAAAGUUUAUUGUUGUUAUAAUAAGUUACAUGAUGCUGCUAUGUCCGUAUUUUUGUUUUUAUCGACACCUCUCCCUCUAAGAUUGUGGACAUGUUUUUGAUUUCGGUUUUCGCUUGAGGACAAGCGAGGUCUAAGCUUGGGGGAGUUGAUACGUCCAUUUUGCAUCAAGUUUUCCUACUGUUAUUUAUGUUGUUUUAUUGUAUAAUAAUGCUUUUUGUAGUAAUUCUAAUGCCUUUUCUCUCAUAAUAUGCAAGGUAUACAGAAAGGGGGAGAAUUUUGGCAGGUGGACCUGAAAAGGCUAUGUCAAGCUACCUAUUUUUCACAACUCCAAAUGAGCUGAAACUUCACGAGGACUUUUAUAAAUAUUUAAUAAAUAUUGGAGCAAAUAAGUACCAGAGGGGGGCCACCAGGUGGGCACAACCCACCUGGGUGCGCCAGGAGGCCUAGGCGUGCCUUGGUGGGUGCUGCCCUCCUCGGCACACCUUCGGUGCCCGUCUUCUAGUAUAUAAGUCAUUUUGACCUAAAAUAAUUGAGGAGAGGACUUUCGGGAUGAAGCGCCUCCAUCUCGAGGCGGAACUUGGGCAGGAGCACUUUUGCCCUCCGGCAAAGCGAUUCCGCCGGGGGAACUUCCCUCCUGGAGGGGGAAAUCAUCGUCAUCAUCAUCACCAACAACUCUCCCAUCUUGGGGUGGGCUAUCUUCAUCAACAUCUUCAACAGCACCAACUCCUCUCAAUCCCUAGUUCAUCUCUUGUGUUCAAUCUAUACCAGAACUGUAGAUUGGUGCUUGUGGGUGACUAGUAGUGUUGAUUACAUCUUGUAGUUGAUUACUAUAUGGUUUAUUUGGUGGAAGAUUAUAUGUCUAGAUCCAUUACGCUAUUUAAUACCCCUCUGAUCUUGAGCAUGAUUAUCAUUUGUGAGUAGUUACUUUUGUUCUUGAGGUCAUGGGAAAAAUCAUGUUGCAAGUAAUCAUGUGAACUUGAUAUGUGUUUGAUAUUUUGAUGAUAUGUAUGUUGUGAUUCCCUUAGUGGUGUCAUGUGAACGUCGACUACAUGACACUUCACCAUAUUUGGGCCUUAGGGAAUGCAUUGUGGAGUAGUUAUUAGAUGAUGGGUUGUGAGAGUGACAGAAGCUUAAACCCCAAUUUAUGCGCUAUUCCGUAAGGGACCAAUUGGAUCCAAAACUUUAAUGCUAUGGUUAGAAUUUAUUCUUAAUACUUUUCCCGUAGUUGCGGAUGCUUGCAAGAGGGUUAAUCAUAAGUAGGAGGUUUGUUCAAGUAAGAACAACACCUAAGCACCGGUCCACCCACAUAUCAAAUUAUCAAAGUAGUGAACACGAAUUAAGCCAACAUGAUGAAAGUGACUAGAUGAAAUUCCCGUGUACCCUCAAGAACACUUUGCUUAUCAUAAGAGACCGUUUUGGCAUGUACUUUGCCUGGAAAGGAUUGGGAUACCUUGCUACAUUUUUUACUAAUAUCGUCACUUGCUCGUUACAAAUUAUCUUGCUAUCAAACUACUCCGCUACUUACAAUUUUAGCACUUGCAGACAUUACCUUGCUGAAAACCACUUGUCAUUUCCUUCUGGUCCUCGGUUGGUUCGACACUCUUACUUAUAGAAAAGUCUAUAAUUGACCUCAUAUACUUGUGGGUCAUCAACAACUGACGCGGACUAUCCCGGUCUGACCGAUAUGCAUCAUUUUUUACACUGCCAACUCGGUGUCACCGAUGAAAACAGGUUGGCAUUACCGAUUUCACAGCUGAGAAAACUUUUUGUCAUUGCAUAUUUGUUUUCUUCUGCAGCUCCACUCAAUGAUUCUUAUCCUCUACCCGCAUCAUAAACUACAUGUUGCUUUGUAAUGUGUCUCAAGGACCAAACCUAUUUGACUCAUACUCCAGAAGUUCCCUUCUUGGAAAUUGAUGUCAAAGGGGGAGAGAGAGCAUAUCAAAGCUUAUCACAUGGGAGAGAAAGCACAUCUUAGCUUCUCCAGAUGCCUGUUAACAAUAGAGGAGAGAAGUCACAUAUUUUUAAGAGGGGAAAGACAUGUUAAUAUAUACUUGAUUGUACCAUUUCCUGCUCUAAUUUUCUCUUACCCUACCUUCUCCCAUUAUCCAAUAUCAGAUUCAGGGGGAGAAAGAGUUCAUAUCUAGGGGAAGAAAAUCUUUGGAAUUCAUUGCAUAUGUUUAACCUUUGGGGAGAUGUCUAUAUCCAAAUGGAGUACUAAGUACUCACUCAUUACAUUCAUCAUCCCAGUCUUGGUACUCUUGUGGUUUCCCUAAAUUGCUUUAAUUAGAGUGUUCUUGCGUUAUCUAACCCUAUUUUCUCAAGUUCACCUCUUCCAAAGCCAUCUCAAGACCACAAGGUAAGUAUAUGCAUCACACUCAUGUGCAUGAUGAUUUCUUGUUGAUGUACAUAUUAUUUGCAAGAAGGACUCAUGAACAUGAAUAUACACUUAUCUUAUCUACAUCAUUUUCUCUUAUGCAUAUAGCCAAGAUACAUAUAACUCAUUGCUUGCUCUGACAUGCUUAUGAAUUCACAUGUUCUCAUAUUCCAUCUUUACAUGAUUGCAUACAUGUAGGGGGAGCCUAUGCAUGUUACAUGUCUUUCCAAAGCUUUACGUGUUACUCUUCAUAUCAUUUUAUCCAAAGCUUUGAUGUAUGUUGUCAUCAAUUAUCAAAAAGGGGGAGAUUGAAAGCACAAGUGCUCCCUAGGUGGUUUUGGUAAUUAAUGACAACAUAUCUCUUGUUGGACUAAUACCUUUGAAGGAAAUAUUGUUGGAAAUAUGCCCUAGAGGCAAUAAUAAAAGUAUUAUUAUAUUUCAUUGUUCAUGAUAAUUGUCUUUUAUUCAUGCUAUAACUGUAUUAUCCGGAAAUCGUAAUACACGUGUGAAUACUUAGACCACACUAUGUCCCUGGUAAGCCUCUAGUUGACCAGCUCGUUGUGAUCAACAGAUAGACAUGGUUUCCUGACUAUGGACAUUGGAUGUCGUUGAUAACGGGAUCACAUCAUUAGGAGAAUGAUGUGAUGGACAAGACCCAAUCCUAAGCAUAGCAUAAAAGAUCGUGUAGUUCGUUUUGCUAGAGCUUUGCAAGUGUCAAGUAUCUCUUCCUUCAACCAUGAGAUCGUGUAACUCCCGGAUACCGUAAGAGUGCCUUGGGUGUAUCAAACGUCACAACGUAACUGGGUGACUAUAAAGGUGCAUUACAGGUAUCUCCGAAAGUAGCUGUUGGGUUGACACGGAUCGAGACUGGGAUUUGUCACUCCGUAUGACGGACAGGUAUCUCUGGGCCCACUCGGUAAUGCAUCAUCAUAAUGAGCUCAACGUGACCAAGGUGUUGGACACGGGAUCAUGCAUUACGGUACGAGUAAAGUGACUUGCCCGUAACGAGACUGAACAAGGUAUUGGGAUACCGACGAUCGAGUCUCGGGCAAGUAACGUACCGAUUGACAAAGGGAAUUGCAUACAGGGUUUGAUCGAAUCCUCGACAUAGUGGUUCAUCCGAUGACAACAUCGAGGAGCAUGUGGGAGCCAUCAUGGGUAUCCAGAUCCCGCUGAUGGUUAUUGACUGAGAGCGUCUCGGUCAUGUCUGCAUGUCUCCCGAACCCGUAGGGUCUACACACUUAAGGUUCGGUGACGCUAGGGUUAUGAAGAUAUGGAUAUGCAGAAACCCGAAUGUUGUUCGGAUUCCCGGAUGAGAUCCCGGACGUCACGAGGAGUUCCGGAAUGGUCCGGAGGUAAAGAAUUAUAUAUAGGAAGUGCUAUUUCGGGCAUCGGGACAAGUUUCGGGGUUAUCGGUAUUGUACCGGGACCACCGGAAGGGUCCCGGGGGUCCACCGGGUGGGGCCACCUGUCCCGGGGGGCUACAUGGGCUGUAGGGGGUGCGCCUUGGCCAUCAUGGGCCAAGGGCACCAGCCCCUAUAGGCCCAUGCGCCUAGGGUUUCCCCCUAGGAGGAGUCCUAGUGGUGGAAGGCACCCCUAGGUGCCUUGGGGGGAGGGAAACCUCCCCUAGGCCGCCGCCCCCCUAGUAGAUCUCAUCUACUAGGGCCGGCGCCCCCCCUGGCACCCCUAUAUAUAGUGGGGGAGAGGAGGGACUUCAUACACCAGCCCCUGGCGCCUCCACCUCCCCCCGUUACGUCUCUCCCUCGUAGUCUCGGCGAAGCCCUGCUGCUGUGACGCCCUGCAUCCACCACCACGCCGUCGUGCUGCUGGAUCUUCAUCAACCUCUCCUUCCCCCUUGCUGGAUCAAGAAGGAGGAGACGUCUCCCGUCCCGUACAUGUGUUGAACGCGGAGGUGCCGUCCGUUCGGCGCUGGUCAUCAGUGAUUUGGAUCACGUCGAGUACGACUACAUCAUCACCUUGCAAGCUUCCGCACGCGAUCUACAAGUGGUAUGUAGAUGCAAACUCUCUCCCUAGACUCGUUGCUUAGAUGAACUCAUAGAUGGAUCUUGGUGAAACCGUAGGAAAAAUUUUAAUUUUCUGCAACGUUCCCCGACAGUGGCAUCAUGAGCUAGGUCUAUGCGUAGUUCCCUUUGCACGGGUAGAACACAACUUUGUUGUGGGCGUGGAUUUUGUCAUCUUACUUGCCUCUACUAGUCUUUUCUUGCUCAACGGUAUUGUGGGAUGAAGCGGCCCGGACCAACCUUACACGUACACUUACGUGAGACCGGUUCCACCGACUGACAUGCACAAGUUGCAUAAGGUGGCUGGCGGGUGUCUGUCUCUCCCACCUUAGUUGGAGCGGAAUCGAUGAACAGGGCCCUUAUGAAGGGUAAAUAGAAGUUGACAAAAUCACGUUGUGGUGAUUCGUAGGUAAGAAAACGUUCUUGCUAGAACCCAAUUGCAGCCACGUAAAAGAUGCAACAACAAUUAGAGGACGUCUAACUUGUUUUUGCAGCGAUUGAUCAUGUGAUGUGAUAUGGCCAGAAGUUGUGAUGAAUGAUGAAUUGUGAUGUAUGAGAUCAUGUUCUUUGUAAUAGGAUUCACGACUUGCAUGUCGAUGAGUAUGACAACCGGCAGGAGCCAUAGGAGUUUUCAUUAUUUUUUGUAUGACCUGCGUGUCAUUGAAUAACUUCAUGUAAACUACUUUACUUUAUUGCUAAACGUUAGUCAUAUAAGUAGAAGUAGUCGUUGGCGUGACAACUUCAUGAAGACACGAUGAUGGAGAUCAUGAUGAUGGAGAUCAUGGUGUCAAGCCGGUGACAAGAUGAUCAUGGAGCCCCGAAGAUGAAGAUCAAUGGAGCUAUAUGAUAUUGGCCAUAUCAUGUCACAACUAUAUAAUUGCAUGUGAUGUUUAUUAUGUAUUAUGCAUCUUGUUUACUUAGGACGACGGUAGUAAAUAAGAUGAUCCCUUAUAAAAUUUCAAGAAAUGUUCUCCCCUAACUGUGCACCGUUGCUAUAGUUCGUCGUUUCUAAGCACCACGUGAUGAUCGGGUGUGAUGGAUUCUUACGUUCACAUACAACGGGUGUAAGACAGUUUUACACAGCGAAAACACUUAGGGUUAACUUGACGAGCCUAGCAUGUGCAGACAUGGCCUCGGAACACGGAGACCGAAAGGUCGAACACGAGUCGUAUGGAAGAUACGAUCAACAUGAGAAUGUUCACUGACGAUGACUAGUCCGUCUCACGUGAUGAUCGGACACGGGCUAGUCGACUCGGAUCGUGUAACACUUAGAUGACUAAAGGGAUGUCUAAUCUAAGUGGGAGUUCAUAAUUUGAUUAGAACUUUAUUAUCAUGAACUUAGUCUAAAACCUUUGCAAAUAUGUCUUGUAGAUCAAUGGCCAACGCUAAUGUCAACAUGAACUUCAACGCGUUCCUGGAGAAAACCAAGCUGAAAGAUGAUGGCAGCAACUAUACGGACUGGGUCCGGAACCUGAGGAUCAUCCUCAUAGCUGCCAGGAAACAAUAUGUCCUAGAAGGACCGCUAGGUGACGCUCCCGUCCCAGAGAACCAAGACAUUAUGAAUGCUUGGCAGUCUCGCGCUGAUGAUUACUCCCUCGUUCAGUGCGGCAUGCUUUACAGCUUAGAACCGGGGCUCCAAAAGCGUUUUGAGCAUCACGGAGCAUAUGAGAUGUUCGAAGAGCUGAAACUAGUUUUUCAAGCUCAUGCCCGGGUCGAGAGAUAUGAUGUCUCCGACAAGUUCUACAGUUGUAAGAUGGAGGAGAACAGUUCUGUCAGUGAGCACAUCCUGAAGAUGUCUGGGUUGCACAACCGUAUGACCCAGCUGAACAUUAACCUCCCAGAUGAGGCGGUCAUUGACAGAAUCCUCCAUUCGCUCCCACCAAGCUACAAGAGCUUUGUGAUGAACUACAACAUGCAAGGAAUGGAAAAGACCAUUCCUGAAUUGUUCUCGAUGCUGAAGUCAGCAGAGGCUGAAAUCAAGAAAGAACAUCAAGUGUUGAUGGUCAAUAAGACCACUAAGUUCAAGAAGGGCAAGGGUAAGAAGAACUUCAAGAAGGACGGCAAAGAUGUUGCCGCGCCUGGUAAGCCAGUUACCGGGAAGAAGUCAAAGAAUGGACCCAAGCCUGAGACUGAGUGCUUUUAUUGCAAGGGGAAGGGUCACUGGAAGCGGAACUGCCCCAAAUACUUAGCGGAUAAGAAGGCCGGCAACACCAAAGGUAUAUUUGAUAUACAUGUGAUUGAUGUGUACCUUACCAGUAAUCGUAGUAACUCCUGGGUAUUUGAUACCGGUGCCGUUGCUCAUAUUUGUAACUCACAACAGGAGCUGCGGAAUAAACGGAGACUGGCAAAGGACGAGGUGACGAUGCGCGUCGGGAAUGGUUCCAGAGUCGAUGUGAUCGCCGUCGGCACGCUGCCUCUACAUUUACCUACGGGAUUAGUUUUGAACCUUAAUAAUUGUUAUUUAGUGCCAAGUUUGAGCAUGAACAUUGUAUCAGGAUCUCGUUUAAUACGAGAUGGCUACUCAUUUAAGUCUGAGAAUAAUGGUUGUUCGAUUUAUAUGAGAGAUAUGUUUUAUGGUCAUGCUCCGAUGGUCAAUGGUUUAUUCUUAAUGAAUCUCGAGCGUAAUAUUACACAUGUUCAUAGUGUAGAUGCCAAAAGAUUUAAAGUUGAUAACGAUAGUCCCACAUACUUGUGGCACUGCCGCCUUGGUCACAUUGGUGUCAAGCGCAUGAAGAAGCUCCAUGCCGAUGGACUUUUAGAGUCUCUUGAUUAUGAAUCGUUUGACACGUGUGAACCAUGCCUCUUGGGCAAAAUGACCAAGACUCCGUUCUCCGGAACAAUGGAGCGAGCAACCAACUUGUUGGAAAUCAUACAUACCGAUGUGUGCGGUCCAAUGAGCGUUGAGGCUCGCGGAGGAUAUCGUUAUGUUCUCACUCUCACAGAUGACUUGAGUAGAUAUGGGUAUGUCUACUUAAUGAAACACAAGUCUGAGACCUUUGAAAAGUUCAAGGAAUUUCAGAAUGAGGUGGAGAAUCAACGUGAACGAAAGAUAAAAUUCUUGCGAUCAGAUCGUGGAGGAGAAUACUUAAGUCACGAAUUUGGUACACACUUAAAGAAAUGUGGAAUCGUUUCACAGCUCACGCCGCCUGGAACACCUCAGCGAAACGGUGUGUCCGAACGUCGUAAUCGCACUCUAUUGGAUAUGGUGCGGUCUAUGAUGUCUCUUACCGAUUUACCGCUAUCAUUUUGGGGAUACGCUCUAGAGACAGCUACAUUCACUUUAAAUAGGGCACCGUCUAAAUCCAUUGAGACGACACCGUAUGAAUUAUGGUUUGGAAAGAAACCUAAGCAGUCGUUUCUAAAAGUUUGGGGAUGCGAAGCUUAUGUCAAGAAACUUCAACCUGAAAAGCUCGAACCCAAGUCGGAAAAAUGCGUAUUCAUAGGAUACCCUAAGGAAACUGUAGGGUACACCUUCUACUUAAGAUCCGAAGGCAAGAUCUUUGUUGCCAAGAACGGAUGCUUUCUGGAAAAAGAGUUUCACUCGAAAGAAGUAAGUGGGAGGAAAGUAGAACUCGAUGAAGUACUACCUCUUGAGCGGGAUAGUGACGCAGCACAGGAAACCGUUCCUGUGAUGCCCACACCAACUGAAGAGGAAAACCAUGAUAAUGAUCAAGGUACUUCGGAUCAAGUUACUGCUGAACUUCGUAGGUCCACAAGGACACGUUCCGCACCAGAGUGGUACGGCAACCCUGUCCUGGAAAUCAUGUUGUUAGACAACAAUGAACCUUCGAACUAUGAAGAAGCAAUGGCGGGCCCGGAUUCCAACAAAUGGCUUGAAGCCAUGAAAUCCGAGAUAGAAUCCAUGUAUGAAAACAAAGUAUGGACUUUGACAGACUUGCCCGAUGAUCGGCGAGCGAUAGAAAACAAAUGGAUCUUUAAGAAGAAGACGGACGCGGAUGGUAAUGUUACCAUCUAUAAAGCUCGACUUGUCGCUAAGGGUUAUCGACAGGUUCAAGGGAUUGACUACGACGAGACAUUCUCUCCCGUAGCGAAGCUAAAGUCCGACCGAAUCAUGUUAGCAAUUGCCGCAUACUAUGAUUAUGAGAUAUGGCAGAUGGACGUCAAAACAGCAUUCCUUAACGGGCAUCUUAAGGAAGAACUGUAUAUGAUGCAGCCGGAAGGUUUUGUCGAUCCUCGGAACGCUAACAAAGUAUGCAAGCUCCAGCGAUCCAUUUAUGGACUGGUGCAAGCAUCUCGGAGUUGGAACAUUCGCUUUGAUGAGAUGAUCAAAGCAUUUGGGUUUAUGCAGACUUAUGGAGAAGCCUGCGUUUACAAGAAAGUGAGUGGGAGCUCUGUAGCAUUUCUCAUAUUAUAUGUAGAUGACAUACUCCUGAUGGGAAAUAAUAUAGAAUUUCUGGACAGCAUUAAGGCCUACUUGAAUAAGUGUUUUUCAAUGAAGGACCUUGGAGAAGCUGCUUAUAUAUUAGGCAUCAAGAUCUAUAGAGAUAGAUCGAGACGCCUCAUAGGUCUUUCACAAAGCACAUACCUUGAUAAGAUUUUGAAGAAAUUCAGAAUGGAUCAGUCCAAGAAGGGGUUCUUGCCUAUGUUACAAGGUAUGAGACUGAGCUCAGCUCAGUCAUCGACCACGGCAAAAGAUAAAGAAGAGAUGAGUGUCAUCCCCUAUGCUUCAGCCAUAGGAUCUAUUAUGUAUGCCAUGCUGUGUACCAAACCCGAUGUAAACCUUGCCGUAAGUUUGGUAGCAAGAUACCAAAGUAAUCCCGGCAAGGAACACUGGACAGCGGUCAAGAAUAUCCUGAAGUACCUGAAAAGGACAAAGGACAUGUUUCUCGUUUAUGGAGGAGACGAAGAGCUCAUCGUAAAAGGUUACGUCGAUGCUAGCUUCGACUCAGAUCUGGAUGACUCUAAGUCACAAACCGGAUACGUGUAUAUGUUGAAUGGUGGAGCAGUAAGCUGGCGCAGCUGCAAGCAGAGCGUCGUGGCGGGGUCUACAUGUGAAGCGGAGUACAUGGCAGCCUCGGAGGCAGCACAUGAAGUGAUUUGGGUGAAGGAGUUCAUCACCGACCUAGGAGUCAUACCCAAUGCGUCGGGGCCGAUCAAACUCUUCUGUGACAACACUGGAGCUAUUGCCCUCGCAAAGGAGCCCAGGUUUCACAAGAAGACCAGGCACAUCAAGCGUCGUUUCAACUCCAUCCGUGAAAAUGUUCAAGAUGGAGACAUAGAGAUUUGCAAAGUGCACACGGAUCUGAAUGUCGCAGAUCCGCUGACUAAACCUCUCUCGCGUGCAAAACAUGAUCAACACCAGAACUCUAUGGGUGUUCGAUUCAUCACAAUGUAACUAGAUUAGUGACUCUAGUGCAAGUGGGAGACUGUUGGAAAUAUGCCCUAGAGGCAAUAAUAAAAGUAUUAUUAUAUUUCAUUGUUCAUGAUAAUUGUCUUUUAUUCAUGCUAUAACUAUAUUAUCCGGAAAUCGUAAUACACGUGUGAAUACUUAGACCACACUAUGUCCCUGGUAAGCCUCUAGUUGACCAGCUCGUUGUGAUCAACAGAUAGUCAUGGUUUCCUGACUAUGGACAUUGGAUGUCGUUGAUAACGGGAUCACAUCAUUAGGAGAAUGAUGUGAUGGACAAGACCCAAUCCUAAGCAUAGCAUAAAAGAUCGUGUAGUUCGUUUUGCUAGAGCUUUGCAAGUGUCAAGUAUCUCUUCCUUCAACCAUGAGAUCGUGUAACUCCCGGAUACCGUAAGAGUGCCUUGGGUGUAUCAAACGUCACAACGUAACUGGGUGACUAUAAAGGUGCAUUACAGGUAUCUCCGAAAGUAGCUGUUGGGUUGACACGGAUCGAGACUGGGAUUUGUCACUCCGUAUGACGGACAGGUAUCUCUGGGCCCACUCGGUAAUGCAUCAUCAUAAUGAGCUCAAUGUGACCAAGGUGUUGGACACGGGAUCAUGCAUUACGGUACGAGUAAAGUGACUUGCCGGUAACGAGACUGAACAAGGUAUUGGGAUACCGACGAUCGAGUCUCGGGCAAGUAACGUACCGAUUGACAAAGGGAAUUGCAUACAGGGUUUGAUCGAAUCCUCGACAUAGUGGUUCAUCCGAUGACAACAUCGAGGAGCAUGUGGGAGCCAUCAUGGGUAUCCAGAUCCCGCUGAUGGUUAUUGACUGAGAGCGUCUCGGUCAUGUCUGCAUGUCUCCCGAACCCGUAGGGUCUACACACUUAAGGUUCGGUGACGCUAGGAUUAUGAAGAUAUGGAUAUGCAGAAACCCGAAUGUUGUUCGGAGUCCCGGAUGAGAUCCCGGACGUCACGAGGAGUUCCGGAAUGGUCCGGAGGUAAAGAAUUAUAUAUAGGAAGUGCUAUUUCGGGCAUCGGGACAAGUUUCGGGGUUAUCGGUAUUGUACCGGGACCACCGGAAGGGUCCCGGGGGUCCACCGGGUGGGGCCACCUGUCCCGGGGGGCUACAUGGGCUGUAGGGGGUGCGCCUUGGCCAUCAUGGGCCAAGGGCACUAGCCCCUAUAGGCCCAUGCGCCUAGGGUUUCCCCCUUGGAGGAGUCCUAGUGGUGGAAGGCACCCCUAGGUGCCUUGGGGGGGAGGGAAACCUCCCCUAGGCCGCCGCCCCCCUAGUAGAUCUCAUCUACUAGGGCCGGCGCCCCCCUGGCACCCCUAUAUAUAGUGGGGGAGAGGAGGGACUUCAUACACCAGCCCCUGGCGCCUCCACCUCCCCCCGUUACGUCUCUCCCUCGUAGUCUCGGCGAAGCCCUGCUGCUGUGACGCCCUGCAUCCACCACCACGCCGUCGUGCUGCUGGAUCUUCAUCAACCUCUCCUUCCCCCUUGCUAGAUCAAGAAGGAGGAGACGUCUCCCGUCCCGUACGUGUGUUGAACGCGGAGGUGCCGUCCGUUCGGCGCUGGUCAUCGGUGAUUUGGAUCACGUCGAGUACGACUACAUCAUCACCUUGCAAGCUUCCGCACGCGAUCUACAAGUGUUAUGUAGAUGCAAACUCUCUCCCUAGACUCGUUGCUUAGAUGAACUCAUAGAUGGAUCUUGGUGAAACCGUAGGAAAAAUUUUAAUUUUCUGCAACGUUCCCCAACAAAUAUGCCCUAGAGGCAAUAAUAAAGUUGUUAUUUUAUAUUUCCUUAUUUCAUGAUAAAUUUUUAUUAUUCAUGCUAGAAUUGUAUUAACCGGAAACUUGAUACAUGUGUGGAUACAUAGACAAAACACUGUGUCCCUAGUAUGCCUCUACUUGACUAGCUCGUUAAUCAAAGAUGGUUAAGUUUCCUAGCCAUAGACAUGUGUUGUCAUUUGAUGAACGGGUUCACAUCAUUAGGAGAAUGAUGUGAUGGACAAGACUCAUCCUUUAGCUUAGCAUAAUGAUCAUUCAGUUUUAUUGCUACUGUUUUCUUCAUGUCAAAUACAUAUUCCUCCGACUAUGAGAUUAUGCAACUCCCGGACACCGGAGGAAUGCCUUGUGUGCUAUCAAACGUCACAACAUAACUGGGUGAUUAUAAAGAUGCUCUACAGGUAUCUCAGAAGGUGUUUGUUGGGUUGGCAUAGAUCGAGAUUAGGAUUUGUCACUCUGAGUAUCGGAGAGGCAUCUCUGGCCCUCUCGGUAAUGCACAUCAUAUGAACGCUUGCAAGCAAUGUGAUUAAUGAGUUAGUUAUGGGAUGAUGCAUUGCGGAACAAGUAAAGAGACUUGUCGGUAACGAGAUUGAACUAGGUAUGAAGAUACCGAGGAUCGAAUCUCGGGCAAGUAACAUACCAAUGACAAAGGGAAUAAUGUAUGUUGUCAUAACAGUUUGACCGAUAAAGAUCUUCGUAGACUAUGUGGGAGCUAAUAUGAGCAUCCAGGUUCCACUAUUGGUUAUUGACCGGAGAGGUGUCUCGGUCAUGUCUACAUAGUUCUUGAACCCAUAGGGUCCGCACGCUUAACGUUCGAUGACGAUUUGUAUUAUGAGAGUUAUGUGAUUUGGUGACCGAAUGUUGUUCGGAGUCCCAGAUGAUCUCACGGACAUGACGAGGAGUCUCGAAAUGGUCAAGAGGUAAAGAUUCAUAUGUAGGACGAUAGUAUUCGGACAACGGAAGUGUUCCGGGGUACCGGGUACGUAUCGGGUCAGCGGAAGGGGUUCGGGCAUCCCCUGAUAAACUACAUGGGCCUAAUGGGCCAAGAAGGGAACAGACCAGCCCCUAAGGGGAUGGUGCGCUGAUAUGUCUCCAAUGUAUCUAUAAUUUUUAUUGUUCCAUGCUAUUAUAUUACCCGUUUUGGAUGUUUAUUGGCUUUACUUUACACUUCUAUAUCAUUUUUGGGACUAACCUACUAACCGGAGGCCCAGCCCGUAUUGCUGUUUUUUUGCCUAUUUCAAUGUUUCGAAGAAAAGGAAUAUCAAACAGAGUCCAAACGGAAUGAAACCUUCGGGAGCGUGAUUUUUGGAACGAACGUGAUCCAGAGGACUUGGAGUGGAAGUCAAGCAACAACCGAGGUGGCCACAAGGGUGGAGGGCGCCCCCCCCCCUACUGGGCGCGCCCCUGUCUCGUGGGCCCUCGGGCGUCCACCGACCUACUUCUUCCUCCUGUAUAUACCCAUGUACCCUGAAAACAUCAGAGGAUCCAAUGAAAACCUAAUUCCACCGCUGUAACCUUCUGUGUCCGCGAGAUCCCAUCUUGGAGCCUUCGCCAGUGCUUCGCCGGAGGGGGAAUCGACCACGGAGGGCCUCUACAUCAUCUUCAAGGCCUCUCCGAUGAGUUGUGAGUAGUUUACCACAGACCUUCGGGUCCAUAGUUAUUAGCUAGAUUGCUUCUUCUCUCUCUUUGAAUCUCAAUACCAUGUUCUCCUUGAUCUUCUUGGAGAUCUAUUCGAUGUAACUCUUUUUGCGGUGUGUUUGUCGAGAUCCGAUGAAUUGUGGGUUUAUGAUCAAGUUUAUCUAUGAGAAAUAUUUGAAUCUCCUCUGAGUUCUUUUAUGUGUGAUUAAGUUAUCUUUGCAAGUCUCUUCGAAUUAUUAGUUUGGUUUGGCCUACUAGAUUGAUCUUUCUUGCAAUGGGAGAAGUGCUUAGCUUUGGGUUCAAUCUUGCGGUGUCCUUUCCCAGUGAUAGUAGGGGCAGCAAGGCACGUAUUGUAUUGUUGCCAUCGAGGAUAAAAAUAUGGAGUUUAUAUCAUAUUCCAUGAGUUUAUCCCUCUACAUCAUGUCAUCUUUCUUAAUGCGUUACUCUGUUCUUUAUGAACUUAAUACUCUAGAUGCAUGCUGGAUAGCGGUUGAUGUGUGGAGUAAUAGUAGUAGAUGCACACAGGAGUCGGUCUACUUGUCAUGGACGUGAUGCCUAUAUACAUGAUCAUGCCUAGAUAAUCUCAUAAUUUUUUUGCUUUUCUAUCAAUUGCUUGACAGUAAUUUGUUCACCCACCGUAAUACUUAUGCUAUCUUGAGAGAAGCCACUAGUGAAACCUAUGGCCCCCGGGUCUAUCUUUUAUCAUAUAAGCUUUCAAUCAACUUUUAUUUGCAUCUUUACUUUUCCAAUCCAUAUUAUAAAAUACCAAAAAUAUAUUUAUCUUAUCAUAUUAUCUCUAUCAGAUCUCACUUUCGCAAGUGGCCUUGAAGGGAUUGACAACCCCUUUAUUGCGUUGGUUGCGAGUUCUUGUUUGUUUGUGUAGGUGCGUGGGACUUUUAAGGACCCUCCUACUGGAUUGAUACCUUGUUUCUCAAAAACUAAGGGAAAUACUUACGCUACUAUUGCUGCAUCAUCCUUUUCUCUUCAAGGAAAACCAACGCAAGCUCAAGAUGUAGCAAGAAUGAUUUCUUGCACCGUUGCGGGGGAGGUCUUCGCUCAAGUCAAAACAUACCAAGUACCCAUCACAAACUCAUCUCCCUCGCACUUACAUUAUUUGUCAUUUGCCUCUCGUUUUCCUCUCCCCCACUUCACCCUUGCCGUUUUAUUCGCCCUCUCUUUCCCAAUCUCCUCUCUCUUUCGCUUGCCUUUUUGUUUGCUUGUGUGUUGGAUUACUUGUUGCGAUCGUGCAAAAUAAUACCAAAUUGUGUGAUUUCUCCAAUACCAGUAAUAAUGAUUUCCUUAGGACUCCGAUUGCUCCUCUUAAUGAUGUUGAGUCUUGUGAAAUCAAUGCUGCUUUGCUAAAUCUUGUUAUGAAAGAUCAAUUUUCUGGCCUUCCUAAUGAAGAUGCCGCUACCCAUGUAAACAGUAUUGUUGAUUUGUGUGAGAUGGAAAAUAAGAAAGAUACGGAUAAUGAUAUUGUUAAAUUGAAGUUAUUUCCGUUUUCACUUAGAGAUUGUGCUAAAGUUUGAUUUUCGUCUUUGCUUAAGAAUAGUAUUGAUUCGUGGAAUAAGUGCAAAGAUGCUUUUAUCUCUAAGUAUUUUCCUCCCGCUAUGAUCAUCUCUCUUAGGAACGCUAUUAUGAAUUUUAAACAACUUGAUCAUGAGCAUGUUGCCCAAUCUUGGGAAAGAAUGAAAUUGAUGAUUCACAAUUGCCCUUCUCAUGGUUUGAAUUUAUGGAUGAUCAUACAAAAAAUUUAUGCCGGCUUGAAUUUUGCUUCUAGAAAUCUUUUAGAUUCGGCCGUGGGAGGCACAUUUAUGGAAAUCACCUUAGGAGAAGCUACCAAACUUCUUGAUAAUAUUAUGGCUAAUUAUUCUCAAUGGCACACCGAAAGAUCUACUAGUAAAAAGGUGCAUGCUAUAGAAGAAAUUAAUGUUUUGAGUGGAAAGAUGGAUGAACUUAUGAAAUUGUUUGAUACUAAGAGUUCUUAUAUUGAUCCCAAUGAUAUGCCUUUUUCUACUUUGAUUGAGAAUAAUAAUGAAUCUAUGGAUGUGAAUUUUGUUGGUAGGAAUAAUUUUGGUAACAAUGCUUACAGAGGAAACUUUAAUCCUAGACCAUUCCCUAGCAAUUCCUCUAAUAAUUAUGGAAAUUCCUACAAUAAUUCUUAUGGUAAUUAUAAUAAGAUGCCCUCUGAUUUGAGAAUAGUGUGAAAGAAUUUAUGAUCUCUCAAAAGAAUUUUAAUGCCAUGCUUGAAGAAAAAUUGCUUAAAGUUGCUGAUUUGGGUAGGAACGUUGAUAGACUUUUGCUUGAUGUUGAUUCUUUGAAACUUAGAUCUACUCCUCCUAAGCAUGAUAUCAAUGAGUGUCUCAAAGCUAUGAGAAUUUCCUUUGAUGAGUGCAAAGAAAGAACCGCUAGAUUGCGUGCUAAGAAAGAUUGCUUUGUAAAAGUGUGUUCUUCUGGUUUCCAUGAAAAUAAUGAUGAAGAUAUAAAAGUUAUUGAUGUGUCCCCUAUUAAAUCUUUGUUUUGCAAUAUGAAUCUUAAUAAUGAUGGGACUGGAGAUGAGUCAACUUUAGUUAAAAGGCGUCCCUAUGAUUCAGAGUUUUUAGAUCUUGAUGCUAAAAUUGGUAAAAGUGGGAUUGGAGAGGUCAAGACUUUAAAUAGCAUUGAGCCCACUAUAUUGGAUUUCAAGGAAUUUAAUUAUGAUAAUUGUUAUUUAGAAGAUUGUAUUUCCUUGUUGCAAUCCGUUGUGAAUUCUCCUCAUGCUUAUAGUCAAAAUAAAGCAUUUACCAAACCUAUUGUUUAUGCCUUUAUGCAAUCUUUUGAUGAAAAACUUAAUUUGGAAGUUUCUAUACCUAGAAAACUUAACGAUGAGUGGGAACCUACUAUAAAGAUUAAAAUUAAAGAUCAUGAUUGUUAUGCUUUGUGUGAUUUGGGUGCUAGUGUUUCCACGAUUUUGAAAACUUUAUGUGAUAUUCUAGGUUUCCAUGAUCUUGAUGAUUGCUCUUUAAAUAUGCACCUUGCGGAUUCCACCAUUAAAAAGCCAAUGGGAAGGAUCAAUGAUGUUCUCAUUGUUGCAAAUAGGAAUUUGGUGCCCGUAUAUUUUACCGUUCUUGAUAUAGAUUGCAAUCUUUCUUGUCCUAUUAUUCUUGGUAGACCUUUCCUUAGAACGAUUGGUGUGAUUAUUGAUACGAAGGAACGGAAUAUUAGGUUCCAAUUUCCAUUAAGGAAAGGCAUUGAGCACUUUCCAAGAAAGAAAGUCAAAUUACCUUAUGAAUCUAUCAUGCGAGCUACUUAUGAAUUGAGUGCCAAAGAUGGCACUACUUAGAUCUAUCCCCGCUUUUAUGCCUAGCUAGGGGCGUUAAACGAUAGCGCUAGUUAGGAGGCAACCCAAUUUUAUUUGUGUUUUUUGUUUUUGCUUCUGUUUAGUAAUAAAAUUUUCAUCUACCUUAUGUUUAGAUGUGUUUUUAUGUUUUAAUUAGUGUUUGUGCCAAGUAGAACCUAUAGGAUAACCUAUGGUGAUAGUUAAUUUGAUUCUGCUGAAAAACAGAAACUUUGCACAGACGAAAAUAAUUUUAGUAAUUCACAGAAAUGUGAUUUUGCGUUGAUUCUUUUUGCUGUAGAUCAAUAGACAAAUUUUCCAGGACUUCCUAUUUUGGUAGGAUUUUUAGAGUUCCAGAAGUAUUCGAGAGUUACAGAUUUCUACAGACUGUUCUGUUUUUGACAGAUUCUGUUUUUCGUGUGUUGUUUGCUUAUUUUGAUGCAUCUAUGGCUAGUAUGUAUGGGUAUGAACCAUAGAGAAGUUGAAAUACAGUAGGUUUAAAACCAAUAUAAAUAAAUAAUGAGUUCAUUACAGUACCUUAUGUGGUGAUUUUCCUUUCUUGCACUAACGGAGCUUAUGAGAUUUCCUGUUGAGUUUUGUGUUGUGAAGUUUCCAAGUUUUGGGUAAAGAUUUGAUGGAUUAUGGAAUAAGGAGUGGCAAGAGCCUAAGCUUGGGGAUUCCCAUGGCACCCCAAGAUAUUCAAUAAUAUCCAAAAGCCUAAGCUUGGGGAUGCCCCGGAAGGCAUCCCCUUUUUCGUCUUCGUCUAUCGGUAACUUUACUUGGAGCUAUAUUUUUAUUCGCCACAUGAUAUGUGUUUUGCUUGGAGCGUCUUGUAUGAUAUUAGUCUUUGCUUUUUAGUUUACCACAAUAAUCCUUGAUGUACACACCUUUUGGGAGAAACCCACUUGAUUGGAAUUUAUUAGAAUACUCUAUGUGCUUCACUUAUAUCUUUUGAGCUUCAUAGUUUUUGCUGUAGUGCUUCACUUAUAUCUUUUAGAGCACAGCGGUGGCUAAAUUUUGUAGAAAUUGUUGAUCUCUCAUGCUUGACUUAUAUUAUUUUGAAAGUAUCUUAGAACAGCAUGGUAUUUGCUUUGGUUAUAAAAUUGGUCCUAGAAUGAUGAGCAUCCAAGUUGGGUAUAAUAAAAACUAUCAUAGAAAGUGAAUUGGAUGCUAUGAUCAAUUUGAUACUUGAUAAUUGUUUUGAGAUAUAGAGGUGGUAAUAUUAAAGUCAUGCUAGUUGCGUACUUAUGAAUUUAAAGAAUACUUGUGUUGAAGUUUGUGAUUCCCGUAGCAUGCACGUAUGGUGAACCGCUUUGUGAUGAAGUUGGAGCACAAUUUUAUUUAUUGAUUGUCUUCCUUAUGAGUGGCGGUCGGGGACGAGCGAUGGUCUUUUCCUACCAAUCUAUUCCCCUAGGAGCAUGCGCAUAGUGUUGGAAAUAUGCCCUAGAGGCAAUAAUAAAAGGAUUAUUAUUAUAUUUCCUUGUUCAUGAUAAUUGUCUUUAUUCAUGCUAUAAUUGUAUUAUCCGGAAAUCGUAAUACACGUUUGAAUACAUAGACCAUAAUAUGUCCCUAGUAAGCCUCUAGUUGACUAGCUCGUUGAUCAACAGAUAGUCAUGGUUUCCUGACUAUGGACAUUAGAUGUCGUUGAUAACGGGAUCACAUCAUUGGGAGAAUGAUGUGAUGGACAAGACCCAAUCCUAAGCAUAGCACAAGAUCAUGUAGUUCGUUUUGCUAGAGCUUUUCCAAUGUCAAGUAUCUUUUCCUUAGACCAUGAGAUCGUGUAGCUCCCGGAUACCGUAGGAGUGCUUUGGGUGUACCAAACGUCACAACGUAACUGGGUGACUAUAAAGGUGCACUACAGGUAUCUCCGAAAGUGUCUGUUGGGUUGACACGGAUCGAGACUGGGAUUUGUCACUCCGUAUGACGGAGAGGUAUCUCUGGGCCCACUCGGUAAUGCAUCAUCAUAAUGAGCUCAAAGUGACCAAGUGUUUGGUCACGGGAUCAUGCAUUACGGUACGAGUAAAGUGACUUGUCGGUAACGAGACUGAACGAGGUACUGGGAUACCGACGAUCGAGUCUCAGGCAAGUAACGUACCGUUUGACAAAGGGAAUUAUAUACGGGGUUGAUUGAAUCCUCGACAUCGUAGUUCAUCCGAUGACAUCAUCGAGGAGCAUGCGGGAGCCAACAUGGGUAUCCAGAUCCCGCUGUUGGUUAUUGACCGGAGAGCCGUCUCGGUCAUGUCUGCGUGUCUCCUGAACCCGUAGGGUCUACACACUUAAGGUUCGGUGACGCUAGGGUUAUUAGGAAGACUUGUAUGUGAUUACCGAAUGUUGUUCGGAGUCCCGGAUGAGAUCCCGGACGUCACGAGGAGUUCCCGAAUGGUCCGGAGGUGAAGAUUUAUAUAUGGGAAGUUGUCAUACGGUCACUGGAAGGUUUCGGGGGCAUAUCGGUAUUGUACCAGGGCCACCGGAGGGGUUCCGAGGGUCCACCGGGAGGGGCCACCUCUCUCGGUGGGCUUCAUGGGCCGUAGUGGGCAGGGGAAACAGCCCAGGAGGGCUGGGCGCCCCCCCCCCUUGGGCCCUUGCGCCUAGGGUCGGGGGGGAACCCUAAAGGGGGCGCCCCCCUCCCCCCCUUUGCUUGGGGGGCAAGCCCCCUCCCUGGCCGCUGCCCCCCCUCUAGAUCUCAUCUAGAGAGGGCCGGCCCCCUUUCCCCUUCCCCUAUAAAUAGAGGGGAGAGGGGAGGGCUGCACACCUGAUCCAAGGCGCAGCCCCUCCCCUCCCUAACACCUCUCCUCCUCCGUUAAGUGCUUGGCGAAGCCCUGUCGGAGUACUGCCUCUCCACCACCACCAUGCCGUCGUGCUGCUGCUGGAGUCUUCUUCCUCAACCCCUCCUUCCCCCUUGCUGGAUCAAGAAGGAGGAGACGUCAUCCGCUCCGUACAUGUGUUGAACGCGGAGGUGUUGUCCGUUCAGCACUUGGUCAUCGGUGAUUUGGUUCACGGCGAGUACGACUCCAUCAUCCCCUUUCUCUUGAAAGCUUCCGCUCACGAUCUACAAAGGUAUGUAGAUGCACUCCUAUCACUCGUUGCUUAGAUGAACUCAUAGAUGGAUCUUGGUGAAACCGUAGGAAAAAAUUUUAUUUUCUGCAACGUUCCCCAACAGUGGCAUCAUGAGCUAGGUCUAUGCGUAGUUCUCUAUUGCACGAGUAGAACACAAAUUUGUUGUGGGCGUAGAUCUUGUCAACUUGCUUGCCGCUACUAGUCUUUUCUUGCUUCAGCGGUAUUGUGGGAUGAAGCGGCCCGGACCGACCUUACACGUACGCUUACGUGAGACAGGUUCCACCGACUGACAUGCACUAGUUGCAUAAGGUGGCUAGCGGGUGUCUGUCUCUCCUACUUUAGUUGGAGCGGAUUCGACGAAAAGGGUCCUUAUGAAGGGUAAAUAGAAGUUGACAAAAUCAGGUUGUGGUUAUUCGUAGGUAAGAAAACGUUCUUGCUAGAACCCAAUUGCAGCCACGUAAAAGAUGCAACAACAAUUAGAGGACGUCUAACUUGUUUUUGCAGCAAUUGUCAUGUGAUGUGAUAUGGCCAGAAGUUGUGAUGAAUGAUGAAUGAUAUAUUGUGAUGUAUGAGAUCAUGUUCUUGUAAUAGGAAUCACGACUUGCAUGUCGAUGAGUAUGACAACUGGCAGGAGCCAUAGGAGUUGUCUUUAUUUUUUGUAUGACCUGCGUGUCAUUGAAGAACGCCAUGUAAAUUACUUUACUUUAUUGCUAAACGCGUUAUCCAUAGAAGUAGAAGUAGUCGUUGGUGUGACAACUUCAUGAAGACACAAUGAUGGAGAUCAUGAUGAUGGAGAUCAUGGUGUCAUGCCGGUGACAAAGAUGAUCAUGGAGCCCCGAAGAUGGAGAUCGAAGGAGCUAUAUGAUAUUGGCCAUAUCAUGUCACUACUUUAUUGCAUGUGAUGUUUAUUAUGUUUUAUGCAUCUUGUUUACUUAGAACGGCAGUAGUAAAUAAGAUGAUCCCUUAUAAUACUUUCCAGAAAGUGUUCCCCCUAACUGUGCACCGUUGCUAAAGUUCGUCGUUUCGAAGCACCACGUGAUGAUCGGGUGUGAUAGAUCCUUAUGUUCACAUACAACGGGUGUAAGAUAGUUUUACACAUGCAAAACACUUAGGGUUAACUUGACGAGCCUAGCAUGUACAGACAUGGCCUCGGAACACAAGAGACCGAAAGGUCGAACAUGAGUGUAUGGAAGAUACGAUCAACAUGGAGAUGUUCACCGAUGAUGACUAGUCCGUCUCACGUGAUGAUCGGACACGGCCUAGUCGACUCGGAUCGUGUAACACUUAGAUGACUAGAGGGAUGUCUAAUCUAAGUGGGAGUUCAUUAAAUAAUUUGAUUAGAUGAACUUAAUUAUCAUGAACUUAGUCUAAAACUUUUGCAAAAUAUGUCUUGUAGAUCAAAUGGCCAACGCUCAUGUCAACAUGAACUUCAACGUGUUCCUAGAGAAAACCAAGCUGAAAGAUGAUGGCAGCAACUAUUUGGACUGGGUCCGGAACCUGAGGAUCAUCCUCAUAGAAGCCAAGAAAGCAUAUGUCCUAGAUGAACCGCUAGGUGAAGCACCCAUCCCAGAGAUCCAAGACGUUAUGAACGCUUGGCAGUCACGUGCUGAUGAUUACUCCCUCGUUCAGUGCGGCAUGCUUUACAGCUUAGAACCGGGGCUCCAAAAGCUUUUGAGAAACACGGAGCAUAUGAGAUGUUCGAGGAGCUAAAAAUGGUUUUCCAAGCUCAUGCCCGGGUCGAGAGAUAUGAAGUCUCUGACAAGUUCUAUAGUUGUAAGAUGGAGGAAAACAGUUCUGUCAGUGAGCACAUACUCAAAAUGUCUGGGUUGCACAACCGGCUGUCCCAGCUGGAGAUCAACCUCCCGAACGAGGCGCUCAUUGACAGAAUCCUUCAGUCGCUCCCACCGAGCUACAAGAGCUUUGUGUUGAACUACAAUAUGCAGGGGAUGGUGAAGACCAUUCCUGAAGUAUUUUCAAUGCUGAAGUCAGCAGAGGUUGAAAUCAAGAAAGAACAUCAAGUGUUGAUGGUCAAUAAGACCACUACGUUCAAGAAGGGCAAGGGUAAGAACUUCAAGAAGGGCCCGGUAAGCCAGUUGCCGGGAAGAAGUCAAAGAAUGGACCCAAGCCUGAGACUGAGUGCUUUUAUUGCAAGGGGAAGAGUCACUGGAAGCGGAACUGCCCCAAAUACUUAGCGGACAAGAAGGCCGGCAACACUAAAGGUAUAUUUGAUAUACAUGUAACUGAUGUGUACCUUACCAGUACUCGUAGUAACUCCUGGGUAUUUGAUACCGGUGCCGUUGCUCAUAUUUGUAACUCACAGCAGGAACUACGGAAUAAAUGGAGACUGGCGAAGGACGAGGUGACGAUGCGCGUCGGGAAUGGUUCCAAGGUCGAUGUGAUCGCCGUCGGCACGCUACCUCUACAUUUACCCACGGGAUUAGUUAUGAACCUCAAUAAUUGUUAUUUAGUGCCAAGUUUGAGCAUGAACAUUGUAUCUGGAUCUUGUUUAAUAGAGAUGGCUACUCAUUUAAAUCUGAGAAUAAUGGUUGUUCUAUUUAUAUGAGAGAUAUGUUUUAUGGUCAUGCCCCGAUGGUCAAUGGUUUAUUCUUAAUGAAUCUCGAACGUAAUGUUACACAUAUUCAUAGCAUGAAUACCAAAAGAUGUAAAGUUGAUAACGAUAGUCCCACAUACUUGUGGCACUACCGCCUUGGUCACAUUGGUGUCAAGCGCAUGAAGAAGCUCCAUGCUGAUGGACUUUUAGAGUCUCUAGAUUAUGAAUCAUUUGACACAUGUGAACCAUGCCUCAUGGGCAAAAUGACCAAGACUCCGUUCUCCAGAACAAUGGAGCGACCAACCAACUUGUUGGAAAUCAUACAUACCGAUGUGUGCGGUCCAAUGAGCGUUGAGGCUCGUGGAGGAUAUUGUUAUGUUCUCACUCUUGCUGAUGACUUGAGUAGAUAUGGGUAUGUCUACUUGAUGAAACACAAGUCUGAGACCUUUGAAAAGUUCAAGGAAUUUCAGAAUGAGGUAGAGAAUCAACGUGGCCGAAAGAUAAAGUUCCUAUGAUCAGAUCGUGGAGGAUAAUACUUAAGUCACGAAUUUGGUACGCACUUAAAGAAAUGUGGAAUCGUUUUACAACUCACGCCGCCUAGAACACCUCAGCGUAACGGUGUGUCCGAACGUCGUAAUCACACUCUAUUGGAUAUGGUGCGAUCUAUGAUGUCUCUUACCGAUUUACUGCUAUCGUUUUGGGGAUACGCUCUAGAGACAGCUACAUUCACUUUAAAUAGGGCACCGUCUAAAUCCGUUAAGACGACACCAUAUGAAUUAUGGUUUGGGAAGAAACCUAAGUUGUCGUUUCUAAAAGUUUGGGGAUGCGAUGCUUAUGUCAAGAAACUGCAACCUGAAAAGCUCGAACCCAAGUCAGAAAAAUGCGUCUUCAUAGGAUACCCUAAGGAAACCAUUGGGUAUACCUUCUACUUAAGAUCCGAGGGCAAGACCUUUGUUGCCAAGAACGGAUCCUUUCUGGAAAAAGAGUUUCUCUCGAAAGAAGUAAGUGGGAGGAAAGUAGAACUCGAUGAAGUACUACCUCUUGAACCAGAAAGUAGUGCAUCUUAGGAAAAUGUUCCUGUGGUGCCUACACCAACUGGAGAGGAAAUUAAUGAUUAUGAUCAAGGUACUUCGGAUCAAGUUGCUACUGAACCUCGUAGGUCCACAAGGACACGUUCCACACCAGAGUGGUAUGGCAACCCUAUCCUGGAAAUCAUGUUGUUAGACAACGGUGAACCUUCAAACUAUGAAGAAGCGAUGGCGGGCCCAGAUACCAACAAAUGGCUUGAAGCCAUGCAAUCCGAGAUAGAAUCCAUGUAUGAAAACAAAGUAUGGACUUUGACAGACUUGCCCGAUGAUCGGCGAGUGAUAGAAAACAAAUGGAUCUUUAAGAAGAAGACAGACGCGGAUGGUAAUAUUACCAUCUAUAAAGCUCGACUUGUCGCUAAGGGUUAUCGACAAGUUCAAGGGGUUGACUACGAUGAGACAUUCUCUCCCGUAGCAAAGCUGAAGUCCGUCCGAAUCAUGUUAGCAAUUGCCGCAUACUAUGAUUAUGAGAUAUGGCAGAUGGACGUCAAAACGGCAUUCCUUAACGGGAAUCUUAAGGAAGAAUUGUAUAUGAUGCAGCCGGAGGGUUUUGUCGAUCCUAAGAAUGCUAACAAAGUAUGCAAGCUCUAGCGAUCCAUUUAUGGGCUGGUCCAAGCAUCUCGGAGUUGGAACAUUCGCUUUGAUGAGAUGAUCAAAGCGUUUGGGUUUAUGUAGACUUAUGGAGAAGCCUGCGUUUACAAGAAAGUGAGUGGGAGCUCUGUAGCAUUUCUCAUAUUAUAUGUAGAUGACAUACUUUUGAUGGGAAAUGAUAUAAAACUUUUGGACAGCAUUAAGACCUACUUGAAUAAGUGUUUUUCAAUGAAGGACCUUGGAGAAGCUGCUUACAUAUUAGGCAUCAAGAUCUAUAGGGAUAGAUCGAGACCCUCAUAGGUCUUUCACAAAGCACAUACCUUGAUAAGAUUUUGAAGAAGUUCAAAAUGGAUCAGUCCAAGAAAGGGUUCUUGCCUGUAUUACAAGGUGUGAGAUUGAGCUCAGCUCAAUGCCCGACCAUGGAAAAAGAUAAAGAAGAGAUGAGUGUCAUCCCGUAUGCUUCAGCCAUAGGAUCUAUUAUGUAUGCCAUGUUGUGUACCAGACCUGAUGUAAACCUUGCUGUAAGUUUGGUAGGAAGGUACCAAAGUAAUCCCAGCAAGGAACACUGGACAGCGGUCAAGAAUAUCCUAAAGUACCUGAAAAGGACAAAGGACAUGUUUCUCGUUUAUGGAGGUGACGAAGAGCUCGCCGUAAAGGGUUACGUCGAUGCUAGCUUCGACACAGAUCUGGAUGACUCUAAGUCACAAACCGGAUACGUGUAUAUGUUGAAUGGUGGAGCAGUAAGCUGGUGUAGCUGCAAGCAGAGUGUCAUGGCGGGAUCUACAUGUGAAGCGGAGUACAUGGUAGCCUCGGAGGCAGCGCAUGAAGCAAUAUGGGUGAAGGAGUUCAUCACCGACCUAGGAGUCAUACCCAAUGCGUCGGGGCCGAUCAAACUCUUCUGUGACAACACUGGAGCUAUUGCCCUUGCCAAGGAGCCCAGGUUUCACAAGAAGACCAGGCACAUCAAGCGUCGUUUCAACUCCAUCCGUGAAAAUGUUCAAGAUGGAGACAUAGAUAUUUGCAAAGUACAUACGGAUCUGAAUGUCACAGAUCCGUUGACUAAACCUCUCUCGCGAGCAAAACAUGAUCAACACCAGAACUCUAUGGGUGUUCGAUUCAUCACAAUGUAACUAGAUUAUUGACUCUAGUGCAAGUGGGAGACUGUUGGAAAUAUGCCCUAGAGGCAAUAAUAAAAGGAUUAUUAUUAUAUUUCCUUGUUCAUGAUAAUUGUCUUUAUUCAUGCUAUAAUUGUAUUAUCCAGAAAUUUUAAUACACGUGUGAAUACAUAGACCAUAAUAUGUCCCUAGUAAGCCUCUAGUUGACUAGCUCGUUGAUCAACAGAUAGUCAUGGUUUCCUGACUAUGGACAUUAGAUGUCGUUGAUAACGGGAUCACAUCAUUGGGAGAAUGAUGUGAUGGACAAGACCCAAUCCUAAGCAUAGCACAAGAUCGUGUAGUUCAUUUUGCCAGAGCUUUUCCAAUGUCAAGUAUCUUUUCCUUAGACCAUGAGAUCGUGUAGCUCCCGGAUACCGUAGGAGUGCUUUGGGUGUACCAAACGUCACAACAUAACUUGGUGACUAUAAAGGUGCACUACAGGUAUCCCCGAAAGUGUCUGUUGGGUUGACACGGAUCGAGACUGGGAUUUGUCACUCCGUAUGACGGAGAGGUAUCUCUGGGCCCACUUGGUAAUGCAUCAUCAUAAUGAGCUCAAAGUGACCAAGUGUUUGGUCACGGGAUCAUGCAUUACGGUAUGAGUAAAGUGACUUGUCGGUAACGAGACUGAAUGAGGUAUUGGGAUACCGACGAUCGAGUCUCGGGCAAGUAACGUACCAUUUGACAAAGGGAAUUGUAUACGGGGUUGAUUGAAUCCUCGACAUCGUGGUUCAUCCGAUGACAUCAUCGAGGAGCAUGUGGGAGCCAACAUGGGUAUCCAGAUCCCGCUGUUGGUUAUUGACCGGAGAGCUGUCUCGGUCAUGUCUGCGUGUCUCCUGAACCCGUAGGGUCUACACACUUAAGGUUCGGUGACGCUAGGGUUAUUAGGAAGACUUGUAUGUGAUUACCGAAUGUUGUUCGGAGUCCCGGAUGAGAUCCCAGACGUCACGAGGAGUUCCGGAAUGGUCCGGAGGUGAAGAUUUAUAUAUGGGAAGUUGUCAUACGGUCACUGGAAGGUUUCGGGGGCAUAUCGGUAUUGUAUCAGGGCCACCGGAGGGGUUCCGAGGGUCCACCGGGAGGGGCCACCUCUCUCGGUGGGCUUCAUGGGCCGUAGUGGGCAGGGGAACCAGCCCAGGAGGGCUGGGCGCCCCCCCCCCCUUGGGCCCUUGCGCCUAGGGUGGGGGGGAACCCUAAAGGGGGCGCCCCCCUCCCCCCCUUUGCUUGGGGGGCAAGCCCCCUCCCUGGCCGCUGCCCCCCCCCUCUAGAUCUCAUCUAGAGGGGGCCGGCCCCCUUUCCCCUUCCCCUAUAAAUAGAGGGAAGAGGGGAGGGCUGCACACCUGAUCCAAGGCGCAUCCCCUCCCCUCCCUAACACCUCUCCUCCUCCAUUAAGUGCUUGGCGAAGCCCUGUCGGAGUACUGCCUUUCCACCACCACCACGCCGUCGUGCUGCUGCUGGAGUCUUCUUCGUGAACCUCUCCUUCCCCCUUGCUGGAUCAAGAAGGAGGAGACGUCAUCCGCUCCGUACGUGUGUUGCACGCGGAGGUGCUGUCCGUUCAGCACUUGGUCAUCGGUGAUUUGGAUCACGGCGAGUACGACUCCAUCAUCCCCUUUCUCUUGAAAGCUUCCGCUCACGAUCUACAAAGGUAUGUAGAUGCACUCCUAUCACUCGUUGCUUAGAUGAACUCAUAGAUGGAUCUUGGUGAAACCGUAGGAAAAAAAUUUAUUUUCUGCAACGUUCCCCAACACGUAGUACUUUGUUUUCAAUGACUUGUAGAUUUGUGCAAUAAGUACAUGAGUUCUUUAUGACUAAUGUUGAGUCCAUGGAUUAUAUGCACUCUCACCCUUCCACCAUUGCUAGCCUCUCUUGUGCCACGCAACUUUCGCCGGUACCAUACACCUACCAUAUACCUUCCUCAAAACAGCCACCAUACCUACCUAUUAUGGCAUUUCCAUAGCCAUUCCGAGAUAUAUUGCCAUGCAACUUUCCACCGUUUCGUUUAUAUGACACACAUCAUCAUUGACAUAUUGCUCUUUGCAUGAUCAUGUAGUUGACAUCAUAUUUGUGGCAGGGCCACCUCCAUAAUUUUUUCAUACAUGUCAUUCUUGAUUCAUUGCAUAUCCCGGUACACCGCCGGAGGCAUUCAUAUAGAUCCAUAUCUUGUUCUAAGUAUUUAGUUGUAAUCUUGAGUUGUAAGUAAAUAAAAGUGUGAUGAUAUUCAUUAUUAGAGCAUUGUCCCAGCGAGGAAAGGAUGAUGGAGACUAUGAUUCCCCCACAAGUCAGGAUGAGACUUCGUACUUUACAAAAAAAAAGAGAGAAAGGCCAAAUAAAAAGAGAAAGGCCAAACAAAAAAUGAGAGAAAAAGAGAGAAGGGACAAGGCUACUAUCCUUUUUACCACACUUGUGCUUCAAAGUAGCACCAUGAUCUUCAUGAUAGAGAGUCUCCUAUGUCAUCACUUUCAUAUACUAGUGGGAAUUUUCAUUAUAGAACUUGGCUUGUAUAUUUCAAUGAUGGGCUUCCUCAAAAUGCCCUAGGUCUUCGUGAGCAAGCGAGUUGGAUGCACACCCACUUAGUUUCUUUUGUUGAGCUUUCAUACAUUUAUAGCUCUAGUGCAUCCGUUGCAUGGCAAUCCCUACUCACUCACAUUGAUAUCUAUUAAUGGGCGUCUCCAUAGCCCGUUAAUACGCCCAGUUGAUGUGAGACUAUAUUCUCCUUUUUUGUCUUCUCCACAACCACCAUUCUAUUCCACAUAUAGUGCUAUGUCCAUGGCUCACAUUCAUGUAUUGCAUGAAAGUUGAAAUAGUUUGAGAUUACUAAACUACGAAACAAUUGCUUGGCUUGUCAUCAGGGUUGUGCAUGAUUAAAUACUUUGUGUGAUGAAGAUAGAGCAACAGCCAUACUAUAUGAUUUUGUAGGGAUAACUUUCUUUAGCCAUGUUAUUUUGAGAAGACAUGAUUGCUUGAUUAGUAUGCUUCAAGUAUUAUUAUUUCUUAUGUCUAUAUGAACUUUUAUUUUGAAUCAUUUGGAUCUGAACAUUCAUGCCACAAUAAAGAAAAUUACACUGAGAAUUAUGCUAGGUAGCAUUCCACAUCAAAAAUUCUGUUUUUAUAAUUUACCUACUCGAGGACGAGCAGGAAUUAAGCUUGGGGAUGCUUGAUACAUCUCCAACAUAUCUAUAAUUUUUUAUUGUUCCAUGCUAUUAUAUUACCCGUUUUGGAUGUUUAUGGGCUUUACUUUACACUUUUAUAUCAUUUUUGGGACUAACCUACUAACCGGAGGCCCAACCCAUAUUGCUGGUUUUUUGCCUAUUUCAGUGUUUCGAAGAAAAGGAAUAUCAAACGGAGUCCAAACGGAAUGAAACCUUCGGGAGCGUGAUUUUUGGAACGAACAUGAUCCAGAGGACUUGGAGUGGAAGUCAAGCAACAACCGAGGCAGCCGCGAGGGUGGAGGGCACCCCCGCCCCCCUACUGUGUGUGCCCCCUGUCUCAUGGGCCCCUAAGGCGUCCACCGACCUACCUUCUUCCUCCUAUAUAUACCCAUGUACCCCAAAAACAUCAAAGGAGCUGACGAAAACCUAAUUCCACCGCCGUAACCUUCUAUAUCCGUGAGAUCCCAUCUUGGAGCCUUCACCGGCGCUUCGCCAGAGGGGGAAUCGACCACGGAGGGCCUCUACAUCAUCUUCAAGGCCUCUCUGAUGAGUUGUGAGUAGUUUACCAUAGACCUUUGGGUCCAUAGUUAUUAGCUAGGUGGCUUCUUCUCUCUCUUUGAAUAUCAAUACCAUGUUGUCCUUGAUCUUCUUGGAGAUCUAUUCGAUGUAACUCUUUUUGUGGUGUGUUUGUCAAGAUCCGAUGAAUUGUGGGUUUAUGAUCAAGUUUAUCUAUGAACAAAGUAUUUGAAUCUCCUCUGAAUUCUUUUAUGUGUGAUUAAGUUAUCUUUGCAAGUCUCUCCAAAUUAUCAGUUUGGUUUGGCCUACUAGAUUGAUCUUUCUUGCAAUGGGAGAAGUGCUUAGCUUUGGGUUCAAUCUUGCGGUGUCCUUUCCCAGUGACAGCAGGGGCAGCAAGGCACGUAUUGUAUUGUUGCCAUCGAGGAUAAAAAGAUGGGGUUUAUAUCAUAUUGCAUGAGUUUAUCCCUCUACAUCAUGUUAUCUUUCUUAAUGCGUUACUCUGUUCUUUAUGAACUUAAUACUCUAGAUGCAUGCUGGAUAGCGGUCGAUGUGUGGAGUAAUAGUAGUAGAUGCAGGCAGGAGUCGGUCUACUUGUCAUGGAUGUGAUGCCUAUAUACAUGAUCAUGCCUAGAUAAUCUCAUAAUUAUUCGCUUUUCUAUCAAUUGCUCGACAGUAAUUUGUUCACCCACCAUAAUACUUAUGCUAUCUUGAGAGAAGCCACUAGUGAAACCUGUGGCCCCGAGGUCUAUCUUUUAUCAUAUAAGCUUUCAAUCUACUUUUAUUUGCAUCUUUACUUUUCCAAUCUAUAUUAUAAAAUACCAAAAAUAUAUUUAUCUUAUCAUAUUAUCUCUAUCAGAUCUCACUUUCGCAAGUGGCCUUGAAGGGAUUGACAACCCCUUUAUUGCGUUGGUUGCGAGUUCUUGUUUGUUUGUGUAGGUGCAUGGGACUUUUGAGGAGCCUCCUACUGGAUUGAUACCUUGGUUCUCAAAAACUGAGGGAAAUACUUACACUACUAUUGCUGCAUCACCCUUUCCUCUUCAAGGAAAACCAACGCAAGCUCAAGACGUAGCAUGCGCCCCAUGUAGGCCGAAUUAGGAGAGGGGAAGGAAAGAGGGGAAUAGAGAAGGAAGGGGAGGGAUUCGGCCUCCCCCUUCCUUCCCUCCUCACCUCAGGAAGAUAUGGAAAGGGGGGUGAGGGAGUCCUGGAUUAAGGGGUCCUCGGAUAGCUGGACUAUAUACUUUGGUCAGACUGUUGAGCUAUGAAGAUACAAGAUAGAAGACUUCGUCCCGUGUCCGGAUGGGACUCUCCUUGGCGUGGAAGGCAAGCUUGGCGAUUCGGAUAUGUAGAUUCCUUUCUCUGUAACCGACUUUGUACAACCUUAGCCCCCUCCGGUGUCUACAUAAACCGGAGGGUUUAGGCUUCUAGGGUUUAGCCACAACAAUCAUAACCUCAUAGUCUAGACUUCUAGGGUUUAGCCAUUAUGAUCUCGUGGUAGAUCAACUCUUGUAAUACUCAUAUUCGUGAAGAAUAAUCAAGCGGGAAGUAGGGUAUUACCUCCAUAGAGAGGGCCUGGACCUGGGUAAACAUUGUGUCCCCCACCUCCUGUUACCAUUAGCCUUAGAUGCACAGUUUGGGACCCCCUACCCAAGAUCCCGGUUUUGACACCGACAUUGGUGCAUUCAUUGAGCGUUCCGCUGCAUCGUCUUCAAAAGGCUUGAUGGCUCCAUCAAUCAUCUACAACAAUGCAGUCCAGGGGGAGAUUUUCCUCCCCGGACAGAUAUUCGUAUUCGGCGGCUUCACACUGCGGGCCAACUCGCUUGGCCAUCUGGAGCAGAUCGACAGCUACGCCCCUGGCCAUCAGGUCAGAUUCGGGAGCCUAAAUUUUGUGACCGAUAUUCGCGAAGACUUGAUCUUCCAUGGAUUCGAGCCCAUGACGGUUGUCCCCUGCCACAUGAUGAACAUGACCUAGAUCUGUCAUCUGGCCUUGCUCAGGAGAUAGCACCUGUGACCGCUCUGGCCCUAGAUCUGGAGCAGACUGUGUCGUCCGAAGACGGGAGGGUGAACCCCGCCGUGGAAGCCGCAGACUCAGUGGCGCUCGAGCCGCACACAGACCCAACAUCGAGCUGGGCUUGUGUCACUAGAAUCUCGGACUCGUUUCCGGCCAUUGGUUCCACACCGCGUGCAUCCGCGUCCAUCGAACCUGAUUGGGCGCUGAUCUUGGAGUUCAGCUCCGCGGACAUCUUCCAGCACUCGCCUUUUGGCGACGUGUUAAACUCAUUAAAAUCCCUCUCCUUGUCGGGGGACUCUCGACCGAACUAUGUCUGGCUCGAAUGGCAAGUGGAUGACGAAGAACUUCGUUUCCCACCCACCACCCACUUUAUAGCCACUGUCGACCACUUACAUGCUUGAUUAUGACUCCGAAGACAUCAACGGUAUGGACGACGAUGUCGGAGAGGAGCAGGAACCACUGCAUACAAGGCAUUGGACAGCCACCUCCUCGUAUGACAUAUACAUGGUGGAUACACCUAAACAAAACAAUGGCGACAAUGAAAAUCUAGUCGAGGAUAAACCUCCUAAGAUACAGCCAAAGCGCCGGCAUCAGCGGCGCUGCUCUAAGCCACGCCAUAGUAAAAACAGCAACACCGUCACAGGAGAAAACAAUACCCCGGACGACGCCGAAGACAAUGAAGACCCUGUUGAGCCAACCUCCGAACAAGACGAAUGUGAAGAUGGGCAAGCUAGCCCUGAUGAACCGGCCACGAAUGAAGACGUGGAGGACAAUAAUUACCUUCCGCUCUUCGAGGACGAGGUGAGCCUUGGCGACGAAGACUUUAUCGUGCCUGAGGAUCCCGUUGAGCAGGAGCGCUUUAAGCGCCGGCUAAUAGCCACUGCAAGGAGCCUGAAAAGGAAGUAGCAGUAGCUUCAAGCUGAUCAAGAUCUUCUGAAUGAAAGAUGGACUGAUGUCCUGGCAGCCGAGGAAUAUGGCCUCGAGCGCCCAACCAAAAGCUACCCGAAGUGCAAACUGUUACCAUAGUUCGAUGACAAGGCACUGGAGCCCGUCCUACCAAGGUACAAUGUGGCUAACCGACCACCACGUGGCCGGGACAAAGCGGCACCUCGAGCCGAACACCAGCCCGCAUUACCUCGUCGAGCAAACAGAAAUACAACAACUCGUGGAUAUACACAUGACCUAGGGAAUGACUUGGAAAACAGAGCAGGUCAGACAAGAUCAAUCUAUGGAUCACGGGGGCGUGCCCCGAUGCGCGACGAUGGCCAUCCGGCUGAACGUGACAAACAUAACCACGUCCGGGCCAAACACCACAGACGAACUCCAUCCGAGCUACGUCACAACUUGGCCCGAUAUGGAGGAGCCCCACCCCCCCCCCCUUUGCUUCACUGACGAAGUAAUGGGACACGAUUUCCUAGAAGGGUUUAAACCUGUGAACAUCGAAUCAUAUGAUGGCACAACAGACCCCGCGGUAUGGAUUGAGGACAUUCUUCUCCACAUUCAUAUGGCCCGUGGUGAUGAUCUUCACGCCAUCAAAUACCUCCCGCUCAAACUCAAGGGACCAGCUAGGUACUGGUUGAAUAGUCUGCCUGAAAACUCCAUUGGCAGCUGGGAGGACUUGGAGGACGCCUUCCUCGACAACUUCCAAGGCACAUAUGUCCGGCCUCCGGAUGCCGAUGACCUAAGUCACGUAACCAACAGCCCGGAGAGUCAGCUAGGAAAUUCUGGACUAAGUUCUUAACUAAAAAGAACCAGAUCAUCGAUUGUCCGGACGCCAAAGCCCUAGCUGCCUUUAAGCACAGCAUCCGCGAUGAAUGGCUGGCCAGACACCUCGGCCAAGACAAACAGAAGUCCAUGUCAGCCCUUACAACACUCAUGACCCGCUUCUGUGCGGGCGAAGAAAGCUGGCUAGCCCGUAGCAAUAACAAUACAAGCGAACCUGGCACUUCUGAAGCCAGAACAGCAAUGGCAAGCCCCGACGCAAUAGACAUAAGAGUCGAAACAAUGGUGACAACACCGAAGACACGGCGGUCAACGCCAGAUUCAGUGGCUCUAAGUCCGGUCAGCGGAAGAAGCCAUUUAAGAGAAAUAAUCCGGGCCCGUUCAGUUUGGACCGCAUACUAGAUCGACCAUGCCAAAUCCAUGGCACUCCUGAUAAACCAGCCAAUCAUACCAACAAGGAAUGUUGGGUCUUCAAACAGGCCGGCAAGUUAAACACCGUGAAUAAGGAGAAAGGGUUGCAAAUCAAUGACGAUGAUGAGGAACCCCGACCACCGAACACAUGGGGACAGAAGAAAUCCCCCCCAAGUCAAAACGGUGAACAUGAUUGUCACAUCCCUGGUCCUGUUAUGCAUUAGGCUAGGCCUCAUGUGAGCAUCAUGUUUUAAUUCAAAUGAAAUUUGAAUUGAGGGAUUUUCAAAGCCUCAGAAACCUUCUAAAAAUGAUCAACAUUAAAAUCUUCUCAAAGAAGUCCAAGAAAAUGUUCCUCUUAGUCUCUGAAAAUAUUGCAAAGAGGUAAAACUCAAAACAAUAUUUUUGGUAUCUCAGAGUUAAUUAUUUUGGGCCUUUGAAUUAAAUAAAUAACUAUUUGCAUUGGAUAUAUAUUUCUUAAUUAAUUAAUAUAUGUCCAAUAAUUCUGAUCUUUGAUGAAGGGCUUUGGAAUAAUCCUACUAGUCCCUACCAUAAUUAUCAGAAGCAAUAAAAAUGAUUUAGUGUCUAAAACUAAAUCAAAACAAACUACAGAAAAUAGAAAACAGAUUUAAAUAGAAUAAAAGCAGAGAGGAGAGAAAACUUACCUGGCGCUCACCUCUCAGCCCACCUGGCCCAGCUCCUCCAGCGGCCCAGCCCACCGCCGUCUCUCCCCCUGUCGUCUUCCUCCCCCUCGCCCCGAAGCUGCUCGGUGGCGCGCGCGGCCACGCGCCCCGGCCACCUCCUCCCUUCCAGCCUGCCUGGCUCCUCCUCGACGCCCCGGUGACGCCACGCGGCCCCCUCGACCCUCUCCAACUCUCCCCAUGCCCCUCUCCUCUCUCUCCCCGGAACGCUCUCCCCCUCCUCUGUUCUCCUCACCGAACGCGCCCGCCGCCGCCGACGAGAACCACCGUGGCCACCGGCCACCCCACACCUCACCGACGCCCCAGGAAGCUCCGCCCCGACCCCCCUCUUCCUCCCCACCGAUCCACGGCCCUCCGUAAGCCCUGCAGCGUCGCCCUCAAGCUCGCCCCCAACCUUCGGCCGCCGGCGAACUUUCGAGGAUUCGCGAGCUCCAGCCCCUUCCCGGCCUCACCGUUGCCUCCACCAGAUCCGCUGUGAGCUACUCUUCCAUUCCCCCUCCUCCUCGCGCUCGUUCCUGUACUCUAGCCGCCCUUUUCACCGGAGCCGAUUGCUCCUCGCCGCCGGCCAUGGCAUGGCCGUGGCCACAGCCACCGCAGCUCGCUCCCGAGCCCACCGGCGUGCUCACCGCAACCUUAGGAACCCAAAGCACCUAACCACUCGUCCUCCCGUGCACCGCAGCGCCGGUCCCGCGAACCCCCGAGCUCCGGCCGCCGCCUCGGGCUCCACUCCGGCGAACCCCGGCCACCCCCUCACCUCCCGUUGGUUCCCCUAGAUGCGCACGGGCACGGGCUACCUCCUGGUGCCCUUGGUGCGUCGAUCCGUCGUCUCUGGCGCAACUCCGGCGAGCCACCGCCGCUCUGGGUCGUCGCCGUCGUCCAACCGCCGGCGAAUCCGACGUGGCCGGUCAUUAGGGCCUAACCACCCCCGCUAACCCAGGCCUAGGGCCACUGACCGGUGGGCCCUACCGUUUAAUUAACCCGGCUAACAAUUUAGUUAAGUUAAUAAAACUCUGUUAAAUCACUGUGCAGCUGACAUGUGGGUCCCGAGCGUCAGGUUUGACCCGGACCAGCCCUUGUUGACCUGUGACGUCAUGCCAACGUCAUGCUGAUGCAAUAAUUCCUUUUUGGAAUUUAAAUAAAUCUUAAAUGAUUUAAUAUUUUCAGAAAAUGCCCUAAACUUCAAUAAAUCAUAGAAAUUCAACCGUAACUCCAAAUUAAAUAAAUUAUAUAUGAAAAAUUAUUAGAAAAAUUCAAGGAAUCCAUCUGUACCAUUUUCAUGCAUGUUAGAACAACUUAUAGCUGCUGUUUAGCACAAAUCAAUUAAAUGGCAUUUGAAUAAUCACAUAUGGAGUUUGAAUUUGAAUCUUGUAUUCAAACCAACUUCAUUUAACCUGUUGCUAGUUGCAUUAGCUCAAAACACAUUCAUAUUGCCAUGUCAUGAGCAUGCAUCAUAUUGUGCAUUGCAUUGAUUGUAUUUCUUCUUUGUUGCCGGUAUCUGUUCCCUCCCGGUAGACGAUGUUCCGACGUUGUGAUCGUUGACACUGAUGAAGACUCAAUGUUAUCUUCAGAAGUGCCAGGCAAGCAAAACCCCCUUGUUCAUUCCGAUACAAUCCUACUCUCUCGCUUCUGCUCUCUUUUACUGCAUUAGGACAACAACGAUUCAUCUGUUACUUGCUGCGGUAGCUGAACCCCUUUAUCCUUUGCAUGACCUGUCAUUGCCAUAGUAAAUAGAUGAAACCCACUAGCAUGAGUAGGAGUUGUUUGAGCCCUGUUGUGCCUACUCAUUCAUGCUUGUUUGUCAUGCCUGCUACUGCUUAGAGUUGAGUUAGGUCUGAUUCAUCGGGGAUGAAUCAGAGGCGUGUGAACAUGUCCUACUGUGUGUGAGCUAAGUGUGUGAACAUGAUUUGGUAAAGGUAGCGGUGAGAGCCAUGUAGGAGUACAUGGUGGGUUGUCUCAUUGAAGCCGUCCUCAGGAACUGAGUUCUGUGUUUGUGAUCCAUGAUUCAGCUACUACCAUACAUUGGGCCCUGAAAUAUGACCCCGCUCGACUUCUUAUUCACCCAAGUCCUCUGUCCAGGAGUUGCAAGUAGUUUCUGGUGUUUGUAGUAUGCUGGAGGCCGUGCACAGCGCUGACCGGAGGGGUGGGCUGUGAUGCGGUAGGCACGUGGCCGGGUAUACCGGGCGCCCGUUUGGUGUCAUGGAACCCUGUUCACAUCGUUUGGGGCUGUGAGCGAAACUCCGGCCGGAUCUCCUCAUGGAUGGAACCCGAAUAGGCGAUAAACCUGGACUAGAGACUUGAGUGUUUAGGUAGGUCGUGGUCUACACCCACGUCGGCUUUCGCUUGAAGUCUGUCGAGCACAUGUCGUGUGCAGACGCUAAGUGGUGGAAACAUGUAUGAAGAAGUACACCCCUGCAGGGUUAACAUCAUCUAUUCGAAUAGCCGUGUCCGCGGAAAAGGACUUCUGGGUUGCUUAUAUCAGUUCAUAGACAAGUGAAAGUGGAUACCCUAAAAUACGCAAGAUAAGCGUGAGUGCUAUGGAUGGCGUUCUUGUAGGGAGACGGGAGCGGAUCCAUAGUGGUGUAUUGAUAUGGUGAAUGUGUGGACUCAUGUGCGCCACCUCAAAAGAGUUACUUGCAGUCGUAGUUCAGGAUAGCCACCGAGUCAAAGAUGGCUUGCUGCAGUUAAAACCCACCAUCCCCUUGUUGGAAAUGAUGCAUAUGUAGUUAGUUCUGAUGUAAGUCUUGCUGGGUACAUUUGUACUCACGUUUGCCUAUUUUAUGUUUUUGCAGAGAGACCUCAGUCUCGCUAGUAGUUCCGUAUGGUCUUCGACGUUUAGCUUGUUACCUCAGCUAUGAUCUUGUGCCCUCGGUAGGAUUUGAUAGAUAGUCAGGCUUCUCAGCCUUUUUCAUUUAUAGAUGUCUGUACUCAGACAUGAUAGCUUCCGCUUGUGCUUUGACUUGUAUGCUCUGAUUGUUGGGUCAUGAGACCCAUGUUUGUAAUAUCUCGCUCCUCGGAGCCUAUUGAAUAAAAUACUUGAGUUGUAGAGUCAUGUUGUGAUGCCAUGUUGUAUUUUCACAUAUCGAGCAUAUUGUGUGUAUGUUAUUGAAAUGCUUGGUAUGUGUGGGAUCUGACAACCUAGUUGUUUAUCCUUGGUAGCCUCUCUUACCGGGAAAUGUCUCCUAGUGUUUCCACCGAGCCAUGGUAGCUUGCUACUGCUCCAGAACACUUUGGCUGGCCGGCAUGUGUCCUUCUUCGUUCCUGUGUCUGUCCCUUCGGGGAAAUGUCACGCGAUGAAUACCGGAGUCCUGCUAGCCCAGUGCUACGGCCUGGAUUCACUCGCUGAUGACCGACACGUUCGAUGUUGGGUCAUGGAUGCCUGUCCCUGUAAGUUUGUGCCACUUUGGGUUUACGACUAGCCAUGUCAGCCCGGGCUCCUUAUCAUAUGGAUGCUAGCGACACUAUCAUAUACGUGUGCCAAAAGGCGCAAACGGUCCCGGGCAAAGGUAAGGCGACACCCGUGGGAAUACCGUGCGUGAGGCCGCAAAGUGAUAUGAGGUGUUACAUGCUAGAUCGAUGUGGCAUUGAGUCGGGGUCCUGACAGCGUUGGUAUCAGAGCUUGACUGCCUGUAGGAUUACCAAGCCAAACUGGUCGAAGUUGAGUUUAGAAAUUCUUUAGUUAUAUAAGGGAAUUGAUUGUGGGAUGGAACGUAAGGCUCUUUUUACUCCUUAUACCUUAUGUCUUCUGAUCUGAGUCAUCUUAUCUUUCCUGCGGGGAUUAAGAACUAGGCUAUCUCUUCUUUCUAUCAGGAUCAUGUUACUAAUCCGUAGACUUAUAGAUUGUUGGAUUUAAGCUUGAGUUCAGUUCCUAUGACUUCUGUAUGUUAACUGAUGAUCUUGAAAUCUUGAUAUUGUGCUUCUGAGUGGUUAUGCCACCAUUUUUGUGAUUGUCUCAAAUCUUUUUUGAGCAUUUAUAGCCGUUAUGCUGUCCGAGUCAUCCCAGGUUUCUAAAUAGUCUGAUGCAUUUGCAAAUCCCUUCUUCCCGUUUCCGAUGUCCUUUUGGUCAGAUUAAUCACACAAAUCAAUGAGUUGAGGUACUUUAUAGCCUUGACAUAUAUGUUGGAGCUAUUAUUAUGACCCUAGGUGUUUUAGGGAGUCACCUAGUAAUCUAGCAACGUUUUGUGUUCCCAGUGUGAAGAUUCUGGCCAUCAUUCUCGAAAGCAUCUCGUGGUGCUACUUAGUAGUAGGUAUUCUAUUCCUGGGUCUUGAACCCGAGAUUCACUCUACUUAAUUCAUGUUGAUAGUGUUUGCUAGUUCCUUUAGGAUAUUAGUAACUUGCGAUAGUCCUCGAGGUCCGUGGUAUUUUCUUCUUCCAAAUACUAUGAACCGCUUAUGGCAGAUGUUUAUUGGAUCAAAAGAUCACAAUCAUAGUACUCUUGGGAAGUUCUCCAUUCAUAAAUCAUGACUCUGCCAGUCCUACUUCCUUGCAUGGGUUAUCUGGAAGAAACUUGUUGAACUUGGUUCGACAUAUUAAUCUAUGCAUCCACAACUCGAAAGGAUAUAUGUCCCCUUGAGUUGUCCCUCUUCAUUCGUAUUCCGACCUUCGUCUAUCAAUUGAUAGUCAGGAGUAAUUUUGCAUUUGUGUUAUCGAUGCUUAUUAUUCUUGUGGUCCGUCAAGCCAUUCUAUCGCGGAAUGACUAGGAGAAACAAACUCCAGUACCUCAUCCAUACCUAGGAUUGGGUCAAAGCAGUUGUAUUCCGCAGAUCAAAUGCCAAUCCAGCUUUUGGUUCUGUUCUACCUUGGAGUAUUACCCCCUUUAUGUCAGAAUUGUCAUGAGAACUGCACCAACUCUCAUGAAUUUUGACGUAGUGAUACUUCUCACCAUCAUUAGUCAUUCCUCGGUCUUCGUGUUGUUAUAACCGGAAUGUCGACAAGUGAAUCGUGAUGUGUGAAAUCAAUACUCCUAGCAACCUUGUUGCUUGGUAGUUAAAUGGACAAUAACCUCAUUCUUAACGUGUUGGUUCUUGAAUCAUCAUUCUAAGAUUGAUCGUGCUACCUUGUCCAUCUUCCUGGUGCACAUUUCGAUUGAUGAGUUAGGAUUUUGUCAAGUCCUCGCUCAUUUGAUCAUAUUGUCUUGCCCUGAAAAGCAAGAUUGUUCUCGAGCUUAGUAACAUAUCGGUGGCUUGUGAUUUUUUGAAUAUCUUCUCGAAGGUAUCAUCAGGUUGUCACCUGACUGUUAUGUUGAGCUCGUGAUCAAGUUGGUUUAUCCUGUAAACCACCCUUUCUCCAAGAAUCCGUGUUGGAUACCCCUGAGCUAGUUGGUUAAGCUAGACAACAACUUGGAGAGUUGGAAGAUAAAAGCUUGCCUGACUUAGUUCGUUCCAAAGGGAUAUUCUUGUGUAGUGGGUGUUGAAGAAAGAUGAUAUCUUCAUCGAUUGGUUCCUGUGAUCAGUUGCUGGACCUAUUGUCUUAUCAAUCCUUUGAUUUGAGUGUGGGCUAUCGUCAAAUCAAAUCAGUACCAACGAUAUUCAUAAUGUUGUCUUACUCGUGGUUGAUCCCUCGAGCAUACAUCAUUAUAUCUUUUGGGUCUGACCAAUGCUAUCACUUGUUCACUUAGCUAUGGAAUUCCUUUUAAAAGGGAACCCAGAUGAAUUGUUGUUGAGCCCAUUGACAACAUCCUUAUCUCCUCCAUGAUCUUGUUGGAUAACAAGUUAGUGUUGGAAACUUUUGAAAGCAUUUUCUUCAUGCUAGCUCAUGAAGUAUUUGUUUGAUGAAAGGAGUGACUUCCACUUAUACACGUGCAUUUGGUGAAAGUUGCCGCCGUGAAUUUGAGAAAGUUAGUUUUGCUUCCCCUGGAAUCAUCCCAAGUCAGUCAUGCAUAUGUGCGAAGUAUUCUAUGGUUUGGAGACUUGCAACCUUCAUUCCAUAUGUGUUCCGAGCACACCAAGCCACUGAUUGAUUUGUUCAAGGAGAAGAAGUUCCUUCCUAAGAGCAUGCCUUAUGGAAGGAUUUUGAUAUCCUCGUUGAUGGUUCCCCCUCCUGAACUCGGUAGUGUUUUAUUAUAGGACUACUUUGUGGUCAUGCUUGUCUGGGACAACGUGUUCACAUGUUUGUAGCAGAACCAGCUCAUGUUUUGGAGCUUACUAUCGUAGUUCAUUUCCCGAGAAUCUCGCAACGUUAUCUCGUCGAUUUGUGUUGCAAACUUUCAUUUUUCUUCCUAGACUCGAUGAGUCUGGAAUAUCCUGACACCAACCGGAUCUGAAUCUCAGGCAGUUAUGAUGGUUGGAAUGUUUCCCAAGAACUAUAAUACUGGUCCCUCGAUAACCGGUAAAGUGGAUGUCAUGGCCAACACACCCAGCCGGAAGACCUAUUAUUGUAGUAUCUUGAUUGAAGCAGUUGGCCACCUCCCCAUAAGGAUCUCGUAGAACUUAUUCUAGUAGUUGUUCCUUAUGGAUUUUUGUGUUUCCGAAGUCCGACCUUUACUUGAUGUUCUAGAUGCCAGACCAUUUCAAGGAAUGGGAUACGCUAGUACAUCAAGGAGAACAUUAGAAGCGGAGUGCUAAAUGUCUCUCGGUCGAUCGUCCAGGUUUUGUUUCCUUAGCCUCGCUAAGGAAAAUUCUGAGAAAGUGUUAUCUUCCUUUGCAUCUGCAUCAUCCAUCAUCAUUCAUCAUGGUAGCAAGUUGUGUUGCCAGGAUCCUUGACACGGAUAUUGGUAAAAUCUUGAUGAUUAUGGAAAGGCUCAAGUUCUUGAGAGCACGCACAAGCGCUAGGUGUUAUCAUCGACACUAAUUGGGAUGCUCUCAGUUUCCUCGGCAAUGCUAUGACCUUUUCAAACAGUGAAUUCACUCUCUAUUGUUGGGUUCUUCCCCAGUUACCAGAAUCAUACCUAGCAUUUGCAUUUUGUUCCCAGCUUGCACCGCUAAUGUGCCAUUCUACCAUGGGUCUCAUCCAUUUCCGAUGAUAAACAAAAUCAUCUAUGACGUUGUCUUCAACAAGGUAAUCCACAUCAUCCAAGUCCGAGUAUGCCAUUCUACCAAACCCCUCUAAAUGAUCGAUUAUGAUUUGCCUUAAGCUGGUAUAAAGAGUUUCAAUGAUCUUUGAAUCAAAGGUAAUUCUUUUUGCCACUUAAGGGGAUAUUUCUACGAGUCACGGUUCCUAAGGUGUCUCGUUAUGGUAUCAUGGCAACUCAACUCCUCGCUAUUUGACAACUUUUCACCACCCUCUUAGGUGUGGAAUUGUUGUCUACCUAGUGAACCCUCGUCAUUUGUUCCACUCCAUCCCUCUAGAUGUGUGUUUUGUGUCUCAGCUCGAGUGAUGUUGUUACGUCUCAUUCCGAGAGUUAAUCCUGAGUUGUUCGACCUUCGAGAAGGUUGAUCCUUCUAGAGUCUCCUUCUCCUCUCGUUGUCAUGUUGGCUGGAGUUCUCAGAGCAAGACGACAAGACAAAGAUGGUGAUCGAUUCAACAUGCUGAUGAAGUGCACCCUGGAUCGUGAAGGUUAUACUAGUUGCGUUCCCCCUUCAUCUUACCCUACGCUUGAAUCUCGGGACGAGAUUUUUGUUUAGUGGGGGUGAGUUGUCACAUCCCUGGUCCUGUUAUGCAUUAGGCUAGGCCUCAUGUGAGCAUCAUGUUUUAAUUCAAAUGAAAUUUGAAUUGAGGGAUUUUCAAAGCCUCAGAAACCUUCUAAAAAUGAUCAACAUUAAAAUCUUCUCAAAGAAGUCCAAGAAAAUGUUCCUCUUAGUCUCUGAAAAUAUUGCAAAGAGGUAAAACUCAAAACAAUAUUUUUGGUAUCUCAGAGUUAAUUAUUUUGGGCCUUUGAAUUAAAUAAAUAACUAUUUGCAUUGGAUAUAUAUUUCUUAAUUAAUUAAUAUAUGUCCAAUAAUUCUGAUCUUUGAUGAAGGGCUUUGGAAUAAUCCUACUAGUCCCUACCAUAAUUAUCAGAAGCAAUAAAAAUGAUUUAGUGUCUAAAACUAAAUCAAAACAAACUACAGAAAAUAGAAAACAGAUUUAAAUAGAAUAAAAGCAGAGAGGAGAGAAAACUUACCUAGCGCUCACCUCUCAGCCCACCUGGCCCAGCUCCUCCAGCGGCCCAGCCCACCGCCGUCUCUCCCCCUGUCGUCUUCCUCCCCCUCGCCCCGAAGCUGCUCGGUGGCGCGCGCGGCCACGCGCCCCGGCCACCUCCUCCCUUCCAGCCUGCCUGGCUCCUCCUCGACGCCCCGGUGACGCCACGCGGCCCCCUCGACCCUCUCCUACUCUCCUCGUGCCCCUCUCCUCUCUCUCCCCGGAACGCUCUCCCCCUCCUCUGUUCUCCUCACCGAACGCGCCCGCCGCCGCCGACGAGAACCAUCGUGGCCACCGGCCACCCCACACCUCACCGACGCCCCAGGAAGCUCCGCCCCGACCCCCCCUAUUCCUCCCCACCGAUCCACGGCCCUUCGGAAGCCCUGCAGCGUCGCCCUCNNNNNNNNNNNNNNNNNNNNNNNNNNNNNNNNNNNNNNNNNNNNNNNNNNNNNNNNNNNNNNNNNNNNNNNNNNNNNNNNNNNNNNNNNNNNNNNNNNNNNNNNNNNNNNNNNNNNNNNNNNNNNNNNNNNNNNNNNNNNNNNNNNNNNNNNNNNNNNNNNNNNNNNNNNNNNNNNNNNNNNNNNNNNNNNNNNNNNNNNNNNNNNNNNNNNNNNNNNNNNNCUCAAGCUCGCCCCCAACCUUCGGCCGCCGGCGAACUUUCGAGGAUUCGCGAGCUCCAGCCCCUCCCCGGCCUCACCGUUGCCUCCACCAGAUCCGCUGUGAGCUACUCUUCCAUUCCCCCUCCUCCUCGCGCUCGUUCCCGUACUCUAGCCGCCCUUUUCACCGGAGCCGAUUGCUCCUCGCCGCCGGCCAUGGCGUGGCCGUGGCCACAGCCACCGCAGAUCGCUCCCGAGCCCACCGGCGUGCUCACUGCAACCUUAGGAACCCAAAGCACCUAACCACUCGUCCUCCCGUGCACCGCAGCGCCGGUCCCGCGAACCCCCGAGCUCCGGCCACCGCCUCGGGCUCCACUCCGGCGAACCCCGGCCACCCCCGCACCUCCCGUUGGUUCCCCUAGAUGCGCACGGGCACGGGCUACCUCCUGGUGCCCUUGGCGCGUCGAUCUGUCGUCUCUGGCGCAACUCCGGCGAGCCACCGCCGCUCUGGGUCGUCGCCGUCGUCCAACCGCCGGCGAAUCCGAUGUGGCCGGUCAUUAGGGCCUAACCACCCCCGCUAACCCAGGCCUAGGGCCACUGACCGGUGGGCCCUACCGUUUAAUUAACCCGGCUAACAAUUUAGUUAAGUUAAUAAAACUCUGUUAAAUCACUGUGCAGCUGACAUGUGGGUCCCGAACGUCAGGUUUGACCCGGACCAGCCCCUGUUGACCUGUGACAUCAUGCCAACGUCAUGCUGACGCAAUAAUUCCUUUCUGGAAUUUAAAUAAAUCUUAAAUGAUUUAAUAUUUUCAGAAAAUGCCCUAAACUUCAAUAAAUCAUAGAAAUUCAACCGUAACUCCAAAUUAAAUAAAUUAUAUAUGAAAAAUUAUUAGAAAAAUUCAAGGAAUCCAUCUGUACCAUUUUCAUGCAUGUUAGAACAACUUAUAGCUGCUGUUUAGCACAAAUCAAUUAAAUGGCAUUUGAAUAAUCACAUAUGGAGUUUGAAUUUGAAUCUUGUAUUCAAACCAACUUCAUUUAACCUGUUGCUAGUUGCAUUGGCUCAAAACACAUUCAUAUUGCCAUGUCAUGAGCAUGCAUCAUAUUGUGCAUUGCAUUGAUUGUAUUUCUUCUUUGUUGCCGGUAUCUGUUCCCUCCCGGUAGACGAUGUUCCGACGUUGUGAUCGUUGACACUGAUGAAGACUCAAUGUUAUCUUCAGAAGUGCCAGGCAAGCAAAACCCCCUUGUUCAUUCCGAUACAAUCCUACUCUCUCGCUCCUGCUCUCUUUUACUGCAUUAGGACAACAACGAUUCAUCUGUUACUUGCUGCGGUAGCUGAACCCCUUUAUCCUUUGCAUGACCUGUCAUUGCCACAGUAAAUAGAUGAAACGCACUAGCAUGAGUAGGAGUUGUUUGAGCCCUAUUGUGCCUACUCAUUCAUGCUUGUUUGUCAUGCCUGCUACUGCUUAGAGUUGAGUCAGGUCUGAUUCAUCGGGGAUGAAUCAGAGGUGUGUGAACAUGUCCUACUGUGUGUGAGCUAAGUGUGUGAACACGAUUUGGUAAAGGUAGCAGUGAGAGGCCAUGUAGGAGUACAUGGUGGGUUGUAUCAUUGAAGACGUCCUCAGGAACUGAGUUCUGUGUUUGUGAUCCAUGAUUCAGCUACUACCAUACAUUGGGCCCUGAAAUAUGACCCCGCUCGACUUCUUAUUCACCCAAGUCCUCUGUCCAGGAGUUGCAAGUAGUUUCUGGUGUUUGUAGUAUGCUGGAGGCCGUGCACAGCGCUGACCGGAGGGGUGGGCUGUGAUGCGGUAGGCACGUGGCCGGGUAUACCGGGCGCCCGUUUGGUGUCACGGAACCCUAUUCACAUCAUUUGGGGCUGUGAGCGAAACUCCGGCCGGAUCUCCUGAUGGAUGGAACCCGAAAAGGCGAUAAACCUGGACUAGAGACUUGAGUGUUUAGGUAGGUCGUGGUCUACACCCACGUCGGCUUUCGCUUGAAGUCUGUCGAGCACAUGUCGUGUGCAGACGCUAAGUGGUGGAAACAUGUAUGAAGAAGUACACCCCUGCAGGGUUAACAUCAUCUAUUCGAAUAGCCGUGUCCGCGGAAAAGGACUUCUGGGUUGCUUAUAUCAGUUGAUAGACAAGUGAAAGUGGAUACCCUAAAAUACGCAAGAUAAGCGUGAGUGCUAUGGAUGGCGUUCUCGUAGGGAGACGGGAGCGGAUCCAUAGUGGUGUAUUGAUAUGGUGAAUAUGUGGACUCGUGUGCGCCACCUCAAAAGAGUUACUUGCAGUCGUAGUUCAGGAUAGCCACCGAGUCAAAGCUGGCUUGCUGCAGUUAAACCCCACCAUCCCCUUGUUGGAAAUGAUGCAUAUGUAGUUAGUUCUGAUGUAAGUCUUGCUGGGUACAUUUGUACUCACGUUUGCCUAUUUUAUGUUUUUGCAGAGAGACCUCAGUCUCGCUAGUAGUUCUGUAUGGUCUUCGACGUUUAGCUUGUUACCUCAGCUACGAUCUUGUGCCCUCGGCAGGAUUUGGUAGAUAGUCAGGCUUCUCAGCCUUUUUCAUUUAUAGAUGUCUGUACUCAGACAUGAUAGCUUCCGCUUGUGCUUUGACUUGUAUGCUCUGAUUGUUGGGUCAUGAGACCCAUGUUUGUAAUAUCUCGCUCCUCGGAGCCUAUUGAAUAAAAUACUUGAGUUGUAGAGUCAUGUUGUGAUGCCAUGUUGUAUUUGCACAUAUCGAGCAUAUUGUGUGUAUGUUAUUGAAAUGCUUGGUAUGUGUGGGAUCUGACAACCUAGUUGUUUAUCCUUGGUAGCCUCUCUUACCGGGAAAUGUCUCCUAGUGUUUCCACUGAGCCAUGGUAGCUUGCUACUGCUCCGGAACACUUAGGCUGGCCGGCAUGUGUCCUUCUUUGUUCCUGUGUCUGUCCCUUCAGGGAAAUGUCAUGCGAUGAAUACCGGAGUCCUGCUAGCCCAGUGCUACAGCCUGGAUUCACUCGCUGAUGACCGACACGUUCGAUGUUGGGUCAUGGAUGCCUGUCCCUGUAAGUUUGUGCCACUUUGGGUUUACGACUAGCCAUGUCAGCCCGGGCUCCUUAUCAUAUGGAUGCUAGCGACACUAUCAUAUACGUGUGCCAAAAGGCGCAAACGGUCCCGGGCAAAGGUAAGGCGACACCCGUGGGAAUACCGUGCGUGAGGCCACAAAGUGAUAUGAGGUGUUACAUGCUAGAUCGAUGUGGCAUUGAGUCGGGGUCCUGACAAUGAUAUACCCAUAUCCCCAAGAGGGAGCGCAAGCGUGGACUCAGGGACGUUACAAGAUGGAGCCAAUCGCCCCAAAGUUCAACCCAUGGUCGUCCUGUCCGAUCACCUUCGGUCGUAGGGACCAUCCGACCAGUAUCCGUCAUGGCGGUUCAGCCGCACUGGUCCUUGACCCAAUCAUAGAUGGAUUCCACCUUACGCGAGUCCUCAUGGACGGCGGCAGCAGCCUGAACCUAAUCUAUCAGGAUACAGUGCGCAAAAUGGGUAUCAAUCCCUCAAGGAUCAAGCCCACAAAAACCACCUUUAAAGGUGUCAUACUAGAUGUAGAGGCCUCCUAUACGGGCUCAAUCACACUGGAAGUGGUCUUCGAAUCCCCGGAUAAUUUCUGAAGCGAAGAAUUGAACUUUGAUAUCGUCCCCUUCCGUAGUGGCUAUCACGCACUGCUCGGACGAACCGCAUUCGCUCGAUUCAAUGCGAUGCCGCACUAUGCCUACCUCAAGCUCAAGAUGCCCGGACCAUGCGGUGUUAUAAUAGUGAAUGGAAACACGGAACGCUCUCUUCAUACCAAGGAGCACACCACGGCCCUUGCAGCAAAAGUAUAGAGCGGCCUUUUCAGGAAUAACCGUAAUUCAACAGCCAAGCUCCCAGACACCGUCAAGCGAGUCCGGACUACUCUGCAUCAGGAUAGUCCAGCUCGUCCAGAGCUUGACUAGCAAUUUGGCCUCCGUCCCAGUCCCAACAAGGCGGCGAUGCUUGUGCCGCGUGUACAUAACUACGCACUCAAAAUACCAUGGACAUGGAUGGAGGCAUAGCUAGAACGUCGUCCAUAAUGUGGCUCAACCGCCCCUGAAUCUGCAUACUUUCACUUUUUCUUUUUCAUUUCAGGUUUUUCUCUUCUCGAGGCUUUUCUGAUAACCUGAUCACCGGACCUAUCACGGGACGGAUACACCAAGAAGGCAAGGAGCUUUGACGUACAAGGGAACCCCGAGCUGGUCUCUACUAACGAUCGUUAUACCUAUUUUAAAUACCCGCACGCAGCUCGCCCUUGGUCAUGGCAUGUCAAAUAGCCUUAUUCGCUUACCGCAUUACUUGUACAAGUACACCUGGACGUAUCAAUCAAAUUACAAUGGAAAAUAAUUUGCGGCUCAAUAUUUGCGACGUCAGCCUAUUACUUGAUUUUUCCUUUGUCUUUAUAUUUUUUAUCAAUUGCUCCUGUACACUCUGGUACGCCUUAAUUCGCCAGGGGCUUCAUCAUACCCCACAAUACAGCAAUAAAGUCCGAACACUUUUACAGUACAGUUUGGCACCUUGAACUUAUAGCAUUAUAUGCAUCGGCUUCGAAUCAUGUCUUUGGUCAAUAGUUGGGUUGCCCGGCUCUUGUGCUUACUACCUUACGUUCCGCUAUAUUGUCUAGGGUAGUAAAGGGAGAACUAUUGUGAUUGUGUCCCGGUUCUUCCGGAUGAGCACCUCAGUAGAGAAAGCCGAAGACUGGCUGUCAUGAUGCAGCGAGAGCUGGUCAGCUAUUCGAGAGGUUGCAAAUCUUUAGUGAUUUUUUCUGCAUUAUGCAAGGAAUCAGUUUUUAUCCAAUUAGGUGUGUAUAGCGCCUCAAGUCUGGACUUCCGAACACUAGGGAUUGCACCAAAAUUUUUCUUGUCAAACUCCUACGGUUAAGUGAGGGUGAUAAAGCCGUAUAGUCUGAUUGCCUUGUUCGUCGUGCUAAACACCUCCUUUAAGGACCAAACUCUAGAGUAAAGAGUGUUUAGAUUUAUCCCGAACACCCCCGUACUACCUAUGUGGGGGGCAGAAGCCGACGACUGGCCAACUCUCAGAUUUAACAAAACGGCCGCAUAGGAGGUAGAACUUUAAAUAACAGACAUUAUAUUACAUAAUAGAUCGGUUUUCAUGGUAUAGGAUAGGAUAACAUGAGUGUAUUCAUGGUAAUAUGAUAUCCUUAGCACAUUGCUCCACUACAAGGCGGGAUCCCUCCAGGACACUGUCAAAAUACAGUUGGGGUCUGCGGUGCUCCUUGCCCUCGGGCGGUCCCUCGGUCAUCAGCUUCGGGGCAUCCAUCUUCGCCCAAUGCAUCUUGGCGCGGGCAAAGGCCAUUCGCGCACCUUCAAUACAGACCGGCCGCUUGAUAGCUUCAAGCCGAGGGCAGGCGCUGACAAGCCGCUUCAUGAGUCCGAAGUAGCUGCUAGGAAGGGCUUCGACAGGCCAUAGCCGGAUUAUCAAAUCCUUCAUGGCUAGUUUGGCUGCCCUAUGUAGCUCGACCAGCUGUUUCAGCUGAUCACUAAAGGGCACUGGACGUUCUGGUCCAAGGUAUUGCAACCAGAACAGCUUCUUCGUAGAGCUCCCCUCUUCGGCUCAAUAGAAUUUCGCAGCGUCUCACACGCUGCGCGGCAGAUCCACAAACGCCCCUGGAGAGCUCCAAAUUCAGGUAAGUAAAAGGAACCUUUCCUUCACAUAUCUGCUCUGCAUAAUGAAAGCCUUACCCGCCGUGAUCUUGGCCGCCUGGAUUUCCUGGAGGGCACCCUGGCCUUCGGACCAGGCAACUUGUGGGCUUUGGCGGGCCUUGGCAAGUUUGGACUCUUGCUCCUUAAAGUCGAGCUCCAAGGACUCGCACUUCUUGACGGCGUCCUGGAGCUCUUGCUGGACCUCGUUAACCCGGGCCUCCUGCUUUUCGCGUGCGGCCCGAUCCUUGGACGCCUUGUCCUUGGCCGCGGCCAGCACCUUCUUGAGGGCCUCUACUUUGGUCGUUGCCCCUAAUAAAUUUCAUGGCACUUUGGUCAUCAUGAAUCACUCAUCCUUCCUGAAUAUGUAUAAGAUUACUGCGUACCUUGACUGUCCUCUAGCUGCUUCUUCACGUGGCCAAUCUCUUCCUCGGGCCGCUCUAGAUUCUGCUUCAGUUCGGAGACUUCCGCAGUAUGAGAGGACGCAGCUAGCAGCGAUGUCUGCUUGUUCACAUAGACAUUUUAGAUUAGACUCCUAUGAAAAUUAUUUGAUCCUCUAUUUGAUUUUUCUUUCUAAACACCGGACAAAGUAUCAGGGGCUACUGUCUAUACUGUGACAUUCUUUUUAUAAUUGCGUUGCUUACCUCAAAGCCUGUUAGAAGGAUCGUGCACGCUUCAGUCAAUCCGCUUUUCAUAGACUGAAUCUUCUCAAUCACCGGUGGAAGUGCUUCCAGUAAUCUAUCUGGUGCCUCUGUAUGGACAGACGUCACCGGUGGAGUGGGCUCACCACCCUCUUUCAAAAAAGGCGGCAUGCCUGAGUCUGGAUCCACAUGGGCCUCCGGAGCUGUAUUCAGCUGGCGGCCGAAUUGGAUACGACCCCCAUCAUUAGUGUCCAUAGGGGUUUGCUCCCCCAUGUGUUCGGCAACCGGGGUUUCACCCUCCGGCACCACCAGGAUGGCAUCCUGAGCCUCUCCCUGGUCUGGGAUCGUUCGAUACAACACCUCGGUGUUGUCCACGACCUUGGGGGAGGAGGUCGUCCGAAGGGACCCACUGUCCAUCGCCGACGGCUCCAGCGAUCCCUCCGAAGAGGAGGAUAGCUCGAUGUUGGACCGAGCCGGACUGCAAGUGCAUGAUCCAGCACAUUAAAAACAAUAAAGUAAAAAGGCCGGAUAUAUUACCGUGUCCGGACACUUACGAUUUGGCCAGGGGCUUGUCCCUGGGCUCCCACUCCCAGCUGCUGUUGGUGGCCGCUGCGGAGUUGUCCAGAAGGGAAGCUUUCCCCUUCUUGGACGCCUCGGCCUCUAGAUGUGUGGAGGUCGUCCUCUUCUUUCUCCCCCCAGUAGGGGAGAAUGGAUUUCUUCUUCCUCCUCCUCUUCCUCGUCGUCUUCGGCGAUGAAGGAGUGAUCCUCGGCGUCUUCGGACAUUGCGUCUGAUGCGCCCUUGCGACGGAGACCAUCUCUGGUCCCCUUGGCCUUCUUCUUGGCCUUCUUCUCCGGCACCUGAUAAGGUGCCGGAACCAGCAUCUUCGUUAGAAGUGGGAUUUCUGGGCCUUCGGGCAGCGGGGCUGGACAGUUAAUCCGCUCCGCCAUCUCUAUCCAGGCCUAAAAAAUGCAUAGGGAAGCUUAGAUUCCUUCCUCGAGUAGGCCAGUAAAGGGUAUACCUUGGAAACAUGAAAGAACUUACCGGAUUAGCCUGGCGAGUUAAGCUAUGCCCACGAUCCUCGGUCGUGGGUGGUGGUGUCUCGCCGGCCUUGAAGAACACCUUCCAGAUAUCUUUGCGCAUCGUGUCGAAGAGCUCUAGUAGCGUCUGGUGCUUGGCCGGGUCGAAUUCCCACAAAUAGCAAGUCCGUUGUUGGCACGGAAGGAUCCGGCGAACGAUCAUAACCUGGAUUACGUUGACGAGCUUGAUUCUCUUGUUUAUCAUGUUCUGGACGCAUGUCUAGAGCCCUGUCAGCUCGUCCGAAGAGCCCCAGGCCAGGCCCUUCUCUUGCCAGGAGGUGAGCCGCAUCGGGACUCCGGAUCGGAAUGUGGGAGCCACGGCCCAAUUGGUGUCGCGUGGCUCGGUGAUGUAGAACCACCCCGACUGCCACCCUUUUACAGGCUCCAUAAAGGAGCCUUUGGGCCAGGUGACAUUGGGCAUCUUGCCCACCAUGGCACCUCCGCACUCUGCUUGUUGGCUGCUCACCACCUUCGGCUUCACAUUGAAGGUCUUCAGCCAUAGGCCAAAGUGAGGUGGGAUGCGGAGAAAGGCCUCGCUCACAACAAUAAAUGUUGAGAUGUUGAGGAUAGAUUUGGGGGCCAAAUCAUGGAAGUCUAGCCCGUAGUAAAACAUCAGUCCACGGACAAACGGGUGGAGGGGGAAUCCCAGCCCGCGGAUGAAGUGUGUGAGGAAUACCACCCUCUCCUGGGGCUUCGGGGUGGGGACAAUCUGUCCCUUGGCCGGAAGUCGGUGAACGAUUUCCUUGGCUAGGUACCCGGCCUCCCGGAGCUUCUUGAUGUGCUUCUCCUUGGCGGAGGAGGCCAUCCACUUGCCUCCUACUCCGGAUCCGGACAUGAUUGGAGUGCUUUUUUGGGCGGAGAAGGCGAGAGCUUGGGCGCUGGAGCUCGAGGAUGGAUGGGCAGAGGAAGGAGAAGGCGUGGGUAAAAAAGGAUGAAUCCUUAUCCCUUUAUAAAGGCAAUAAAAGUCAUGUGCCUCCCCACUUGCCUUAAAAUUCGCCUAUUCCCCAAGCAUCGUGCAGAUGACACGGUUGGGUUACCCAUGCUCGUAUUGAUGAGAAUCCCGUGAUAAGGGGACACGAUCUCUGCUUUGACAAGACGUGCCAAUGAAACUGCACCUCGAAAUACGGAGAGGCAGGCUAAAAAGGGUUGGAAUAAUGACCGGGCAGUGGCGUGGUGUCACGCUACAAAAAGUUGUCAGCGGAUUGGACUCGUGAAAUAUUAUACUCUCUAUGGUUGUGUGUGGUACUUGUUUUGCAGAGUUGGACACGUUUUCUAUGUUCGGAAGGCUAUGUUGGAGUAUUUGGAGAAGGAACCCGCCUUGCAAUGUCGAAGACAAUCUGCGCGCCGGACUCAUCGUCAUUGAAGCCUGGUUCAGGGGCUACUGAGGGAGUCUUGGAUUAAGGGGUCCUAGGACAGUCGGAUUAUAUACUUUGGCUGGACUGUUGGGCUAUGAAGAUACAAAAUAGAAGACUUCGUCCCGUGUCCGGAUGGGACUCUCCUUGGCGUGGAAGGCAAGCUUGGCGAUUCGGAUAUGUAGAUUCCUUUCCCUAUAACCAACUUGGUACAACCCUAGCCCCCUCCGAUGUCUAUAUAAACCGGAGGGUUUAGGCUUCUAGGGUUUAGCCACAACAAUCAUAACCUCAUAGGCUAGACUUCUAGGGUUUAGCCAUUACGAUCUCGUGGUAGAUCAACUCUUGUAAUACUCAUAUUCAUCAAGAUCAAUCAAGAAGGAAGUAUGGUAUUACCUCCAUAGAGAGGGCCCGAACCUGGGUAAACAUUGUGUCCCCCGCCUCCUAUUACCAUUAGCCUUAGAUGCAUAGUUUGGGACCCCCUACCUGAGAUCCGCCGGUUUUGACACCGACAGGGGGAGCUGAAUAGGAUUAGGGCCCCAAGUAGGAUUCCUCCUACUUGGGCGCCUGUCGGUGUCAAAACCGGCGGAUCUCGGGUAGGGGGUCCUGAACUGUGCGUCUAGGCGGAUGGUAACAGGAGACAAGGGACACGAUGUUUUUACCCAGGUUCGGGCCCUCCCGGUGGAGGUAAAACCCUACUCCUGCUUGAUUGAUGGUAUGGGUAUUACAAGAGUUGAUCUACCACGAGAUCAGAGAGGCCAAACCCUAGAAGCUAGCCUAUGGUAUGAUUGUUGUUCAUCCUACGGACUAAAUUCUCCGGUUUAUAUAGACACCGGAGAGGGCUAGGGUUACACAGAGUCGGUUACAAUCGGAGGAGAUCUUCAUAUCGUAUCGCCAAGCUUGCCUUCUACGCCAAGGAAAGUCCCUAUCCGAACACAGAACGAAGUCUUCAAUCUUGUAUCUUCAUAGUCUGGGAGUCCGGCCAAAGGUCAUAGUCCGGUCAUCCAGACACCCCCUAAUCCAGGACUCCCUCAGUAGCCGUUGAACCAGGCUUCAACGACGACGAGUCUGGCGCGCAAGUUGUCUUCGGCAUUGCAAGGCGGGUUCCUCCUCCGAAUACUUCAUAGAAGAUGUUGAACACCAGGAUAGUGUUCAGCUCUGCAAAAUAAUUUCCAUAUGCCACCAUAGAGAGAAUAACAUUUGCACCGAUCUAAUCUGCUGACGUAUUCCGUAGCGUGACCUCACGCCACGGCCAGGCUUUUAUUCAUUUUACUGUUCCACCUCAACGCGUUUAGCGAGGCGGUUUCCUUGGCACAUCUUGUCAAAGUAGAGAUCGUGUCCCCUUAUUCCGGGAUUCUCAUCAAUACGGGCGUGGGUAACCCAACUGCGCCAUUAAAUCGCAGCGCUUGGAAGAUAAGCGAGUUUUAAUAGGCUGGUGGGGGCUCGUAGUUUUGGCCGCCCAUAUAAGGGGAUAAGGAUCUACCCUUUCCAUUUACGCCCUCUUCCUCCUUUGCUUAUCCCUCCCUGCGUACUCGAGCUCCAGCGCCCAAGCCCGCACAUCUCGCCUCGACCUACUCCAACCAUGUCCGGAGCGGGAGGCAACUGGAUGGCCUCCUCCGUCACGGAGGGGCACAUCAAAAGGUUGCGGAAAGCCGGAUACCUGCACAACGACAUUGCGCACCGGCUUCCACACGAGGGGCAGCUCAUCCCCACCCCUAGGCCCCAUGAGAGGGUUGUAUUUCUUCCCCAUUUCCUUCGCGGACUGGGCUUUCCUCUUCACCCGUUCGUCCGGGGGCUCACGUUCUAUUACGUCCUGGACUUCCAUGAUCUGGCCCCAAACUUCAUCCUCAACAUCUCGGUGUUUAUCGUCGUGUGCGAGGCCUUCCUCCGCAUCGAGCUCCAUUUUGGCCUAUGGCUGAAGAUUUUCAGCGUCAAGCCGAAGGUCGUGGGCGGACGCCAAGCAGAGUGCGGAGGCGCCAUGGUGGGAAAGAUAGCCAAUGUUACAUGGCUCGAGGGCGCCUUCGUAGAGACCAUCAAAGGGUGGCAAUUGGGGUGGUUCUAUAUAACCGAACCGCGUGACCCUGAAUGGGCAGCGGCCCCCGAAUUCCGAUCUGGCAUCCCCACGCGGCUCACAUCUUGGAAAGAGAUGGGCCUGUCGUGGGGAAAUCCGGUAAAGGUGACCGGACUUCAAACCUGCAUCAAGGACCUGAUCGGCAGGAAGGUUAAACUCGUCACCGUGGUCCAGGUCAUGCUCUUCUGCCGGAUUCUCCCGUGUCAACGACGGGCUUCCAAUUUGUGGGAGUUCGACCCGGCCCAGCACCAGACUCUGUCCCGACUUUUCGACACAAAGCAUGAAGAUGCCUGGAGGGUGCUAUUCAAGAGCUCCGAGGUCCCCCCUCCCGUCAUCGAGGAUCCUGGAUUUUGCACCAAGCGCCAAGCCAGCGUGGUGAGCUUACUUUUCCCAUUUUGGGAUAUUUUGUUUUCCAUAGUUUAACUCUAUGCGGGAUGUAAACUCCCUUACCUUUGACAGGACUGGCUGAAGAAGUCCGAGCAGGUCAACUGUCCGGCUCCUUUGCCCGAAGACCCAGCGGAUGAUCGUCUAACCAAGCUGCUGGUUCCAGCACCCCACGUGGUGCCGGAGAAGAAGGCCAAGAAGAAAACACGGGGACUCGAAAGAGCUCCCGGUGCCUGGUGGUGUCGGAUUCUUCGCCUGACAGCCCCGAAGCCCCCUCCGCCUCUGAAGACGAGGAGGAGGAAGAGGAAGAAGAAGCCCCUCCCCCUCCAAUGGGGGAAGGAAAGAAAAGGAAGGCCGCCCCAACUACGGAGGCCGGAGGGUCCAUGAAGGGGAAAAUCCUUCUACUGGACUACGCCUCCGAUGCCGAAGACGGCGGGGAGGAAUGGCCAUCCAGGGUCAAGCCCCUGGCAAAAUCAUAAGUGUCCGGCUACCUGAAUGACUCAUGGCGCCUCUCUACUAUUCGAUAGCUUCUGAUGCCGAAUUUUAAUUAUGCAGUCCACCCAGAGCUCAGCUCGGCAAUUUGUCGAGCGGCUCCCUGAAUUCGUCGGAUGUGAAUAGCGCUUCACUUCCGACGGCUUCCUCCCCACUCCCUACGGACGACGCCGAGGCGGAGUCCCAAAAGGGACCGAACCAGGAGGAGGUGGUCCUGGAGGCGCCCCAAGGUGACCUCCCGGACUCCAAGCCCAAAGGGGGCAAAGCCCCGGAGAGAUCUAAGUCCGGCCCCGGGCCGGACACUGCUCCGGAACCACCAACGGUUCCAGAGUCCGAUAGGUGGCGCCUUUAUAAGAAGGGCAAGCCUACGCCGCCGGCGACCUCUGUCCAUCCGGAGGCGCCGGACAAUUUGCUGGAGGCGCUUAAGGGUGCCUCCAUCGACGAGGAACACCGCACUGUUAUGAGUGCGGUGAUUCAAAAGGUUCAGUCCGCCAAAAGCGGGCUGACAGGAGCCUGUACAAGUCUGUUAACAGGCUUUGAGGUAUGUGUUCAAAACAUAUAAAAAUGUAACCGCGUAGACAGUAGCCCCUGAUGCUCGGUUCGGUGUUCAGAAAAGAAAAGCCGAGCUGAGGAUCUAAAAAGAUAUACGCAGGAGUCUAUUAAAAAUAUGUCGAUAUGGGAAUGCAGGCUGCGCUGCUGACCUCUGUCGCACUGACUGUGGAGGUCAAUGCAUUGAAGGGAAGCCUCGAGCGGUCCGAGAGCGAGCUCGGCCGUGGCAAGAAGCAGCUCGAGGACAAGGAGGGUAUGUAAUACUGUAUGUAAAUGUAUAUAGAGAUACUUGGUUGCAAAUAAUGACAGGACCAACUUAAAUGUUUCAGGGGCCACAGCCGAGGUGGCGACCCUGAAGGAGGCGGUCACGAAGGCUGAAAACAGUGCGGCACUAGAGCGCGCCGAGCGAGAGAAGCAGGAGGCGCGGGUGGCGGAGGUGCGGCAAGAGCUCCAGGCUCUCGUGGAAAAACACGAGAGUUUGGAGCAUGACUCGAAGACUCGAGAGUCCGAGCUCGCAUUGGCGCUUGAGAGUGCCAAAAACGCUAAGGCCGAAGCCCAGAAGGCCCUCCAGGAGAUCGAGGCGAUGAAGAAAAUAGCGGCGGGUAAGGCAUUUUUUAUGCAAAGCAAGAAUAUAAAAACUAAUUAUCUGCUACUUACCCGAAUCCGGAGCUCUCCAGGAGUGUUCGCCGAUCUGCCCCGUAGUGUGUCUGAUGCCGCCACAUACUACCGAGCCGAAGAGGGGAGCUCGACGGAAAAAGUUUUCUGGUCUCAGUAUGCUGAGGCCGAACAUCCGGUGCCCCUGAGCGACCAGCUGAAGCAGCUGGUCGAGCUCCACAAGGUGGCCGAAUAGGCCAUGAAGGGCCUCAUAGCUCGGCUGUGGCCUGGAGAAGCUAUGCCUGGGAGCUACUUCGGUCUGGUGCGGCGGCUGGUUGACGCGUGUCCGUGGAUUGAGGUCGUCAAGCGCUCCGUCUGUAUUAAAGGUGCCCGCCGGGCCCUUGCCCGUGCUAAAGUGCACUGGGGCAAGCUGGACGCUGAGAAGCUUUUGUCGGACGCGCCCCCGCCGGGCAAGGAGUAUCGCACGCCCGAGAUAUAUUAUAAGGGCGUCCUGAAGGGUGCUCGCCGUAUAGCGGACGAAUGCACUAAAGAUGUAAUUUUUGAGUAGGCUCGCAUCUGUUAUCCUGUACGCUGAAAACUUUGUUCAUAUGCGCUAAGCAACGCUUGUUAAUUUAAAAUAUUACCUUCUGUGCGGCCGUUUAUCAAAUCUGAGAGAUGCAAGUCGUCGGCUUCGACCCCCAUGCCACGAGUGCUGGGGUGUUCGGGAUAAACCUGAGCGCUCUUGUUCCCAUUUUUGGGUCCAUCUAGGGAGGCGCUCAGCACAACGAACCAGGCCGUCGGACUUAUAAUGUUUUAUCACUCUCACUUAGCCAUAGAAUCCUAUAAUUUUAAAUUUCGGGGAAGCCCCUAGUAUUCGGAAGAUCGAGUUCGGGGCGCUAUCCACGCCUAGGCCGGAUAAGUCUGGUUCCUCGCUCUAAGCGGCAUAAGUCUUUAAGGACUCGAAAAACCUCGCGAACAGUGACCGGUCUCUCGCACUAUCAUGACGGUCAGUUUUAGCUUUCUCUACUGAGGUGUUAACCCAGAUCAAUUGGGGCACAAUCGCAGUAGUUCUCCAAGUGCUACCUUAGCCAACAUUGCGGAACAUAAGGUACCAAAACAUGGGAGCCGGGCAAACCCAACUAUUGACCAAAGACAUGAUUCGGAGCCGAUGCAUAUAGUGCUAUAAGUUCGGGGUGCGGCACUCCUAAGAGUGUUCGGUCUUGUCACACCAUGUUAUGGGGUGCUUUAGCCCCUGGUGUAUUGUCCGUACCAAAGUGUACGGUUGCAUAAUGUCAUGACUGAACAUAUAUAUAAAAAGGAAUACAAUAAUAGAUAGAAGCUAUGUAUUGUUUAUUAUUAAAAAAUUGCUGCUAUGAAAGCAGAACAAUACAAAUAGUGCGAUAAGCAAGGGAUGGGAUUAUUUGACAUGUCCCCCUCCAGGGGCAAGCUGCGGGAUUUUAAGUAAAAUAGGUAGUAAGCUCGUUAUAGAGACCACCUGGACAUUUGAUGCGGCUUGUCCUCACCCUGGCUAUUGCAUCGUGUGUUCUGCAAGUGUAUUGCCGGACAGGCCUUCUGAGUAGUUGGGUCCUGAAAGUAUAUAAAAAAGGAAAACGACCGAAUAGGGAGCCCCUUAGUGCGGUUGAGCCGCAUUCUGGGCGUGCCGUAGUUGCGCCCCUUCCCUUAUGCCCAUGGUAUUUUCAAAGCAUAAUUAUGUACGCGUGAUACCGAUAGCACUAUCUGACGAGGGCUGGGGUUGGGGCCGCACUGCUAUGCUUGCUCGGCUCUGUUGUAGGUUGCUUCGGGCGCGCUUGACGUUGUCCGGACGUUUAAUACCCGGAUUGGAGAGCUGCCUUGAGAGGCUGCUUUGUACUUCCGCCGCGAGGGCCGCUGUGUGCUCCUCCGUUCGGAGAGAGCGUUCGGUGUUUCCAUUUACCAUGAUGACUCCGCGAGGGCCUGGCAUCUUGAGCUUGAGAUAUGUGUAGUGCGGCACCGCAUUGAACUUUGCAAAUGCGGUUCGUCCGAGCAAGGCGUGAUAGCCGCUGCAGAAUGGGACUAUGUCGAAGAUUAACUCUUCGCUUCGAAAAUUAACCGGGGAUCCGAAGACCACUUCGAGUGUAACUGAGCCUGUACAGCUGGCUUCUACACCCGGUAUGACACCUUUAAAGGUUGUCUUUGUGGGUUUGAUCCCUGAGGGAUCUAUACCCAUUUUUCGCACUGUAUCCUGAUAAAGCAGGUUCAAGCUAUUGCCGCUGUCCAUGAGGACUCUGGUGAGGUGAAAUCCGUCAAUGAUUGGGUCUAGGACCAAUGCGGCGAAUCCGCCGUGACGGAUGCUGGUGGGGUGGUCCCUUCGAUCAAAUGUGAUCGGGCAGGAGGACCAUGGGUUGAACUUUGGGGCGACUGGCUCCAACGCAUAGACGUCCUUGAGAGCACGCUUCCGCUUUCUCUUGGGGAUAUGGGUUGCGUAUAUCAUGUUCACCGUCCGCACUUGCGGGGGGAAUCCCUUCUGUCCUCUGUUGUUUGGCGGCCGGGGCUCCUCCUCGUUAUCGCUACGCAGCCUCUUGUCUCUGGUUUCGGCACUUACCUUGCCUGCCUGCUUGAACACCCAACAAUCCCUGUUGGUGUGGUUGGCUGGUUGUUCGGGGGUGCCGUGUAUCUGGCACGAGUGGCCGAGUAUCCGGUCUAAGUUGGAUGGGCCUAGAGGGUUUCUUUUGAAUGGCUUCUUCCGCUGACCGGGUUUAGAGCCUCUAAAUCCGGCAUUGACUGCCGUAUCCUCAGUAUUGUCGCUGUUAAUGCAGUGCUUGUGCUUGUUGCGACGUGACCUGCCAUUGUUGUCCUUGGUAUCCGAAUUACCAAGGCUCUUGGUUAUGUUAUUGCUACGAGCUAGCCAGCUGUCUUCGCCCGUGCAGAAGCGGGUCAUGAGUGUCAUGAGGGCUGCCAUAGAUUUCGGCUUUUCCUGUCCUAGGUGCCGGGCAAGCCAUUCAUCUCGGAUGUUGUGCCUGAAGGCAGCAAGGGCCUCGGCAUCCGGACAGUCGACUAUUUGAUUUUUCUUGGUUAGGAACCGUGUCCAGAAUUGUCUGGUCGAUUCCUCUGGCUGCUGGAUUAUGUGGCUUAGGUCAUCGGCGUCUGGUAGUCGCACGUAAGUGCCCUGGAAGUUGUCAAGGAAUGCGGAUUCCAGGUCCUCCCAGCAACUAAUUGACUCUGCUGGCAGGCUGUUAAGCCAAUGUCGAGCUGGUCCUUUAAGCUUGAGCCGGAGGUAUUUGAUGGCGUGUAGAUCAUCCCCACGGGCCAUGUGGAUAUGAAGGAGGUAAUCCUCGAUCCGUACCGCGGGAUCAGUUGUGCUGUCAUAUGAUUCAAUGUUUAUGGGCUUGAAACCCUCGGGGAUUUGAUGAUCCAUUACUUCGUCUGUGAAGCAUAGUGGGUGUGCGGCGCCCCUGUACUGGGCUAUAUCGCGGCGCAACUCGGAUGAGCUUGGUCUGUUGUAUUCGGCCUGGCCGUAUUUAUCAUAUUCAGUGUGACGGUUAUCAUCACGUGAUGUGGGGCGCCCAUGCGAUCCGUAGAUCGAUCUUGUUUGCCUUGCCUUGUCCUCUAGUAUGUCUUGCAGGUCUGUUGCGUCUCCCCAUACUUUGUUAUGUUUUGAGUGGUGCCGGGUGCGGCUUGGGUCGAGGGCCUGAAGGUCUCUCUGUUGUGGCCAUGGGGUGGCCGAUUGGGAGCAUCAUACGCUGGUAAUGUAGGUCUAGUUGCUUCCUCCUCAAGUCAGGGUAGCAGCCUGCACUUUGGGUAGCUCUUGGAAGGGCGCUCGAGUUUAUGCUCUUCGACUGCCAGGAUUUCGGUCCAUCUGUCGGCUAGCAAGUCUUGGUAAGCUCUAAGCUGCUGCUGUUUUUUCUUGAGGCUGAGUGUCGUGGCCAUAAGCCUGCGUUUGAAACGCUCUUGUUCGACUGGAUCCUCUGGCACGACGAAUUCGUCGUCGUCGAGGCUUGCCUCGUCUUCGGAGGGAGGCAUAUAGUUGUCGUCCUCAACCUCUCUGUCGGCCGCUCUCUCAUGAGGGCUGGCUCCUUCGUCCUCCUGCACUGAAUCCUGCUGCAGGGGCUUAUCUUCGGCACUGUCCGGCGUGUUGUUAUCUCCGGUGCCGGAUUCGCAGUUCUUGCUUUGGCGGGAUUUAGAGCGGCGCCGCUGACGUCGGCGCUUGGGUUGCUUCUUGGAGGGGUCAUCCUCCGUUUUUUCCUCGCCAUCCCCUGCUUUGGGGGUGUCCACCAUGUAUAUGUCAUAUGACGAGGUGGCUUUCCAGUUCCCUGUAGGCGCUGGUUCUUGGUCGUCUCCUUCAUCGGCGUCCAUACCGUCAAUGUCUUCGGAGUCAAAGUCGAGCAUGUCCGUUAGAUCGUCGACAGUGGCUAUAAAGUGGGUGGUGGGUGGGUUUCGAAUUUCUUCGGCGUCCGUACCCCAACCAUGCUGACCAUAAUCCGGCCAGGGCUCUCCUGACAAAGAGAGAGACUUUAGGGAGUUCAGGAUAUCACCAAAGGGCGAGUGCUGAAAGACGUCCGCGGCGGUGAACUCCAUGAUCGGAGCCCAAUCGGGUUCGAUUGGAAGGGGUGCGGAAGAUUCGGAGUCCGGAAUGGAGUCCGGCACCUUGGAGUCACGGGCCUUGCAAAGGACUAGGCUGGUAUUCGGCUCUAUCGCCGUAGAGAUUGUGGCUCCUGGGGCAGCGUCCAACCGUCCGUCCCUGGUUGGCGCAGUCGGCUCCGAACUAAUGGUCGGAGCGGACUCCUAAGCGGCACUCUGGGCGCUGUCUGGCGGCAGAGCUAGGUCAUGCCCAUCGAGACAGUGCGGUGCGCUCGGCCGUGGCUCGAAUCCGUCGAAGUUCAAGUCCCCGCGAAUGUCGGCCGUGUAGUUUAAGCUUCCAAACCUGACCUGAUGGCCAGGGGCGUAGCUUUCGAUCUGCUCCAGAUGGCCAAACGAGUUGGCCCGCAGUGCAAAGCCGCCGAAUACGAAGAUCUGUCCGAGGAGAAAAGUCUCACCCCGGACUGCGUCGUGGUUGAUGAUCGAAGAAGCCAUCGUGCCUAAAGGCAACGACAUAGAGGAACUCUCAAUGAAAGCACCAAUGUCGGUGUCAAAACCGGCGGAUCUCGUGUAGGGGGUCCCGAACUGUGCGUCUAGGCGGAUGGUAACAGGAGACAAGGGACACGAUGUUUUUACCCAGGUUCGGGCCCUCUCGGUGGAGGUAAAACCCUACUCCUGCUUGAUUAAUAUUGAUGGUAUGGGUAUUACAAGAGUUGAUCUACCACGAGAUCAGAGAGGCCAAACCCUAGAAGCUAGCUUAUGGUAUGAUUGUUGUUCGUCCUACGGACUAAAACUCUCCGGUUUAUAUAGACGCCGGAGAGGGCUAGGGUUACACAGAGUCGGUUACAAUGGGAGGAGAUCUUCAUAUCGUAUCGCCAAGCUUGCCUUCUACGCCAAGGGAAGUCCCUAUCCGGACACGGAACGAAGUCUUCAAUCUUGUAUCUUCAUAGUCCGGGAGUCCGGCCAAAGGUCAUAGUCCGGUCAUCCGGACAUCCCCUAAUCCAGGACUCCCUCAGCGCCCCCUUGGCUGCUCCCUCUCCCUCCAACCAAUAUAUAUGAGGGUAGGGCACCGCUAGAACACACAAUAUUGAUUCCUAGCCAUGUGCGGCGCCCCCUCCAUAGUUUACGCCUCCGGUUAUAUUCAUGUAGUGCUUAGGUGAAGCCCUGCGCGGAUCACUUCACCAUCAUUGUCACCACGCCAUCGUGCUGAUGCAACUCUCCCUCGACACUUUGCUAGAUCGAGAGUUCGAGGGACGUCAUCGAGAUGAACGUGUGUAGAACUCGGAGGUGUCGUACGUUUCAUGCUCGAUCGGUCGGAACGAGAAGAAGUUCGACUACAUCAACCGCGUGGUCAAACGCUUCCGCUUUUGGUCUACGAGGGUACAUGGACACACUCUCCCCCUCUCGUUGCUAUGCAUCUCCUAGAUAGAUCUUGCGUGAGCAUAGGAAUUUUUCAAAUUGCAUGCUAUGUUUCCCAAUAGUGGCAUCACAGCCAGGUCUAUGCGUAGAUGAUAUGCACGAGUAGAACACAAAGAGUUGUGGGUGGUGAUUGUCAUACUACUUACCACCAAUGUAUUAUUUUGAUUCGGCGGUAUUAUUGGAUGAAGCGGCCCGAACCAACCUUACAUGACCACGUUCAUGAGAUCGGUUCCACCGAUAGACAUGCGACUAGUUUUGCAUAAAGGUGGCUUGCGGGUGUCUGUUUCUCCAACUUUAGUUGAAUUGAAUUUGACUGCGGCCGGUCCUUGUGAAGGUUAAAACAACAAACUUGAUAAAUCACGGUUGUGGUUUUGUGCCGUAGGUAAGAACGGUUCUUUCUAGAAGCCUGUAGCAGCCACGUAAAACUUGCAACAACAAAGUGGAGGACAUCUAACUUGUUUUUGCAGGGCAUGUUGUGAUGUGAUAUGGUCAAGACAUGAUGUGAUAUAUGUUGUUGUAUGAGAUGAUCAUGUUUUGUAUAAGUUAUCGGCAACUGGCAGGAGCCUUAUGGUUGUCGCUUUAUUCUAUGAAAUAUAAAUGCCAUGAAAUUUCUUUACUUUAUCACUAAGCGAUAGUGAUAGCUGUAGAAGCAAUAGUUGGCGAGACGACCACGACGCUACGAUGGAGAUCAAGGUGUCAAGCCGGUGAUGAUGGAGAUCAUGACGUUGCUUUGGUGAUGGAGAUCAAAAGCACAAGAUGAUGAUGGCCAUAUCAUGUCGCAUAUUUUGAUUGCAUGUGAUGUUUAUCUUUAUGCAUCUUAUUUUUCUUAGUAUGGAGGUAGCAUUAUAAGAUGAUCCCUUAACUAAAUUUCAAGGUAUAAGUGUUCUCCCCGAGUAUGCACCGUUGCGAAAGUUCUUUGUGCUGAGACACCACGUGAUGGUCGGGUGUGAUAAGCUCUAUGUUCAAAUACAACAGGUGCAAGCCAGUUUUGCACAUGCAGAAUACUCGGGUUAAACUUGACGAGCCUAGCAUGUACAGACAUGGCCUCGGAACACUGGAGAAUGAAAGGUCGAACGUUAAUCAUAUAGUGGAUAUGAUCAACAUAGAGACGUUCACCAUUGAUGACUACUCCAUCUCACGUGAUGAUUGGACAUGGUUUAGUUGAUUUGGAUCAUGUAUCAUUUAAUGACUUGAGGGAUGUCUAUCUAAGUGGGAGUUCUUAAGUAAUAUGAUUAAUUGAACUUAAUUUAUCAUGAACUUAGUCCUGAUAGUAUUUGCAAAUUAUGUUGUAGAUCAAUAGCUCGCGUUGUAGCUCCCCUAUGUUUUUUAUAUGUUCCUAGAGAAAGCUAAGUUGAAAGAUUAUAGUAGGAAUGAUGUGGUCUGGGUCCGUGAUCUAAGGAUUAUCCUCAUUGCUGCAUAGAAGAAUUGUGUCCAUAAUGCACCGCUAGGUGACAGACCUAUUGCAGGAGCAGAUGCAGAUGUUAUGAACGUUUAGCAAGCUCGAUAUGAUGACUACUUGAUAGUUUAGUGCACCAUGCUUUAUGGCUUAGAACCAGGACUUCAAAAACAUUUUGAACACCAUAGAGCAUAUGAGAUGUUCCAAGAGUUGAAAUUGGUAUUUCAGACUCAUGCCCGUGUCGAGAGGUAUGAGAGCUCUAACAAGUACUUUGCCUAAAAGAUGGACGAGAAUAGCUCAGCUAGUGAGCAUGCGCUCAGAAUGUCUGGGUAGUGCAAUCGCUUGAAUCAAGUGGGGGUUAAUCUUCCAGAUAAGAUAGUGAUUGAUAGAGUUCUCUAGACAACAUCACCAAGCUACUAGAACUUUGUGAUGAACUAUAAUAUGCAAGGGAUGACGAAAGCGAUUCCUGAGCUCUUCGUGAUGCUGAAAUCGAUGAAGGUAGAAAUCAAGAAAAAGCAUCAAGUGUUGAUGAUUAAACAAGACCACUAGUUUCAAGAAAAGGGCAAAGGAAAAUAAAGGGAACUUCAAGAAGAAUGGUAACCAAGUUUUCGCUCCCAUGAAAAAGCCCAAAGCUAGACUUAAGCCUAAAACUGAGUGCUUCUACUGCAAAGGAAAUGGUCACUGGAAGCGGAACUACCACAAAUAUUUGGAGGAUAAGAAGGAUGGCAAAGUGAACAAAGGUAUAUUUGAUAUACAUGUUGUUGAUGUGUACCUUACUAGUGCUCGUAGUAGCCCCUGGGUAUUUGAUGCAUGUUCGGUUGCUAAGAUUAGUAAGUCGAAACAGGGGUUGCAAAAUAAAUAGAGACUAGUUGAGGGUGAAGUGACGAUGUGUGUUGGAAGUGGUUCCAAGAUUGAUAUGAUCAUCAUCGCACACUCCCUAUACUUUCGUCAUUAGCGUUGAACCUAAAUAAGUGUUAUUUGGUGUUUGCAUUGAGCAUGAAUAUGAUUAGAUCAUGUUUAUUGCAAUACAGUUAUUCAUUUAAGACAGAGAAUAUUUGUUGUUCUAUUUACAUGAAUAAAACCUUCUAUGGUCAUACACCCAAUGUUAAUGUUUUAUUGAAUCUCGGUCGUAGUGAUACACAUAUUCAGAAUAUUGAUGCCAAAAGAUGCAAAGUUGAUAAUUAUAGUGCAACAUACUUGUGCCACUGCCGUUUAGGUCAUAUUGGUGUAAAGCGCAUGAAGAAACUCCAUGCUUAUGGGAUUUUGGAAUCACUUGAUUAUGAAUUAUUUGAUACUUGCGAACCAUGCCUCAUUGGCAAGAUGACUAAAACUCCAUUCUCCGGAACAAUGGAGAGAGCCAAUGACUUAUUGAAAAUAAUACAUACCGAUGUAUGCGGUCCCAUGAGUGUUGAGGCACGCGGUGGGUAUCGUUAUUUUCUAACAUUCACAGAUAAUUUGAGCAGAUAUGGGUAUAUCUACUUAAUGAAACACAAGUCUGAAACAUUUGAAAAGUUCAAAGAAUUUCAGGGUGAAGUGUAGAAUCAUCGUAAGAAGUAAAUAAAGUUUCUACGAUCUAAUCGUGGAGGGGAAUAUUUGAGUUAUGAGUUUGUCCUUCAUUUAAAACAAUGUGGAAUAGUUUCACAGCUCACGCCACCUGGAACACCAUAGCGUAAUGGUGUGUCCAAACAUCGUAAAUGCACUUUAUUAGAUAUGGUGCGAUCUAUGAUGUCUCUUACCAAUUUACCACUAUCGCUUUGGGGUUAUGCAUUAGAGACAGAUGCAUUCACAUUAAACAGGGCACCAUCAAAAUCCGUUGAGACGACACCGUAUGAACUAUGGUUUGGCAACAAACCUAAGCUGUCGUUUCUUAAAGUUUAGGGAUGCGAUGCUUAUGUCAAAAGGCUUUAGUCUGAUAUCAAACCCAAAUUGGAGAAGUGCGUCUUCAUAGGAUACCAUAAGGAAACAAUUGGGUACACCUUCUACCAUAGAUCCGAAGGCAAGAUAUUUGUUGCUAAGAAUGGAACCUUUCUAGAGAAGGAGUUUCUCUCGAAAGAAGUGAGUGGGAGGAAAGUAGAACUUGAUGAGGUAAUUGUACCUUCUCUUAAUUUGGAAAGUAGUUCAUCCGACAAAUCCGUUCCCGUGAUGCCUACGCCAAAUAGAGAGGAAGCUAACGAUAAUGAUCAUGAAACUUCAGAUCAAGUUGCUACAGAACCUCGUAGGUCAACCAGAGCAUGAUCCGCACCAGAGUGGUACGGUAAUCCUGUUUUGGAAGUCAUGUUACUAGACCAUGAUGAACCUACGAACUAAGAAGAAGCUAUGAUGAGCCCAGAUUCCGAUAAAUGGCUUGAGGCCAUGAAAUCUGAGAUAGAAUCCAUGUAUGAGAAUAAAGUGUGGACUUUGGUUGACUUGCUCGAUGAUCAGCGAGCCAUAGAAAAUAAAUGGAUAUUCAAGAGGAAGACAGACAGUGAUGGUAGUGUUACUAUCUACAAAGCUCGAAUUGUCGUAAAAGGUUUUUGACAAGUUCAAGGUGUUGACUACGAUGAGAUUUUCUCACUCGUAUCAAUGCUUAAGUCUAUCUGAAUCAUGUUAGCAAUUGCUGCAUUUUAUGAAAUCUGGAAAAUGGAUAUCAAAACUGCAUUCCUUAAUGGAUUCAUUAAAAAAAGUUGUACUAGAAGGUUUUUGUCAGUCCUAAAGGUGCUAACAAAAUGUGCAAGCUCCAGCGAUCCCAUCUAUGGACUGGUGCAAGCAUCUCAAAGUUGGAAUAUACGCUUUGAUGAGUUGAUCAAAGCAUAUAGUUUUAUACAGACUUGAGGUGAAGCCUGUAUUUACAAGUAGUGGGAGCACUACAACCUUUCUGAUAAGUAUAUUUGAAUGACAUUGUUGAUCAGAAAUGAUGUUGAAUUUUCUGGAAAGCAUAAAGGAGAGUUUGAAAGGAGUUUUUCAAAGAAAGACCUCGGUGAAGCUGCUUACAUAUUGGGUAUCAAGAUCUAUAGAGAUAGAUCAAGAUGCUUGAUAAGAUUUUUCAAUGAGUACAUACCUUGACAAGAUUUUGAAGUAGUUCAAAAUGGAACAGUCAAAGAAGGAGUUCUUUCCUGUAUUGCAAGGUGUAAAGUUGAGUAAGACUCAGAACCCGACCACAGCAGAAAAUAGAAAGAGAAUGAAAGUCAUUCCCUAUGCCUCUGUCAUAGGUUCUAUAAAGUAUGCUAUGAUGUGUACCAGACCUAUUGUGUACCUUAUCAUGAGUUUGGCAAGGGGGUACGAUAGUGAUCCAGGACUGGAUCACUGGAUAGCGGUCAAAGUUAUCCUUAGUUACCUAAGAGGACUAAGGAAAUAUUUCUCGGUUAUGGAGGUGAUAAAGAGUUCUCUGUAAAGAGUUACGUCGAUGCAAGAUUUUACACCGAUCCGGAUGACUAUGAGUCUCUAUCUGGAUACAUAUUAAAAGUGGGAGCAAUUAGCUAGAGUAGCUCCAUGCAGAGAAUUGUAGACAUAGAAAAUUUGCAAAAUACAUAUGGCUCUGAAAUAUGGCAGACCCGUUGACUAAACCUCUCUCACAAGCAAAACAUGAUCACACCUAAAUACUCUUUGGGUGUUAAUCACAUAGUGAUGUGAACUAGAUUAUUGACUCUAGUAAAACCUUUUUGGUGUUGGUCACAUGGUGAUGUGAACUAUGGGUGUUAAUCACAUAAAGAUGUGAACUAUUGGUAUUAAAUCACAUGGCGAUGUGAACUAGAUUAUUGACUCUAGUGGAAGUGGGAGACUGAAGGAAAUAUGCCCUAGAGGCAGUAAUAAAGUUGUUGUUUUAUAUUUCCUUAUUUCAUGACAAAUGUUUAUUAUUCAUGCUAGAAUUGUAUUAACCAGAAACUUGAUACAUGUGUGGAUACAUAGACAAAACAUCGUGUCCCUAGUAUGCCUCUACUUGACUAGCUCGUUAAUCAAAGAUGGUUAAGUUUCCUAGCCAUAGACUUGUGUUGUCAUUUGAUGAAAGGGAUCACAUCAUUAGGAGAAUGAUGUGAUGGAUAAGACCCAUCUGUUAGCUUAGCAUAAUGAUUGUUCAGUUUUAUUGCUACUUCUUUCUUCAUGUCAAAUAUAUACUCCUCCGACUAUGAGAUUAUGCAACUCCCGGAUGCCGAAGGAAUGCCUUGUGUGGUAUCAAACAUCACAGCGUAACUGGGUGAUUAUAAAGAUUCUCUACAGGUAUCUUCGAAGGUGUUUGUUGGGUUGGCAUAGAUCGAGAUUAGGAUUUGUCACUCCGAGUAUCGGAGAGGUGUCUCUGGGCCCUCUCGGUAAUGCACAUCAUAUGAAGCCUUGCAAGCAAUGUGACUAAUGAGUUAGUUACAGGACGAUGCAUUACAGAACGAGUAAAGAGACUUGCUAGUAAUGAGAUUGAACUAGGUAUGAAAGAUACCGACGAUCGAAUCUCGAGCAAGUAACAUACCGAUGACAAAGGGAAUAACGUAUGUUGUCAUAAUGGUUCGACGGAUAAAGAUAUUCGUAGAAUAUGUGGGAGACAAUAUGAGCAUCCAGGUUCCGCUAUUGGUUAUUGACCGGAGAGGUGUCUCAGUCAUGUCUACAUAGUUCUCAAACCCAUAGGGUCCACACGCUUAACAUUUGAUGACAAUUUGUAUUAUAUGAGUUAUGUGAUUUGAUGACCGAAUGUUGUUCGAAGUCCUGGAUGAGUUCACGGACAUGACGAGGAGUCUCGAAAUGUUCGAGAGGUAAAUAUUAUAUAUAAGACAAUAGUAUUUGGACACCAGAAGUGUUCCGGGGGUACCGGGUAUGUAUCGGGUCACCGGAACGGGUUCCGGGCAACCCCCGGCAAACUACAUGGGCCUAAUGGGCCAAGAAGGGGACAGACCAGCCCCUAAGGGGCUGGUGCACCCUGUGUAGGCUGAAUUAGGAGAGGGGAAGGAAAGAGGGGAAUAGAGGAGGAACGGGAGGGAUUCGGCCUCCCCCUUCCUUCCCUCCUCCCUCCUCCUUCCUUCCCCCUCCGGAAGAUAUGGAAAGGGGGGAGCCGAAUAGGAUUAGGGCCCCAAGUAGGAUUCCUCCCACUUGGGCGCCCCUUGGCUGCUCCCUCUCCCUCCCACCUAUAUAUAUGAGGGUAGGGCACCACUAGAACACACAAUAUUGAUUGUGGUGCCCUCUCCAUAGUUUACACCUCUAGUCAUAUUCACAUAGUGCUUAGGCGAAGCCCUACACGGAUCACUUCACCAUCACCGUCACCUCGCUAUUGUGCUGAAGCAACUCUCCCUCAACACUUUGCUGGAUCAAGAGUUCGAGGGACGUCAUUGAGCUGAACGUGUGUAGAACUCGGAGGUGUCGUACAUUUGGUGCUUGAUCGGUCGGAACAAGAAGAAGUUCGACUACAUCAACUGCGUUGUCAAACACUUCCGCUUUCGGUCUAUGAGGGUACGUGGACACACUCUCCCCCUCUUGUUGCAGUCAAAGUUAUCCUUAGUUACCUAAGAGGACUAAGGAAAUAUUUCUCGGUUAUAGAGGUGAUAAAGAGUUCAUCGUAAAGAGAUACGUCGAUGCAAGCUUUUACACCAAUCCACAUGACUCUGAGUCUCAAUCUGGAUACAUAUUGAAAGUGAGAGCAAUUACCUAUAGUAGAUCCAAGCAGAGAAUUGUAGACAUAGGAAAUUUGCAAAGCACAUACGGCUCUGAAUAUGGCAGACCCGUUGACUAAACUUCUCUCACAAGCAAAACAUGAUCACACCUUAGUACUCUUUGGGUGUUAAUCACAUAGCGAUGUGAAAUAGAUUAUUGACUCUAGUAAACCCUUUGGGUGUUGGUCACAUGGCGAUGUGAACUAUGGGUGUUAAUCACAUACAGAUGCAAACUAUUGGUGUUAAAUCACAUGGGGAUGUGAACUAGAUUAUUGACUCUAGUGGAAGUGGGAGACUAAAGGAAAUAUGCCCUAGAGGCAAUAAUAAAGUCAUUAUUUAUAUUUCCUUAUAUCAUGAUAAAUGUUUAUUAUUCAUGCUAGAAUUGUAUCAACCGGAAACUUAGUACAUGUGUGGAUACAUAGACAAAACAAAGUGUCCCUAGUAUGCCUCUACUUGACUAGCUCAUUAAUCAAAGAUGGUUAUGUUUCCUGACCAUAGACAUGUGUUGUCAUUUGAUAAAUGGGAUCACAUCAUUAGAGAAUGAUGUGAUGGGCAAGACCCAUCUGUUAGCUUAGCAUAAUGAUUGUUAAGUUUUUAUUGCUAUUGCUUUCUUCAUGACUUAUACAUGUCCCUCUGACUAUGGGAUUAUGCAACUCCCGAAUACUGGAGGAACACCUUGUGUGCUAUCAAACAUCACAAUGUAACUGGGUGAUUAUAAAGAUGCUCUACAUGUAUCUCCGAAGGUGUUUGUUGAGUUGGCAUAGAUCGAGAUUAGGAUUUUCCACUCUGUGUAUCGGAGAGGUAUCUCUGGACCCUCUCGGUAAUGCUCAUCACUAUAAGCCUUGCAAGCAAUGUGUAACAUCCCAAAUUUUCAAUUUGGAAUGUUAUACAUUAGAUCAUUAUUGCAUAUCAUAUUCUAAUGCAUUUUGGGUUGAUCCUAGAAAUUCUACGCAACUCAAGGACCCACGGAGAGAGUUGGGGAUUUCGUUAUUUUCAUUUUUGAGUUUACUCAAAUUUUUGAAAAGAGGAUCGUUUGAUUUUAAUUAUUUUUCUUUUGAAUAUUUCUUAUAUAAAAAUAAAAGAGAGGGGAUAAAAUGACUUCCCCAAAAUAAAGAAAUAUUGGAGGUUAAAUAUUAAAAUCAAAUAAGAAUUUUAUUCAGAGUUUUAUCGCUAUUUUAUUUGAAUUAGGAAAAAAAUGCAUUUUCCAAAAUUGCAAUAGAGGCCCAAAUAAAUGUUCACUUUUUCCGCUAAAUUUUUAGAGGACGGGGAAAAUUUAUGUCAGGAUUUUUGGAGUCCUUUUAGUAUUUCUUUUCUUCGUUUUUCUGCGCGGAAUUAUUUAAAAAAAAAGUCAACCGACCUAGCCGGGCCGUGCCCGACUACGACUCCAGCCCGGCCGGCCUUCAAGAGGCGAGGCCCGAGCCACCCCAAACCCUAGCCCCGCCCCCAGCUGAUACGCCGCCGCCGCCAGACUCUGCCGACCUCGCCGCCCCGUCGGAGUUCCCGCCGCCGCCACCGCCCAUCCGAGGUAGCCGCCGGUUUUCGUUAGAAAACCAUAGGUUUUUUUUAGAAACCCUGGUUAUAUUUUUUUCGAUCGGUUUUUUUCCUGGUUUAGUUAUUUAGCGAACGCCCGUUCGUACGUUCGGUUUUACAAACGGUUUUCACCCGUUAGCCGCAGACAGUGAACGUUCGUUCGUUAGCCUUUUCGUCGGUUUCUCUUUUUCCAGGGUUUUUCGCGAUUAUUUUCGAUCGCGAUUUCUGCCCUGAUUUUUGUUUUAGUUUAUCUUUUCGCUCGUUUAUCGGAAUCAGGCGAUUCAAGAGCCCAGAUCUUUGUCUUGAAGCCCUCUUUCUAUUUAAAAAAACAUAAACAAGAUUUUGUUACUGUAAAAUUUGACUUAAGUCUAGAUUAGUAAACGGAUCUUGUUUCUUUCGUAGUUUGAGUUUCGUUGCUUCGUUUGAUUUGAUUCUUUUUGCAAACCGGAGUUCUUAAGUUAAACUUUCUAGUUAGAUCUCUUAUUUGAGUUUUACCCGUGCUUCUAGUUGAGUGCUUAUUGUAUGCUUGUUUGUUUGCGAUAGAGUACCCGGAGUGCGAAGCGUGCUACUACGAGUCUCUAGGUUUCACGGAUCCUCGGCAAGGCAAGUAACACUUUGAUCAUACCUCUUUACUACCCAGUUUUAUUGCAUUAGAUCAAUCCUCAAACAAUUGCAUGGUUAGGAUCUGAUUAAUAUGUGGGUUUUGGGAAGUAGAUGAUGAGGUAGAACCUAUUGCCCUGUUUAUUAUCAAACCUAUGGGAGUUACUUCUACGUUGCUUAUAUUGCUAUGCUAUGCUUGUACAUGUGGUUUGGUUCAAGUGAUUCAUGACAGAUGUGAGUAUUGUUAAUUAAUGGUUUACUUAAGGUGGUUACUUAAAUACACAUAUUGGUGGAUUGCUUGAAGGCACCCUGGAGUACCCAGUGGUUGCCAGGGCACCUGGAGAAUCUAGUGUUGUCCUAGGAUAUCCCGUAGUACCCAUGUGAUCAUCCUACGGUCCGCCAUCCAGGCUCAAAGGGAUCAUAAGAUUAUUCAUGCUAGAAACUUUCAUGUGCAGCCACAAGCCAAUAUGGGCUCUCGCAUAGUUGAGUAAGUUGCGUGAAGCUCUUGAAGAGGUAGACUAGCAGAUGUAGUGGGUUGUGGGUGGUACUGUCUAUCCAGAGUAGAGAGUUAAUGCUUCAGAAAGACUGUGUCUCGAAUCUCCGACCAUGGAUGUAUUCGAGUCUUGUGGGGAAAACUGCGCAAACCUCUGAAGAGUUUACAAACUAAUCAUGGUUAGUCGUGUCCCAGGUUAUGGACGUUUUGAGUAUCUAGUUAUUGGAUUAUCAUGUUGAUCUCAUCACUAUAAAUAUAAUUUUAUUGGGUUUAAUGAUGAUGUUUAAUUGGGAUUGAGUUGGAGGAACCUUCUCAAUGUUUAACAACCACCAUGAUAGUUAAAUAAAAUUUAUUCCUUUGUUGUAGGGAAAAAUUGGCUUUAUGCAAAACUGUAACCAUAGAGCUUUCCACCAGCCAUAUAUGCAUGUAGUGAUAGCAUUUAUUCUGUUCUUUUCUCUAUGUGUUACAUUGCCAGCAUAUUCCAUGUGCUGACCCGUUUCGGGCUGCAAUGUUCAUGUUGCAGACUUUUCAGACGACGAGUAAGGUGCCAUAGGUCAUUGUCUUUCACUCAGUGAUGCGGUUGGAGUUGAUGGACUCACUUUAUCUUCCAAGCCUUUCGCUGUUAUCGUUUUUAGAUGGCCCUACUCCAUAUUUAUAGUAAUAAGUUCUCUUUUGAGACAUUCGAUGUAAUAAGUGUGCGAUUGCUACUCUGUUAUAAAUCCUCAAGUACUGUGCAUGUCAGCAUUACCGAUCCAGGGAUGACACUAACGCACAUAGAUCAGACUGUUUGAGGUCUGGUCGCUACAAGAUGGUAUCAGAGCACACGCUGACUGUAGGACACGACCACUAAGCUAAAGCCCUAGAUCACUACUCUCUUCUCAUUUCUGACUCCUCUCCCUUUUCUACUCUUUAGGAUGGCGGAUGCAAGGAACAAGUUCACUCAACCGGAUGAAGAUACACCUUUUGGACGACACUUGAAGGAAGUCACUAGAUACCUGAACAUCGGAAGAUAUCAUGGAGUCUUCCACCGAUCAAUUUUUCUAGUCGACCACCAUAUCAGUAGUAGUAUCACCGCCCAUGUGUAUAGUAUAGUCCGAGCCCUUUUGUAAUGAUAGUUAGACCGCUUGUAUGCUCUUGUUUGAAUUGAUUGGAGUGAUGUGUUUGUGUUUGUCUCAUGUGCAUAUGGGUAGUGUUUUCCCUCUACAUCUCAUUCAAUUCUAUUUUCUCAUCUUUUCUAAACCCAUCAGAUGCCUCCGAGAUGCGACAAUGGAUUUGCUUUCCCACCGGAGCUCACUUAGUUGAUCCAGCAGCAGAAUGCCUUCAUGCAGAUACUAGUCCAGAAUCAGAACCAGGGGAACAACAACAACAACCAACCAACCAACCACCACCACCACUUGUUGAUCACUUAGCCCGUUUUCUAAGGUUGAAUCCAUCAGUGUUCUCUAGUAGCAGCGAGCCGAUAGUUGCAGAUGAUUGGCUCUGCAAGAUUGGAAGGGAGUUGACCACUGCAGGAUGCACAUAUGCGGAGAGAGUGUGUUUUGUCGCACAUCAGCUUGAUGGACCCGCAGCAUCAUGGUGGGAGAAUUUCACAGCCACUUACCCCAUCGACACUGUCACAUGGGACCAGUUUCAGAAGGCUUUUCGCACUACCCAUGUUUCAGCAGGAGCUAUGGCCAUGAAGAAGCGCGAGUUUCGCAACUUGUGCUAAGGAGGACGCACAGUGGGCAAGUAUGUGGAUGAUUUUAGUAAGUUAGCAUGUUAUGCCCCAGAUGACGUUGCUACGGAUGCAGCUAAGAAGGAGAAGUUUCUGGAAGGACUGAAUGAUGAGCUGAGCAUGCAGUUGAUGGUGGCAACCUUCAACAACUACCAGGAGUUGAUAGAUAGAGCUCUCAUGAUUGAAGGGAAGCAGCAGCAGAUUGACAAUCACAAGAGGAAGUAUGGACAAGGGAAGUACAAUUCUGGAGCUCAGCAGAGACCCCGUUUUACCCCGAACUCGAGAGGACCCCUUCACCAUAACCAUGGAGGUCACAAUCACAAUGGAGGGAGUUCGCAUAACCAUAGUGGCCCCAAGAAUGGGAAUGUUAAUGGAGGAAGCAACGGACAGAACCGUUCCAACCCCGCAACGCCCGCCAAGAAGGAUAUAAGUCACAUUACUUGUUUCAAGUGCAGGAAGAAUGGACAUUAUGCCACGGAGUGUUCUGAAGCAAAGAAUGGAAAUGGCAAUGGAAGCUCUAGGAAGAAGCCCAACCCUUUCAAUAGGGGACAAGUGAACCACGUUACCGUGGACGAGGUUGAAGCGCAGCCCGAUGCAGUAAUAGGUAAGUUUUUGGUUAAGUCAUUUACUACAAUCAUUCUUUUUGAUACUGGUGCAUCGCAUUCAUACAUAUCAAGGGGAUUUGUGGAUAAGUUUAACCUGCCAACCCAAGCCCUUAGGUCACCCAUGUUAGUAACCUUGCCAGGAGCAGAGUAUAUGGCUAGUCUAUGGUGCGACCGGUUACCAUUAAGGAUUGGUAACUACGUGUUUCCCUCAGACCUAAUAGUAUUGGAGUCACAAGGACUGGAUGUAAUAUUAGGCAUGGAUUGGUUGUCGAAGUAUGGAGGGAACAUUGAUUGCGCCAGUAAGUCGAUUUUUCCCACCACCCCAGAAGGAAGAAGGAUCAAGUAUGUAUCCCGACAUGUGCCGAAGAGGACUCAAGUGAAUUCCUUAUCAGGAGUUGUACAGGAGGAAGUACCAGUGGUGAAGGAUUUCCCUGAUGUAUUUCCAGAAGAGUUGCCAGGCAUGCCACCGGAUAGAGACAUUGAGUUUUUGAUUGAGCUUUUGCCAGGCACAGGGCCAAUAUCUAAGAGACCGUACAGGAUGCCCGCAAAGGAUUGGAGGAAAUUAAGAAGCAGAUUAAGGAGUUAUUGGAUAAAGGCUAUAUUCGCCCAAGUUCAUCACCUUGGGGAUCACCAGUGCUUCUAGUGGAGAAUAAGGAUGGAUCGUUGAGAAUGGUUGUCGAUUAUAGUGGAUUGAAUGAAGUGACGAUCAAGAACAAGUACCCACUGUCGAUGAUCAAUGAUUUGUUUGAUCAGUUGCAAGGAGCUAAAGUAUUUUCCAAGAUCGAUCUGUGAUCAGGUUACCACCAGCUGAAGAUUCGAGAGCAGGAUAUACCUAAGACAACUUUUACCACAAGGUACGGGCUAUAUGAGUAUACAGUUAUGUCAUUUGGUCUAACUAACGCACCUGCCUAUUUCAUGAACAUGAUCAACAAAGUGUUUAUGGAGUUCUUGGAUAAGUUCAUUGUGGUGUUCAUUGAUGAUAUUCUGGUUUACUGAAGAAUGAAGAGGGGCAUAGGGAGAAUUUGCGUUUGGUACUUGGGAAGCUCAGAGAACAUCAACUAUAUGCCAAGUUCAGCAAGUGUGAGUUUUGGUUGAAGGAAGUUCGAUUCCUCGGACAUGUUAUAUCCGGAGAAGGAAUUGCAGUAGACCCCACCAAGGUUGUCAUUGUGACAAAUUGGGAAGCGCCCACGUUAGUUGGAGAGAUCCAGAGUUUUCUUGGACUCGCAGGAUACUACAGGAGGUUCAUUGAGAAUUUCUCCAAGAUUGCAAAGCCCAUGACGGAGUUGUUGAAGAAGGACACCAAGUUCAAUUGGACUGAGGAAUGAGAGGCCAGUUUCCAAGAGUUGAAGAAAUGUUUGGUUACAGCUCCAGUGUUAAUUCUUACAGAUCAACGCAAGGAUUAUCAAGUGUAUUGCGACGCUUCUCGUCGAGGACUUGGAGCAGUGCUUAUGCAGGAGGGAAGAGUUGUCUCCUAUGCCUCACGACAGCUUAAACCCCAUGAGUUGAAUUAUGCUAUGCAUGAUUUGGAGUUAGCAGCCGUAGUGCAUGCGUUGAAGACAUGGAGACAUUUUCUCAUCGGAAACCAUUGUGAGGUGUACACGGAUCACAAGAGUUUGAAGUAUAUCUUCACACAGAAGGAGUUGAGUCUCAGGUAGAGGAGAUGGUUGGAGCUCAUCAAGGAUUAUGAUAUGAGGUUGCAUUAUCAUCCCGGGAAGGCUAACGUAGUAGCUGAUGUGUUGAGUCGCAAGAGCCAUGUCAAUACGCUCAUGACCAGGGAGUUACCCAAGGAGUUAGCAGAGGAUCUUCGUGAGCUAUGUUUGGAGAUAGUUCCGAGAGGUUAUGUAGCAACAUUGGAGAUUCAGUCAACUUUGAUGGAUAAAAUCAGAGAAGCUCAGAAGACGGACAAGGAGAUUGCCGAGAUAAAGGAAAAAAUGAGCAAAGGAAAAGCUAAGGGAUUUCGUGAGGAUGAGCAUGAUACCUUAUGGUUUGAGGACCGCAUAUAUGUGCCUAAUGACCCGGAGAUCAGGAAGUUGAUUCUGCAGGAGGCCCAUGAUUCGCCGUAUUCGAUUCACCCAGGAAAUACCAAGAUGUAUCUGGAUUUGAAGGACAGUUUCUGGUGUACCGGAAUGAAGAAGGAUAUUGCGGAGUAUGUAGCUGUUUGUGAUGUAUGUCAGAGAGUGAAGGCAGAGCAUCAGAAGCCAGCAGGAUUGCUACAGCCAUUGCCGGUACCCGAAUGGAAGUGGGAUAAGUUAGGCAUGGAUUUUAUCAUGGGAUUGCCCAGGACUCGUUUAGGCUAUGACUCGAUAUGGGUUGUAGUCGAUCGUUUGACGAAGGUAGCUCAUUUCAUCCCAGUGAAGACCACUUAAGCCAGUGCUAAGUUGGCAAAGAUAUACAUGACCAGGAUCGUAUGUCUGCAUGGAGUUCCGAGGACCAUUGUAUCAGAUAGAGGAACCCAGUUUACCUCAAAGUUUUGGAAUCAGUUGCAUGAAACUUUGGGUACGAGGCUAGAGUUCAAUACAGCCUUCCAUCCAUAGACAGAUGGAUAGACUGAGAGAGUCAAUCAUAUUCUGGAGGACAUGUUGAGAGCUUGUGUGCUAGAUUAUGGAUCUAGUUGGGACGACAAUUUGCCGUAUGCGGAGUUCUCUUACAAUAAUAGUUAUCAAGCCAGUUUUAAGAUGGCCCCUUUCGAAGCUUUGUACGGAAGGAGGUGUAGGACACCGUUGCUGUGGGAUGAAGUUGGAGACUGACAGUUGUUUGGUCCAGAUUUGAUUAAAGAGUCUGAAGAGAAGGCUAAGCUGAUUCGCGAUAGACUCAAGGUAGCCCAGUCCAGGCAGAAGAGCUAUGUGGAUUCAAAACGCAAGGAGACAGUUUACGAAGUCGGAGACAGAGUUUAUCUUCAUGUGUCCCCACUUCAAGGAGUUAAGCGAUUUGGAGUUAAGGGAAAGUUAGCACCACGUUUUGUGGGACCAUACAAAGUUUUGGGACGUAUGGGAGAAGUUGCUUACAAGUUGGAAUUGCCCGAAGGAUUGUCAGGAGUUCACAAUGUGUUCCACGUUUCCCAGUUGAAGAAGUGCCACGCAAAGAUGGCUGACAUUCCACUAAGAGAUACAGUACCAUUGGAUGCGAUUCAGUUAGAUAGCGAUUUGACCUAUGAGGAGAAACCAGUCAAGAUUCUUGAGUUUGCCAGCCGAGUCACACGUAGUAAGGUUAUCAAAUUCUGCAAAGUUCAGUGGAGCCACCAUACCGAGGAUGAAGCCACCUGGGAACGAGAGGAAGACCUACGGAAGGACCACCCUCGCCUAUUUUCUAGCCAACCCAAAUCUCGAGGGCGAGAUUCAUCUUAAGGGGGGUAGGUUUGUAACAUCCCAAAUUUUCAAUUUGGAAUGUUAUAUGAUACGUCUCCAACAUAUCUAUAAAUUUUGAUUGUUCCAUGCUAUUAUAUUACCCCUUUUGGAUGUUUAUGGGCUCUAUUUUACACAUUUAUAUCAUUUUUGGGACUAACCUACUAACCGGAGGCCCAGCCCAUAUUGCUAUUUUUUUGCCUAUUUCAGUAUUUCAAAGAAAAGGAAUAUCAAACGGAGUCCAAACGGAAUGAAACCUUUGGGAGCCUGAUUUUUGGAACGAACGUGAUCCAGAGGACUUGGAGUGCAAGUCAAGAAGCAGCCGAGGCUCCCACGAGAUAGAAGGCCCCUCCCCCCUAUAGGGAGCGCCCCCCUGUCUCAUGGGCCCCUCGGGCGUCCACCGACGUACUUCUUCCUCCUAUAUAAGCCUACGUACCCCAAAAACAUCCAGGGAGCAGGCGAAACACAAUUUCCACCACCGUAACCUUCUGUAUCCGCGAGAUCUCAUCUUCGAGCCUUCGCCGGCACUCUGCCGGAGGGGGAAUCAACCACGGAGGGCUUCUACAUCAACAUCCUUGCCCCUCCGAUGAGUUGUGAGUAGUUUACCAUAGACCUACGGGUCCAUAGUUAUUAGCUAGAUGGCUUCUUCUCUCUUUUUGGAUCUCAAUACAAUGUUCUCCCCCUCUCUUGUGGAGAUCUAUUCGAUGUAAACUCUUUUUGCGGUGUGUUCGUCGAGAUUCGAUGAAUUGUGGGUUUAUGAUCAAGUUUAUCUAUGAAUAAUAUUUGAAUCUUCUCUGAAUUCUUUUAUGUAUGAUUGAGCUAUCUUUGCAAGUCUCUUUGAAUUAUCAGUUUGGUUUGGCCUACUAGAUUGAUCUUUCUUGCCAUGGGAGAAGUGCUUAGCUUUGGGUUCAAUCUUGCGGUGUCCUUACCCAUUGACAGCAGGGGCAGCAAGGCACGUAUUGUAUUGUUGCCAUUGAGGAUAAAAAGAUGGGGUUUAUAUCAUAUUGCAUGAGUCUAUCCCUCUACAUCAUGUCAUCUUUCUUAAUGCAUUACUAUAUUCUUAUGAACUUAAUACUCUAGAUGCAUGUUGGAUAGCGGUUGAUAUGUGGAGUAAUAUUAGUAGAUGCAGGCAGGAGUCGGUCUACUUGUCACGGACGUGAUGCCUAUAUACAUGAUCAUGCCUAGAUAAUCUCAUAAUUAUUCGCUUUUCUAUCAAUUGCUCGAUAGUAAUUUGUUCACCCACCGUAAUACUUAUGCUAUCUUGAGAGAAGCCACUAGUGAAACCUAUGGCCGCCGGGUCUAUCUCUUAUCAUAUUUCCUUCCUAUCUACUUUUGGCAUCUUUACUUUUUGCAUCUAUAUUAUGAAAUACCAAAAAUAUAUUUAUCUUAUCUUACUAUCUUUAUUAGAUCUCACUUUCGCAAGUGGCCGUGAAGGGAUUGACAACCCCUUUAUUAUGUUGGUUGCAAGUUCUUAGUUUGUUUGUGUAGGUGCGUGGGACUUUUGAGGAGCCUCCUACUGGAUUGAUACCUUGGUUCUCAAAAACUGAGGGAAAUACUUACGCUACUAUUGCUGCAUCACCCUCUCCUCUUCGAGGAAAACCAACGAAAGCUCAAGAUGUAGCAUUAUACAUUAGAUCAUUAUUGCAUAUCAUAUUUUAAUGCAUUUUGGGUUGAUCCUAGAAAUUCUACGCAACUCAAGGACCCACUGAGAGAGUUGGGGAUUUCGUUAUUUUCAUUUUUGAGUUUACUCAAAUUUUUGAAAAUAGGAUUGUUUGAUUUUAAUUAUUUUUCUUUUCAAAUAUUUCUUUAAUAAAAAUAAAAGAGAGGGGGUAAAAUGAAUUCCCCAAAAUAAAGAAAUAUUGGAGGUUAAAUUUUAAAAUCAAAUAAGAAUUUUAUUCGGAGUUUUAUCGCUAUUUUAUUUGAAUUAGGAAAAAAUGCGUUUUCCAAAAUUGCAUUAGAGGCCCAAAUAAAUGUUCGCUUUGUCCGCUAUAUUUUUAGAGGACAGGGAAAAUGUAUUUCAGGAUUUUUGGAGUCCGUUUAGUAUUUCUUUUAUUUGUUUUUCUGCGCGGAAAUAUAUAAAAAAAGUCAACCGACCUAGCCGGGCCGUGCCUGACUAGGACUCCAGCCCGGCCGGCCUUUAAGAGGCGAGGCCUGAGGCGCCCCAAACCCUAGCCCCGCCCCCGCCCGAUACGCCACCGCCACUGGACGCCUCGCCGCCGACCUCGCCGCCCCGCCGGAGUUCCCGCCGCCGCCGCCGCCCGUCCCAAGGUAGCCGCGGGUUUUCGUUAGAAAAUCAUAGGUUUUUUUUAGAAACUCUCGGUUAUAUUUUUUUAGAUCGGGUUUUAUUUUUUUCCCGGUUUAGUUAUUUAGCGAACGCCCGUUCGUAUGUUCGUUUUAACGAACGGUUUUCACCCAUUAGCCGCACACAGCGAAUGUUCGUUCGUUAGCCUGUUCGUCGGUUUUUCUUUUUCCAGGGUUUUCCGCGAUUAUUUUCGAUCGCGAUUUCUGCCCUGAUUUUCAUUUUAGUUUAUCUUUUCGCUCGUUUAUCAAAAUCUGGCGAUUCAAGAGCCCAGAUCUUUGUCUCGAAGCCCUCUUUCUAUUUAAACAACUUAAACAAGAUUUUGUUACUGUAAAAUUUUACUUAAGUCCAGAUUAGUAAACGGAUCUUGUUUCUUUUGCAGUUUGAGUUUCCUUGCUUUGUUUGUUUUGACUUUUUGCAAAUCGGAGUUCUUAAGUUGAACUUUCUGGUUAGAUCUCUUAUUUGAGUUUUACAUGUGCUUCUAGUUGAGUGCUUAUUGUAUGCUUGUUUGUUUGCGAUCGAGUACCCGGAGUGCGAAGCGUGCUACUACGAGUCUCUAGGUUUCACGGAUCCUCAGCAAGGCAAGUAACACUUUUAUCAUACCUCUUUACUACCCAGUUUUAUUGCAUUAGAUCAAUCCUCAAACAAUUGCAUGGUUAGGAUCUGAUUAAUAUGUGGGUUUUGGGAAGUAGAUGAUGAGGUAGAACCUAUUGCCCUGUUUAUUAUCAAACCUAGGGGAGUUACUUCUACGUUGCUUAUAUUGCUAUGCUAUGCUUGUAGACGUGGUUUGGUUCAAGUGAUUCAUGACAUAUGUGAGUAUUGUUAAUUAAUGGUUUACUUAAGGUGGCUACUUAAAUACACAUCUGGGUGGAUUGCUUGAAGGCACCCUGGAGUAACCAGUGGUUGCCAAGACACCUGGAGAAUCUAGUGUUGUCCUAGGAUAUCCCGGAGUUCCCGUGUCAUCAUCCUACAGUCCGCCACCCAGGCUCAAAGGGAUCAUAAGAUUAUUCAUGCUAGAAACUUCCGUGUGCAGCCACAAGCCAAUAUGGGCUCUGGCAUAGUUGAGUAAGUUGCGUGAAGCUCUUGAAGAGGUAGACUAGCAAAUGUAGUGGGUUGUGGGUGGUACUAUCUAUCCAGAGUAGAGAGUUAAUGCUUCAUAAAGACUGUGUCUCGAAUCUCCGACCAUGGAUGUAUUCGAGUCUUGUGGGGAAAAGUGAGCAAACCUCUGCAGAGUGUACAAACUAAUCAUGGUUAGCCGUGUCCCUGGUUAUGGACGUUUUGAGUAUCUAGUUCUUGGAUUAUCAUGUUGAUCUCAUCACUCUAAAUAUAAUUUGAUUGGGUUUAAUGAUGAUGUUUAAUUGGGAUUGAGUUGGAGGAACCUUCUCAAUGUUUAACAACCACCAUGAUAGUUAAAUAAAAUUUAUUCCUUUGUUGUAGGGAAAAAAUUGGCUUUAUGCAAAACUAUAACCAUAGAGCUUUCCACCAGCCAUAUAUGCAUGUAGUGAUAGCAUUUGUUAUGUUCAUUACUCUAUGUGUUACAUUGCCAGCAUAUUCCAUGUGCUGACCCAUUUCGGGCUGUAACGUUCAUGUUGCAGACUUUUUAGACGACGAGUAAGGUGCCAUAGGUCGUUGUCUUUCACUCAGUGAUGUCGUUGGAGUUGAUGGACUCACUUUAUCUUCCAAGCCUUCCGUUGUUAUCGUUUUUAGAUGUCCCUACGCCAUAUUUAUAGUAAUAAGUUCUAUUCUGAGACAUUCGAUGUAAUAAGUGUGUGAUUGCUACUCUAUUAUAAAUCCUCAAGUACUGUCGUGUCAGCAUUCCCAAUCCAGGGAUGACACUGAUGCACAGGGAUCAGACUGUUUGAGGUCUGGACGCUACACAAUGUGACUAAUGAGUUAGUUGAGGGAUGAAGCAUUACAGAAUGAGUAAAGAGACUUGCCGGUAACGAGAUUGAACUAGGUAUGAUGAUACAAAUGAUCGAAUCUCGAGCAAGUAACAUACCGAUGACAAAGGGAACAACAUAUGUGGUUAUGCGGAUUGGCCGAUAAAGAUCUCAUAGAAUAUGGAGGAACCAAUAUGGGCAUCCAGGUUCCGCUAUUGGUUAUUGAUCUACAUAGUUCUCAAACCGGUAGGGUCCGCACGCUUAACGUUCGAUGACAAUUUAUAUUAUGAGUUAUGUGUUUUGGUGACCGAAGGUUGUUCGGAGUCCCGGAUGAGAUCACGGACAUGACGAGGAGUCUCUAAAUGGUCGAGAGGNNNNNNNNNNNNNNNNNNNNNNNNNNNNNNNNNNNNNNNNNNNNNNNNNNNNNNNNNNNNNNNNNNNNNNNNNNNNNNNNNNNNNNNNNNNNNNNNNNNNNNNNNNNNNNNNNNNNNNNNNNNNNNNNNNNNNNNNNNNNNNNNNNNNNNNNNNNNNNNNNNNNNNNNNNNNNNNNNNNNNNNNNNNNNNNNNNNNNNNNNNNNNNNNNNNNNNNNNNNNNNNNNNNNNNNNNNNNNNNNNNNNNNNNNNNNNNNNNNNNNNNNNNNNNNNNNNNNNNNNNNNNNNNNNNNNNNNNNNNNNNNNNNNNNNNNNNNNNNNNNNNNNNNNNNNNNNNNNNNNNNNNNNNNNNNNNNNNNNNNNNNNNNNNNNNNNNNNNNNNNNNNNNNNNNNNNNNNNNNNNNNNNNNNNNNNNNNNNNNNNNNNNNNNNNNNNNNNNNNNNNNNNNNNNNNNNNNNNNNNNNNNNNNNNNNNNNNNNNNNNNNNNGUGUCAAAACCGGCGGAUCUCGGGUAGGGGGUCCCGAACUGUGCGUCUAGGCGGAUGGUAACAGGAGACAAGGGACACGAUGUUUUACCCAGGUUCGGGCCCUCUUGAUGGAGGUAAAAACCUACGUCCUGCUUGAUUGAUAUUGAUAUUGUGGAUGUUUACAAGAGUGGAUCUACCACGAGAUCAAGGAGGCUAAACCCUAGAAGCUAGCCUAUGGUAUGAUUGUAAUGGUUGUUGUUGUGUCCUAUGGACUAGAGCCAUCCGGUUUAUAUAGACACCGGAGAGGGCUAGGGUUACAUAGAGUCGGUUACAUUGGUAGGAGAUCUACAUAUCCGUAUCGCCAAGCUUGCCUUCCACGCCAAGGAAAGUCCCAUCCGGACACGGGACGAAGUCUUCAAUCUUGUAUCUUCAUAGUCUUGGAGUCCGGUCGAUGAUGAUAGUCCGGCCGAUGAUAGUUCGGCUGAUGAUGGUAGUCCGGCUAUCCGGACACCCCCUAAUCCAGGACUCCCUCAGUAGCCCCUGAACCAGGCUUCAAUGACGAUAAGUCCGGCGCGUAUAUUGCUUGGCAUUGCAAGGCGGGUUCCUCCUCCGAAUGAUAGAAGAUUGUGAACACCAGGAUAGUGUCCGGCUCUGCAAAAUAAAUUCCACAUUCCACUGUAGAGAGAAUAAUAUAUACACAAGUUCAAUCUGCUGACGUUUUUUUGCGGCAUGACGUCAUGCCACUACCAAGCCAUUACUUGAAUCAUUUUUUACUCUACCACCUCAGCGCAUUUAGCGAAGCGGUUUCCUUGGCACGUCAUGUCGAAGCAGAGAUCGUGUUCCCCCUUAAUCCGGGAUUCUCAUCAAUACGGACGUGGGUAACCCAACCGCGCCAUUGAUGGUGACGCUUGGGGGAUAAGCGAGUUUUACCAGGCCAGUGGGGGACGCGUAGACUUCGCCCGCCCAUAUAAAGGAUAAGGAUUCACCUUUUCACCUACGCCUUCUUCCUCCUUUGCUUAUCCAUCUCCGUGCACUCGAGCUCCAGCGCCCAAGCCCGCACAUCUCGUCUCAACCUUCCCCAGUUAUGUCCGGAGCGGGAGGCAAGUGGAUGACCUCCUCCGUUAUGGAGGAGCACAUCGAAAGACUGAGCAGCGCCGGCUACCUGUCCGGCGACAUCGCGCACCGGCUGCCCGACGAGGGGCAGCUCAUCCCCACCCCCAGGCCCCAUGAGAGGGUCGUUUUUCUUCCCCACUUCCUCCGCGGACUGGGUUUUCCACUUCACCCCUUUGUCCGGGGGCUCAUGUUCUACUACGGCCUGGAUUUCCAUGAUCUGGCGCCGAACUUCAUCCUCAACAUCUCGGCAUUUAUCGUCGUGUGCGAGGCCUUCCUCUGCAUCCAGCCCCACUUCGGCUUGUGGCUCAAGACCUUCAAUGUCAAGCCGAAGGUAGUGAAGGGCACUCAAGCGGAGUGCGGAGGUGCCAUGUUGGGCAAGAUGCCCAAUGUCCUUUGGUUCGAAGGGGCCUUCGUGGAAUCCGUCAAGGGGUGGCAAUCGGGGUGGUUCUAUAUCACCGAGCCGCGCGAUCCUAAGUGGGUGGCGGCCCCCGAGUUCAGAUCUGGUAUCCCCACGCAGCUCACCUCCUGGAAAGAGAAGGGCUUGCUGUGGGGUAGUUCGGAGGAGCUAACGGGACUCCAAGACUGUAUCCAGAAGCUGGUGAAGAAGCUCAGGCUGGUUAACGUGGUCCAAGUCAUGCUCGUCCGCCGGAUUCUCCCAUGCCAAGAGCGGGCAUUCAAUCUGUGGGAGUUCAAUCCGGAACAACACCAGGCGCUGAGCGGGCUCUUCGACACGACGUACGAAGGCGCCUGGAGGGUGCUGUUUAAGGGCGCCGAAACCCCCGCAUCCGCGACUGAAGAUCGCGGAUUUCGCUCGCAGCGCCAAGCCGACGAGGUAAGUGAUUCUACCCCUUUAUGGGACACUUGCUUUUCAUAGUUUGACUUUAUGCGGGUUUUAAUUUCCCCUUUUCCUUUGACAGGACUGGAUGAGGAAGGCGGAGCAGAUUAUCUGCCCGGCUCCCAUGCCAGAAAACCCAGUAGACGCCCAUCUAGCGAGGCUACUGGUUCCGGCACCGCACGUGGUGCCGGAGAAGAAGGCCAAGAAGGAGGCCACGAGUGCUCGAAAGAGUUCCCGUUUUCAGGUGUCCGAUGACUCCGGGGCGGACUCCUCCCCGAAAACGAGGAGGAGAAAGAGGACUCUCUCCCAGAGGAGGGAGAGAGGAAGAGGAAGGCUUCCCCAACAGGGGAGGCCGAAGGGUCCAAGAGGGGAAGGACUAUUCCCCCGAACAGCUCCGCCAACAUCAACGUUGGCGAGGAAGAAUGGCCUUCAAGGGCCAGGCCUCCAGCGAGAUCGUAAGUAUCCGGAUUCCUGAGUGAUUUAUAAUUUCUUUUUCUGUGUCACAUAGUGUCAUUCUGAUGCCGCAUGCUGCCUGUAGUCCGGCCAAUGAUGAUCUCCCCGCUUCAUCGAGCGGGUCGUUGGCUCCGUCGGAUGUAGACUCCAUCCCGACCGCCUCCACCCCUCGCGACACCGAGGACGCCGAGGUGGGAUCCCAAGAAGGGACCCAUCAGGGGGAGGCUCCGAAGGCGCCACAAGGCGUCCUCCCGGACUUUGCGCCGGAUUCCAUAUCAGAACCCGCAAUGGUUCCGGAGUCCGACCGGCGGCCCCUUCGCACGAAGGGCAAGACCGUGACACCGGCGGCUUCCGUCCAACCGGAGGCGUCGGACAAUUUGUUGGAGGCGCUGCAGAGCGCUUCCAUCGAGGAAGAACACCGCACUAUUAUGAGUGCGGUGAUUUAGAAGGUACAGCUCGCCAAGAGCGGGCUGACCGAAGCCUGCAGUAGCCUUCUAUCAGGCUUUGAGGUAAGAAGUUAAAAAUAUGUAAUGUAAUACCGCAUAGACAGUAGCCCCUGAUGCUCGGUUCGGUGUUCGUAAAGAAAAGCCGGACUGAGGAUCUGAAAAAAAAAGAAGAUAUACGCAGGGUUGCUAAAAAAUUAUGUCAAUAUGGGUUGCAGGCUGCGCUGCUGACCUCUGCCGCACUGACUGCGGAGGUCGGUGCUUUGAAGCAGGAGCUCGAGCGGUCCGAGCAAGAGCUCGGCCGCGCCAAGAAGCAGCUCCAGGACAAAGAAGGUGAGUAACACCACUUUGAACUUGUACCUUACAGAAAAGGAUUUAGGUUGCAACAAAAAAUAACAAGGAUAACAUGGGUACUGCAGGGGCCACGAACGAGGUGGCGACCCAGAAGGAGGCCGUGUCUGCGGCCGAACGCAAUGCGGCCGCGGAACGGGUAGAGCGAGAAAAGCAGGAGGCGUGGGUGGCGGUGGUUCGGCAAGAGCUCCAGGCUCUCAUGGAAAAGCAUGAGAGUUUGGAGCGUGACUCAAAGACUCGAGAGUCUGAGCUUGCCUCGGCUCUCAAAAGUGCCAAGACUACCAAGGACGAUGCCCAUAAGUCCCUUCAGGAGAUUGAGUUGGUGAGGAAGAUAGCGGCGGGUAAGGCAUUUUUCAUGCAAAGCAAGCAUGCGAAUGUAAAUUACCUGUUACUUACCCGAAUUCGGAGCUCUCCAGGGGCGUUUGUAGAUCUGCCUCGCAGCGUGUCUGAUGCCGCCGCAUUCUACCGAGCCGAGGAGGGGAGCUCAACGGAGAAGGUCUUCUGGUCUCAGUAUGCUGAGGCCGGCCAUCCGGUGCCCCCUAGCGACCAGCUGAAGCAGCUGGUCGAGCUCCACAAGGUGGCCGAGCAGGCCAUGAAGGGCCUCAUAGUCCGGCUGUGGCCUGGAGAGGCCAUGCCUGGGAGCUACUUCGGCCUCGUGCGACGGUUGGUGGAUGCGUGCCCCUGGGUGGAGGUUAUCAAGCGCUCCGCCUGUAUUGAAGGUGCUCGUCAGGCCCUUGCCCGCGCAAAGGUGCAUUGGGGCAAGAUGGAUGCGGAAAAGCUAAUCACUGACGCGCCACUAGCGGGCAAGGAAUAUCGUACGCCUGAAAUGUACUAUAAGACUGUCCUGAAGGGUGCCCGCAAGAUUGCGGAUGAGUGUCCCAAGGAUGUAAUUAUUGAGUAAAUUCGCAAUGUGUUAUCCUGUGCGCUGAAAACUUUGUUCAUAUGCGCUAAGCAACGCUUGUUAAUUUAAAAUAUUACCUUCUGUGUGGCCGUUUAUUAAAUCUGAGAGAUGGCAAGUCGUCGGCUUCAGCCCCCAUGCCACGAGUGCUGGGGUGUUCGGGAUAAACUUGAGCACUCUUGUUCCCAUUUUUGGGUCCAUCUAGGGAGGCGCUCAACACAACGAACAAGGCAACCGGACUUAUAGUGCUUGAACACUCUCACUUAGCCAUAGAAUUCUAUAAUUUUAAAUUUCGGCGAAGCCCCUAGUAUUCGGAAGACCGAAUUAGGGGCGCUAUCCACGCCUUCAUCGGACAUUAUCCGGAACUUCGCUCGAAGCGGCGUAGGUCUUUAAGGACCCGAAAGGACCUCUCGAACAGCGACAAGUCUCUCGCCUUAUCAUGACAGUCAGUUUUAGCUUUCUCCACUGAGGUGUUAACCCGGCUCAACCGGGGUGCAAUCGCAGUGGUUCUCCCAGUGCUACCUUAGCCGAUAGAACGGAACGUAAGGUGCCAAACAUGGGAGCCGGGCAAACCCAACUAUUGACCCAAGACAUGAUUCGGAGCCGAUUCAUAUAAUGCUAUAAGUUCGGGGUGCCGCACUUGUGAAAGUGUUCGGACUUUAUCACACCAUAAUGCGGGGAACAUAAGCCCCUGGUGUAUUUGGCCGUACCAAAAUGUACGGAUGCAACAUGUCGUAAAUGAACAUAUAUAUAUAUAAGGUAAUGCAAUUAUGGGCAAAAAGUGCUGCAUUUUAUUCGAGAAGAUCUGCUAUGAAUGCGGAAUGAUACAAAUAGUGCGGAAAGCAAGGGAUUGGACAAAUUAAAGGCGUCUCCCUCCAGGGGUAGGCCGCGGAAUGGUGUAUUUAACAAAUUUAAUGCUCGUAAUGGAGACCACCUGAGUGUUCGUCGCGGCCUUUGUCCCUCCCUGGUUGUUGCAUCAUGAGUUCGGCAGGUUCGCCACCGGACAGAGUUCUGUAUAAAAAAGAGAGAAAUAAAAGAUAAAAAGAGCGACACACUUGGGAGCCCCUGGUGUGGUCGAACCGCACUCUGGGUCUGUUGUGGUUGUGCCUCUCCCCCUAUGCCCAUGGUAUCUCCAGGGUGUAAUUAUGUACGCAGAGAGUUUGUCUUACAAUUGUGCGAGGGCUGGGGUUGAGGCCGCAUUGCUACGCGUGCUCGGAACAUGCCAGGUGGUCUUGGUUGAUGUUGCUCCGGGCGCGUUUGGCCGUGUCCGGUCGUUUAACGGCCGGACUCGAAAAUUGCCUUAAAAGGCUGCUCUGUACUUCUGCCGUGAGAGCCGCUGUAUGUUCCUCCGUUUGGAGGGAGCGUUCCGUUUUUCCAUUGACCGUGAUGACUCCACGAGGGCCUGGCAUCUUGAGCUUAAGGUAUGCAUAAUGCAGCACCGUGUUGAAUUUUGCGAACGCGGUUCGUCCGAGCAGAGCGUGAUAGCUACUGCAGAACGGGACUAUGUCAAAGAUUAACUCCUCGCUUUGGAAAUUAUCCGGGGAUCCGAAGACCACUUCCAGUGUAACUGAGCCUGUACAACUGGCCUCGACACCUGGUAUGACGCCUUUGAAGGUUGUCUUUGUAGGUUUAAUCCUUGAAGGGUCUAUGCCCAUCUUGCGCACUAUAUCCUGAUAAAGCAGGUUCAGGCUACUGCCGCCGUCCAUCAGGACUCUCGUGAGGUGAAAUCCAUCAACGAUUGGGUCUAAAACCAAUGCGGCGAAUCCGCCAUGGCGGAUACUGGUCGGAUGGUUUCUUCGAUCGAAAGUGAUCGGGCAAGAGGACCAUGGGUUGAAUUUUGGGGCGACUGGCUCCAUCGCGUAUACGUCCCUUAGUGCACGCUUCCGCUCCCUCUUGGGUAUAUGCAUUGCGUAUAUCAUGUUUACCGUCCGAACUUGAGGGGGGAAUCCCUUUUGUCCUCUGUUGUUCGGCGGCCGGGUCUCUUCCUCGUCAUCGCUGUGUAGCCCCUUGUCAUUGUUUUCGGCGAUUAAUUUGCAUGCCUGCUUGAAUACCCAACAAUCUCUGUUGGUGUGGUUAGCUGGCUUUUCGGGGGUUCCAUGUAUUUGACAGGAGCGGUCGAGUAUUCGGUCCAAAUUGGACGUGCCCGGAGUGGUUCUUUUGAAUGGCUUCUUCCGUUGACCGGGCUUGGAGCCUCAGAAUCCGGCGUUGACUGUCGUAUCCUCAUUGCUGUCGCCGUUAAUGCGGUGUUUGUUUUUGUUUUGAUGCGACCUGCCAUUGCGGUCCUUGGUAUCCGGACUGCCAGCGUUUUUGCUGAGGUUGUUGCUGCGAGCUAGCCAGCUAUCCUCUCCCGCACAGAAGCGGGUCAUGAGUGAUGUGAGGGCUGCCAUGGAUUUCGGCUUUUCCUGUCCUAGGUGCCGGGCUAGCCACUCGUCGCGGAUGUUAUGUUUGAAGGCAGCGAGGGCCUCUGCAUCCGGACAGUCGACGAUUUGAUUUUUCUUUGUUAAGAAUCAUGUCCAGAAUUGCCUAGCCGAUUCGUCUGGCUGCUGGAUUAUGUGGCUUAGGUCAUCUACAUCCGGUGGUCGCACAUACGUGCCCUGGAAGUUGUCGAGGAAUGCGGCUUCCAGGUCUUCCCAGCAUCCAAUUAACUCUGCGGGCAGGCUGUUAAGCCAAUGUCGAGCUGGUCCUUUAAGCUUGAGCGGGAGAUAUUUGAUGGCGUGAAGAUCGUCACCGCGGGCCAUGUGUAUAUGGAGGAGAUAAUCCUCAAUCCAAACCGCGGGGUCUGUUGUGCCAUCGUAGGAUUCGAUAUUAACGGGUUUAAACCCUUCGGGGAUUUGAUGAUCCAUUACUUCGUCAAUGAAGCAUAGUGGGUGUGCGGCGCCUCUGUAUUGAGCAAUAUCGCGAUGUAGCUCGAUAGAGCGUUGUCUGCUGUGUUCGGCCCGGCCGGAGUAGUUGUAUCCGGCGCGACGGUAUUCGUCAUGGGUCUUGGGGCGCCCACGUGAUCCAUAGAUAGAUCUGGAUUGUCUUGCCUUGUCCUCCAAUAUAUCCCGCAAGUCCGGCGCGUUCCCCCGUGGCUUUAUGCUGUUUGAGCGAUGCCGGGGUACGGUUUUGGUGGAGGGCUUGCACGCCUCUCUGUCGCGGCCACGAGGUGGUCGGUCUGCCGUAUUGUGCGCUAGUGAUGCAGGUUUGUACGCUUCCUCCUCUAGUCGGGGGAGCAACUUGCGUUUUGGGUAACUUUUGGAGGGGCGUUCGAGUUCAUACUCUUCGGCCGCGAGGACCUGGUCCAUCUGUCAGCCAGUAGGUCUUGAUCAGCUUGAAGCUAUUGCUGCUUUUUCUUUAGGCUGUUUGCCGUGGCCAUUAUCCUGCGUCUGAAACGCUCUUGCUCGACGGGAUCCUCAGGCACGACGAAUUCGUUGUCGUCGAGGCUUGCCUCAUCUCCGGAGGGAGGUAAGUAAUUAUCAUCCUCGACCUCUUCGUCUGCCGCCCUCUCGUGAGGGCUUGCUUCUGCCUCCUCCUGCGCUGGAUCGUGCUGGAGGGGGUUGUCUUCGGCACUUUCUGGGGUGUUAUUAUCUCCUGUGACGGAAUCUCCAUUCUUGCUGUGGCGGGAUUUAGAGCGGCGCCGCUGACGUUGGCGCUUGGGCUGUUUCUCUAAGGAAUCGGCCUCCGUUGCUUCUUCGCCGUCCCCAUCUUUUGGGGUGUCCACCAUGUAUAUGUCGUAUGACGAGGUGGUCUUCCAGUGUCUUGUAGGCACUGGUUCUUGAUAGUCUCCGGCAUCGUCGUCCAUACCGUCGAUGUCUUUGGAGUCGUAGUCGAGUACGUCGGUUAGAUCGUCGACGGUGGCUACGAAGUGGGUGGUGGGUGGGCUCUGAAUUUCUUCAUCGUCCGCGUCCCAACCAUCCUGGCCGUAGUUCGGCUAGGGCUCUCCAGAUAGCGAGAGAUGCUUCAGCGAAUUUAAGAUAUCGCCGAAGGGUGAGUGCUGAAAGAUGUCCGCAGCGGUGAAUUCCAUGAUCGGCGCCCAGUCGGAUUCGACUGGCAGGGGCGCAGGAGGUUUGGAGUCCGGCAGAGAGUCCGGCACCUCGGAGUCAUGAGAUUUAUGCGGGACAAGAUAAGUGUUCGGCUCCAUCACCGUAGAAGUUGCAGCUCCCGAGGCGGUGUCCAGCCAUCCGUCCUCGAUCUGAGCGAUCGGCUCCGGACUAUGGGUCGGAGCGGAUUCGUGUGCGGCCUCCAAGGUGCUGUCUGGCGGCAGAGUUAGGUCGUGCCCAUUGUGACAGCGCGGCACGCUUGGCUGUGGCUCAGAUCCAUCGAAGAUCAAGUCCCCGCAGAUAUCGGCCGUGAAGUUUAGGCUUCCCAACCUGACCUGACGGCCAGGGGCGUAGCUUUCGAUCUGCUCCAGAUGGCCAAGUGAGUUGGCCCGCAGUGCGAAGCCGCCGAAUAUGAAGAUCUGUCUGGGGAGAAAAGUCUCACCCAGGACUGCAUCAUUGUCGAUUGAAGAGGCCAUCAAGCCUAUCGGUGACGACACAGAGGAACUCUCAAUGAAAGCACCAAUGUCGGUGUCAAAACCGGCGGAUCUCGGGUAGGGGGUCCCGAACUGUGCGUCUAGGCGGAUGGUAACAGGAGACAAGGGACACGAUGUUUUACCCAGGUUCGGGCCCUCUUGAUGGAGGUAAAACCCUACGUCCUGCUUGAUUGAUAUUGAUAUUGUGGAUGUUUACAAGAGUGGAUCUACCACGAGAUCAAGGAGGCUAAACCCUAGAAGCUAGCCUAUGGUAUGAUUGUAAUGGUUCUUGUUGUGUCCUACGGACUAGAGCCAUCCGGUUUAUAUAGACACCGGAGAGGGCUAGGGUUACAUAGAGUCGGUUACAAUGGUAGGAGAUCUACAUAUCCGUAUCGCCAAGCUUGCCUUCCACGCCAAGGAAAGUCCCAUCCGGACACGGGACGAAGUCUUCAAUCUUGUAUCUUCAUAGUCUUGGAGUCCGGUCGAUGAUGAUAGUCCGGCCGAUGAUAGUUCGGCUGAUGAUGGUAGUCCGGCUAUCCGGACACCCCCUAAUCCGGGACUCCCUCACUCUCCUUCCCCCUUUCCACCUCCAUAAGAAGGAAAAAAGAGGGGGGCGAAUCCUACUAGGAGUGGAGUACUAGUAGGACUCCCCACUCCCUUGGCGCACCCCUGGUGGUCGGCCUCCUCCUCCCUCCUUUAUAUACAGGGAUAGGAGGGCACCCCAAAGGCACAACAUUGUCUUAGCCGUGUGCGGUGCCCCCCUCCACCGUUUAAUCCUCUAAUAGUAUCAUUGUAGUGCUUAGGCAAAGCCCUGCAUGGAUCACAUCAUCAACAGUGUCAUCACGCUGUCAUGCUGACAAAACUCUCCCUCGACCCUCUAGUGGAUCAAGAGUUUGAGGGACGUCAUCGAGAUGAAUGUGUGCUGAACUCAGAAGUGUCAUACGUUUGGUGCUAGAUCGGUUGGAUCGUGAAGAUGUUCGACUUCAUCAACCAUGUUAACAUAACGCUUCCGCUUUCGGUCUAUAAGGGCACGUGGACACACUCUCCCCCUCUUGUUUCUAUGCAUCUCCUAGAUAGAUCUGGCGUGAUCAUAGGAAUUUUUUUGAAAUUGCAUGCUACGUUCCCCAACAGGAACUGCCAUCCAGCUCCGCUUUAGAUUCACCUUUUGUUAUAAGUAAACUUGCAAAACCACCACAUGCUAUUAAUUCUGAUAUGUCGCAAGUUGUUGAUGAUGCUACUUCUGCUAUGAAUGCUACUCAUGAUGAUGCUAGUACCUUGCUUGAUGAUGAUGUGCCACUAGGUGAAUUUCUUGAUGAACAAAUUGCUAGAGUAAGACAACAAGAUAUUGUUGAAACUGAUGAUGAGCUUGAAACUGAAAAUCUUGAAACACCUAUUAGAACUAGCCCUCCUAGAUAUGAAUUGCCAAAGGUACCAGAAGGUUAUGCUAUGAGUGAGGAGGCAACUAGAGAUAUUCUUGCUUGUAAGGAUAGAGAUGAUCUAGAAAAAAUAGUAUGCAAGUACAAAGAAAGAUCUUUGAAUGCUAAGACGAAAUGUGAUCCUAAGUUUGCUACUUCACCUAUCUUUAUUGAUGAUAAGGAUUAUGAAUUCUCUGUCGACCCAGAGUUAAUUACUUUGGUUGAGUCUAACCCUUUCCAUGGUUAUGAAACUGAAACUAUUUUGGCACAUCUUACUAAACUGAAUGAUAUAGCCACCCUUUUUGCUCAUGAUGAGAAGAUUCUCUAUUACUAUAUUCUCAAGUUAUUUCCAUUCUCAUUAAAGGGUGAUGCUAAAGCUUGGUACAAUACUCUUGCUCCUGGUUGUGUGCGUAGUCCCCAGGAUAUGAUUUAUUACUUCUCUGAAAAAUAUUUCCCUGCUCAUAAGAAACAAGCUGCCUUGCAGGAAAUAUUUAACUUUGUGCAAAUUGAAGAAGAGAGUCUCCCACAAUCUUGGGGGAGGCUUCUCAAAUUGCUUAAUGCUUUGCCUGAUCAUCCUCUUAAGAAAAAUGAAAUACUUGAUAUCUUCUAUAAUGGACUAACCGAUGCUUCUAGGGAUUUCCUAGAUAGUUGUGCUGGUUGUGUUUUCAAGGAACGAACUAUUGGGCAAGCUAAAGAAUUAUUGAAUAACAUAUUGAAAAAUUAUGAUGAUUGGACUCCUCCUGAAACACCGCUUAAACCCACUCCAAAGAAGAGGGGUAUAUCAUAUCUCAGUCCUGAAGAUAUGCAAGAGGCAAAGAAAUCUAUGAAGGAAAAAUGUAUUAAAGCAAAGGAUGUCAAAAAUUUACCUCCUAUUGAAGAAAUACAUGGGCUUGGUACACCAUCACCACCUAAGGUGGUAGAGGUAAAAUCUUUAAUGAAAUUCAAUGAUAGUGAUGAUCCUCGUAAUAAACAUCCUAGUCAAUGCCUUUAUGAGUUUGACAAUUACAUUAGAAAGCAAGAUCACUUCAAUGCAAAUGUUAUGAAACAAUUGAAAUACAACUCUAUAUGAUUGCUCGCUUAAGUGACUUGUUAUUUAGAAUCUCAAAUGAUGUUAGAGGUGUAGGAAAGAAUGCCUCUAUGGUUCAAACUUAAUUAGAACAAGUUGCUAAAUCUCAAAGAGAGUUGCUUGAUGAAAUGAACAAUAAUAUAAGUGACUUUGUUGUUAGAGUAUCAACUAGAGGAGGUAAAAUGACUCAGGAAUCACUUUACCUUGAGGGACACCCAAAGAGAAUUGAACAAGACUCUCAAAGAAUUAACACUGAUGCACCUGGUCCUUCUAAAAAGAAAAAUAAGAAGAAAAAUAAUAGGACUUUGCAUGCCUCUAGUGAACCUGAAAUAGAAAAACCUCCUGAUAAUGAUAAUGAAGUUUCUAUCUCUGAUGCUGAAGCUCAACCUGGUAGUGAACACUCACCUUCUGAUAAUGAAAAAGAUAGUGAUGAGGUUCAUGAAGAAACUCAGCCUAAUAAUAAAGAACUAGACAAUGAUGUUGAGAUAGAACCAGCUAUUGAUCUUGAUAACCCACAACCCAAGAAUAAAAGAUAUGAUAAAAGAGACUUUGUUGCUAGAAAACAUGGAAAGAAAAGAGAGCCAUGGGUUCAAAUACCUAUGCCCUUUCCACCUAAGUCAACUAAAAAGAAAUAUGAUGAAAAAUUUGAAUGCUUUGGUGAAAUGAUUAGGCCAGUCUUUUUGCGCACUCGCUUGACUGAUAUCUUAAAAAUGCCUCCUUAUGCAAAGUACAUGAAAGACAUCAUCACGAAUAAUAGAAAAAUACCGAAAGCUGAAAUCUCCACUAUGCUUGCUAAUUAUACUUUUAAAGAUGGAGUGCCUAAAAAACUUGGAAAUCCGGGAAUACCAACUAUACCUUGCUCCAUUAAAAGAAACUAUGUGAAAACCGCUUUAUGUGAUUUGGGAGCUGGUGCUAGAGCCAUCUGGACAAAUCUCCUCUAAAUCUCUCUACCAUGCCAUAGCCCCCUCCUCGGGCCCUGAGGCUCUCACCACCAUCUGGGCGAUUCUUCUCCCCUUGAAGAUUAGGAUUUUCUUAUGGCAAUGGAUUCGCGGCCGCCUUUCGUCCCGCGUUGAGGUCCUGAAGCGCAACGACCCUAGUGAUGGGCAGUGCCCGCUCUACGGGCCUGAAGAGGAUAUGAACCAUAUCUUCUUCACUUGUACGUCUGCGCAGUUCCUCUGGAGCUAUUUCCGUGAGGUGGUGGGUGGUAGAUGGGAUCACACCAACUUCCCCGCCCUCUUCGCCAAACUUCGGGCAUUACCACCCGUGUUACGCCACAUUAGGUGGCUAACCAUCGGGGUGCUAGCCUGGACGUUGUGGACUAUUAGGAAUAAACUUGUGAUUCAGCAUGUCCCUCUUUGUCGUGCUACUGAUGCUUUGUUCAAAUGGUCUGGUUACUUGCAGCUUUGGCGGCCGCUUAGCCGCCACAGGAAGAGAGACGCCAUCACCUCCAUCAUCACCCAGCUUCACGCGAUGGCUCUCCGAUUGGCUCCACCACUCCCCCCACCACCACCAGAGCCGGAUUAGAUCCUCUACCUCGCCGCCGCCACCGCCAUUUUUGUGUUGUGCAUGCUCUUUUUUUUGUUGGGCUUGUUGUGUUGUGCCCACAGCUGAACCUUGGGUAGUGUUCGUGUGCGUGUUUGUUGGACCUUGCCUGCGGUGGCGUUGUGUUUGUGUGUAACUUGUUGACAUUGUGCUUGGUGGUUUGCUUUAUUUAUAAAGCAGGGCGAAAGCCUUUUUAGUAAAAGACUUGAUUUGAAUAAACUCACACCUACUAAAAUAUCCUUGCAAAUGGCUGACAAAUCAACUGCCAUACCUAUCGGUAUUUGUGAGGAUGUGCCCGUUGUUGUCUGACUGACUUUGUUAUACUUGAGAUGCCUGAGGACGACAACAUGUCGAUUAUCCUUGGUAGAUCCUUCUUGAAUGCUGCAGGGGCUAUUAUUGAUUGCAAUAAAAGCAAGGUCACUUUUCAUAUCAAUGGUAAUGAGCUUACGGUGCACUUUCCGAACAAACAAUUCCAAGUGAAUGGUAUUACGCUGCGUUUGGAUGUCUGGAUUGGAGGACUCCGUAUUGAAUUGGUUUCAAUACCAAUUCAGUGGGGAAACUGUAAUGGACAUGAAUACGAUUUCACUUGUUUGGAUGCUCAUGGUAUUGGCCCAUGGAAUCCCAGUGAGGUUUCAAUACAAAAUCUUGUUUGGAUGACAAACUAUGGAAUUGCAUAGUGCCUUGUUCUAUAUGCAUCAAAUCAAUUUUUUACAAUAUGUGACUAUAAUCAACGUCCUUGUUGCUCUCGCUGUCUACUAAGACGGGUAGUCGAUGAUCAUCUUAUCUCACUAGCUCUUGCUGACAGCAUGCUCCUAAUGGCCUCCCUCUCUUCUUCUGAAAAUCAAUCAGCCAAAGCAGAGACAUGAAUUCCACACUGCACACAUAAUUAAGAAUCAAUCCACCCAUCAAAAAUUAACAUUCAAUCCUCUUUUUACUAAUCUCAUUUAGCAAUAUGCGAAGGGAAACUAAAUUUCGUCUGACUGGAUGGUUAUAUGAAGUAGACAAAUUUCCUGCAGUGUCAUAAGAGAGCAAGCACCAUGAAAUAUGUUCAUGCAGUUCACAGAAUAUGGUUGAGUAGUGUGCAUUCGACUACCAACUGAUGAACUAGCGAACUAGUGAUGACUAAAGAGAUUGCCGGAUUGAAAGGAGGUGAGCAGUAUUGCAAUCUUUUGGCAACUCAUAACCAGUAGCAAAGAAGAAACAAUCAAGGAUGGAAUAGCGAGAGAUCGGAAGGUUACCAGUGCGAGAAGGUGGAGAUGGAGUGGCGAUGGCGGGAUCGGCAGCGCCGCCGCCGCCGCCUGGCCAUGGCUUGCGAGGCCUGAUGGAUGGCCACUUCAACUCCAUGCCUAGAUCUGAGUCAAAGUGGGAGAUGAGGCAUCCAUUAGAGGAGGGGGAGCUGAGGUCACGGGGAUUCAGGUGCCGGAGGGCCACACGAGGACUGGGGGCCACCGUCGGGGGGCUUCCCUGGGCGCCGCCGUCGGGGGUCCUUCCCUGGGCGCCGCUCGUCUCAGGUUGCACGGGGGGCAGCUGUGUCCUUGGUCGAGCAGGGAAAAAAGAAAUAUUGGAUCAUUAUGUUUUGUGGGAUGGAUGUUUCCAGCCAAAUCGGAGGGGCAGAGCUCGGAAACUUGGGAGGGCUCAGCGCGUGUAAACGAUUUCAGCGUUGUAUUCGUUUUAUUUCAGACCGCUAUUUCCGUGUGCAUGCCAAACGGCUGAAUUGGCAAUUUGGGAAUACCAAAUCCAAUUCGGGGCCUCAUUACAGACAUCCAAACGCAGUGUUAAUGUUAUUGAAAAAUCUUCGACAAUCACUAUUGGAAGUUUUCAACUACCUCUACCUACUGUUAAAAAUAAAUAUGAAAUGCUUAUUGUUGGGGACAUUCAUAUCCCUAUUGAGGUAACUUAGUGAUUUACGAAAGUUCUUCGGUUUCAUGCUAAUUGAGAGUGGUUGUUAAUAAGACUUGAUCAACCUUAUUAAUGGAUCAUUUUUGAGAGGUAUGAAGUUGAUGAAUUUAGUGAGCACUACCUUCUAUCCCUACCUUUUUUCUGUUUUUACUAGUUAAAUAAAAUAAAAUGCCAUGUUUUGUCUGUUUUCUGAGUUUUCCGUGCAAUAAAAAAAUGACCCAAAAAUAAAAUUUCUCAGGAUGCUCUAAAAAUUUAAUACGUUUUUUUCCUAAUUAUUUAAGAAUUUUUGGUGCAAAUAAUAUCAGAGGGAGGUGCACCAAGUGGGCACAACCCACCUGGCGUGCUAGGACCCCCAGGCGCCCCUGGUGGGUUGUGGUCCCCACGUGGGCCCCCUCACUUACUUCUUCUUCGCACAUCACCACAUCCCUCCAGAAAAAAAUCACCAUUGCUCUCUCUCUCUCUCUCUCUCUCUCUCUCUCUCUCUUGUGUUCUUGCUCCGGAAACCGCGGAUUUCGAUCCCUUUGCUCGAAGCUCCGUUUUCGAAACUGUUUCGGGCCCUUGUUGCUUGUUAUGUGACUCCUCCAUGUGUCCAAUUAGUUUUUGUUUUAGUGGUUUAUAUUUUGAAUAAUUAGCUACUUUUGGUGCUGCUGUAGAUGAUCUUGCAUGUUGAAUUCUUAGAGUUCUAAGUAGUUUGAAUGCUUGCUAUGGCCUCUAUACAUCCUUGUGAGUGUUUGUUACCAAUCUUGUAAAGUUUUGUUAACAAAUUUUUGUAACCCAAAAUUUUCAGAAAAUUGUACACGAACAUUAUGAACUUCUUUGGAAGGAGUUCUUUGAGGAGGAGAUCCUCGAAGGCAUCCUCUAGUAGCAGCUCCAUUCGUCGGUCUUAUGUUGAACCGAGUGAAAAGUCCAUUCGAGAUGCCGCCACUAAAACAUGCUUAUGGCCAUGCAACGAUUAUAUGAUGAGUGUUGGCAUUAAGGAGGAAUUUGAGCAAUAUGUUCACAAUGCUGAUAUUGGUCCCUACAAUUUAGAUAAGUGUGACCAACACCUCACUCUCAUUGAAUCAUUUGCCGAAGGGUUCAAAUUCCAUCCCCGUGAGUCUAGGGUGUCAUUUAAUUUGUAUGAAAACCCAUUUACCAUAUCCUUAGGGAAAUUCGCUCACCACUACAAAAUUCCAUUCUAGGGUUCGCUCGAUGAACCGCCAAGGUCUGAGUUUGAGAUAUUCUUGACUAGUCUUUAUUAUGGUGAGACUAGGGGAGUGAUGCAAGUUAGAAUAAAGAGCAUUUAUUUUCACGCAAUUCAAUACUUUGCAUUAUUUAAUGAAAAAUGUAUUGUAGUCAAGCAAGAUUGUAGUACACUUUGUGCUCCAGAUUUGAGCCUCAUACACACCACUCUCAAAGGUGACAGAAGUUAUAAUCUUGGAGCGAUUGUUGCACGUAGGUUGCAACACAACGCUGGUAGUGGAUAUUUUUAUGGUGGAAUUUAUGCCACAUGAUUAGUGAGGGAGCUGGGUGUUUCACCUUUGCCCUAUGAUCCUAUUUUACCCACACAGUAUCUAGACUUUGAUGCUAUGAAACGUCAUAAGAUCCUUAAAGGAGAUCCCCAUAAUUUCACUUAUAAAUUGAUGUUUAAAAAGGACUCCGUGGUGGAAACAUAUUUGCCUGCGCCUCCUCUCUUUAAUGUUCACAACAGGGGAAGAUAUUAUGUUCUUGAGAGCGAGACCCGAGCUCACAACACAACGGUUGUAGAUGCACGGAGGGUUGAGGCAUCCGCACCAAGAGCCUCCGUGAGCUAGCACUCUGACCAUUACGCAGGCUGCUGACUGAUUACCAAGUUAGGCCAAAAGCCUAAGCUUGGGGGAGUAUGUAUUUCCACCGACAUUGCAUUCAUGUUCACACAUUUCAUUCCAGUUGUCGGUGUUCACACUUUCUCAUUGUAUUAUCCAUGUUAAAUUUAUUUUCUCGCUUUCUUCUUGUGAGUUUGAAAAACAUUGAGAAAAUCCAAAAAUAUGCUUCUUGCUUCUUUUUUAUUUUUCUUCCUAGUUUAAAUUGUUGUGGCACUAAAAAUAAAAAACCAAAAAGAUUUCCUUGUUCUUCUUUUGCUUGUUGGGAGCUUUCCCGUGUAAAUAGUUUUUCUCGUUUUUGCUUUUCUCUUUUUAUUUGCUUGUUUACGAAAAACCAAAAACUCCAAAAAUAUUUUGGUGUGUUUCUCUGAAUUUCUUUUCCUUUUAUUGAGUCAUACCGAGGAGAAGACCACGAUGAAAAUGUUGACUGGCUCUCAUUUGCAUUAUUGUUGAUCUAAUGAAGAACCCAUAUUACCUUGUCUUCUCCUUUUGAAUAAAAUGUUUGCAGAUUCCAGCUUAGUCCAUGGCACUCUUGCACUAUUAUUAUUUUCAAAUCAUUCAGUCGUGCAAGUGAAAGGCAAUAAUGACGAUAUUCGAUGAACUGGCCGUGGCAGAGAGAAACAGGUAUGAACUCGACUUGUUCUAUUUUUGUAAAUAUGUUUAACCUAGUAUCAAUGAUUUAGCCUAUUAUGAUCAAACAUGUUUGCAAUGACAUUUAGAGAUUAUAGUUUCUCAUGCCAUGCAUAAGUAGCUAGGAGGAUAAUGAUUUAUCUUGGAUGUCAACAUUGCGUUAAAAUGAUUGUGAUAUAGUAUGAUGAUAUGGUAUCCUCCUCUGAAUGUUCGAGUGGCUUGACUUGGCACAUGUUCAUGCAUGUAGUUGAAUGCAUGUUGUUCAUGGUGUUCAUAUCCUACUCAUGCUAGUAUCCAAUGUUACUUAUGCAUAAUGCGUGUUCACGAUCGUUGUUGCUCUCUAGUUGGCCGCUUCUCAACCUAUUUUCUAGCCUUCGCCUGUGCUAAGUGGGAACUCUACUUGUAGAUCAAAAACUUGAAACCCAAGUUAUUCCAGAUGAGUCCACCAUACCUACCUAUAUACCCUUCCGUCCUAAGUAAAUUUGCAUGUGCCACCUCUAAAAGCUUCAAAUAAAUAUCAUUUUUGUGUGCCGCGGUUAUUCAUAGAGCAACAGGAGGUAGUUGGUAUCUUCCCUGCUAAACGGGUUAUUCUCAGGUUGGGUGUUUAUUCACUCACCAUUGCACGAGAAAAGAGCGGUAAUAGGGAUUCCCAGUCCCAAAUUGCAAAAGGAACUUAUCAAUAAUCAAACAAAAACUCCUAUGGAGCAAAAACCUUUACUUUACCACUUGGGAACUACUACUAAUUUGUUUAGCAUGCAAGAUAUUGAUAAUUGAUGGUCGCAAAGUAAACAAGGGUGCAUGUCUUAAAAUUUCAUUUACCUCUGUUUUUAAAAACUUGAGCUUGGCACCUCUGUAAACCAUUGCUUCCCUCUGCGAAGGGACUAUCUAUUUACUUUUAUGUUGUGUCAUCACCUUCUCAAAUAAGCGUCAGAACCUGAGAGCACUGCUGUCAUGCUGAUGCAUUGUGUGUAGCUAAUGUUGGGUGCAUCAUGACUGGAUCUUUUCUACCAUGAAUUACAAUGUUUAGUUGAUGCUUGAACUUUGGAGGUGCUCUGCAUUUAUGUUUUGCGGUCUCGGAAAGGGCUAGCGAGAUACCACUAUUGUCAUAUUGCAUCAUGGUUGUUUUGACACCGUGUUGCUAUUUGAGAUGUCUUAUUAUUGCUCGCUAGUUGAUUAUGUCAUUGAUAUGAGUUAAUAUAAUUUUUAAGAAUUAUUGUCGACAUGGUUAGUUAUAAUCUUUUGCUGAAAACCUGGGUGUUGUUUAAGCUUAUUUAUGGAAACAAGAGCAAAAGAGUUCGUAAAAAAUUUUCUUUUUCACUUUCAAUUUAUCAACUAAAUUGCUUGAGGACAAGCAAAGGGUUAAGCUUGGGGGAGUUGAUACGUCUCUAUCGUAUCUACUUCUCCUAACGCUUUCCCUCUUGUUUUGGAUUCUAAUUUGCAUGAUUUGAAUGAAACUAACCCGGACUGACGUUGUUUUCAGCAGAACUACCAUGGUGUUGUUUUUGUGCAGAAAUAAAAGUUCUCGGAAUGGAACGAAACUUUGUGAGGAUUUUUUAUACAAUAAAAGAGAAUAUCUGGAGCCAAGAACCACCGGAGAGGGCACCUGGGUGGGCACAACCCACCAGGGCGCGCCACCCCCUCCAGGCGCGCCCAGGUGGGUUGUCCCCAUGUGGAGGCCCCGCAGACCCUGAAACCGAUGCUAUAAAAUCCUAUAUUUCCAGAAAAAAUGAGGGAAAAUAAUUAUCGGGUUUCAUGAACGGAGCCAUCGCCGUCUCUUAUUCUUCAUCGGGAGGCCAGAUCUGGAGUCCGUUCAGGGCUCUGGAGAUCUUCGAUUUUCGUCAUCACCAACCCUUCUCCAUCUCCAAUUCCAUGAUGCUCCCCACCGAGGGUGAGUAAUUCAUUCGUAGGCUCGCUGGUCGGUGAGAAGUUGGAUGAGGUUCAUCAUGUAAUUGAAUUAGUUCUGUUAGGGCCUGAUCUCUAGUAUCCAUUAUGUUCUAAGGUUGAUGUUGCUAUGACUUUGCCAAGCUUAAUGCUUGUCACUUUGGGCCCAAGUGCCAUGAUUUCAGAUCUGAACCGUUUAUGUUAUCGCCAUUAUAUUCAUGUUCUAGAUCCGAUCUUGCAAGUUAUAGUCACCUACUACGUGUUAUGAUCCGGCAACCCCGGAGUGACAAUAGUCGGGACCACUCCUAGUGAUGACCGUAGUUUGAGGAGUUCAUGUAUCCAUCGUGUGUUAAUGCUUUGUUUCGGUUCUCUAUUAAAAGGAGGCUUUAAUAUCCUUACUUUCCAAUAGGACCCCGCCGCCAUGGGAGGGUAGGACAAAAUAUGUCAUGCAAGUUCUUUCCAUAAGCAUGUAUGACUUUUUACAGAAUACAUGCCUACAUUAUAUUUAUGAACUGGAGCUAGUGCCGUAUCGCCCUAGGUUAUGACUGUCUCAUGAUGAAUAUCAUCCAACGAAUCACCAAUCCAAUGCCUACGAUUUUCCUACAUAUUGUUUUUGCUAAGUUACUACUGCUAUUGUUACUACUACACUUGCUACAAAACACUGCUGUCAUUGUAACCGUUACCAUUGUUGCUGCUAAUAUCAUCAAAACUAUCAUACUACUUUGCUACUAAUCACUUUGCUGCAUAUAAUGAAUCUCCAUGUGUGGUUGAAUUGACAACUCAGCUGUUAAUACUUGCAAAUAUUCUUUGGCUCCCCUUGUGUCGAAUCUAUAAAUUUGGGUUGAAUACUCUACCCUCGAAAACUAUUGCGCUCCCAUAUACUUGUGGGUUAUCACCCCUCUAGACACCUCUUCUUGAUCCUACACCCCUUUAUCGCGUUGGGUGCAGGUAUUUGAUUGUUUGUGUAGGUGCAUAGAUUGGGACUUGCUUGUACCUCCUACUGAAUUGAUACCUUGGUUCUCUAACUGAGGGAAAUACUUAUCUCUACUUUGCUGCAUCACCAUUUCCUCUUCAAGGGAAAAACCAACGCAAGCUCAAGAAGUAGCAGGAAGAAUUUCUGGUGAUGUUGCCGGGGAGGUCUACAUCAAGCCUACCAAGUACCCACCAUAAACUCUCAUCUCUUACAUUACAUUAUUUUCCAUUUGCCUCUCGUUUUCCUCUCCCCCACUUCCAAAAUGAUUUUCAAAAAGAUUGCCUUUUUUAUUUGCCUUUCUUCCGUUCGUCUUUUCGUUUGCUUUUUGCUUGCUCGUGCAUUCAAUCACUUGUUUUGCUUUCAUGGCUAGUCCUUCCACAUUUCUAGCACUCCCGAGAAUGAGAUCCUUAAUUUUAAGCAAAGGGAGGGAGAAAAUUUAAAGGACGCUUGAUAUAGAAUUUGUAAUGCUCAGAAUAGAUCUACUCGAAAGCAAUCUACUAAUGUUCUCCUUCGCAACUUUUAUGUGGGCGUUACUCCCUGGAAUAGAUAUGUUCUAGAUGCCAUUACCGGGGGAAAUUUCUUGGGAAGCCAUACUUUUGGUGCUUAUAAUGCUAUGAUAGAUUCGGUAGGACCACCACCUCUUAUGGUUAAUGAAACUAUUUUAACCUUGGAACAUGUGAUGCAAAGGCUUGAUUUUAUUGAAAGUAAAAUUGCUACCAUAGAGCUGAUUGAAAACUUGGAUAAAAAGAUUCAUAAUCAUAUUACUCAAUAUGGAUCUAAGGUACGAGUUACUUUAAAUAAUCUAAGGGAAAAGGAACCCAUAGUUAGUGAAAAGAUAGAUCAAGAUUCUACUAGAAUUGGUAAACUAGAAGAUAUUAUUACCAACUUGGGUUUUGCUUUUUCCUCCGUUAAAACUACUCAAAAUUUUCCUCCUACUAAAGCUACAAAGUUUAUUUAUGUUCCUAAAUAAUAAGGGUGAAUCUUCUAGUAAAGGAAACGAAGAUCUCAAAAUGAUAAAUAUUCACCCUAACCUUUUUGAUAUUAUGAAGGAACCAAUUGCCACGAGUGAAUUUCUUGAUUUCUUGCCUAGGAGUUUGAUCAUUGAUAAAACUAGAGAACCUCCUAAGUAUUAUAAGUUUGAAAUUGAAGAAUUGCAUACCAAAGAUGACAAUACCUAGAUCUAUUGCAAUAUGCCUAGCUAGGGGCAUUAAACAAUAGCGCUUGUUGGGAGGCAACCCAAUUUUAUUUUCGUUCUUGAUUUUUGUUUCUGUUUUUUUUAAUAAAUUUAUCAUCUUGCCUCUGGUUAGAUGUGUUUUGGUAUUUUAAUUAGUGUUUGUACCAAGUAAGACCUUUGGGGUGGCUUACGGUGAUAGUUGAUUUGAUCUUGCUGAAAAACAUAAACUUUUGCGCCCAGUAAAAUAAUUUUCAUAAUUCACAGAAGCGCGAUUUUGAUCUGAAUUUUUACACACCAUUGAUAUACAAAUUUCCCAUGUUUUUCUUUUUUUAGAAUUUUGGAGUUACAGAAGUAUUCGAAGUUUACAUAUUGCUACAAAUUGUUCUGUUUUUGACAUAUUGUGUUUUCUUGUGUUGUUUACUUAUUUUGACGAGUCUAUGGGUAGUAUCGAGGGGUAUGAACCAUGGAGAAGUUGGAAUACAAUAGAUAUUACACCAAUAUAUAUAAAUAAUGAGUUCACAACAGUACCAAAAAGUGGUGAUUUAUUUUCUUAUACUAACGGAUCUCAUGAGUUUUCUGUUGAGUUUUGUGUUGUAAAGUUUUCAAGUUUUGGGUAAAGAUUUGAUGCACUAUGGAAUAAGGGGUGGCAAGAGCCUAAGCUUUGGGAUGCCCAAGGCACCCCAAGGUAAUAUUCAAGGACAACCAAGAGCCUAAGCUUGUGGAUGCCCCGGAUGGCAUCCCCUCUUUCGUCUUCGUCUAUCGGUAAAUUUACUUGAGAGGCUAUAUUUUUAUUCACCACAUGAUAUGUGUUUUGCUUGGAGCGUCUUGUAUGAUAUGAGUCUUUUAUUUUUAGUUUGCCACAAUCAUCCCUGCUGUACACACCUUUUGAGAGGGACACGCAUGAAUCAUGAUUUAUUAAAAUACUCUAUGUGCUUCACUUAUAUCUUUUGAGCUAGGCAAUUUUGCUCUAGUGCUUCACUUAUAUCUUUUUAGAGCACAGUAGUGGCUUUAUUUUAUAGAAAUUAUUGAACUCACUUGCUUCACUUAUAUUAUUUUGGGAGUCUUUCUAAACAUCAUGGUAACUUGCUUGGGUCAUGAUUUUAGUCCUAAUAUGAUAGGCAGCCAAAGGAGAUAUAAUAAAAACUUUCAUAUAGAGCAUUGGAUACAUGAGAAGUUUGAUUCCUUGCAUUUGUUUUGAGAUAUGAAGAUGGUGAUAUUAGUAGAAAAUUGUUUAAUCAAAGAAAUAAUUGUGUUAAAUUUUGUGAUUCCCGUAGCAUGCACGUAUGGUCUUCUAGUUAUGUGAUGAAGUUGGGGCACAAUUUAUUCUUGACUGUUUUCCUAAGAGCAUGUGUAGUAGUACUUUGCUUCGAGGGCUAAUAGAUUUUUUGCAAUAAGUAUGUGAGUUCUUUAUGAAUAAUGUUGAGUCCAUGGAUUAUACGCACUCUCACCCUUCCACCUUUGCUAGCCACUCUAGUACCGCACAACUUUUGCCGGUGCAUUAAACCCACUUCUUACCCUUCCUCAAAAUAGCCACCAUACCUACCUAUUAUGGCAUUUUCAUAGCCAUUCCGAGAUAUAUUCCCAUGUAACUCCACCAUUUCGUUUAUUAUGACACAUACCAUCAUUGUCAUAUUGCUUUGCAUGAUCAUGUAGUUGGCAUAGUAUUUGUGGCUUGGCCACCGUUCAUAUUUUUUAUACAUGUCACUCUUGAUCAUAGCACAUCAUGGUACACCGUCGAAGGCAUUCAUAUAGAGUCAUACCUUUGUUCUAGUAUCGAGUUGUAAUUUUGAGUUGUAAGUAAAUAAAAGUGUGAUGAUCAUCAUUAUUAGAACAUUGUCCCCUGUGAGGUUAUCAAAAUAAAAGAGGCCAAAGAAGCCCAAAUAAAAAAAGAGGCCGAAGAAGCCCACCAAAAAAAGAGGAGAGAGAAGGGACAAUGUUACUAUCAUUUUCCACACUUGUGCUUCAAAGUAGCAUCAUGUUCUUCACGAUAGAGAGUCUCCUAUUUUGUCACUUUCAUAUAUUACUAGUGGGAAUUUUUCGUUAUAGAACUUGGCUUGUAUAUUCCAACGAUGGGCUUCCUCAAAAGCCCUAGGUCUUCAUGAGCAAGCAAGUUGAUGCACACCCACUAGUUUUCUUUUGAGCUUUCAUACACUUAUAGCUUUAGUGCAUCCGUUACAUGGAAAUCUCUACUCACUCACAUUGAUAUAAAUUGAUGAACAUCCUCAUAGUCCAUUGAUUUGCCUAGUUGAUGUGAGACUUUCUGUAACGCCCCGGAUUCGAUGCGCCAGGUGUCUGCCAGUUAUUUGCCGCCGUUGUCAUGUCAUUUGCUUGCGUGUUGCAUUUUUCCAUGUCAUCAUGUGCAUCUCAUUUUGCAUAUGUGUUUGUCUCAUGCAUCCGAGCUUUUUCCCCGUUGUCCGUUUUGCAAUCCGGCACUCCUAUGUCCUCCGACGUCCCCCUUUUGUCUCUUGUUGUGAGCGGGUGUUAAACUUUCUCGGAGUGGACCGAGGUUUGCCAAGCGGCCUUGGUAUAGCACCGGUAGACCGCCUGUCAAGUUUCGUGCCAUUUGGAGGUCGUUUGAUACUCCAACGGUUAACCCGGUAACCGUAAAAGCCCCUUUUGUCUUGCAGCCCAACACCCCUUCAAAGUGGCCCAAAACCCAUCCAAACGCCCUCCAUGCUCUCGGUCGUUCGAUCACGAUCGCGUGGCUGAAAACCGCUCCUCAUUUGGACUCUCCUAGCUCCCUCUAGCUAUAAAUAUGUGAUCCCCUCCGAAAAUCCCGCAGUCCAACCCUAGCCUCCCCUUCCUCUGCAAUGCCGGACACAUCUCCCCAGCUGCCCGGACAUGUCCGCCGCCGCCCUGCCCAAUCCGGAGCCGCCACCUGUCCGCCGUCGUCNNNNNNNNNNNNNNNNNNNNNNNNNNNNNNNNNNNNNNNNNNNNNNNNNNNNNNNNNNNNNNNNNNNNNNNNNNNNNNNNNNNNNNNNNNNNNNNNNNNNNNNNNNNNNNNNNNNNNNNNNNNNNNNNNNNNNNNNNNNNNNNNNNNNNNNNNNNNNNNNNNNNNNNNNNNNNNNNNNNNNNNNNNNNNNNNNNNNNNNNNNNNNNNNNNNNNNNNNNNNNNNNNNNNNNNNNNNNNNNNNNNNNNNNNNNNNNNNNNNNNNNNNNNNNNNNNNNNNNNNNNNNNNNNNNNNNNNNNNNNNNNNNNNNNNNNNNNNNNNNNNNNNNNNNNNNNNAUGCUGCCCCGCCGUCUGACGCCCCUCCGCCGCGCGUCCCGAGCCCCUCCACCGCCGUCCCCGCGCCGCCCCGCGCCGGAUCCGGCGAGAUCCGGUCGGAGGAGGUCGCCCCGGGCCCUUCCUCUCCAUCUCCGGCGAAGCUCCGUCCAGAUCCGCCACUGCCUCGAUAUCCGUGCAAGCUAGAGGUUGAGCCCGAAAUUCCUAAGUCCCCGGAUCUGCAUAUUUUCAUGCCAUAUUCAACGCAUCAUAACUUGCUGCAUACUGCUCUGUUUCGUGCGUGUAAUAUGUCAAAUUGUUCGUCUCAACGAGUACUUCAUUUCUUUCCAGUGCAUCAUGUUCAUUUGGGCUCAUCUUGAUGCCUGAAUCAUCGUUGCAAGAGUGCAUGUUGUUGUUAAUCUGCUGAAACUGUUAUAACUUGCUCAUUUGUCAUUUUUGCCAUGAUUGAUGUGUGCAUCUUAUGAACUUGAGACCUACAUAUGUUUUAAUCUAUGCCAUGCAUCUUUACAGGGGUGUAUGCCAUGUCUUUUUGUGAUCAAUUUGGUGACUAGCACAAGCAUGUAAACUAGGCCUUGUGAUGUUGUUGAUUUCAGUCCCUGUUCUGCUGUUAUUUUUAUGCCAUGUAAACUUGAUGCUACAGAGAGAUCCAUGCUUAUUUUGAGAUACUUAAGUAAGGAUGUUUUGUACAUAUGGUUAUGAGCUAUCCAUCCAUGCCCCUGGUUGCAUUUAUGGCUUGCUGUAGAUUGUUCAUAUCUUGCUCCAAAGUUGCUAAAUGAUGUUGCUGUCAGCCUGUUAACUUGAAAUUCAAUGUUUCCAUGAUUGUUGUUAGUUAUCCAUGCACCAUACGAACUUGCUCUUGCCAUGCUUAGCUUCAUAAACAUGUCUUCUUGCUGCUGGUUGCCUUGCCAUGCCAUGUAUUGCUCUGUAGUGAGUGGUUCAAGCUCACCAACAUGCCUACUUAUUGUUGUUCCUGCCAUGUUUGAAUCUGUCAUAUAAUUUGCCAUGUUUACAUGGGUGCCAUCAUAUUUUAUGUGCCCUUUUGGCUCAUGGUCAGUAAAGGACUUUUGUUCUAUGCAAUUAGUAGAUUCAUGCCAUGCCUUUGUUUGCCAUGAUAAGUUCCUGUAACAUGUUGUUUGAUAGCUCUAAACAUUGCAACCUGAUGUUAUUUCCUAAUAAGUCUGAAACUGUUAUUAUUUGCAAUCUUGUCAUGUGUGUUUGAGCAUGUUCUACUGAUUUCUGGAGAUAGCUCAGUGUUCAUGUUUUGUUAUGCUUUACCUGUACAUCAUGACCAUGCCUUUUGAUUUCAUAUUGAGGUGCUGUAGCAUAUUGUUUUGAUGCUUGCAAUAUGCCUAGUUGCUGUUAUGGACAGAUUGUUGUCAUAUCUUGUAUAGAGUGUAUGUGUUGAACCGUUGCUCCGUUUUGAGUGUGCUCUAUAUGAAACUUGCUUGUUUUUGCAUGUAGCUUCAUAUUAUCAUGUUGCAUCCUUGUUUUGGUGUGUUUGCUUGAUGUUUGGAUGCAUUUUGCAUCAAUGCCAUGGUUAACUUGUUUUGCUCAUAUCUUCUAGGUCGUAGCUCCGAAUCUAAUGAACUUUAUAUGUAACUUGACUAGAAUCCCGUGUAGAUCAUCUUAGUGCAUCUUAACUUGUUGUUUAACAACUUGAACAUAAGGUUUAUUCAGAUCUGGACCAACUUCGAAAUUUGCAUAUGAGGACUUACAGGAAUUGUUAUAUGUUGUUCCCGGCCUCAUUUAAACUUGCUUUGAUGAGUUGCUCUUGUUUGCAUCAUCUCUUGCCAUGAGUAGCUUCAUGUAGCUUUGUCAUGCAUCAUGCUUGUUGAGCAUCAUGCCUUGUUCAUGUGUGGUGUGUUUACUAUGUUGUGUGCUUCUUCUCGAUAGUUCCUGUUUCGUUGCGAUCGUGAGGAUUCGUUCGUCUACGCUUGGUUCGUCUUUGUGGCUUCAUCUUCUUCAUGGACUCGUUCUUCUUCCUUGCGGGAUUUCAGGCAAGAUGACCGCUACCCUAGAUCUCACUACUAUCAUUGCUAUGCUAGUUGCUUCGUUCUAUCGCUAUGCUGCAUCACCUAUCUUUUGCUCAUCAAGCCUCCCAGAUUGCCAUGAACCUCUAACCUUUGACUUCCCUCCUAGCAAACCAUCGAUUGGCUAUGUUACUGCUUUGCUCAGCCCCUCUUAUAGCGUUGUUAGUUGGAGGUGAAGUUGAAGACUGCUCCAUGGUGGACAGGAUUAUGUUGGGAUAUCACAAUAUCUCUUAUUUAAUUAACGCAUCUAUAUAUUUGGUAAAGGGUGGAAGACUCGGCCUUAUGCCUGGUGUUUUGUUCCACUCUUGCCGCCCUAGUUUCUGUCAUACCGGUGUUAUGUUUCCGGAUUUUGCAUUCCUUACGCGGUCGGGUGAUUUAUGGGAACCCCUUGACAGUUCGCUUUGAAUAAAACUCCUCCAGCAAGGCCCAACCUUGGUUUUACCAUUUGCCUCACCACCACCUACAUUUCCCUUGGGAGUAAUUAACCCAAGGGUCAUCUUUAUUAUAGCCCCCCGGGCCAAUGCUUGUCUAAGUGUUGGUCCAAACUAGAGCACCAUGCGGGACCAUCCCUUGGCAACUUGGGUUACGUCGAUACCUGUACGCUUAGCUUAUCCGGUGUUGCCCUGAGAACGAGAUAUCUGCAGCUCCUAUCGGGAUUGUCGGCGCAUCGGGCCGUCUUGCUGGUCUUGUUUUACCAUUGUCGAAAUGUCUUGUAAACCGGGAUUCCGAGACUGAUCGGGUCUUCCUGGGAGAAGGUAUAUCCUUCGUUGAUCGCGAGAGCUUAUCAUGGGCUAAGUUGGGACAACCCUGCAGGGUAUAAACUUUCGAAAGCCGUGCCCGCGGUUAUGGGCAGAUGGGAAUUUGUUAAUGUCCGGUUGUAGAUAACUUGACACCAGAUCCGUUUUAAAAUGCAUCAACCGUGUGUGUAGCCGUGAUGGUCUCUUUUCGGCGGAGUCCGAGAAGUGAACACGGUUUUUGGGUUAUGUUUGACGUAAGUAGGUGUUCAGGAUCACCUCUUGAUCAUUGCUAGCUUCACGACCGUUCCUUUGUUUCUCUUCUCGCUCUUAUUUGCGUAUGCUAGCCACCAUACUAUGCUUAGUCGUUGCUGCAACCUCACCACUUUACCCCCUUCCUUACCUAUCAAGCUUUGCUAGUAUUGAUACCCAUGGUAAUGGGAUUGCUGAGUCCUCGUGGCUCACAGAUUACUACAACAACAGUUGCAGGUACAGGUUUUGCGAUGAUCAUGACGCGAGAGCGAUGUUUGCUUGUUUUGGAGUUCUUCUUCUGCUUCUUCUUCGAUCAGGGGAUAGGUUCCAGGUCAGCAGCCUGGGCUAGCAGGAUGGAUGUCGUUUGAGUUUUUGUUUGUGUUUCAUCCGUAGUCGGAUGGUGCUCUGAUGUAUUGUGAUGUUGUAUUCGUGUGGCAUUGUAUGCCCCUUGUAUGUAUCCCCAUCUAUUAUGUAAUGUUGAUGUAAUGAUAUCCACCUUGCAAAAGCGUUUCAAUAUGCGGGUCUAUCCUUGGUGGGACCUUCGAGUUCCUUUUGGAUAGGGUCGCAUAUUGGGCGUGACAAGUUGGUAUCAGAGCCUUUACCGACCUUAGGAGCCCCCUUGAUUGAUCGUGCAGUUUGGCCGUUGUCGAGUCUAGAAGAAAACUGUUUUUCGGAAUCUAGUUAUAUCAGAGUGUAGGAAUUCUUUUUACUCCUCUGCCUCUUCGUCGCUCUGGUAAGGAAUCUUGACGUAGGUGUUUUGAAUUACUCCUCUUCCCCUUCAAAUUUUUCUUCAGGUUCACGCAGUUGGUUUUCCGGUCGUUGGUUCUCUUCUCUUUUCAUCUGGUGCAUUUCUCGUCAAGUUGACUCGAGCCUCUUCAUUGUUGCCAAGUUCAAUCCUCAGUUCUUUUCUUUUCCCACCCGCCCACCCUUCUUCCUCUCGAAACCGGAGUCCAUAAUUGAGUAUCCAUCCUACUCGUGGGAAGUCUUUGCUUUCUUUCCUCAAUGAUUUUAACCGGUGUUUUCUCUUCAAGAUAUUAGUUGGUUCUCCCAUCCAGUUUCCUUUGUUUUCCCGCCCUCCCACCCUCUUCUUACCGGAGCCUGAGUCUGUUUUCGAGCAUCAAUUCCAUUCGUGUGGAGCCUCUUCAGUCUUCCCUCAAUCAUUUCAAUCGGUGAAUUCUCGCCUCGUUCGUCAUUCUUCAUCUCUUUUUCUUUUCCGGUGGACGCAAUUCAUGUUUUUUUGGUAGUGAUUAUAUUCUUCCCUCGGCUCAAAUGUUUUCCCCUUGCUCGUUCGCCUCUCGCCAGUUUAUCAUUCCGGAGUUCGGAAGACAUCUCAGGAGAUUCGUCUGUGUUCGAAUUAAUUCGAGGUUGUCACCUCAUUCAAAUAUUUCAAUCAUUUUGGUGCAUCAUCUAUCUCUUCAACAAUCCUUGCCAACGGUGUUUUCUCUUCAGUGGGCCCUAACCCACAGGUCUUUUCCCAGGAUCUUACCUGACUCUUAUGAUUCCCCCGGAGUUAUUCUCAAUUCUUUUCAAGUGUGACGUAAGAAUGGAUUCCAUCAGUCACAUGCCUUCUCCAAGAUCGCUUUCAAAUUCUUUCAUUGUUGGCUCGACCUCUCUGCUUUUCAUUCUCCCGGAGUAUAUCAGUAAUUUUGGUGGUGUUUUCCAUCAUCAUUUCAAGACCGAAGAACAGUUUUUCCUCUAAUUUUUGUGUGUUAUCUCGAAGAUUCGUGGUUCUACCUUCAUAUUAUCCUCUCGAUUUAUUCCAUUUGUCUGAUGUUCUUUACUUACCCAUCCGGAUUAUGUCAGUAGUUGUUUUCCUGUUUCUUUCACCGGAGGCCAUCAUUCCAGUUAUCGUUCUCUAUUUACCCCGGUGCUUCGUUCAAGUGUUCUUUAAUCAGCUCAUGAUCUCUUUGUUCUUUUGCAUCUAUAUCCCCUCUAGCAUAUUGGUUCUUCUAAUUCUUCCCGGUGACUCAUUCUCUUUCAUCAGUCAUUUCCAAAUUCUUACGGUGGUUUGUUCAAGAUUCUUUUCCUUGUUUAUCAUAUUAAUCCAUUCGUUCUUUCAAUCAUACCGGUGGUUCAUGAAGACUUUCUCAAGUUUUGUGCUAUAUUCCCCUUAAUCCUUUUCAAGAAGAAUAAGUAGUAUGCAAAAUCCAUUGCUUGUCUUCAAUUUAAUUUGAUGAAGGAUAAGCAUACAAUAAAUCUUAUUCUUAUUUCAUCCAAGUGAGUAAUCCUUUUCUUCGGAGUUUGUUCUUAAUGAAUAAAUUCUAGUUCCAAGUGUUCUCAUUUUUUCUUUUCCGGAGUUCAAAUUACUCGGUCAUUUCGUCGGAACCUCCAUCUAAAUCACCGCAAGGCUUUAAUCUACUUCUUUCAUCCUUCAAUUUUAUCUCGUCAUUCUUUUGUUACCGGAGUUCUUCAUGGUGGUUCUUCAUGAUUUAAUUCAUUCUGCAAGAGUUCAUCAAGUAUCAUUCCAUCCUCUCAAGUUCAUGUUCUUUUCCUUCCAUCUUCAGCCGGAGCGCUGUCUAAAUCCUUUCAGUCUUAUUCUUUUCAUAUCUCGUUCUAACCGGAGUGGUUUCAUAGUCUAUCUGAUUCCGUGAGCUUUCGAUUCACAUCAUUCUCGGUGUUCCUCUCUUCUUCUUGAGUGCUCUCGAUUCUUUGCUUCUUCUCUUGAGUUCUUGUUUCACCUCAUCCAUUUUCCCUUCCGUCUCGGUCCUAAGAUCUCGGAACGAGAUCUCUUGUUAGUGGAGGAGUGUCGUAACGCCCCGGAUUCGAUGCGCUAGGUGUCUGCCAGUUAUUCGCCGCCGUUGCCAUGUCAUUUGCUUGCGUGUUGCAUUUUGCCAUGUCAUCAUGUGCAUCUCAUUUUGCAUACGUGUUCGUCUCAUGCAUCCGAGCUUUUUCCCCGUUGUCCGUUUUGCAAUCCGGCACUCCUAUGUCCUCCGGCAUCCCCCUUUUGUCUCUUGUUGUGAGCGGGUGUUAAACUUUCUCGAAGUGGACCGAGGUUUGCCAAGCGGCCUUGGUAUAGCACCGGUAGACCGCCUGUCAAGUUUCGUGCCAUUUGGAGGUCGUUUGAUACUCCGUAGGUUAACCGGGUAACCGUAAAAGCCCCUUUUGUCUUGCAGGCCAACACCCCUUCAAAGUGGCCCAAAACCCAUCCAAACCCCCUCCAUGCUCUUGGUCGUUCGAUCACGAUCGCGUGGACGAAAACCGCUCCUCGUUUGGACUCUCCUAGCUCCCUCUAGCUAUAAAUAUGUGAUCCCCUCCGAAAAUCCCGCAGUCCAACCCUAGCCAUGCUCUUGGUCAUUCCAAAACCCAUCCAAACCCCAUCCAAACCCCCUCCAUGCUCUUGGUCGUUCGAUCACGAUCGCGUGGACGAAAACCGCUCCUCAUUUGGACUCUCCNNNNNNNNNNNNNNNNNNNNNNNNNNNNNNNNNNNNNNNNNNNNNNNNNNNNNNNNNNNNNNNNNNNNNNNNNNNNNNNNNNNNNNNNNNNNNNNNNNNNNNNNNNNNNNNNNNNNNNNNNNNNNNNNNNNNNNNNNNNNNNNNNNNNNNNNNNNNNNNNNNNNNNNNNNNNNNNNNNNNNNNNNNNNNNNNNNNNNNNNNNNNNNNNNNNNNNNNNNNNNNNNNNNNNNNNNNNNNNNNNNNNNNNNNNNNNNNNNNNNNNNNNNNNNNNNNNNNNNNNNNNNNNNNNNNNNNNNNNNNNNNNNNNNNNNNNNNNNNNNNNNNNNNNNNNNNNNNNNNNNNNNNNNNNNNNNNNNNNNNNNNNNNNNNNNNNNNNNNNNNNNNNNNNNNNNNNNNNNNNNNNNNNNNNNNNNNNNNNNNNNNNNNNNNNNNNNNNNNNNNNNNNNNNNNNNNNNNNNNNNNNNNNNNNNNNNNNNNNNNNNNNNNNNNNNNNNNNNNNNNNNNNNNNNNNNNNNNNNNNNNNNNNNNNNNNNNNNNNNNNNNNNNNNNNNNNNNNNNNNNNNNNNNNNNNNNNNNNNNNNNNNNNNNNNNNNNNNNNNNNNNNNNNNNNNNNNNNNNNNNNNNNNNNNNNNNNNNNNNNNNNNNNNNNNNNNNNNNNNNNNNNNNNNNNNCCGGCGCCCCUCCGCCGCGCCUCCCGAGCCUCUCCACCGCCGUUCCCGCGCCGCCCCGCGCUGGAUCCGGCGAGAUCCGGCCGGAGGAGGUCGCCCCGGGCCCUUCCUCUCCAUCUCCGGCGAAGCUCCGGCCAGAUCUGCCACCGCCUUGAUAUCCGUGCAAGCUAGAGGUUGACCCCGAAAUUCCUGUCCCCGGAUCUGCAUAUUUUCAUGCCAUAUUCAACGCAUCAUGACUUGCUGCAUACUGCUCCGUUUCGUGCGUGUAAUAUGUCAAAUUGUUCAUCUCAACGAGUACUUCAUUUCAUUCCAUUGCAUCAUGUUCAUUUGAGCUCAUCUUGAUGCCUGAAUCAUCAUUGCAAGAGUGCAUGUUGCUGUUAAUCUGCUGAAACUAUUAUAACUUGCUCAUUUCUCAUUUUUGCCAUGGUUGAUGUGUGCAUCUUAUGAACUUGAGCCCUACAUAUGUUUUGAUCUAUGCCAUGCCAUCUUUACAGGGGUGUAUGCCAUGUAUUUUUGUGAUCAAUUUGGUGACUAGCACAAGCAUGUAAACUAGGCCUCGUGAUGUUGCUGAUUUCAGUCCCUGUUCUGCUGUUAUUUUUAUGCCAUGUAAACUUGAUGCUACAGAGAGAUCCAUGCUUAUUUUGAGAUACUUAAAUAAGGAUGUUUUGUACAUAUGGUUAUGAGCUAUCCAUCCAUGCCCCUGGUUGCAUUUAUGGCUUGCUGUAGAUUGUUCAUAUCUUGCUCCAAAGUUGCUAAAUGAUGUUGCUGUCAGCCUGUUAACUUGAAGUUCAAUGUUUCCAUGAUUGUUGUUAGUUAUCCAUGCACCCUACGAACUUGCUCUUGCCAUGCUUAGCUUCAUAAACAUGUCUUCUUGCUGCUGGUUGCCUUGCCAUGCCAUGUAUUGCUCUGUAGUGAGUGGUUCAAACUCACCAACAUGCCUACUUAUUGUUGUUCCUGCCAUGUUUGAAUCUGUCAUAUAAUUUGCCAUGUUUACAUGGGUGCCAUCAUAUUUUCUGUGCCCUUUUGGCUCAUGGUCAGUAAAGGACUUUUGUUCUAUGCAAUUAGUAGAUUCAUGCCAUUCCUUUGUUUGCCAUGAUAAGUUCCUGUAACAUGUUGUUUGAUAGCUCUAAACAUUGCAACCUGAUGUUAUUUCCUAAUAAGUCUGAAACUGUUAUUAUUUGCAAUCUUGUCAUGUGUGUUUGAGCAUGUUCUACUGAUUUCUGGAGAUAGCUCAGUGUUCAUGUUUUGUUAUGCUUUACCUGUACAUCAUGAUCAUGCCUUUUGUUUUCAUAUUGAGGUGUUGUAGCAUAUUGUUUUGAUGCUUGCAAUAUGCCUAGUUGCUGUUAUGGACAGAUUGUUGUCAUAUCUUGUAUAGAGUGUAUGUGUUGAACCGUUGCUCCGUUUUGAGUGUGCUCUAUAUGAAACUUGCUUGUUUUUGCAUGUAGCUUCAUAUUAUCAUGUUGCAUCCUUGUUUUGGUGUGUUUGCUUGAUGUUUGGAUGCAUUUUGCAUCAAUGCCAUGGUUAACUUGUUUUGCUCAUAUCUUCUAGGCCGUAGCUCCGAAUCUAAUGAACUUUAUAUGUAACUUGACUAGAAUCCCAUGUAGAUCAUCUUGGUGCAUCUUAACUUGUUGUUUAACAACUUGAACAUAAGGUUUAUUCAGAUCUGGACCAACUUCGAAAUUUGCAUAUGAGGACUUACCGGAAUUGUUAUAUGUUGUUCCCGGCCUCAUCUAAACUUGCUUUGAUGAGUUGCUCUUGUUUGCAUCAUCUCUUGCCAUGAGUAGCUUCAUAUAGCUUUGUCAUGCAUCAUGCUUGUUGAGCAUCAUGCCUUGUUCAUGUGUGGUGUGUUUACUAUGUUGUGUGCUUCUUCUCGAUAGUUCCUGUUUCGUUGCGAUCGUGGGGAUUCGUUCGUCUACGCUUGGUUUGUCUUCGUGGCUUCAUCUUCUUCAUGGACUCGUUCUUCUUCCUUGCGGGAUUUCAGGCAAGAUGACCGCUACCCUGGAUCUCACUACUAUCAUUGCUAUGCUAGUUGCUUCGUUCUAUCGCUAUGCUGUGUCACCUAUCUUUUGCUCAUCAAGCCUCCCAAAUUGCCAUGAACCUCUAACCUUUGACACCCCUCCUAGCAAACCAUUAAUUGGCUAUGUUACCGCUUUGCUCAGCCCCUCUUAUAGCAUUGUUAGUUGCAGGUGAAGUUGAAGAUUGCUCCAUGGUGGACAGGAUUAUGUUGGGAUAUCACAAUAUCUCUUAUUUAAUUAAUGCAUCUAUAUAUUUGGUAAAGGGUGGAAGACUCGGCCUUAUGCCUGGUGUUUUGUUCCACUCUUGCCGCCCUAGUUUCCGUCAUACCGGUGUUAUGUUCCCGGAUUUUGCGUUCCUUACGCGGUCGGGUGAUUUAUGGGACCCCCUUGACAGUUCGCUUUGAAUAAAACUCCUCCAGCAAGGCCCAACCUUGGUUUUACCAUUUGCCUCACCACCACCUACAUUUCCCUUGGGAGUAAUUAACCCAAGGGUCAUAUUUAUUAUAGCCCCGGGGCCAAUGCUUGUCUAAGUGUUGGUCCAAACUAGAGCACCGUGCGGGACCAUCCUUUGGCAACUUGGGUUACGUCGAUACCUGUACGCUUAGCUUAUCUGGUGUUGCCCUGAGAACGAUAUAUGUGCAGCUCCUAUCGGGAUUGUCAGCGCAUCGGGCGGUCUUGCUGGUCUUGUUUUACCAUUGUCGAAAUGUCUUGUAAACCGGGAUUCCGAGACUGAUCGGGUCUUCCUGGGAGAAGGUAUAUCCUUCAUUGAUCGCGAGAGCUUAUCAUGGGCUAAGUUGGGACACCCCUGCAGGGUAUAAACUUUCGAAAGUCGUGCCCGCAGUUAUGGGCAGAUGGGAAUUUGUUAAUGUCCGGUUGUAGAUAACUUGACACCAGAUCCGUUUUAAAACGCAUCAACCGUGUGUGUAGCCGUGAUGGUCUCUUUUCGGCGGAGUCCGGGAAGUGAACACGGUUUCUGGGUUAUGUUUGACAUAAGUAGGUGUUCAGGAUCACCUCUUGAUCAUUGCUAGCUUCACGACCGUUCAUUUGUUUCUCUUCUCGCUCUUAUUUGCGUAUGCUAGCCACCAUACUAUGCUUAGUCGCUGCUGCAACCUCACCACUUUACCCCCUUCCUUACCUAUUAAGCUUUGCUAGUCUUGAUACCCAUGGUAAUGGGAUUGCUGAGUCCUCGUGGCUCACAGAUUACUACAACAACAGUUGCAGGUACAGGUUUUGCGAUGAUCAUGACGCGAGAGCGAUGUUUGCUUGUUUUGGAGUUCUGCUUCUGCUUCUUCUUCGAUCAGGGGAUAGGUUCCAGGUCAGCAGCCUGGGCUAGCAGGGUGGAUGUCGUUUGAGUUUUUGUUUGUGUUUCAUCCGUAGUCGGAUGGUGCUCUGAUGUAUUGUGAUGUUGUAUUCGUGUGGCAUUGUAUGCCCCUUGUAUGUAUCCCCAUCUAUUAUGUAAUGUUGAUGUAAUGAUAUCCACCUUGCAAAAGUGUUUCAAUAUGCGGGUCUAUCCUUGGUGGGACCUUCGAGUUCCUUUUGGAUAGGGUCGCAUAUUGGGCGUGACACUUUCUCCCUUAUUUUGUCUACUACUACCUUCUAUUCCACCCAUAAUGCUAUGUCCAUGGAUCACGCUCAUGUAUUGCGUGAAGAGUUGAAAAGGCUAAAGCGCGUUAAAAAGUAUGAAAUAAUUGCUUGGCUGACACCGGGGUGGUCAUGAUUUAUACUUUGUGCUGAGAAGAGGGAGCAUAACAAGACUAUAUGAUUUUGUAAGGAUAACUUUCUUUAGCCAUGUUAUUUUUGAAGCUUAAUGAUUUGCUUUCUAGUAUGCUUGAAGUAUUGUUGUUUUUGUGUCAAUGAACUGUUGUUUUGAAUCAUACGGAUCUGAAUAUUCAUGCCAAAUAAAAGAGAUUGCAUUGAUAAAUAUGUUAGGUAGCAUUCCACAUCAAAAAAAUUGUUUUUAUCAUUUACCUACUCGAGGACGAGCGGGAAUUAAGCUUGGGGAUCCUUGAUACAUCUCCAAUGUAUCUAUAAAUUUUGAUUGUUCCAUGCUAUUACAUUAUCUGUUUUGGAUGUUUUAUAUGCAUUAUUAUGCUAUUUAUAUUAUUUUUGGGACUAACUUAUUAACCGAGAGCCUAAUGCCAGUUUCUAUUUUUUUUCAUUUUUUUGAGUUUCGCAGAAAAGAAAUAUCAAACGGAGUCCAAAUGGAAUAAAACUUUACGAUGAUUUUUCUUGGACCAGAAGACACCCAGAGGACUUGGAGUCCAAGCCAGAAGACAUACGAGGCGGAGGCAAGGGUGGAGGGCGCGCCCUAGUGGGGGGCGCUCCCCUGCCUUGUGGCCCCCUCGGGAGUCCCCUAACCUACCUCUUCAUCCUAUAUAUUCACAUAUAUUCCAAAACCCUCAAAGAGAGCCAUGAAAAUACUUUUCCACUGCCGCAGGUCUUUGAACUCAUUAGAUUCCAUCUGGAGGCCUUUUCCGAUACUUUGCCGGAGGGGGGUUCGAUUACGGAGGGCAUCUACAUCAACCCUAUUGCCCUUCCGAUGAAGCAUGAGUAGUUUACCUCAGAACCACGGGUCUAUAGCUAGUAGCUAGAUGGCUUCUUCUCUCUCUUUGAUUCUCAAUACCAUGUCCUCCUCGAUGUUCUUGGAGAUCUAUUCGAUGUAAUCUUCUUUUGCGGUGUGUUUGUCGAGAUCCGAUGAAUUGUGGAUUUAUGAUUAACUUAUCUAUGAAUAUUAUUUGAAUCUUCUUUGAAUUCUUAUAUGCAUGGUUUGGUUUGGCCAACUAGAUUGGUUUUUCUUGUAAUGGGAGAGGUGCUUAGCUUUGGGUUCAAUCUUGCGUGAUUUCACCCAGUGACAAAGUAGGGGUAACGAGACACGUAUUGAAUUGUUGCCAUCGAGGAUAAAAAUAUGGGGUUUUCAUCAUAUUGCUUGAGUUAAUUCCUCUACAUCAUCUCAUCUUACUUAAGGCGUUACUCCGUUCUUUAUGAACUUAAUACUCUAGAUGCAUUGCUGGAUUGCGGUCGAUGUGUGGAGUAAUAGUAGUAUAUGUAGGCAGGAGUCGGUCUACUUGACACAGACGUGACGCCUAUAUACAUAAUCAUUGCCUUGGAUGUCGUUAUAACUUUGCGAUUUUUUAUCAAUUGCUCGACAGUAAUUUGUUCACCCACCGUAUUAUUUGCCUUCAUGAGAGAAGUCUCUAGUGAAACCUAUGCCCCCCAGGUCUAUUUUCCAUCAUAUUUGUUUCCGAUCUACUAUUUUGCAAUCUUUUAUUUCUAGAUCUAUAAACCAAAAAACACAAAAAUAUUUGGUUACCUUUUAGUUCCAUCUAUCUCUAUCAGAUCUCACCUUUGCAAUUGACCGUGAGGGGGUUGACAACCUCUUUAUCGCAUUGGGUGCAAGUGUUUGAUUGUUUGUGCAUGUGCAUAGACUGAGGAUUUGCUUGUACCUACUACUAGAUUGAUACGUUGGUUCUUUAACUGAGGGAAAUACUUAUCUCUACUUUGUUGCAUCAUACUUUUCUCUUCAUGAAAAAAGACAACGCAAGCUUAAGAAGUAGCAAGCGGCGCUGUGGCCGAACCGACAGAUGGCUUGCAUCCGACGAUGAAAAUGGCAGAGGCCACCAACUCCAUGGUGGCGAAGGGCAACGAGGCGGUAGCGGCGAUCGUCCUCGCAGAUCAGGCGGAGGAAGGAGACGAGACCAGGCAUCUCACCGGCGGCGAGUGCUCCCUCCCUUCUCUCUUUCUCUGUUGUUUUUCUUGCUCUCGCUGGCUGUUCUAGCGUGUGUGAUAACGGAUUUUGAAGCGAAUGGGAAAACUUGUAUUGAUCGGGAGUUGCAGAUUACAAUUUAUACUAUCCGGAGAGUCGCGAUGGGAAAGAAUGCGUCGGUUCCGGAGAGAGACGCGAGAGGCGUCUGUUGCGUAUGCAAGAAAGUGGAGAUUUUUUCCCUAAUUACAUUUGCUAAUUAAUCACAACAUAAAGCUUGUUGCUUUGCCCACGGGGCAUGUCGACGGCCUUCUUUUCCGUGUCUCCCCUCACUCAGCUAGUGCUCUGCUUUCUGUACGAGCUGGCCAUUCCCAAGAAUAAUAUGUUCCUUCUUCCAGUGAACAACUCUGUUGCGUUAAGAGACUUGUGCGUGUGUCGUUUUUCUUUUGAUUUCCCACCGUGGUUGGUAAAAAUUGCAAUAUUAUACUAUUUUUAAGGUAAUAAAGGUUAAAAGUUCGGGCCUACAAACGUUGGCAUCAGUAUCCAUUUUAAAACAUCACAAAUAACUAUAUUGUCAUUCUAAAACAUCACAAGUUUGCAUUAGAUUUUCCUGUCUAGUGAUUUAAGACCGCACCAUCAGUAAAAUCUAUUCCUACAUUGGUUACAAAUUCGAUGAAAUGACGAGUUUUAGGCCAUGACCCAAGGCCAACCAGCACGACACAGCCACAAAAACAACACAAGGGUGCCAGACGAACGGAUCAAGAUCAAUAUCCAAAUGCCAGCACGGCACAUAAUCCAGAUAACACAAUCUAUAACUCCAGCAAGAUAAUAACCAAAACUCAAAGGAACAGGUCCGUUGUGCAGGGUGCCAGACACUAACAAAAGCGCAUUUCACUCGUCGUCGUCCUCGUCAUCAUCGGCGGCACCGGCAGAGUUGUUGAGGGCGUUGAGCCUUUCGACGAGGCUGGCCUUCCUCUGCUCAUAAGUCAGCUUCUUGGGGUUGUACCUGCAUGCAAAGACAAAGUUCACAACGCAGCUCACAACAAGGUGGAAAAGAAACAGCAGUCAAGAGUAAAUGAACUCAAGACAGUAUGAUGAAGAGCUUGCCGACUAUACCUCUUGUGAGUCUUGGGAGGCGCCUUGGUUGAUUUGGCCAUGGUGGGAUCAGCACGGAUGGCAGCAUGAACCUUCUUGUAAACUGCUUCCAUGUCAUCAGCUGAGAUUCCCCUCUUGAUGUACUCACUGAAGUGAGUUUGGAACUUCUCUGGUUCCUCAUCUGCUAGUGACUGGAAUAAGAGAAAGGCAAAAGUUCAGUAAGAAAUGAAAGAGGAACUAGGGUCAUUUCAUUGCCCUAGGUACAAGAGCAUGAACAAGAGUAAUACAAAAUCAAGAGAGCAAUGGCUUCCAACUCACCCUCAUGUAGUCAGCAACAUGCCCUCCAAAGAUGUACUUGCGGUGAAUCUCAGCAUCCAGCGACUUCUCGUCCUUCUUAAAACCAGCAAAUCUCUUGUCACUGUGGGGAAUGUCAAGACCACCAUCCAAAGCUCCCUGCAGGACCAAAAAUAAUUACACCAGCGGCAAAAAAGCUCUAAGGGAUAAAACCGAUGCAUUCAAAAACAAGUAAGUUCUGAAGUUCAGCCAAAUAGGGAGCAACUAUCACUUGAUGCAAAUAAAAAAUGAAAACAAAAAGCAAUAACAAUGCCUUUUCACUAGGCCAAAUAGCAUAAAUAGUUGCUUUAGAAACUUGACAAAAUAAAGCAGAGCAGCUAUAAACAAGUUACAGGGCAAUCAUGCAAUUAAACUCCCAAGUCUAUCUAAAGAGGAACAACCAAUCAUGAUUUGCCGAUAGUUUCAUGCCAAAGGCUUGUGACAUUGAGUGUCCAUCUGCACUUAAAAAACUGUACGCUAAUAUCAUCGCAUACCUUAAGGGCACCAAACACGCGGUUCCCAGUGGUGGUCCUAAUAAGACCAACAUCCAAGAGCGCACGGAAAGGCCUCCUCUCAUCAGAAGGCUCAACAGAGAAGUCCUCACCUGUGGCCUGAGCACAGACAUAUAUUAGUUGUGUCCAUCAGAAGCAGCAAAUCAGGAUAUUAGACUAAAAAUAAUAUCAAAGCCAAAUUAUACCUCAACAUUGCCUUCAUACUCCUCAUCAAGAUCACGGUUCUUGAGCACACGACGAGCCAAAAGCAGACCAGUGCAGUAGGCUACAUCAUGCAUUCAGAAAAUUAGAUUUGAAAAGAGGCAUGCAUAAGAUCACAGCAUGCAUCUGCACAUUCAUUCAGUAGCUAAAAUCAACCUGCAGCAUAGUUGGUGAGGCCAACUUCAAGACCGUAGCGAGGCAACUCAUGGGAGUAGGCAGCGGCCAUCACGAUAUCACCAGCAAUGGUAGCAUAGACAAUUUGUGCAGUGACAUCCUUGUUGGUCUAAAGUAGUAUUGUUAAGAGAUACAACAUGCCUCCAUGGUAACAAUAAGCAGAAUAUAGAAGAUUGACAAGUGCACAAAUCAUAACGAAGAAACUUUGAAGGAUACAAAUCGCACAACAAAACGGUACUUGGGGGUAUUGUAUUUGUUCUUGUCCUGGUUCGUGAGCCUCAGCCUGGCCCUGUAGUCGGUCUUCCCCUCUGAGGAAACAAGGGAGAAGGGAAAAUCAGGCAAUCAGAAUCACUGUGAAAUUACAGAAGUAGCAGAUUCAUGGAGAGGCAGGUGUUAGACAUACGGCGCCUUCUCUUGAACUUGACUUGGAAACGCUUGGAGUACGCCCUUGUCUUCUGGUUCUUGAUGUACACCUACAAGACAUAUCAAAGAGAAGCAUAUGAGUGCUACCCAGGAAACACUAGUAAUCAAUCAGGCGGCACAAACAAAACAUUUGUAAGAUAAGAUACCAAAGUGGUUCAUAGUUGUAUUUGAUGAGGAGAAACAUUGAAUCUGCCAACUUGGAGUAAUCACAAGUAUUUCCUAAAUACAACCGAGUAUACUCUCGCGCGCAGAAACGAAACCCGCACUCUACGAAAUGGGAACUUGUUUUCACAGCAGUUGUAAGGCAAUUAGAGCAGGCAAUAAUACUACUGAAGCAUGAUUCGCGAGCAACAGAAUCUCAUGAAGCGGCAGAAAUCCAGAUCUGACACGGAGCAAGCACACCGCAGAUCUGACUAGGAAGUGCUAAACCCUUAAGCCCCGAGUCACACAAGCUAUGAAGGCAAAUCGAAAACCUAGGCGGCGACCACUGCGGCGGAGGCGCACGGAAGCCAGACGCCACGGGCAGCAACGCGCGCGCGGACCGAAGCAGCAGCCAUGGAGGAAGAGGGGGCGGGGAGAUCGGACGUACCAUCGCGCCCGCGGGGAGGGAGCUCCUGCGGAAGGAGGCGGCGGCGGCGCGGGCAGGCGGGCGGAAGGGCAAGGGAUGAUGGGGAGGCAGCGUGGUGGCGCUUGUAUAUACGAGGGGGCGGGCCUGGCUGCUUGCUGGGCCGCGGCGUGAGGCGCCCCCGCAAGGGUGGGCCUCUUUCGGUCCGCUUCUAAGGCCCAUGAAUUGCGUUUCGUUAUGUUUUUUUCCCCUCGGCUCGCUGGAGGGCGAGAGCAUAACGCCCGCUGUUGCAGUUGCAGAGGGGAGAGAGCGGUUGCUCGUUCCUUCACGACUCGUCUCCCGUUCCGUGUCCCUCCGGCGGAUCACCGUUGGCGAUGGCGAUGGCGGUGGCGAUCCGGUCCCUGGUCGCGGCGCUGCUGGCCGGCUGCGUCCUCCUCGCGGUGCCGGCGCCGCGGUGCGCGGUGACGGCGACGGACCACGUCGUCGGGGGCUCGCUCUGGACCAUCCCCACGAGCAGCGACCACUACAGCAACUGGGCGGGCAACAGGACCAUCUUCGCCGGCGACAACCUCGGUGAGCCCGCCGCCGCCACCGUCCCUCUCGAGUGCGAGUGCUGUUCGUGUUUGAUCUCUCACGACGAGAAUGCGUGCGUGCGUGCGUGCGGUGUUCAGGUUCGACGCGGGGAUGUACGACGUGGUGCAGGUGGGGCAGUGGGAGUACAAUCGCUGCUCGUGGGAGGACCCCUACUCAGACACCCUCAAGAGCAGCCCCGCCGUGUUCCACCUCCUCUUCGCCGACGCCAAUUACUACGUCUGCACCAUCGCCAACUACUGCUCCCUCGGCGUCAAGCUCUACGUCCAGGUCCAGCAGGCCUAACCACACACCUUCUCGCCCUGCAACCUCUGCAGUAAUAAACUCCUCCUUUCAACUGCUACUAUUUUCUUCUAGUAUGUUACUCCAGUAAUGGAAUUGUACUUAGAUCGACAAUAAUGCAAGUGCAUAAUAAUGUGCAUGAUGAUGAUAAUGAUUACGAUGCCAGCCAGAAAACCUGAUUAAAAGCCACAAACAUGCUCUGCAAAACUGUCCACGGUCCUGCUUAGACAACGUAUUCAGAGAGACAGACAAAGAGCGUGCGUUAGUUUUCACGGACAGAUUUUGCUUUUAUACGAGUGUCACACUACAUCAGAAGUAGCCACGUAGCAAUUUUCAAAAGACAUGGAUGGAUACAGUCCCGGCGCCAUACGGGCAAAAAUCAGCUUCAUCGAUAACACCACCAAAGCACCAGAAGAGAGCGGGCAGGCAUCUUGUUCUUGGGUCCCAAAAAUGCUUGCUGCCCAACCUAGCUUACUGUUGUGCGCACUGCACUCUUUGGGCACCGCCUCCGGGCAUCUCGUCGUCCUCAUCGUACGCCUCCUGAGCAGCAGCAUGGGCUUUCCGACGCAUCUCCUCCUCCAUGUUGACAUCAUGCAUCGUCGUCUCCUCGCAUUCGUCGAGCUCCAUGUCGGUCAGCUUGGAUGCAGGCUUUGGUGGAAGCACAGCCUCGAGAGCCUUGCACUGAUCCGGUGCCAGCGAGUCGGGGAACUCCACCGUGAAAUGAAUGUAGAGCUUGCCCUUCAUGAACGGCCUCUGGUACAUCGGCAUCCCCUCGUCGCUGAUUGCCUUGAAUGAAUCUGAUCAGAAUUUGAAACCAAAGUUAUCAACAAGUACAAUUUUGCACAUAAGUACACAGAUUAGUCGCUGUGAUCUACGAGGCCUUACCAGGCUUGACAAUUUCACCAGGGUUUGAUUUAAUGAGCAGCUGCCUGUUGUCCAGAUGGGUCAGGACGAGUUGGAACCCACAAAGAGCUUCAGUGAGAGAUAUGGUAUGCUCAUAGAAGAGAUCAUCGCCCUUUCGCUUGAACUUUGGGUGUUCCUUCUGCUGGACGACAAAUACAAUGUCUCCAGUAACAGUGUCAGGCUGAAAACAAAACACACUGUUAGUUUGUAGACAUCGAAGCAAAGCUAUAAUAAUAAAGAGUAAAGAAUAUCAUAGACUGAACAAGCAUACCGCCUCAUCAGCUUCACCAGGGAAGGUGAUCUUCUGGUUGUGUUGCAUCCCCUUCUCAACAUGAACCUCCAGAACUUUCUUCUCCUGAAGAACCUUCUCACCCUUGCAGCCUGGGCAGCGGUCCUUGUCGUUAAUACUCUCCCCGGUGCCCUUGCAAUCAUUGCAGGCCUGCUGCAUCUGCUGUAUCAUGGAAGGCCCCAGCUGACGAAUAGUCACUUUCAUGCCUGACCCCUGGCAACCUGGGCACCUCAUGGAAGCACCAGACUUGGAGCCCUUGCUGAAAUAAACAAGGAACUAUGUUCAAGAGCAGCACUGCAGAAAACACAUGGUCAACUGGGUUAACUGGGAAGGAACAAACCAGACUUACCCCUUGCACUUGGAGCAGAGGACGCUGCGGGAAAGAGAGAGCUUCUUCGAGGUACCAUUGUAAAGAUCUUCUAGAGAAGCUUUUAGUGGAUGGACAACAUCCUCUCCCCUCCUUUGCCUUCUGCCCCUGCUGCUGCCACCACCACCACCUGUGCACAAAAUAUACAUAUGCAAUUUAUUACAUCAAGACAUACACUAUAUAACAGAGUUUGACGGUCAAACAGGAAAAUAGGUUGCCUUCAAACAAUACCUCCAAAAGAGGGCCCGAAAAAUGAUGAAAAUAUGUCAAAUGGAUCAACUCCACCACCACCUCCUCCACCCAUUCCUUCCUUGAGAGCAUCUUCGCCAUACUGAUCAUAUAUCUCACGCUUCUCAGGGUCACUCAAAACCUCAUAGGCUUGUGCCAGCUCCUUGAACUGAAAUAAAAUUUAAACAACAGAUACACCUGAAAUAAGCCUUUCAUUCUGCAGAUCAUGGUAAAUCAGCAGAUGAAUUUAGCAUGAGAACUAAAAUAGUACAGAAAAACAACAAUGAUAUAUUUGCGCUCACUAGAUACAUUUCAAUGAGUUCUUGAACAGUUGAAAUAGUAAAAUUUGUUAAAUUUACAGCAAAGCAAGAAAUAUCUAUUACACAACAUAGGCAACACAAAAAAGAAUUGUAUCACUCCACUUCAGCAGAGUAUAGCAGAAUAAAGAGAUUAGAGUUGUCAAGCAGAUCGAUUACCCAAUAUAUCACAGAUAAGCAAGAAGCAUAUAAUAAAUAAACCGGCGAACAUUCAUAUAAUAAAUAAACCGGCGAACAUUGUCCAAACAAACUGCCCACAUUUAGUAAGGGAAUUUGCAUCAGAGGUGAAAUGGGGGUGCUGUAGGAAAUCAAAAGUUCGACAUAGAUGUCAUAUGAUAAGCAUAAUAAAAGUCCAAAAACAGAAAAGGUGAAUGAUCCUUGGUAUGAAAUACAGACUAGACGCAUAUUAUUUUCCGCCAUCAGCAUUGGAUUUGACACUCCCAUACACAAUUAUCAGCAGGGACAACGUGGAUGACCAAUGGAAUGUAUAACCACCCCAUGCGAUAAGCUAGCUGAAAGAUGGGCUUCCAUGAUAUGGAAAUGUUGCAUGUCCCACACUGCUGCCCAAUUGAUGCACUCCUAACAAAUAACAACGGGCAGAGUCACUGUCGAGGGGUGGUGGAAUUGUGGUGUGUGAGGUGACAUUCUCAUGUAUGACUCAGCAUCAGAUGUCUUCCCAUGACACUAACAAAACGGUUGUCCACCUUAUAACUAGACUGGAAAAGACGUCUAGAAAUAUGCAUUAUCCCCAGAUGAAUCACCAAGUGAGUACCAUCCAACCAGGAGCAUUUUUUAAACUACUAAAUCUUACUUGACAAUGCAGAUGCAAAAUAACUGGCCCUGCAAAAACAUGCAAACAACUGUACUUCUGUUCCCCGAAUCUAGCCAAAAUCACGCCCAGGGAAACUUUCCUAUACGCAUCAGUAGCCAGCACUCCGCAGAAAGCAAUACCCGCCACCCAAAGAUCGCGAUCAUGACCACUUCACAUCAAACCACAACAAGCAGGGCAAGCACUCCCUGACAAGCCACAGCAAUCCUCUUCUUUUCUUUCUGCGAAUCGCCACAGCAAAUCCUCCAAGACGCAACGGGAGCUACAAACCCCAGCAGAAGCAGAUCAUCACGAAUCCACGCAAAACUCGCAGCUCGGCCACAUCACAGAUGCCCCUACGCGAAUUGACUCCCAGCACCGCACGGACUUCCCGCGCCCGAUCUAUCUAGUUCUACCUUGCCAUAGCAGAUCGGAUCACACCAGAUCGCGCCCGAACGGACCCGAAAAGUAGCAGCUAAGAUGCGCGAUGAUCGCAGGGGAGGAAGGGGGGAUCGGACCUUCUCGGGGUCUCCGCCCUUGUCGGGGUGGUUCUUGAUGGCGGCCUUGCGGUAGGCCUUCUUGAGGUCGUCCUGGGCGGCGUUCUUGGGCACCCCGAGCACCUCGUAGUACUUGGUGUUGUCGCUCUUCUUGGGGGCGCGGCCGAACAUCUUCGCCGGCGGGGUGGUGGGAUGGGUAGGCCCUCCUCGCGCGCCGCCGGUCGCCUCUCUCCCGCGGGCGUGGGAGCGGAGACGAGGAGGCGGUCAAAGUCGGGCGGCCGGGCGGAGCGAGUGAGAGAGAGAGAGGGUUUGGCCCCGCUGGAUACGCCAGGGCUAAUGUAGAGACCGGAGUGCGUGAGCUGGCUGCGGAGGCGUAUUAUGUGUCGCGGGCCGCGACGCGGACCCGAAUUGUUUACUGCUCUCGAGGGGAACCCGGCCCCCUGGAUUGUUGGACCUGAUUCGGUCGCUGGAUAGAGAUUCCAGCCCAAAUGAGCCAUCGUAUGGGCCAGAACUCCUCUUUGAUCGGUCAGUGUCGUACGUCCAGAGCCGUGACGAUUUAGCACCCGGGCCCACCCGCGUGGUGGCUGCUCUGCAUCUGUGUCUCCGCGGGCUGAUUCUGGCAGGAGGCCAGCUGGACAGGAACAGUUCCAAAAGACAAAAGCCAACGACCCCUCUGCAUCAGAAAGGCUUUUUUCUAGAAGAAAGAAACGGUUUUUCUUUACGCAGCGCAGAUGUAAACGUUCAUACAUACGCAUAUACAUUUACUCUUAUGAAUGUAUACGUGUCUAUCCUCUCUACAUGAGCAUCUCUGAGAAAUUGAGGCGGCAUAUCAUUUUGAGAUUGACGAAGUCACCAAAGACGAAUUUGUAGUCUAUAGGGACGUCUCCUCUCACUAAAUGCACAUCACCAAAAGGUCUGAAAUAAAUAAAGAAAAUGCGAGCACCGGUAUCAAGUCUAAGACUUAAACUCUCAUGGGCUGGGGAUACCCUUGUCCUCCUAACCAUCUAACCACAUGUUGAUUUGCUGAAAGGCUCAUUUUUAUACACGUGCUUCCAUGUUGUUAAACUCAAUUCAGAGAAAUGUCCCUUAGCUAGAGAAAAUACAGUACAAGGUAGUUAACUAUUUUGUGUGUUUGGUAAAAAAUCAUUUUCAUGGACUAGACUAAUAUGAUCCCAGUAUGUGCGUGAAUGCGUGCAAACAGUGUUUGCUAACAUGCCCAUGAAACCUUUUUUGUGUGUGCACCACCUGACGGUGUCCUGGUCAAGGGAUCUCUCACCACGUCGAUUCCUGGCCUGGAGGGCCAGGCUGAGGACCACUGGGUCAUUUCCAUCGUGGACCACAUUGGGCAUUCGAUGGUGGAUUUACAUGAAGACAUCCGAAGACUUCGCUUACAAGGCAAGAAGACGAAGUCGUUGAGGACUCUACCCCCACCUACGUAGUCGGUUAGGAUAUGUAACCUUAGGAUCCCGAGUAUGUUAUAUAAGUCGGGGGUCGGGCUCGUAGUUAGACACAAUAUAAACUCACAGUACUCAUAUAUACUUUGUACACACCCCAACGCAGUACACAUGAGCAGAACGUAAGGUAUUAUCUCCUCCAUGAGAGCUCGAACCUAGGUAAGACCUUGCUUCUUGUUACCAUCCAGCCCAAUCGCCUAUCCGGGAUACCAUACCGAAGGACCUGUCGGAUUGAGCUCCGACCGUGGUGGUCUCUGCUACUUGUGAUAUGCGUUGGGUUUUUCCUCAAAGAGGAAGAGGAAUGCAGUAUAGUAGAGAUAAGUAUUUCUCUAAGUGAGAACCAAGGUGCAUCGAAACAGUAGGAGAAUCACGCAAAGCCUCGUGAACAGCACAUGCACACACAAAAACAAAUACUUGCACCCAACGCGAGCAAGAGGGUUUUCAAUCCCCUUGAACUCGUCACUUGCAAGAUCAAAUCAUGUAGUGGUAGAUAGAUAAAUUACAAAAUAAACUAAAAUAAAAAAAUUACAGCAAAAGAAUUUAGGUUUUUAUAAUACGAUUAAAGUAGAGCCGGGGGCCAUAGUUUUCACUAGAGGCUUUUCUCUCGAACACAUAGCAUACAGUGGGUGAACAAAUUGUUGUUGGGCAAUUGAUAGAAAAGCGCAUAGUUAUGACGAUAUUCAAGGGAAUGAUCAUGUAUAUAAGCAUCACGUCCAAGACAAGUUGACCGACUCUUGCCUACAUCUAUUACUAUUACUCCACCAGUCGAUCGCUAUCCAACAUGCAUCUAUGGCAUUAAGUUCAUAAAAACAGGUUAACGCCUUAAAGAUGACAUGAUAUAGACAAAGUAAACCCAAAUGAAUAAAUCAUGUUGUUUUACCCUUAAUGGCAACAAUACAAAUACGUGUUUUGUCCCCUUCUGUCACUGGGAUAUAGAGCACCACAAGAUUGAACCCAUUACAAGACACCUCUCCCACUGAAGAUAAAUCAAUCUAGUUGGGCAAACUAAACGGAUAGAUCAGAGAGAAAUACAAAGUUAUAACAAUCAUGCAUAAUAAAGUUCAGAAAAGACUCGGUUGCUUCUCAUGAAUAUUCAGAUCAUAAACCACAAUUCAUCAAAUCCCAACAAACACACCGCAAAAGAAGAUUGCAUCGGAUAGAACUCCAAGAACACCAAGGAGAACAUUGUAUUAAAGAUCAAAGAGAUAGAAGAAACCAUCUAGCUACUAGAUAUGGACCCGUAUGUCCGUGAUAAACUACUCACGCAUCAUCAAAAGGCAAAAAGGAUGAUGUAGAAGCCCUCCACGGUCAAUUCUCCCUCCGGCAAAGUACCGGAAAGGCCUCCGGAUGGGAUCACGGAAGAACAGAAGCUUGAGGUGGCGAAAAAACUGUUUCAAGUGGCUCUCUAUUGGUUUGGGAAUAUUUCUAAAUUUAUAUAGGUGGAAUUAGGUCAAGGGGUGCUACGAGGGGCCCACAAGCUCAGGGGGCGCCCUGUGAGCUUGUGGCUCACACGUCAUGGAUCUCUGAGGUAAACCCGUCGGGUGUGAGGCAUCCGUGGAGAUCAAACAGAUGGGAGAGUGCCAUGGAGCCAUCUGCAAGAGCCUCGCGCUCGCGCAAAACGAAUGGUUGAGGCCACUCUCGCACACAAAGGCUCCAAGGAGGCCAAUACUCCAACAUCCUUUAUAGGAGUAAUAACCUCAAUCAAAAUCCGUUAUAGUUCUUUACAAUCUAAAUCGUUGCAUUCACUUGCUUACAACCAUCAAUUCCUAGCAGAUUAUUCGUUAAUCCUUGUAACUAGCAAGGCGAGUGAGACUGACAAUCUCCAUUACCAUUUAAGUUGGGGACCAAACCUAUCUAAUUGUUGGAAAUAUGCCCUAGAGGCAAUAAUAAAAGUAUUAUUAUUAUAUUUCCUUGUUCAUGAUAAUUGUCUUUUAUUCAUGCUAUAACUGUAUUAUCCGGAAAUCGUAAUACACGUGUGAAUACAUAGACCACAAUAUGUCCCUAGUGAGCCUCUAGUUGACUAGCUCGUUGUGAUCAACAGAUAGUCAUGGUUUCCUGGCUAUGGACAUUGGAUGUCGUUGAUAACGGGAUCACAUCAUUAGGAGAAUGAUGUGAUGGACAAGACCCAAUCCUAAGCAUAGCACAAAGAUCGUGUAGUUCGUUUGCUAGAGCUUUGCCAAUGUCAAGUAUCUCUUCCUUUGACCAUGAGAUCGUGUAAUUCCUGGAUACCGUAGGAGUGCUUUGGGUGUAUCAAACGUCACAAUGUAACUGGGUGACUAUAAAGGUGCACUACAGGUAUCUCCGAAAGUAUCUAUUGUUUUAUGCGGAUCGAGACUGGGAUUUGUCACUCCGUGUAAACGGAGAGGUAUCUCUGGGCCCACUCGGUAGGACAUCAUCAUAUGUGCAAUGUGACCAAGGAGUUGAUCACGGGAUGAUGUGUUACGAAACGAGUAAAGUGACUUGCCGGUAACGAGAUUGAACAAGGUAUUGGAUACCGACUAUCGAAUCUCGGGCAAGUAACAUACCGAUAGACAAAGGGAAUUGUAUACGGGAUCGAUUGAGUCCUUGACAUCGUGGUUCAUCCGAUGAGAUCAUCGUGGAACAUGUGGGAGCCAACAUGGGUAUCCAGAUCCCGCUGUUGGUUAUUGACCGGAGAACGUCUCGGUCAUGUCUGCAUGUCUCCCGAACCCGUAGGGUCUACACACUUAAGGUUCGAUGACGCUAGGGUUAUAAAGGAAGCUUGUAUGUGAUUACCGAAUGUUGUUCGGAGUCCCGGAUGAGAUCCCGGACAUCACGAGGAGUUCCGAAAUGGUCCGGAGGUAAAGAUUUAUAUAUAGGAAGUCCUGUUUCGGCCAUCGGGACAAGUUUCGGGGUCAUCGGUAUUGUACCGGGACCACCGGAAGGGUCCCGGGGGCCCACCGGGUGGGGCCACCUGCCCCGGGGGGCCACAUGGGCUGUAGGGGGUGCGCCUUGGCCUACAUGGGCCAAGGGCACCAGCCCCAAGAGGCCCAUGCGCCUGGGGAAACCCUAAAGGAAGAGUCCCAGCAGGGGAAGGCACCUCCUAGGUGCCUUGGGGGGGAGGACUCCUCCCCUGGCCGCCGCCCCCUUGGAGAUUGGAUCUCCUAGGGGCUGGCGCACCCCCCCCCCCUUGGGAUCCCUAUAUAUAGUGGGGUAGGAGGGCCUCCCAAACACACCUUAUGCCUUUGGUGCAGCCCCUCCCUCUCUCCCAAGUUCUUCUCCUCUCUCGUGGUGCUUGGCGAAGCCCUGCGGGAUUGCCACGCUCCUCCACCACCACCACGCCGUUGUGCUGCUGUUGGAUGGAGUCUUCCUCAACCUCUCCCUCUCUCCUUGCUGGAUCAAGGCGUGGGAGACGUCACCGGGCUGUACGUGUGUUGAACGCGGAGGUGCCGUGCGUUCGGCACUUGAUCAUCGGUGAUUUGAAUCACGACGAGUACGACUCCAUCAACCCCGUUCACUUGAACGCUUCCGCUUAGCGAUCUACAAGGGUAUGUAGAUGCACUCUCCUUCUACUCGUAGCUGGUUUCUCCAUAGAUAGAUCUUGGUGACACGUAGGAAAAUUUUGAAUUUCUGCUACGUUCCCCAACAGUGGCAUCAUGAGCUAGGUCUAUUGCGUAGAUUCUUUGCACGAGUAGAACACAAAGUAGUUGUGGGCGUUGAUGUUGUUCAAUAUGCUUACCGUUACUAGUCCAAUCUUGUUUCGACGGUAUUGUGGGAUGAAGCGGCCCGGACCGACCUUACACGUACUCUUACGUGAGACAGGUUCCACCGAUUGACAUGCACUUGGUGCAUAAGGUGGCUAGCGGGUGCCAGUCUCUCCCACUUUAGUCGGAACGGAUUCGAUGAAAAGGGUCCUUAUGAAGGGUAAAUAGCAAUUGGCAUAUCACGUUGUGGUUUUGCGUAGGUAAGAAACGUUCUUGGUAGAAACCCAUAGCAGCCACAUAAAACAUGCAACAACAAUUAGAGGACGUCUAACUUGUUUUUGCAGGGUAUGCUAUGUGAUGUGAUAUGGCCAAGAAGAAUGUGAUGAAUGAUAUGUGAUGUAUGAGAUUGAUCAUGUUCUUGUAAUAGGAUUCACGACUUGCAUGUCGAUGAGUAUGACAACCGGCAGGAGCCAUAGGAGUUGUCUUUAUUUUUUGUAUGACCUGUGCGUCAUUGAAGAACGCCAUGUAACUUACUUUACUUUAUUGCUAAACGCGUUAGUCAUAGAAGUAGAAGUAGUCGUUGGCGUGACAACUUCAUGAAGACACGAUGAUGGAGAUCAUGGUGUCAUGCCGGUGACGAUGAUGAUCAUGGAGCCCCGAAGAUGAAGAUCAAAAGGAGCAAAAUGAUAUUGGUCAUAUCAUGUCACUAUUUGAUUGCAUGUGAUGUUUAUCAUGUUUAUGCAUCUUGUUUACUUAGGACGACGGUAGUAAAUAAGAUGAUCCCUUACAAAAUUUCAAGAAGUGUUCUCCCCUAACUGUGCACCGUUGCUACAGUUCGUCGCUUCUAAGCACCACGUGAUGAUCGGGUGUGAUGGAUUCUUACGUUCACAUACAACGGGUGUAAGACAGUUUUACACAGCGAAAACACUUAGGGUUAACUUGACGAGCCUAGCAUGUGCAGACAUGGCCUCGGAACACGGAGACCGAAAGGUCGAGCAUGAGUCGUAUGGUAGAUACGAUCAACAUGAAGAUGUUCACCGAAGAUGACUAGUCCGUCUCACGAGAUGAUCGGACACGGGCUAGUUGACUCGGAUCAUGUAAUCACUUAGAUGACUAGAGGGAUGUCUAUCUGAGUGGGAGUUCAUAAGAUGAGCUUAAUUAUCCUGAACAUAGUCAAAAGACCUUUUGCAAAUUAUGUCGUAGCUCGUGCUAUAGUUCUACUGUUUAGAUAUGUUCCUAGAGAAAAUUAUAGUUGAAAGUUGAUAGUAGCGAUUAUGCGAUCAGUAGAAAGCUUAUGUCCUUAAUGCACCGCUCAGUGUGCUGAACCCCAAACGUCGUUUGUGGAUGUUGUGAACAUCGGACAUACACGUCUUGAUAACUAUGUGAUAGUUCAGUUAAACGGUUUAGAGUUGAGGCACGAAAGACGUUUUCGAAACAUCGCGAAACAUAUGAGAUGCUUCGAGGGCUGAAAUUGGGAUUUCAGGCUCGUGCCCAUGUCAAGAGGUAUGAGACCUCCGACAAUUUUCUUAGCCUACAAACUAAGGGAGAAAAGCUCAAUCGUUGAGCUUGUGCUCAGAUUGUCUGAGUGCAACAAUCACUUGAAUCGAGUGGGAGUUGUUCUUCCAAAUGAGAUAGUGAUGUUUCCCCAAAGUCAUUGCCACGAAGCUGCUAGAGCUUCGUGAUGAACUAUAACAUAUCAGGGAUAGAUAUGAUGAUCCUUGAGGUAUUCGCGAUGUUUGACACCGCGAAAGUAGAAAUCAAGAAGGAGCAUCAAUUGUUGAUGGUUGGUGAAACCACUAGUUUCAAGAAGGGCAAGGGAACAAAGGGAUACUUCAUGAAAUGGCAAUUCAGCUGCUGCUCUAGUGAAGAAACCCGAGGUUGAACCCAAACCCGAGACUAAGUGCUUCUGUAAUAAGGGGAACAACCACUGGAGCAGGAUUACCCUAGAUACUUGGUAGAUGAGAAGGCUGGCAAGGUCGAUAGAAGUAUAUUGGAUAUACAUUAUGUUAAUGUGUACUUUACUAGUACUCCUAGUAGCACAAGGGUAUUAGAUACCGGUUCGGUUGCUAAAGUGUUAGUAACUCGAAAUAAAAGCUACGAAAUAAAAGGAGACUAGCUAAAGGUGAGCUGACGAUAUGUGUUGGAAGUGUUUCCAAGGUUGAUGUGAUCAAGCAUCGCACGCUCCCUCUACCACCGAGAUUGGUGUUUGCGUUGAGCUUAGACAUGAUUGGAUUAUGUCUAUCGCAAUACGGUUAUUCAUUUAAGGAGAAUAAUGGUUACUCUGUUUAUUUGAAUAAUACCUUCAAUGGUCUUACACCUAAAAUAAAUGGUUUAUUGAAUCUCGAUCAUAGUGAUACACAUGUUCAUGCCAAAAGAUAUAAGAUAGUAAUGAUAGUACCACUUACUUGUGGCACUGCCAUGUAAGUCAUAAUGGUAUAAAACGCAUGAAGAAGCUCCAUGUUGAUGGAUCUUUGGACUCACUCGUUUUAGAAAAGUUUGAGACAUGCGAACCAUGUCUAUUGGUGUAUAUGCAUGAAGAAACUCCAUGCAAAUGGAUCGUUCGGACUCACUUGAUUUUGAAUCACUUGAGAUAUGCAAAUCAUACCACAUGGGCAAGAUGACUGAAAAGCCUCAUUUUCAGUAAGAUGGAACAAGAUAGCAACUUGUUGGAAGUAACACAUUUUGAUGUGUGCAGUCGAAUGAGUGCUGAGGCAUGCAGUGAAUAUCAUUAUGUUCUUACUUCACAGAUGAUUCGAGUAAAUGUUGAGUAUAUUUACUUGAUGAAACACAAGUCUGAAUUAUUGAAUGGUUCAAGUAAUUUCAGAGUGAAGUAGCAGAUCAUUGUGACAAGAGGAUAAAAUGUCUAUGAUAUGAUCAUAGAGAUGAAUAUCUGAGUUACGAGUUUUGGCACACAAUUAAGACAUUGUGGAAAUUGCUUCGCAAUUAAUACCGCCCGGAACACCAUAAUGUGAUGGUGUGUCCAAACAUCAUAGUUGCACCCUAUUGGAUAUGGUGCGUACCAUGAUGUCUCUUAUCGAAUUACCACUAUCGUUCAUGGGUUAGGCAUUAGAGACAACCACAUUCACUUUAAAUAGGGCACCACGUAAUUCCGAUGAGAUGACACCGUAUGAAUUAUGGUUUAGAGAAACCUAAGUUGUCGUUUCUUAAAGGUUUGGGGCUGCGACGCUUAUGUGAAAAAGUUUCAGGAUUAAUCUCGAACCCAAAGCGGAUGAAAUGCAUCUUCAUAGGACACCCAAAACAGUUGGGUAUACCUCCUAAUUCAGAUCCGAAAGCAAUAUGGAUUGUUUCUUGAAUCGGGUCCUUUCUCGAGGAAAGGUUUCUCUCGAAAGAGUUGAGUGGGAGGAUGGUUGAGACUUGAUGAGGUUAUUGAACCGUCUCUUCAACUAGUGUGUGGCAGGGCACAGGAAGUUGUUCCUGUGGCACCUACACCAAUUGAAGUGGAAGCUUAUGAUAUUGAUCGUGAAACUUCGGAUCAAGUCACUACCAAACCUCGUAGGACGACAAGGACACGCACUACUUCGGAGUGGUAAGGUGAUCCUGUCUUGAAAGUCAUGUUGCUAGACAACAAUGAACCUACGAGCUAUGGAGAAGCGAUGGUGGGCCCGAAUUCCGACAAAUGGUUAGAAGCCAUGAAAUCCGAGAUAGUAUCCAUAUAUCAGAACAAAGCAUGGACUUUGAUGGACUUGCCCGAUGAUCGGCAAUCCAUUGAGAUAAAUGGAUCUUUUAAGAAGAAGACGGACGUGGAUGGUAAUGUCACCAUCUAUGAAGCUCGACUUGUGGCGAAGUGUUUUCCGACAAGUUCAAGGAGUUGACUACGAUGAGAUUUUCUCAUUCGUAGCGAUGCUUAAAGUCCGUCGGAAUCAUGUUAGCAUUAGCUGCAUUUAUGAAAUCUGGUAGAUGGAUGUCAAGACAAGUUUCCUUACUAGUUUUCGUAAGGAAAGGUUGUAUGCAAUACAAUCAGAAAAGUUUUGUCGAUCCUAAGGAUGCUAAAAGGUAUGCUAGCUCCAGCGAUCCUUUUAAGGACUGGAGUAAGCAUCUCGGAGUUGGAAUGUACGCUUUGAUGAGAUGAUCAAAGAUUUGGAUUUAUACAAAGUUUAUGAGAAACUUGUAUUUCCAAAGAAGUGAGUGGGAGCACUAUAGAAUUUCUGAUGAGUAUAUAUUGUUGACAUAUUGUUGAUCAGAAAUGACGUAGAAUUUCUGGAAAGCAUAUAGGGUUAUUUUGAAAGUGUUUUUCAAUGGAAAGCCUGGAUUAAGCUACUUGAACAUUGAGCAUCAAGAUCUAUAAGGAUAGAUCAAAAUGCUUAAUAAUACUUUCAAAUGAGCACAUACCUUGACAUGAUCUUGAAGGUGUUCAAGAUGGACCAGUCAAAGAAGGAGUUCUUGCCUGAGUUGUAAGGUACGAAGUUAAGACUUAAAGCUCGACCACGGCAGAAUAGAGAGAAAGGACGAAUGUCGUCCCCUAUGCUUAAUACGUAGGCUCUUCAGUAUGCUAUGCUGUGUACCGCACCUGAAGUGUGCCUUGCCAUGAGUCAAUCAAGGGGUACAAGAGUGAUCCAAGAAUGGCUCACAGAACAGCGGUCAAAGUUAUCCUUAGUAACUAGUGGACUAAGGAAUUUUCUCGAUUAUGGAGGUGGUAAAAGAGUUCGUAGUAAAAGUUACGACGAUGCAAGCUUGACACCUAUCCGGAUAGCUCUGAGUAGAGAGACCAGAUACACAUAAUGGAGCAAUAAUUUAGAAUAGCUCCAAGUAGAACAGUUGUUUGGAAUAGCUCCAAAUAGAGCGUGGUAGAUGCAUCUAGGAGAUGACAUAGAGAUUUGUAAAGCACACACGGAUCUGAAAGGUUCAGACCCGUUGACUAAAACCUCUCUCACAAGCAACAUGAUCAAACAUAAAACUCAUUGAGUGUUAAUCACAUAGUGAUGUGAACUAGACUACUGACUCUAGUAAACUCUUGGGUAUUAGUCACAUGGCAAUGUGACCUGUGAGUGUUAAUCACAUGGCGAUGUGAACUAGAUUAUUGACUCUAGUGCAAGUGGGAGACUGUUGGAAAUAUGCCCUAGAGGCAAUAAUAAAAGUAUUAUUAUUAUAUUUCCUUGUUCAUGAUAAUUGUCUUUUAUUCAUGCUAUAACUGUAUUAUCCGGAAAUCGUAAUACACGUGUGAAUACAUAGACCACAAUAUGUCCCUAGUGAGCCUCUAGUUGACUAGCUCGUUGUGAUCAACAGAUAGUCAUGGUUUCCUGGCUAUGGACAUUGGAUGUCGUUGAUAACGGGAUCACAUCAUUAGGAGAAUGAUGUGAUGGACAAGACCCAAUCCUAAGCAUAGCACAAAGAUCGUGUAGUUCGUUUGCUAGAGCUUUGCCAAUGUCAAGUAUCUCUUCCUUUGACCAUGAGAUCGUGUAAUUCCUGGAUACCGUAGGAGUGCUUUGGGUGUAUCAAACGUCACAACGUAACUGGGUGACUAUAAAGGUGCACUACAGGUAUCUCCGAAAGUAUCUAUUGUUUUAUGCGGAUCGAGACUGGGAUUUGUCACUCCGUGUAAACAGAGAGGUAUCUCUGGGCCCACUCGGUAGGACAUCAUCAUAUGCGCAAUGUGACCAAGGAGUUGAUCACGGGAUGAUGUGUUACGGAACGAGUAAAGUGACUUGCCGGUAACGAGAUUGAACAAGGUAUUGGAUACCGACGAUCGAAUCUCGGGCAAGUAACAUACCGAUAGACAAAGGGAAUUGUAUACGGGAUCGAUUGAGUCCUUGACAUCGUGGUUCAUCCGAUGAGAUCAUCGUGGAACAUGUGGGAGCCAACAUGGGUAUCCAGAUCCCGCUGUUGGUUAUUGACCGGAGAACGUCUCAGUCAUGUCUGCAUGUCUCCCGAACCCGUAGGGUCUACACACUUAAGGUUCGAUGACGCUAGGGUUAUAAAGGAAGCUUGUAUGUGGUUACCAAAUGUUGUUCGGAGUCCCGGAUGAGAUCCCGGACGUCACGAGGAGUUCCGGAAUGGUCCGGAGGUAAAGAUUUAUAUAUAGGAAGUCUUGUUUCGGCCAUCGGGACAAGUUUCGGGGUCAUCGGUAUUGUACCGGGACCACCGGAAGGGUCCCGGGGGCCCACCGGGUGGGGCCACCUGCCCCGGGGGGCCACAUGGGCUGUAGGGGGUGCGCCUUGGCCUACAUGGGCCAAGGGCACCAGCCCCAAGAGGCCCAUGCGCCUGGGGAAACCCUAAAGGAAGAGUCCCAGCAGGGGAAGGCACCUCCUAGGUGCCUUGGGGGGGGAGGACUCCUCCCCUGGCCGCCGCCCCCUUGGAGAUUGGAUCUCCUAGGGGCUGGCGCACCCCCCCCUUGGGAUCCCUAUAUAUAGUGGGGUAGGAGGGCCUCCCAAACACACCUUAUGCCUUUGGUGCAGCCCCUCCCUCUCUCCCAAGUUCUUCUCCUCUCUCGUGGUGCUUGGCGAAGCCCUGCGGGAUUGCCACGCUCCUCCACCACCACCACGCCGUUGUGCUGCUGUUGGAUGGAGUCUUCCUCAACCUCUCCCUCUCUCCUUGCUGGAUCAAGGCGUGGGAGACGUCACCGGGUUGUACGUGUGUUGAACGCGGAGGUGCCGUGCGUUCGGCACUUGAUCAUCGGUGAUUUGAAUCACGACGAGUACGACUCCAUCAACCCCGUUCACUUGAACGCUUCCGCUUAGCGAUCUACAAGGGUAUGUAGAUGCACUCUCCUUCUACUCGUAGCUUGUUUCUCCAUAGAUAGAUCUUGGUGACACGUAGGAAAAUUUUGAAUUUCUGCUACGUUCCCCAACACUAAUUGUGUUUAGGUGUUGAUUAUUGACUGAAGUCAGGUUCUCCAUCGGAUUGAUAACCCUUGUUCUUCUCGGAGAGAAAUUUUUGCUGCUCACCGCAAACUCUUACUCUUGAGGGUCCAACAACUAUAUCAACAAGGCAUACAUAUUAGCUGGGAAUAUCAGUAGAUGUAAUCUAUUGUUAAGAGGGUCCAGAGAAUUAUGAAGUUAUACAUGUAUAAUUGCACACUAUAUUUCGAUACUCUUAUUACAGGGGUGUGUCAAGUAUAGUCCGUGUUUAGAUCUGCGCUCAAGGAACAUGGUUAUAUUCCAUCGACCUUGAUCAUCGGGGAACAUUGAGGAAGAAACCAGCACCAUUUAGAUCACACUAUCUAAGAGUGGGGCGACGGAGAGAACUGUCGCGAACAACCAACAAAUUGAAGCCUUGUGACAAUCCCCAAGUGCAUGGAGUUAUUGUAGCACUAUCCAUUUUGGACGUGGAAGUAUAUGGAGUGCCAAACGAAAGGGAGCUAAACGUAGGUUUCCCGAUCACUCAACCUAUGCCACUUACGCAACUACCUAUGCGCUUGACGUCUACUAUGCUGACGGUGUAAUACACCGGAGGUGGCUUCCUAGAGGGAGCCCGGCAGCAGGCUUGCCUCAGGGCCCACGAGGCUCAGUGAAGGUCCAACCAUGGGAGGAAAGACCAGAGACCCAUACACGCAGCUAAGUGACAGUGGAGUACACCGAGGGUGGCUUCUCAAAGGGAAGCCCAUCAGCAAACCUUAUGCCCACAAGGUUCCGACGACAGGAGGGAGCCCGAAGCUUCAGAUAUAUCUCCAUGGAUCGUCUUGGUCCUCAAGUCAAGACGACAACAGAUGGAUUGAAUCUACCCCCUACAAAACCCUAGCCCCACCAUCUAUAUAAGGUGGAGGCUAGGGGCUCUCGUUACCAUCUACAUCCGUAGAACCAUACUCUCGGUAGUCUCAUACCUCAUCCCCAUUGUAAGCCUCGCAUGAGAUACUAUACCAUGAAUAGAAACACAAAGCAGGACUGUUACCCCUUCCCGGAGGCCCGAAUCUGGUAACUUCCUCACAUGUGAUCUAUGAUCUGGUACCUCUAGCCAUGUUCGCCACCCUACUGAGGGCACCGACGGGUUUAUGCACCGUCAUUGGCGCGUUAAGCAUGGGCUAGGUCGGCCAAAGACCAAACCUACAUCGGAUCUCCUCUCGAUGUCGGCGGCAUCCCACCAAGAGAAAGCCUCACCUUUGGCUCCUUCACCUUCAUGACGGACGGGAUGGGUUGGAUCUACAUUAGCCCAUCGGCCUUCCUCGCCCGCACCGUCUUCUUUGGUGCACUGGCGACCACUACAACGACCUUCAUGUAUGCGUCCCACCACUCCAGCAAAUCGUACAUGCGGCCUCACCAGCUCCACAACGCCUUCCACCACUGACUCUCGGUUUAGGAGGUGUCUUUGAGCUAUAGAAUGCUACGGUAGCGUACCAACGUAUGAUGCAGGCACGCCUAUGCCACCAGGUGGGCGUCAACAUCGGAGCCCUGCUGGCCUCUCCGAACUUCCCAACAUCUUGGUUACCACUUCCGGCUUGAAAGGCGACGACCCUGCAACAACAAAUGCCGAUCGAAGUUCGAGCCUUAGCCUCGAGAUGGGUCGUUGUGUGAUACGUCUCCAACGUAUCUAUAAUUUUUUACUGUUACAUGCUAUUAUAUUACCUGUUUUGGAUGUUUAUGGGAUUUACUAAGCACUUUUAUAUUAUUUUUGGGACUAACCUAUUAACCGGAGGCCCAACCCAAAUUGCUAAUUUUUUUUGCCUAUUUCAGUGUUUCGAAAAAAGGAAUAUCAAACAGAGUCCAAACGGAAUGAAACCUUCGGGAGAGUUAUUUUUGGAACAAACGCAAUCCAGGAGACCUGGAUUGGACGUCAAGAAAUAAACGAGGCGACCACAAGGCAGGGAGGCACGCCCCAGGGGGGUAGGCGUGCCCCCCACUCUCGUGGGCCCCUCGUGGCUCCCCUGACCGACUUCCUUCGCCUAUAUAUACUCAUAUACCCUGAAAACAUCCAGGAGCACCACGAAACCCUAUUUCCACAUCCUCAACCUUCUGUACCCAUGAGAUCCCAUCUUGGGGCCUUUUCCGGUGCUCCGCUGGAGGGGGAAUCGAUCACAGAGGGCUUCUACAUCAACACCAUAGCCUCUCCGAUGAAGUGUGAGUAGUUUACCACAGACCUUCGGGUCCAUAGUUAUUAGCUAGAUGGCUUCUUCUCUCUCUUUGAUUCUCAAUACAAAGUUCUCCUUGAUCUUCUUGGAGAUCUAUUCGAUGUAAUUCUUUUUGCGGUGUGUUUGUCGAGAUCCGAUGAAUUGUGGGUUUAUGAUCAAGAUUAUCUAUGAACAAUAUUUGAAUCUCCUCUGAAUUCUUUUAUGUAUGAUUGGUUAUCUUUGCAAGUCUCUUCGAAUUAUCAGUUUGGUUUGGCCUACUAGAUUGAUCUUUCUUGCAAUGGGGGAAGUGCUUAGCUUUGGGUUCAAUCUUGCGGUGUCCUUUCCCAGUGACGGCAGGGGCAGCAAGGCACAUAUUGUAUUGUUGCCAUCGAGGAUAAAAAUAUGUGGUUUAUAUCAUAUUGCUUGAGUUUAUCCCUCUACAUCAUGUCAUCUUGCCUAAUGCGUUACUCUGUUCUAUGAACUUAAUACUCUAGAUGCAUGCUGGAUAGCGGUUGAUGUGUGGAGUAAUAGUAGUAGAUGCAGAAUCGUUUCGAUCUACUUGUCGCGGAUGUGAUGCCUAUAUACAUGAUCGUGCCUAGAUAUUCUCAUAACUAUGCACUUUUUUAUCAAUUGCUCGAUAGUAAUUUGUUCACCCAUCGUAAUACUUAUGCUAUCUUGAGAGAAGCCACUAGUGAAACCUAUGGCCCCCGGGUCUAUUUCCAUCAUAUAAGUUUCCAAUCUACUUUAUUUUGCAAUCUUUACUUUCCAAUCUAUAUCAUAAAAAUACCAAAAAUAUUUAUCUUAUUAUUAUCUCUAUCAGAUUUCACUUUUGCAAGUGGCCGUGAAGGGAUUGACAACCCCUUUAUUGCAUUGGUUGCAAGGUUCUUAUUUGUUUGUGUAGGUACGAGGGAUUUGUGUGUAGCCUCCUACUGGAUUGAUACCUUGGUUCUCAAAAACUGAGGGAAAUACUUACGCUACUUUGCUGCAUCACCCUUUCCUCUUCAAGGGAAAACCAACGCAUGCUCAACAGGUAGCAAGAAGGAUUUCUGGCGCCGUUGUCGGGGAGUCUACGCACAAGUCAAGACAUACCAAGUACCCAUCACAAACUCUUAUCCCUCACAUUACAUUAUUUGUCAUUUGCCUCUCGUUUUCCUCUCCCCCACUUCACCUUUGCAUUUGCCUUUUCUUCGUCUUCUUCCUAUAUGUCUUUUUGUUUGUGUUUCCAUGUGCCUUCUAUUUGCUUGCAUCUUUGCUUGCUAAAAAUCUAUUGAUAUGGAUCCACUUAAAGUGUUCUACUUGGAUCAUCUUCGAUCCUUAUGCGCUCGUGUUGAAACCCCAACUAGCCUAGUUGAUGGGAAAUCUUUAGAUGAGCAUGCUAAUUUUGUGCGUCGCUGUUUGUCUGAAAAAGGGAGACUCUUAUGGGAUCAAAUAAACAGAUUGAUGUGUUAUGCUUGGAAUGUUUGUGAAAUUUAUGAUUUUACUUGUUGCUCUAAGAACCCUAAAAAACACCUUCCCUACCUAUGUGAGUUUAAUGAAAAUGAAAUAUUAUCUUCUUAUGCAAGGGGUGUUUAUAGUUACUAUGAUAUCAAACAAAUUAAAGAAUUUGUUGCUUUUAAGGGUGCUUAUGAAGUUGCUUCUUUGAUUGAAAAGUAUGAUAUUACUCUCUACGAAUCUGAAAAUUUUGACAUACUUAAAUAUUGCUAUGAAAACUAUGCUCAUAAUGUCUAUGUCAGAGAAUUUAUUGAGAGAAUGACUGUUGCUUUGGAAGAAAAUAAUGAUAUGCAUGAAUCUAUAGAUAAUGAUUCUGAUGAUUUGAUUGAAAUAUCCCUUGAUGAACAUGAUGCUUGCUAUUCUUGUGGCCAUGAUGCCAAUAUUUAUGAAGAUGAAUUUGCUAUAGUUCCUUAUGUUAAAUAUGAUAUCGUUGCUAUUGCACCCAUACUUGGUAGUUCCUACAAUAAAAAGCAUGAUUGCAAUGAUGUUACUAUAAAUUCUCUUGAUGUCAAUUGUGCUAAUAAUAUGCAAAACCCUAAGCUUGGGGAUGCUAGUUUUGCUAUGUCUACUACUUGUUGCAAUGAUCAUGAUUGGGGUGAUUCUUCUUUUGAUCUUGAAAAUUUAUUUAACCCCCAUGAUGAAUAUGAGAUUGAUAAUAGUGUUUGCAAUAUUAUUGAAAGUGGGUUGGAAGAGUGUCAAAUUUAGAUCCCACAUAUUUGGAUUUUGAUCAAUCUUAUGAAAUUUUUGAUAAAACUGGGCUUGGAGAGGUCAUGACUUUAGUUAAUGUUAAUCCUUCUAUUUUGGAAGAGUGUCAACUUCGCAUGCAUGUGGAUCGUGUUGAAAAUAUUUUAUGUGAUAGCUAUUUUAUUGAAUUUUCUUAUGAUCCUACAUGUAAUUAUUAUGAGAGAGGAAAAUAUGGCUGUAGAUUUUCAUGUUACUAAAUUACCUCUUUUCAUGUUGAGAUUGCUAUCAUCUCUUUGUUCUUCCUUGCAUAUGCUAGCUUUUCCGUGCCUUGAUAAUUUGUUUGCUUACAAGAUUCCUAUGCAUAGGAAGUAUGUUAGACUAGGAUGUGUUUUUCACAUGCUACAUGAUGCUCUCUUCGUGUUUCAAUUGCUAUCUUUCAUAUGAGCAUCAUCGAAAUUAUCAAUGCCUAGCUAGGGGCGUUAAACGAUAGCGCUUGUUGGGAGGCAACCCAAUUUUAUUUUUGUUCUUUACUUUUUGUUCCUGUUUAGUAAUAAAUAAUUCAUCUAGCCUUUAGUUAGAUGUGGUUUUAUGUUUUAAUUAGUGUUUGUGCCAAGCAGAACCUUUGGGAAGACUUGGGUGAAGUCUUUAUGAUCUUGCUGUAAAAAAUAGAAACUUUAGCGCUCACGAGAUUAGCUGCCAUUUUUUACUGGAGAGUGAUUUUAGGUUGAUUCUUUUUUCAGAUGAUUAAUAGACAAAUUCCUCAUGUCCACCAAUUUAUUUCAGACUUUUUGGAGUUACAGAAGUAUUCGGAAGUUACAGAUUACUACAGACUAUUCUGUUUUUGACAGAUUCUUUGCGUGUGUUGUUUGCUUAUUUUGAUGAAUCUAUGGCUAGUAUCGGGGGGUAUGAACCAUAGAUAAGUUAGAAUACAGUAGGUUUAACACCAAUAUAAAUAAAGAAUGAGUUCAUUACAGUACCUUAAAGUGGUGGUUUGCUUUCUUGCACUAAUGGAGCUCAUGAGAUUUUCUGUUGAGUUUUGUGUUGUGAAGUUUUCAAGUUUUGGGUAAAUAUUUGAUGGAUUAUGGAAUAAGGAGUGGCAAGAGCCUAAGUGAAAGGAUCGAUAAAGUUGACUAGAGGGGGGGGGUGAAUAGGCAACUAACAAUUUCAGCUUUUUUUUACCAAAUUAAACAUUGCAUCAAAGUAGGUUGUCUAGAUAUGCAACUAGGUGAGCAACCUAUAUGAUGCAACAACAACAAGCACAGAAGCAAGCAAGGGAUACAACAUAAAUAAGCUUGCACAAGUAAAGGCAUGAGAUAACCAAGAGUGGAGCCGGUGAAGAUGAGGAUGUGUUACUGAAGUUCCUUCCUUUUGAAGGGAAGUACGUCUCUGUUGGAGCGGUGUGGAGACACAAUGCUCCCCAAGAAGCCACUAGGGCCACCGUAUUCUCCUCAUGCCCUCACACAAUGCGAGAUGUCGUGAUUCCACUAUUGGUGCCCUUGAAGGCGGUGACCAAACCUUUACAAACAAGGUUGGGGCAAUCUCCACAACUUAAUUGGAGGCUCCCAACGACACCAUGAAGCUUCACCACAAUGGACUAUGGCUCCGAGGUGACCUCAACCGUCUAGGGUGCUCAAAUACCCAAGAGUAACAAGAUCCGCUAGGGAUUAGUGGGGGGAAUCAAAUUUCUCUUGGUGGAAGUGUAGAUCGGGGCCUUCUUAACCAAUCCCAAGCAAAUCAACUAGUUUUAUUGGCUAGGGAGAGAGAUCGGGCGAAAAUGGAGCUUGGAGCAACAAUGGAGCUUGGGGGUGGAAGAGGUGGUCAACUAGAGGAAGAAGACACCCCUUAUAUAGUGGAGAGACAAAUCCAAUCGUUAUCCACUUAACCGGUCCGCGACCUGCGGUACUACCGCCCCAGACAAGCGGUACUACCGCAAGUGCUCACGGUACUACCGCGGCGGACCGCGGUACUACCGCUACCACGGCAGGAGCAAGUCUAGGCCUGAACCUCAAAGGCUGAGGGUGGUACUGCCGCUGACGUGGUACUACCUCUCCCCCUUGCGGUACUACCACAAGGCCAGAUUGGACUAGGCUGGGAAGGGCGCGGAUGAAUAAAAAUACAUCCGUGCCUACUUCCGCUGAAAAUCAAAUAGUGCAAAUAUCCGACAUGGUACUACCGUGCAUGGCAUGCGGUACUACCGCGCAGAGAGCACAUGUAAAAAAUUACAUCCGCCCCUACUUCCGCUCAUGUUGCUAUGCCAGACCAGGACUCAUGGUACUACCGCGCGCAUGGGGCGGUACUACCGCAUAGGGCGCGGAUGUAAAAAAUUACAUCCGCCCCUACAGCCGCAUGAGCGGCUGAGUCUGGUCUGAGGCCACGGUACUACAGCUCCUUAGGAGCGGUACUACCGUGUGCACCUACGGUACUACCGCAAGGGCGUGCGGUACUACCAUGGGUGCCUGCGGUACUAUCGCUCCUAAGAGCAGUACUACCACAUGCCUCAGAACAGCAACACUAGGAAUCCUUCUCUUUGCAUAUAUAUGAAGAAAACGGAGGAUGCUCCAAAGAGCAAAGGGAAACGUGGUGCAGAGGGAGUAAACGUUUACGUGAUGAUUCCACCCGAACCUUUCCAACGCGGACCCCCUCUUAAUAGUACGGCUUUCCUAUGACUCAAAUCCACCGAAAAGAAACGUAGAAAAAUGUCGUCUUCAAUAGUCUUCGAGGGGCACCAAACCGUCUUGUGCCUAGUGACGAAACGUCUGAAAUACUCAAGGCACAUGAUUAGUCCGCAAAAGCAUUGUCAUCAAUCACCAAAACACCUUAGGGAUAAAUAUGCCCUUACAAUCUCCCCCUUUUUGGUGGGAUGACAAUACGGGAUUGCACAAGGGGAAAUAAUAUAGAACAUAGGCAAACCCCACAUCUCUAAAAUAUAGACGAGCUCCCCCCUAGAUGCGUGCUAUCUAGAUAAGUGCUUUGGACUGCACAACACGUAUACUAGAAUCAACACUCCCCCUAUAUUUUAUAGACAAUGCAUAUCUUGCAAAAAUAAGGCUAACAUUAAACAAGAUAGUAAAUAUGAGCAUAACAUAAAUAGCACAAUAUAACAUAAGCUCAAUAAGGUACGAUAGAGUCCAUAUGUCUUACACCAUAUGAUAGAGCAAGUCUCAUGAGCAAACUAAACCAAAGCAAGCAAGGUUCAACGGAACAAACGCGAGAAAAGCAAACACAAGCACGACACAAGAAGCAUGACACAAGACUCGCAAAUCCCUACACUCUCUCCCCCUUUGGCAUCAAGAUGCCAAAAAGGCAGAGAGGACACCUACAACACAAGUGGUGGCUCAAGUGGAGUAAUCAGUCACACGCUCCUCGUCAGACUCGGUAGCGGGAAUGGUCUCCUUGUUGUCCUCCUUAGAAUCAGUCCACUUGAAACCUUGUUUUGCCAUCCACUCAGCCUCUAGAGUGAUGCACUCCUCAGAACCGCCAGAAACUGUUGGGGAACAUAGUAAUUUCAAAAAAAUUCCUACGUACAUGCAAGAUCAUGGUGAUGGCAUAGCAACGAGAGGAGAGAGUGUUGUCCACGUACCCUCGUAGACCGUAAGCGGAAGCGUUAUGACAAUGUGGUUGAUGUAGUCGUACGUCUUCACGAUCCGACUGAUCCAAGUACCGAACGUACGACACCUCCGAGUUCAGCACACGUUCAGCUCGAUGACGAUCCCCGGGCUUCGAUCCAGCAAAGCUUCGGGGAUGAGUUCCGUCAGCACGACGGCGUGAUGACGAUGAUGAUGCUCUACCGGCGCAGGGCUUCGCCUAAACUCCGCGACGAUAUGACCGAGGUGGAAUAUGGUGGAGGGGGCACCGCACACGGCUAAGGAACGAUCCGUAGAUCAACUUGUGUGUUCAUGAGGUGCCCCCCGCCCCCGUAUAUAAAGGAGCCAGGGGGGAGGAGGCGGCCGGCCAAGGAGGGCGCGCCAAGGGGGGAGUCCUACUCCCACCAGGAGUAGGACUCCCUUCUUUCCUAGUUGGAAUAGGAGAAGGGGGGAAAGAGGAGGAAGAGGGGAAGGAAAGGGGGGGCGCCGCCCCCCUUCCCUUGUCCUAUUCGGACUAGGAAGGGGAGGGGCGCGCAGCCCCCUCCUGCCUCCUUCCCUCUUCUCCCUCGAGGCCCAUGUAGGCCCAAUAACCCCCCGGGGGGUUCCGGUAACCUCUCGGUGCUCCGGUAAAAUGCCGAUUUCACCCGGAAUGAUUCCGAUGUCCAAAUAUAGGCUUCCAAUAUAUCGAUCUUUAUGUCUCGACCAUUUCGAGACUCCUCGUUACGUCCGUGAUCACAUCCGGGACUCCGAACAAACUUCGGUACAUCAAAACUUAUAAACUCAUAAUAAAACUGUCAUCGCAACGUUAAGCGUGCGAACCCUAUGGGUUCGAGAACUAUGUAGACAUGACCUAGAACUAUUCUCGGUCAAUAACCAAUAGCGGAACCUGGAUGCCCAUAUUGGUUCCUACAUAUUCUACGAAGAUCUUUAUCGGUCAAACCGCAUAACAACAUACGUUGUUCCCUUUGUCAUCGGUAUGUUACUUGCCCGAGAUUUGAUCGUCGGUAUCCAAUACCUAGUUCAAUCUCAUUACCGGCAAGUCUCUUUACUCGUGCCAUAAUGCAUCAUUCCGUAACCAACUCAUUUGGUCACAUUGCUUGCAAGGCUUAUAAAGAUGUGCAUUACCGAGAGGGCCCAGAGAUACCUCUCUGACAAUCGGAGUGACAAAACCUAAUCUCGAAAUACGCCAACUCAACAUGUACCUUCGGAGACACCUGUAGUACUCCUUUAUAAUCACCCAGUUACGUUGUGACGUUUGGUAGUACUCAAAGUGUUCCUCCGAUAAACAGGAGUUGCAUAUUUCUCAUAGUUACAAGAACAUGUAUAAGUCAUGAAGAAAGCAAUAGCAAUAUACUAAACGAUCAAGUGCUAGGCUAACGGAAUGGGUCAUGUCAAUCACAUCAUUCUUCUAAUGAUGUGAUCCCAUUAAUCAAAUGACAACACAUGUCUAUGGUUAGGAAACAUAACCAUCUUUGAUUAAUGAGCUAGUCAAGUAGAGGCAUACCAGUGACUAUAUGUUUGUCUAUGUAUUCACACAUGUAUCAUGUUUCCGGUUAAUACAAUUCUAGCAUGAAUAAUAAACAUUUAUCAUGAAAUAAGGAAACAAAUAACAACUUUAUUAUUGCCUCUAGGGCAUAUUUCCUUCAGUCUCCCACUUGCACUAGAGUCAAUAAUCUAGUUCACAUCGCUAUGUGAUUUAACACCAAUAUUCACAUCUGCAUGUGAUUAAUACCCAUAGUUCACAUCAUCAUGUGAUCAACACCCAAAGGGUUAACUAGAGUCAAUAAUAUAGUUCACAUCGCUAUGUGAUUAACACCCAAAAGAGUACUAAGGUAUGAUCAUGUUUUGCUCAUGAGAGAAGCUUAGUCAACGGGUCGGUCAUAUUCAGAGCCAUAUGUAUUUCGCAAAUAUUCUAUGUCCACAAUGCUCUGCACGGAGCUACUCUAGCUAAUUGCUCCCACUUUCAAUAUGUAUCCAGAUUGAGACUUAGAGUCAUCUGGAUUGGUGUAAAAGCUUGCAUCGUUGUAACUUUUAUGACGGGCUCUUUUAUCACCUCCAUAAUCGAGAAACAUCUCCUUAGUCCUCACUAAGGAUAUUCUUGACCCAUGUCCAGUGAUCUACUUAUUAGAUCAAAAUUGUAUUCCUUUGCCAAACACAGAGCAAGGUAUACAAUAGGUCUGGUUCACAGCAUAGCAUACUUUAUAGAACCUAUGACUGAGGCAUAGGGAAUUACUUUUCAUUCUCUUUCUAUUUUCUGCAAUGGUCGUGUCUUGAGUCUUACUCAACUUCACACCUUGUAACACAGGCAAGAACUCCUUCUUUGACUGUUCCAUUUUGAACUAUUUCAAAAAUUUAUCAAGGUAUGUACUCAUUGAAAAAUCUUAUCAAGCGUCUUGAUCUAUCUAUAUAGAUCUUGAUGCUCAAUGUGUAAGCAGCUUCACCGAGGUCUUGCUUUGAAAAACUCUUAUUCAAAUAUCCUUUCAUGCUAUCCAGAAUUUCCAUAUCAUUUCCAAUUAACAAUAUGUCAUCCACAUAUAAUAUUAGAAAUGCUACAGAGCUCCCACUCACUUUCUUGUAAAUACAGGUGUCGGUGUCAAAACCGGCGGAUCUCGGGUAGGGGGUCCCGAACUGUGCGUCUAGGCGGAUGGUAACAGGAGACAAGGGACACGAUGUUUUACCCAGGUUCGGGCCCUCUUGAUGGAGGUAAAACCCUAUGUCCUGCUUGAUUGAUAUUGAUAUUGUCGAUGUUUACAAGAGUGGAUCUACCACGAGAUCAAGGAGGCUAAACCCUAAAAGCUAGCCUAUGGUAUGAUUGUAAUUGUUGUUGUUGUGUCCUACGGACUAGAGCCAUCCGGUUUAUAUAGACACCGGAGAGGGCUAGGGUUACAUAGAGUCGGUUACAAUGGUAGGAGAUCUACGUAUCCGUAUCGCCAAGCUUGCCUUCCACGCCAAGGAAAGUCCCAUCCGGACACGGGACAAAGUCUUCAAUCUUGUAUCUUCAUAGUCUUGGAGUCCGGUCGAUGAUGAUAGUCCGGCCGAUGAUAGUUCGGCCAAUGAUGGUAGUUCGGCUAUCCGGACACCCCCUAAUCCGGGACUCCCUCAGUAGCCCCCGAGCCAGGCUUCAAUGACGAUAAGUCCAGCAUGUGUGUAGUCUUCGGCGUUGCAAGGCGGGUUCUCCUUCAAGUUCUACGUACCUGCCGAACAGUGUUCGGCUUCCUCAUCAAUGUCGCGCGUCUUGGCUUCCACGCCCAAUAAUGGCCUUCUUCCACGCGUCGUGCGAAUGUGAAAAGCCAGGGUGUCUUUUAUGUUUUACCCCCUAGUUGUGCGAAUAAUCUGCCUAUAAGGGAGGCAAGAAUCCAGAUCCAAAUCACCAUCUUCCUCCCGCAAAUACUCAUCGGAGCGCUUUCGACCAAGAAUCCAUUCCAUCAUGGACCGUCAACGCGGCUCCUCUUCUCGCGGUCCCAGCCCUUUGCCAGGAGAUUGGAGGAGAUGCUCUGUUCCGCACAAUGACCUGGUGAAGCUCCAAGCGGGGGGAUAUCUCCCUCCGGCCUUCAUGGUUCCGGUUCGAGCCGGGCUGGCCACCUACAAAGGUGGGAAGCAGGCGGAGGUUACCCCAAGUCCCAACAAAGGGGAGCGGGUAUGCUUCGUCCCCUAUCUGAUAAGGGGGCUCGGAUUUCCUGUACAUCCAUUCCUCCGCGGGCUCCUGGAGUUCUACGGACUCCAGCUUCAUCACCUCACGCCCACCUCAAUCCUGCAUAUUGCGAGUUACGUAGCUCUUUGCGAGCUAUUCCUGGGCGUCGAGCCCCAUUUCACGCUGUGGAAGAGGUUGUUCUGCCUUGUACCCCGCUCUCACGAGGGGUCCAUAUAUCAAGUGGGCGGCGCCGAAAUAUGGCGCAUUGCCGGGACCGGAUAUCCAUCCGGAACCCCUAAGAAGGCGUCCGAAGACUGGCCUUCAGAAUGGUUUUAUAUAGAAGACGCUCCGCUGCCGGACCCUGUUCGGAUCGGCCUCCUAGAGUUCAGCAAUGCUCCUCUGAAGAAACGCCUUAGUUAGCGUCCACAGAGCCCCCAACUGGAGGAAGACAAGAGCGUCCAUUAUUUGAUGGGCCGAAUAAGGUUACUGGCCCAUGCUGGGUUAACCAUGAUUGGAGUCAUGGCAACAUGCAUUAUGCGGGGGGUGCAGCCACUACAAUACAGCGGCCACCCCAUGUGGGAUUUCAACGGGGAGGACGAUGCCACCCGUCAUGGCCGCAAAGGGCCGGAUUCGGUCGAAGAUCUGGUGACGAUCCUGUCCGGCCUGUAUAAGGGGGAGAAGGAGGAUUUCCUUCGGACGAACCCGUUAAAUGGGUUCUCCAUGAAUAAUCCCCGGCCUUGGGUAAGCGGACACUCUGCGUGCCCGACCCAUGCUUUUCGAAACUUAAGUUUCUUAUAUUGUGUUCUUCUUUCGACGCAGGAGCUGCGCCGGAUCGUGGAGGACAUGCUAAGUCCAGCUCCGCAACCCGAGGAUCCAGAGAGAUCCCGGGAUCCGGCCUCCGAAGAGGAUCCGGACAUAAUGGUGGAGCUAAUUGACGGGGUGUUCCACCAGCUCAGCAUGGACAAUGCUUUAGUUGCCAUCACGGCCGACUAUUCCGGACUAUAUCCGGCUUCCCAGGUGAUUGCGACCGAAGUCCCGACACCGUCAUUCCUUCCUUGCUUAUUUCUAACCACCGUAUACGAUGGCGCUGUGCAGGAGGCGCCCCUAGGGCGAGAAGCCAAGCCCGCGGUGGCUGGUCAACAAAGGCCAGUCCAGACCAGUAGGCGGAAGAGGAGCGCGGCGCGGACUGAAACGUCGCCGCAAAGGUGUAUCUCACAAUUCAUUAUUUAGAGCAACGUUCCUAGGGAGCGUUUGAGUGCUCAUGACUUUUGUAGGGAAAAAAGCAUCCGCCGGACUGCGGGCGUGGAGGUUGCCAAUCCAACCUCUACCAGCCAGGCUCCAACACCUGGUCUGGAGGGGGAGGCGAGCGCAAGGCGCGACCCGGACGUUCCUCCGACGGAGGAUGCCGACAGACUGUCCGCCACCAAGUCUGAGGUGGAGAGUGCCCUGAAUCACAGGCGCCGCCGGACAGUAUUUCGUGACGCGUGCUUCUCCCCCGAGGCGUUGAAUGCCUUUAAUGCGGCGGACGCGCACCUUCGUGCUGCUCAAGAUGGUUUUACCAGAGCCACGGAGCAGUAUGUAAAAGACAUACGGGUAAGAGAAUUUAAUAGUUGUAUAUGCCAGUAGCCCCCGAGACUUAAAGUAGUUAUAUUAACUGAUUUAAGGAUCAUAUGAAACGUAGGAUCUUAUCGAGAAGAAUACCCAACUAUCUCAGGAGCUGCAAGAGUGCAAGGCCCAACUUGAGGCCGCACUCUCUGGCACAGGAGGAAACACAGGGACCUCUCCUAGUAACGCAUUAUUUUAGAAAGAUAAGUAGCGUUUGGCCUGUGCGCAAGUCUAAAAAAUGACAUUGCAGGUGCUGCCGGACAAGAUCCGGACAGGCAAGAACUUCUGCGCCAACUAAAGGCCGGCGAGAGGGUGCUGCAUAAGGUGCAUCAUGAAAGGAACAAGCUAUAGGAUUCCCAUGCCCAGCUUGGAGAAGAGCUGAAAGGCGUUCGGGCCGAGCUAUCGGGCUCUGUUAAGGAGAAUCAGCGGCUUCGUCGCGACAUCUAUAGUAAGUGCUUGAGCGAACUCCUUUGAAAAGAAGAGUUCGGCGAGGUAGUCAAGUUAACAGAAUAUGUCUGCAGGUAUGCUCACAGGUCGCCCUGCGGAGGAGAUGCCCAUAUCAACGGUUGACCAACUUCCCGAAUUGUUGCAACUGAUCGAACGAGUUCGGCAGGUAAUGAGCGGCGUCAUCCAGGCUUUAUGGCCAGCCUUCUCCUUACCCGAGGGUCUUGGGGAGCUUGCGGAGAAGCUUCAGGGAGUGCGGCAGCGCUUCCAUUUAUGGAAGAUUUCGGCCUGCCGCCAAGGUGCCAGGGAGGCCUGGGCCAUGGUAAAGACACGGUACAAGAAGGCGGAUCCCAACCACAUGGCCGAAGUCGGACCUGUGGGGCCCGAUGGGAAGGAGAUCCCUGUGAGUUUAGUAUACGGCCAAGUAGAGUUGGCCGCUAAAUUUUCCCAACAGGACUGUAAAUUAGACAGCCUGUUAGACGGGAUUGAAGAAGAAUAUAAUCAGUCGAUUUGACAAUGUAUUAUAAAAUGACAUGUAAAAUGCCUUCUAGCCGGAUUGUAGAUCGUUUGUCUUUGCCGACUUUUCGCUUCGACCUCGGGACCCUAGAGUCCGGAGUGUGUCCGAAUACCUUCUCGGUUAUGAAACAACCAGGGUAUGCAUGGAGACCAGGCGUAGGGGUCAUUAGUGCUUUAUCAGACAAGUGCCCAACUAGUUAUGUUAUAUUACAUGGGUAGUAAGAAACAUCUUCCAGGGAGAAUAGUUCCGUUAAGGGUUCCUUUCCUCUGGGGGUGGCAUGCCCUAAAGUGCAUGUCCGGACUGCGAAAAAAGCAGAAAAACAUCUGGGGGCAGAUAAAUAAGUAGAUAAAAAAUAAUCUUUUAAGUCACCGACCGAAUAUUCCCUUAAGAACGCUAGCUUUCGGCUUCACCCAGUCUGAGGUACACAUCCGGCUGACCCGGCAGUAACAAUCGCAGAGGUGCUCCCCUUUACCUCCUAGCUGAACAAUCAGGAACGUAGGGGUAAGCACAGGAGCCAGGCAACCCAGCUUGGCCAAAACUUAAGUCAUAUCAAUGCAUAUAAUGGUGAAUAAAAGGUACAUGUGGAGGCUUGACACAUGUGCUGGGCAUGAAGCCCUUAUACUUAAGCUUCUGGUAAAGAAGCCCCCAGGUAUAAUGAGUGCGGAUAGCACAUCAAUUACGCGCGAACGUUGCGCAAGUAGGCCCUUUAAGGCUUGGAUGAAUAGGGUUGAGAAGAAAAAGAUAAACAAAAGGCAGCUGAAGUAAAAAAAUUUUGGACGGGGGGAAAGGGACGAACACUUAGUCCGGCGCUAGGCAUAGAAUCUUUGGAGGCGGGCUGAGUUCCAUGGGUUCGGCUCGAGUCGGUUAUCCGAUGCAUUUCGUAGACGGUACGCUCCGCCGGUCAGGACUUGAUCGAUGAUGAAGGGGCCUUCCCAUUUGGGCUUGAGUUUGUCCUUUUUCUUGUCCGGCAGGCAUAGAACCAGUUCGCCGACGUUGUAAGUCUUGGCCCGUACUUAUCUGCUUUGGUAUCUUCGAGCCUGCUGCUGAUAGAAUGCAGAACGAGCCUUGGCGACGUCGCGUUCUUCCUCCAAUGCGUCCAAGCUGUCCUACCGAUCCAACUCGUCUUCUCUUUCUUCGUACAUGCGCACUCUAGGUGAGUCAUGAAUUAUGUCGUAGGGCAAAACUGCUUCUGCGCCGUAUACCAUAAAAAAUGGUGUGAAUCCGGUAGUACGGUUAGGCGUUGUCCGCAGCCCCCAGAGUACGGAGUCGAGCUCCUCUACCUAGUGCGUGUUAGAUUUCGUAAGGGACGGCACUAGUCUAGGUUUGACGCCGCUCAUUAUUAGACCAUUUGCUCGUUCCACUUGACCGUUGGUUUGAGGAUGAUAGACUGAAGCGUAAUCGAGCUUGAUGCCCAUAUUUUUGCACCAUGAUUUAACCUCAUCGGCCGUGAAGUUCGUGCCGUUAUCGGUGAUGAUGCUGUGGGGGACACCAUAACGGUGUACUACCCCGGAUAUAAAGUCUAUCACUGGUCCGGACUCUGCCGUUUUAACUGGCUUGGCCUCUAUCCAUUUGGUGGAUUUAUCCACCAUGACCAAUAGGUACCUUUGCUUGUGGGUUCCCCCUUUAAGUGGUCCAACCAUGUCAAGCCCCCGGACCGCGAACGGCCAGGUAAUGGGUAUAGUUUUGAGGGCGGUGGGUGGCAUAUGGCUCUGAUUAGCAAAGAGCUGACAACCGACGCAUCUUUGGACUAAGUCCUGAGCAUCUGCUCGGGCCGUCGACCAAUAAAAUCCUGUACGGAAUGCCUUUCCUACAAGGGCCCGAGCUGCGGCGUGGUGUCCACCUAGUCCGGCAUGAAUUUCAGCCAGGAGGUUUCGCCCUUCCUCUUCGGAGAUACACCUUGGAAGGACUCCGGUUGUGCUUUUCUUAUAAAGUUCUCCCUCAUAGACCUUGUAGGCUUUAGAUCACCGGACAAUGCAGCGGGCCUUAUUUUGGUCUUCGGGAAGCUCCUGCCUUAGCAAGUAGGCGAGGAAUGGUUCUGUCCACGGGGCAAUUACUGCCAUUAUGUCGUGGGCUGAAGGUGUUAUGUCAUCGGCUGAAUCGCCGGUUGGUGCGGCUUGUUCCGGUUUGUUAUUUCCGGACUCCUCUUCCCAUAGUACGGAUGGCUUGAAGAGCUGUUCCAGGAAGAUGUUAGGAGGGACAGUGUCGCGUUCUGCGCCGAUGCGUGCCAGUACGUCGGCUGCUUGGUUAUUAUCCCGGGCUAUGUGAUGGAAUUCAAGUCCUUCAAACCAGGCUGACAUUUUUAGGACAGCGUUGCGAUAUGCUGCCAUUUUUGGAUCUUUGGCGUCAAAGUCUCCGUUUAUUUGGGAUAUUGCGAGGUUUGAAUCCCCGCGCACCUCUAGGCGUUGAAUGCCCAUGGAGAUUGCCAUCCGGAGACCAUGUAAAAGGGCCUCGUAUUUGGCUGCGUUGUUGGAGUCCGUGUACAUUAUCUGAAGUACGUAUUGGACUGUGUCCCCGGUCGGGGACGUCAAUACGACGCUAGCCCCCAAUCCGGCUAACAUUUUAGAGCCAUCGAAGUGCAUAAUCCAAUUGGAGUAUGCGCCGUACUCUUUAGGGAGUUCGGCUUCGGUCCAUUCAGCGACAAAGUCAGCCAAAACUUGUGACUUUAUAGCUCGCCGAGGUUUGUAAGUUAUAUCAAAUGGUAAGAGCUCAAUGGCCCAUUUUGCAAUCCUGCCCGUCGCGUUGCGGUUGUUUAUAAUGUCGUUAAGUGGUACUUCAGAGGCCACUGUUAUCGAACACUCUUGAAAGUAGUGUCGGAGCUUCCGGGAUGCCAUGAACACCGCGUAUGCUAUCUUCUGAUAGUGCGGGUAACGGGAUUUGCAGGGGUUAACACAGUGGAUACGUAGUAUACUAGUUUUUGAAGAGGGAAUUUAUGCCCUUCUGUCUCUCGUUCGACGACGAGUACCGCGCUUGCAACCUGAUGGGUUGCUGCGAUGUAUAACAACAUUGGUUUGCCCAGGUUGGGCGCAGCCAGGACCGAAUUUGUUGCCAAUAUGGCCUUUAUUUCUUCGAGUCCGGCGGUGGCAGCAUCCGUCCACUCGAAGUGUUCGGUGCGCCUAAGGAGGCGAUAGAGGGGCAAUGCCUUUUCUCCUAGACGGGAGAUAAAGCGGCUUAGAGCCGCCACGCAUCCAGUCAAUUUUUGUAUUUGCUUGAGGUCUUUUGGGAUAUCUAGCUGUGAUAGAGCUUGGAUCUUGGCUGGGUUUGCUUCAAUUCCUCUACCGGAUACGAUGAAGCCCAGCAGCUUUCCAGCUGGUAUGCCGAAAACGCAUUUUUCCGGAUUCAGCUUGAUGUCAUAUGCUCUGAGGUUGUCGAAUGUGAGCCUCAAGUCGUCUACUAGAGUUUCGACGUGUUUAGUUUUGACGACUACGUCGUCUACGUAUGCCUCUACUGUUUUGCCGAUCUGGGUAGCCAGACAUGUCUGAAUCAUGCGCUAAUAUGUUGCGCCGGCGUUUUUAAGUCCGAAGGGCAUCGUGUUGAAGCAGAAUGGUCCAUAUGGAGUAAUGAAUGCCGUUGCGGCUUGAUCUGCUUCUGCCAUCUUGAUUUGAUGAUAGCCGGAGUAUGCGUCCAGGAAGCACAAUGAAUCGUGCCCUGCAGUGGCAUCGAUGAUUUGGUCGAUGCGGGGGAGGGGGAAGGGAUCCUUUGGGCAGGCUUUAUUUAGGUCUUUGAAAUCGACACAUAGGCGCCAGGAUUUGUCCUUCUUUGGUACCAUUACCAGGUUUGUUAGCCAAUCCGGAUGUUUGAUGUCUCUGAUGAAUCCGGCUUCCAAUAGUUUGGCUAGCUCUUCUCCCAUUGCCUGUCUUUUGGGUUCGGAAAAUCGUCGAAGAGCCUGUUUGACUGGCUUGAAUCCUUUUAGGAUGUUUAGGCUGUGUUUUGCCAAUCUGCGUGGGAUUCCGGGCAUAUCCAAGGGGUGCCAGGCAAAAAUGUCCCAAUUUUCCCGAAGGAAUUCUCGCAGUGCGGCGUCUACAUCAGGGUUCAAUUGUGCCCCGAUGGAGGCCGUCUUUGUCGGGUCCGUUGGGUGGACCUGGAAUUUUACUAUUUCAUCUGCUGGUUUAAAGGAGGUGGACUUGGAUCUCUUAUCGAGUAUCACAUCGUCCCUAUUCACCGUAGAGCGCAGCGCGGUGAGUUCCUCUGCCGCUAGGGCUUCGGAUAGUGCCUCUAAGGCUAAUGCGGCUGUCUUGUUUUCGGCACGGAGUGCUAUGUCCGGAUCACUAACGAGAGUGAUUAUUCCGCCGGGCCCAGGCAUUUUGAGCUUCAUGUACCCGUAAUGGGGUACGGCUUGAAAAAUUGUGAAUGCCUCUCGUCCUAAUAUAGCGUGAUAUCCGCUGUUGAACGGGGCCACUUGGAACGUGACUUCUUCGGAUCUGUAAUUGUCCGGUGAGCCAAAUACCACAUCGAGUGUGAUUUUUCCUGUGCAGCGCGCCUCCCGGCUAGGGAUUAUUCCUCUAAAGGUUGUGCUGCUUCGCUCAAUGCGGCUCCAGUCUAUUUCCAUUUUUUGAAGGGUUUCCUCGUAGAUGAGGUUUAAUCCGCUGCCGCCAUCCAUGAGGACUUUUGUAAGUCGAAAGUCGUCCACUAUUGGACUAAGUACCAGUGCUGCUGGAGCUCGGGCUGUUCGGAAUUUAGGUUCGUCGCUGGCGUUGAAGGUGAUGGCCGUGUCACUCCAUGGAUUGGUUGUUGCUACUUGGUAGACUUCAGCGAGGCUGCGGAUUGUUCGUUUCCGCAUAUUAUGUGAUGCGAAAGUCUCGAAGACUGUUGAUACCGUACCGAUGUUGUUGGAGUGGUUUUCCGGGGCUAGAAGCUCCUCUCCACUUUUGGCCACCUGCCGUAAUAUCCAACAUGCUCGAAGGCUAUGUGUUGGGACGGCGCCUUCUGUACUGUGAAUUUUACAGGGUCCGCUAAGCCAUCCCUCCAGUACGGUUCCGUGCCCUUUGUGGGGUUUUUGCUUUUUGGUUUUUGUAUCUGGUGCCUGAGUGUAAUGCACCCUUUUGUUGCGGACUAGGGUUGUAUUCGGGGCCGGAUUGUCCCAAAACUUAUUUUCGGUUGUCCGGAAACUCUCCAUCGCACAGUACUUUCGUACUAUGGACGCCAGGUCGGCGAAGCGUGUAAUUUCACGACGGCUGACGGUGUUCAAGAUUCCCUCGUCCGUGUAAUUAUUGCAAAAAAUUGAGAUUGCGUUUUCCUCUCGGCAGUCCUUUAUCAUGUCCAUAACCAGGAGGAAUCUGGCCCAGUAGUGAUGUACUGUCUCAGCAGGCUCUUGCCGGAUUAGAGAUAGAUCGCAUAUGUCUGGGCGGGUGGGUGGAAUUAAGUCCGGAACCCUACCCAUCUCAAGGCUCGAAGGCCGAGAAGUUUCCAAAUUUGGAAGCUUGGAUUGCUGGACGUUGUCCAACGAGUCUGGUCCGAUGCCUGACUUUAAGUUCAGUGCUUGAUCGAAGUCCGUCCCUCCGCGGGAAUCCGGCAUGGGGGGUUCGGGAGCCCGGACAUGACUAGUUUUCAAUACAGGAGAAGAGUCGCCGCAUUGUUCCUCUACCACUGCAACGUGGUGGGUGACCUGGGGAGAGUUAAUCUCUCUCAGAUCGGUUUUAAGCCCAAUCUGAUUGUAGUCUGUAGCGACUCCCAGGGCAGCGAUGCGAUCCAAGAGCUCGUUUACGGACGAGAGCUCUAUUGGAUCUAGCCACUCGGCGAAUUCCGAGCUGACGUGAAGAUUGCUUUUGACGACUUGAGAGGUCAUUGUCGAAGCGGUGGCCGGACAGACGGUCAUAAGAAAACCACCUAGCCAGAUAGUUUGGUCGGUGGCCAAGGCUCCUUUGGCGAAAAUACCGUCCUUGAAGACGGGAGGAGGCAUCCUUCCUAUCGGUGACGGCACAGAGGAACUCUCAAUGAAAGCACCAAUGUCGGUGUCAAAACCGGCGGAUCAUGGGUAGGGGGUCCCGAACUGUGCGUCUAGGCGGAUGGUAACAGGAGACAAGGGACACGAUGUUUUACCCAGGUUCGGGCCCUCUUGAUGGAGGUAAAACCCUACGUCCUGCUUGAUUGAUAUUGAUAUUGUUGAUGUUUACAAGAGUGGAUCUACCACGAGAUCAAGGAGGCUAAACCCUAAAAGCUAGCCUAUGGUAUGAUUGUAAUGGUUGUUCUUGUGUCCUACGGACUAGAGCCAUCCGGUUUAUAUAGACACCGGAGAGAGCUAGGGUUACAUAGAGUCGGUUACAAUGGUAGGAGAUCUAUCCGUAUCGCCAAGCUUGCCUUCCACGCCAAGGAAAGUCCCAUCCGGACACGGGACGAAGUCUUCAACCUUGUAUCUUCAUAGUCUUGGAGUCCGGUCGAUGAUGAUAGUCUGGCCGAUGAUAGUUCGGCCGAUGAUGGUAGUCCGGCUAUCCGGACACCCCCUAAUCCAGGACUCCCUCAAUAGGCUUCUUCAAAAGUCUGUAUAAAACCAUAUGCUUUGAUCAACUCAUCAAAGCGUAUAUUCCAACUCCGAGAUGCUUGCACCAGUCCAUUGAUGGAUUGCUAGAGCAUGCACACUUUGUUAGCAUCUUUAGGAUUGACAAAAACUUUCUGGUUGCAUCAUAUACAACUCUUCUUUAAUAAAUCCAUUAAAGAAUGCAGUUUUGACAUCCAUUUGCCAGAUUUCAUAAAAUGUGGCAAUUGCUAACAUGAUUUAGACAGACUUAAGCUUCGAUACGAGUGAGAAAAUCUCAUCGUAUUCAACACCUUGAACUUAUUGAAAACAUUUCGCAACAAGUCGAGCUUAGUAGAUAGUAACACUACUAUCAAUGUCCGUCUUCCUCUUGAAGAUCCAUUUAUUUAACAUGGCUUGCUGAUCAUCGAGCAAGUCAAUCAAAGUCCAUACUUUGUUCUCAUACAUGGAUCAUAUCUCAGAUUUUAUGGCCUCAAGCCAUUUCGUGGAAUCUGGGCUCAUCAUCGCUUCCUCAUAGUUCGUAGGUUCAUCAUGGUCUAGUAACAUGACUUCCAGAACAGGAUUACCGUACCACUCUGGUGCGGAUCUUACUCUGGAAGACCUACGAGGUUCUGUAGUAACUUAAUCUGAAGUUUCAUGAUCAUCAUCUUUAACUUCCUCACUAAUUGGUGUAGUAGUCACAGGAACAGAUUUCUGUGAUGAACUACUUUCCAAUAAGGGAGCAGGUACAGUUACCUCAUCAAGUUCUACUUUCCUCCCACUCACUUCUUUCGAGAGAAACUCCUUAUCUAGAAAGGAUCCAUUUUUAGCAAUGAAUAACUUGCCUUCCGAUCUGUGAUAGAAGGUGUACCCAAUAGUUAACUUUGGGUAUUCUAUGAAGACGCACUUCUCCGAUUUGGGUUUGAGCUUAUCAGGUUGAAACUUUUUUCAUAUAAGCAUUGCAACUCCAAACUUUAAGAAACGACAGCUUAGGUUUACUGCUAAACCAUAGUUCAUACGGUGUCGUCUCAACGGAUUUAGAUGGUGCCCUUUUAAAUGUGAAUGCAGCUGUUCUCUAAUGCACAACCCCAAAACGAUAGUGGUAAAACCGAUAAGAGACAUCAUAGAUCGCACCAUAUCUAGUAAAGUACGAUUACGACAUUCGGACACACCAUUUCGUUGUGGUGUUCCGGGUGGCGUGAGUUGCGAAACUAUUCCGCAUUGUUUUAACUGAAGACCAAAACUCGUAACUCAAAUAUUCGUCUCCGCGAUCAGAUCGGAGAAACUUUAUUUUCUUGUUACAAUGAUUUUUCCACUUCACUCUGAAAUUCUUUGAACCUUUCAAUUAUUUCAGACUUAUGUUUCAUCAAGAAGAUAUACUUAUAUCUGCUCAAAUCAUCUCGUGAAGGUCAGAAAAUAACGAUACCCGCCACGAGCAUCAACACUCAUUGGACCGCAUACAUUGGUAUGUAUUAUUUCCAAUAAGUCACUAGCUCGUUCCAUUGUUCCAGAGAACGGAGUUUUAGUCAUCUUGCCCAAAAGGCACGGUUCGCAAGCAUCAAAUGAUUCAUAACCAAGUGAUUCCGAAAAUCCAUCUUUAUAGAGUUUCUUCAUGCGCUUUACACCGAUAUGACCCAAACGGCAGUGCCACAAAUAAGUUGCACUAUCAUUAUUAACUUUUCAUCUUUUGGCAUCAAUAUUAUGAAUAUGUGUAUCACUACGAUCGAGAUCCAACAAACUAUUUUCAUUGGGUGUAUGACCAUUGAAGGUUUUAUUCAUGUAAACAGAACAACAAUUAUUCUCUGACUUUAAAUGAAUAACCGUAUUGCAAUAAACAUGAUCAAAUCAUAUUCAUGCUCAACGCAAACGCCAAAUAACAUUUAUUUAGGUUUAACACUAAUCCCGAAAGUAUACGGAGUGUGCGAUGAUGAUCAUAUCAAUCUUGGAACCACUUCCAACACACAUCGUCACUUCACCCUCAACUAGUUUCUGUUUAUUCUGUAACUCCUGUUUCGAGUUACUAAUAUUUAGCAACCGAACAAGUAUCAAAUACUCAGGGGCUACUAUAAACACUAGUAAAGUAUACAUCAAUAACAUGUAUAUCAAAUAUACCCUUGUUCACUUUGCCAUCCUUUUUAUCCACCAAAUAUUCAGGGUAUUUCCGCUUCUAGUGACCAUUUCCUUUGCAGUAUAAUCACUCAGUUUCAGGCUUUGGUCCAGCUUUGGGCUUCUUCGCGGGACUGACAACUUGCUUGUCAUUCUACUUGAAGUUCCCUUUCUUUCCCUUUGCCCUUUUCUUGAAAAUAGUGAUCUUGUCAACCAUCAACACUUGAUGCUCUUUCUUGAUUUCUACCUUCGUCGAUUUCAACAUCACGAAGAUCUCGGGAAUCAUUUUCGUCAUCCCUUGCAUACUAUAGUUCAUCACGAAGUUCUAGUAACUUAGUGAUGGUGAAUAGAGAAUUCUGUCAAUCACUAUCUUAUCUGGAAGAUUAACUCCCACUUGAUUCAAGUGAUUGAAGUACCCAGACAAUCUGAGCACAUGCUCACUAGUUGAGCGAUUCUCCUCCAUCUUUUAGCUAUAGAACUUGUUGGAGACUUCAUAUCUCUCAACUCGGGUAUUUGCUGGAAAUAUUAACUUCAACUCGUGGAACAUCUCAUAUGGUCCAUGAUGUUCAAAACGUCUUUGAAGUCCCGAUUCUAAGCCGUAAAGCAUGGUGCACAAAACUAUCAAGUAGUCAUCAUAUUGAGCUAGCCAAACGUUCAUAACGUCUGCAUCUGCUCCUGCAAUAGGUCUGUCACCUAGCGGUGCAUUAAGGACAUAAUUCUUCUAUGCAGCAAUGAGGAUAAACCUCAGAUCACGGAUCUAAUCCGCAUCAUUGCUACUAACAUCUUUCAACACAAUUUUCUCUAGGAACAUAUCAAAACAUAUGAAAGCAACAACGCAAGCUAUUGAUCUACAACAUAAUUUGCAAAAUACUACCAGGACUAAGUUCAUGAUAAAUUAAAGUUCAAUUAAUCAUAUUACAUAAGAACUCCCACUUAGAAAGACAUCUCUCUAAUCCUUUAAGUGAUUACGUGAUCCAUAUCAACUACACCAUGUCCGAUCUUCACGUGAGAUGGAGUAGUUUCAACGGUGAACAUCAAUAUGUUGAUCAUAUCUACUAUAUGAUUCACGCUCGACCUUUCGGUCUCCGUGUUCCGAGGCCAUAUCUGUAUAUGCUAGGCUUGUCAAGUUUAACUCAAGUAUUCCGCGUGUGCAACUGUUUUGCACCCGUUGUAUUUGAACGUAGAGCCUAUCACACUCGAUCAUCACGUGGUGUCUCAGCACGAAGAACUUUCGCAACACUGCAUACUCAGGGAGAACACUUCUUGAUUAUUAGUGAGAGAUCAUCUUAAAAUGCUACCGUCAAUCAAAGCAAGAUAAGAUGCAUAAAGGAUAAACAUCACAUGCAAUCAAUAUAAGUGAUAUGAUAUGGCCAUCAUCAUCUUGUGCUUGUGAUCUCCAUCUUCGAAGCACCGUCGUGAUCACCAUCGUCACCGGCGCGACACCUUGAUCUCCAUCGUAGCAUCAUUAUCGUUACGCCAUCUAUUGCUUAUACGACUAUCGCUACCGCUUAGAGAUAAAGUAAAGCAAUUACAGGGCGUUUGCAUUUCAUACAAUAAAGCGACAACCAUAUGGCUCCUGCCAGUUGCCGAUAACUUCGGUUACAAAACAUGAUCAUCUCAUAAAAUAAAAUAUAGCAUCACGUCUUGACCAUAUCACAUCACAACAUGCCCUGCAAAAACAAGUUAGACGUCCUCUACUUUGUUGUUGCAAAUUUUACGUGGCUGCUACGGGCUUUAGCAAGAACCAUUCUUACCUACGCAUAAAAACCACAACGAUAGUUCGUCAAGUUGGUGCUGUUUUAACCUUCGCAAGGACCGGGCGUAGCCACACUCGAUUCAGCUAAAGUGAGAGAGACAGACACCCGCCAGCCACCUUUAAGCACGAGUGCUCGCAACAGUGAAACCAGUCUCGCGUAAGCGUACGCGUAAUGUCGGUCCGGGCCGCUUCAUCUCACAAUACCGCCGAACCAAAGUAUGACAUGCUGGUAAGAAGUAUGACUUGUAUCGCCCACAACUCACUUGUGUUCUACUCGUGCAUAUAACAUCAAGGCAUAAAACCUAGGCUCUGAUGCCACUGUUGGGGAACGUAGUAAUUUCAAAAAAAUUCCUACGUACAUGCAAGAUCAUGGUGAUGGCAUAGCAACGAGAGGAGAGAGUGUUGUCCACGUACCCUCGUAGACCGUAAGCGGAAGCGUUAUGACAACGCGGUUGAUGUAGUUGUACGUCUUCAUGAUCCGACCGAUCCAAGUACCGAACGUACGGCACCUCCGAGUUCAGCACACGUUCAGCUCGAUGACGAUCCCCGGGCUCCGAUCCAGCAAAGCUUCGGGGAUGAGUUCCGUCAGCACGACGGUGUGGUGACGAUGAUGAUGCUCUACCGGCGCAGGGCUUCGCCUAAACUCCGCGACGAUAUGACCGAGGUGGAAUAUGGUGGAGGGGGGGCACCGCACACGGCUAAGGAACGAUCCGUAGAUCAACUUGUGUGUUCAUGGGGUGCCCCCCGCCCCCGUAUAUAAAGGAGCCAGGGGGGAGGAGGCGGCCGGCCAAGGAGGGCGCGCCAAGGGGGGAGUCCUACUCCCACCGGGAGUAGGACUCCCUUCUUUCCUAGUUGGAAUAGGAGAAGGGGGGAAAGAGGAGGAAGAGGGGAAGGAAAGGGGGGGCGCCGCCCCCCUUCCCUUGUCCUAUUCGGACCAAGAAGGGGAGGGGUGCGCGGCCCCCUCCUGCCUCCUUCCCUCUUCUCCCUCGAGGCCCAUGUAGGCCCAAUAACCCCCUGGGGGGUUCCGGUAACCUCCCGGUGCUCCGGUAAAAAUGCCGAUUUCACCCGGAAUGAUUCCGAUGUCCAAAUAUAGGCUUCCAAUAUACCGAUCUUUAUGUCUCGACCAUUUUGAGACUCCUCGUUACGUCCGUGAUCACAUCCGGGACUCCGAACAAACUUCGGUACAUCAAAACUUAUAAACUCAUAAUAAAACUAUCAUCGCAACGUUAAGUGUGCGGACCCUACGGGUUCGAGAACUAUGUAGACAUGACCUAGAACUAUUCUCGGUCAAUAACCAAUAGCGGAACCUGGAUGCCCAUAUUGGUUCCUACAUAUUCUACGAAGAUCUUUAUCGGUGAAACCGCAUAACAACAUACGUUGUUCCCUUUGUCAUCGGUAUGUUACUUGCCCGAGAUUUGAUCGUCGGUAUCCAAUACCUAGUUCAAUCUCGUUACCGGCAAGUCUCUUUACUCGUUCCGUAAUGCAUCAUUCCGUAACCAACUUAUUUGGUCACAUUGCUUGCAAGGCUUAUAAAGAUGUGCAUUGCCGAGAGGGCCCAGAGAUACCUCUCCGACAAUCGGAGUGACAAAACCUAAUCUCGUAAUACGCCAACUCAACAUGUACCUUCGGAGACACCUGUAGUACUCCUUUAUAAUCACCCAGUUAUGUUGUGACGUUUGGUAGUACUCAAAGUGUUCCUCCGGUAAACGGGAGUUGCAUAUUUCUCAUAGUUACAGGAAUAUGUAUAAGUCAUGAAUAAAGCAAUAGCAAUAUACUAAACGAUCAAGUGCUAGGCUAACGGAAUGGGUCAUGUCAAUCACAUCAUUCUUCUAAUGAUGUGAUCCCAUUAAUCAAAUGACAACACAUGUCUAUGGUUAGGAAACAUAACCAUCUUUGAUUAAUGAGCUAGUCAAGUACAGGCAUACUAGUGACUAUAUGUUUGUCUAUGUAUUCAGACAUGUAUCAUGUUUUCGGUUAAUACAAUUCUAGCAUGAAUAAUAAACAUUUAUCAUGAAAUAAGGAAAUAAAUAAUAAUUUUAUUAUUGCCUCUAGGGCAUAUUUCCUUCAGAAACAUCCUCUCCAAAAAGCCUCAUAAUCUUCUUGUCACGGCGGCGACUCUCCUUGGAGACAACGUGAGUCCUAUACUGCCUCUUUUCCUGCAUACAAAACAAUGCCUUCAUCUUGUUCUUCAGCCUCUUAGCCCAGGAUGGCUCAGAGGUGGGAGGGAUGUAACCCUCAGAGUUGUCCUCGUCCGCUGCCUCCUCCUCCUCGUCACCCGCAUCCACAUCCAUGGCAGCCGCGGCCUCAGCAUGAGAAGUGGUGUUAGCCCACUGAGUCUUGACACGGAGCCUGAUGGACUCAUGUCGAAUCCAACCAGAGGCCUCAAACUCAUCCUGAGGGUAGAGCUUAUCCCAAGUAGCCGAGAUCAAAUGAAACAGAUAAGGUCCAUAGAUGGGGACCUUGAGGUUGUAGACCGCAAACCGAAGCUCACACCACAUGAUAUGUGAGACAUCAAGUGGUAGCGUCUUAGAGUUGCGCGCUUCCUCACACAGGAGCAGCAUGUCCACAAGAUAAGCAUGCACCUUGUCCUUGUCACCAAUGCGUGGAAAGAGAGUGUUGCGGAAGAUCCGGUACAUGAUGUCAAGGAAGGAGUUGAGCACCCAAGAUGACUUGCUACUAGAGAGCUUCUUCUCAACAUAGAAGGGCUAAAUCUUGUUCUUGUUGGCUGACUCGGGAUUGGCAUGAGGACGAACACACUGGGGUGUGGCGAGCCCCUCAUCCUGAACACCAAGCAAAGUCAUGAACUCCUUCCACGUAGCAGUCAGCUGCUGACCAUUGGUCAUCCAAGUCAUAGUCCGUUCCUCAUUAGGAUGAAAGUGCACCGAGGCAAAGAACUGAGCCACAAUCUCAGGAUCAAAGUCUUUGUGAAAAGAGAUGAUGUGCUCAAUGCCAAAUUGCUCCACUAGAUCCAAAGCCUCACCAAAGUAGUCCCGGUGCUUCUCUUCCCUCAUAUGAUGCAUGUCGAUCCAGUGCACAUCCACAUAGAUGUUUCGCUUGGCCUUGAUCACAUCCAGAUAAAAUGAGAUUCUGCUGCUUGGUCCAGAACAGGUCAUUCCCUUGAAAGUUGGCACGAGGAUGCACAUAGGGAUUGAUCUUCCUUCGAGAAAUGAACUCAACAAGUGGCAUCUCAUCCAUGCCCAUGGCGGGUUCCUUGUCCUUGGUGGCGGUGGUCUUGGUCCUGUGUUGGGGGGUAUGUAACGCCCCGGAUCCGAUGCGCCAGGUGUCUGCCAGUUAUUCGCCAUAGUUGCCAUGUCAUUUUGCUUGCGUGUUGCAUUUUAUCAUGUCAUCAUGUGCAUUUCAUUUUGCAUACGUGUUCGUCUCAUGCAUCUGAGCAUUUUCCCCGUUGUCCAUUUUGCAAUCCGGCACUCCUAUGCCCUCCGGCGUCCCCCUCUUCUCUCUUUUCAUGUGCGGGUGUUAAACUUUCUCGGAAUGGCCCGAGGCUUUCCAAGUGGCGUUGGUAUAGCACCGGUAGACCGCCUGUCAAGUUUCGUGCCAUUUGGAGUUCGUUUGGUACUCCAACGGUUAACCGGGUAACCGUAAAACCCCCCUUCUCUUUGCAGCCCAACACCCCUUCCAAACUGGCCCAAAACCCAUCUAACUUCCCUCCACGCUCUCGGUCGUUCGAUCACGAUCGUGUGGGCAAAAACCGCUCCUCAUUUGGACUCUCCUAGCUCCCUCUACCUAUAAAUAUGUGCCUCCCCCGUCCAAAUCGCAGAUGAAACCCUAAUUUUCCCCUCUGCGCCGCGCCGUACAUGUCCGGAUCGGACUGGACACGUCCGCGCCGCCGCCCGCAGCCAAUCCCACCUCGCCACCUGUCCGCCCGCGCCGUCNNNNNNNNNNNNNNNNNNNNNNNNNNNNNNNNNNNNNNNNNNNNNNNNNNNNNNNNNNNNNNNNNNNNNNNNNNNNNNNNNNNNNNNNNNNNNNNNNNNNNNNNNNNNNNNNNNNNNNNNNNNNNNNNNNNNNNNNNNNNNNNNNNNNNNNNNNNNNNNNNNNNNNNNNNNNNNNNNNNNNNNNNNNNNNNNNNNNNNNNNNNNNNNNNNNNNNNNNNNNNNNNNNNNNNNNNNNNNNNNNNNNNNNNNNNNNNNNNNNNNNNNNNNNNNNNNNNNNNNNNNNNNNNNNNNNNNNNNNNNNNNNNNNNNNNNNNNNNNNNNNNNNNNNNNNNNNNNNNNNNNNNNNNNNNNNNNNNNNNNNNNNNNNNNNNNNNNNNNNNNNNNNNNNNNNNNNNNNNNNNNNNNNNNNNNNNNNNNNNNNNNNNNNNNNNNNNNNNNNNNNNNNNNNNNNNNNNNNNUCCGCCGCCCGUGCUCCGCCCGAUCUAGGCCGCGCCCCUCCCCCGCACCUCGCCUGAGCUCACCAACGUCGCCGUCGGGCAUCCCGCGUCGCCGCCGACGUUCGCCGGAACCAGGUGCCGCCUUCCCCGCGCCCCUGCUCCUCCCGGCGGCGACCGGAGCCUUCUCGUCCCCGCCUCCAUCCUCGCCGGGCUGCCCGAGCCCCGCCGUGCCCCGAUCCGGUGUCCAGCCACCAGAUCCGGCAGGCCUGGGCCCGGAUCCGCCUCCUCUGCCCAGCCUGCGCUGCCGCCGCCGACGUUCGCCGGCGAGCUCGAGCUGCCGGUUGCCGCGCUACCCGCUCGCGUUGACCCAGCGAGGGCCCCGUGGAGGCCCAGCCCGCCAAGCCUUCCCUGGCCUGCUUCCUCUUCAUGGGCCGAGCCCAGGGUGAGCAGUCCUCUAAACCCCGCUCUGGGCGCCUCGUAGUUAUUCGUCGCUCACCCAUUUUUUUUCUGUAAAUCGUCUGCCCCUAAGUUUUUGUCAUUUUCAUGCCAUGUUCAACCUGCUGUAUCUCUGUGCAUGCAGCUCCGUUUCGUGCGUGUAAUAUGUCAAAUUGUUCGUCUCAACGAGUACAUCAUUUCAUUCCAUUGCAUCAUAUUCAUUUGAGGUCAUCUUGAUGCCUGAAUAAUCGUUGUAAGAGUGCUUCAUGAUGUUUUCUACUGUCUGUUAACAGAACGAGCUCUUUUGUCUUUUUUGCCAUGAUUGAUGUGUGCAUCCUAUGAGGUUGAUGUCUACAUGUGUUUUGAUCUAUGCUAUGUCUUCUUUACAGAGGUGCUUACCAUGUAUUUUUGUGAUCAAUGUGGUGACUAGCACAAGCAUGCAAACUAGGCAUCGUGAUGUUGCAGAUUUUAGUCCAUGUUCUGCUGUUAUUUUGAUGCCAUGUAAGCUUGAUGUUACAGAGAGGUCCAUGCAUAUUUUGAGAUACUUCAGUAAGGAUGUUUUGAACAUGUGGUUAUUUUCUAUCCAUUCAUGCCCUUGUUUGCAUUUAUGGAGUAGUCUAGCAUGUCAUUUGAGUGCUCUACUUUUGCUUCAAAAUGUUUCCUGGCAGAUUGUUUACAUGUUAUUCAAUUUGGCCAAGCUUGUUGUAGUUGAUCCGUGCAUGCUAUGGACUUGUUCUUGACUUGGUUUGUUUCACAAACAUGCCUUCUUGAUGAUGCUAUGCUUAUCUUGUCAUGCAAUGACUUGUGGUGAGUGAAUAGAGCUUGUUAAGUAGGGUACAUGAUGUUGCUGUUUUGCUAGGCUGAAUCUGUUAUUUCGUGAUGCUAUAUAAACAUGUUGCUACUAAUCAUUCUAUGCAUAAUCUGGAGAUGUUCUAUAAAUAUGUUUUGAUCUACAUGUCAUCCUCUAUCCAUCCAUGCCCCUGGUUGCAUUUAUAGGUUGCUGUAUCUUGUUGUAAUCUUGCUCUAAAGUUGCUUCAUAAUGUUGUUGUCAGCCUGUUAACAUUAAGUUCAGUUGUUUCCAUGUGUUUUGCUAGUGUUCCAUGCACCCUAGGAACUUGCUAUUGCCAUGCUUAUCUUCACAAACAUGUCUUCUUACUGUUGGUUGCCUUGCCAUGCUAUUUAUUGCUCUGUGGUGAGUGGUACAAGCUCAUCUACAUGCCUUCAUAAUUCUGUUUCUGCCAUGUUUGAAUCUGUAUUAUAACUUGCUAUGUUUACGUGGGUGCCAUCAUAUUUUCUGAUCCUUUUUGGCUUAUGGUCAGUAAGGGACUUUUGAUCUAUGCAAUUAGUAGAUUCAUGUCAUGCCUUUGUUUGCCAUUAUAAGUUCCUUUAACAUGUUGUUUGAUAGAUCUAAACAUUGCAUCGUGAUGUUAUUUUUUGCAAAGUCUGAAUUGUUAUUAUUUGCAAUCUUACCAUGUGUGUUUGAGUAUGUUCUAGUGAUUUCUGGAGAUAGCUCGGUGUUCAUGUUUUGUAAUGCCUUACCUGUACAUCAUGCCCAUGCCUUUUGUUUUCUUGUUGAGGCCCUGUAGCAUAUUGUUUUGGUGCUUGCAAUAUGCCUAGUUGCUGUUUUGGACAGCUUGUCCUUUAGACUUGUUUCAUGUGUGUGUGUUGAACCGUUGCUCCGUUUUGAGUGUGCUCUAUAUGAAACUUGCUUAGAAUUGCAUGUAGCUUCAUAUUAUCAUGUUGCAUCCUUGUUUUGAGGUGUUAUCUUGAUGUUUGGGUGCAUUUUGCAUCAAUGCCAUGUUUAACUUGUUUUGCUCAUAUCUUCUAGGACGUAGCUCCGAACUAAAUGAACUUUAUAUGUAACUUGACUAGAAUCUCGUGUAGAUCAUCUUGUUGCAUCUUAACUUGAUGUUUAACAACUUGAACAUAAUGUUUAUUCAGAUCUGGACCAAUUUCGAAAUAUGCAUAUGAGGACUUACCGGAAUUGUUAUAUGUUGAUCCCGGCCUCAUUUAAACUUGCCUUAGUGUGUUGCUCUUGUUUGCAUCAUCUCUUGCCAUGAGUAGCUUCAUGUAGCCUUGUCAUGCAUCAGGCUUGAUUGUGCAUCAUGCCUUGUUCAUGUGUGGUGUGUUUACUAUAUUGUGUGCUUCUUUUCGAUAGUUCCUGUUUCGUUGCGAUCGUGAGGAUUCGUUCGUCUACGCUUGGUUCGUCUUCGUGGCUUCAUCCGUUCAUCUUCUUCAUGGACUCGUUCUUCUUCCUUGCGGGAUUUCAGGCAAGAUGACCGCUACCCUGGAUCUCACUACUAUCAUUGCUAUGCUAGUUGCUUCGUUCUAUCGCUAUGGUGCGCUACCUAUUACCUGUUUAUCAAGCAAUCCCAAAUUGCCAUGAACCUCUAACCUUUGACACCUUUCCUAUGCAAACCGUUGUUUGGCUAUGUUACCGCUUUUGCUCAGCCCCUCCUAUAGCGUUGCUAGUUGCAGGUGAAGUUGAAGAUUUCUCCAUGGUGGACAGGAUUUUGGUUGGGAUAUCACAAUAUCUCUUAUAUUAUUAAUGCAUCUAUAUAUUUGGUAAAGGGUGGAAGGCUCGGCCUUUUGCCUGGUGUUUUGUUCCACUCUUGCCGCCCUAGUUUCCGUCAUACCGGUGUUAUGUUCCCGGAUUUUGCGUUCCUUACGCGGUCGGAUGAUUUAUGGGACCCCCUUAACAGUUCGCUUUGAAUAAAACUCCUCCAGCAAGGCCCAACCUUGGUUUUACAUUUGCCUCACCUAGCCCUUUUUCCCUUGGGAGUCACGCUCUUGAGGGUCAUCUUUAUUACAGCCCCCCCGGGGCCAAUGCUUGUCUAAGUGUUGGUCCAAACUAGAGCACCGUGCGGGACCAUCCCUUGGCAACUUGGGUUACGUUGGUACCUGUACGCUUAGCUUAUUCGGUGUUGCCCUGAGAACGAGAUAUGUGCAGCUCCUAUCGGGAUUGUCGGCGCAUCGGGCGGUCUUGCUGGUCUUGUUUUACCAUUGCCGAAAUGUCUUAUAAACCGGGAUUCCGAGUCUGAUCGGGUCUUCCUGGGAGAAGGUCUAUUCCUUCGUUGAUCCCGAGAGCUUGUCAGGGGCUAAGUUGGGACACCCCUGCAGGAUAUAAUCUUUCGAAAGCCGUGCCUGCGGUUAUUGGUAGAUGGGAAUUUGUUAAUGUUCGGUUGUAGAUAACUUGACACCAGAUCCGAAUUAAAACGCAUCAACCACGUGUGUAGCCGUGAUGGUCUCUUCUCGGUGGAGUUCGGGAAGUGAAUACGGUUUCUGGGUUAUGUUUGACGUAAGUAGGAGUUCAGGAUCACUUCUUGGUCAUUACUAGUUGACGACUGUUCCGCUUGCUCUCUUCUCGCUCUUAUUUGCGUAUGUUAGCCACCAUAUAUGCUUAGUCGCUGCUGCAGCCUCACCACUUUACCCCUUCCUUUCCCUUUAAGCUUUCCUAGUCUUGAUACCCAUGGUAAUGGGAUUGCUGAGUCGUCGUGGCUCACAGAUUACUACAACAACAGUUGCAGGUACAGGUUAUUCGAUGAUCAUGACGCGAGAGCGAUGCUUGCUUGCGUUGAGUUCUUCUUCUGCUUCUUCUUCGAUCAGGGGAUAGGUUCCAGGUCGGCAGCCUGGGCCAGCAGGGUGGAUGUCGUUUGAGUUUCUGUUUGUGUUUCAUCCGUAGUCGGAUGAUGAUCUUAUGUAUGAUGAUGUUGUAUUCAUGUGGCAUUGUAUGCCUUAUGUAUGUAUCCCAAUCUAUUAUGUAAUGAUAUCCACCUUGCAAAAGCAUUUCAAUAUGCGGGUCUAUCCUUUGGUGGGACCUUCGAGUUCCUUUUGGAUAGGGUCGCAUAUUGGGCGUGACAAGUUGGUAUCAGAGCCUCGACCGACCUUAGGAGCCCCCUUGAUUGAUCGUGUAGUUUGGCCGUUGUCGAGUCUAGAAGAAAACUAUUUUCAGAGUCUAGUUAUAUCGGAGAGUAGGAAUUCUUUUUACUCCUCAGCCCCUUCGUCGCUCUGGUGAGGAAUCUUGACGUAGGUGUUUUGAAUUACUCCUCUUCCCUUUCAAACUUUCUUUAGGAUCAACUUGUUGGUUUUCCGGUAGUUGUUCCUCAACUCUUUUGAUCCGGUGCAUUUCUCGUCAAGUCGACUCGAGCCUCUUCAUCUUUGAGUUCAAUCCUCAGUUGUUUUCUUUCCCACCCGCCCACCCUUCUUCUUCUCGGAACCGGAGUCCGUAAUCGAGUAUCCAUCCUACUCGUGCGAAGUUUUGCUCUCUCUCCUCAAUGAUUUCAACCGGUGUUUUCUCUUCAAGAUAUUCGUCGGUUCCCCUUUCAAGUUGUCNNNNNNNNNNNNNNNNNNNNNNNNNNNNNNNNNNNNNNNNNNNNNNNNNNNNNNNNNNNNNNNNNNNNNNNNNNNNNNNNNNNNNNNNNNNNNNNNNNNNNNNNNNNNNNNNNNNNNNNNNNNNNNNNNNNNNNNNNNNNNNNNNNNNNNNNNNNNNNNNNNNNNNNNNNNNNNNNNNNNNNNNNNNNNNNNNNNNNNNNNNNNNNNNNNNNNNNNNNNNNNNNNNNNNNNNNNNNNNNNNNNNNNNNNNNNNCCAUCUAUCUCAUUCGUGCGGAGCCUUUUCAGUCUUUCAUAAUUAUUUCAACCGGUGAAUUCUUGUCUCAUUUGUCAUUCUUCAUCCCUUUUCUUUUUUCCGGUGGAUUCAAUUCUAAUUUUCGGUAGUGAGCAUAUUCUUUCCCUCAACUCAAGUGCCUUCCCUGCUCGUUCGCCUCUCGCCAAUUUAUCCUUCCGGAGUGUUCAAGACAUCUCAAGAGAUUCGUCUGUGUUCCAAUUAAUUCGAGGUUGUCACCUCAUUCAAAUAUUUCAAUUGUUCCGGUGCAUCAUCUAUCUUUUCAACAAUCCUUUCCAACGGUGUUAUCUCUUCAGUGGGACCUAACCCACAGGUCUUUUUCCAGGAUCUUACCUGACUCUUCUAAUUCCCCCGGAGUAUUCUCAAUUCUUUUCAAGUGUGACAUAAGAAUGGAUUCCAUCAGUCACAUGCCUUGUCAAGAUCAUUUUCAAAUUCUUUUCAUUGUUGGCUCAACCUCUUCGCUUUUCGUUCUCCCGGAGUAUCUCAGUAAUUUUGGUGGUGUUUCUCGUCAUCUUUUGAAGACCGAAGAAGAGUUUGCCUUUAAAAUCCUGCCAGUUCUCUCGAAGUUUCGCGGUUGUAGCCUCAUGUUAUCCUCUCGAAUUAUUCCAUUUGUCAGAUAUCCUUUUCUUAUCCAUCCGGAGUAUGUCAGAAGUUAUUUUCCCAAUUCUUUUACCGGAGGCCAUCAUUCCAGUUAUCGUUCUCUAUUUAUCCCGGUGCCUGGUUCAAGUGUUCUUUAAUCAGCUCAUGAUCUCCUUGUUCUUUUCAACUAAAUCCCCUCUAGUUUAUUUGUUCUUCUAAUUCUUCCGGUGAUUAUUUCUCUUUUCGUCAGUCAUUUCCGAAUUUUUCAUGGUGGUUCUUUCAGAUUCUAUUUCCUUGAUUAUCAUUCAAUCCUUUUCUUCGGAGUUUGUUCUUGAUGAAUAAAUUCUAGUUCCAAGUGUUUCAUUUUUUCUUUCCGGAGUUCAUUUUUCCUCGGCCAUUUUGUCGGAACCCCCAUCUAAAUCAUCUCAAGGCUCAUCUUAUUCUUUCAUCCUUCAUUUUAUCUCGUCAUCCUUUUGUUACCGGAGUUCUUCACGGUGGCUCGUCAUGAUUCAAUUCAUUACUCAAGUGUUCAUCAAGAUUCUUAUCAAAGGAGCUCAAGUAUCUUUCCUUCAUGCCUUUCGAAGUGCAAUUAAUUCUUCAUUUUCUUCUGAAGUGGAGUUUUGCAUUUCUUCGUUCUUCUCAGAUAUUCAAAUCUGUUCAACCUUUCCUUCUAAGUUCUUUUCAUCCCAUUCUUUCAAUUCUUCCGGAGGCAUUGCAUAUUCAUCUCGUCAAGUGCCAUCCCAUCUAGCGAAGUUCAUGUUCUAUUCUUUCCAUGUUCAACCGGAGUGCUGCCUAAAUCCUUUCAGUCUUACUUGUUUCUCAUCUCGUUUUAACCGGAGUGGUUUCAUAGUCUAUCUGAUUCCGUGAGCUUUCGAUUCUCGUAAUUCUCGUCGUUCCCCUCUUCUUCUCGAGUGCUCUCGAUUCUUUGUUUCUUAUCUUGAGUUCUUGUUUCACCUCUUCCUCUUUCUCUUCCGUCUCGGUCCUAAGAUCUCGGGACGAGAUCUCUUGUUAGUAGAGGAGUGUUGUAACGCCCCGGAUCCGAUGCACCAGGUGUCUGCUAGUUAUUCGCCGCAGUUGCCAUGUCAUUUUGCUUGCGUGUUGCAUUUUAUCAUGUCAUCAUGUGCAUUUCAUUUUGCAUACGUGUUUGUCUCAUCCAUCUGAGCAUUUUCCCCAUUGUCCGUUUUGCAAUCCGGCACUCCUAUGCCCUCCGACGUCCCCCUCUUCUCUCUUUUCAUGUGCGGGUGUUAAACUUUCUCGGAAUGGCCCGAGGCUUGCCAAGUGGCCUUGGUAUAGCACCGGUAGACCGCCUGUCAAGUUUCGUGCCAUUUGGAGUUCAUUUGGUACUCCAAUGGUUAACUGGGUAACCGUAAAACCCCCCUUCUCUUUGCAGCCCAACACCCCUUCCAAACUAGCCCAAAACCCAUCUAACUCCCCUCCAUGCUCACGGUCAUUCGAUCACGAUCGUGUGGGCGAAAACCGCUCCUCAUUUGGACUCUCCUAGCUCCCUCUACCUAUAAAUAUGUGCCUCCCCCGUCCAAAUCGCAGAUGAAACCCUAAUUUUCCCCUCUGCGCCGCACCGUACAUGUCCGGACCGGACCGGACACGUCCGCGCCGCCGCCCGCAGCCAAUCCCACCUCGCCACCUGUCCGCCCGCGCCGUCCCCGCCGCCANNNNNNNNNNNNNNNNNNNNNNNNNNNNNNNNNNNNNNNNNNNNNNNNNNNNNNNNNNNNNNNNNNNNNNNNNNNNNNNNNNNNNNNNNNNNNNNNNNNNNNNNNNNNNNNNNNNNNNNNNNNNNNNNNNNNNNNNNNNNNNNNNNNNNNNNNNNNNNNNNNNNNNNNNNNNNNNNNNNNNNNNNNNNNNNNNNNNNNNNNNNNNNNNNNNNNNNNNNNNNNNNNNNNNNNNNNNNNNNNNNNNNNNNNNNNNNNNNNNNNNNNNNNNNNNNNNNNNNNNNNNNNNNNNNNNNNNNNNNNNNNNNNNNNNNNNNNNNNNNNNNNNNNNNNNNNNNNNNNNNNNNNNNNNNNNNNNNNNNNNNNNNNNNNNNNNNNNNNNNNNNNNNNNNNNNNNNNNNNNNNNNNNNNNNNNNNNNNNNNNNNNNNNNNNNNNNNNNNNNNNNNNNNNNNNNNNNNNNNNNNNNNNNNNNNNNNNNNNNNNNNNNNNNNNNNNNNNNNNNNNNNNNNNNNNNNNNNNNNNNNNNNNNNNNNNNNNNNNNNNNNNNNNNNNNNNNNNNNNNNNNNNNNNNNNNNNNNNNNNNNNNNNNNNNNNNNNNNNNNNNNNNNNNNNNNNNNNNNNNNNNNNNNNNNNNNNNNNNNNNNNNNNNNNNNNNNNNNNNNNNNNNNNNNNNNNNNNNNNNNNNNNNNNNNNNNNNNNNNNNNNNNNNNNNNNNNNNNNNNNNNNNNNNNNNNNNNNNNNNNNNNNNNNNNNNNNNNNNNNNNNNNNNNNNNCGCCGCCGACGUUCGCCGGCGAGCUCGAGCUGCCGGUUGCCGCGCCGCCCGCUCGCGUUGACCCAGCGAGGGCCCCGUGGAGGCCCAGCCCGCCAAGCCUUCCCUGGCCUGCUUCCUCUUCAUGGGCCGAGCGCAGGGUGAGCAGUCCUCUAAACCCCGCUCUGGGCGCCUCGUAGUUAUUCGUCGCUCACCCAUUUUUUUCUGUAAAUCGUGUCCCUAAGUUUUUGUCAUUUUCAUGCCAUGUUCAACCUGCUGUAUCUCUGUGCAUGUAGCUCCGUUUCGUGCGUGUAAUAUGUCAAAUUGUUCGUCUCAACGAGUACAUCAUUUCAUUCCAUUGCAUCAUAUUCACUUGAGGUCAUCUUGAUGCCUGAAUCAUCGUUGUAAGAGUGCUUCAUGAUGUUUUCUGCUGUCUGUUAACAGAACGAGCUCUUUUGUCUUUUUUGCCAUGAUUGAUGUGUGCAUCCUAUGAGGUUGAUGUCUACAUGUGUUUUGAUCUAUGCUAUGUCUUCUUUACAGAGGUGCUUACCAUGUAUUUUUGUGAUCAAUGUGGUGACUAGCACAAGCAUGCAAACUAGGCAUCGUGAUGUUGCUGAUUUUAGUCCCUGUUCUGCUGUUAUUUUGAUGCCAUGUAAGCUUGAUGUUAUAGAGAGGUCCAUGCAUAUUUUGAGAUACUUCAGUAAGGGUGUUUAUAACAUGUGGUUAUUUUCUAUCCAUUCAUGCCCUUGUUUGCAUUUAUGGAGUAGUCUAGCAUGUCAUUUGAGUGCUCUACUUUUGCUUCAAAAUGUUUCCUGGCAGAUUGUUUACAUGUUAUUCAAUUUGGCCAAGCUUGUUGUAGUUGAUCCGUGCAUGCUAUGGACUUGUUCUUGACUUGGUUUGUUUCACAAACAUGCCUUCUUGAUGAUGCUAUGCUUAUCUUGUCAUGCAAUGACUUGUGGUGAGUGAAUCGAGCUUGUUAAGUAGGGUACAUGAUGUUGCUGUUUUGCUAGGCUGAAUCUGUUAUUUCGUGAUGCUAUAUAAACAUGUUGCUACUAAUCAUUCUAUGCAUAAUCUGGAGAUGUUCUAUAAAUAUGUUUUGAUCUACAUGUCAUCCUCUAUCCAUCCAUGCCCCUGGUUGCAUUUAUAGGUUGCUGUAUCUUGUUGUAAUCUUGCUCUAAAGUUGCUUCAUAAUGUUGUUGUCAGCAUGUUAACAUUAAGUUCAGUUUUUUCCAUGUGUUUUGCUAGUGUUCCAUGCACCCUAGGAACUUUCUCUUGCCAUGCUUAUCUUCACAAACAUGUCUUCUUACUGUUGGUUGCCUUGCCAUGCUAUUUAUUUCUCUGUGGUGAGUGAUACAAGCUCAUCUACAUGCCUUCAUAAUUCUGUUUCUGCCAUGUUUGAAUCUGUAUUAUAACUUGCUAUGUUUACGUGGGUGCCAUCAUAUUUUCUGAUCCUUUUUGGCUUAUGGUCAGUAAGGGACUUUUGAUCUAUGCAAUUAGUAGAUUCAUGUCAUGCCUUUGUUUGCCAUUAUAAGUUCCUGUAACAUGUUGUUUGAUAGAUCUAAACAUUGCAUCGUGAUGUUAUUUUUUGCAAAGUCUGAAUUGUUAUUAUUUGCAAUCUUACCAUGUGUGUUUGAGUAUGUUCUAGUGAUUUCUGGAGAUAGCUCGGUGUUCAUGUUUUGUAAUGCCUUACCUGUACAUCAUGCCCAUGCCUUUUGUUUUCUUGUUGAGGCCCUGUAGCAUAUUGUUUUGGUGCUUGCAAUAUGCCUAGUUGCUGUUUUGGACAGCUUGUCCUUUAGACUUGUUUCAUGUGUGUGUGUUGAACCGUUGCUCCGUUUUGAGUGUGCUCUAUAUGAAACUUGCUUAGAAUUGCAUGUAGCUUCAUAUUAUCAUGUUGCAUCCUUGUUUUGAGGUGUUCUCUUAAUGUUUGGGUGCAUUUUGCAUCAAUGCCAUGUUUAACUUGUUUUGCUCAUAUCUUCUAGGACGUAGCUCCGAACUAAAUGAACUUUAUAUGUAACUUGACUAGAAUCUCGUGUAGAUCAUCUUGUUGCAUCUUAACUUGAUGUUUAACAACUUGAACAUAAUGUUUAUUCAGAUCUGGACCAAUUUCGAAAUAUGCAUAUGAGGACUUACCGGAAUUGUUAUAUGUUGAUCCCGGCCUCAUUUAAACUUGCCUUAGUGUGUUGCUCUUGUUUGCAUCAUAUCUUGCCAUGAGUAGCUUCAUGUAGCCUUGUCAUGCAUCAGGCUUGGUUGUGCAUCAUGCCUUGUUCAUGUGUGGUGUGUUUACUAUAUUGUGUGCUUCUUUUUGAUAGUUCCUGUUUCGUUGCGAUCGUGAGGAUUCGUUCGUCUACGCUUGGUUCGUCUUCGUGGCUUCAUCUAUUCAUCUUCUUCAUGGACUCGUUCUUCUUCCUUGCGGGAUUUCAGGCAAGAUGACCGCUACCCUGGAUCUCACUACUAUCAUUGCUAUGCUAGUUGCUUCGUUCUAUCUCUAUGCUGCGCUACCUAUUACCUGUUUAUCAAGCCAUCCCAAAUUGCCAUGAACCUCUAACCUUUGACACCUUUCCUAGGCAAACCGUUGUUUGGCUAUGUUACCGCUUUUGCUCAGCCCCUCUUAUAGCGUUGCUAGUUGCAGGUGAAGUUGAAAAUUUCUCCAUGGUGGAUAGGAUUUUGGUUGGGAUAUCACAAUAUCUCUUAUAUUAUUAAUGCAUCUAUAUAUUUGGUAAAGGGUGGAAGGCUCGGCCUUUUGCCUGGUGUUUUGUUCCACUCUUGCCGCCCUAGUUUCCGUCAUACCGGUGUUAUGUUCCCGGAUUUUGCGUGCCUUACGCGGUCGGGUGAUUUAUGGGACCCCCUUGACAGUUCGCUUUGAAUAAAACUCCUCCAGCAAGGCCCAACCUUGGUUUUACAUUUGCCUCACCUAGCCCUUUUUCCCUUGGGAGUCGCGCUCUUGAGGGUCAUCUUUAUUACAGACCCCCCAGGCCAAUACUUGUCUAAGUGUUGGUCCAAACUAGAGCACCGUGCGGGACCAUCCCUUGGCAACUUGGGUUACGUUGGUACCUGUACGCUUAGCUUAUCCGGUGUUGCCCUGAGAACGAGAUAUGUGCAGCUCCUAUCGGGAUUGUCAGCGCAUCGGGCGGUCUUGCUGGUCUUGUUUUACCAUUGCCGAAAUGUCUUGUAAACUGGGAUUCCGAGUCUGAUCAGGUCUUCCUGGGAGAAGGUCUAUUCCUUCGUUGAUCGUGAGAGCUUGUCAUGGGCUAAGUUGGGACACCCCUGCAGGGUAUAAUCUUUCGAAAGCCGUGCCUGCGGUUAUUGGCAGAUGGGAAUUUGUUAAUGUCCGGUUGUAGAUAACUUGACACCAGAUCCAAAUUAAAAUGCAUCAACCGCGUGUGUAGCCGUGAUGGUCUCUUCUCAGCGGAGUCCGGGAAGUGAACACGGUUUCUGGGUUAUGUUUGGCGUAAGUAGGAGUUCAGGAUCACUUCUUGGUCAUUACUAGUUGACGACCGUUCUGCUUGCUCUCUUCUCGCUCUUAUUUGCGUAUGUUGGCCACCAUAUAUGCUUAGUCGCUGCUGCAGCCUCACCACUUUACCCCUUCCUUUCCCUUUAAGCUUUGCUAGUCUUGAUACCCAUGGUAAUGGGAUUGCUGAGUCCUCGUGGCUCACAGAUUACUACAACAACAGUUGCAGGUACAGGUUAUUCGAUGAUCAUGACGCGAGAGCGAUGCUUGCUUGCGUUGAGUUCUUCUUCUGCUUCUUCUUCGAUCAGGGGAUAGGUUCCAGGUCGGCAGCCUGGGCUAGCAGGGUGGAUGUCGUUUGAGUUUCUGUUUGUGUUUCAUCCGUAGUCGGAUGAUGAUCUUAUGUAUGAUGAUGUUGUAUUCAUGUGGCAUUGUAUGCCUUAUGUAUGUAUCCCCAUCUAUUAUGUAAUGUUGAUGUAAUGUUAUCCACCUUGCAAAAGCGUUUCAAUAUGUGGGUCUAUCCUUUGGUGGGACCUUCGAGUUCCUUUUGGAUAGGGUCGCAUAUUGGGCAUGACAGGGUAGUGGAGCCCUAUGGAGCUUCAUCUUGAUUUCGCAGACGCUUGGAGCCUGUGUCACGGCUUGGAUUGGAACGGCGUGCAGGAGCACCUGAGCCACCACCUAAACACACACCACAAAACAAACACGCAAGAGAUGCGAGAAGGAUUAAUGCAAAGACCACAACAAAACGGUGAAACAAGUAGAACUCGCACUUGAUAAUUGCCACAUGAGAGGUUUGACAACAACGGUAGUACUGCUUGGCCGCGCGGUACUAAAAUUUUUGUGCCGUUCCUAGUCACGGUAGUACCGUGCGGGCGGUAGUGCCGCGCUGGAGGUGCGGUAGUACCACACAGUUUCAGAUCCGAAACUGCAAGUGGAUCUGAGUACAACCGUGACAACAAAGCGGUACUAAGGUCGAUCAAAUCUACCACGGGGCAACAUAUCAAGUACUAUCUCUACCCAUUACUACUCUCCUACAUCCUACUCUUGCAAAGAUUUAGCCUAAAAUCUCAAGAACCACAUGCAUCUCCCCAAAAACCUAGAAGCAAAAGAACGAACCGAAAAGAGAGGGAUUUGGGGAAAAACCUUGGUCCAUGGCAAGAGGAAGUGGUGGGGAACGAUCCCACGGUCGAAAUCCGAGGAGAGCGGCCGGAGACGGAGAUCCGACGAGGGCCUCCGGCGCCGGUCUUGGGCAGGAGAGAGAGAGGCGGCGUGGGGAGAAAGAGUGAAUGGGUAUGGGGGAGUUGGAACUCCCCCUGCCCACUCUUAAUCCCCACGCGCUCGCUACUCCAUAGUAGUAGCGCGCGUCCUUGCGGUAGUACCGCCCGGGCGGAAGUACCGCGCCGUGGGCGGUCUUACUGCUCCACCAGCGGCAGUAAAAAAUUACUGUCGUGCUGGUUGCGGUAGUACCGUGUCCUUGCGGUAGUACCGUGAACCCAAGAAAAUGCAGUUUCAAACAAAAGGAAGAAACAUCUUUGCACGGAACCUUCAAGCGAACAAACACACCAACGAGCUAACAAACAAGACACCACAAGCACAAGCUUGGCACGAAGAAAGAAAAGCAAGAGACAACAAGGACCAAAAACGAGACACAACCUCUCCAAGGAGAGGGCGAUGGCCGGAGCCACCUAUGUUUGAGUCGAUUGGUAUGGCACCACAAAGAAUUAUCCUUGGGACCAUGACCAAAACUCGUCUUUGAAGCACAAGUACCAUCAAAAAUGGCUAAUGUGAAAGAGUUGAUCAAUUUAUGCAUAAUGGGGGAGGGAGAGUUCAUUGAGAGAACAACACUCCCCCUAUGUCCAUGCCUACACCUAAACUAGACAACAAGUUGAGUGUGGUGGGGUGUGCAAGGAUUCAAGUCAUAUUGCUCGAAUCAAUGAUAUUUAGCUCAUGCCUUAACUCACGAAAUCUCGCUUCAUCCAAGGGAUUCGUGAAAAUAUCUGCAAGGUUAUCAUGAGUGUUGACAUACUUGAGCUUGAUCUCCCUUCGCCUAAUGUGAUCCCGAAUGAAGUGAUACCGAAUCUCAAUAUGCUUCGUCUUGAAGUGUUGCACUGGGUUGAGAGAGAUCUUGAUAGCACUUUCAUUGUCACGCCAAAGAGGCACUUUGUCACAAGUGACACCGUAAUCCUUUAAAGUUUGCCUCAUCCAUAGGAGUUGAGCACAACAACUACCGGCAGCCACAUACUCUGCUUCGGUGGACGAGAGAGAUACACAACUUUGCUUCUUAGAAGACCAACUCACUAAAGAGCAACCAAGUAAUUGGCACCCUCGAGAGGUGGACUUCCUGUCCGCUCUGUCUCCCGCCCAAUCUGAAUCUGUGUAGCCCAAAAGAUCAAAGUCGGAUCCUCUUGGGUACCAUAAGCCAAAGUUUGGGGUAUGAGCCAAAUAUCGAAAGAUUCGCUUGACCGCCACAAAGUGGCUUUCCUUAGGUGCGGCUUGAAACCGUGCACAAAUUCCCACUCAACAUGAUAUCCGGUCUAGAUGCACAAAGGUAAAGCAAGGAUCCAAUCAUGGAGCAAUAUACCUUUUAAUCCACCGCUUUACCAUUGGCAUCAAUGUAAAGUUGGCAUUUGACGGGCAUUGGAGUGGAGGCUAUCUUGACAUCACUUAGCUUGAAUCUCUUGAGCAUGUCUUGAGUGUAUUUGGCUUGGUUGAUGAAGGUUCCUUCUCUUCUUUGCUUGAUUUCGAACCCGAGAAAGAACUUCAACUCUUCCAUCAUAGACAUCUUGAACUUUGAGAUCAUGAGAGCGGCAAAUUCUUCAUUGAAAGCUUUGUUAGGGGAACCGACAAUAAUAUCAUCAACAUAUAGUUGGUACACAAACAACUCCCCUUUGACCUUCUUAGUAAAAAGAGCGGGGUCGAUUUUCCCGAUUUCGAACCCACGAUCUUGUAACAACUCUGUAAGAUGCUCAUACCAUGCAUGUGGGGCUUGUUUAAGGCCAUAGAGCGCCUUAUGGAGUUGGUACACGUGAUCGGGGAAAUAGGGAUCUUCGAACCCGGGUUUUUUUGACAUACACCAACUCAUUAAUGGGACCAUUAAGAAAAGCACUCUUCACAUCCAUUUGUUGCAACGUGAAAUUAUGAUGAGAAGCAUAAGCAAUCAACAAACGAACAGAUUCUAGGCGAGCAAUGGGAGCAAAGGUUUCACCGUAGUCGAUACCCUCGACUUGGGAGUAGCCUUGUGCCACCAAACGAGCCUUGUUGCGAACAAUAAUCCCAUGAGCAUCUUGCUUGUUCUUGAAUAUCCACUUGGUCCCAAUGACAUUAUGAUUCCCGGUUGGCCUUGGCACUAAUUUCCACACUUUGUUAUGCUCGAAGUUGUUGAGUUCUUCAUGCAUGGCAUUGAGCCAAUCCGGGUCCUCGAGCGCCUCGUAAACCUUUUGGGGUUCGACACAAGAAACAAACGCAUGAUGUUCGCAAUAGUUUGCUAAUUGUCUACAAGUGCUUACCCCCUUUCUUAGGCUUCCAACCACAUUCUCCAUGAGAUGACCUUUGGUAGUGAGCUUGGAAGCAACCUUCGCGGCACGACGCUCUAAUUCCUCCCCGGUUGUGAAAAGAGGAGGGGUAACUUGAUCAUCUUGAGCGCCGUCUUGAGCUUGUUCUUGAUCUUGAGCUUGUUCUUGAUCUUGAACUUGCUCAAAGGGGAGAACUUGACCUUGGGCAUCAUUUGGUGGUUCACCACCAUCUUGAGGUUGAUCUUGCCCUUGAUCUUGUUCAUGAGGUUGAGGGCCUUCGCUUUGUUCUUCGGAAGCAUGUGGGUCUUGGGUUGGUGAUGGAUCCACUUGAGUGGAGCAUUGUCCUUCUCCUUCGGCCACAAGGGGUUCCUCAAUGGGUAGGAUAUGACCCACGCCCAUUCUUUUUAUGGCUUGGGGAGGAAUUUCAUCACCUACAUCACAAGUACCACUUUGCUCCACUUGGGAGCCGUUAUUCUCGUCAAACUCUACGUUACACGUCUCCUCAAUUAGUCUAGUGGACUUGUUGAGUACACGGUAAGCAUGAGAGUUUGUAGCAUAACCAACAAAUAUGCGCUCAUAAGCUCUAGCCUCAAAUUUAGACAAACGAACAUGUUUCUUGAGAAUGAAACACUUACGCCCGAACACCCAGAAGUACUUGAGGUUGGGCUUGUUACCGGUAAGUAUUUAAUAAGGAGUCUUGUUCAAGCCUUUGCGGAGAUAGAGCCGAUUGGAUGCAUGACAUGUUGUGUUGACGGCUUCGACCCAAAAGUUGUAUGGAGACUUGAACUCUGCCAUCAUGGUCCUUGCCGCAUCCAUCAAUGUCCGGUUCUUCCUCUCCGCGACACCAUUUUGUUGAGGGGUAUAUGGUGCAGAAUAUUGAUGCUUGAUCCCCUCAUCACUAAGAAAUCCAUCCAAGGCGUAGUUCUUGAACUCGGUGCCGUUGUCACUUCUUAUUGUCAAGAUCUUUGCAGCAUGUUGACGUUGAGCUUCAUUUGCAAAGUCGAUGACGGUUUGUUGAGUCUCACUCUUCCUCUUGAAGAAAUAUACCCAAGUGUAUCUUGAAUAAUCAUCCACAAUCACCAAGCAAUACUUUCUACCUCCAAGACUAUCAAAGGAUGGAGGACCAAAGAGAUCCAUGUGAAGGAGUUCCAAGGGUCUCUUCGAGUAGAUGAUAGUCGUGGGAGGGUGAGCCUUCUCAUGAAGCUUUCCUUUGAUACAAGCACUGCAAGCACGAUCUUUGGCAAAACUAACAUUUGUUAGUCCAUGGACAUGGUCCCCCUUGAGAAGACUUUGCAAAGAUCUCAUAUUGACAUGGGCUAAACGGCGAUGCCAAAGCCAUCCCACAUCAACUUUAGCCAUUAGGCAUGUCGCGGUCUUAGUGGGUCGCUCCGAAAAGUUAAUCACAUAAAGACUGUUCUCGACAUGCCCAACAAACGCUACUUUAAGAGUCUUGCUCCACAAGAGGACCACGGUAUCAAUAUCAAAGAAAGUGGCAAAGCCCAUGAGUGCGAGUUGACGAAUGGAAAGUAGAUUGUAAGCAAGGGACUCAACAAGCAUGACUUUCUAGAUCGUUAGAUCAUGAGAAAUGACAACCUUGCCAAGACCCUAUACCUUAGAAGACUAGUCAUCACCCCACUCGACGUUGGUGGGCAUAGAAGGGAUCUUGUGCACGUCCACCACCAAGUCCUUGCUUCCGGUCAUAUGAUUUGUUGCUCCACUAUCGAGCAACCAUGAUCCCCCACCGAAGUAAACACCUACAAGAGAUCAAUGCUUGGUUUUAGGUACCCAUUUUGUAAUGGGUCCUUGGAUGUUAGUAACAAGGGUCUUAGGAACCCAAAUAGACCAUUCAAUAUACUCAUAAGGAGAACCAACAAAUUUAGCAUAAACAUGCCCAUCACUAGCACGACACAACACAUAAGAAGGGUUAAAGUCGUCGGCUUUGUUGGAAGGGGUGGCAUUGCCCUUUUUGACAUCACCACCCUUCACAUUGUUCUUCUUCUCCUUAGGAGCACCCUCUCCCUCCUUCACAAAAGUUUGCUUGAGAGGAGGAGGUCGUUUGGCCUUGUCAUUCUUCUUCUUGUUCUUGGACUUGGGUGUGAACCCAACUCCCUCCUUGGCCACAACUUCCUUUUGAUUGCUCAAAAGGUCAUUGAGGUUCUUCUCACCUUGUAUGCACGUAACAAGGCCUUUCUUAAGUUGCUCCUUCAACUUGGCAUUCUCCUCCACAAGAUGCACAUGCUCACAACAUGGGUUAGUGGCAUUUGCAUUAUCAAUUAAUACCAUAUGUGGAAAGGUGGCUUUUUCUUUGGUUAGCUUCACUUGGAGUUGAUCAUGAGACUCCUUGAGGCUAGCAUGAGCACCCUUCAAGACCUUGUGGGCCUUGUCGAGUAUAUCAAACUCCUCCUUUAGUCUAGCAUGGUCAACGCCAAGUUUAGCCUUCUUGGAAGUUAGCACACGAGAUACAACAGGAGCAUGAUCAAGAUCUUUCUUUAACUUAGCAUGGUCAUUGUUGUGUGACUCCUCAAGAUCCAAAGGAUGCCCACGCUCUUCCUCAAGAGCAUUAGAGAGAUCCGAUAUCUCAUCAGCAUAGUCACGACUAUGACCUUCUGAUGUCUACUACACAACCUUCUUCUUUUAGACGUUGUUGGGCCUGCAAGUGCACAGGUUUGUAGGACAAUAGCAAAUUUCCCUCAAGUGGAUGACCUAAGGUUUAUCAAUCUGUAGGAGGCGUAGGAUGAAGAUGGUCUCUCUCAAACAACCAUGCAACCAAAUAACAAAGAGUCUCUUGUGUCCCCAACACACCCAAUACAAUGGUAAAUUGUAUAGGUGCACUAGUUCAGCGAAGAGAUGAAGAUACAAGUGCAAAAUAGAUACUAGAUAUAGGUUUUUGUAAUCUGAAAUAAUAAAAACAGAAAGGUAGCAAGCGGUAAAAGUGAGCGUAAACGGUAUUGCAAUGGUAGGAAACAAGGCCUAGGGUUUAUACUUUCACUAGUGUAAAUUCUCUCAACAAUAAUAACAUAGAUAGAACAUAUGACAAGCCCUCAACAUGCGACAAAGAGUCACUCCAAAGACACUAAUAGCAGAGAACAAACAUAGAGAUUAUGGUCGGGUACGAAACCACCACAAAACUAUUCUUUCGGAUCGAUCUAUAAAAGAGUUCGUACUAGAAUAACACAUUAAGAUACAAAUCAACCAAAACCCUAAUGUCACCUAGAUACUCCAUUGUCACCUCAAGUAUCCGUGGGCAUGAUUAUACGAUAUGCAUCACACAAUCUCAGAUUCAUCCAACCAACAUAAAAGUACUUCAAAGAGUGCCCCAAAGCUACUACCGGAGAGUCAAGAACGUGUGCCAACCCCUAUGCAUAGGUUCCCAAGUGUCACAAAACCCGCAAGUUGAUCACCAAAACAUACAUCAAGUGGAUCAAUAGAAUAACCCAUUGUCACCACGGUUAUCCCACGCAAGACAUACAUCAAGUGUUCAUAAAAGACUCAAUCCGAUAAAAUAACUUCAAAGGGGAAACUCAAUUCAUCACAAGAGAGUAGAGGGGGAGAAACAUCAUAAGAUCCAACUACAAUAGCAAAGCUCGGGAUAUAUCAAGAUCGUGCCAUAGAGGAACACGAGAGAGAACACGAGAGAGAGAGAUCAAACACAUAGCUACUGGUACAUACCCUCAGCCCCGAGGGUGAACUACUCCCUCCUCAUCAUGGAUAGCGCCGGGAUGAUGAAGAUGGCCUCCGGUGAUGGGAUCCCCCUCCGGCAGGGUGCCAGAACAGGGUCCCGAUUGGUUUUUGGUGGCUACAGAGGCUUGCGGCGGUGAAACUCCCGAUCUAUUUUCUGUUCUGGAAGUUUUAGGGUAUGUAGGUAUAUAUGGGUGCAGGGAGAACGUCGGUGGAGCUACGGGGGCCCCACGAGGCAGGGGGGCGCCCCCCACCCUCUUGAGCACCUCCCAUAUCUUCUGACAUGGGGUCCAAGUCCAUCAGGUGGGUUUCCUUCCAAAAAUAACUUCUCCGGUUGAUUUCGUUUCGUUUUGACUCCGUCUGAUAUUCCUUUUCCUCGAAACACUGAAAUAGCCAUAAAACAACAAAUCUGGGCUCGGCCUCCGAUUAAUAGGUUAGUCCCAAAAAUAAUAUAAAAGUGGAUAAUAAAGCCCAAUAUUGCCUAAAACAGUAGAUAAAAUUAGCAUGGAGCAAUCAAAAACUAUAGAUACGUUGGAGACGUAUCAAGCAUCCCCAAACUUAAUUCCUGCUCGUCCUCGGGUAGGUAAAUGAUAAAAAAGAAUUUUUGAUGCAGAGUGAUACUUUGGCAUAAUUUCAAUGUAAAUCUUCUUAAUUGUGAUAUGAAUAUUCAUAUCCGCAAGAUUCAAGACAAAAGUUCAUAUUGACACAAAAAUAAUAAUACUUCAAGCAUACUAAUCAAAGCAAUCAUGUCUUCUCAAAAUAGCAUGGCUAAAGAAAGUUAUCCCUACAAAAUCAUAUAGUCUGGCUGUUGCUCUAUCUUCAUCACACAAAGUAUUUAAUCAUGCAUAACCCCGAUGACAAGCCAAGCAAUUGUUUCAUACUUUAGUAAUCUCAAACUCUUUCAACUUUCAUGCAAUACAUGAGUGUGAGCCAUGGACAUAGCACUAUAGGUGGAAUAGAAUGGUGGUUGUGGAGAAGACAAAAAGGAGAAGAUAGUCUCACAUCAACUAGGCGUAUCAACGGGCCAUGAAGAUGCCCAUCAAUAGAUAUCAAUGUGAGUGAGUAGGGAUUGCCAUGCAACAGAUGCACUAGAGCUAUAAGUAUAUGAAAGCUCAACGAAAGAAACUAAGUGGGUGUGCAUCCAAAUCGCUUGCUCAGGAAGACCUAGGGCAUUUUGAGGAAGCCCAUCAUUGGAAUAUACAAGCCAAGUUCUAUAAUGAAAAAUUCCCACUAGUAUAUGAAAGUGACGAAAUGAGAGACUCUCUAUCAUGAAGAUCAUGGUGCUACUUUGAAGCACAAGUGUGGUAAAAGGAUAGUAGCAUUGUCCCUUCUCUCUUUUUCUCUCAUUUUUUUAUUUGUGCCUUUUCUCCUUUUUUAUGGCCUUUUUUUUCGUCCGGAGUCUCAUCCCAACUUGUGGGGGAAUCAUAGAGUCCAUCAUCCUUUCCUCACUUGGGACAAUGCUCUAAUAAUGAUGAUCGUCACACUUUUAUUUUUCUUACAACUCAACAAUUACAACUCGAUACUUAGAACAAAAUAUGACUCUAUAUGAAUGCCUCCGGCGAUGUACCGGGAUAUGCAAUGAAACAUGAGUGACAUGUAUGAAAGAAUUAUGAACGGUGGCUUUGCCACAAAUACGAUGUCCACUACAUGAUCAUGCUAGCAAUAUGACAAUGAUGGAGCGUGUCAUAAUAAAUGGAACGGUGGAAAGUUGCAUGGCAAUAUAUCUCGGAAUGGCUAUGGAAAUGCCAUGAUAGGGUAUGGUGGCUAUUUUGAGGAAGGUAUAUGGUGGGUGUAUGGUACCGGUGAAAGUUGCAUGGCACAAGAGAGGCUAGCAAUAAUGGAAGGGUGAAAGGGUGCGUAUAAUCCAUGGACUCAACAUUAAUCAAAAGAACUCAUGAACUUGUUGCAAAAAUUUAGAAGUCAUCAAAAAUCAAAGCACCAUGCGCAUGCUCCUAGGGGGAUAGAUUGGUAGGAAAAGACCAUCGCUCAUCCCCGACCGCCACUCAUAAGGAAGACAAUCAAUAAAUAAAAUUGUGCUCCAACUUCAUCACAAAGCGGUUCACCAUACGUGCAUGCUAUGGGAAUCACAAACUUCAACACAAGCAUUCUUUAAAUUCAUAAUCACCCAACUAGCAUCACUUUGAUAUUAUCACCUCCAUAUCUCAAAACAAUUAUCAAGCAUCAAACUUAUCUUAGUAUUCAAUUCACUCAAAAGAAAGGUUCACAUAUCUUGAAUACCAAGUAUAUUAACAUUAAGCAAACUACCAUGCUAUUAAUGACUCUCAAAAUAAUAUAAGUGAAGCAUGAGAGUUCAUCUAUUUCUUCAAAAUAAAACUACCGCCAUGCUCUAAAAGAUAUAAGUGAAGCACUAGAGCAAAAAUUAUCACGCUCAAAAGAUAUAAGUGAAGCACAUAGAGUAUUCUAGCAAAUUCUAAUUUGUGUAAGGCUCUCUCUCAUUAAGAUCUUGAAACUUCAUUCAAACAGCAAGCAAAUCUAAAGGAAACUACAAUGCAAGGAUAGCACAACUCAUGUGAAAAAGCAAAAACUUAGGCUCAACCGAUACUAACCGAUAGUUGUUGAAGAAGAAAGGUGGGAUGCCUACCGGGACAUCCUCAAGCUUAGAUGCUUGAGACUUCUUGAAAUAAUAUCUUGGGGUGCCUUGGGCAUCCCCAAGCUUGAACUUUUGUGUCUCCUUAAUUCCUCUCAUAUCAUGGUUUCUCUUUUUAUCAAAAGCUUCAUUCACAACAAACUCAACAAGAACUAGUGAGAUAGGUUAGUAUAAACCAAUGCAAAACCUUAUCAUCUUCUACUAUAACAAAUCACUAAAAUCAUUAUUCAACAUUGCAUACUAAAUGUAUCUGUAUAUUUAAUACUCCCUAUCCUCAAAUAUAAUCAUUAAACAAGCAAACAUUUGCAAACAAUGCAACCAUAACAGCAAUCUGCCAAAACAGUACGGUCUGUAAAGAAUGCAAGAGUAUCAAUACUUCCCCGACUCCAAAAAUUAUGAACUAAAAUUCCAACUGUAAUAAAUUUAUCAGAUCUCAAUAUGCAAAAAGAUUCAACUUUAGACCAUGCUCUAACUCUAGGUAAUUUCUGCAACAGCGGUAAACUUUCUGUUUUCAAACAGUAACAUGCAUACUAGCAAAACAAGCAUGACAAAGGCUAUCCUUGACUUUUUUAUUGAAACUAAAGAUGCAAAACAUUAUUCUAACUAACAGCAAGCAAAAACUAACACAAUAAAAUGACGCUCCAAGCAAAACACAUAUCAUGUGGCGAAUAAAAAUAUAGCUCCAAGUAUAGUUACCGAUGAACGAAGACGAAAGAGGGGAUGCCUUCCGGGGCAUCCCCAAGCUUAGGCUCUUGGUUGUCCUUGAAUAUUACCUUGGGGUGCCUUGGGCAUCCCCAAGCUUAGGAUCUUGCCACUCCUUAUUCCAUAGUCCAUCAAAUCCUUACCCAAAACUUGAAAACUUCAACCACACAAAACUCAAAACAAAACUCGCAAGCUCCGUUAGUAUAAGAAAAUAAAACCACCACUUAGGUACUGUAAUGAACUCAUUCUAAAUUCAUAUUGGUGUUAUAUCUACUGUAUUCUAACAUCUCUAUGGUUCAUACCACUUAAUACUAGCCAUAGAUUCAUCAAAAUAAGCAAACAACACAAAGAAAACAGAACCUGUCAAAAACAGAACAGUCUGUAGUAAUCUGUAUAAAACGUAUACUUCUGGAACCCAAAAAAUUAUGAAAUAAAUUUCCGGACCUGAGCAAUUUGUCUAUUAAUCAUAUUAAAAAAUAAUAAACCUAAAAGCACUCUCCAGUAAAAAAUGGCAGCUAAUCUCGUGAGCGCUAAAGUUUCUGUUUUUCACAGCAAGAUCACAAAAACUUCACCCAAGUCUUCCCAAAGGUUCUACUUGGCACUUUAUUGAAACAAAAGCUAUAAAAUAUGAUUACUAUAGUAGCAUAAUAAUGUGGACACACAAAAAAAGUAAGGAUAAAUAUUGGGUUGUCUCCCAACAAGCGCUUUUCUUUAAUGCCUUUUAGCUAGGCAUGAUGAUGGCAAUGAUGCCCACAUAAAAGAUAAGAAUUGAAACAUAACGGGAGCAUCAUGAAGCAUAUGACUAGCACAUUUAAGUCUAACCCACUUCCUAUGCAUAGGGAUUUUGUGAGCAAACAACUUAUGGGAACAAUAAUCAACUAGCAUAGGAUGGCACAACAAGCAUAGCUUCAAGAAUUUAAGCAUAUAGAGAGGAAACUUGACAUUAUUGCAAUUCCUACAAGCAUAUGUUCCUCCCUCAUAAUAAUUUUCAGUAGUAUCAUGAAUGAAUUCAACAAUAUAACCAGCACCUAAAGCAUUCUUUUCAUGAUCUACAAGCAUAGAAAAUUUUCUACUCUCCACAUAAGCAAACUUUUUCUUUAUAGCAUACGUAUCAUCACAAUAAUCAUCAUAGAUAGGAGGCAUGAUUUCAUCAUAGUAAAUUUGCUCAUCAAAGCUUGGGGGACAAAAUAUAUCAUAUUCAUCAAAGAUAGCUUCCCCCAGCUUGUGGCUUUGCAUAUCAUUAGCCUCAUGGAUUUUCAAGGAAUUCAUGCUAACAACAUUGCAAUCAUGCUCAUCAUAUAAAAACAUUCUAUAGAUUUCUUCUUCUAGUACUUGAGCACAAUUAUCCUUUCCAUCAUACUCACGAAAGAUAUUAAAAAGGUGAAGCGUAUGAGACAAACUCAACUCCAUUUUUUUGUAGUUUUCUUUUAUAAACUAGACUAGUGCUAAAACAAGAAACAAAAAGAUUCGAUUGCAAGAUCUAAAGAUAUACCUUCAAGCGCUAACCUCCUCGGCAACGGCGCCAGAAAAGAGCUUGAUGUCUACUACACAACCUUCUUCUUGUAGACGUUGUUGGGCCUGCAAGUGCACAGGUUUGUAGGACAGUAGCAAAUUUCCCUCAAGUGGAUGACCUAAGGUUUAUCAAUCCGUAGGAGGCGUAGGAUGAAGAUGGUCUCUCUCAAACAACCCUGCAACCAAAUAACAAAGAGUCUCUUGUGUCCCCAACACACCCAAUACAAUGGUAAAUUGUAUAGGUGCACUAGUUCGGCGAAGAGAUGAAGAUACAAGUGCAAAAUAGAUAGUAGAUAUAGGUUUUUGUAAUCUGAAAUAAUAAAAACAGCAAGGUAGUGAGCGGUAAAAGUGAGCAUAAAUGGUAUUGCAAUGGUAGGAAACAAGGCCUAGGGUUCAUACUUUCACUAGUGUAAGUUCUCUCAACAAUAAUAACAUAGAUAGAACAUAUGACAAGCCCUCAACAUGCGACAAAGAGUCACUCCAAAGACACUAAUAGCAGAGAACAAACGUAGAGAUUAUGGUCAGGUACGAAACCACCACAAAGCUAUUCUUUCGGAUCGAUCUAUAAAAGAGUUCGUACUAGAAUAACACCAUAAGAUACAAAGCAACCAAAACACUAAUGUCACCUAGAUACUCCAUUGUCACCUCAAGUAUCCGUGGGCAUGAUUAUACGAUAUGCAUCACACAAUCUCAGAUUCAUCCAACCAACAUAAAAGUACUUCAAAGAGUGCCCCAAAGCUACUACCGGAGAGUCAAGGACGUGUGCCAACCCCUAUGCAUAGGUUCCCAAGUGUCACAAAACCCACAAGUUGAUCACCAAAAAAUACAUCAAGUGGAUCAAUAGAAUAACCCAUUGUCACCACGGUUAUCCCAUGCAAGACAUACAUCAAGUGUUCAUAAAAGACUCAAUCCGAUAAAAUAACUUCAAAGGGGAAACUCAAUUCAUCACAAGAGAGUAGAGGGGGAGAAACAUCAUAAGAUCCAACUACAAUAGCAAAGCUCGGGAUACAUCAAGAUCAUGCCAUAGAGGAACACGAGAGAGAACACGAGAGAGAGAGAUCAAACACAUAGCUACUGGUACAUACCCUCAGCCCCGAGGGUGAACUACUCCCUCCUCGUCAUGGAUUGCGCCGGGAUGAUGGAGAUGGCCUCCGGUAAUGGGAUCCCCCUCCGGUAGGGUGCCGGAACAGGGCCCCGAUAGGUUUUUCGUGGCUACAGAGGCUUGCAGCGGCGAAACUCCCGAUCUAUUUUCUGUUCUGGAAGUUUUAGGGUACGUAGGUAUAUAUGGGUGCAGGGAGAACGUCGGUGGAGCUACGGGGGCCCCGCGAGGCAGGGGGCGCGCCCAGGGGGGAGGGUGCGCCCCCACCCUCGUGAGCACCUCCCGUAUCUUCUGACGUGGGGUCCAAGUCCAUCAGGUGGGUUUCCUUCCAAAAAUAACUUCUCCAGUUGAUUUCGUUCUGUUUUGACUCCGUCUGAUAUUCCUUUUCCUUGAAACACUGAAAUAGGCAUAAAACAGCAAAUCUGGUCUGGGCCUCCGGUUAAUAGGUUAGUCCCAAAAAUAAUAUAAAAGUGGAUAAUAAAGCCCAAUAUUGCCUAAAACAGUAGAUAAAAGUAGCAUGGAGCAAUAAAAAAUUAUAGAUACGUUGGAGACGUAACACCUUCCAUCCUAGAGAUGGUUUCUUCAUGAGCCUCGAUCAUGUCAUUGGCUUCACCAAGUUGUUCCAAGAGAGCAAUGAAGUGCUUCUUGGAUUUGCCCUUGAGCUUACUCAUAAAAGACUCAAAUUCAUUUACUUCCUCAUUAUACCCCUCACUUUCAUCAAUGCCAUCCGUCAAGGAGGGAUUAGUAAUGAUGGUGGUUUUGAUGUUGGGGGUUACCUUGUUGGUGGCUUUAGCCAUGAGACACUUGGCAGCGAUGUUCUCAUUGGGCGACUCGAAGAGGGACACCCAUGGAGUUGUGGCAAUGGCAACGGAGUCCAUGGCCAUGGCUUCACUAUCUUCAUCAUCAUCGUCAUCCUCAUGGUAUUCUUCUUGAACCACCAACCCUCGAGUAGGAGUCUUUUUGGUGAAGUUGUUCUUGUUUGGGAAGGACUUGGCUUUGUCUUUUCAGAUGAGCUUGCCACCAUUGUCUUCCCGCUUCUCGUAAGGGAAAUCCACAACAAAGUGGCUCACAUUGCCACAAUUGUAACAUGUUCUCACACGUUGCUUGCCCUUGAACCCACUUGAGUUGUUCUUGUUGAAGUUGGGCCUUGUGUUCUUCUUUCUACAAAAUUGCCUUGAAGCAAGAGCCAUGUGCUCAUGAUAAUCAUAUUUUGUAUCUUCGGGGUUGCUCUCCUCAUCUUCCUAUUCUUCCUCUUCUUCCACAAUAACCUUGUCCUUCAAGGCAAGGUUGGGCUUCUUUGCUCUUUGAGAACGCAACACCGCAUUGUCGGCGGUCUUGUCCAAGAUCCUUAUUGCCACAAACUCAUCCAAUACUUCAUUUGAGGUCAAGGAGUGGAAGUCCGGUCUGUUACGGAUGACGGAGGACAUGGCCUUGUGGUAAGGCAUCAUUGCUUUUAGGAACUUGCGCUUGAUCCAAUUGUCAUCCGUGUCUUGCUCCCAUGAUCUCGGAGUGAGACCACGAGUUUGGUUACUCUCCGAAAGAGCUCACGAGGUUCUUCAUCUUCUUUCAUUGCAAACUCAUUGGCUUCAUCUUGCACCACUUCAUAGUUGGAGCGUUGGAUGCUCGCGCUUCCCUUAUAGAGGGAAACAACACAAUGCCAUGCAUCUUUGGCCAUGGCGAAGGGUCGAAGACGAGGGAGAUCUUCGAGUGGAACCGCAUCUUGAAUGAUGAAGAUAGCAUUCUCAUUGAAUUGAUUAUCCAUGGCUUCUCUAGGGGUGAAGUUGCUUCGGUCAUGUGGAUGGAAACCUUCUUCAAUGAUUCUCCAAAGAUUAGUAUUCACAUGAUUUAAAUGACGCUUGAAGCGAUAAACCCAAGAAUCAAAGUCCUCAUUUUUCACAAUCUUAGGAGGAGGGCCCGCAUGAUUUAAAUGGGUAGAGGGAAUCGGUCCUCCAUAAAUUGGAGGUUCCACAUUGGCAAAGAUGCCGGUGCCAUUUCUACCACUAGUAGAAGGACCCUUUUCACUAGUAGCUCCCCCCUUGUCGGAGUUAGCAUCCGUCACCUUGUUAGUGGGAUCACCCACUUUCAUCGGCGAGGUAGAUAGUUUAAGUCCUUCUAAGAAUUUAUUAAACAUGCUUUCAACCUUGGUUGUCAUGGAGGUUUUCAAUGUGUCCAAAGCCACAUUGAAUUCCUCACGAGAAACCGCGGUUCCCCCAUCGGCCGUAGACGAGCUCGGAUUCACACCAGAGUGCUCCUCCCCACCGUCUACGAUGUCAGCCAUACUCUUCGGACUACAAAGUCCUUAAUAAAGAGACAAGGCUCUAAUACCAAUUGAAAGGAUCGAUAUAGUUGACUAGAGGGGGGUGAAUAGGCAACUAACAAUUUUCAGCUUUUCUUUACCAAAUUAAACUUUGCAUCAAAGUAGGUUGUAUAGAUAUGCAACUAGGUGAGCCACCUAUAUGAUGUAACAACAACAAGCACACAAGCAAGCAAGGGAUACAACACAAAUAAGCUUGCACAAGUAAAUGCACGAGAUAACCAAGAGUGGAGCCGGUGAAGAUGAGGAUGUGUUACCGACGUUCCUUCCUUUUGAAGGGAAGUACAUCUCCGUUGGAGCGGUGUGGAGGCACAAUGCUCCCUAAGAAGCCACUAGGGCCACCGUAUUCUCCUCACGCCCUCACACAAUGCGAGAUGCCGUGAUUCCACUAUUGGUGCCCAAGGCGGCGACCAAACCUUUACAAACAAGGUUGGGGCAAUCUCCACAACUUAAUUGGAGGCUCCCAAUGACACCAUGAAGCUUCACCACAAUGGACUAUGGCUCCGAGGUGACCUCAACUGUCUAGAGUGCUCAAACACCCAAGAGUAACAAGAUCCGCUAGGGAUUAGUGCGGGGAAUCAAAUUUCUCUUGGUGGAAGUGUAGAUCGGGGCCUUCUCAACCAAUCCCGAGCAAAUCAACAAGUUUGAUUGGCUAGGGAGAGAGAUCGGGCGAAAAUGGAGCUUGGAGCAACAAUGGAGCUUGGGGGUGGAAGACGUGGUCAACUAGAGGAAGAAGACACCCCUUAUAUAGUGGAGAGACAAAUCCAACCGUUAUCCACUUAACCAGCCCGCGACCUGUGGUACUACCGCCACAGACAAGCGGUACUACCACAAGUGCUCACGGUACUACCACGACGGACCACGGUACUACCGCUGCUAUGGCAGGAGCUUGUCCAGGCCUGAACCUCAAAGGCUGAGGGUGGUAUUGCCGCUGAGGCGGUACUACCGCUCCCCCUUGCGGUACUACCGCAAGGCCGGAUUGGACUAGCCUGGGAAGGGCGCGGAUGAAUAAAAAUACAUCCGUGCCUAGUUCCGCUGAAAAUCAAACAGUGCAAAUACCCAACACGGUACUACCGCGCAUGGCAUGCGGUACUACCACGCAGAGAGCGGAUGUAAAAAAUUACAUCCGCCCCUACUUCCGCUCAUGUUGCUAUGCUGGACCAGGACUCACGGUACUACCGCAUGCAUGGGGCGGUACUACCGCGUAGGGCGCGGAUGUAAAAAAUUACAUCCGCCCCUACAGCCGCACGAGCGGCUGAGUCUGGUCUGAGGCCAUGGUACUACAGCUCCUUAGGAGCGGUACUACCGUGUGCACCUACGGUACUACCGCAAGGGUGUGCGGUACUACCGCGGGUGCCUGCGGUACUACUGCUCCUGAGAGCAGUACUACCGCAUGCCUCAGAACAGCAACACUAGGAAUCCUUCUCUUUGCAUAUAUAUGAAGAAAAUGGAGGAUGCUCCAAAGCGCAAAGGGAAAGGCGGUGCAGAGGGAGUAAACAUGUAUGUGAUGAUUCCAACUGAACCUUUCCAACGCGGACCCCCUCUGAAUAGUUCGGCUUUCCUACGACUCAAAUCCACCAAAAAGAAACGUAGAAAAAUGCCGUCUUCAAUAAUCUUUGAGGGGCACCAAACCGUCUUGUGCCUAGUGACUAAAUGUGUGAAAUACUCAAGGCACAUGAUUAGUCCGCAAAAGCAUUGUCAUCAAUCACCAAAACACCUCAGGGAUAAAUAUGCCCUUACACUAAGCUUGGGGAUGCCCAAGGCACCCCAAGGUAAAAUUCAAGGACAACCAAAAUCCUAAGCUUGGGGAUGCCCUGGAAGGCAUCCCUCUUUCGUCUUCGUCCAUCGGUAACUUUACUUGAUCCUAUAUUUUUAUUUACCACAUGAUAUGUGUUUUGCUUGGAGCGUCUUGUAUGAUUUGAGUCUUUGCCUUUUAGUUUACCACAAUCAUCCUUGUUGUACACACCUUAUGGGAGAGACACACAUGAAUCGGAAUUUAUUAGAAUACUCUAUGUGCUUCACUUAUAUCUUUUGAGCUAGAUAAUUUUGCUCUAGUGCUUCACUUAUACCUUUUUAGAGCACGGCGGUGGUUUUAUUUUGUAGAAAUUAUUGAUCUCUCAUGCUUCACUUAUAUUAUUUUGAGAGUCUUUUAGAACAACAUGGUAUUUUGUUUGGUUAUAAAAUUAGUCCUAAUAUGAUGGGCAUCCAAGUUGGGUGUAAUAAAAACUAUCAUAUAAAGUGCAUUGAACACUAUAAUCAAUUUGAUACUAGAUAAUUGUUUUGAGAUAUAAAGGUGGUAGUGUUAGAGUCAUGCUAGUUGGGUAAUUAUGAAAUUGAGAAAUACUUGUGUUAAAGUUGGCAAGUUCUGUAGCAUGCACGUAUGGUGAACGUUGUGUGACAAAUUUGAAGCAUGGGGUGUUCUUUGAUUGCCUUCCUUAUGAGUGGAGGUCGGGAUCGCGCGAUGGUUAACCCCUACCAACCCUUCCCCUAGGAGCAUGCGUAGUAGUACUUUGCUUCAAGGUCUAAUAAACUUUUGCAAUAAGUAUAUGAGUUCUUUAUGACUAAUGUGAGUCCAUUGAUUAUAUGCACUCUUACCCUUCCACAAUUUGCUAGCCUCUACGGCACCGUGCAUUGCACUACAAAAAAAAGACACAUCCGUGACAUUUUGGGCCGAACGAAUUUUUUUCCUGUCAUACAUAUGACACUUCUAUGACGAUAAUUGUGACAAAACCCGGUAUCAUCAUAGAUCUGGUGGGCUCCUACUUCUAUGACAAAAAAUCAUGACAGAAAAUGGGCUUUUCGUCCUGGGCGGGCCGGAGAGGCAGCUGCAUGACAUUCUUUGGGCUGUCCAUGACGGAAAAACCCGUGGUAGAAGCGAGGGCGAGGAAAAUUUCAGGGAGUUCCCAGUUACGGUGGGAGGUCGGGGGCCGAGCGAUGCGUGUUUCUCUCGUACAUGUAUGCGCGUGUGUGCGAGGCGUUGGCUCUAACUAAACCCAAGCGAGGCAUUGGGCUCUAACUGAACCCGAGCGAUUGCACUGCAGGCUACGCGUUACUGAACCCGAGCGAUCGAUCGAUGGCUGUUAACUGAACCCGAUCGAGCGAUUCCUUCGCUACUGCUGCUAACUGANNNNNNNNNNNNNNNNNNNNNNNNNNNNNNNNNNNNNNNNNNNNNNNNNNNNNNNNNNNNNNNNNNNNNNNNNNNNNNNNNNNNNNNNNNNNNNNNNNNNNNNNNNNNNNNNNNNNNNNNNNNNNNNNNNNNNNNNNNNNNNNNNNNNNNNNNNNNNNNNNNNNNNNNNNNNNNNNNNNNNNNNNNNNNNNNNNNNNNNNNNNNNNNNNNNNNNNNNNNNNNNNNNNNNNNNNNNNNNNNNNNNNNNNNNNNNNNNNNNNNNNNNNNNNNNNNNNNNNNNNNNNNNNNNNNNNNNNNNNNNNNNNNNNNNNNNNNNNNNNNNNNNNNNNNNNNNNNNNNNNNNNNNNNNNNNNNNNNNNNNNNNNNNNNNNNNNNNNNNNNNNNNNNNNNNNNNNNNNNNNNNNNNNNNNNNNNNNNNNNCGGUACGCCACACCCCUCCCGAUCAACAGGACCCCCAUUUCGACCGUAGCGCUCCAACACAAGUCCGUUUUGUCCGUUUUGCGGUACCCACACCCCUCCCGAUCAACAAGACCCCCGUUUCGACUGUAGGAGGUCCGUUUUGUCUGUUUUGUGGUACGCCACACCCCUCCCGAUCAACAGGACCCCCAUUUCGACCAUAAAGGUCCAUUUCCUCCGUUUUGCGGUACGCCAGACCCCUCCCGAUCAACAGGACCCCGUUCCGAACGUGGCCGGUCGAACACAAGGCCGUUUCCUCCGUUCUGUGGUACGCCAGGCCUCGUUUCCAUCGCCUGUUCCGUCCAAGCCCUCCCGAUGAAGACGACCAUGCAUUCCGUUCCGACCCAGCCGGUUGGCUCCCCAUGAACACGACGACGAUGUUGUUUCUCCGUUCCGACCCAGCCAUGUACACGAGCCCUGGCCGUACGUAUGCGCGAGUAGGUGUUUGAGACCCCGCCCGUAUGUACACAUAUGUGGCCAUAUUUUUUUCUUGCACACUAGCGUUGUACGCACGUGUACAUGCUACGUGCGCGCCUCUACUACGACACAUACGCGCCUCUACAUCGACCAGUAUAUAUGUACGUACACGUUCGCGACCAGAAUGACAACGCUAUGUACGCUUCGACCAGGUGGGUCCCGACUAUCAGGCACUUCCUUGCCUGCGAAGAUGUAGCUGGUGGGUCCCAGCAGUCAGGGGGCGAAUCGUUUUUUUUUUGCCCGGACGCACUUCCUUGUGCGCGAAGAUGUAGCUGGUGGGUCCUAGCAGUCAGGGGGGCGAAUCGUUUUUUUUGCCCGGAUGCACUUCCUUGUGUGCGAAGAUGUAGCUGGUGGGUCCCAGCAGUCAGGGGGGUGAAUUGUUUUUUUGCCCGGAUGCACUUCCUUGCGUGCGAAGAUGUAGCUGGUGGGUCCCAACAGUCAGGGGGAAACAUUUUUUUCACGAAAUACGGUGGCCCGUCCGGUGGGUCCCCGCUGUCAGGUGGAGGAAUAAUUAUUUUGCGCGUAAUAAGGAGGCACUUCCUUGCUGCGGCCGUGGACCCAGCUGUCAGCCUCUCCAUGUAUAGUCCACGUCCGAUGGAAGUCGUUCCUUGACCACGUUGACCACACCGCACCGAGAGCACCACAGCGGUGGACGAUGGCGAGGCCUAGGAAGGGGACGACUCGAAGCCGGGGAAGACGCAGCAGUGGAUGCCCACGCGAAGAGGAGUACGAGGGUUCACUGGUUCGGCUGCGGUGUGAGGUUGCCGUCGCCGCAGAAUAACAGGGGGUGUGGGUGAGUAGAGGGAUGCACUGGCCAGCGUGGGAGUAGUAGGGGGCGGUGAGGCCUCCAUGGCAUGACAACCGGCCAUGGGAGGCAGGAGCACGCGGCACGACCGGCGCUGGUUUGGGCGGCUGGAGCAAGAAGACCAGAGGUUGAAGAAGCACUACGGCCGUUGGAUGAACAUCGUACGGUAACAGGAGCUAGAAUCGUUCAUAUUGACUAAGUUAACAAAGCCCUCCGUCCUCGUCAACUUGGUAGGCCCACAAGUCAGCCACCCACUAUGCUGGGUUCCAGCUAGCAGGGGGAGUAUUCAUUUUUUUUCUGCAUAAUAAGGAGGCACUUUCGGUGGGUCCGAGCUGACAGCGGGGGGUGGGGGGGUGGGGGGGACGUUUUUCGCGAAAUACGGUGGCCCGUUCGGUGGGUCCCAGCAGUCAUGGGGAAACGUUUUUUUUGCGAAUUACCGUGGCCCGUUCGGUGGGUCCCUGCUGUCAGGUGGAGGAAUAAUUAUUUCCGCGUAAUAAGGAGGCACUUCCUUGCGGCUGCCGUGGACCCAGCUGUCAGCCUCCCCACGUAGAGUACUCUUUCGAUGGAAGUUGGUCAUUGACCACAUUGACCACGCCACGCCGAGAGCACCACGGCGGUGGACGACGGUGAGGCAUAGCAAGGGGACGACACAGAGCCGGGGAAGACGCGGCAGUGGAAGCCCGCACGGAGAGGAGUACGAGGGAGUACGAGGGUUCACCGGUUUGGCUGCGGUGUGAGGCUGCCAUCGCCGCAGAAUAACAGGGGGUGUGGGUGAGUAGAGGGAUGCCCUGGCCAGCGGUGGGAGUAGUAGGGGGCGCUGAGGCCUGCGCGGCAACACAGCCGGCCACGGGAGGCAGGAGCAGGCGGUCCCGCCGGUGCUGCUUUGGCGGCUGGAGCAAGAAGAUCAGAUAUUGAAGAAACACGACGGCCGUCAGAUUGACAUCCAAUGGUUACGUCUGCUAGAAUCGUUUGUUGACAUAUAUAAUAACUAAAAAAUCUUGCAUAUGCGUCAACUAAACAGGCCCACAAGUCAGACCACUCCCUCUUUUUUUAAUAAUUUAUAUAUAGCUCAUGGCAACUUCUUAUGCAAUUUAUUGCAGUCAUUUUUUUUGGUUGGCCAGGGCCAAUUUCGCAUAUUUCUGUGGGUUCCAAGCUAUUUUUAAUACCGAAAUGUCGAGCCAGAUUUAAAUUACUUUGAAGAUAUAUUUAAAUUAGGUUAAUGCCUAGUGAAAUAGGAAUCUGAAAAUGUGGAAAAAUUCAGAAAUUAUAAAGUAAUUGCCAAUUUAUCAUUUGUUUUUAUAUUUACAACCCAUUUCAUAUUACUUUCAAGAUUUGCAGGCGUCUUGAAAGAGUUGCUGCCCAUCAGGGCGUAGAAAAAUAAGUAGGCCUGGAUUGGGUACUCUUCAGAAAAAAUAAACUGGGCUCAUUUUCACAAAGAAAAAAUAGCUGGGCUGGUCACAUGGUGAACACAAAAUAUAAGCCUGGGCUAGACGGGCCACAGCCCAGUUCAAACCCUGCUCCGUCUCAACAAUAACAAAAAAAUACUGCUCGAGUAGCUACAUCCCAGGUGUCAGCCGAUCUUGUGCUGUUCUCUUGUCUAUUGACUAUAUACGCUCACAAUGUCGUGGGUCCCAGAUGUCAGGAAAACACUAGGAGAAAGCAUUUUAUUUUUCCAUACGCUGACGUGGUGGGCCCCUACUGUCAUCCUCUCCACGUACUUCUACCGAUUCCUGUUGUUUGUUGACCAUGUUGACAACGCGAGAGGGCGGCACCGCGGCGAGCGCACCAAAGCGUGCAGAGGACGUCGGCGUUAACGAUUUAGGAGACGGUGGGGCGGCGAUGCGUGCGUUGAGGCGCAACCAGCCAUGGGAGGCGGAAACAGGCGGCCCCGCCGGCAUUAGUUUGGUUUUGGCGGCUGGAGGAAGACAGGACUGAAGAAACACGACAGACUAUAAAAGCAGCAGGAGUACUUAACAACCUUAACUGAAACCAGCAUGGGCACUUAACAACCAAAGCUGAAAGCAGUAUGAGUACUUAUACAGGUUCAACCGUACAAAGCACGCCUCAAACAGUGCUACUUUGCCUACAGUUAACUGAUAUGUCCAUUUUGCAUCAUGCUUUUAUAUCAAUAUUUAUUGCAUUAUGGGCUGUUAUUGCACUUUAUAUCUCAAUACUUAUGGCCAUUCUCUCUUAUUUUACAAGGUUUACCAUGAAAAGGGAGAAUACUGGCAGCUGGAAUUCUGGCUGGAAAAGGAGCAAACAUUGGAAACCUAUUCUGCACAGCUCCAAAAGUCCUGAAACUCCACGAAACAACUUUUUAGAUUUAAUAAGAAUUUUUGAGCGAAAGAAAUACGCCAGGGGGCCCACACCCUGUUCAGGAGACAGGAGGGCGCCCCCCUAUAGGGCGCGCCCCUAUCUCCUGGGCCCCCUAGUGGGCCUCCGGUGUCCAUCUUCUGCUAUAUAAUCGCUUUUACCCUGGAAAAAAUCGUGGGCAAGCUUACGGGACGAAACUCCGCCGCCAUGAGGCGGAACCUUGGCAGAAUCAAUCUAGGGCUCCAGCGGAGCUGUUCUGCCGGGGUCACUUCCCUUCGGGAGGGGGAAAUCAUCACCAACGUCAUCACCAAUGAUCCUCUCACCGGGAGGGGGUCAAUCUCCAUCAACAUCUUCACCAGCACCAUCUCCUCUCAAAACCCUAGUUCAUCUCUUGUAUCCAAUCUUGUAUCAAAACCACAAAUUGGUACCUAUGGGUUGCUAGUAGUGUUGAUUACUCCUUGUAGUUGAUGCUAAUUGGUUUACUUGGUGGAAGAUCAUAUGUUCAGAUCCUUUAUGCAUAUUAUUACCCCUCUAAUUAUGAACAUGAAUAUGCUUUGUGAGUAGUUACGUUUGUUCCUGAGGACAUGGGUGAAGUCUUGCUAUUAGUAGUCAUGUGAAUUUGGUAUUCGUUCGAUAUUUUGAUGAGAUGUAUGUUGUCUUUUCCUCUAGUGGUGUUAUGUGAACAUCGACUACAUGACACUUCACCAUUAUUUGGGCCUAGAGGAAGGCAUGGGGAAGUAAUAAGUAGAUGAUGGGUUGCUAGAGUGACAGAAGCUUAAACCCUAGUUUAUACGUUGCUUCGUUAGGGGCUGAUAUGGAUCCAUAUGUUUAAUGUUGUGGUUAGGUUUACCUUAAUACUUCUUUUGUAGUUGCGGACGCUUGCAAUAGGGGUUAACCAUAAGUGGGAUGCUUGUCCAAGUAAGGGCAGUACCCAAGUACCGGUCCACCCACAUAUCAAAUUAUCAAAGUACCGAACACGAAUCAUAUGAACGUGAUGAAAACUAGCUUGACGAUAAUUCCCAUGUAUCCUCGGGAGCUCCUUCCUCAUUAUUAGAAAUUGUCUAGGCUUAUCCUUUGCUACAUAAAGGAUUGGGCCACCUUGAUGCACUUAUUUACUUUAUUUAUUUGUUACUCGUUACCAUUUAUCUUAUUACAAAACUAUCUAUCACCUACAAUUUCAGUGCUUGCAGAGAAAACCUUACUGAAAACCGCUUAUCAUUUCCUUCUGCUCCUCGUUGGGUUCGACACUCUUACUUAUCGAAAGGACUACGAUUUACCCCCUACACUUGUGGGUCAUCAAGACUCUUUUCUGGCGCCGUUGCCGGGGAGUGUAGCGCUUUUGGUGAGUGGAACUUGGUAAGGAAACAUUUAUAUAGUGUGCUGAAAUUUUCUGUUACUUGUCACUAUGGAAACUAAUCCUUUGAGGGGCUUGUUUGGGGUAUCUUCACCCCAACCAGAAGAGCAAAGAGUUGCUCCUCAACCUAUUGAACUUUAUGAAAAUAUUCAUUUUGAGAUUCCUUCGGGUAUGAUAGAGAAACUGCUAGCUAAUCCAUUUGCAGGAGAUGGAACAUUGCAUCCCGAUUUACACCUUAUCUUUGUGGAUGAAGUUUGUGGAUUAUUUAAGCUUGCAGGUAUUCCCAAUGAUGUUGUCAAAAGGAAGGUCUUCCCUUUGUCUGUGAAGGGAGAUGCAUUGACAUGGUAUAGGCUAUGUGAUGAUACGAGAUCUUGGAAUUAUAAGUGAUUGAAGUUGGAAUUUCACCAGAAUUUCUAUCCGAUGCAUCUUGUUCAUCGUGAUCGUAAUUACAUAUAUAGUUUCUGGCCUCGCGAAGGAGAAAGCAUCGCUCAAGCUUGGGGGAGGCUUAAGUCAAUGUUAUAUUCAUGCCCCAAUCAUGAGCUCUCUCAGGAAAUGAUUAUUUAGAACUUUUAUGCUCGGCUUUCUCUUGAUAAUCGCAACCUGCUCGAUACUUCCUGUGCUGGUUCUUAUAUGCUGAAAACUAUUGAUUUCAAAUGGGACUUAUUGGAAAGAAUUAAACACAACUCUAAAGAUUGGGGUUCCAACGAUGGUAAGGAGUCAGGUAUGAUACCUAAGUUCGAUUGUGUUAAAUCUUUUCUGGAUACCGAUGCUUUUCGUGGAUUUAGCGCUAAGUAUGGACUUGACUCUGAAAUAGUAGCUUCUUUCUGUGAAUCUUUUGCUACUCAUGUUGAUCUCCCUAAAGAGAAGUGGUUUAAUAUAAUCCUCCUGUUGAAGUGAAAGUAGUUGCACCUAUUACAGUUGAAGAAAAGACUAUCACCUAUAGUGAUCCUAUUGUUCCUACUACUUAUGUUGAAAAACCUCCUUUUCCUGUUAGGAUAAAAGAUCAUGCUAAAGCUUCAACUGUUUUUCGUAAGAGUAAUACUAGGACCUAUACACCUCCUGAGCAAAUUAAUGUUGAACCUAGUAUUGCUAUGGUUAAAGAUCUCUUGGAUGACGAUUUAGAUGGGCAUGUUAUUUCUUUCUAUGGUGAGACUGCAAAUAUUGCUAGACGAGAUACCAAGACAUGUAGACCUGUCGUAGGCAUGCCUGUUAUUUCUGUUAAAAUAGGAGAUCAUUGUUAUCAUGGCUUAUGUGAUAUGGGUGCUAGUGCUAGUGCAAUACCUUAUACUUUAUAUCAAGAAAUUAUGCAUGACAUUGCACCUCUUGAAUUAGAAGACAUUGAUGUUACUAUUAAGCUUGCUAAUAGGGAUACCAUUAAACCCUUUGGGAUUGUUAGAGAUGUUGAAGUUUUGUGUGGGAAGGUUAAAUACCCUGCUGGUUUUCUUGUUCUUGGUUCCCCACAAGAUGAUUUUUGUCCCAUUAUUUUUGGUAGACCCUUCUUGAAUACGGCUAGUGCUAAGAUUAAUUGUGAAAAGAAUAUUGUCACUGUUGGCACUGAUGGUAUGUCUCAUGAGUUUAAUUUCGCUAAGUUUAGUAGACAACCUCGUGAUAGGGAACCACCUAGUAAGGAUGAGAUUAUUGGUCUUGCUUCCAUUGCUGUCCCUCCAACUGAUCCGUUAGAACAAUAUUUGCUAGACCAUGAAAACGAUAUGUUUAUGAAGGAAAGGGAGGAAAUAGAUGAAGUGUUCCUUAAACAGGAACCUAUGCUGAAACAUAACCUUCUCGUUGAAAUUCUUGGGGAUCCCCCUCCACCCAAGGGUGAUCCCGUGUUUGAACUCAAACCAUUACCUGGUAAUCUUAAGUAUGCUUAUCUUGAUGAAAAGGAAAUAUAUCCUGUUAUUAUUAAUGCUAACCUUUCAGAGCAAGAAGAAAUAUUAUUGAAAACUCUGAAGAAGCACCGAGCUGCUAUUGGAUAUACUCUGGAUGAUCUCAAGGGCGUUAGUCCCAUGUUAUGCCAACACAAAAUUACAUCGGAGGACGAUGCCAAACCAGUUCGAGAUCCUCAAAGAUGAUUAAAUCCCAAGAUGAAAGAAGUGGUAAGAAAGGAGAUACUAAAGCUCCUUGAGGCAGGUAUUAUUUAUCCCGUUGCUGAUAGUGAAUGGGUAAGCCCUGUCCAUUGUGUUCCUAAAAAGGGAGGUAUUACUGUUUUUCCUAAUGAUAAAGAUGAAUUGACCCCGCAAAGAAUUGUUACAGGUUAUAGGAUGGUAAUUGAUUUUCGUAAGUUAAAUAAAGCUACUAAGAAAGAUCAUUACCCAUUACCUUUUAUUGAUCAAAUGCUAGAAAGACUAUCCAAACACACACAUUUAUGCUUUCUAGAUGGUUAUUCUGGCUUCUCUCAAAUACCUGUGUGAGCGAAGGAUCAAUCUAAAACUACUUUUACUUGCCCUUUUGGUACUUUUGCUUAUAGACGUAUGCCUUUUGGUUUAUGUAAUGCACCUGCUACCUUUCAAAGAUGCAUGAUGGCUAUAUUCUCUGAUUUUUGUGAAAAGAUUUGUGAGGUAUUCAUGGAUGACUUUUCCGUUUAUGGAUCCUCUUUUGAUGAUUGUUUGAGCAACCUUGAUCGAGUUUUGCAGAGAUGUGAAGACACUAGUCUCGUCCUGAAUUGGGAAAAGUGUCACUUUAUGGUUAAUGAAGGCAUUGUCUUGGGGCAUAAGAUCUCCGAGAGAGGUAUUGAAGUUGAUAAAGCCAAGGUUGAUGCUAUUGAAAAGAUGCCAUGUCCCAAGGACAUAAAAGGUAUAAGAAGUUUCCUUGGUCAUGCCGGUUUUUAUAGGAGGUUCAUUAAGGACUUUUCUAAAAUCUCUAGGCCUCUAACUAAUUUAUUGCAAAAAGAUAUUCCUUUUGUCUUUGAUGAUGAUUGUGUAGAAGCAUUUGAAAUACUUAAGAAAGCUUUGAUCACUCCACCUAUUGUUCAGCCACCUGAUUGGAAUUUACCUCUUGAAAUUAUGUGUGAUGCUAGUGAUUAUGCUAUAGGUGCUGUUUUAGGGCAAAGAGUCGAUAAGAAAUUGAAUGUUAUCCAGUAUGCUAGUAAGACUCUUGAUACUACCCAGAGAAAUUAUGCUACUACUGAAAAAGAGUUCUUAGCAGUUGUGUUUCCAUGUGAUAAGUUUAGACCUUAUAUUGUUGAUUCUAAAGUUACUAUUCACACUGAUCAUGCUGCUAUUAAAUAUCUUAUGGAAAAGAAAGAUGCUAAGCCUAGACUCAUUAGAUGGGUUCUCCUGCUCCAAGAAUUUGACUUGCAUAUUAUUGAUAGAAAAGGAGCUGAGAAUCCCAUUGCAGACAACUUGUCUAGGUUAGAGAAUGUUCUUGAUGACCCACUGCCUAUUAAUGAUAGCUUUCCUGAUGAACAAUUAGUGGUCGUCAAUGCUUCUCGUACUGCUCCUUGGUAUGCUGAUUAUGCUAAUUACAUUGUUGCUAAAUAUAUACCGCCUAGUUUCACAUACCAGCAAAAGAAAAAGUUCUUUUAUGAUUUAAGACAUUACUUCUGGGAUGAUCCACACCUUUAUAAAGAAGGAGUAGAUGGUGUUAUUAGACGUUGUGUGCCUGAGCAUGAAUAGGAACAAAUCCUACGCAAGUGUCACUUUGAAUCCUAUGGAGGACACCACGCUGGAGAUAGAACUGCACACAAGGUACUACAAUCUGGUUUUUAUUGGCCUACUCUCUUCAAAGAUGCUCGUAAGUUUGUCUUAUCUUGCGAUGAAUGUCAAAGAAUAGGUAACAUUAGUAGACGUCAAGAAAUGCCUAUGAAUUAUUCUCUUAUUAUUGAACCAUUUGAUGUUUGGGGCUUUGAUUAUAUGGGACCUUUUCCUGCCUCCAAUGGUUAUACACAUAUUUUAGUUGCUGUUGAUUACGUUACUAAGUGGGUAGAAGCUAUUCCAACUAGUAGUGCUGAUCAUAACACUUCUAUUAAAAUGCUUAAAGAAGUUAUUUUUCCGAGGUUUGGAGUCCCUAGAUAUCUUAUGACUGAUGGUGGUUCACAUUUUAUUCAUGGUGCUUUCCGUAAGAUGCUUGCUAAGUAUGAUGUCAAUCAUAGAAUCGCAUCUCCUUAUCAUCCGCAGUCUAGUGGUCAAGUAGAGUUGAGCAAUAGAGAGCUCAAAUUAAUUUUGCAAAAGACUGUGAAUAGAUCUACAAAGAAUUGGUCCAAGAAACUUGAUGAUGCAUUAUGGGCCUAUAGAACUGCUUACAAAAAUCCUAUGGGUAUGUCUUCUUAUAAGAUGGUUUAUGGAAAACCAUGUCAUUUACCUCUUGAACUUGAACAUAAAGCAUAUUGGGCUAUUAAGGAUCUCAAUUAUGACUCCAAACUUGCCGGUGAGAACAGGUUAUUUGAUAUUAGCUCACUUGAUGAAUGGAGAACCCAAGCAUAUGAGAAUGCCAAGCUAUUCAAAGAAAAAGUCCACCGCUGGCAUGAUAAGAGGAUACAAAAGCGUGAGUUUAACGUAGGAGAUUAUGUCUUAUUAUUCAACUCUAGUUUAAGAUUUUUUGUAGGAAAACUUCUCUCAAAAUGGGAAGGUCCCUACGUUAUCGAGGAGGUCUAUCAUUCUGGUGCUAUAAAAUCCAACAACUUCGAAGGCACAAAUCCGAGGGUGGUAAACAGUCAAAGAAUUAAACAUUAUAUUUCAGGUAAUCCCAUCAAUGUUGAAACUAAUAUUAUUAAAACCGUAACCCCAGAGGAAUACAUAAGGGACACUUUCCAGAACAUUCCAGACUCCGAAAAGGUAUAGAUAUGUGGUACAGUAAGUAAACCGACUCCAAAACAACUCCAAUGGCAAUUUUUAUCAUUUUUGGAAUAUUUAAGAAUUUUAGGAAGAAAGAAGUAGUAUGAAAGGGACACGAGGCCCCCACGAGAGUGGAGGGCGCCACCCCCCUACUGGGCACACCCCCCUGUCUUGUGGGCACCUCGUGUGCCUCUCGGACCCUGUUUUCUUGCAUGUUACAUAUUUUGGUCGGUAAAAAUUCAUUACAUAUACUCCCAAAGGUUUUGACCACCAUAUCAUGCAAAUAUCCUCUGUUUUCGUUUCGAGCUGUUUUUGUUUCAGAUAAGAGCAUUAUGUCGUCUCCAAGCGCUCCCAAGGACAAGUUUUUCGAGAGGGUUAUCAACCCCUAUCUUGUGGAGGUGCUACAACACCCUCAAACUAUUCAGAUGCUUGAGGGGGUGCUGCACAUCCGCGAUGUGGAGGGACCAAGGCGUACCGGAAGCGUGGAGACAAAGCUCGAAGCUGUGGAGCAACAGGUUUUCAAGUGCCAAGGGAUGGUGGAGCGUGGACUCAAUGCUAACCAGAUGAUGAUCACAGAGUUCACCAACAACCACAAGUUAGAUGCCAAAGUCAUUGGGGAGACCAUCUUCAAGCUUCAAGAGAAAAUCGAGCACCUCCAAGCCCAGAUCUAUGACCUACAAAACCAGAAUUGUGAGUAUGAAUAUAGAUUCAAGAGGAUGAGUUUGGCUGCAGAUUUAAGGAUCCCGGAGACUCGAUCAUCCUUCUAUGAUGGUGAGCCUAUGCCUUGGAAAACGGACGACAAGCCUACAUCAUCAAUAACUUCUACUUCACCGCCUCCGAGGACAUAAUCACAUGGGUAUGGGCACUCCCCUUGGCAACUGCCAAGCUUGGGGGAGGUGCCCCGGUAUCGUAUCACCAUCACACUCCUAUCUUUACUGCUUUAUUUAGUUCGAUCCUUUUAGUAGCAUCUUGAUCUAGUAGAUUGAAGUUUUGAUAUCAAGUAGUUUGAGUUUUUGCUUUGUGAUCUCUUUUUGUAAUCGAGUCCGUGAGCUAUCUAUAAUAAAGAUUAGUGUUGAGUCAAGGGCUUUGCUUUGUUGCUAUGAUCUUGAGAAAGUAGAAAGAAUAAAAGAGUUCAUAUUGAUCUUAUGGAUAGUGAUAACUUCACAUAUAGAAAGUAUGAGGCAUAAAAAUUGUUGAGAGUUGAUGAACAUAGUUUUGGUCAUCGUUGCAAUUAAUAGGAAGUGAUAAGGAAAGAGGGGUUCACAUGUAAAUAUAUUAUCUUGGACACCUUUUAUAAUUGGGAGCACUCAUUAAGUAUGACAUGCUAAAAGAGUUGACGUUGGACAAGGAAGACAACGUAAUGGUUUAUGUUUUCGCGCAUCUCAGUUAAAGUAUAUUGUUAUUGACCUUCCAAACAUGUUGAGCUUGCCUUUCCCCCUCAUGCUAGCCAAAUUCCUUGCACCAAGUAGAGAUACUACUUGUGCUUCCAAAUACCCUUAAACCCAGUUUUGCCAUGAGAGUCCACCAUACCUACCUAUGGAUUGAGUAAGAUCCUUCGAGUAAGUUGUCAUGUUGCAAGCAAUAAAAAUUGCCAUCUAAAUAUGUAUGACUUAUUAGUGCAGAGAAAAUAAGCUUUGUACGAACUUGUUGUGGAAGUAAUAAAAGCGACAGACUGCAUAAUAAUGGUCCACAUACAAGGGGCAAUAUAAAGCGACGUUCUUUUGCAUUAGGAUUUUGUGCAUCAACCCUAAACGCACAUGACAACCUCUGCUUCCCUCUGCGAAGGGCCUAUCUUUUACUUUAUGUUUUUACUUUAUGCUUGAGUCAAGGUGAUCCUCACCUUUCCCUUUUUCAUUUUAUCCUUUGGCAAGAUCCUCGUGUUUGAAAGAUCAUGAUAUAUAUAUAUAUAUAUCCAAUUGGAUGUUAGUUAGCAUGGGCUAUUAUUGUUGACAUCACCUAAAGGUGAAUACGUUGGGAGGCAACACAAUAAGCCCCUAUCUUUCUCAGUGUCCGGCUGAAACUCCAUAACCACAAGUAUUGCAUGAGUGUUAGCAAUUAUAGAAGACUACAAGAUAGUUGAGUAUGUGAGCUUGCUCAAAAGCUCUAUUGUUGACUCUUUCUGAUGCUACAAUAAAUUGCAAUUGCUUUAAUGACUGAGAUUAUAGUUUGUUAGUUCCCAAUGAAGUUUUUGAACCAUACUUGACAUUGUGAAUUGAUUGUCACUUGAGCAUAGGAAAUCAUAUGACAAAAUCUAUAUAUGUUAUUGUUAUUAGAAUGAUCAUGAUGCCCUCAUGUCCGUAUUUUAUUUUUAUUGACACCUCUACCUCUAAACAUGUGGACAUAUUUUUUGAUUUCGGCUUCCGCUUGAGGACAAGCGAGGUCUAAGCUUGGGGGAGUUGAUAUGUCCAUUUUGCAUCAUGCUUUUAUAUCAAUAUUUAUUUCAUUGUGGGCUGUUAUUGCACUUUAUAUCUCAAUACUUAUGGCUAUUCUCUCUUAUUUUACAAGGUUUACCAUGAAAAGGGGGAAUGCCGGCAGCUGGAAUUCUGGCUGGAAAAGGAGCAAACAUUGGAAACCUAUUCUGCACAGCUCCAAAAGUCCUAAAACUCCACGAAACAACUUUUUGGAUUUAAUAAGAAUUUUUGAGCGAAAGAAAUACGCCAGGGGGCCCACACCCUGUCCAAGAGACAAGAGCCCCCCCUAUAGGGCGCGCCCCCUAUCACCUGGGCCCCCUGGUGGGCCUCCGGUGUCCAUCUUCUACUAUAUCAUUGCUUUUACCUUGGAAAAAAUCGCGGGCAAUCUUACGGGACGAAACUCCGCCGCCACGAGGCGGAACCUUGGCAGAAUCAAUCUAGGGCUCCGGCGGAGCUAUUCUGCCGGGGACACUUCCCUCCGGGAGGGGGAAAUCAUCACCAACGUCAUCACCAACGAUCCUCUCACCAGGAGGGGGUCAAUCUCCAUCAACAUCUUCACCAGCACCAUCUCCUCUCAAAACGCUAGUUCAUCUCUUGUAUCCAAUCUUGUAUCAAAACCACAAAUUGGUACCUGUGGGUUGCUAGUAGUGUUGAUUACUCCUUGUAGUUGAUGCUAAUUGGUUUACUUGGUGGAAGAUCAUAUGUUCAGAUCCUUUAUGCACAUUAUUGCCCCUCUGAUUAUGAACAUGAAUAUGCUUUGUGAGUAGUUACGUUUGUUCCUGAGGACAUGGGUGAAGUCUUGCUAUUAGUAGUCAUGUGAAUUUGGUAUUCGUUCGAUAUUUUGAUGAGAUGUAUGUUGUCUUUUCCUCUAGUGGUGUUAUGUGAAUGUCAACUACAUGACACUUCACCAUUAUUUGGGCCUAGAGGAAGGCAUGGGGAAGUAAUAAGUAGAUGAUGGGUUGCUAGAGUGACAGAAGCUUAAACCCUAGUUUAUGCGUUGCUUCGUUAGGGGCUGAUAUGGAUCCAUAUGUUUAAUGAUGUGGUUAGGUUUACCUUAAUACUUCUUUUGUAGUUGCGGACGCUUGCAAUAGGGGUUAAUCAUAAGUGGGAUGCUUGUCCAAGUAAGGGCAGUACCCAAGUACCGGUCCACCCACAUAUCAAAUUAUCAAAGUACCGAACGUGAAUCAUAUGAACGUGAUGAAAACUAGCUUGACGAUAAUUCCCAUGUGUCCUCGGGAGCUCCUUCCUCAUUAUUAGAAAUUGUCCAGGCUUAUCCUUUGCUACAUAAAGGAUUGGGCCACCUUGAUGCACUUUAUUUACUUUAUUUAUUUGUUACUCGUUACUAUUUAUCUUAUUACAAAACUACAUAUCACCUACAAUUUCAGUGCUUGCAGAGAAAACCUUACUGAAAACCGCUUAUCAUUUCCUUCUGCUCCUCGUCGGGUUCGGCACUCUUACUUACCAAAAGGACUACGAUUUACCCCCUACACUUGUGGGUCAUCAUUAACCAAGGGUGAGGCCGCCAAGCCCCAGGACAAGGCCCAGGUGCCACCCCGCGCAUCCACAACCUUCUGAAAGCGGCUUCAUCUCGCAACAUGGUCAAUAAACAGGAUAUUCGCUUUAGAGCCAUGGAAAAGCAUGAACAUAAUAUUCUGUCCUAUUCUCCAAGAUGGACGGGUCUUCAUUAUUUGAGACCACCCAUGAAUAAGUAUCUUUUCACCUCCAAGGGGAAUGGAGUAGGUUGACAUAAACAUCAAGUUGUGACCAAGCGCAAGUCUGACCCGACCAUGGUCAGGCAUUUGUAUAGGAACAAUAGAAUAGGGCAGUUCCUGUUUCAAGAAGAUCACAACUAUAAAACUGUGUAUAAGAAAUUGUUUAUGAACAACAGAAAACUGCUCAUACCAUAAGUUUCUCGACACUGUUGGACCCGUUCAACGAGUGCAAUGAUACAUCUCCAAUGUAUCUAUAAUUUUUGAUUGUUCCAUGCUAUUAUAUUACCCCUCUUGGAUGUUUAUGGGCUUUAUUUUACACAUUUAUAUCAUUUUUGGGACUAACCUACUAACCGGAGGCCCAACCCAUAUUGCUGUUUUUUUUGCCUAUUUCAGUAUUUCGAAGAAAAGGAAUAUCAAACGGAGUCCAAACGGAACGAAACCUUCGGGAGCGUUAUUUUUGGAACAAAUCUGAUUAGGAGAGCCUGGAGUGCAAGUCAAGAAAGCUCCGAGGGCCCCACGAGAUAGGAGGGCGCGCCCCUUGUCUCGUGGGCCCCUCGGGCGGCCACCGACGUACUUCUUCCUCCUAUAUAUGCCUACGUACCCUGAAAACAUCCAGGAGCACCACGAAACACAAUUUCCACCGCCGUAACCUUCUGUAUCCGCGAGAUCCCAUCUUGGAGCCUUCGCCGGCACUCCGCCGGAGGGGGGAUCGACCACGGAGGGCUUCUACAUCAACACCAUAGCCCCUCCGAUGAGUUGUGAGUAGUUUACCACAGACCUUCGAGUCCAUAGUUAUUAGCUAGAUGGCUUCUUCUCUCUUUUUGGAUCUCAAUACAAUGUUCUCCCCCUCUCUUGUGGAGAUAUAUUCAAUGUAAUCUCUUUUUGCGGUGUGUUUGUCGAGAUCCGAUGAAUUGUGGGUUUAUGAUCAAGUUUAUCUAUGAAUAAUAUUUGAAUCUUCUCUGAAUUCUUUUAUGUAUGAUUGAGUUAUCUUUGCAAGUCUCUUCGAAUUAUCAGUUUGGUUUGGCCUACUAGAUUGGUCUUUCUUGCCAUGGGAGAAGUGCUUAGCUUUGGGUUCAAUCUUGCGGUGUUCUUACCCAGUGACAGAAAGGGUUGCAAGACACGUAUUGUAUUGUUGCCAUCGAGGAUAACAAGAUGGGGUUUAUAUCAUAUUGCAUGUGUUUAUCCCUCUACAUCAUGUCAUCUUGCUUAAUGCGUUGCUCUGUUCUUAUGAACUUAAUACUCUAGAUGCAUGCUGGAUAGCGGUCGAUGUGUGGAGUAAUAGUAGUAGAUGCAGGCAGGACUUGGUCUACUUGUUAUGGACGUGAUGCCUAUAUACAUGAUCAUGCCUAGAUAAUCUCAAAACAAUGCACUUUUAUAUCAAUUGCUCGACAGUAAUUUGUUCACCCACUGUAAUACUUAUGCUAUCUUGAGAGAAGCCUCUAGUGAAACCUAUGGCCCCCGGUCUAUCUCUUAUCAUAUUUGCUUUCCAUCUACUUUUAUUUGCAUCUUUACUUUUUGCAUCUAUAUCAAAAAUAUCAAAAAUAUAUUUAUCUUAUCAUUCUAUCUUUAUUAGAUCUCACUUUCGCAAGUGGCCGUGAAGGGAUUGACAACCCCUUUAUUACGUUGGUUGCGAGUUCUCAGUUUGUUUGUGUAGGUGCGUGGGACUUUUGAGGAGCCUCCUACUGGAUUGAUACCUUGGUUCUCAAAACUGAGGGAAAUACUUACGCUACACUUUGCUGCAUCACCCUCUCCUCUUCGAGGAAAACCAACGCAAGCUCAAGACGUAGCAAGAAGGAUUUCUAGCACCGUUGCCGGGGAGGUCUUCGCUCAAGUCAAGACAUACCAAGUACCCAUCAUAAACCCAUCUCCCUCGCAUUUACAUUAUUUGCCAUUUGCCUCUCGUUUUCCUCUCCCCCACUUCACCCUUUGCCGCUUUAUUCGCCCUCUCUUUCCCAAUCUCCUCUUCUCCUUUUCACUUGCUUUCUUCCGCCUUGCUUUUGUUUGCCGCUAUGUCUGAAAUUGGGGAGAUUAUCAUCGAUAUGGACAAUAAUGAUAACACAGAAAAUCCCAAGGCUCCGGCCGAUGAACCCCCUAUCUUGCAUACUAAAAAGUUUCAAAUCGGUAGUGGCAACACCAUUGGCAAAGGUGUUAUUCAAGAUUUCUUUACUUGUGCCGGUGCUUUACCUUCUAUCGGUUGUUCUAUUCUUCAUAGAACUAGUAGUCUUGCGGAUGCUGUCGCUAUGCUUGUAGUUGAACUUGAAAGACAAUUUAUGCAUAUGCAUCCUUGCAUACAAAGAAUUUUUCUAGAAUUCUCUAAAUAUUGAGCACUCUUCUGUUAAGUGCACUGUUACUAUCUUUUUGGCUCAUGAGUUUAGAUUUAUCAUUAGAGAGGCCAAAGAAAUCUUUGCGCACUAUAGGGUGGACGCCAGUCGUCCACCCAUAGAAGCGAUCCUCUAUGAUCAAGAGGAAAUUAGACGAUUUCAA